UGGAACUGUCUUUAAAGGAAUGCUCUCUUCUGAAUUCUUUAUUGCUGUCAAAGUCCUCAACAGUUCAAAGGGAGAUGGGGAAGAGUUCGUAAAUGAAGUGCGAACGAUGGGUCAUAUCCACCAUGUCAACGUGGCUCGCUUGGUUGGAUUUUGUGCUGAUGGAUUUGUACGAGCUCUUGUUUCCCUGCAGGAUUUUAUUUCAUCUGCAGAUAGUAAGAAUUCACUUCUUGGUUGGGAUAAGCUGCAAGAUAUUGCCCUAGGCAUAGCCAAAGGAAUUGAAUAUCUUCACCAAGGAUGCGAUCUACGAAUCCUGCAUUUCGAUAUCAAGCCCCAUAAUGUGUUGCUAGACCAAAACUUCACUCCAAAAAUUUCUGAUUUUGGUUUGGCCAAGUUAUGUUCCAAGGAUCAAAGCUUGGUGUCCAUAACUACAGCUAGGGGGACCAUGGGCUAUAUUGCACCUGAAGUGUUCUCCAGGAAUUUCGGAAAUGUGUCUUACAAGGCAGAUGUCUACAGCUUUGGAAUGCUGCUGCUUGAGAUGGUAGGAGGAAGGAAGAAUAUUGGUUCAACCACGGAGAACACUACAAAUGAAAUCUACUAUCCACAGUGGAUUUACAAUCUUCUAGAGGAAGGGGAUGACCUACGAAUCCGUAUUGGGCAAGAAGAAGAUGGUAAAAUUCCAAAGAAACUUGCUAUUAUAGGGUUAUGGUGUAUCCAAUGGCACCCGUCGGAUCGUCUUUCCAUGAAAACAGCCGUUCAGAUGUUAGAAGGAGGAGGAGGAGAAAGCUUGACCAUGCCGCCUAAUCCCUUCAUGCCUACAGGUCCUACAACUAGAAAUGCAAGACGCCUAGAGCGAGAAGCAAUUGCUGAAUUAGAGUAAAACGUAUAUGACAGAUAUGUAGAUUCGUAUUGAAUGUGUAAUGAUUCAAACCUAAAGGGAUAUUUUGAUAACCAUUUCAUUUUGGCACCAAACAAAAGAAAUUUGUUUCCACUCCAUGUUUAAGCAAUAGAUGCCGAUUAUUGUUUAUCAUUUAUUAAAUUUUAUUUUUGGUUACGGUAGAAGCCUAGAAGGCAAUCGAGCACCGGACUUACCAAAUUCUAACUCAUUUCUACACACCAAGAGCUUGAUUUCGGUUCUUAUUUUUACUAUUUAAGCUAUAAGCCGUGAUAAUAAUUAGAGCACUAUCAUUUGUUGUGAGCUUCAACUGGUUAUUUUGUAUGUUUUAAACUUUUAAUUAGAAUUUAUUUUUCACUUAGACUUAUCUUUCCGUAUGGCAUGCCAUCCCAACCCUAGUUUUUCUCCUCGCUUGGAGUUUGGGAUACGAAAACUUGCCAAACAAAGUAGAUUGAUUAGUAACCGAAGCUAAUUAUUCGACUGAAUAUUGUUUAGAAUUUUAAUUAACAGAAACAAUAUGAAUCUUUUUUGUUUGUUUUGAAAACUAGAGAUUAAAUUGUUACUUGUUAGAAGUAGAGUGAUUGGUAGACAUCGAAUCCUUACAUAAGUGCAUAGGCAUUAUUGCGUGAGGAUGACGUGAGGGCAAGGGAAGUAGCAGCAGACCGUGUGGGCUGCUGUGGUUCAUCUGCUCGGGUGACAGGAUAGCCUUUUUGACGAAAUUAUAAAGCGCAUAAACUUUUUGACCAAGAGAGUGGUCAACUAGGGGUGGGCACUUGAAAUCGAAAACCGAAACCGAAACAUGAACCAAAUCGGACCGCACCGAACGAUUUGGUUUUGCGGUUUUGAAACCGAACCGCAUUGUAGGAAACGGUUUGGUUUUGGUUUUGGCUUUUGAAAACCGCACCGAAACCGAAACCGUAUCUCAAAUUAUAUGCCAUGUUUUAAUUAGUUGUUUGUUAGAGUCCAUACAUUUAGUAUGUACAUGUCAUAAUAAUGAUUAUUUUUUCCAAGUUAUAUCCCUCAUCAAGCUUGGCAUCUCAAUGUUUCUUUACAGGAAAAGAAGAAAACUUUGUCACAGUUAUAUCCUUAGAACCCUAAUUUUCAAGUUUAGAAUGAUAGCCUAUAUAAUAUAUUAAUCAGAAAUGCAAAUGAAAACUCAAAAGGAACAAUGAGCAUCAAAUAAGAGUAGUCACAGAAGGAGAGAUACAAGACCGAAUCUCUAAUCAAGUAAUAAGUUGCAGCACUUCAUUUGGGUACUUUUUCCUGCUCACAGAGUUUAUCACUUGUGCAAGAGUUUAUCAUCUGUGCAAUUAGCUAGCUAGAGUAAAGAAAAGAAUUCUCAUGUGGGUGGUUAAUUAAUGUAUGUGUGGAAAAUGAGACUGUGGUAUGUGUAAAUAAGUAUAAAUUUUAAAUUGUAGAUUUUUUUUUCUAAAAAGCCAAACUUAAACCGUUUGAAACCGCACCGAACCGAUCGGUUUUGACUUUAAAACCGCACCGAACCGCACCACAAAAAGUUGUGAUUUCGGUUUUGGUUUCACUCAAAACCACACCGAACCAAACCGUGCCCACCCCUAUGGUCAACAAAUGGGACAUGGAUUCGUCGAAUCCAAAUCCUAAGAAUUCAUUAAUCUAUAUUAUUGAAAUUUGAUCAAAAGAUUAAAAUUAUUAUAAUUUUAAAAUAAGCUCGUAUUUGUAACUGUUGAAUCAACCUUUAAUGAUCCAGAUUGAUAAAUCCUUAAGAUUAGGAUGUAUGAAUCCGAAAAGGAUCAAUGUCCCAAAAAAUAUGCAACGUUUUGCAAGGGUAUUAAAUUUAUGAGUGGGAUAGACACAAAUAGCAGACCGUGUGGGGUGCUGUGGUUGAUCCACUAGGGUGGCAGGAUAGCCUUUUUGACCAAAUUAUAAAGCAGACUUUUUGACCAAGAGGGUGGCCAACAAAUAUGCAACGUUUUACACGGUAUUAAAUUUAUGACUGAGGAUUUGGAUCCUCUCCUGAGCUAAUGGAGAUGAUCUUCCUGACCAACCAUUAUGGGUUGUUGGAUUUUUAUCCAACGGUUAUAAUUAUUAUAACUUUAAAGGAACUCCCUUUUUAUAACCGUUGGAUAAAAAUCUAACAGUCCAUAAUGGUUGGUCAGGAUGAUCCUCUCCAUUGGCUCAGGAGAGGAUCCAAAUCAGAUGGACACAAGUAGCAGACCGUGUGGGGUGCUGUGGUUCCUCCACUAGGGUGGCAGGGUAACCUUUUUGACCAAAUUAUAAAGCAGACCUUUUUGACCAAGAGCGUGGCCAAUAAAUAUGCAACGUCUUGCACGGGUAUUAAAUUUAUGACUGGGAUGCACACUCAUCUUCUUCCUCAUUCGUUGUUUAUGUAAAAAAAUGUAAUAAAUUGUAAUAAUGAUCUUUCAACUUUAAUUAAAUUGAAACAAUAGUUUUUUAAUUAAAAUUCAUUAUUAUUAGUCUAUUAACUCAUUAAAACGUGUAGCUAUAGUCAUUUUCGUCAACUCCUUCAGAAUUCUGUCAAAAUAAGUUAUGUUGAAAGGACCAUUGCUAUAAUUGGGUUAAAGUUAGGGACCAUUGCUAUAAUUGGGUUAAAGUUAGGGACCAUUGCUCUAAUUGAGUUAAAUUUGAGGAAUCAUUUCUCUAGUUGGAUUACAGUUGAUGGAUCAUUGAUACAAUUUUUCUUAUUUGAUUUUUCAUUGUGCCCCUUGAUUUAGCCUCAAGUGCAUGACAUGUGACUAUUUUGACGGAAGUUCUAAUGGAGUUGACGAAAAUAAUCAUAGUUGCACGUUUUGAUGAGUUAAGAGACCAAUGAUAAUGAAUUUUUAGUUGAGGGAUCAUUGCUCCACUUAGAUUAAAAUUAAGAGAUCAUUACUAUAAUUUACUCUGAAAACUAAAGGCCUCCUAUUUUAGUUAUGUUUGUACCAUACUUGACCAAUCCCAAAACUACUGAGCACCGGUCAACGUUAUACCAUCAAGGAUCCAGAAGAGUUUCUCUCAAACCAGGAGGCCAAUCACAACACGACACAUGUCGAUAUCAAAAGCCAAUCAUAGCGCGACACGUGUCAACAUCAGAAGCCAAUCACAACACGACACGUGUCAAUGUCAGAACAAAACUAAAAACUCUCUUCUAUAAAAGGAGAUCAUUCUCCCUCAAUAUUUCCUAAUGUUCUUUGUACUAAAUCAUUCACUAGUACUGACUAAAUGAGAGUUUGAACCUAUGUACUUGUGUAAACCCUUCACAAUUAAUGAGAACUCCUCUACUCCGUGGACGUAGCCAAUCUAGGUAAACCACGUAUAUCUUGUGUUUGCUUCCCUGUCUCUAUCCAUUUACAUACUUAUCCACACUAGUGACCGAAGCAAUCUAACGAAGGUCACAAACUUAACACUUUCUGUUAUACCAAAGUCCUCACUGAUUUUGUGCAUCAACAAGUUGCAUUGGAGAAUCCUUUCAACCAUCCAAAUCCAAAACAUGGAUCUAAGGAGCCAAGAAACAAAGAGGAGUUCGUCCAUAUUCAUGGAUACAAGAAGCUAUGAGCAAGGGAAUGAGGACCUCACUUUGGGUGACUAUCAUUUACUUCUGCAAAGAGGACCUACAAAAAUAUAAAGUCAACUCACUUUGCUUUGAAUUUGAGUUGAGUCUUUGACUAACUACUAGACUCUGAAUUUCAUGAGUUAAGUUUUGUUUUUGAAUGCAUAUAAGCAUGCUAGAGCCUUUAAUUGUUAAUUACAUGUAUAUGUGUUGCUCAAAUGAACUUAGUUUAUCAAAUUUUUCUCUCAAGACCAAGGUAUUAAAUAUCGAUGAUAUCGGAAAUAUCGGUAGUCCAAAAACACGGAAAUAUCGAUGGAAAUAUCGAUGGAAAUAUCGGGAUAUUAUCGAUAUCGAUAAAAAUAAUAUGGAAACCACGGAAAUUGUAAGAAAAACUUGGAAAUUUUUAUUGAAACUUUGCAGAAUGUUUAUUUAGUCAAUUAUCUAUUAGUUUAUCACAAAAAUUUGGAAGGAAAUGCAUUGCAUGAUGGAUUUAACUGAUUUAAGUUGAUUAUAUAGCGAGCUGGCAAACAUUGUGAGUGUAGAAAAUAUGUAGUAAUUAAUGAAAGAAGUUUAAACACACCAUAAUCAUUUAUAUAUAAUGAAUUAGUACAAUAUUUUACACUUUAUACAUUGCAUGGUAAGAUACAUGAGUGACUAAGUACCACAUAGAGUUCCUAUGAGGUUCAAAAUUUUCACUAUCUUCAUCAUCUCUAUGUGUAGAGUAAGUGUAUUGUGAAGAGUAGUCAGCAACCAUGGCAAUGGCUUUCAAGAACCGAAAUCCAAAAGUCAAUAGGAAACCGAAUACUUCGGUAUUUUUCGGGAUUUCGGGAUUACCAAACAAAUGGGAUUUGGAAACCAAUCCCAUAUCGAAAAUUUCGGUAUUUUUCGGGAUGGGAUUCCCGAACUUCGGGAUGGUUUUGGUUUGGGAUUUUUCGGUUUGGGUUUGGGACUUUUUCGGUUUGGUUUGGGAUUUUCGGGAAUUUUUUCCAACCCUACAUGUAAGUGACCAAAUAAAAAAUAGAAAAAUUAAAAACCACAUGCCAUUGACUAAGUAAUUAAUUGACACAAUUUAAAAUAUAAUACCACAAAAAAUUUGGAAUAUGUGCAAAUUUGUUUCUUGCAAAAAGAAUUCAAAACAAAACCAUAUAUAUAAAUAUUUUAGCAUGUUUUCACAAAAACAUAAGUGGUAUAGUGGUCAAGGCGCUGAAGGAGUUAGAUGGGAGGGGUUUGAAUCCCUCUAUGUGCAUGUUUGAGACUUUUCAGAAAUUUUCAAAUAUUUUUAGGUUCAUCUCGCGAUAAUAUCGAUAUUAUCGCGAUAUAUUAGCGAUAAUUAAAGGAAUACUCGUGAAAUAUCGUUAUAUGAAAAAAACGAUAAUAUCGGCGAUGUUUCGCUGAUAUUAUCGAUAUUUUCUUCUAUGUUCAAGACCAACUUCUAUGGCAUGCGUGGUGUGUUUGAGACUUUUCAGAAAUUUUCAAAUAUUUUUAGGUUCAUCUCGCGAUAAUAUCGAUAUUAUCGCGAUAUAUUAGCGAUGAUUAAAGGAAUACUCGUGAAAUAUCGUUAUAUGAAAAAAAACGAUAAUAUCGGCGAUAUUUCGCUGAUAUUAUCGAUAUUUUCUUCUAUGUUCAAGACCAACUUCUAUGGCAUGCGUGGUGUCUCAUGCCAAUCACACAAAUGUUAUGUAAAAAGAAUUUACACGUUGUGUUGCAUGAUUGACAAUUAACGACACAAUAGUGUUAUAACCGUGUCAAUGUUAUGAAAGUUUUUAUGCAAAGUCACUUGAUAUGCCGCAACAAUUAGUAAACAAUAUUAGAAAGACCUAGAGGAACCCACAAUUAAUUCCAAUUCAUUAAGUAGCUCAUGUGCAAGCAAAGUAUGGGCUUCCCAUGGGCAGGAGCUGGAAUUUACCCAUAUUUGGUAGUUAUGUAGCAUUAUACGAGGAGCCUGCUCAGCAUUCAAUAUGUUCACCCACAUGAUGUUGAGUGUAAUCCUUCUUAAGGUUCAACGAUAUUGUUUCUAUUAACAAAUAUAAAUAAAAAAAUAAGCGAAAUACUAGAGAGAUUACACGUUUAUAUUACAUUGUUGUACCAUAUUGUGAUAUGGCUGUGUACAUACCACGUCUUGUAAUGAGUUUAUCUCAUUAGAUGUUAGACUGUUGGUUAUUUGUAUUACUUAUUACAUCAUAUGGUACAUCAAUGUGGUAUAAAUAUGCAAUCUCUCCAACAUUACCCUUAGGAAAAUUUUAUUUGAACCCAUCUAACCUCUUUCUACACCCAACUUAAAUUCUAAAUGUGAAUUGUCUAUUUUAUCCUAAUGCAUAAUUACCAUCAAGUACAAGAUGAAAUUAAGAAUAAAACUAAAAUUUAUCAAUAAACCCAUACUCAAUAAUUAAGUUCUACCAUCACACAAUUUUUAUCCUACAUUCAUUUUGAAUAAAUUCCUAAGGGCUGCAAUAAAACCCUACGAUCACCUAAUAAUCAAAUCCGGUUGCUUUUUGUUUCCUCUCUAGCUUCAUGUUAACUCGAUCAGUAAAAACAAAGUAUUCAAAGUAUUCAUGUAUAAAAUAAGCCAACUUGGACUGGACUUGCUAUAAACCUAAAAACAUAAGCAGAAUCCCAGUUGCUAAUUCCACAAGAACUCGACUUGCGACCAUUCAAAACCCAAUAAAAAUUCAAGAAAACCAGAACUUACCAAGUGAACGUUGACGGCUGAGCCAGAGCAGCAACGACGAAAGGAAGCAUUGCAGAUAAGACCUGAGACGACGAGCCGUCGGAAGCCCCUUUGGAUAUUUCAGCUGAUGGGUUUAUCCCAAACGACAGCAUCAACGCGUUGCCUUCCUUCCUCUGCGACCCGACUCUGCUGAUGUGCAAUGUGCUUACUCUUGUAAUCACUCCAUGUGCCAUGUGCAAACAAUCGAAGCACAUCGAGGUAGACAUAAUUUUCAGUUCCUUCAAGCUGCACAUAUUCCACAGUAAAAAAACAAAUGCAUAUGAAACAAGACCCUAUAACAAUCAACAAUUUUAUUUUGACUUUGGCUGCAACAAAAUUCUGAUUAUACAUCCUUUGCUCAAAUCCAGAAACUACACCACCAAAAUAUACACAGAAAAAUGAAACUUCCACAAUAAAUAAAUAGAAACAUGGGAACCUGAAGAACAUUAGGGACAUCGAUAAUUUCCGAAAAGGCAAAAAGGGCAGGGUGGGAGGUGACUUCUGCGACGAGGGGGCCGAGGGCGGAGCCAUCGAGUGAUGAGGCUUGCUUCACGAAGUGAUCAAAGGCCUCCUCUUGCUUUUGCUUUCUAAAAGGGUGUAAAGAUGAAUUUUUAUAUAUUGAAUUGAGUUUGUGAGGGUAGUUUAGAUAGUAAUUUGGGUUUAGAGAGAAAUUGAUUCUUUAAUUAAAAAUAAUAUGGGUGUAAAGAAUAAGUUAGGUGUAGCAAGAAGUUGUAUGGGUUCAAAUAAAAUUUCCCUUACCCUUAUCAGAAACCCUAAAAGACAAGAAAUGCUCUAUACUAAGACGUGUUUAUCAAACCGGAAUGAAAGUGUAGGAAAUGGAAUUGCACGAACUCCAAGUCAUUUUAGUGUUUACUAAACCAGAGGGAAUCAACAUUCAGGUGGGACCCACCCAAAAUCCGGAAUACAAUUCCUUAAAUACCCGGAAAUGGAUUCUUGACUUGGGAGGUGGGAAUUGAGUUCCUGAAAAUAGAUUCAUCAGGGAUCCAAGUUUUCUACCCAUACUAUCCUCAUGCUUUUUUGGUAAACCCAAAUAUCCCUCACAAUUUCACCUCCCCAGUUCCAUGACCAGUGUAUAGACCCAUCUCUCUUCUCCCCAAUCCCACCAUUUCCUAACAGAGGAGCUUCGACUCCAGUGAAAUCCCGACCCCUUUCUCCUUGCCCCGUCGCCGCAGACUAUCCAAAAUACAUGCAUGAACGCACAAAGAGAGGGGAAAAUGUAUGGCGUGGCCGCAUGGUCAUCUAAAAACAGGGGGUGGGGACGGUUGUGAUAGGUGGUGAGGAGCUGGGUUUGGGGAUGUAGGGGGGAGAAGAUGGCAUCGCAGCUUUUUGUGUUUUGGGUUUUUUUAUGUUAUUUUAUAUUUUUAAUAAAUUUGUUAAUUAUUUAUUUUGCUGAAUAGUUAUGUUUUCAUGUAGCUAAUUGGAUUUUAUGAGCAUAUGUGGUUAUCAAAAUUAACCAUUAACUAGCAUAUAAAAAUAUAAUUUAUAACAAGGGCAAUUUAGUAAUCAAAUAGGUUUCAAUUCCGAUUCAUGUGAGUGAGUAAAUAAUUUUUAUGUAAUCAAUAUCAUUUUUAUUCCGAUUCCAGAUAGUUUAGUAAACAGAUUCAACAUGAAUCCAAUUCUAAUUCCACUUCAUUCCAUCUUCUUCUCAAUUCAAUUCAAUUCCUCAUACUCUGAUUACGGAUUAGUAAACGGGUCAUAAAACGGAAAGAGAAAAACAUUGUUCAUAACCAACAGUGUUUUUACUUUUUUGCCCUCAUUUUUAAUGUUUCUGUGUUCCCACUUUUAUGCCUCUAUACAGUGAAAUCCCCAAUUGCCCUAUGGGCAUAGGUGUGUAAAAAAAUUGUUUUGCACACGUGGCAUGCUAGGGAGAUUUCUCUGCUGCACCGUUUCCUUCCAGCUCCACUCCGAAUCGAUACUGAAUACUGCUCAACCAAAUUUUUUCAUCAUUUCAUUCCGUCCUUGUCAACCUCUUCAUUCUUGCUCCACCAUGAAUCGAAACAAAAAAUUGCUCAUCCAAAUCAAUUUCAGUUAACUCAAAUCCCUAAAACCCAAAUUUCUCCAGAUCUUUGGAUUUAGUUUACUUUUUGUUGUUGCGUAAAGCUUAAAUUUACGUACAAUUUUUUUAUUUUCUUGAUUGGAAUUUGGAAAGAAUCAAUUGUUCUUUGAAGGAAUUACAGAAAAUUGGAAAGGGGAAAUGGGAAAUGGGAAAGCGAGGAAAUGCGGGCAAAUGGGUUUUGGGAAAAUGACUUUUUUUUUUGGCAUUCGCUUUUGGCUUUCAUCCUUUCUGCGUUUGCUUUUCCUCAUUUUUUUUCUCAAGAACCAAACAUAAAAUAAAAAGAACCUAGAAAAAAGAAAAGGAAAAUCACAAGAUUAAGAAUCUGGGAUUGCAACAAUGGAGCUUCUGUGCCGAAAUAUCAAUUGGGUUCCGUUUGAUCUUCGGUGCUUCUUCUGCAUUCAAAAAGUUGGGGUUUUUUUGCGUGAUGGGAACACAUUUCCAAAUUCGACCUCAAUCCCAAAGGAACCAUCCACCAAAUAACCCUUCCUCCCUUUCUAUUUCUCUCUCUGUAAUUUCCCCUGACCGAAUCACACAAUCCAACCAACUCUCUGUGUAAGGCUGCCUCACAAAUUCCAUGGAUUUCAUGGACUUACCCUCUCUAUGAGCCUCCCUCGCCGAAUCCAACUAAUUUCCUUAGGCCCGUUUGGGAUUGAGGUGAUUUUAAAAAAAGCAAUUGUGAAAAAAAGCUGAGGGUCAUUUUUGUGUUUGGUAAACUGAAAAAAAAUGGCUUAUUUUGAAAGCUGCUGUGAGAAUAAGCUGAAAAUCAAAGGAAAAGCUGAAGCUGCUAUUUGCUGCUUUGAAAAAAAGCCAGUUUUUUCAAAGCACACGGAGCUACAAUGCUCCUUUAAUGAAAAGACACACUAUCAUCCUGCUUUUUUUUCCAAAAGCACUUUCACAAAAAAGUUUACCAAACACUCUACUGGCUUUAUUUCACAGCCGCUUAUUCUCACAGCAGCUUUUUUUCAAAGCACAGCAAUACCAAACCAGCCCUAAUUCCAUCGAUAGCCACACCCACCCCUCCCAACUGAAAAUGACAAUAAUGCCCACCCAACUUUUAUUCUCUGCCUUUAGAUCUCAAAUUAAAAUGGGUAAUAAAGUCCUUUUCACACCAAUACCCGCUAUUUAACAGCUCAAAUGUACACAACCCAAACAAACACAUGGCCUAAAGGGCCUACCCCAGACCCCCGGCCCAAAAAUAUAAAGGAAAACUAAUGAAAAUUGCUUGAAAACUUUGAGUUUUAAUGAUAAGGACAAAAUAAAGGGUAAAGUGAAUAGUACCAGGAUUGACUUUUUAGUGUAAAAAUGUGGUUUUUCGUUAAAGUGAACAGUACCGGGUGCUUUUCGUUAAAGUUCCCAAAAAAUAAUUGGAAAAAGAAGUGGCAAUUUGGUAAAUAAAAUGUUACCUUUUCCAUUGCCCAUUCCUUUUGGAAAAAGAAAUGAAAUUAAAACUCUUCAUUUAAAAUGGUCUUAAGCCAAAUUGUAUUGAAUGUGAAGCAGAGGGUAAGAGGUGUAGAUUGUAGAACAAUUACACCUAGAGCGAAAUUGAAUUUGUUGACAGGAGGAAACCAAGUAAGGAUAACGCGUCUAAAUCUUAUUUCGCAUCUAUUCUGCUCAUGAUUUUUCUGCUUUCAUGUAAUUAGCGGCUUAUAUUUGUGGUAACGAUAUUGAUUAAUUUCGAGAAAUGACAGUCUAAUUUUCGCAACUGUCUUUUGCAGGUAAAACAAAGACGGUCUAAUUUUCGCAACUGUCUUUUGCAGGCAAAACAAUGACAGUCUAAUAUUCGCAACUGCCUCCUACAGUUAGAAGCAAUUGUUGAAUUAGAGUAACACUAGAAAAUGCACCCGCGCUUUGCUGCAAGCAUUGAAUAAUUAGUCACAACAUUCAUGAAUAGCAUUCCAAUAAAGCAACUAAAAAGACGUCGUAAUACGUAAGAACCAUCGAAGUCAAAUUUUGCUUGCUAUAUAUGGAUAUGCAUGCUAUAAGAAACAUCUAUUUAUAGAUUGUAUUGUGUCAUCAAUAUCAUAGUUGCAAGUAAUCAGCCUACUACAUGGAAGAAAAACACAGAAAAGGGAAAGUAGAAAAGUAGAAACAUAAUACUUGAGUACCUGGCAAGAAUAGUAAGUUCUUGAAAAAAUUGCUAAACCGUCUAACAAAUUCAAUCGUUAAACGUUAUACUGUAACCCAAGACAAAAAUAAAGUAUAUUGUUUGUUUACAAAUCAAAACGAAGUGCUGCUACAAUCCUCAACAGCUAUGAAUCAUUUUCAAAUAAAGAUACUCAGAUUUGACGGCACAUCAAAUAACCACCAAGCGAAGCAAAUUACGCCAUGUGCUAAUAAGAAACUAAAACAAAAGCAAGAUUAAAUAUCGAAAUUUUUUUAUAAGGCAUCAAUUGACAAAAUGCUUCUUAAUGUGGUCUUCCAAGAAAUGAAUGCAGCUCACAAACAACUUAGAAAUCAUUGUCACCUCAAUCUUACUAAAUAGAAGCAUAAAUGGACAUGAUAGCUCCCUAAUUUUGUAAUAGAAACUCUAACAAAGAAUAUCAGGCUCCAAAGGCCCUAACUUUUCCUAGGCAUAAAUCUAUACAUUGCAAGUUUAAUUCCAACGAAGCAAAUAUGCGUGCAAAGUAAAAGGCAUCAACACUACAUGUACUGCUUACAAUCGUCUCAAGUUGCUGACAACAACAACAACAACAACAACAACAAAGCUUUUUCCCACUAAGUGGGGUCAGCUAUAUGAAUCCUAGAACGCCAUUGCGCUCGGUUUUGUGUCAUGUCCUCCGUUAGAACGCCAUUGCGCUCGUCUCAAGUUGCUGACACAAUGUUUAAAAUAUUCCAAGACUCAAAGAUUUUCACACAAAUAGAGCACCUUACCAAAACAAUAACCGAGGUUGUCGUAUUUGAAUCAAGCAGAUGCUUUGCAAGGCCUUCUUCAAUAUCGUCUCAUAUUCCCUUUUCAUUUUUCGUAUAUGAUACAAUAAACUAUUCAAAUCUAGACAUAAAUAAGAGAAUCUGCUACACCCUACUAUCACAAUUGUCAGUCCUGAACAAUAAUGCAAGUCUAGUGGCAAAAACCACCUCAAUGAACAACUCACACACACUGAUCAUACAUCUCUAACUCUCUUUUUCAAAUAACACACACUCUGAUCCAAAACAGGGUAAAUAAAAUGCACAUCCUUAUACAUUUCUAACUUUCUUUUUCGAAAUCCAAAAUAGGGUAUUCUAACUCUCUUUUUCAUUCAUUUCUUACAAACCAAUCAUACAUUUAAAAUAGGCUUUGAAUAAAAAUAGGGUAUAUAAUUAUAUACCUCAAAAUGCCUAGGAACCAACUUCCCCCUCCAACGAUUCAAAUUCUUGAAAUUGCCAACACAGUAAAUCCAUUAGUACUAUAUAAAUGAAAACACAAUUGAAACCCAUCAAACAAAACAAUCCCACAAUUUAAAUGAUUCAAUCCUACUACAAUUGAAAUUCACAGAAAGAAUGAAAAACCAGAACAAAACUGCAGCACCUAAAAAGUUGUCAUACAAAAAAACAUGGAAUGUAAAAAUAUGUUAAGAAAUCUAGUUCGUUAAUUUCCAGCUGCUAAGUGGCAUUAUGUAACUUUAGUAGUAUAACUAAUUAACUACUUAUCUGGUGGGUUGCACUUCUAUCCAAUUGGUAAGGAAAGGAAAAUAAAAAUCAACCCCUUGGUCUUAGUUGUGGCUGCAAAGUGCAGGCCACCACCAAGUCUCAGUGUUUGUGUUUUAGCAAAACACUUAAAUAAAUUAAAUUCUGAAAUGUAAAUUAUAUUCCUAUAACUUUAAGAUGCACAUAUAGUAUUGUUGAAGUCGAACUGAAAGCACUGACAAUUCCAAGCAACAGAGCAGCAAUUAUUAAGAGCCAAAACUCAUUCCUAGUCUCCUCAUCCUGGUACUCAACUCUAAUCUUCGGUCAGCAUCAUUGACUGAAAUUAGGAGAGAAAAAGAAAAGGAAUUUCAGAAAUUGUCUAUGAAGCAAAGGAUACUGCAGUUACUUCAAGACAUGUAAAUUGCAUAUGUAUAAAGUAAUUUUCUACAUAAAGGAAUGAGGCAUAACUUUCUCUCUCCUCUUCAAACCCUAAACAGUGCAAAGCCACAAACUUUACAGAGAUUAGAAUGAGAACUGGAAUUAAUAGAACAAUGACUGAAAAGUAACAUACUUGAGGAGUGAAUGAUUUAGUGUUUCCAUCAUCGGAACGCCGGAGUAAGUCGCUAAGAGAGGUCGCAAACAGCCCAAAGGGACAAACCCAGACCCCCGGCCCCGAUCCAUACCCUUCCCCCUCAAAUCCCGACGGCCCCCAUACUUUUCUCUGACUGUACACCCUCUCCCACUCAUGAAAUCGAGGAUCUGCAGCAAUGGUACUGAGAUCCCCACUCCUCCCUCUCCCUUUCUCUCUGUCGCUCUGUCUCCCUCUCCCACUGUCUGUCUAUCUUUAUCCCAGAGCGGCAUGGUCUCCCAUCCCUGAAACCCUCACCGAAAGGUGGCAAUUUUGUAAAUAACUUGAAAUCCACCAACAGCAGGAGCAGAGAAUUGAAACAAACAUUUAGGCUCGUUCGAUAACCAUUUAGGCCAAAACUGAGCACACCUAAACCAUUCCUACUCGUGCCAAAUGUUAGUGGGGAAGCAAGAUGAUGACUUUAUUGUUCAAAACCAAAAGAAAAAAAGAGAGAAAACAAAAUAACAAAUCUAAUGGUUGUAGUGUAAAAGCUGAGAACGUAAAUAAACAUGCAGAGAAAAAAAUUGAAGAUACAAAGUAGCUGCAUCAUGAAACACUUACUCCAAUUAGACGCAAAAAGUGAUGGUGAUGAGAAGAGAGAGAAAAUGCAAUCGUUUUGAUUUUUCUGGCUUUUAAAGGGAGCAGCUUUCUUCGACCACCCAAAAAAGGAAGCUGCUUCGUAUGGUUGUGAUUUCCUGAGUGUAUGUGAGCGGGUCUAUGGCACUUGCACUUUUUGUGUCGGUUACGGUAACCGGGCGAGCUGAACACGGCGGCAUGGGACUGAAUUCGGAGAGGUGAGAAAAAUUAAAAACACAAAAAGAAGGUGUUCAUUUUGUCACAUUUUUAUUACUAAAAAUUCAAUAAAGUACAUUCAUUAGUAUGGUAACUUAACUAUUUAAUUCCAUCUCAUUAAACUAAAAAAAACAAUUACAAAAAAAUAAGGGAAACCUUGUCCAAAGAGACCUGAGAGAAAGUGACGACUUCUCCUCUCAUUCCACUCCAUACUUGAUCUCUAAAGUCCAUUUGGCAUGUAAUUGAUGUUCAAUUUCAAAUUUAGUGGUAGCAAUUAGCAAAGCUAAUGAAAGAAUCAAAUAAAAUGAAAGAAAAAGCAUCAUGAAAUAAAUCAAGAUGAAGAAUGAAAUUUUGGCAACUCCCCAUUCUCUUCUUUUAUAUAAAAGAUACAUCCUAUUUGUAGUGAAAACAGGUCCCGACAAGCCCAUUUAUCCUCAAGAAGUAUUUUCUAUGACUUUAAAAACAUAAUCUGUGAAAUUAUCUCUUGGCAGAGAACAACAACAAAUCUUCAUGCAUAGCUUGUAGAGAAAGACAUCAGGCAUACAAAAGAACACGCAAGCAUAAAAUAAACGACGCAGGGAAAACAAAAAAUACAAUUAAAUACGCUGUCAAAAGAACAUGAAUAAAUGAAAAUUACAAAACAAAGAAGUGAUGAGAAACCAAAGUACCCAUUUCAUAAUCUAAUUGUUUUUUAGUUUGCUGCCAGCCAUCCCUGAGUAAUGCAUUCACUUCUGAACCCCAAACACACUGAAACAAAAAUUCACACACAUGAACUACAACUCCGCUAUGUAACAAGAAUUAAAAGCAUCUCAAAACAAAAUGGCAAACUAUAAGAGCACUGUAAAAGUAAAAUUGCAAGAAAUCUAAUACUUGGAGGGCAAGUACUAAUCAGACGAAAAUGAAAGAUUGAACUACUUCGCGUGGAACUGUGCCUUGGUUUUUUCCCAUGCUUACAGGAAGCUUUGCACUGAGCCCUUAUAGCCCAAAUUUUCUCUGAAGGAAAAAAAAACACAAUUUUGAAAUAAGAUUUUCAUAUUAUACCUUAAAGAGAAGAAUUAGACAACAAAAAAGAGAAGAAUUAGACAACAAAAAAGAGAAGAAUGAGUACUAUUCAUCAUAUAUUGUUAGAGUAUGUGGUCCUCUGGUCCAAUGGUCCUGCAGCCAUAUUUACUUUAUAACUCUUUCUUUUAGUCUUAAAAACAUCUUGGAUCUCAAAUUAACAUGUUAGCUAUGCGUUAGAACAUAUUGGGUUCAAUCCAUUGUCUUGAAUAUCACCCCCAGUCACAGCUGUCUCUUCGGGGCAUACAGAAGGCCUGAGAGGCAUUUGCAGACAUUCAAUAUCUGCUCCAAGCAUUUCGACAACUUUGGACAACGAAGGGCAAUCACUUGGUUUCAUUUGAAUACACACAAGGCGGUUAUAACCAUCUUUCUUAUCACUUUCUUUUCAUCCUCUGUAACAUUGUCUAUUUCCAAGUCAUUUCCCACAAUAUAUUGAUCAUAUACCCAUAACGGGAAAUAGAUUUGGCUUGGAUGCUCUACCGUUGCAUUCAAAUUCUUCCUUCUGCUUGCCAUUUCCAUCAACAACAUUCCAAAACUAUAGACAUCGGCCUUGUAUGAGACACCUCUAAUAUUUUUGUAGAACAACUCAGGAGCAAUAUAUCUCAUUGUACCCCGUGCUGCCGUCAAAGAGACAAUGCUAUUAUCUACUGGAUACAAUUUUGCAAGCCCAAAGUCAGAAACCUUUGUGUUUGCACUCAAAAUAUACCCAUUUUUACUUAUUUGGGCAAUUUGGGUAAAAUAUGGUAUUUGAAGGAUUAAUAUGCAAGAAAACUAACUUGGAAAGAUAUUUGGCUGCAAGUGGGGGGGGUUUGGCACUAUAAUAUUGUUUUUCCCAUUUGUUUAGGUGGUGGAGGUUUGUCAAGCCUUUGUUUAAUCAAGAUACAUGCAUGUAUUGCAAGUGGAUGGGAGAGCUUUCGGGCAAGAACGUGUAGUGAAAGAAGCUAGUUUGCUUCUUUUAAUUAUUUUAUUGCAAGUGGGAAAAUACAUGUGGUGGAGAUGCAACUUGCUUCUUUUUUAAUUGUUAGUUUAUUACAAGUGGGGAAACAUGUGCUAAAAACAUGUGGUGGAGAUGCAAGUUUCCCUUUUAAUAUUGUUUCUACAUGCAAGUUGGCAAAUGCAAAUGCAAGCUGCCCAAGCUUCUUUCGGGCAGGUACAAAGAUCUUAGCAAGGGGGCUCUUCCAGACCUCUAUAUAAAGAAGCAGAUGGAGAAGGAUUAUGGACACUCAAAACAACCAAUCAAAACUCUACUCAAAUUAGCUCAUCAGCUUCCUUGUAGACAUUUAUUUUUAGCCAAGCAUCCUUUGCUUUUCUUGUUUAUUAGCUCUGCUACUCACUUGUAGUAUCGAUCUUAUUUGUAGCUUUUAUGUACAACCCUCUUUCAGUCAUUUAAUCUACAAGCAAUCUGCAAUAUUAGUCACUUUCCUCUGUCAUUUAUAUUUCCAAGCAACCUUGUCAUUUACAUAUUGUUCUAUCUCUCCAUAUAAGUAAAGUCCUUAUUUUUAAGGCAAACAAAGAACCUUAAUUUGAGUAACUCUCACUCAAUGGCACAAUCUCUUGGUUCGAAGUCAAUCUCAGGCGCAACCUCAAUCAUUCAGAAUCUGUCUACUAACGGUAUCUAGUAGUGGCAUGCCCGCACCCCACCAAUCUCGUAUGUGAAGUAAAUCCCCGGCUUGCCCGCAAGGCGCCAUGGCGAAUUUAGGGAGCAAACAUAUUUUGGCACACCCGGUGGGAUACCUUAAAUAGAGUUAUAUUAUGAGCAAUCCUUAUGUUCAUGAUUUUUCUCAAUAUGCUUUUUCGGAGUAUGAGGAGGAUGACGGUGUUGAAGAGCGCCCAAGCUAUGGCUAUCACAUAGAGCCAACCUAUGAGUUGUCAACUUAUGGGUACAUGGCUGAAAAGUACUCAAGUCCCAUGGAACAUGAUUGUCGGCCAACUAAUGGCCAUCAAAUAAAUAAUAAUCUUGAAGAUUGGCCAACUUAUGGCUAUGAUGAAGGUUAUUAUUCUUUUGAAGACAAUCAUAUUCAUGAAUACUAUGAUAGGCCAACAAAUGGCUUUGAGUAUCAAAAUGCUUCCAAUGAGUACAUAGAGCCAAUAUAUGAGAUACCAACUCAUGAUCAUCCAGAUGAAAAGCUCUACAAAGAGGAUGUGGGCAAAUUAGAGAAGGUGUCCAAACUCCAUGUGGCAAGCAUCGAUAUGGUGAAGAGGUGACCAAGUGUUUUAGAAAGGUGGAGGAAAGCUAUACCACUUUUGGAGAAACUUUGAGAAAGUUGAUAGAUCAAAUGUGUCAAAUCCCCUCUACAAAGCACACUCACCCUACUACAACCAAGGAAGAACAAAUCAUACACGUUGAUGAAGGCCAAACAAUGGCCCCACCCAAUGAAAAAUCCAUGAAAAUGGAUAUGGUUGUAGAAGGCCAAGCCGACAUAUUGAAACCGAUAACGGCUAAGAUGGAGCUUAUGGCUAUUGUAGGCCAAACACCAACGCUCGGGGGGCUCGAACUCACACCUCAUGUGGAGCCCGAAGAAGAAGAAAAUAUUUCCCACUCUCUUCUCCGCCAACACAAGCAUGUCAUCCAUACCAAGAUCUCAAGAAGGGCAAAGCUUGGGAUCAAACAUAAAUGGCCACCUCCUAUUGUUUCCAAGCUAUAUGGUAUGGCUAAUUUAAAUGGUGGAUCUAAUCUCUCUACACUCAAUUUUAAAAAGAGAAAAAGAUUUGAGUGUUAAGAGAUAUCUGGGCAAUCAAGGGGCUUAACCAAUAUGCCCAAGUGGGGCUUAUUUUGUUGUUUCCUCUUUUGCCUGAAGUUGAACUCCCAGUCUUCCUUUUCUUCUUUCCUUCUCUCUUUCCUUUUCUUUCUCUCCUGUUUCCUUUUGCCCGAAAGUAGGUGCCAAAUCCCUCCUCUAUUCCUUUUUCUUUAUUUCUUUCUCUUUGUCUUAUCUUGUCUUUCACUUUUCCCAAAAGGGCUAUAUAUAUACAGAGAGCUUAAGGGGAGGGAUCCCCAUUUUUUGAAAAAAAUGGGGAUUAGGUGUGGGGCCCACUUCACAUUGAACUUCAACAAUCCGAACCGUCUAUUUUGUUAGUCUCGAUUCAUAGAUCAUCCUUGCAAAAAUUCAAUUCAAUCCGAAACCAUUUGCCUAUUUAAUUAUCAAGAUCAAAUUUCAUUUUUUCUUAUAUAACAAAGUAUUCGUUUAUUUCAUUGAACCCAAUUAGAUGUCUUAAACAUUUCCAAUUUAGCUAAUAUUUUGCAAGGAUGAUCUAUGAAUCGAGACUAACAAAAUAGAUAGUUCGGAUCGUUGAAAUUCGAUGUGAAGUGGGCCCCACACCUAAUCCCUAUUUUUUUCAAAAAAUGGGGAUCCCUCCCCUUAAGCUCUAUAUAUAUAUAUAUAUAUAUAUAUAUAUAUAUUAUAUGUGAAAAGAGGGGAAUGGAAGUACUUUGCCCGAGUGGGCUUGUUAUAUAUAUUAUUUUAUAUAUUAUAUUAUAUUAUAGUUUUGAAAGUCAUUCAAAAAAAAAAAAAAAAAAAAAUCUGAGCAGUUUGCCCGAUUCCCUUUUCUUCAAAAUUUGCCCAAAUUGGUUCUUUCUUUUACUUUGGUCUGUGUUACCCGAGAGGGCUUUGUCCCUUUUUGUUUCUCUUGCUUUGGUUGCCUGACAGUCUUCCCUUUUAUUUGUUCUUUCACUUUUUCCAGCCAACCCAACAGGGCCUUUAAUUUCCUUUUUCUGUUUGCCCGAAAGGGCUCUGUUUUUUUGUGUGUUUCUUGUGCUGUUACAAAGAAAAAGAUAUAAAAAUUAAAAAUUCCAAAAAUCACAAAAACAUUUUGCUUUCUUGCUUUUGUUUUUUCUUGCUUUCUUUCCUUUUUUGUUUUCUUGCUGGGGAACUUUACAGAAAAUAUCAAAAAGUUGGGCAGCUUGUGAGUAGCCAUUUUUACCUUUCUUUCCACUUUUCUCUUAUCCAAUGAGUGUAUUUAGCCCGAACCCAAAAGUUGAAAUUAGAAAACCAUCUAGUGGCUGUACCCAAAUUCAUGGAAUGAGGAGUUUCAUAAAAAGCCGAAUCUAUGGCUUUCUUGCUGAAAAGCAUGUCAUCUGUGUCUCAAUGGCUAUUGCAAGAAAGCAUGGGGCUAUCUUGCCCAACUGGUGGUGCCCGAUGGAACCAUAACCAUGCCUGACGGUAAUGACGUCUUCCCUACUCACCACCAACAGACUCUGCAUGUCUCCCUAACGCUCACCAGUUCCUACAACCAAGGGUCGGGCUACUUUGACGACUACCAUUAGAGGCUACAGUAAGAGCUUUUGAUGUGGCUACUAUUAAUCACUGGAGACUAGUUUUCAUGGGUAAGAAAAUAGAAAAAUGGAGCUGCAUCUAAAUGUGAAAUCCGAAAGCUGGAGGAAGAUGACAGAAAAUUAUGUUGCUGUUGCCCGAGGAUGCUACAAUCUUGCCCGAUGAGCAUGACAUCUUCUCUGUUGCAAUUUGUUUAGAUGUUGUCAAUCAUAUAUGGGGCCCCAUGCUUGAUCUGGCAAACGUAUUUGAAGUGUUCAUGCCACUACAACCAGCAAUAAAUCAAGACCAGAUCUCUGAAGGAUUCUGCAGAUCGGUCGGUUCACUCAGACAUAACCACCUCCCUCCGAGCGGAACAAAAGCAACAGUGCAAAGUAGACAGCAUUACCUUGAUUUGGGAAGCAGAAUUCUGAACCUCAAGCAGGAUCUCUUGAUACGCAGGAGUUGGAGUAAGGAAACAAUGGCAGCCAACAUAAUAGCCGCAGCUUCGAAGCCAGACCUACCCGGCCUUCGGUCGUCAUCUUUAACCCCUUGGAGCUUCACCACUGGUUGAAGGAAGUAUGCAGAAAUUUACCUUUGCAGACGGAGCUUGGUUUACAUUUGCCCAGUUAAAAAGGAGGAGGAAGGGAUUGGAUCUCCAACAAACACUAAUAGCUUUCCGUUCUUUCUGCAACAAUCAAUUUUCAUGAUCCGUGGACUUGGGUUAUUUUCUUCACGCACGCACAAGGCAUACCCUUUCAUAGCUCCAGGAAAAAUCACCACUCUCUUCUCAUUUGACCAGCAGCUCUCUCUCUCUCUCUCAGACUUGGAUUAUGGUUGCCGCACCUUGAUCUUUAAGUGAUACCUCGAACAGAGAAACAACUUCUCUUUUGGAGAAGAGGAAAGGCUAGAGAACGACCCACGUUCAUCUUUUUCUCUCUAUCUCUCUCUCUCUCUAUCUAUCUCUUUCUUUUUCCUUUUCUUUUUCUUUUCUCUUGCUUUCUGUUCCUUUUCUUUUUCUUUUCUCUUGCUUUCUGUUCCUUGUCCCUUUCUCAAGGUAUGUCCUUCACUUGGCCCGAAAGGGCAGCAUACUAUAUAUAUUAUAGUAUGUGGCCUAAGAAAGAAAGUCUAGUCCUUUUUAUUAUUUCUUUUCCUCUUAUCUUUUUGUCUCUCUCUCUUUCUUUUCCUUCCUUUCUCUUUCUUCCUGUCUAUUUUUUCUUUUUGUUUUGAGUUGCCCGAAAGGGCUUUAUAUAUAUAUAUAUAUAUAUAUUAUAUUUGAAAAAGGCAAAAAGAAAAAGAUAAAAAAUAAUAGUUGCCAAAGUUUAUUUAUGUUUUAUCCUUCUUUUCCAGUUGUCCGACUUCGGGCAUUUUCAGUUUAUUAUCUAUGUAACCAGUGAAGAUGCUCUUAUGUUUUUUGGUAUCAACAAGAAGGAUGCACAAGUCAGACAACAUUUUUUUCCAAUGCUAGUUGCACUACCAAUUGCCUUGCUCCUCUUGCCAAAGUUUAUCAACGACGGCAGGACCGAAGAGGUAGACGUGCCUCUUCCUUCGACAUCAUUCUUGGCAGCAUUAGAGUUGUAAGUUUCACAAACUUUGCUCAAAUUUGUAAAACUUGGGGGGCACUGUUUGCACUCAAAAUAUGCCAAUUUUUACUUAUUUGGGCAAUUUGGGUAAAAUAUGGUAUUUGAAGGAUUAAUAUGCAAGAAAACUAACUUGGAAAAAUAUUUGGCUGCAAGUGGGGGGGGGGUUGGCACUAUAAUAUUGUUUUUCCCAUUUGUUUGGGUGGUGGAGGUUUGUCAAGCUUUUGUUUAAUCAAGAUACAUGCAUGUAUUGCAAGUGGAUGGAAGAGCUUUCGGGCAAGAAUGUGUAGUGAAAGAAGCUAGUUUGCUUCUUUUAAUUAUUUUAUUGCAAGUGGGAAAAUACAUGUGGUGGAGAUGCAACUUGCUUCUUUUUUAAUUGUUAGUUUAUUACAAGUGGGGAAACAUGUGCUAAAAACAUGUGGUGGAGAUGCAAAUUUCCCUUUUAAUAUUGUUUCUACAUGCAAGUUGGCAAAUGCAAAUGCAAGCUGCCCAAGCUUCUUUCGGGCAGGUACAAAGAUCUUAGCAAGGGGGCUCUUCCAGACCUCUAUAUAAAGAAGCAGAUGGAGAAGGAUUAUGGACACUCAAAACAACCAAUCAAAACUCUACUCAAAUUAGCUCAUCAGCUUCCUUGUAGACAUUUAUUUUUAGCCAAGCAUCCUUUGCUUUUCUUGUUUAUUAGCUCUGCUACUCACUUGUAGCAUCGAUCUUAUUUGUAGCUUUUAUGUACAACCCUCUUUCAGUCAUUUAAUCUACAAGCAAUCUGCAAUAUUAGUCACUUUCCUCUGUCAUUUAUAUUUCCAAGCAACCUUGUCAUUUACAUAUUGUUCUAUCUCUCCAUAUAAGUAAAGUCCUUAUUUUUAAGGCAAACAAAGAACCUUAAUUUGAGUAACUCCCACUCAAUGACACAAUCUCUUGGUUCGAAGUCAAUCUCAGGCGCAACCUCAAUCAUUUAGAAUCCGUUUACUUGCGGCAUCUAGUAGUGGCACGCCCGCACCCCACCAAUCUCGUAUGUGAAGUAAAUCCCCGGCUUGCCCACAAGGCGCCAUGGCGGAUUUAGGGAGCAAACACUUUGCUUUAAAGUUCUCAUCAAGAAGGAUGUUAUGAGGCUUGAUGUCGAAAUGUAGAAUUUGCAUUUUGCAACCUUGAUGUAGAUAUUGUUGACUUUUGUAUUUUAGGUAGGAUCCCUAAUUGAUAUGUAAUCCCAUGUAAUCACUUGUAAUUAGUUUUUCUUUCCUUUUAUGUUAGGGUUGUACACCUAUAAGUUCCUCUUAUUGAGAAGAAUAUAUCAUCAUUCAAAGCAUUCUCUUCUUGGCACCAGAGCCUAGGUUUUGAAAAGAAAAAAAAAAGAAAAGAAAGAGGAGACGAGAUCGUGCUCUGUACGGAAAACCAUAACUACCAGCCGCACAGCCAGUUGUGCAGCGCCGUCCGACCAGCAAGCGACGCCGUCGUUUCUGACCCGAGAACCCGAACUACCCGCCAUGCACCCAGGUGUGCAGUGUGCCGAUCAACCAGCGAGCGACGCCGUCGUUGCUGAUCCGAGUUCACCGAGCCACUCCCUGCAUCUACCACCACGAACCGAGAUUCAACCCACUGCCUGAAAUUUGUCCCAGAUUUCGGCCUGUGUAUCUGUUUUGCGUGCCCAGAUUCGAUUGAACCGAGUGCACCCACUUCACAAUGGCUCCCUGUGCUUGUCCUUUUUCAAAUGGAUUUGACCGAACCGGACAUGAGAGUAGGACCGAUCGAGACCAGUUCAAGACUUGUGAUCCCCACUGUAACAAGUCGUGUACCUCGAUUGUCGAAUCGAAAAUAGAUUCUAAUAUAGGUAACAAAGGUAAGGCUUUAAAAGUUUCUGCAUCUGUUACGAAUAAUACAUGGAUAAUUGAUUCCGGUGCUACUGAACAUAUGACUUGUGAAUCUAGGCAGGUACAAAUCCUAAAACCACCCACCAAAACUGUUGUGAGUGUUGCCAACGGUAAUGUUGUUCUCAUUAUUGGAGAAGGCACUGUCUCCCUGUCAAAUACCCUUAGUCUUGAUACCGUGCUUGUUGUUCCUUCUCUUGACCAUAAUUUAUUAUCUGUUGCUCAAAUAACUGUCGCCCUGCAUUGUCUUGUGAUUUUUUGGCCUUCCUUUUGUGUUUUUAAGGACAUUCGGACUCACAAGACGAUUGGUUAUGGUAUUAGGAAGGGGAAGCUCUAUUACUUGGAGCUGACAUCAAACAGUUUUCGAAUGUUGACUCACGCUCUUGCAGUGGACGGAAAUUCGGGGGAUAGGAAUAAAGCUUCGGAGGUUUGGUUGUGGCAUCGUCGACUUGGACAUGCUUCUUUCGGCUAUCUACGGAGGUUGUUUCCUAGCCUAUUUGUUAAGCAUGAUGUUUCUAGCUUUAAAUGUGGUGUUUGUGAACUAGCUAAAAGUCAUCGUGCUUCGUUUCCAUCCAGUUUGAAUAAAAGUUCUGUUCCAUUUAUGAUAAUUCAUUCUGAUGUUUGGGGUCCAUCUAAAACUGCUACAUUUGGUGGUGCUCAUUGGUUCGUUACUUUUAUUGAUGAUUGCACACGUAUGACUUGGGUUUGUUUGAUGAAAUCCAAAGGUGAAGUUACUUCUUUGUUUCAACAGUUUUACAAAAUGGUACAAGUACAAUAUAAGUCACAAAUACAGGUUCUCAGGAGUGAUAAUGGUGGCGAAUAUGUUAACUCUGAACUUCGUGCCUUUCUUGAUCAUCAUGGGAUUGUUCAUCAAACUACAUGUCCAUAUACUCCACAACAAAAUGGGGCUGCCGAAUGCAAGAACCGUCAGCUUCUGGAGGUUGUUCGUGCUUCUUUACUCGAGGCUCGUCUCCCGUUAUCCUAUUGGGGAGAAGCUCUCACCUCAGCUGCGUAUCUCAUUAAUCGUGUUCCAUCCCGAUCGGUUGAUUUUCAGACACCCCUUCAGGCAUUUUCUUUACAUGUUGAUGCUCCUGCAUUCCCUAAUCUUCCACCUCAUGUGUUUGGAUGUGUGGCCUUCGUUCAUCUUCAUAAACAACAGCGAAGUAAGCUUGAACCUCGAGCCUUACGAUGUGUGUUUGUGGGGUAUGCAUCAAGGCAGAAAGGAUACCGUUGUUAUCACCCACCGACGAAUAAGUUGUUUGUCACUAUGGAUGUUGCGUUUCAUGAGAAUGAUAUGUACUUUGCCAAUCUCGAGUCUUCACUUCAGGGGGAGAAUCAGAAAGAAGUUCAAACUCUUGAUUAUACUAUUCCAGAUAUAGAUAGAGUGAAUGAUUUGGAUUUAAGUGGUGAUGUCUUGGAAAUAAGUGGUGAUCAUUCACACGAAAAUAAUGAUGUGAAUGAAUUGGAAUUAAGUGGUAAUGUCUUGGAGACAAGUGGUGAUCAUUCACAUGGAAACAAUGUUGAAAACCUUGAAAGGGAUGAGUCGACAUCGCCAGAUAACUCACUGCCUGAUAGCUCACUGCCAGUUUCCUCACCACCGGACAACCCUGUGUCGCCAGCUACCUCACAGUCGAUCUUGAGUCCCAAUAACCAUAAUCAAUCGUCUUCGAUCCCGGAUGCACCACCACCACGUCGUCUCCCUGAUCGCAUCAACCGAGGUAUUCUUAAACUUACUUAUGAAGCCGACCCUAAAUGCAAAACUAGGUAUCCGGUGAGUAAGCCCAACCCUGAGUCUAAUGUGUUAUACCCGUUAAGUAAUUAUGUGUCUACCAGUCACCUGUCAGAAUCAAAUAAGUCAUUUGUGCAUCAAUUAUCUACUGUAUCUAUUCCUAACAGUGUGUAAGAGGCUUUAACUGAUCCACGUUGGCAAGUAGCAAUGAAUGAAGAGUUGAAGUCUUUGAAGAAGAAUGCUACCUGGGAGAUCACAGAUUUGCCAGCUGGCAAGAAACCUGUGGGAUGCAAAUAGGUCUAUACUGUGAAAUACAAAGCAGAUGGGACGGUGGAUCGUUUCAAGGCAAGACUGGUAGCAAAAGGAUAUACUCAAAAAUAUGGAAUCGACUACACAGAUACAUUUGCAGGAGUAGCCAAGAUCAACACAGUUCGUGUUUUGUUGUCCUUGGCUGCAAAUCUUAAUUGGCCUUUACAACAGUUCGAUGUGAAGAACGCCUUCUUGCAUGGAGACUUGACAGAAUAAAUUUAUAUGGAUCUUCCACCGGGAUGUAAUGCUCCAGAUAAAUACAAAAGAAAAGUGUGCAGAUUGAAGAAAUCUUUGUAUGUCUUGAAGCAGUCCCCUCGAGCAUGGUUUGGAAGAUUCACAAAAUCUAUGAAAGCAUUUGGUUACAGACAAAGUAACUCUGAUCAUACUUUGUUCCUGAAAAGACAGAAUGGGAAGCUUACUGCACUUAUUGUGUAUGUAGACGAUAUGGUGGUAACAGGUAAUGAUCCGGAAGAACGUGCGGCCUUGCAAAGAUACCUGUCUACAGAAUUUGAAAUGAAUGACCUUGGAUCCCUGAAAUAUUUUUUAGGGAUUGAGGUGUCGAGAAGCAGUUCUGGAAUUUUCUUGUCUCAGAGGAAGUAUAUUAUUGAUUUGUUGCACGAAACUGACAUGUCAGCUUGUCAGCCAGUAGCUACACCAUUAGAAGAAGGAUUGAAGCUUAGUGUUGAUCCUAAUCAAGUACCAAUUGACAAAGGAAGAUACCAAAGGUUAGUAGGCCGUUUGAUGUAUUUGGCACACACAAGACUGGACCUUGCUUAUGCCUUGAGUGUAGUGAGUAAAUACAUGCAUGAUCCUGGAGAACAACAUAUGAAUGCCGUGACGAGAAUAUUGCGAUAUUUGAAGGGAAGUCCGGGCAAAGGAAUUUUGUUUAAGAGGAAUAAUCACUUUAGUGUUGAAGGUUAUACUGAUGCAGACUGGGCAGGUUCCAUUGAUGAUAGACGCUCAACAUCAGGUUACUUUACGUUUGUUGGGGGUAACUUGGUUACAUGGAGAAGUAAGAAACAGAAUGUGGUUGCCCGUUCCAGUGCAGAAGCAGAAUACAGAGGUAUGGCUUUGGGGAUUUGUGAAAUUUUGUGGCUUAAGCUUCUGUUAAGCGAUUUGGGUAUACAACAUGAUCAGCCCAUGAAAUUAUUUUGUGAUAAUAAAGAUGCUCGUGACAUUGCACAUAAUCCGGUACAACAUGAUAGAACAAAGCAUGUUGAAGUUGAUUGGUUCUUCAUCAAAGAAAAAUUGGAAGGGAAAAUAAUUGAAGUACCAGCGAUAAGAACAGAAGAUCAGUUGGCAGAUAUCCUCACAAAAGCUGUUUCGAGUCACAAGUUUUCAAGUUUCUUACACAAGUUAGGCAUGAUCGACAUAUAUUCACCAACUUGAGGGAGAGUGUUGACUUUUGUAUUUUAGGUAGGAUCCCUAAUUGAUAUGUAAUCCCAUGUAAUCACUUGUAAUUAGUUUUUCUUUCCUUUUAUGUUAGGGUUGUACACCUAUAAGUUCCUCUUAUUGAGAAGAAUAUAUCAUCAUUCAAAGCAUUCUCUUCUUAUAUUCGAUCCCUUGACUCCAAGAGAAAUCUUGUACAUAGUCUUGAUAGUUAAGGGAGACUUCCUUAUUUGGAAUAAAUGUAUUUAUCAAGAGAGUCAUUAGGUAUGAAGUCAUAUAUUAGAGCGCUCUUUGAUCCCUCGACACAAUAUCCAAAAAGUUGCACCACAUUGGCACGGUGAAUCCUUCCGAUUGUAGCUAUUUCGCUAAUGAAAUCUUGGCCAUCAGCUUUGGGCUUGCCCAAAACUUUAACUGCUACAAAUCGGCCACUGCGUAGCUUUCCUUUAAAUACAAAGCCAAAGGCACCUUCGCUCAACUUGUCCUUAAACCUGCAAGUCAUUUUCUUGAUGUUCGAGUAAGAGUACCUUAUAGGCAUGAAGUUAUUGCAUUGCAAAAAAUCUUCUAUUGUGCUAUACAUUGAUAAAUGUCUUUUGCGCCAUGUAGAUUAAAAAUGCAGUCACAACUACAACUCCAAAAACAAAUCUGGCUAGGAAAAAUAACCCUGCAUGCAUUGACAUUAGUAUGUUAGAUCCACUGUACUACUUUUUCUUCCCUUUCUUUCCAAAUUACUUUGUCUUUGAUGUAAUUAAAGAGAGAAUGGGAAAUCUACAUAUGCUGAUAAUACAAUCUCGUAUUAGUUCUUACCGAUGCAUAUGAGUAUAAACCAUCCACGUACUGCAACAUAAUUAAUCGACAAUGAGUUUCAAAAGUGCAUAAAGUGAAGAAAAAAAAAUUUGAAAAAAAUCAAAGGGUGCCUCUAUUGACACCCAAAUUUUAGUUAGUUUCACUCAACUAAAAAAAAAAUUCAUCGAACUUUUUAAUUUGCCUUCGAAAUUGAGUUCACCCAACCCACCAACCAGCAAGCACCACUCAACCAAAAAAUGAACAACACAAAGAGCUGGCAUCGACGCUGUCGAUGAAGGAGGGACAUGAGGAUGGUGUAGUUUCGUCUGGCGCGCGGUAGUGGUUUUGUCUGUUCAUUUUCUCUUUCUUUUGGUAGGUGGAGGCUGGUGUGGAUUUGGGCGAACUUAAAAAUGAGGGGAAACUAUGAAGUUUGACAAAAUGUUUUAGUUAGGUGAACUUAACUAAAAUUUGGGUGCUAAAAAAGGUACCCAAAAUCAAAAGGCUUUUGUUUACCCAAUGCUAUGUACAGGUUUGACUUUUGUUUAUAUUCUUGGAUCUGUUGCUUGGUUGUAUAAUUUGGAUGUGGUUUUGUUUCAAGAUAAUUUGUUCUUCGUUUCUUGAGGCUUUUGUGUGUAGAUUUGAAACCGUUUAGCUUUCAAGCCGUUUAUACUCAAGGUAAAUAAUUUCGUUUUUUUCUUUUUAACCUUUUUUGUAAGAAUUUUUUAUUUAAUUUUGUGAGAGUUGUGUUUUCUAUAGUAUGAAAAUUGAAUCUUUGUGAUCUUAUAUCCUUAGAUAUGUUGCUUGGUUAUAUGAUUUGGCUGUGUGCAUUGUUUCAGGACAAUUUGUUCUUCGUUUUUGGGGCUUCUGUGCGUAGUUUUGAAGCCUUUUGUAGUCAACAUAAAUAAUUUUAUUUUUCUUUGUUUCUAGUCUUCUUUGUAAGAAUUUCUUAGUUAAUAUUUUGAGAAUUAUGUUUACUAUAGUAUGAAAACUGAAUCUUUGUGAUCUUCUAAGUGAUGUAACGUCAUUGCACCAUGUAUGACUGCCAUUAUCGAACAUGAAAAGCUUUUUUAUUUCUGUACUCCGUCCUUUCAUACGAUCUGCCUCAAAAAUGGUUUCAUUACAAGUUCUAACAUGAUUUUUGCGAUGUCUUAUGAAAAAACAAUGUCCACCAAAACAAUAGGAAAACGUCGCCGUCUGCUCUUCUUGGCUGAGCUUCAUGACUGGCCGAAUUCCCCUAUUCCCUUCCUCUUAUACUUUUUUGUAUUCGUUCACCAAAACAAUAGGAAAACGUCGCCGUCCGUUUGAUUGACGGCGAAAGAAAAAGACAGAGAAUAAAAGCCUGACGGAAUAUUGCGAUUUGAGAAAAAAAAGAAAGAACCACGUUGACAUAAUAUACUCACAAUAGGUGUACAAGGUUAAUAAAGCUUUACUGUGGUUCCAUUUUUUUGCAUACUUCAAAGGCUCUGAAUUGCUAAUGGAAUUAGCCUUUAGUUUUAGGAAGAAACUUGGAACCCCCUCCGUCCGUUCUAUCCCCAAUGGAAUUAACACUUGGAUAGUACUAUGACAAUGUGUCAUUAUUUGAUGCAUACCUGUAUAAAUUUAGGCUAAGUGUUUUAUACACAAAUUGGUACAGAUUAAGCUUCUGGGAGCAAAAUCAUAUACGGGAGAGCUAACUAUACAAUGAUACAUUCUUAUCUGUUAAUUAUCUUUGGUUACCAGCUAUCCAUGUUGCUGACAUAUUAAAUUACACAACAUCUAUUGUAAUUUAUGUCUUAUUAGUAACAUAAUGAUCUGGUUUCAAUUUGCUACAGGCAUUAUUUCCUGACAAUAGCUAUGGUUUUGAUUAUAGCUGUGACUGAAAAAUUAUUCCGAAACUAACAUUUGAGGAAUUCAAGGUUUGUUAGUUAAUUUGUACAUCAGAAUACCAUGACAAACUGUGAAGUUGUAAUUGUUGACCUUACAAUGUAUCUUUUUUGGUUUGGAGCAUUAGACUUAUAUGUGCUACUUUCACUUCAUGAAGGCUAACUCUUUAUUUUAGGCCUUAGAAUAUAAUUUCUUGGAGAAUCUACAUUGUUGUUGAUAAUUUUUUGAACAAUAUUAUCCCCAAAAUUUCUCCGCAUGUUACCCUCAACGUAGACAUCAUAUAACCAUCAUUGAACUUCUGAACCAAAAAUUUGAGUUUUGUGAUUAUAACUAAACAUCUAUAAACACAUGAUACAGAUUGAGACGAACGUCAAAUUUAAAAUGGCAUUAAUCAGGACAGCUGCAAACUCUGAUUUGCGGCCUUUGAAAUGGAGAAGUUACUUCUUGCUUCACUUCAGCAGCAUAGUCCAGCUUCUAAAUUCAGUUCUCAGGUAUGAGGUUUCUCAGUUACCUCUUUUUUGUAAUAAAACAUUUGACCAGUACUUGCCAGGAUAUCCAAUUAAUUAGGUCAGUUUUUGUCAGCCGUAAUAAUUUGUUUUUGCAACUUUAUAUGUGUCUCUGUCUCCAAAUGAUGAUCUCUUAAUUUGCUUCUAUAGCUUUUGUAAUAUGAUGAUCUCUUAAUUUGCUUUUGCAUAUCUUCUUUGCUUCCUCUGCUAGCUCUAUAUGAGAUUCCAUCUCCAAAUAAUUAUUAUUAUUUCCUAUUUUUACAGGAAGCAAAUCAUUGAAUACACAUGGAAAAUUAAAAGGGUUUUAGUUUUUGGAUUAGUUUAAAUUUUUUGUUUGUUAUUGCUUGUAUUGCUGUUAAAUAUUUGAUGGGUAGUUUGAAAUGGGGAACUUGGUUGAUCGAGUAUUAACUUUUAUUAAAUUAAUAUUCUUAUUCAAUAUUGAAUUAAGACUCCUCUUAUUAAAUUAAGACUCUUAAGGCUCUAAUCUAAUUUUCAUGCUCAACAUCUCCUCUAUCUUUCUACAAUUGGUAAAACUUUUGUAUUAUUAUUCCAAUUUUGGUUACUGGGUUGUGGAAUUUUCCAUUUUUUUCUGGGUAAUCAAUACUAUAUAUAUGCAUGAAAAGUAUAAACAAUAUUUUGGGUCAAAUUUAGUUGUUUAAUUUUUUAUUUUUUUUGUGACAGUGAGAUUAUGGUAGGAUUUCGUUUAGAUUCCGUGGCCCAAUGGGAGUCUCUGCUUUGAUAAGAUUGGGGUUGAUGCCAAGAAAGCCUUUCUACUGUGGACGCCGCAGCCGCCUAGCGCUGUUUUCCAAAAUCCUCUCUCACUUGGGUAAGCAAUUACGACUUUUUGGUUCAGUUUUUAUUAUGCCCAAUUUUGUAUUUAAACUGAUUUGGGGUUACUGAAAUAGGCAUGCUUGAUGAGUGCUGCAGAGCUGCCAUCCCUGAAUCAGAAGAUGUUCAGAAGGAAGAAGGAAGAACAAGAAGAAAAAGAAGAAGAAAGUCGUGGAAUAUCAAAAGCUUUUAGCUUUGUGAAGGUAUGCUUUUUCCCAACUCAUCUCUUGCUUUUGUUGCACUGAAUUGGUAGAUUGGGUUCAAAAUAUAUAUAUAUGUGAUUUUUUGUGUAACUAUUCUUUACAUAAUUACCAAUUGGAGGUGAUUUGAGAUCAUGUAACAUUUCCUCGCCAGAACCGAAGAUUGCCGUCGCUCAAAGCUGCGUUUCAUGAAACAAGUUCAUCUCCUGCCAAUUUUGUGUACCCACUUUUUAUUCAUGAGGGUUGGUGCUUGCUUGCAACAUAAUUUGGUGCUAUUAAGUUUUGCGGUUUUACAAUCUGUUCAUGCUUAAACCUCUUUCAAAUUUUCAUUUCUGUGUAAAUCUAGCAGGUAGGUCGACACACCUAUCUGGGCAAUGUCGGGAUGUCUAGGCUUGGGUGGAGACAUGGACUUAUGAAAGAGGUGAAGUAGCUUAGUUCGAUCUCAUUAGCUCUUAUCUAAAAAGUUCUAUUGAUUUUAUAAUCAAAGAUACAUAUAUUAUAGAAACAUAGGGUAUAUCAUUAAUUUCUUGAUGUAAACAAUUAUAACUUGAGCAACCAUUUAAAGUAUUUUGGUAAUCAGCAUACUUAAACUUAAAUGUGAUAUAUCCGUUUAGUUUUUUUUUUUAUACAGUGAUAAUACUCAAGUAUAAUUUACAUCAUAUAUCUUUUGAAGUACAUGAAACUAUGAAGAAAAUGAUAAACCAAAUCCCAUUCCAUCUCCGUUUGCUACUGCACAAUCACAAUCCAAUUCCAACAUGGAAUCCUCAGACGACAUGCCUACUGCAGAACAAGUUUCAUCUUGACUUAACUUCUAUUUAGUCCACUUCUUGUUUAGAUUGUAAUCCUAGUUCUACGUGUGUUUGUAUAGUACUCCUAUAAAUAUCAAUGAACAUCGCUCACUCUAAUUAAGAGUUGAGAUUCUGCAAAUCAUAUUUACUAUCUUUCAUGGUAUCACGAGCCAGGGUCUAACGACAACAGUUCAUGUUAUAAUUUUUUUCUCUUCUGCAGAUCCUAAACUAUGGCAUCUUCUUCCUCCUCCGCUGCUCCCUCCGUCUCAAAUUUUCUUACGAUUAAGCUCGACCGCAACAACUACCCUCUUUGGCGUGCUCAAUUUCUUCCCUUGCUGCGCAGCCGCAACUUACUCUCUUAUGUUACUGGCGAAACUCAAUGCCCCUCUGCCUUUCUUCUUGAUGACAAUGGUAAAUUCACAGACAAAGUCAAUCCAUUAUAUAAUGAAUGGAUCCAGACUGACGAGAUGAUCCUAUCUUGGAUUACGAGUUCUCUUACUCCCAAGGUUCUUGCUACGAUCGUCAACAAAAUUGAUAAAGCCUCUGCUUGGUCGUCAAACCCGAAUUAAUCUGAUUAUGGGGGUUUUGUUUUAUAUCAAUAUAUUGCAGCAGAAGUCGCACUUUGAAGAGUUCGUGCUGCACAGAAAGAUGAUGAAAUGCUACCUGUUGAGUCUAUCAUUGCUCCAUUGGAGACAGAGCUGAAGCUUGCUGCAGGAGUUAUACAUUUGUUAUGCAAUAUGACCCCUUUAAUUUUAUUUUAAAACUGAUACAAAAAUACUACAAAAAUUUAUGUAGUAUUUUUGUAUCAGUUUUGAGUGUCUAUUUUGGCUUCCAUAUUUCGUCUGUACAUGUGAGAGGUAUAGUGUUCAAUAUGUAUUUGGUUUCUAUAUUGUUAAUGGAUCUUCUUUUUUUUCUUUUUUUUUCUUUUUUUUUAAAGAUAACCAAGUUGCAGGAUGACAGCAGAACACUUGAUCUGCAGGUAAACCUUCAAUUUCCAUAUGAAGUUUGCAUGUUCGUUGUUUCUGGAAUUUGAGUUUUUAUUAUUUAUCAAUUCUAUCACAUAGAUUACGAUUUCACAUAUGGGAUUAUUAAUGGCAAUUAGAUGAUAGAAGAAUUGGGAUUGGAAGAAGAUAUUGAGUUGUUUAUUUAUGGGGAUUAGAAAAUGAUUAUCAUACGAGUGAUAUUUAUUUUUGUGUGGAUUGUUAAUAUAUAAAACUAUAAGCUUUUGAGAUUGGGAGACAAAACCCACACAUUCAAAUCAGACAAAAUAAAUAAAAAAUUUAACUGACUUAAAGAUCAAACUCCAAAAGGGUAUUAAAAACAAGGCUUAUUUGAUCCAUUGAGUGUGAAAGUUUUGAGCUUUGAAGAAGCAGAGGAGGAGAGUUGUUAACCAAGCUGCAUUAUCCAUGUAUUAGGAUGUUGAAGGUAGGCAGGAAAAUUACUUUUUGACGCCAUAUCCAGAGGAGCAUAACGACAGGCCUGCAUUUUUGCAGCAAUGACCAAAACAAGUAGAAGUGAAGGCUUGACUGUUUGGGUAUUCAUCCUAAACCUAAUUAUUCUUAUUUAGGUUUAGGAUAAAUGAUUGAGUGUGUCUCGAUGAUUGUAUUACUAUGUUUGAUGAAUGAUUUGAGGAGUUGGAAAUGGUUUAUUGCUUAUCUUUUUUUUAGGUGUGUACUUUGGUUAUUUCCGAGCUUUUCAUGACUUUUGAUACCUAAUAGAGAAUAUGGAAACCCCAACUUUAAUUUUAUGAAUUGGUUUUGGUGCCUAAAAUGAAAUCUAGCAUAGUGAAAUCUUGCAUAAUGAAAUUAUGACAAAUUUCCCUUCAUCUUUAGAUUUUCAUUUAAUUCAAUUCGUAUGCAAUUUAGGGUUAUUCAAUUCAUGAGUGAUCAAAUUAUGUUUUUAAUUCCUUCUUUUGAUUUACAGUUCAACAUUGUCGUACAAAAUGAAAAAGGCGCCAGUAACAGAGUUAUGGAUUUGGAUGCCUUUAGUGGAAUAAAACUGAAUUUUUUAACUUUGUAUAGUUGUAAACAUAAAAUACUCCAUGAGAUAGACUCAUAGCUUUUGAAAACAAUCCUUGAGGAUGGCAUAACAACAUCUCCAACUUUUGUCAUGUAAUGUAUGAAUGUCAAUAGCACUUCGUAAACAUAUGGAUGUAAUAUAUGUAUAUAAACACUCUUUAGCAUGUAUAUUUUUCAAAACUUUCUACAUCUUCAACAAUGUUUCAAUGAUUUCUUGAUGUAAACAAUGAUAAUUUGAAGAACCAUUUAAAGUAUUUUGGUAAUCAGCAUACUUAAGCUUAAAUGUGAUAUAUCCGUUUAUUAUUUUUUAUACAGUAAUAAUACUCAAGUAUAAUUUACAUCAUAUAUCUUUUGAAGUACAUGAAACUAUGAAGAAAAAACCCUAAUUAAUCUAAUUAUGGGGGUUUUGUUUUAUAUCAAAAUAUUGCAGCAAAAGUCACACUUUGAAGAGUUCACGCUGCAUAGAAAGACGAUGAAAUGCUAUCUGUUGAGUCCAUCAUUGCUCCAUUGGAGACAGAGCUGAAGCUUGAUGCAGGUGGUAUACUUUUGUUCUGCAAUAUGAUCCCUUUAAUUUUAUUUUAAGAUAGAUAGGGUUGAAAAAAAUUUAUGUAGUAUUUUUUUUUUUCAGUUUUGAGUGUCUAUUUUGGCUUCCAUAUUUGGUCUGUACAUGUGAGGUAUAGAAUGUUCAAUAUGUAUUUGGUUUCUAUAUUGUUAAUGGAUCUAUUUUUUUUUUUAGGUAACCAAGUUGCAGGAUGAAAACAGAACACUUGAUCUGCAGGUAAACCUCCAAUUUCCAUAUGAAGUUUGCAUUUUCGUUAUUUCUGAAAUUUGAGUUUUUACAGGAUGAAAACAGAACACUUGAUUUGCAGGUAAACACUUGAUUGGUUAUUUCCGAGCUUUUCACGACUUUUGAUACCCAAUAGAGAAUAUGGAAACCCCAACUUUAAUUUUAUGAAUUGGUUUUGGUGCCUAAAAUGAAAUCUAGCAUAGUGAAAUCUUGCAUAAUGAAAUUAUGACAAAUUUCCCUUCAUCUUUAGAUUUUCAUUUAAUUCAAUUCGUAUGCAAUUUAGGGUUAUUCAAUUCAUGAGUGAUCAAAUUAUGUUUUUAAUUCCUUCUUCUUUUGAUUUACAGUUCAACAUUGUUGUACAAAAUGAAAAAGGCGCUAGUAACAGAGUUAUGGAUUUGUAUGCCUUUAGUGGAAUAAAACUGAAUUUUUUAACUUUGUAUAGUUGUAAACAUAAAAUACUCCAUGAGAUAGACUCAUAGCUUUUGAAAACAAUCCUUGAGGAUGGCAUAACAACAUCUCCAACUUUUGUCAUGUAAUGUAUGAAUGUAAAUAGCACUUCGUAAACAUAUGGAUGUAAUACAUGUAUAUAAACACUCUUUAGCAUGUAUAUUUUUCAAAACUUUCUACAUCUUCAACAAUGUUUCAAUGAUUUCUUGAUGUAAACAAUGAUAAUUUGAAGAACCAUUUAAAGUAUUUUGGUAAUCAGCAUACUUAAGCUUAAAUGUGAUAUAUCCGUUUAUUAUUUUUUAUACAGUGAUAAUACUCAAGUAUAAUUUACAUCAUAUAUCUUUUGAAGUACAUGAAACUAUGAAGAAAAAACCCUAAUUAAUCUGAUUAUGGGGGUUUUGUUUUAUAUCAAAAUAUUGCAGCAAAAGUCACACUUUGAAGAGUUCACGCUGCAUAGAAAGACGAUGAAAUGCUAUCUGUUGAGUCCAUCAUUGCUCAAUUGGAGACAGAGCUGAAGCUUGAUGCAGGUGGUAUACUUUUGUUCUGCAAUAUGAUCCCUUUAAUUUUAUUUUAAGAUAGAUAGGGUCGAAAAAACUUUAUGUAGUAUUUUUUUUUUUCAGUUUUGAGUGUCUAUUUUGGCUUCCAUAUUUGGUCUGUACAUGUGAGGUAUAGAAUGUUCAAUAUGUAUUUGGUUUCUAUAUUGUUAAUGGAUCUAUUUUUUUUUUUAGGUAACCAAGUUGCAAGAUGAAAACAGAACACUUGAUCUGCAGGUAAACCUCCAAUUUCCAUAUGAAGUUUGCAUUUUCGUUAUUUCUGGAAUUUGAGUUUUUGCAGGAUGAAAACAGAACACUUGAUUUGCAGGUAAACACUUGAUUGGUUAUUUCCGAGCUUUUCACGACUUUUGAUACCCAAUAGAGAAUAUGGAAACCCCAACUUUAAUUUUAUGAAUUGGUUUUGGUGCCUAAAAUGAAAUCUAGCAUAGUGAAAUCUUGCAUAAUGAAAUUAUGACAAAUUUCCCUUCAUCUUUAGAUUUUCAUUUAAUUCAAUUCGUAUGCAAUUUAGGGUUAUUCAAUUCAUGAGUGAUCAAAUUAUGUUUUUAAUUCCUUCUUCUUUUGAUUUACAGUUCAACAUUGUUGUACAAAAUGAAAAAGGCGCUAGUAAUAGAGUUAUGGAUUUGGAUGCCUUUAGUGGAAUAAAACUGAAUUUUUUAACUUUGUAUAGUUGUAAACAUAAAAUACUCCAUGAGAUAGACUCAUAGCUUUUGAAAACAAUCCUUGAGGAUGGCAUAACAACAUCUCCAACUUUUGUCAUGUAAUGUAUGUAAAUAGCACUUCGUAAACAUAUGGAUGUAAUAUAUGUAUAUAAACACUCUUUAGCAUGUAUAAUUUUCAAAACUUUCUACAUCUUCAACAAUGUUUCAAUGAUUUCUUGAUGUAAACAAUGAUAAUUUGAAGAACCAUUUAAAUUAUUUUGGUAAUCAACAUACUUAAGCUUAAAUGUGAUAUAUCCGUUUAGUAUUUUUUAUACAGUGAUAAUACUCGAGUAUAAUUUACACCAUAUAUCUUUUGAAGUACAUGAAACUAUGAAGAAAAAACCCUAAUUAAUCUGGUUAUGGGGGUUUUGUUUUAUAUCAAAAUAUUGUAGUAGAAGUCACACUUUGAAGAGUUCACGUUGCAUAGAAAGACGAUGAAAUGCUAUAUGUUGAGUCCAUCAUUGCUCCAUUGGAGACAGAGCUGAAGCUUGCUGCAGGUGGUAUACUUUUGUUCUGCAAUAUGACCCCUUUAAUUUUAUUUUAAGACAGAUAGGGUUGAAAAAAAUUUAUGUAGUAUUUUUGUAUCAGUUUUGAGUGUCUAUUUUGGCUUCCAUAUUUGGUCUGUACAUGUGAGGUAUAGAGUGUUCAAUAUGUAUUUGGUUUCUAUAUUGUUAAUGGAUCUAUUUUUUUUUUAGGUAACCAAGUUGCAGGAUGAAAACAGAACACUUGAUCUACAUGUAAACCUUCAAUUUCCAUAUGAAGUUUGCAUUUUCGUUGUUUCUGGAAUUUGAGUUUUUGCAGGAUGAAAACAGAACACUUGAUCUGCAGGUAAACACUUGAUUGAUUAUUUCCGAGCUUUUCACGACUUUCGAUACCCAAUAGAGAAUAUGGAAACCCCAACCUUAAUUUUAUGAAUUGGUUUUGGUGCCUAAAAUGAAAUCUAGCAUAGUAAAAUCUUGCAUAAUGAAAUUAUGACAAAUUUCCCUUCAUCUUUACAUUUUCAUUUAGUUCAAUUUGUACGCAGUUUAGGGUUAUUCAAUUCAUGAGUGAUCAAAUUAUGUUUUUAAUUCCUUCUUUUGAUUUUCAGUUCAGCAUUAUCGUAUUUUGGAUGCCUUUAGUGGAAUAAAACUUAAUUUUUUUAACUAUGUAUAGUUGUAAACAUAAAAUACUCCAUGAGAUAGACUCAUAGCUUUUAAAAACAAUCUUUGAGGAUGGCAUAACAACAUCUCCAACUUUUGUCAUGUAAUGUAUGAAUGUAAAUAGCACUUUGCAAACAUAUGGAUGUAAUAUAUGUAUUUAAACACCACUCUUUAGCAUAUAUAUUUUUCAAAACUUUCUACAUCUUCAACAAUGUUUGAAGCCCCGCAACAAUGGGCGGGUACACUUGCUAGUAUACAUCUAAAAUUAUAAGACUAAAUCCUUUAGUUCUUGGAUUCAUCUAAGAACUACUUAUUCCAGCAGAUGUUAUGCUUGCACUACUAGAAUUUAUGGCUUGCCCUGUCAACUAUUGCGCGACAGAAGACUUCGUCGGUUUCACCUUUUUUAACCGACAUAAUAUAAGUUUAGUAGGGCAAAAUCAGUCAACAAACUGGGUUGACUGAAUAGAUUUACAGGAUGUCUAGAGUUCGUAGGUUAAGACAUCAGUCGUUGGGCAAACAUUUGGAGCGAAGAUGUGAGUGUUUUAACUGACGAAUAAGCUGGUCGUCAUGUAGAUCUUCUUUCCCGACUGAUGGUUCAACGAGUAGCUCUUUGGAUAACAAUUCAUCUUCAAGGGGAACAGGUUGCCCCUCAAAUGAAUGGUUAGAGGCAAUUGUGAGACUAUAAUUUUCUAGGGCCGGAAUAUCUAUAACCAUCCACCAAAUACCCCUUCUUCCCUUUCUAUUUCUCUCUCAGUAAUUUCCCCUGACCGAAUCACACAAUCCAACCAACUCUCUUUAAGCCUCACUCAUCGAUUCCAUGGAUUUCAUGGACUUAUCCCACCCUCUCUCCUUCCCCCUAUAUAUAGCAAGUCCCCUUGCCUCAGUGUCCCUGGCAACAAAAUUUAUGGCGUGUAUUCGGUCUUUCAAUUAUUUGAAAGCUUCCCUGCCUUGCAGUCUUGUACAAAGGCGUAUGGUGUUUCAUUAGUUCCAUUUGGUGGUUGGGUGGGAAAUGAAAUUAAAACACUGCAUUUCCAAUGGUCUAAACCAAAUUGAAUCAAAUGUGAAGCAAAGGGCAAGAAGUGUAGAUUGAAGAACAAUGGCACCAAGAGCGAAAUUGAACUUGUUGACAGGAGGAAACCAAGUAAGGAUAACGCGUCUAAAUCUUAUUUCGAAUCCAUUCAGCUCAUGAUGUUUUUAAUGAUGAUGAUCGGUAUACUUUGCUACAUGCUGUGAUUUUUCCGCUUUCAUGUAAUUAACGGCUUAUAUUUGUGGUAACGAUAUUGAUUAAUUUUGAGAAAUGACAGUCUAAUUUUUGCAACUGUCUUUUGCAGGCAAAACAAAGACGUUUGCAAGGGUGAGUUAUGUAGGACCAAUGUUUAGCUUUGUUUCAUGUCCAAAUGACACUUGAGAAUAAAUGUUUACUCAUGGAUAAUAUCUAUCUAUUUGCAGGAGCAACCCUGGGUUUAUUUGUUCUUUUACUACUGGUCAUUGCCGCAUAUCACGCCUAUAGCACUGACAAAAGUAAAAAGAAAAUCGAAUGAAAUUUGGUAAGUUUUCAGCGGACUACAAAGAUCUUAAGCCAAGCAUAUAUUCCCAUUCAGAUAUUAAGAGGUUUACAAAUCAAUUCAAGUACAAGUUGGGCCAAGGAGCAUACAUAAUUGUUUUUAAAGGAUAGUUUUUUUCUGAAUGCUUUGUUGCCAUGAAAGUACUUAACAUUUCCAAGGGUGACGGGGAAGAGCUUGUAAAUGAAGUGGGGAACAAUGGGCCAUAUUCACCAUGUCAAUGUGGUUCACUUGGUUGGUUUUUGUGCUGAUGGAUUUAGAUGAGCUCUGGUUUAUGAGUUCUUUUCCUUUGGUUCACUCCAGGAUUAUAUUUCAUCAGUAGAUAGAUUUCUUUCCUUGGUUGGCAUAAGUUGCAAGAUAUUGCUAUCAGCAUAGCCAAAGGAACCAGGGAUGUGAUCUACAAAUCCUCCAUUUCGAUAUCAAACCCCAUAAUGUUUUGCUCGACCAAAAAAUCACGCCAAAAAUCUCUGAUUUUGGUCUGGCCAAGUUAUGUUCCAAGGAUCAAUCAAUGUGACUAAAGCAAGGGGGACCAUGUGACUAAAGUACCCGAAGUGUUUUCCAGGAAUUUCGGAAAUGUGUCUUACAAGGCAGAUGUCUUGAAUGCUGCUGCUUGAGAUGGUAGGAGAAAAGAAGAAUAUUGGUUCAACUAGAGGACACAACAAAUGAAAUCUACUAUCCAAAAUGGAUUUAUAAUCUUCUAGAGGAAGGAAAUGACCAACAGAUCCCUAUUGAGGAAGAAUGUUAUGGUAAGAUUCCAAAGCAACUUGCAAGUUUAGGGCUCUGGUGCAGCCAGUGACACUCGGUGGAUCGGCAGUCCAUGAAAACGGUGGUUCGGAUGUUAGGAGGAGGAGAAAACUUGAUGAUGCAAGCAAUCCUAAAAGCCUCAUACAGUUAGAAGUAAUUGCUGAAUUAGAGUAACAUAUGUAUAUGUAUACGCACCAACACUAGUCGUUCUUAGAUGAAUCCAAGCCAAACAAUUACAGACAACAGUUAUUCACUAAAUCACUUUAAGGCAAGAAUUUAAUUAAUAAUACAUUACUGCACUUUCUUAACCAUUUGACCAUCACCUAGCAGACAAUGAACACGUUAGCUCCGCGUUAGAACAUCUUGGGUUCAAUUCAUUGUCUUGAAUAUCACCCUCUGUCACAGGCGUCUCUAGGGGGCAUAGAGAAGGCCUGAGAGGCAUUUGCAGACAUUCAACAUCACCUCCAAGCAUUUUGACAACUUUGGACAUCGAAGGGCGAUCACUUGGUUUCAUUUGAAUACACCAUAAGGCGGUUAUAACCAUCCUUCUUAUUACUUUCUUUUCCUCCUCUGUAACAUUGUCCGUUUCCAAGUUAUUUCCCACAAUAUACUGAUCGUAUACCCACAUUGGGAAGUAGAUUUGGCUUGAAUGCUCUACCGUUGGAUUCAAAUUCUUCCUUCUGCUUGCCAUCUCCAUCAACAACAUUCCAAAACUAUAGACAUCUGACUUGUAUGAGACACCUCCAAUAUUUUUGUAGAACAACUCAGGAGCAAUAUAUCCCAGUGUACCUCGUGCUGCCGUCAAAGAGACAAUGCUAUUAUCUACAGGAUACAAUUUUGCAAGCCCAAAGUCAGAAACCUUUGCUUUAAAGUUCUCAUCAAGAAGGAUGUUAUGAGGCUUGAUGUCGAAAUGUAGAAUUUGCAUUUCGCAACCUUGGUGUAGAUAUUCGAUCCCUUGAGCCACUCCAAGAGAAAUCUUGUACAUGUUCUUGAUAGUUAAGGGGACACUUCCUUCUUUGGAAUAAAUGUAUUUAUCAAGAGAACCAUUAGGCAUGAAGUCAUAUACUAGAGCGCGUUUUGAUCCCUCAACACAGUAUCCAACAAGUUGCACCACAUUGGCAUGGUGAAUCCUUCCGAUUGUAGCUAUUUCGCUAAUGAAAUCUUGGCCAUCAGCUUUGGGCUUGCCCAAAACUUUGAUUGCUACAAAUCGACCACUGCGUAGCUUUCCCUUAAAUACAGAGCCAAAGCCACCUUCGCCCAACUUGUCCUUAAAUCUGCGAGUCAUUUUCUUGACGUCCGAGUAGGAGUACCUUAUAGGCAUGAAGUUGUUAUUGCAUUGCAGAAAAUCUUCUAUUGUGCUAUACAUUGAUAAAUGUCUUCUGCGCCAUGUGUAGAUUAGAAAUGCAGUCACAACUGGAACUCCAAAAACAAAUCUGGCUGGGAAAAAUAACCCUGCAUGCAUUGACAUUAAUACGUUAGAUCCACUGUGUACUACUUUUUCUUCCCUUUCUUUCCAAAUUACUUUGUCUUUGAUGUAAUUAAAGAGAAAGAAUGGGAAAUCUACAUAUGUUGAUAAUACAAUCUCGUCUUAGUCCUUACCGAUGCAUAUGAGUAUAAACCAUCUACGUGCUGUAACAAAAUCAAUCGACUAUGAGUUUGAAAAGUGCAUAAAGUGAAAAAUAAAUAAAUAAAUAAAAUCAAAGGGUGCCUUUAUUGACACCCAAAUUUUAGUUAGCUUUACUCAACUAAAAAAAUUUUGUCAAACUUUUUAAUUUGCCGUCGAAAUUGAGUUCACCCAACCCACAAAGCAACAACUACCACUCACCAAAAAAACCAACAACACACAUCCACCAGUACCACUCACCAAUAGAAAGAGAAGGAACACACAGACCCACCAAGGAGCCGGCAUCGACGCAUCUACGAGGGAGGGACCGGAGGGUGGUGUAGUUUUGUUGGGCGCGCGGUAGUUGUUUUGUCUGUUCAUUUUCUCUUUCUUUUGGUAGGUGGAGGCUGCUGUGGAUUUGGGCGAACUUAAAAAUGAGGGGAAACUAUGAAGUUUGACAAAAUGUUUUAGUUAGGGGAACUUAACUAAAAUUUGGGUGCCGAUAAAGAUACCCAAUAUAAAAAAUACUUGAGCGUAUAGACUAAUUAAAUGAAGUUGAUCUUACCGAUCGGGUGGCUGUAUGAUGAAUACAACUUGCCAGCUGCAAUAGAUACCACAGAAAAGUGAGCAAAGACAUACAGUUACUAGGUUUAAGAAGUACAGAUAGAGCACACAAAAAUAAAAGAAGCUUUUGGAGAGAAACUUCUUACGCAAAUAUAUGUAUUCAUGACCUACAGUGAAAAUUGUGAAGAAGAAUACACAACAUUAGCAAUAGCUCACCCAGUCUUCAGAAUUUAAAAAAAUCAAGUUUGUCGAUCGAAAACUUGUAAAUAAAACAAAAAGAGGACCCCUUACUGAUUUGUUGCCAUAGAUAUUGAAAGAAACCUACAAGAACAAAGAAAGAACAAGACCACAUGCAUUAGCAUAACAAGUGUGAGGUGUAUAAGUCGUUAGAAAAUAAAUUUAGAAUUCUAGUGCUGUCAAUACAUUGAUAAUAUAAUAUAUAUGUGUUAUUUUUUCUGAAAAUUUAACUUUCCCCCUCCAAACUCAUUUUUCUAGCCUCUAGCCCAUCAUAUAAUAUUUAUCCGAAUAAAACCCAAUGAUUAGGAUCCAACUAAGAAACUUACCAAAUUAAGUUUGUGUGUCCAUUUUUAUAUUUUUUGGAUCGCUAAUAUACCCCAUCUAAGCCAGUAUGGAAAGUUCUUGUAAUUUUGUUUUAAUUGAUCACGUGCAUUGAAUUUGGCAAGGUCUUGUAGCCAUGAAAAAUGGUUCUAGAUGGAGGAAUUAAUUGGGAUUUUUUUUUUAAUUUUGACAACAAAUUUCAAUUUGAAUAUACCUAAUUUAGUGUUUAUUUUCAACAAUAUCUAUUGUUUAAUUUUAUGAAAAUAAUUUACCUACUAUGAAAAUUAAUUUUAUGAAAACAAUAUCUAUUGUUUAAUUUUAUACCUAUAGGAUAAUUACAUGAAAAUAGUUUACCUACUAUGAAAAUUAAUUUUUUCAAAACAAUAUCUAUUGUUUAAUUUUAUGAAAAUAAUUUACCUACUGUAUAAUUACAUGAAAACUAAUGUGCCUAUUUUUUAAAUUUGUUACAAAAUUAAUUUACCUACUCUUUAUGGUAUUAGUAAUAUAUGUCCGUACGUAUUUGAUCUAAUUAGGUUUUGGAUUGGAGGAGUUGACACAAAAUUAUAAAUAUAUUAAACAAAUUUAUCUAUCCUUAAGUUGGAGGGGAAUUGGCCUGCACAUUGCUACGGUAAACAAAUGCCACUCGAUUUCACGUUAUUUACAACAAAGCUAUCAGAUUUGGGUUGGGUUGGAGGGUAAUUUUGUGCAUAGGGUUUAGGUGCCCUCCUAUAUAUGACCCUUGAUUUUACUUUAUUUACACCACUGCCAUCAAAUAUGUGGCUGAAUUGGAGGGUAUUAUUAAAAGUUAGGAGGAUAGUUUUGUCCAAGGGGUGGGGGCGACAUUCGCAGACAGGGGGCGAUGGGAGCCAUGCCCAUUGCACAGAAACAAAGGGAGUGAUGGGGGAAAUUACAGACAGAAAAGGAAGGGAUGGGGGGAUUUGAUGGGUGGUCACAGAGAGAUUGGGUGAGGGAUGUGAGGGGACAUUACAGAGAGAUAAAUAAAAGGGAGGGAUCGGGUGAUUUGAGGGAUGGUCAGAGAGAGAAAUAGUGAGGGGGAUGUGGGGCUGAUUUUCGGUUCCUCCUUCCAGAUUUGUUCCGUAAAACCUGUUGGGUACAAUUCAAUCCCUCCCCCUUUCCCCUGAACGAAAAAUUCGAAACCUACAACUCAAAACUCACUCAUUUGUCGCCCCUCCUUGGCUUUCCGCUUUAUUCAUCUCCCGGUGUUUCUUUCUCUCCAUACGAUUCGAUUUCGGUGAGUUCUUCGUUGCCCUCAUGAUUUCCCAGUUUGAUUUUUUGAGCGUCCUUAGUCGUUGUUUUUAUCUGGGUUUACUGCGUUGUUGCUUUUAGUUUCUGGAUUUUUAUUUUUUCCGCGGUUGGAUGAAUCGUGGUUAAUAAUUUCACACCAUGGGAUUUUCGCACUUCUGAUGGAAUUGAGCGCGGGGAUUCGGGGUGGGGUUUUACUGAUAAUUUGUCUUCAUUCAAAUGAAUGGUUAAAAUUUCUGAAGUGAGUGUGCAGGUGGGCCCGUUCACUAACUAAGCUUUCAAGGGAACCCAUCAACGGUUUGUUUGCUGGGGGAAUUCGGAGACUACCAGUGUAUGAUUUAGUUAUCAUUUAUUUUUUUACUUAAUUUUAUCCAUAUAUAAUAUGUGGGUAAAUUUAUACUAAACAAUUGUGAUAAGCCAAUAUGCCAUACGACUUUGAAAGCAUUGAUUUUGUGUUUAGUUUGCAUUUUUGCAUUGUGAAUGUUGAAUUUUGUAUUUAAUUUGGAUUUUGUGUUUGAAUUUGUAGCAUGAUCUUCCGCUGCAGCAUCCAAAUUUUGCAUUUGUAAAUUGUCAAAGAAAAACGAAGUAUGAGGAAAUUAUAGGAGAUUGUGUCGGCUUUGGCCAUGAAGGGUAUCAGCAGCUUGUUCCCCCAUACAGGUGAUUAAUCGUUUUUCAGUCUCUGUUCUAUUUGGAUGAGAAAGUGAUUGAAAAAUAUGAUUUUUUAUUUGUUGGUUGAUUUUGUAUGGACGAUGUAUUAAUUUUAUUUUUUUUGGGAUUUUGUGUAUUGGGUAUUGUGUAGAACCAGCAAUGCAAGAGCAGGAUCUGAUCAGUCACGCCCGAAAAGGGGUUUGUUUCUCAAAUCACAUUAAUUAAUUAGAUUAUUAACGUGCGUUGGAAGGCUCUUCAAUAUGAUUUCUAAUUUCUCCUUUCCAGCAUUCUCUUUUUGGUUUUUGGAGUAUGUAUGUGAUUUGUAUUUUUUUAUAGAAUAAAAAUUAAUAAAACACGAGAUGCAGCAAUUAAUUUGCAUCCUUAUGACAACACAUAUGAAAGUGCAUUCAAUUUCAAUGUGCGAAUGUGUGACAGGAUGUGCCUGCCUCCUUGAAAACACUUUAUGUGAACAAGUGUGAGGUUCUACAUAAAAACAGGGCCAGUAAUACCCUGAACGUGGAAUCCUUACGAGGAUCUCUUGAAAAACUGACAAUAAAUGGAUGCCCGGGUCUCUCAUUGUUACUAGAGUCGACGGAGACGCUGCCGUCGCUUCAGAAGCUUGAUAUUGAUAGUGUUGGUGGGAAAGAGUUGUUGGCGCAAAUGGUGCACAACAGCAAUCGUCUUCAAAGUUUGACUUUAUAUAAAUGUUACUCACCCUUGUCGUUCCCUACAAAUGGUCUGCCCACCACGCUGACGUCACUGAGCAUAACAGAUUGCAAGAAAUUAGAAUUCCUAUCACGUGAGAUGAUGGCCAAAUUGACUUCCCUUCGGUCUUUGCGUCUAUCCAACAGCUGUGAACGCAAAGGCUUGAGUAUUUGCAGUUUAGUUUUUUUUUUCUUCAUUUUAGAGAUUUUUCUACUGUUUGGUUUUUGGGUUUUGUCUAAUUUUUGUGGUCUGCUUUAUAGAUUGUUCUCUUUGGAAGCUUCUUUCCAGCCUUGACCUUCUUCUUGCCUGGUGCCUUCUCAUUGAGUAUUGGAGGAGCAUUAAAACACAGGUGUGUGUGUGUUUUGUCGACGUAAGAGAUGAACGACAUAAAAACAUCCAUCUCUGUAUUUUUUUGUGCUUUUUCUAACCCAUCAAUUUCUUUUGAGUCAACCAAAUAGUCCCAAAUUGCAACUUAUGUUGUGAGGUAUUAUUGUCUAAAAUUAAGUAUGCAUGUAUAUUUUAUGUUUAUGCCCGCGCACACCUCCGCAUGGUGUUAAUCUCUGUGGGUCAUCUAUGUAUAUGUAGAUAUAUCUAUAUGUGUAUGUGUGGAAUGCAACAUAUCGGAUUUAGGUUAUACUGUGCAUAGUUUUAUUGCCUGUUAUUAUCUACGAUAUCACUAUGCCAUUUCUAUACUGGCUCUGAAAGUUAUUCAUGAGCUUAUAAGCACUUACCAUAAUUUAAGCAGUCUGUUUUGGGUUCUUUUUCAUUAGGUCAUUAGCUACAGAUUAAUGGAGAAACGAGGACCAUGCCACUGAUUUGGGUUCUUUUUCUAAUUUUCUGAUUUUGGGGUUUUGCAGGGAGUACUGAUGUACUGAUUUUCUGGGAUUUUUUUUUGUCCUUGCAGGAUUUUUGGUCUUUGAAAUGGGUAUGUGUUGUUUUUAAUGUUUCAGUUCUAGCGUGUUCCGUUCUUCGUUGCUUCGUGAUUCUCAUUUUUCAGUGUUGGGUGAUGGAAAUUUGUUAAAGUAGUUGGUAGUUUUUUGAGAAAGUUGGCAUUUUUAGUUAUAUUUUCUGUUUAAUCCUAAAUGUAAGACUGGAAAAUCAUUGAAAUGAUGGUUUUUUAAAAACUCAUAAUUUUUUUGUUCUGGGAUUUAAAAGCAUCUUUUCCAGAUUGGUUACAAGGGUUAUGUUCUCUUCAAUUGGUUCACCUAAUUUUGAUUAGUUUUAAGUUUUGUCCUUUUAAGUUUGUCUUUUAAGUUUUGUUCUUUAAGUUUUGUCUUUUAAGUUUUGUUCUCUAAGUUUUGUCUUUUAAGUUUUGUCUUCUGUGCUGUAAUGAGAGAUUUCUGUUGGCUUUUCGGAUUUUGGCAUGGGAAAGUUCACUUAUUUGUCUAAUUAGAUUGUGUAUGCCUUCGAUUCUUUAUUUAAUUGUUCUGUUUGCGUUCGGGUGUGAUGAUCUAAAUUUCAUAUGUUUGGAAUUAUUUACUUAACACCAAUUUGUUACAUUCAGAUCUCCACCCCACAUUUCACUAGUUGAAAUUCCAUAGAAGUCGGUUACUGCAGAUUGCGUCUACAAUUAGAUCAGAGAUCAACUGCUCUUUUGUUAUCCUGCAGAAGAUUGCUUUUGGGAAGGAUCUGAAGUAGUUUCUCUCUGUAUGUUUAUUCCCAUGUAGCUCUGUCUUUUCUAAUUGUGUUGAUAUUACACUGUAAUUCAUGAUGAUGAUUUAAUUGUUUAUUGAUUUGUAAUUGAUUGUGAAUAAUGUGGCAUAUAUGAAUUGCAAUCUGUGUUUGUAUGAAAGGGAUGGCAUAUUAUGUUGCUGACUUAAUUGUUUAUGUUUUUCAUAUUUGCAAAUGGUGUUAUGAUCAAUUAGGUGAUUGCUGACCUGUGACUUUGUUUGGAGCUCAAAUUUUGUGAGCAUUACAUUGGAUUGUUUUGAUGUUGUUUUGGUUAACAAUGCAGCGAUAGGAGAAACAAAGAGGAUGACACUUAUAACUGCCCUUCCCCAUCGGCCGUCUUCAAAUUUGGAUCACAAGAAGGGAGCAACAUAGGUGUUUUCCUUCUUCAUUUAGAUAUGGUUAGUGUAAAUAAUUGGACAAAAGAGCCAAACAAACCCUGUUCUCUCAAAUGGAGUCGAUGAUGUGGUCGACGGCCACCAGCCCCAACUCAAGAGUUUGGCCUUCAUAUAAUUGGAUUGUAGUAUAAUUUUAUUUUGGUUCAUUUCUUUUUUCCUUUAUAUAAGUGCAGGUGUUGUGAUGUUUUGAAUAAAGGGUGAUGAAAGGUGGUUCACACACUUCCUCCUUACUUAAAGCAAGUGGAGAUGACGGUUUGUAUAAAAAGAAAAACUUGCCACGUACUUCAAUUUUCUAUUUUAUUAAUUAUUGUUUGGUUUUCCAAAUGUUGUAUUCACUAAGAGACCAAUUAUGUCUUUGAGAAACAAGUUUCUUUGUCUACAUUGCGAGAAUUUGCAGUUUGCAACUUUCAUUGGUUAUUAUAUUUGAUUGAGUUAAACUUGGAUUUCUGGAUUUUGACUUUUUCGUUUGUUUCUUUGUUGCAGAGUUGGCUUCAUUUCAUUCCAGGAACUGUCUAAAUAGGGCCAAGAACUCACUAAUAGGUAGUCAAGAAGAAUUCAGUGUUGCCUUCAAUUUUUGCCUUCUGUUUACAUUCUUCCUGGAUGCACUCUCACCGCUUCUCUCGCUUACCACUUUUGUCUCACUCACCGCUUCAUCUCUUCUGUUGCUUACAAGGUCGUGUCAUAUAUUUUUUUAAUUUUGUGUGGUUUAAUUUAUUGAAUAUUUGAAAAAAGAGAUAAAAUUUUCAAUUUACAAUUACUGAUAUGAUGUUUGUUUUGAAAAUCAUUAAGGUGAAUGGAGAGAUUUACAACCAUGAAGAGCUGAGGAGCCGUUUGCCAAAUCAGAUUUAUAGGGCUUCAUCAAUUAUAAAUAAACGACUUUUCAUUCCCAAUGACCUUUAUCGUUUUUCUUAAUGGGUUAGCUGAACAUGAGGUAGAUGCUGACUUUAUCAAAUAUGAGAAUGUUUUAGGAUUUCAUUCUAAUUUUUUGGCUGUUUGAUUACUUUGCUUUUCGUAAUUUGAUUUGCUUAUCGUCAAUUGGAUGGGAUAAAACAUAUUUUUGUAACCAGUUUGUACUUUUUUUUUCUUUUUUUUGUGGAAACUAACCAGUUUGUACUUUUACCAAUUACCAUAUCGGUUUUGAUGGAAUUGGAGCUUUCAGUAAUGGGUUCUGAGGGAAUUGGAGUUCUGAGUAAUGGGUUUUUUUUAACAACUAUAGUAUCAUUUGUGAUUCAUUUAUUUAUAAGAUAUUAUAUAGGAAACUGUUUUUAGCACUCUAAAAAUCUUAUUCUACACUCUCGACAAAUGUAUUUUUCUUUCUAAUUAUGAAAAGUUUGGAGGGCAAAAUGAGAAUUGUGGAGUGCCAAUAACAAUUCCCUAUUAUAUAUAGCUCUACUAGGAAGGCGACUGUAUGUCUUCAUCCUGUUAAAUUGUAUAUGGCUCUUGAUGUCGGCUGAAUUAAAUCAAAAUGAAAACCAAGCUGCUGAUCUUACCAGCCCAUAUCACUUAUCACUUGCUUAUUUAAAUUAUUUGAAGAUGCGUAUGUGGAUUGGUGAUUUUGUUGGAUUCACUUGGCUCAAAUAUAUGUUAUCUGAGUCGCUACAUUUGAGAAUGUGAUUUUGUUCCUACCACCAUUUUGCCCACUUUUUGUGGAAAUUAUUUCUGCUUGUUGUGAAUGAUACAUUCAUCCCCGGCAGCAAAGUGCGAAGUGCGGGCGCAUUUUCUAGUUUAAGUAAAUCACACAAUGGGUCAUCAAUAAUAACAAACUUGUCAUUUAUGAGAGUCAAACAUGAGGCCACCUACCUACUAGUUUAGUGGAAUACCACAAGUGACAUGUUGAUACCUUUAAAUCUCAUAUAAUGGAUUGCAGAAUUAGGAUAUUCCUAGACUAAUUUAGUUAGUGCGUGAACCCGAACAAUUAACAAGGGUUUUAUUCUUGCUUGAAUGUUUGUUAUAUGUUCCUAGUUUGACAAGGCAAUUAUAUUUCCGACUACAAGUUAUUAAUUUAGUCGAGAAUUGACGCACCUGAAAUGGUGUGAGGAAAACAUGUAUCCACAUGAGCCGCAGUCCACUGUCCUUGGCAUCUAUCUUUAAAAGGCUCGAAAUGAAGCUCAAAGCCAUACAUGAGGGCAUUGUGUAUGUCUUUAUAAGAGAAGUUGCGGUAGUCCUCAACGUAGCCGGCAGCCAAACUCAUCCACUCUACACUGCAACCAUCAUCCAAUUCCCAUACCUCCCUGAACCUGUCCCCAACAUAUUCCCCGACCAUGACAUAGCUAUUCGUUUUUGGUUGACUCGAAGAAGAAGAAGAAGAAGAAGUAUUAUUCAAGCAUGGAGCAGUGUCCACGUACAGAGAAGAAUUCGAUGGAUUCGAACACUUCAAGUAAUAUAUAGAUAGAGAAUUAAUGUCAUAGGCGGGCCAAUAUAGAGAAUUGAUGUCCUCGGUGGUGGGCGGAAUAUUUUGAGACAUGGAAGAGCAAUUGUUGUUGUCAAGCCCAGGAUCUCGAAGUCGGAUUGUUUUGUUAUUAUAGUUGAUUGCCUGGACAUGGUACUUUCCGAAAGAAGGUAGGUCUAGUACUGUAAUGUUGCUCUCACAGGACAGAGUAUACGAUAUGUUGCCACAGUACUUUGGAUCAUCGUUAAGUCGAAAAGGAUGGCUUAUGUUGUGGAUAUGGCCGCAGGAUGAAGUGCAGGACUUGGCACUACUGUUGUCAGCGUUACAAGUUUCACUGCAAAAGCAAAGAAGAAGAAAGGCUAAACUUAAGGUGAAGGACCUGGUUCCACUAAUUUCCAUUGCUCUGAGAGAGAGAGAGAGAGAGAGAGAGAGAGAGAGGGUACCAUAGCUUAAACACCAAGGAGUUAUAUAAUAUGGGAGGGGUUAAAGCACCUCGCUUACAGUUGCAGUAAGCCCGUCAAAUAUCCUAGGGAAAAGUCGGUCAAUGGUGUCCUAUAGAGAAAAGUCGGCCUUGGUGUUUGACACGGUCACUCAACUCUCUCUCUCUCUCACAUUGACGAGGGACACUGUAAUUGAAAAAAAAAAAUGUUCUUCAGAGAUAGAUCUUGAAAUUCUUAUUUUAUAUAAAAAAAACACCUAAUAUUAAAUUAUUAAUCAUUCAAAUGAAAUUCUUAAAAUUAAGUAUAAAUAAUACAUAACGAAAACUGAGCACAUACAAUCAACGGUCACGAUCGUGAAAUCCUCCGGAUCCUCAGAAAAAAAUCCGACGAUGAUCUUUUUCUGUGUAAAAUAAUUUGAGGGUAUAAUACUGGAUGUGGAGCCAAAAAUAUUCGCUAGGCGACACGUGGACUUUUGGACAAAAGAGGACAAAAAUACCCUCGAAGCAUACAAGGAUUCCUACGCGCGAGCAGUGGGCAAUCAUCUUUCAAUCAAGUCAAAAGUGCCCAAAAAAGGUAACAAUUAAAAACCUCUCUCAUCAAAUCCUUUCUAUAAGGUAUUUCCCAAAACCUAGUAUUUUCUAUUUCAUUAUUUAGCUAAUCAAUUAGCUAAAUAAUAUAAACCUACCAUAUCUCCUAAAAUCACCCAAUUAAUAGCCCAAAACCGGCCCCCACUAUUCACAUCCUCAUCUUUCCCAUUUUCCUUAUUAAAAUAAUCAUUCAUUUUUAUAAACCACCCAUUUUAUUAUUUUCAUAUUUAAUUAGCCAAUAAAUUGGCAAAUUAAACAUGAAAUUAACCCCCACAAAAACCCUAUGGCUGGCUACUAUUAUUCAAAAUAGGGCAAACCCUAACUCUAUAAAUAAACACAUAUUCUCACCAAAAAUUCAUUCCAACUCUCUCACAAAAAAUCACAAAUACUCUAAACACUAUUUCUCUCUAAAAUUCUAACUUUGGCAUCAGAGGUUCUUCGGCCAAAGCCCCCCCCAUUCAUCGUGGGCGCGUGAGGCUCUUGGCCUUAACCUAAGGUGCUAGUUGUUUUGUAGGUGCAAAAUCGUCCAAGAUCGAAGAGGAGAAAAUUUGCAUCCACAAAUUGGUGCUUUCAUUGAGAGUUGAAAUCCAUACUCGUAGAAGACUCUCGCACAAAAAGGUUUUUUCUUUUAUUUUCUAGUCCAUUUGAAUAUUUUUCAUACGUUCUUAUUAUUAGAAUUUUUUUACUUGCAAAGGUUCUUUGAUAAAACGUAUAAGCAAAAUAUAAUGGCUAGAAAUUUAGAAAAUUCCACAAGUGAAAAUUCUAAUGUUCAAGAAAUGGGAUUGCGGAGAUCCGUGAGGCUAAAUGCGACAAUAAGGGGAGCGGCAUCAUCAUCACGAGCUUCCACCAUGGGAACCACCAUGGUGGCUACCUCGGUAGCCACCCGCGGCGAGGUCCAUGGUGCCUUCACCACGGCCACCAUGGGAACCACCGCGGUGGCUACUUUGGUAGCCACUCGUGGCGAGGUCCAUGGAGCCUUCACCACGGCCCGGAGAUCCGUGAGGCAAAAUGCGACAAUAAGGGGAGCGGCAUCAUCACCACAAGCUUCUACCAUGGGAACCACCGUGGUGGCUACCUCGGUAGCCACCCGCGGCGAGGUCCAUGGUGCUUUCACCACGGACACCAUGGGAACCACCGCGGUGGCUACUUCGGUAGCCACUCGUGGCGAGGUCCAUGGAGCCUUCACCACGGCCCGAGCCGUGCCAUCCAAGGCUCACGGUACCAAGACCACGAUCCAAGCCGUGCCAUCCAAGUUUACGUGGACCCAAGCCCAAGCCUCGCAUUCACAUGCACCGCGCAUUGAGCAGCCUGUUCCCGUGAUCCAGCCUGUUCCCGUCAAGCAACCCACUCUCACGGCCCAACCUGCUCAUGCCGAGCAGCCUGCUCUCGUGACACAGCCUGCUCCCGACGAGCAGCCCACUCCCGUGGCCCAGCCUACUUUCGUCGAGCAGCCCACUCCGGUGGCCCAGCCUGCUCCUGCUAAACAGCCCACUCCUGUGGCCCAGCCUCCUCUUGCUAAGCAGCCUGCUUUCGUCGAGCAGCCCACUCCGGUGGCCCAGCCUGCUCCUGCCAAGCAGCCCACUCCGGUGGCCCAGCCUGCUCCUGCCAAGCAGCCUACUCUCGUGACCCAGCCUGCUUCCGACGAGCAACCCACUCCCGUGGUCCAGCCUGCUUCUUUCGAGCAGCCCACUCUCACGGCCCAGCCUACUCCUGUGGCUUUCCAAGCAGCCCAAGUCGGCCCAAGACUAUCUCCCGGACCUACCAUCGAGCCGAGGGCAUUCUCACCACAUUUUUUCACGGAUUUGACAUUUCCCAACUCAAAUCUCGCGCCCGGAGUCUACCACAUUUCCACUGCCCAAGGAGGCGCAUUCCUUCCAAGCUCUUCCAAUCCAAAUGGCGAACAACACUUGUCUCGACAAGUCAUAGAGUUGACGAGCGCCCUUGCACAACAGAAAACCUUGGUGAAUCAACUUUUGCAACGUAUCGGGAUCCAACGUGCCCCGGACGAGGUAUCCCGAAGUAGGACAAGGGCAAACGAACAUUUCCAGCAGCCACUCGACCAGCCACGAGCCGAACGUUUGGGCAGUGUACAUUCCCGUCUUAGAGCGCGAGGGAGCAUGCACUCUCGACUAGGCCCACGGAUGAGCAUACAUUCACGGUUGGGGUCAUACUCCGAUAGUCAACAUGAGCAACCUUCCGGGCAAAGUGUCUAUUCGCAGCUAAGCCCACAAGGAGCGUCAUCCACCUCACAUCAGAGUAGGCAGCACGACGGACGGAGAGAAGCAGUCACUCAAUCCAGCUCAAGUUCAACCAGCAGCCUGCGAAGAACUCGCUCGCCUACUAGGAACGCACCACAUGCACUGCAUUCGCGGCAUAGACGAGCCAAACACAUGGAAGAGCAGCUUAGACCAGCAAGUCAUGACUGGAGGCAGCCAAGAGCUCCGCUACCCCAACAAAGGCAAAUUCAGGAAGAAGUAGAGAGACUCUUGACCAAGCGAUUGCAUGAUUUCCAACGCAACGAGGUCACCGACGAGGCACUACGACGGAACAUGACCAACAUAAGCAAGCAGGUCACCCUUCACGGACGAGAUCGAGCAGGCAGAGCCUCCACGAGAGUUCAGCAUGCCACAUUUCACAUCUUUCAAAGGGGAUGAAGACCCGGAGAGACACUUAAAGCGCUACCGAAGCGCAAUGAUCCUUUAUCGAAACAACGAUGAGCUUAUGUGCAAGAUAUUCGCCACCACUCUACAAGGCGAGGCGCAAGAUUGGUUCUACACCCUGCCGUCACAAUCCAUCCGGAAUUUCUACGAACUUUCUUUGGUUUUCACCAAAGAAUAUUCAUCCUAUCGCUCGAUCAAAAAGAAAUCUGAUCAUUUGUUCAACGUCAAGAAGAACCCAAAGGAGUCAAUUCGCGACUAUGUGAGGAGGUUCAAAGUAGAGAAGGCAAAAAAUAGUCGGAUGCAACGACUCGAUAGCUAGAGCAGCCUUCCAAAAAGGACUUCCAGCAGACCACCCGCUAUUUGGAAAAUUGAUCAUGAAAGAAGAUCUAACUCUGGCAGACUCUUUUGCUUUGGCAGAGAAGUAUGCACUUUGGGAUGAGGCUCGCCAAUGCACAUUCAAGGACUUGAAGAAGUACCCGACAUCACCUCCCUAGAAGCAGCGGAGGACUUAUUCACAUGUUUGACGAUAUCUAAAGUAGCAAUAAGCUCUACCAUCAUGCGAGAAGAGAUGGGGGCCCGACUACCUGUAUUCCACAGUUACCUGUAUUCUACAGUUCAAAAGCUCUCCUCGAUGUUAUUAAAAAUUCAAAAGCUAACUUUGGUGAUAGUUGUUGCAACCCAGAAGCACAAGUUUUACUUUCAAACGCAUGCAAUCAUCCUAAUGACGUACUAUUCUGCCCAAUCCAGACGCGCGACGAUAAAGGUGUAGACCAUGGCGGAUGUAAAGUUUUCUGACGAACGCAACACUAGAAGGACACACUCGAAAGCAAGUUUUGUCCUCGUCACCCUAAAAGAUUCUACAUAGGAGCAACAUGUACCGGCAGUUGAGUACCAUUUCUUGCUGCGCAUCACACGGCCCUAGCCGACCCUUGCUCAAUGAUUCAACUCUAGAGUGGCCCAAUACCGGCAGUUGAGCAUCUCCUGUUGCGUAUGACAUGGCCCCAUCUCCACAGCUCCCUACUGCGUCUUCACGCCGAGCCUAAGUGACGUAACAGAGCAGCCCAACGAUGCCUCAGAAGUAGCCGAGCACACUCUAGCUGCGCCUACUCCACCCGAUGGAGACUUUUGGCAUUUGCAUGUCGACGACGCAGAAAAGCCUUCAUCACUGCCGGCAGAGAAGGCUCCAAAAAGAUGGAUCCCAUCUGGGAAGGUCCGUACAAGAUCAGCAGAGUAGGGGGCAAGAGUAAUUACACCCUCACCACCAUGAAGCAGCAAAAAUAUUGAAAAGAAAUGGAUGGCCUACAAUCUGAAGAAGUACCAUGUGUGACCUCCCGCUACAUCAAAACCCGAAGACUCAAUAAGCUCGACGGGCACCACCUCACAAGCUGGGGACUAUCCAGUUGUUAUGCAGUUCCUACCUUACAGCUAAAGUUCUCGUUCGUUUCACUCGUUUUUCAAUGAGGAAUUUAGAAGUAAUCACAACUUGGCUUGGUUGCAUGCUUACAACAACUAAUCACUCCUGCACUUCAAAAGAAGAUUGCGCCCUUCUUAGGGACUCAUCGCAGGAAUUGCGCCCCCCGAGGGACCAACCAUGCUCUCCAGUGCGAGAGGGUAAACCAAUUCUCCGACACCCAUAUGGGUCAGCUCUCCAAGACGGGAGGAUAAACUUUACACUCCGAAUAUCCAGACGUGGAUGAGCCUGGCUGCCCUAGUAUAACUAGAUGCACGAUGGCUUGCGCCGGGAUUCCUAGAAGUAGCCGCAAUGGUCUUUUUCAAGGCUUAGCUAACUGAAGGAUUUUGGGUCUCUUGGCCUAAUCCGUGGGGAACCGGGCCCUAGAGACGGAGAGGGCACAUUACGCAGUACAUCCGAUGGACGGCUGCCCUGGAAUCCUAAAGCUGCUACCGAGUGCACUAAGGUAGCCUACGGAUUCCGGAAGACUGCCUACGGCUUGCCCUUCGAGCAGUGAAGCCGCACUAGACUUAUACAACCGCACAUUCUUGUGAAAGGUUAAACAAGCUAGCGCGCAUAUACGAAGUUUUAUCCACUGCCGACAUGCUAUGUAGUUGAUAAGCUUCACCUCUGCCAAGCGCGGAACAACCUACACCAAGUCCUAAAGUGUUGUGAUACUUGCUACGCAACCUACGGAAUUGAAAAAAGUCAAGGUUAACAGCCGAGUGGUUACGCGGACUUGUCUACUUCUGUAAGUAAGGCAUCCGGCUGCCAACCCUAUGGCUAACAACUUUGCAAAGUUCUACACCAACACCUACGGCUGCAUAGGCUACGCGAGUUUGUCUGCUUAUAAAAAAGUAGCAUGCCUGCCACUGGUCUAUCAAGUCUAAAGGUUAGGGCAUGAACAAAAGAAGUGAAGAUGAAGAAAAACGAAGGAAAACAUGUUUAUAAACAACUAGCAAAGGCCGAAUGAGUUCAAGCAAAACAAGAGCUACAAGGAAAAACAAAGAAAAUCCUAAAGGCUACCUAAAAUACUACACUACAGCAGCUUGGACAUCCCACGACUACUCGAUCGCCACACCUUCAACAGCCGUAACGCUCUUAGCAGCGGCAUCAUCCGGCGCUUCACCCCCCGGCUGCCCUAGUCUGGGCACUAACUUCUCCAACUACUUCACCAAUGGAAGCCUUAAAAGUAAAAGCAAACAAGUCUUCCGGAGAAAUAGAGAAGGUCUUAAAACCUCAAGCCCAUCCUUCUCACCCUUCAGCUGCUCAUUCUUCUUAAGCAGACUAACACGGACGCGCUACAGCUCAUCCACUCUCUUCUUAGCAUAAGUAGCGAAACGAAGCUCAGAAAUUGCAAGCUUAAGAUCUUGAAUCUGAGGCGAAUCAAUCUCAGCAGCAAAGGGAGCAGGCUUUGGCGCCACUUUAGCAGCAGAGUCCACCUUACCACUCUUCAUAAUAGCAAGUCUCUAAAAAGGUGAACCGGACUUGGCUCCCAAAGAACGUCCUGGUACAAACUUCGGCACUGGGGGCAUGAUAAAACCUUUACGCUGAGUAAUCUUAUCCACAAUUGUACUAGCCAUUCUCAACAUGGAAGACGCCACAUGCUCAGAUCUAGCAGCCUUACAUUUCUUCCCAUUGGAAGAAGUCAUGUCAAUCACAUACCUCUCGGUAGCAAGUGGACCAUCAUGAGCAGCAGAAGAAGUCUUCAAUUUUUUCUUAACUGGCAUCUCAUGAGCAGGUGGGGAAGAUCUCUUCUUUCCAUCUUCAUUCAUAGUAAGCUCCACGAUAGCGAUCAGAUGAGCCAAUGCAUCCGCCUUGAUCCUCUUUACCUCCUCUUUCCGGAGCAGCCCACAUUUCUUUCAGCAAAUAGGACUAAGCAGCCAACGACAUUCAUGGUACUCAGCAGGGGAGCUCAACCCAGUAUUCCAGCAGGCAGGAGGCCUGCAUGCCCAACAUUCCAGCAGCCCGUGAGACCCGCAAUCUCCUUAUUUCUCUCAAUCGCAAGCCUGGCCUGAGUCAAGUCCAAUAGCCCAAAGGACAUGAGUCAUGCGAUUCGCCUAACACUGCGCCUCAGCGCCACAAUCCUCGACCCCAGCUGCACAAGCUGCCCUUGGUUCUAGCCAAGUCAAGCAGCUUAAAACAGUGGUCCCUACCACAAUACCUCAUCGGCCCAUGUCGAGCCGACUCCUGGCCUAUGCCAGCCGACGUGCCGCACCACCCCGAUGGCUGCCCUGCAAUAGCACUAUCCAAGAAGAAGGCAAGAAAAAUUAAAUUUUUCUUACAUCGGUGCGGCACGAAAAAGACGAAGAAAUCAACGAAAGACGGUCUUUUGCACAGGCAAGACGUAGAAGAUUGCUAGAGGAGAGGGAACAAAUAUCCUCUAACUUUCUCUCUCUUGUUGGGUAGAAUAAAUCGCUCUCCAAAGUUGAUUUAAUAACCCACUUAAGGUGGACUUAAAUAGGCUUUGAGAGAAAUUUAUUUCCCUUUCCUAGAAGGAUCUAAUUUCCAUUUAAAGAGAGAAUCAACAACAAAAUAGGAAUCAAUUUAGAGUUGCCUAAAGCGAGAAAAUCUCUACACCUGUUGCCCUUUUCUGCAAGCAGCCCAACAGGUGUGGGGGCAUUUGUGGAGCCAAAAAUAUUCGCUAGGCGACACGUGGACUUUUGGACAAAAGAGGACAAAAAUACCCUCGAAGCAUACAAGGAUUCCUACGCGCGAGCAGUGGGCAAUCAUCUUUCAAUCAAGUCAAAAGUGCCCAAAAAAGGUAACAAUUAAAAACCUCUCUCAUCAAAUCCUUUCUAUAAGGUAUUUCCCAAAACCUAGUAUUUUCUAUUUCAUUAUUUAGCUAAUCAAUUAGCUAAAUAAUAUAAACCUACCAUAUCUCCUAAAAUCACCCAAUUAAUAGCCCAAAACCGGCCCCCACUAUUCACAUCCUCAUCUUUCCCAUUUUCCUUAUUAAAAUAAUCAUUCAUUUUUAUAACCACCCAUUUAUUAUUUUCAUAUUUAAUUAGCCAAUAAAUUGGCAAAUUAAACAUGAAAUUAACCCCCACAAAAACCCUAUGGCUGGCUACUAUUAUUCAAAAUAGGGCAAACCCUAACUCUAUAACUAAACACAUAUUCUCACCAAAAAUUCAUUCCAACUCUCUCACAAAAAAUCACAAAUACUCUAAACACUAUUUCUCUCUAAAAUUCUAACUUUGGCAUCGGAGGUUCUUCAGCCAAAGCCCCCCAUUCAUCGUGGACGCGUGAGGCUCUUGGCCUUAACCUAGGUGCUAGUUGUUUUGUAGGUGCAAAAUCGUCCAAGAUCGAAGAGGAGAAAAUUUGCAUCCACAAUGGAUGUGCGAUUAAACCGAAGAACCCACCACCUCCAUCUUCUCCGACCAACUUGAACCCAGCCACUACUACAUGUCAUCCCGACAACCCACUCUCAGCUUCCCAAACCGCCAUUUUUCACCCACUCACUUACCUCUCUCUCUCUCUCUCUCUCUCUCUCUCUCUCUCUCUCUCUCUCUUACCCAAGCCACUGCCAUUAUUCAUUCAAUCAACCCAAAACACGAGAGCCACCCCAUCUCACCACUCGAACAGAUGCAGCCACCCACCCAUUUAAUCCCAGUCCAAAAUCAAACCCUCUCCUAAACCCACCCCAGAAUCCAAUAAUUUCAAAAAAUGGCUGAUUAUAUCAUUUCAAGAACCUCACAAUUCCAAAAACUAAAAACCCACUUCAAAGAUGUAAUAUUUUUCUCUCUUCCUCUUUUUGGGUUUUUUUUUUUUAUCAAUUCUCUUCUGGGUUUUUGUUUACAGUGUAAAAUCAACACUAAUUUACUAAUUUUGCUUUGAUUUUUCAAACACUAUUGAGGCGUGAUAACCUGUUGCAAGCUCAGCCAUGGCGGCUACUGCAAAAUCUAACGGAAAAACCAUCACAGACUCUGCCAUUUCAUCCAAGGUUCCGACAAUAGCAAACCCUUUAACGAAUAGCUGUCGCAGAUUUCUUCCAACAUCAAUCACCACGCGAAAUUAAUUGUCAAUGAAGACGAUCCCAUUCCCCUUCGAAAUCUGCUGGGGGAAAGAGGCCUUCUUUCAUAUCUGCUCUGAGACCUGUUUAUGCGAGAGAGUGGUGAGCCUGACGACAGAGAGAAAGAAGGGCAGGAUUGGAAAAUUGGAAAGUUCAUUUAUUGGUUACUGUUUAUCCGUGUUUCUUCGAAAUAAGCUGCUUUUUCCAGCUUUGGGUUUUCAGUAUUUUUUUAACCCAUAAUUUUGAAAGAAAAAAAACUGAUUUGAAAUGUUAUCAAACACUUAAAAUGUUCCAAUCUUUUUUCAUACCUAUUUUUUUUAUUAAAAGUUAAGCUAAACAAAAACCAGGAUUAAGUUUACUACUUUGAAGUUUCUUGCUUUUCAACAUUUCAUACAUUGAAUUUUUCUCAUCCAGUGUCAUACCUAAGGUGAGAAUUGUGGGACACUUUUAUACAUCCGUUAGAUUUUCUGUGAAUUAUGGGACACUUUUAUACAUCCGUUAGAUUUUUUGUGAUAACCUUCGCUGACCCACGAUGCGGCAUGCAUGUGGACAUUAAAAAAAAUUCAAAAAUUCAAAAAUUCAAAAAUUUUAAAAUUUAAAAUUCAAAAAUACUAAAAACCUAAACUUUUCAUAAUAUUGAGUUGAGAGACUGAAUCUUUUCACACUCGGCCAAAUUUUCUUUGAAUUUUAAUUAAAUGAAACAAUGAAUCUUGAACAAAGCAAAACAAAACGUAAUAUUGAGAGAUUCAGUCAUUGAAGUGGACGUGGAUGUUGGGUACUCAAUAGUCCAAGAAUGAAAAUUCUCAUAUCAGUUUCUAUCCAAAAUUUUGGAAUUAUGUGUGUUGCAACGAUUGUCCAAAGGAUUAUUCUUCUUUUAUUAAAUUUCCAUGAAAAAUGAGCAUGGGGGCAUAAAAAUUGAACGAAUGAAAUUUCAACGAUUUGAAAAGGGUUGUGAGUUUGACACGUCAUUUUUCUUCCUUUAAUGCAAUCAUGUUUAUUAAAAGACAAAAAUAAAUAUGACUUUACAUAAGGAGAGAGAAAGAAUAGUUUUCUUUGAAAAAAUCAACCAUUUAUUGAAGAGGGAUGUUGAUAAGGAGAUGAGACAUUCAUUAGAAGCUAGAAAAAAGAAGUUAAAAGUGAUUUAGAAAAAAGCAAGAAAGCCACAUUUUCAAAGUGGUGGUCAUUGCACAAUACUUAAUUAGAAGAAAACUCAUAGUAUUGUAUUUACAAUUUCAAGUCUUUAUGGGGAACGAGAGUGCAAAUUUUCCAAUUGGAAUAUGAUAUGAAAUUUCUAGAUAACUAUAUAUGACAAAGAAAGAAGUCUAAGUUUCUAAGUGGUAGGGCUUCCAAUUGAUGUGAGUUUGUUGAGAAAUGUAGAUGAAGAUGAAUAUUGUUGUUGAUGUUAGUGAACAACAGAACAAGUUGCUUCUCCUUUGGCCUUCUAACAUGAUAUCACGGAAAACAAGUUGUUGCUAAUAAAUGUAUCUGAUUGGUGGACUUAGACGUGCGCGGUACGAUUUUUGAUAACGAGAAAAGAUGGACAGUGUCAUGACAAAAUUUAUCCAAGUAGACCCAAAGGAAAGACUUAGGAACUUCAUAUGCAGUGGGAUAAAAUCUUAAGCUAAUUUCCUUACCUAUUUUAUAGUCAUUAAGUAAAAUGUAUAUGUAUAUUUCUAGAUGCUGACACACCAAUGUACUUACUAUUAACUCCUUUCAAAUACCCAUUCGCAGAAACGCAAAUCUCUCUUGCAUGCUUGUUGUAAUGCUCAUGUAGUGCGUAUCUAAUAUCUUAUGUGUAUAAUUUUUUGUGAUCCAUUUUUUCAUCACUAUGCCAAAAUCCCUUUAGAAUUUGCAAUUUAUCCAUUUGGUUAUGGUAAAAAAAAAAACUCGGAAUUUCAUUUAAACUCAAAAAUCUAGAAUUGGGAAAGCAAUUUUCCCUUGUUCGGCAACUUGUAGCGAUAGCAAAGGCAAAUUGUACAGGAAAAAAGUGGAAAUUGGGGAUGAAGAUCCAAUUUUAAUUUCGUCAAAAUAAGUGUAAUUUCACAAUUCCAACAACGUUGAGAACAAAUGCAUUGCGGGGAAAUCUUGCGACCACCAAACUUUACGAUUAGAGGGCCAAAUUUCAUGAUAAAACGUAAUAAGGGUUUAGGACUGCAUCGUUCACUUUGUUAACUCUCCAAUCUUCGACGGGAUUUUCAACUCGUGCAUCAUCUUUUGCUUUGUUCUAGGUCAAAGCCUACUCUUUUCUUUCUUGAAUUAUUUUAGCUUUGAGGGUAUACUCUUUAGGCCAAUUGUGAAUUUUGCUAGUUAUUUUUAUUUUCUGAUGGUCAUAUGUUUGUUUUGUUUUUUUUUUCUUCCAAUUGAGAUGUGUAUUGGUUGGAUCAGUAACUUUUUUUUUGGAUUUUUAUUUUUAUUUUUAUGGAUUUUGGUGUUAGUUCCUUGUUAUAGAUGUUGUGGAGCAAAAAAUAAUCUCAAAAAUCGUGGAGGUGACACACGGAUUUUUGGACAAGAAUGACAAAAUUAUCCUCGAAGCACAUCAGGAUUCCCACGUGCAUGCAACGGACAAUAACGGCUCAAUCAUGGAAGAGUCAAAGGUGAUCAAUAUGGUAUUUAUUCAAAUCCCUCUCAUCACUCCUCAUCAAUCCCUUUUUUAUUUUAUUCAAAAGGUAACUCCCAAAACUUCCUAUUUAAUUUAGGGAUCAUUGUCAUGUUAAUUGCAAGAUAUUAUUUCACAAAAUAUCUUGUAAUUAUUCUUCAAUUACCACCAUGUAUGGCCGGCCACUCCUCACAUUAUGGGCCGGUCACUCCUCACCCUAUGGGUCGGCCACUCCCUAUAAAUAGCCCUAUUAUUCCACUAAUAAGGAAGCCAUUUGCUACCCACAAACUCCUAAACACAUUCUUUCAGAAUUCUAACUUUGGCAUUGGAGAUUCUUAGGCCAAAUCCCCCCUCCCAUUCAUCAUGGGCGCAUAAGGCUUUUGGCCUUAGUCUUAGGUAUUAUUAUUUUGCAGGUGCAUUUUUGUCAAAGACGAAGAUGGUGAAAAUUUGCAUCCACAAAUUGGUGUUUUCAUUGAGAGUUUGAUUCAUAAGCUCGAAGAAGACUCACAUUCAAAGUUUCACAUUUCUCAUUCAUAAGUAAAUUUUUCAUACGUUCUUAUUCCUAAAAUUUUUUAAAUCUUUGAAUAGACGUAUGAGAGAAAUACAAUGGCUAGAAAUUUAGAAACCACGACGAACGAAACUUCCUACGUUCAAAGAUCCAGAUAAAAUGAUGGAAAUUGCGAUGUAGCCCCACCACGACGAUCCACGAAGCUCAACGUGGUGGCAAAAUGAGUAACUUGGCCACCACGGAGUACCACCACCACCAUAGCCAAGGCAACCCAUGUUGCAGUGGGGAGUGGGACAGCUUCAUGGCAGCAAAGCCACGAAGCAACAAUAAAUGCCAUCUUGCAGUAAUGAGCCCAGGCCCGUGUCACAAGGCAGUCAACCCAGCGCUAGGUAACCUAGAUCUAGUAGGCCCACGACGUUGCCAUAGCAGCUGAGGCCUAAAGCAAGGCCCAAACAGUUGCGGUUGCGGCAAAUGGAGCAGCACAACACUGGCGGGGCCAAUGCACCCUUGGCCUAAUGCUAAGCAGGCUAAAUCGCACCACACCCACUAUUCAAACUAACCCUAAGUUGAGUAAGUAGCAUUGAAGGUUGUCAACCGCAAGGCGUUGAAGUACGAAUAAAGUUACACACCCCGCACAUGACUUGGCCCACUUCCGCGGCCCAACUUGCUCGCAAGGUCCACCUAGUGAUCCCGACUAGUCGAAGGCCAGUUUAAUCAUCCCAUCUUCAGAUUUCUGGACUGACGAUUGAAUCGGGGGUAUUUUCACCCCGAUUUUCUACAGAUUUGACAUAUCUCAACUCAAAUCUCGCACUUGGAGUCCAUUGCACUUCCAUUACUCAAGGAGACGCAUACCAUUUAAGAUCUUCCAUCCCAAAUGGCGAACAACACUUGUCUCGACAAGUCAUAGAGUUGACAUGCGCUUUUGCGCAGUAGACGACCUUAGUGAAUCAGCUCUUGCAACGCACAUAGAUGCAGUGUGCCCCAGACGAUGUGUCCCGAAGUAAGACAAGUACAGAUGACGAUUCUCUCCAGCAGCGUCCCAACAAGCAGCCGCUCGACUAGCCACGAACCGAGCGUUCUGGCAGUGUACACUCCCGUCUAGGUCCUCAAGAAAGCGUAUACUCUCGUCUUAGCGCGCGAAUGAGCGUGCACUCAUGGUUAGGCCUAUGGACGAGCAUACAUUCACGGUUGGGACCAUACUCUUAUAAUUAACAUGGACAACCUGCUAGACGAAGUGUUCAUUCGCGGCUAGGCCCGCAAAAAGCAUUUUCCACCUCAUAUUGGAGUAAGCAGCACAGAAGACGAAGAUAAGCAGUCAAUUAAUCUGGCUCAAAUUCAAUCGGCCACCUGUAAGUAACCAGUUCGCCUGCCAAGAACGUAUCAUAUGCAAUGUAGCCACGACAUAGACUAGAUGAGCACAACGAUAAGCAACCUAGACUAACAGGUUACGACUGGGGGCAGCCAGAAGCUCUGCUGCCCCAAUAGAGGUAAAUUUAGAAAGAAGUUGAGAGGCUCAUGACCGAACAAUUGUGCGAUUUCCAACGCAACGAAGCUACUGACAAGGCGCUUAAACGAUACACGACCAACAUAAAUGGGUCACCUUUUAUUGACAAGAUUGAGCAGACAGAACCAUCCUACAUACACUGGCGGAUACAAAGAUUACAUCUAUUUUAACAUAUGCAUCAACUCAGCCUAAUGGCGUGUCGAGGGCAAAUGGGUACCAGAAUGGCACACCAGCCCAACCACCAAGAACCAGGGCCAAAUCUUAUUUUCAUCACUCCACACGAUUCAAUACUUGAGCAGCACAUCACCAGUAAUCGAGCACCGCAGACCUAAUGGUCCAAUUCCUCCUGAUGCACACAAGCUCACCCCAGCUCCACGCUCAAAGCCUUGCCUACCUGCUCCACAACACUCAGCCACCCUUGAUUUGUCACCAUGGCUCACAAUUAUGCCAAUUUUGCACCACAGCUCAUAGCCGUGCUAAUCUUGCCAUGCGGCUCUUAACUACGUUAACCAAGCCCACGAUACUUUAUACUUCAAAGCAUCCAACGACGGAGUAGAACACGAGGCUCUACUAGCAGCCCCUGCUAGUGAAAGACUUUGCGGUGAAGAGGCUUCCAAUCCAUUCAAAUUCUCAGUUGACCACCUGUUGGGUUUUACGACUCAAAAUUAGGAUGAUGCAAAAAAAAUUGUGUUACCUAUUUGGUUUUGGUGUCGUAUUUGGGUUUGGAUUUUGACCUCUUAGUUGGUUUCCGUGGUGGAGAGAUUUUGUUAAUUACCUAUUUGAUUAGGAUUUGGAUUUACUUCCUAUUAAGAUUCUUAUUGUAACCUAAGUCUUAUGCACUAUAAAUAGGACCUCAGGGUUAGUGUAUUUUGUGUGGCUCAUUCGUGUGGCAAUUUGGUGAGAGUCAAUUUGUGAGUUUGUGAGUUAGAGAGCAAUUUGGGAGAAUCUUCUCCGUUAGUUUUGGGUUCUCUACUCGUUUGGUUUAGGGUUUGUAAUUUGUGGGAUUUGGAUUGUGAGAGUCUGAACACUAUUUUGUAAUCUCCGUUUGUUUAGUGAAAUUUCUUGUCAUGCUUCGCUCGUGGACUUAGAUUUUACACCGAACCACAUAAAUCUCUUGUGUUAGUUUGAGAUUGUUUGUUUUAGUUUUCACCUACGACGUUGAUAUCGGUACUUUGUUAGAAUUCGCUUUCCUUUGCUCAUAAAAGUACAACAAGUGGUAUCAGAGCCCGGCUUUCGGCUUGGGCUUUGCUUGGCAAUCACUAUGAAGCCUUCUGUGUCGUCGGUGAAAGUUGAUAUUGAAAAGUUCGAUGGCAAUGACUUUGGUAUUUGGCAAUUGAAGAUGCGUACUUUGUUAAUUCAACAAGAGCUUUUAAAAACGCUAAAGGGUGUGAAGGCUUUCCUGAAUUCGUGGACUGAUGAAGAAAAAAAAAGAUGUUAUGGAGCGGGCACUUGGAACAAUCCUGCUAACUUUAUCGAAUGAAGUCUUGCGUCAAGUUGGUAGCAUCAAAUCUGCACCGAAGUUGUGGCUAAAAUUGGAGAGUUUGUAUAUGACCAAAUCCCUUGCUAAAUGGUUGUAUUUGAAGAAAAGUUUGCGUACUCUUCGUAUGGAUGAAGGUACGUCAAUUCAUAAGACCAAAUCCUUAUUGCUGCCAAAAGUCCUCAACAGUUCCAAGGGAGAUGGGUAAGAGUUCGUAAUAGUGAGAGAUUGAAUCUUUUCACACUCGGCCAAAUUUUAAUUUUAAUUAGAUGAAACAAUGAAUCUUGAACAAAGCAAAACAAAAUUUAAUACUGAGAGAUUGAAUCAUUGAAGUGGACGUGGAUGUUGGGUACUCAACAGUCCAAGAAUGAAAACUCUCAUAUAAGUUUUUAUCCAAAAUUUUGGAAUUAUGUGAGUAUUGCAACGAUUGUCCGAAUGAUUAUUCUUCUUUUAUUAAAUUUCCAUGGAAAAUGAGCAUGGGGCACAAAAGUUGAACGAAUGAAAUUUCAAUGAUCUGCAAAGGGAUUGUGAGUUUGACAUGCCAUUUUUCUUCCUUUUAUGCAGUCAUGUUUAUUAAAAGACAAAAAUAAAUAUGACUUUACAUAAGGAGAGAGAAAGAGUAUUUUUCCUUGAAAAAAUCAACUAUUUAUUGAAGAGGAUGUGGAUGUUGAUUGAUGCGCAUUGUGAAUAGGAAAAAAAUAACCUUGAAGGGAGACGAGACAUUCAUUAGAAGCUAAAAAAAAGUUAUAGUGAUUUAGAAAAAAAAAGUUUUAACGAAACAUUUCCGGUACUGUUUACUCUUUACGAAAAACCACAUUUUUACCUUUCCUAACUACUAUUCACUACAUCUUUAUUUAUCAUUUUUCAUUAAAACUAAAGUUUUUGUUUUAACUUUUCGUUAGUUUCCUUUAGAAAAAAGCAAGAAAGCCUCAUUUUCAAAGUGGUAGUCCUUGAAACAAUACUUGAUUAGAAGAAAAGUCAUAGUAUUGUAUUUACAAUCUCAAGUCUUGAGGGGUAACGAGAAUGCAAGUUUCUAAUUGGAAUAUGAUAUGAAAUUUCUACAUAACUAUAUAUGACAAAGAAAGAAGUCUAAGUUUCUAAGUGGAAGGGCUUCCAAUUGAUGUGAGUUUGUUGAGAAAUGAAGAUGAAGAUGAAUAUUGUUGUUGAUGUGAGUUAGUGAACAACAGAACAAGUUGCUUCUCCUUUGGCCUUCUAACAUGAUAUUACCGGAAAACAAGUUGUUACUAGUAAAUGUAACUGACUGGUGAACUAAGACAUGCGGUACGAUUUUUGAUAACUAGAGAAGAUGAACAGUGUCGUGACAAAAUUUAUCCAAGUAGACCCAAGGGAAAGACUUAGGAACUUCAUAUGCAGUGGGAUAAAAUCUUAAGCUAAUUUCCUUUUUAAUCUUAUAGUCAUUAUGUAAAAUGUAUAUGCAUAUUUCUAGAUACAUACACACCAAUGUACAUAAUAUUAACUCCUUUUAAGUAGUCAUUUGCAAAUCCCUCUCGAGUGCUCUUUGGAAUGCUCAUGUGGUGCCGUUCUAAUCUCUUAUAUAUAACUUUUUGUGAUCCAUUUUUUCAUCAAUAUGCCAAAAUCCCUUUAGAAUUUGCAACUUAUCUUUUUGGUUACGGUAAAAAAAAAACUCGGAAUUUCAUUUAAACUCGAAAAUCUAGGGAUGUGAAAGCAAUUUUCUCUUGUUCGGCAACAUGUAGCGAGAGCAAAGGCAAAUUGUACAGGAAAAAGUUAGAAAUUUGGGAUGAAGAUUCCCAAUUUUAAUUUCGUCUAAAUAAGUGUAAUUUCACAAUUCUAACUACGAUGAGAAUCACAAAUAUAUUGCAGGGAAAUCUUGCGACAACCAAACUUUACGAUUAGGGUGCCAAAUUUCGUGAUAAAACCUAAUAAGGGUUUAGGGCUACAUUGUUCACUCUGUUAACUCUCCAAAUCUUCGACGGGAUUUUCGGCUCGUGCAUCAUCUUCUUGCUUUGUUCUAGGUCAACGCCUCUACUCUCUUCUUUCUUGUAUUAUUUUAGCUUUUCAGGUAGACUCUUUAUGGCUGUUGUGAAUUUUGCUAGUUAUUUUUAUUUUCUGAUAGUCAUUUGUUUGUUGUGCGUUUUUCCUUCCAAUUGAAUUGUGUAUUGGUUGGAUUUGUAACAUUUAUUUUUUUUAUUUUAUUUUAUGGAUUUUGGUGUUAGUUCUUUGUCAUGGAUGUUGUCCUUUUGAAGGUUAACAAUAGCCAAGACUAAACAUGAUGAUUUUGGUGUUAAUUACUUUCUCAUGAUACUAAUGCCAUAUUGUUCUCUAUUUUGCACUCACAAGUAAAGAGAAAUAUCCUAGACCCUAACUGGAUAUGUUAUUGUCAUGGUCAUGCAUUGGUAUGGUAACAAUAUGUUUGGAUAAGGAAAAUAAACUUAGAAUUUGACAAAAGAUAAAAUUUAUAAAUUGAUACAAUCAAUUCCUUUGUUUAGAUUCAUAAACAUAGAAAUUUAAACUUUCCGCGUGAGAAAAAACUUGGAAUUUGGGACCUUCAAUUCUCAUGUUUAAAUUUUAUGUAAAUAGGUGUCAUUUCUAAAUUUCAGUAAGUGAGAAUUUAAAAAUAACAAACAUGUAUUCAAAUUUCAUUCAUCUUUUAGGUUAACCAAACAAGAAAUUUUAUAAAUUCUAGAAAAUAAAAUUUCGUUAUUUCAAUUUCUGUUAUUUUAAAAUUAGUAAUCUUAAAUUUUCUCAUCCAAACAAAAAGUUUCCUUGUCAUAGAACUUUCAAUUGGGAUCAAGGAAGACAAUCUUUUCACAACUGAUUAUUCUCACCAAAUUUUAUUAUUAUUUUAAAGCAGAUCAAUACCAAACUUCAAAAGCAAAGUAGGAAGGCUAAAAUUAAGGUGAAGAACCUACUUCCACUAAUUACCAUGGGAGGGAGAGAGAGAGAACCAAGCGAGAGAGAAGAGAGAGAAAACACCAAGUAGUAUUAUAAUAUAGGUGGGGUUAAAUCACCUUUCGUGAAGUUGUAGUAAGAGCAGCUCCAGCGGGAGCUCCAACUUGAUGUACCGGUGAGAUUUCCUACCCAAUAGCCCCAGCUCCUUGCUCCAGUCCAUGCGGGUGAUUGGGCUGAGGGGGGCCGAGUGAGAGGCCUGACUCGAAUCGGUGGCCUGAGAGCCUGAGACCAAAAAUUAUCUUUUUGGAUAAUGACACGUGGUGCAACGAGAACGAUUAAAAAUCUUAUCCGAAAUUACAAAUAGAAUUAUUUUGUAUUAUUUUAUAAAAUAAAAAAUACUAAUAUUUUAUUGCUUAUUGACAUGACUAUUCAAUUACGGGUGGAGAUGCAGAAGACAAUUAUUAUUCAUUAAAGGUAAUUAUUGUUCAUUGGAGGGGAUUGAAUAUGAAGUUGCACUAGAAGGCCUUUGUCACGGCAAUAGGCAAUUACUGUUCUAAGGACUUCUAUCCUAGAAGAGAGACAAAAACACCAAGUAGUAUUAUAAUAUAGGUGGGGUUAAAUCACCUUCCGUGAAGUUGCAGAUAGAGUAAGGACUUCUAUCCUAGAAGAGAGACAAAAACACCAAGUAGUAUUAUAAUAUAGGUGGGGUUAAAUCACCUUCCGUGAAGUUGCAGAUAGAGUAAGGACUUCUAUCCUAGAAGAGAGACAAAAACACCAAGUAGUAUUAUAAUAUAGGUGGGGUUAAAUCACCUUCCGCGAAGCUGCAUUAAGGACUUCUAUCCUAGAAGAGAGACAAGAACACCAAGUAGUAUUAUAAUAUAGGUGGGGUUAAAUCACCUUACGUGAAGUUGCAGUAAGGACUUCUAUCCUAGAAGAGAGACAAAAACACCAAGUAGGAUUAUAAUAUAGGUGGGGUUAAAUCACCUUACGUGAAGUUGCAGAUAGAGUAAGGACUUCUAUCCUAGAAGAGAGACAAAAACACCAAGUAGUAUUAUAAUAUAGGUGGGGUUAAAUCACCUUCCGUGAAGUUGCAGUAAGGACUUCUAUCCUAGAGAAAAGUCGGUCAAUGGUGUUUGACACAGUCAGUCAACGAUAAAGACAGAAUUGUGUAACCAUAAUUCUCUCUCUAUCUCUUUUUCAUUAACGGAGGACAGUGUAUAAUUACUACGUAUACAUCUCUGCUCAAUUAUUGAAAAGAAAAAUCCAUGUGCAUUAUUUUUAUUAUUAUUAUCUCAGAAAUGCAGAAAUUGAUCAUCUCUUCCUUCUGCAUAUUGAUACUGGUUUUCUUCAAACUAGUUGAAGCAAGCCAAUAUGUGUGCGCGAAAUCCAACUGUAGCAAUGAUCAACGCCCGGCUAUCCAUUUCCCAUUGAACAUCAGGCGCACACAUCAUUGUGGAAAUUCUGGGCUUGAAUGCAAUGGGAGAUAUGGGCAGCAAAUACUAAUAAAAUUAUUUGUCAAACACAUUGAUUACAAGCGUCAGGAAAUCCAAGUCUAUUCCCCAAGUAACUGCCUGCUGCUAAAGCAUGUUGAAAUCCCAAACAUGCCACCCUCUCCCUUCAACGUGUCAGUCGAUGACUACAUGAGUACCCUUACCUUAUUCAGUUGUCCUACUUCUGUUGCAAGACGAGAUACGUAUCAAGUCCCCUGCCUCGGCGACCCUGGCAAGAAAACUUAUGCCAUUCGUUCUUACUAUGAUUUUGGAACUCUCUUCCAGAAUCUACAAUCCUGUACAAAAAUGUAUGAUGUUUUAUCAGUUCCAAUAGCCUAUGAAUAUUAUGUUUUUCGUUUCAAAUGGUCUAUACCAAAUUGCAGAAAAUGUGGAGAGGGAAAGAAGUGUGGAUGGCAGAACAAUGAAAUUAAAUGUCUUCCCUGGAGGAAACCAAGUAAGGAUAACAUAUGUAUUCAUUGCUAGUUUUAAACAUCUUUACAUUUAUGUCUUAGUAAUUAUUAUUUGAAGGAUGUUGUCCAAUCCAUUUUUACUAGGAAUAUUACCUGACAGUCUCGUUUAAAUUCGCAAUGAUCUUCUACAGGCAACACAUGGAAAAAAGUGGUUACAGGUGGAAUCCUGUGUGCUUUGCUUCUUGUUCUACUGACGAUUGCAGCAUAUCGGGUAUAUAGCGCUGAUAGAAAGGAGAAAGAGAGUCGAUUAAGAAUUGAAAGAUUCUUGGAGGACUACAAAGCACUCAAACCAAGCAGGUAUUCGUACGCAGAUAUUAAGAGGAUUACAAAUCAAUUCAAGGACAAGUUGGGCCAAGGAGCCUAUGGAACUGUCUUCAAAGGAAUGCUCUCUUCUGAAUUUUUUAUUGCUGUCAAAGUCCUCAACAGUUCCAAGGGAGAUGGGGAAGAGUUCGUAAAUGAAGUGCGAACGAUGGGUCAUAUCCACCAUUUAAACGUGGCUCGCUUGGUUGGAUUUUGUGCUGAUGGAUUUGUACGAGCUCUUGUUUACGAGUUCUUCCCCAAUGGUUCCCUGCAGGAUUUCAUUUCAUCUGCAGAUAGUAAGAAUUCAUUUCUUGGUUGGGAUAAACUGCAAGAUAUUGCCCUAGGCAUAGCCAAAGGAAUUGAAUAUCUUCACCAGGGAUGCGAUCUACGAAUCCUGCAUUUCGACAUCAAACCCCAUAAUGUUUUGCUAGACCAAAACUUCACUCCAAAAAUUUCUGAUUUUGGUAUGGCCAAGUUAUGUUCCAAGGAUCAAAGCUUGGUGUCCAUGACUACAGCUAGGGGGACCAUGGGCUACAUUGCACCUGAAGUGUUCUCCAGGAAUUUCGGAAAUGUGUCUUACAAGGCAGAUGUCUAUAGCUUUGGAAUGCUGCUGCUUGAGAUGGUAGGAGGAAGGAAGAAUAUUGGUUCAAUCACGGAUAACACUACAAAUGAAAUUUACUAUCCACAGUGGAUUUAUAAUCUUCUAGAGGAAGGGGAUGACCUACGAAUCCACAUUGGGGAAGAAGGAGAUGGUAAAAUUCCAAAGAAACUUGCAAUUAUAGGGCUAUGGUGUAUCCAAUGGCACCCGUCGGAUCGUCCUUCCAUGAAAAUAGCGGUUCAGAUGUUAGAAGGAGGAGGAGAAAGCUUGAGUAUGCCGCCUAAUCCCUUUGUGCCUACUGGUUCUACAACUAGGAAUGCAAGACGCCUAGAGCUAGAAGCUAUUGCUGAAUUAGAGUAAAAUGUAUAUGCAGAUAUGUAGACGUAUAGAUAUAGUAAUAUUUAUAUUGAAUAAGAGGCCGUUUGAUAACCAUUUCGUUUUCAGCUUUUAAUUUUUAUUUUUCACUUUUUUGAAAACUAAAAACUAAAAUCUUGUUUGGUAAAUACUUUUAGUUUAAAAAAAUUAUGAAGACUGAGAACUAAAAUGUGAAAGCUCAAAGGAAGUAGAUUAAAAGUAGUUACCAAACAAACUGGAAUCUCAAUAAUAAAAAAAGAUUGAAUUGCACAAUGCAAUCCAAACCAAUCAAAACAUUAAAAUAGCAAAAAAAAAUUAAAAUUCUAGUUGAUUAGAUUCUAAACGUAGUAAAAAUGAACAGAUCCAAUGAAAAAACAAAAAAUUCUCAAAUAAAAAUAGGGAUAAAGUAAAAUAUUUAUAAAUAGCUCUUUGUCUCUUAUGUCAUCAAUUAUUUCUAUAGUAUAUACAGGUUUUUGGAAAAAUUAGGUUCUCAUCCCUUAUUUUCAUAUUACAUUGAUUGAAAUCUUAUUAUUUUUCUAUUUUAGAUCAAGGUCCCUUGACUUAUUCCAUGUCAUCAUUUUAGUAUUUAAAAUAUUACACGUCAUCAUAAACGAAAUCUCAUCCCUUUCUGCAUUUAAGGCAAAAUAAACUAUAUGAGUAAGUUUAAAACAAGGAAAAUCCAUUUGAACUCCUCCAUUCUUCUUCUUCCCUUAUGCACAUCUGGAAUCUACAACACCCCAAACCCAAUUUUCUCCAUUUUUUCUCCAUUCCUGAAUUGAUCCAAUGCAUAUAUGUUGAAUAAACCUAUUGUGAUUAAAAUACAAAUUAGCAUCAAUGGUUUUAUCGGCUUGUGAGAUUUGUGUGGCAUAGGCAAGGCAAUGCAGGCAUUGCUUUCUCAAGGAAUCUGGUUGAUUCAAACAUGCAGAGACUGUAGAGUGAGCGGGCUAUGUGAAAAUUGUACCAUUCUGAAGUCAUUUUCUUUUGUUCUUUAUAUUUUUUUUCUUUUUCUUUUAUUAUUAUAUAUUAGUCUUGGUUAUUCAAUGUCUGGUUGGCUACACUUAUAUCCAUGGGUACAUUUUUAAUCUACAUGUUUCGUUCUAAUAUAUCUAUUGCUAUAAUAUGUUUUGGUUGGUUCAAAUUUGUUUUACAUAAAUAUAUGGGUACAAAGUUUUUGGAGAAUAUUAUGUAAAAUGGUUUUUAAGGUUGCUGCAUUUUACGUUCCCACAUAUGCAUGUCUAUAAAACAAUGUGGUAUGAUGUACAUUCUUUUCUUUGAGUUUUUAAAUGUACCCAUGAGUUUUCUUGUAAAUUCGUAUGUACCCAUAUGCUAUUUAUGUUAUGGGUACAUACAUUAUUUUUGGUCUAAGUUCAGGAUACAUUGCUUUUGUAUGUAUGAAUUCAUGGGGUACAUUAUUUCCCUUAAUACUACUCAAUAAAAUUCACAAAAAUAUGUGUAGUGUGCAUGAUUUUUUAUUGUAGAAAUUGUUUGUUUUUUUUAAGUCUCAUAAUUCAUGAAAUUUGUACAUAUAUGAUCCCAUAAAUUUUUUAAUUUUAUUAAAUUUCUGUUAGACUUGAUCGAUUGAUUGAAUCUCAUAAUACUAGGAUUUUGAAUUACAUAAAUUCUUGGAUUUGAAUCCCUUAAAUGUUGGACUGCAAUCAAUAUUUUAAAUUACAGUUUUUUGUUUAAGAUAUCAAAAAGAUGACAUGGGAAUAUAGUAAUACUAAAAUGCUGAGGUGUACAAAGUCAAGGGACUUUGAUCAAAACAUAAAAAACAAUAAGAUUUCAAUCUAACAAUUGAAUUGACUAGGGACCGGAACCAAAAUGACCCUAGAUUUUUAUUGAGUUUAAUCUUAAUCAAAAAAAGACUUCUUGUAUCACAGAAAAUACAAGAACCAUUAUUUGAAUGAAAUAAAAGCUAUGGGAUGGAGAUAUAAAUGGAUCCUUUUAUUCACAAUCGGAUUAUAUUUAUUUGAUACACUGUUGUCAAUAUGAAUGUUGAGAAAAGACUACAAAAGAAAAAACAAUUUAUAAAUAUAACUAAAAAUUCCAAUUUCAAUCAAUUAGAUAAUUAGAAUUAUAAGAAGAAAAAAAACAGAAAUCUCAGUUUUCAGUUUAAAAAAAAAUGAAAACAAAAACUGAAAACUGAAAACAAAAUGGUUAUCAAAGCCGUCCAAAUAAUAGAAGUUUGUUUCCACUCUUUGUUUAAGCAUAGAUGCCAAUUUUUGUUUAUCAUUUUUUUAACCUCUAUUUUUUGUUACAGUAGAAGCCCUAGAAGGAAAUCGAGCACUGGACUUACCAAACUCUUAACUUAUUUCUACACACCAAGAGCUUGAUUUCGGUUCUUAUUUAUACUAUUUAAGCUAUAAGCCGUGAUAAGAAUUAGAGAACUAUCAUUUGUUGUGAGCUUCAAUUGGUUAGCACUUUGUAUGUUUUCAUUAGAAUUUAUAUUUCACUUAGACUUUCUUAUUAAAAAAGGGAUCAUUUGGUGACUUCACCAUGACAGUCCAAUUUUAUGGGGGCCAUGAGUACUCACAAAGGUAUUUCAGCCUCCCCCUAUAUCUACCGUCGCGUGAUUCACCAUUGCCGGGAAUCGAACUCAAGACGUGUUGUAUAGAAUACAAGCCUAAAAUUCGUUUCUAACCACUGAGUCACCCCGCGUUUGAUUAUAUUUCACUUAGACUUAUCUUGCGGUAUAGCAUGUCAUCCCCGCCCAAGUUUUUCUGUUCGCAUUGAGUUUGGGAUACCAAAACUUGCCAAACAAAGUAGAUUGAUUAGUAAGCGAAGCUAAUUAUUCGACUAAACAUUGUUUAGAAUUUUAAUUAAAAGAAACAAUAUGAAUCUGUUUUUUUUUUUUUUUUUUGACAAACUAUAACGUUAAGGAGUUAAAUUGUUAGUUGUUAAGAGUACAGGGAUAGGUGAGGAUCGAACCUCCACCAGAGUGCAUAGACAUUAUUGGUUCUACAACUGCGGUAAAUCACAUAAAACAAAACGUAAUACUUUGAGGAUGGAAGACACUUCGUGGAUAGCGGGCAAUCAACACUAUCAGUCGCUAUCCAAAACUUGGAAUUAUGUUUAUUGUCCGAAGGAUUUUUCUUCCAUUAAAUUGCUAAGGAAGAUGAGGAUGGGUGGAGUGUCUAAAUGUCAAGGUUGAUAAGAAAGUGUAUGGUGUUCAGCAUGCGAUUGAGAUUUGUUGAGUGGCACAACAAACCACAUAAAAUUUUCUAAAUGAUAAGCAAUGAUAAGCUUGAGUAUAAUUUUUUACCACGUAUUUAUCUUUAAAAUCAUUAUAAUUAGAUUUUCUCUUAAUUAAUAUAGACCGUUAGAUUGACCCAAGUUUUUUUCCUCUUUUCUUUCCCCUCGUUUUUUUCUUCUCUGAUUUUCCAUUCACCGUGUAGCAGUCGUUCUUCCCCAACUAAGUUUCUUAUUUUUCUUCACAAAAAAAUUGUAGAAAAUAUUAAGAAAAGAAAAGUCAUCAAUAUCAGACUCGAUCAGGUAAUCGUUCCAACCUUCCCAGCAACUCUCAGUCUUAACAAGGCACCAAAUUUUCUCCGCCACCUAACUCGUCAUUCAUUCAUGGGUGUUUCAAGCUUGGUGAAAAUUGAUAGAGUUCCAUGUGUGUACAGGGAUGUGAACAUAUUGGCCACUCUCUAAGAAUGAGUCAUUGGAAAAGUUGAAGGAAAGAUGUAACCGAUGAAAUUAAUGGAUUGGAAUUACAAUGAAGUCUGUGUUGGUUUAUCACAAAGAACCCAGAAACAAAAUUUUAAAAGCAAACAAUUACAACUUCUCAAAUAUUAUGUAACAAACUUUCAAUGAAAUGUUGCUCAUAAUUGAAAAAAGGUUGACGAAGGACGGAGUUGGGAUUAUUUUAGAUGGGGAAGAGUUAAAAGAAGGAAGCACCAUUUAAUUACUAAAAGUAAUUGGAGAAAUGGUAAUUCAAUGGUGGGCGUUUUUAAGGUGUGGACCUUGUGUCACACCCCGAUCCCAACAUACAUUGAGGAUCGACACCUGACAUGGGGACCUAGGGGACAUAAAUCUUACGUAAGAUACAGAAUGAAAUACUAUAAAUAAUAUCCCAAAAUGAAUAUGAUAGUGGGUUCACCCCCUAUAAAAUAUAUACAAGUUUGUACAUUCACAAAAAAAAAAAAAAAAAAAACACACACACACACACACAAAACUCUUGCUAGGCCAAGACUUGCCCAUGGUUCUCAAAGGAAAGUCCUAAAAGAAAUAGUACAAUGAAGGAUAAAGGGGUAACCUAAACACUCCAAGUCUCUGAUCUCUGCACUGCUACCCCCACCGGCUCCUCGUAAUCUACCUCAGACCUGUCACUUGUACAAACAGUGCCUACAUUGUGGGAAUGGUGCACCGGGCAAACAAAAACCCAGAUAAGCUGCAAAACUCGUGUGGUAGCCGGCCUGGGACAUGGGAGGGGGCCGAGUCUUUCAGAAACCCUUGGGUCAUUGAUCUUCAAGCUUACAUGGAUGGGAUUGUCUCGACGUUGCUUUAGGAAGUCUCGACAGUCGUGAAAGACGGCUUUCGAUCCUUCCACUCCUUCUGUAAGAAGGUGUCUUCCUCCACUCCUUCUGCUUCGGGUUGAAGCAGCUGGGUUGAGAGAAGUCUCAUGUUGGUCGCGAUUUCGAUGAGUAGCUCGCUCCUCAACAGGAAUACCCAUGUCGAGGGAAAAUGAGCCUCUGUGUUGGAGGCACCCAGUUGAUGGUUGACUUCCACAGGGGUGAUGAGCUCGUGUGUUUUAGUAUAUCUAGCCUCGUGGAGCAUCUCGAAGACCUUUUCAUACUGCUCUUGGAGGAUCUCAUUCUUCAUCGCUAUCUUGUUGUUCUGAGCCUCCAGCUCAUCGACUUUAGCCUGAAGAGCAAACUUCUUUUGUUCCUUCUUUCGUUGUUUCGCACCAGGUGUAAGAGGGGUGUCAUUCUGUGUGCCGUGGCUUCCUUCGCUCCCCAUGUUAGAGAGGGAUGCCUGGUCAAAAGAGAGAGUACGAAUGGUGGAAACCAGCUUGGCAAAGCUAAAGAGAGUGGGAAUAAGUGUCGUUCCCACAGACGGCGCCAAAUGUUGAUGCACAAAAUCAGUGAGGACUUUGGUACAACAGAAAGUGUUAAGUUUGUGUCCUUCGCUAGAUUGGUCCGGUCAUUAGUGUGGAUAAGUAUGUAAAUGGAUAGGGACAGGGAAGCAAACACAAGAUGUAUGUGGUUCACCCAGAUUGGCUAUGUCCAUGGAGUGGAAGAGUUCUCAUUAAUUGUGAAGGGUUUACACAAGUACAUAGGUUCAAGCUCUCCUUUAGUGAGUACAAGUGAAUGAUUUAGUACAAAUGACAUUAGGAAAUAUUGUGGGAGAAUGAUCUCCUUUUAUAGAAUAGUUUCUAGCUUUGUUCUGACAUUGACACGUGUCAUGCUGUGAUUGGCUUUUGAUGUUGACAUGUGUCGCAUUGUGAUUGGCCUCCUGGUUUGAGGGAAACUCUUCUGGGUCCUUGACAGUAUAACGUUGACAGGUGCUCAGUAGUUUCGGGAUUGGUCAAGUAUGGUACAAACAAAGUCACUGAAAACUUCGAAGGAGUCACCCAGACAUCCAACGACUUUUCUAAAUCAAAUCUCAGAGAUUCCCAAAACUAUCGUUCACAAAUACACUAAAAACUAAGGCUAGAGUGACACAGUUUGGCCAAAGCCUACAUAAGUAACCAAAUAAGAAGUGGCCCCCCCAUAGCGGAUUAAUCAAGUAGAGCCACUCCUGAGAAAGUAACCAAGUAGGUAGUGACCCCAUCACGAAUUAACCAAGCAGAGUCACUCCUACGAAACUGUUAGGUAGUGAUCACCCAUCGCGGAUUAACUAAGCAUGAUCACCCCUAAGUACGUAUGGCCAUACCUAAGAAAUAAGGAUCGCCCAUCGCGGAUUAACUAAGCAUGAUCACCCCUAAGUACGUAUGGCCAUACCUAAGAAAUAAGGAUCGCCCAUCGCGGAUUAACCAAGCACAAUCCAAAAAUAUUAUGGGUCCCCUAUCGCGGAUUAACCAAGCAGGACCAUCCAUGUACCACUGCUACAUGGUGCAGAUUCGGUGUCACCUAACCCCGUGACACUAGGGUAACGGUCCUCUACUAGCCCUCACGUUUUUCAAACAUUUCAAAUAUAUAAUUUAAAACACAAUUCAUAAACAUUUCGAAUAGGGAAGUCACAUAGUGUUUAAUAAUGUAGGUCAAUGGAAAACUUUAAAAACAAUUAUUUAGCAUAAAACAUAUUUUAGAAAUCCAUGCUGUAUCCACAAAGUAUACUAGCACGGGAGAUUUUCAGGGUAAUAACUCUAUCACAUAUAUUAAAGUCACUCACCUGGAGUCCGCACUAACGCACCCUAGCACGAAUAUCAAGAUGUCACGUACUAUCAUUUGUAACAUCCCACAUCAACCAACAGAGAGGGGGUGAUGUGUCUUAUAUGUACAUGCCCACCUCUAUAGCACGAGGCUUUUUGGGAGCUCAUUGGCUUCAUAUUCCAUCGGAACUCCAAAGUUAAGCGAGUUUGGGCGAUAGUAGUCCAAGGAUGGGUGACCCACUGGAAAGUUCUCGUGUGAGUUCCUAGAAACAAAACCGUGAAGGCGUGGCCAGGGGGGCCAAAGUGGACAAUAUUGUGUUACGACGGAAUUAAGACUGAGAUGUGACAGAAUGGUAUCAGAGCCGCUCUGCCGCGUGGUGCAAGUGUGCCGAAGAGGACAUCGAGCCCCUAAGGGGGGUGGAUUGUAACAUCCCACAUCGACCAACGAAGAGGGGGUGAUGUGCCUUAUAUGUACAUGCCCACCUUCAUUUAGCACGAGGUCUUUUGGGAGCUCACUGGUUCCGGGUUCCAUCGGAACUCCGAAGUUAAGCGAGUUCGAGCGAGAGCAUUCCCAUGAUGGGUGACCCACUGGGAAGUUCUUGUGUGAGUUCCCAGAAACAAAACUGUGAGAGCAUGGCCGGGGCCCAAAGCGGACAAUAUCGUGUUAUGGCGGAGCCGAGAUUGGGAUGUGACAUCGUCACCUAAGACAAAGUACAAGUCCACAUUUAGAGUUCUUCGAGUAUUCACAUAAUCAAAAAUUUACAUACGCACCCUACAACUAAUGAAGAGAAAUCGAGACACGUUGACAAAAAGUCAACCGUCGAUCAACGGUAGGGUCCACAACCCUACGUAACUUAAUCCGUAAGAUCCAGCCACUGUAUUUGUGAUUCAUAAGUUCCUAAGGUCCUCAAAUCUUACGUACAAUAACAUACUAAACUUUAGUGACGAUCUAAUGGUCGAAUCAUCAUUUACUAUAAUGUUCAAAUGACGCAAAUUCGUCAAUCGGAUGUCAAAUAUGGAAUCGGUCAUCGAAUUUAGCCUAGGAAGAUCAAGUGGUGUCUCAAGCCACGCACCACCAUGCGCAGCAGUUGGCAACCCAGAUUCGUCGAAAAAAUCACCUGAUUCCAAAAUGAAUGUCGUGAGACGUGGAGUAAAUUGUAUACCUGUGAGAAGCCCAAUUUGGCCAGGAAGUGGCCUGAAAUCACUUUAGACCGUCGGAAACCCUAAAAUAGGUGAAUCUCGAUUAGUCAUCUCUGGUAUUCCACCGUCCUCAAACUUGUUUAGGGUUCUCAAAAAAAUGCUAAUGAUGAUGGUGAUUGAAGGAGAACGUUUCAGAAAUAGUGAAUCGCCGGCGAGGGUUUCACGGAAUCGACAUGGGUGUUCCUCGUGGAACCAAGACCAAAUCUCAACGGUUUUGGCUAGAAAUGGAUGCUGGGAUGUCGUGGUGAGGUUUGGUAUUGAUGGGAGGUCGAAGAAAGUCAAAAAAAUCGACGAAAAAACUGUCGUCGGAGUCACAGGAAACGUGUUAGAAAAAUGAGUCGCCGAGUUUGAAACGGGUCGAAGGCUUUUGGGACAGCUACUUAAUCUCUCUUCUCUGAUUAGUCACUCCACUCACUCUCUCAUUUGAUUGGUCCAGCCUUCCCACAUGGUGGGAGUUCCCUCAUAUAGUAACCCAAAAUUUACUAUUUAAAUUUGGUAUCAAACGUCCGUAACUUUUUUGUUAUAGUUCCGAUUCACAAACGGCUUUCGCCUACGCGCUCGUAUGAUCGAAUUAUACUUGAAAACAUUAAUUGUGACCUUAAAAAGGUCUACAAGUUUUAAAAGAUUAAUUACAAAAAUUCACACCUUGUAACUAUACGAUUCAAAUUCUAAAAUUAACGGAAUUAAAAUAAACUAAAAAUAAUGUAAACACGAAAUACAGACUUUAAUAAUGAAAUACGUAAUUAAUAGUGGAAUUCUGGGGAUGGGAUUUCACACCUUGCGUCCGGACCUUGAGUGCGGAUCAGAAUCCAAAGGUCGUGAUCUGACGAGCUCAUGUAUAGAACAGAGUUGUUGUGACCCAAUGCAAUUCAAAACUUUUAUGUUUUUUUAUUUACUGGGUACGUUUUUGUAGGAGGAAAAGGGGAAGUCGAGGGAUUCUUUGCGCAAUAAAGAGGGAAAGAGAGAAAAGGGGAGCUAAGAGGUUCUUCGCGCGUUAAAUUUUUGCUUCUGAUUUUGCAACCUAGAAAUAAAGUAUUUUCUUUAUGGUUUAUGGUUCAAGAAUAUAAUGGAUGCAACCUAAAAAUGUUUAUUUUUUUAUUUUUUACUUUUUUUCUUCUUAUGUUGGCUUUUGGUUUAUUCUUAUAAUGCACUAUAUAUUAACUAAAUUUAUAAACAUUUUGUAUCUUUGUUGCAGUCAAAUUAAUCAUAUGGGUUGGCAUGACGAAGUUCGACUGAGACAUACAGAUGUUUUGCAAUCUUAAGUCUAACCUGACACACCCCGACCUCAAUAUCCAGUGGACACCAAAAUUGAGGUGUGAUGGCCAUCAUCCGGAUGGGUGACGAAACCAUUAUAUGCAUGAAAACAUAAUUACCCAAACACGUCUUAUUAAAAUAUUGAGUAAAUACCAUACAAGAUAGAAUACGUCAGAGCUGUUGCAAAAUACCUCAACGUCCGAUGUAAUCACUGAUAGAAUUACUGAAUCAUGUAUAAAUGGAAAGCUGAUAAAUACAUGUAAUUUGAGUGGAUACUUACCAGCAGCAUGGAUACAAUAUCAUCCACCAGUCGUAACUAGUGAAAGUUGGAUAAUAUAAUCAUGUCAUUGCCGAGUAAUCUCAAGGCAAUGACAAGAUGAGAAUGUAACUGAGUAAUCAUAUCAUUACUAAAUAAUCUCAAAGUAAUGACAAGCUAAGAGUAUAACCGUAUAAUCAUGUCAUUACCUCGUAAUCUCAAAAUAAUGAUAAGCUGAGAGUAUAACUGUAGUACCUCUUAUUAGUGCAAUGCAUGAUAUGAAUUCCAUCUCACAUAUAUAUGCAAGCCAUAAUCAAACCAAUAAACAUCCAACAAAAGCCACAAUCCUUUUAACAUUCGACCACAAGAUCAAUUUUCAUAUUUCCCAAACCUAGGUUCCAAAGCAUUGUUUCGAAUUAUUAAUACAAGAAACCACCACCACCUCAAUCAACUCCUAUUCACAAGUGUAAGCAAUUACUAAAUGCAUCACUUUCGACUCUAGUCUUAAUUAGAUUACUUGGGAUACUCACACCAUCAGAUCCAAGUACUAUUUUGAUAAACUUUAAAUAGCAUGGUUAAAAUAAAUGAAACACUUUUAGAAAAUAAGUGAAGAUGUUGUUUACAAAUAUAGAUGCAUCUGUAUAUAAAAGCUUUGGCGGUUGAUCCGUAUACACACUUCCAGAGAUAUAAGCAAGUUCAUUGGAAUAUACAUACAUAGUUAAUGUAUUACAAUAUAAUUAAUAAGAAAACAAUUGCAUCCCUUUCAGAUUAUAUAUAUAUAUAUAUAUAUAUAUAUAUAUAUAGACACACACAUACAUACACACAGGCCCUUUAUGCAAAGGAAUUUCCAUUUUUUUUCAAAAAUGGGGAUUAGUUGUGGGGCCCACGCUGCAUUGAACUUUAACGAUCCGAACAGUCUAUUUUGUAAGUCUCGAUUCAUAGAUCAUCCUUGUAAAAAUUCAAUUCAAUCCGAACCCAUUUGCCUAUUUAAUUAUCAAGAUAAAAUUUUAUUGUUUCUUAUAUAACAAAGUAUUCGUUAAUUUCUUUGAACUCAAUUAGAUAUCUUAAACAUUUCCGAUUUGGUUAAUAUUGUGUAAGGAUGAUCUAUGUGGUGCAACUUGAAAAAUAGACGAUUACGAUCGUUAAAGUUCGAUGUGGUGAGAACCCUACAAUUAAUCUUCAUUUUUAUAAAAGAAUGGGAACCCCUUCCCUUAAAGGUUUCCUAUGUAUAUAUUUGUUCUCCAGACAUAUGCAAAAGGUAAUGUAAAACCAAUGAGAACUUAAAUAGAUAUUCCAUACAUAGGACAAUUCCAUAUAUGCUUUUUCAACAUUUAUAUCGAAAAGCCAAAUUGUUUUGAGGAAAUUAAUUGUAGCAAUGAUCCCUUAACUUUUAUCUUAUUGGAGCAAUGGUCUCUCAACUAAAAAUUCAUAACCAUUGGUUCCUUAACUCCACACAACGUGUAGUUAUGGUCAUUUUCAUUAACUCCGUCAGAACUUUUGUUAAAACAAGUAAUGUUAGAAGAAUCAUUGCUACAAUUAAGUUAAAGUUGGGGACCAUUGCUCUAAUUAAAUUAAAAUUGAGGGAUCAUUUCUCCAAAUUGCUUAAAGUUCAAGGACCAUUUCUACAAUUUUCUCAUCUAGUUUCCCAUAUUUACCCCAUGAUUCAGCUUCACAUGCAUUGCACAUGACUCAUUUUGAAAUUUUUUUUAACGAAAUUGAUGAAAAUGACCAUAAAUGCACGUUUUGAAGAGUUAAGAGACCAAUGGUCGUGGAUUUUAGUUGAGGGAUCAUUGCUCCAAUUUAGUUAAAGUUAAGGGACCCUUGCUACAAUUUUCUCAAAUGUUUUGUAUGCGAAAAUAGGCAUUUGUAAAGUUUGGCUUGUUCAUGGCAUUAUUACUUUAGUCUAAAGUAAGGCUGGAAAUGGCACUGUAGAAAUGAAUAGUGUUCCAAUCCGAAUUUCAGUUUAAUUACAACAAUGCCAUUGCUCUUUGUGUUGCCUUUAGGUGAGCAGCCCGGCUUGCAGCCAGGCCCAAAUGUAUUGGUUUUAGCUGAGAAGCCCGGCCCUUAGUCAAGCCCAAAAUUUUAAAUUACAGUUUUGCCCAUACAAAAUAACAAUCCGAUUGUAUCGAGAAGGACAAUUUUGUCCUUUCAGUUUUGGGUGAGAUAGGGGGUAACAGGGUAAGUUUCAUUUGCUGUCGUUGAAUGAGGGUUUCGAGGAUGAGGGCUCUGUGUGUGUGGGUGUGUGAGAGAGAGAGAGAGAUAGAGAGAGAUAGAGAGGGAUAUGGCGAUGGAAGGAGAGCGAGGGGGAAGGGAAGGGUUCUCGGCACUGUUGCUGCAUGUGAAUUUCACAAGUGGGAGAGUGGGUAUGGUCAGAGAAGACCAUAUAGGUCGUUGGGAUUUCAGGGAAACGGGGUAGGGGUCAUGAAUGAACCCUGCUGAGAGUGGGUACUGGAUCUUGCGCUGCAUGCCUCAAAUCAAAGAUAAGUUCGUUUUUUUUAUUGUAUUUUUUAUGGUAGCUUAGCUUUUGGAAUUGUUUAGUAUGUUAGGUCCGAUUUUGGGGGAUUUAUCUUUUUAGAGAGAGAGAUGGACAGGGAGAUAGAGAUAGAGAGAGAGAGAGAGAGAGAGAGAGAGAGAGAGAUGAGGAAGCAUGACUGUGUGCAAUUUUUUAUGUUAAUUAAUGGGUUGGUGCGCAGGGUGAGUGACAGAGUGACAGAGUGAAGGAGGGACGUGUGGGAGGGUAUGAGUUUUCAGUUCUUUCUUUUGAUUCAACAGGUUAUACACUGUUUGAAAAACCUUUUUUUUAUUAUUUUGUUCUCGUUUGCUUUGUUAAAACCAUCAUUUGAAUUUUUGGGUUUCAUUGUGCUUAUUUCUCUGCUUCUUCAUAAUUUGCUGGUGUUUGCUUCUCAUCCCUCUGUUGGUAGAUCUUUUUCUCAUUUCUUGGUUCCUUAUGUAUUCUUUGGUACAAAUCUGUUUACUUUUUGGCUGUGUGAUAAUCUUAGCAGGUGAACUAUAUGAACGUUUUUUUGAAACGAGUUAAGAAGAUCCAGCUGAAAAGAGCAUACAAGAUAGAGAACUGGUAUGCUGCUCGCCAGGGAAAGGCUGCUGGAAAGGUUGAGACGGAUGCCUCUUUCAGAAACCAGGUCAGUUUCCUGCUGCUCGGCGUCUUAAUGUAUCCAAAUUGUUUAUCUUUUGAUGAAAUUAGCUGGCUAUAUUUUCUAUUUUAUUUAUCUGCAUAUUAUUUUGGUUUGUUGAAAUUUUGACUAUAGUCAUUGUCACAUGGGCGCCUAGCCCAACCCAAAUUAGUUGAGGAUAUUUAAAUCUUCACCAUGGUAUUAUAGUACUCACUCACAGUUGUGAAUACUAAGGUGCAUGCAUGGCAUGAAGAAGUGGACCGUGCACGCCAAGGUCAGAGGGAUGCAGAAGGCAAGCUUUUUUCUUUGGAGGUAAGUAUCCUUUGUUUAUUGCCCAACAGUGUUGUUAUUAUCAAUUUGUAGCUUUGCGUUCUGAAUUUUUUGCUUUGUCAAACAACCUUCUUGAAAUGCUCGAUUUCAAGCCGAAGUCCAAAAAAUGAAAGUUGAGAUGGCUUCCAUGAAGAGGGAUGUAGAGCAUUACUCGCGCUAGGUGAAAUCUGCUUCCUCUCUUUUCGUAUAUCUUCAUAUGAAGAGUUUUACUAAGUUAUAUUGAGAACUAUGUUAUUUAUAGGUUAUAUUUUCCAUUUUGCAGGAACACAUGGAGCUAAGGAAGAGCUAUCGUGAACUCACUGAUCUACUGGUAAUGUCACUCAAACUGCUUUAUUUGUGCAUGCUGCUACUAUGCGCUUGAAUGCAUUUUAUUACUGGCGGGAUGCGAAGAAAGCUAGAUAUAUGUGCUGGAUCGCUUGAUUAAUGUUAGGGUUUUAACAACUAAUUGUUAGCAGCUAGAAGCCCUGGUUAGAUUAAUGCUAAUUUGAUUUUCCUUACAGUACUUGAGUGCCAGUUUCAUAUUGUUUGUUCCCUGUUGGAUACCUGCUGUACAGUUUCAUUUCUGUUUCUUCAUAACUUUCUUGGCCCUGGGAUAUAUGCAUAUUGAGUACAAUGAAUAUCCAUUGUUCUCUAACUGUUGGGCUUUACUAUCUUUGUAGCAGCCUGCCUAACAUUUUUUAGGCUCUACACUCUACCAUCCAAUUUAUGAAAAAUUCAAAGAUUGGACGAUAUUGAUUGCAGAAAUGAAAAAAAUACUAUGAUAUUAGAAAGGUGAAUGUAAUUGUGUUAGAAUAAGCGUCUAGCAUGAUGGGUAAUAUUUUAAGUUUGUAUUUCUAAAAUUUUUUCGUUCUGGAGUAUGAUUUACCUCAAUUGUUUUGUACUUUAAUCUUUACUAAUUUUCAUUGUGGAGUAUGAUUUGCCUCAACUAACAACUUUUCAUUGUUUAACUUUUUCCUCCCUUAGAUAGUUGCAUAUGUUUGAUUUGUUAAUCUGCUUCUUACACAUGUUGUUUCCUAAUGGUGUAGGUGGGUUGUCGGAUGCAUGUGCAGAUUACUUGAAUAGACGAAGCUAAGAAUGACUUAGUAUUAAGUGAGACAGAAGCUUGGGUCAGUUGGAUUUUGACAUUUGAUUUAUUCAUGUUUUUUGUUGCUUGCAAUGUUCUCGCAUUGUUUGUUCUGAGAUUCUGUGAUCUUAUUUUUCAUAGGAACUGACAUUGGUUUGCCAUAUAAUGUUUCAGGAACUAAUACAACAACUAAUCACCUUGCUUAGCUCUCAAGACACAUACUUAACAGGUUAACAAACACUAACCUAUAAACUGAUCUGCUAAGCUGGACCAUUAACCUCUGUUUAUAUCCCUGCCACUCAUCUUUUGGCACUUAUCAAUAGCAAAAUCUAGAGUUGUUGAAACCCCAAUUUUAAUGAAUAUUAUUUUUAGUUGAUAAUUAAAAUUAAUUGAUGAUUAAUCUAUUCCAUUGUGCAUUAUUUUAUCGCCAAAUACUUUGAAUAUUCAUUAGCAAAAGAUAUAGGGUUCACUAUUUAAUGAAUAGAAUUUUGAUGGUGGAUUGCAUUUCCUGAGUUAUAAAUGUGGUGAAUCCAUUAUUUACUAGCUGAAUAAUCAUAAUGUUUUGGCCACUUACCUUGAAUUUUGUUCAAAUUGAAGAAGUCACAUGUUUCUUUCUGUUGUUGAGGUAAUCUCUCUGUUGAAAGCUUCUAUUUCUUUUUUUUUUUUCUUUUUUUCAUUUGGGUAGAUUUUUUUUUUUAUGGAUUUAUGUAUUUUUUUUCCAGAGAAUUCGAAAUGAAAUAAGAAUAGCGGAUUGAGCAUAAACAAAUUGAUGAAAUUUUUAUUUGAGUGUUUGUGUUAGUCCUUUUUUGAUUUGUUGAGGUUUGGAAUUAUUUGAGUUUUUUUGCUGUUAGUACUAUGAAGGAUGCUUGGCAAUCGCGAAAUGGGGGCUACCUCUUUGGAAAGAGAAGUCUCGCUAUCCAACCUCUCAUGAAUUACAAACAGGGUGAUUUCUUGCUGAAAAACCACUGAACCAGUAGAACUUUCCUCGGUUCUUCAAUUCGAUUCGAAUAAUUUUUUUACCCAGAAAAGCCAGCGUUUCCUGGUGGGUUUUACAGCUUUCUCAAUGUUUUUGUGAUUUUGGAUUUGCAAAUUUGUUUUCUGUUCAAAUUUCCUUUUGUGAUUUUGGAGGUUUUGUUUAUCGAUUCUCUCACUCAUCUCUCAGCUCUCUCUCACUUUUGAGGUACAUGCCGUUGGAUUCCGUUUGCUGCUGCUGAUCUGUAGGUAAAGCUUCAAUUACCAUAUAAAGUUUACAUUUUUCAUGAUUUCUUGAAUUUGGGUUUUAAACAAAGGAAAUAUUGCUAGAUUCUUAUCUUAUGUGCAAAUUACUGGCUAUUUGGAUUGGUGCCUGAGAUUUAGAGAAUGCCUCGCAGCUUUAAUUUCUUUUUCCUUCAUUAUUACUGUUUUCAAAAUUUUUAUUGCUGGGUAUUGAUAAUUUGUAGUAUGUGAGGGCUUCAAUAUGUUGGAAUUUUGAAUGGUUAUUGCUUCAUCGGAAUUUGGGUGGUCCAAAUUUUGAAUUAGAAGAAACCCAUUUGAUUAAUAUUUUUGGUGGAUUGGUUCUCUGUGUUUUCCUUGCUAUUUCUCCCCCAGUUGGAAAUUGGAAGCCCCAACUUUGAGCUCAGAGCUUGAAUUUCUCAAUCGUUCGUUUCUCUGCACUCUCAUCAAUCACUCUUGAUCCUCUAUCUAAAGAACUGGGUAAUUUUCCAGCUCUAUCAAGUAAUACUCCAUUUAAUUGCUUAAUUGAGGUUUUUUGUUUCUCUUUUUCGCUCUUUCAUCAGUUCAUUGACUUUGAUGUUGAGCUUAAGUAAAUGGGAGAUCAUUAAUUGGCAUUGUUCAAGAUAUAAUUCUGUGUUUUUGGAUUUGUGAAACGAUUUGCCUAAUGAUGAUAGUGGUUAAAAUAAAUUUUUCGUUAUGAAGAGAACAUUGUUCUUCAUUUGCCUACGGUUUUAACUACAAAGUUAAACUACUAUGCUUUUGUUCAAUUGACUGCAACUCAUGCCGCAGUUUGCUUCACAAACCUCUACGGUUAGCUUCCAUACAGUAUGUUGCAAGUUUGAGGAUAUCUUUACAUCUUAAUUUUUGCUCUCUCUGGUUGCUUCAAGUUUGUAAUUUUACGUGUUACAUUGCUACUUGAUUUGAUUAUAAAAAUGCAAAACAAAAUCCGUUUUGCUUUUAUUCAACUUAAAUGUAUCCUUUUGUUUGUUCAUAAUUGUGUUGAAUUUAUUCAACUUAAAUGUGUUUUAUUCAUCUAUUUACGCUUAAAACAACUGGUUCCCCUAGCAAUGCGCGGGCCUAAUUUCUAGUACAUAUACUAAAAGCCAGCAGAAAAUUACUGUUCAUCAUGGGAGAUAGAGCACUGUUCAUUAACAGUGAAAGGGCGAAAAUGCCCUCGGUUUCUUCUUUACUUCACGUACUGUUUACGAAUUGCUACAGUAUAAAGUCCGUUUUGUCCUUCCUGUCCACACAUCUUUCAUCGUCCGUUUCUCUUGCUUCGACCGUAUCUUUUUUGCUUUACCUUUCCUCUUCAUUUUUCGCAUUCGUUAGGCUGCGAUUUUCGGAGGUGGAUUGUUUGCCCUCCCAUUUCCAUGCUCUCCCCAUGCCUAUGUGGUCACAGUUAAACCACGUCAAUAUUUUAUAUUAAUUUUUUAUAAAAAUAAUAAAACAAAAAGUAAUAAGAAUAUAAAAUAUUGACGUGGCUUAACGUGGUCCGUGAUCACAGUAGGCAUGGAAAUGGUCCGCGACUUUCUCCCUUUUCGCCAGCCCCUCUUUUGCUCUCAAAUCCUUGCUCUUUCUUUUGCAAAAUAGUCUCAGAAGAGAUCCUGGGUUUAUCGAAUCCUUUGUUGUUCGGCGUUUUGUUCUCAUCUUGUGAUCGUCGGGUCAGCAGCUUUAAGGUAAGUUUGUUUUUAAUGAUUUAUCCUCAUUUUACGAUGUCUGGGCUAACAAAUUUAAGAUCUUUAUUUUUCUUUUUGCUGCGGAUCUGCAGGUUUUGACAAGUUUUUUGUGAAAUUGGUGCUGUCAGUGGGUGUUAACAUCAGGUACCCAUGUUCAGUUUUUCGUUUUGAUUUGAAGGAAUUUCUUGCGCAGAAGUGCUAGGGUUUCUUGGUGAGUUCUUCGGGUUGUGCAUAUGGGUAAUUUUCUUUUCGGUUUAACCCGCUGCUUCUGCUGCUCUCUCUCUUUCUCUCAUCCCUGCCUGCUCCUCUCCAAUUGUUUGCUGUUCUUAAAUAUUGUGUUCAUUGCCUGAUACAAGGAGCUGCAGCAAUCUGUUUUAUCCUACACGGGACAACGAGGCAAUGGCGUGACAACAGGUGAGCUUGGAUAUCCAAAGAAAGAGAACAGUUGGUUCAUCUGCUGGAGUCUGAAGCUCAGAGAAGUGGAGGAAAAUUGCAGGUGUGCGAGAAAUUUUAUUUUGCUGAUAGGACUCCUUAUUUACGGAUGCAUUUUGAAAUAAUUGAAAAGUUGGAUUUGAGUUAACAGCUAUAAAAAUGUAGACAUGAUUGCUGAGAUUAUGCUAUGAAAGUGGAAUAAAAAAAUGGUAGUUUAUAAUAUUGCGUACCAAUUUUUUUCUCUCUUUUUUACCAAAUGAUAAGGGUGGUGGCUCAGGCCGCCCCCCCUACGCGUCCCCACUCUUCGACAAGUUGAAAUCAUGGUGAUAGUUUAUGGGCUGUGGUCUUGGGAUUCUGCAAAUAGAUUAAAAAACAGACACUUAACUAUCUUGUUAUUAAACAUUUCUGCAUCAUUCAGUUGCUCUUGAUUUUCGUCUUUUAAGCGAUCUUAUUUCUGCGAUCUGACUUGAGGAGGGUUUUUAGACCUAUGGUUGUGGGUGUUUUGUCUGACCCCAUUAAAUUGGUUUCCGAGAUUUGUAGACUUGCGAUCGGCAGUCAAACAUUUUGUGAUUCUUGCUUUUUUUCCGACUGGGAUUGACGAAUUUUGGCCGAAUCUGUUUCCUGUUUUCUUCUCUGUUUGAGCGGCCGCUGCCUUUCGGUCGUUGAGCGCCGGCAGUCUUUAGAUCUUUGGCAAAUCAAUUUAAUACAACCGAGGUAUGUUUUAUAACUGCUGUCUUUCAAUUUUUGUUCUGUAUUUUUGUUAAUUUGGAUGAAGCUCUAAUAAUUUUGUUUUGGAUCAGUUGUGGUCCUCUGUUAGGAUUUUCCUGGCUAAGAGGGUAUUUGCGUUUUUGUUGCUUGGUUGGUCGAUCACAGAUUUACGAACAGCUGUGGUGGUCCUGUUAUUUUUUUGGUAUGUUUUUUCUCCUUUUUGGUUUUUUCCCGGUUUGAGCACCCAUUCAUGAAGAAUUAAAAUGUGUUUAUAGUUUUUCAGGAGAGAUUAGAAAAGUGAUUUCAAUUUGGGAAAAUUUAAUGUUGGUUAAAAUUUGUCUAUAAUUUUUGGGAAGGAAUGAGAGGACCCAUUGAAGUAUGUGUUGUGAUUAUUUUUUAUUCAUAUUUUUAACAAAUUGGGCAUGAAUUGGUAGGUUAACUGUGUGUGUUUAUUAUUUGAAUCGGCCAUGUUUGUCUUUCUAUGGUUCUAAAAAAUUUGUAAAGGCUGUUAACUUGGAAGAAAAUGGGAUCGAGGGUGAGGGGAAAACGGCAGAGAAAGCAUGGAAGAGAGAUUUGGGAUUAGGGGUAGGAAAACAGAUGAAAAGAAUAUGAUAGAGGAAUGAGUUCAGUUCAUUUUCACUAUUUUUUUUAACUGAUUUGGAUUUUGUUUGGGUUUGAGGCCAUCAUUGGCGUUAAGACGUUUAUUAUCAGAUCGUGUGUGUUUUUUGCUAACUUUUAUUGGUCAUUUUUAUGUUGUUCUUAUGAUUUUGUGUGGUAGGGUUUCUGAAUUUUAUCGUUAUUCAUUUGGUUUUUUGUGUGUGUUGGUUUGUUUAUUUUGCAGGUUGUGUUUGUGCUGGGACAACAUUUUCCACCUUCUGUUUGCACUGGGAUGAUUGCGUUUUAAAACUGUUGGGGUGAGAUUUACAUAUGGAAUCAUUCCAUUUUUUUUCUUCCAAAUAUGUGCAUUUAGUUCUUUUUAUUUUAAAUUUUAAAAAUUAAAUCGUUAUUUGAGUAAAAUGUUUUAUUAAUUUAUGUUAUGUGUUGUGAUCAGGAAUUCUGUUGGAUUUGCAAAUUUUGGUUUGAUGAGAGAGAUGAGGAGUUUUUUUUGUUUGAAUUUUUUAUUGGACCGAUUUUCAAUUGGAUUGCAUUCUGCCUUUUUGCACCAUUCUUAUGCAAGCAAUUCAUUGUUUUAAAUACAAUUUGAAGAGAGCUGGGUUGCGGGUUGGAUAUAAAAUGUUAAGGUGAGAUAAAAUCGAGAUACCAAGGGUGGAAGAAUGAUUCAGAAUUGGGGGAGGAAAACAGAGGGAAGAUGGAAGAGUAUAAGAGAAGGAUAGGGUUGACCUCAUUUAGAGUUUUUAUUUACUUUUUUUUUUAUUAUUUAUAAAUUGAUUCAGGACUAGCAUAUCAUUUCUAAAUUUCUAACAUUUUUGUUUAAUUUGACUCCAGUUGAUGGAAAACAGAGCUCUUACUCCUAUCAAUCAGUUGGUCCCGUACAUAAAUGCAGAAAAAUCAAGGUUCGAGUUUGCAGAGUAUGCAGACCAAGGUUUCCUGAAACUACUGGUGCUGUCACGCCCCAAUCCCGACCUAUGUCCAGGAUCGACACGUGACGUUAACAAAUACCCAUAUCUCUAACAUACCCCGCCUCCGGAAUAUGGGCAAAGCACAACUGCGUAAUAAUUUUUCGUAUACUUUAUGGCUGCAUCUAACAUCCUCGUUAGAUUAUCAUACCUUAUGGCUACAUCUAACAUCCUUGUUAGACUGCCUACGUACUCUCAAAAGGGAUCAAACCAUUCGUAGUUCACCACACUCCAAUCCACAAAAAUUUGCACAUGCACUGAUUAUAAAAUGGAACUGCACCUAUAGAAACCUAAUCAUAACCCGUGGGCGAUUUGCUCCCACAUAAGAAAGACGUCCACAGUACCAUGAAAUACUUCCACAUCUUUCCUUCCCAUUUACACAAUAUUUUAUUUCACCUCCCUGAUAAAUAUAGCAUUUACAUUACAUGUGGCAGACAAAUUUGCAUAUUCAACUAUAAUAAAAUACAAUCUUAGUAGGAAAAACCUACAAGACCACCACUCGUUUGAGCCAAACUUUAGCUUAGCACUCAACUGGUGCUCACACCAUGUGAGUGCACGAUCCUUUAAGAUGGAUGCGAUGGUUCUCUUUUGAGAUUAAUUUUGUUACAGGUAUAACAUAGUUGGCAACCGUUUAGAAAUAGAUGCCUCAUGUUCAAAACUCUCAUUACCAAAUGUUCUAACAAGUUAGUAGAGAAGGUAAAAGAACCCAAAUGGCGAGAAAUAGUGUCCUGAUGAAACAAAAGAUGUAACCCUCAUUCAAGCACGAACAUCAUUUCCUUGAGAAUCUGCGAUUUCUUCCCUCAUUUGGUCAAUAUAGCUUGUAUUCCAACUGCAACUUACUAAUAGCAUUUGUUCUCUCCUCGAAUGAAACCAUAACCAGCCAUUUUAAAUAAAGCUGAACAGUUUCACGUUGGGAAAAUAAAGAUUAUAACAUACAGGUUUUGGAUUAGAUUCCCAAACCAACAGAAAAUUAAGAUAGGAAUCUAUUUUGGGUUAACUGAGGUAUGAGUGGUAUACAAAUGAGAAAUUCCCUACAAAAGUCAAUAAAACCAGUUACAUAACAUGUUGAAUAUAAUACAACAUGAAAUAAGAAGCACCACUUGUUUAUCUGACUUUUUAUACAUGUAUUUUCCUAAGGGAUAAAAACGUGCGGGUUUUGGGAUCAAUCUGAAGAGGGCUUCACCACGAAUACAUAGCCUUUGACCGUGCAUGAUUUCGUUGCCGUAUGAGAAAGUUAUCAUUUUUUUUUUUUGUGAAGAAGAAUUAAGGGGGAGAAGAACAGCUGCCCCCUCUGUUUCUGCAUCUGCCCAGCGGGGAAAGAAAAAGAAGAGAAGCCCUUGGCUUCUAGAAUACUCCCUCCCCAAAAUUACAAUUUUGCUCUCUAACUUUGAUUGUUUAUAUCUUAUUCGUUAUAACUCUGUUUCACGAACAGCUUUUGCUUACAUGCUCACAUAGUCGUCAUCUAUUUAAAUAUAUCAAGAAAUACAAUAAAAUACAUCCUCGUAUAAGUAUGUUAACCAAUUAGGGCACUUUCGUCAUUUCCACUUAUCGAUAGAUUUUAACACGUUAAUUAUAAUAAUGUCCGGAAACAGCUUUAAAAUUUCCAAAUUCUAUUUCCAUAACCAUAAAUCGAUUUAUUAAUUUUUCAGGGUAUCACAGGUGCAUAUUCAGGCUUGCAUUGUAUAUUACUUUCCUAUUAAAAAUUUGUUUGGAAUUUGCUUUUCCCACAAAGGAGAAGAGCUGACAGUUACGCUGUGGGCAGAUGUUGCUCGAAGUAUUGCUUCUUUAUCCAUUGAAUCAUUGUCUCUGCCGAUCUUUGCGGUUUUCACAAGUUUAAAGGUCAAGCUGUACCUAGGUGUUUGACUUAAUUAAAAACUAAUCUAUUUAUUUCGGAGGCGGAGCAAAAUGCUAUCUGUCUUACCCCUCUUGGUGAUCUUAGUCGGAAAGAUCGGCUAGUUUGGGAUGUGAGUAAGAAUGGGCAGUACUCGGUUCGAUCGGGCUAUCAUUGGCUGCAAUCUAGGUCUGUUGGGUUCAGGGAUCAACGCCAGCUUGGUGCUUGCUUAGUUCCGAGGCAUUUGUGGCGCAUGGUUUGGUAGUUGAGUGGGCCUCAUAAGCUCCGUCAUUUCUUUUGGUUAUCUUUGCAUAAUGCAUUACCGUCAUUUCUUUUGGUCCGUGACCAGGCAUGAGGAGAGCAUGGAAAUGAGAGGGCAGACAAUCCACCUCCGCGACUUUCUCCCUUUUCGCCAGCCCCUCUUUUGCUCUCAAAUCCUUGCUCUUUCUUUUGCAAAAUAGUCUCAGAAGAGAUCCUGGGUUUAUCGAAUCCUUUGUUGUUCGGCGUUUUGUUCUCAUCUUGCGAUCGUCGGGGUAGCAGCUUUAAGGUAAGUUUGUUUUUAAUGAUUUAUCCUCAUUUUACUAAACUAUUUAUGGUAACUUAGUAUGGUAACUUAACUAAGUAAGUUUGCUUUUAGCCCAAGGGUUGGAGAUGGUCUUAGUAUGGUAACUUAACUAUUUAAUUCCAUCUCAUUAAACUAAAAAAAACAAUUACAUAAAAAUAAGGGAAACCUUGUCCAGAGAGACCUGAGAAAGUCCACCCCUAAGGACUUUGCGCCAGCACCCAGCGUAUUUAUCUACUCAAGUGAACAGUAAUAGACUGGAGUGAACAGUAAUAGGCCAAGGCAUCUCCACCCCUAAAAAAAUGCGCUGGCACCCAGUGCAUUUAUUUGGUGUGUUUUUUUUUUAAAGUUUAUUUCAGAUAAGAUUUUUAACCAAUUUCGGAUAAAAUUUCAAAUAAACUUAAAAAAAAACACUCUAAAAUAAAAUUACAUACUCAUCAAAUAAACUUAAAAAAACACACUAAAAUAAAAUUACAUAAACUCAUCAAAUAAAUUAAGGAUGAGCUUUUUGGUAUUUUUUUUUCACACAAAAAGUAUAUGAAAGCUUUGGUAGAAGGUCUAGAAAAUAUUGAAAUGUGGUGUAAGGUGGAAGAUGAGGGUUAGGUAUUUAUAGAAAAAAAAUAAUAACUUUUUUAAAAUUUUACUGUAUUUUAAAAAAAAAUCUGUAUUUUUUUAUAUUUUUAAUUAAUUUUAAUGUAGUUAAUUAAUUUGGACCGUUGGAUUUGAAAAAUAUUCAAAUCCAAUAGCCCAGGAUCGGCCACGUGGCCAACGCCAGCAAAUGGCCCAGCUUCUUGGUCAGCCUGUUUUGUGCUGGCCCAGAGACCAGUUUGGGCUGGGUGCCAGUCUGUUUUGUGGGCUGGAGUGAAUGGACAGGGUCCCAGCCUGUUUUUUGUGCUGAGUGCUGGCCUAAUCCACCACCGGUGGACUUGCUCUGAGAGAAAGUGACGACUUCUCCUCUCAUUCCACUCCAUACUUGAUCUCUAAAGUCCAUUUGGCAUGUAAUUGAUGUUCAAUUUCAAAUUUAGUGGUAGCAAUUAGCAAAGCUAAUGAAAGAAUCAAAUAAAAUGAAAGAAAAAGCAUCAUGAAAUAAAUCAAGAUGAAGAAUGAAAUUUUGGCAACUCGCCAUUCUCUUCUUUUAUAUAAAAGAUACAUCCUAUUUGUAGUGAAAACAGGUCCCGACAAACCCAGUUAUCCUCAAGAAGUAUUUUGUAUGACUUUAAAAACAUAAUCCGUGAAAUUAUCUCUUGGCUGAGAACAACAACAAAUCUUCAUGCAUAGCUUGUACAGAAAGACAUCAGGCAUACAAAAGAACACGCAAGCAUAAAAUAAACGACGCAGGGAAAACCAAAAAUACUAUAGAACACGUCGCUGUCAAAAGAACAUGAAUAAAUGAAAAUUACAAAACAAAGAAGUGAUGAGAAACCAAAGUACCCAUUUCAUAAUCUAGUUGCUUUUUAGUUUGCUUGCCAUUUUUAGUUCUUCAAUUUAGAGAGAAACGAUAAUUCAGCACAUGAAUAAAGUGAAAACGUAAAAGAUAUGUGGGAUAAGCUGACAGCCAUCCCUGAGUAAUGCAUUCACUUAUGAACCCCAAACACAACGAAACAAAAAUUCACACAUGAACUACAGCUCCGCUAUGUAACAAGAAUUAAAAGCAUCUCAAGACAAAAUGGCAAACUAUAAGAGCACUGUAAAAGUAAAAUUGCAAGAAAUCUAAUACUUGGAGGGCAAGUACUACUCAGACGAAAAUGAAAGAUUGAACUACCUCGCGUGGAACUGUGCCUUGGUUUUUUCCCAUGCUUACAGGAAGCUUUGCACUGAGCUCUUAUAGCCCAAAUUUUCUCUGAAAGAAAAAAACACAAUUUUGAAAUAAGAUUUUCAUAUUAUACCUUAAAGAGAAGAAUUAGAAAACAAAAAAGAGAACAAUGAGUACUAUUCAUCAUAUAUUGUUAGAGUGUGUGGUCCUUUGGUCCAAUGGUCCUGCAGCCAUAUUUACUUUAUAACUCUUUCUUUUAGUCUAAAAAACAUCUUGGAUCUCAAAUUAAUAUGAAUACGGAUUCAUACGCAUGCAUUGCAUUACAACCACAAUGCAAUAUCUCAUUAGAAAUCCCCACACAAAAUUUUUUUAUUUCUACUUUGAUUUUAGUUUAUAUUUUUUCUAAAGCACGAGGGAGCUAAUUUUUUUUUAAAUUUUUUUUAUUCCAAUAAUGUUAUAGGGUUGAAAGGAUAUUAUCAAUUUAAUUGAUUGUAUUUGAUUGGUGGAACUUCUAUAUCUAUAUUUCAGUUUUUCAAAUUCAGCACUGGGAGAGUCAUUCAUAAAAUGUUUGACAGUGAGAUUACCUCCAUGGAUUAUGCUCACAAUGGACAGCUCAUUUUCCGCAGUGAUGGGACAAUAUAUUUCAGUCAUUCGCCAUUCAAUCAAUUCAAACCGAGGAACAAGCAACAUCAAGAAGAGGAUCUGCCAUGUCAGGAUCACUGUCGUCCAAUUAAUACAAAAAAUCUAGAUAAAAACGAUCAAUUUACAUAAAAGCCUUUCAUUUUCUCAGCAACCAAGCAAAAGAAAAUACCUAUCCGUUAACACUCGAUUUGGGAGUAAAUGUUGCUGAAACUGGACUUCAAUCCCCUCAACCGCAACAACCGAAUCGAGGUGUGCAAGUCAUUGAAAAACUCACCCAAGAUUUCAAAAUCUGCAUAAAUAAAUAAAUAAGCACAUAAAUUAGCCAACCCUGUUAUGAUCCCACAUCGGGUACACAAGAAAUUGUGUAGUGGUACUUAAGUGCAAGGGGUCCUCCCACCUAUUGGACUAGUUUUUUGGAUUGGGCUCUUCCCUUGGGCUUGAGUACCUAACAUUGGUAUCAGAGCCUAGGUUCCCGACGCUGCGGGACUUGGCGAGUGGUGCAGCCUCGUGGUGCCGCCUUGAGAGUAUGGGCUCCUAAGGGUCUUGGCGACGGGCAAGGUAUGAAAUGCCGAUAUUAUCGCGAUAUUUCGCCGAUAAUAUCGGUUUUUUGAGUUACCGAUAUUUUAAUACUUAUCCACUGAGUUUUCGUCAAAAUAUCGCGAUAAUAUCAACAAUAUCGCGAUAUUACCGAUAAUAUCGCGAUAUUUUGGAGAUGUGCGAAUCGGAGAAGAACGCCGGAGCUUUUACAGCUCCGGCCGACUGUAAAAGAGCACCCUAGACUCCGAUCUAGGUAUCAAAAUGAAAUACAAGAUGAGAGGAAUGUUUUUAUAACUUCCGUUUGCCGUGAAACGGUCGAAGGUGUUCGGAAAGUUCGUCGACACCCACGGCCUCGCCAGAGAUGGGUGUGCCUAUUCCCGAGCCGAUUUCGUCCCAAAAACCUUGCAAAAACACGAGAUAGAACUUAAAUUUCACGUCUAAGCUUCAAUCUAGAAUAGAAUGAGGUAAACCCGAAGCUUACCUAACCGGAGAAAUUCAAGAAACUCGUCGGAGGGUUCCUGCGUCGCCGAGUUGCAGAGACGAGAAGGAGAGGGAGAAAGACGAGGUUGCUGAUGACGAUGGGUGUCUUCCUCAAGCAAGUGCGAUGGUGUGCGUGUGUGUAUGUGGGUCUCGGUGCAGAGAGAAAGGAGAGAGAUGAGAGUUUCGAGAGAGAGACGGCACCGACGAGAGCUAUUUGUUUUUUUUUAUCUUAAAAAGAGAGAGGUCUAAGAGAAAUGGGAAGAGAGGGCCGAGUGAAAUGAAAGGAGGUCCUUGAAUUAUUGAGAGAUAUCUCUGAGAGAGGCCUAGGAUUUCUAAAAGGUAAUCAUAAAUGGGAAAAAUGGGGCACAUCUUAGCCUUUAUUUUGGAAUCCUAAGAAGUUCACCACAUGGAUGCAUGACAUGUGUGCAUGCCAUGUUUGUUGAAUGGGAAAAGUCUGACACGGAAAGACAAAGAGUCGUUUGGGGCUCUGGGCUCGAGGCAAGACAGAAAGUGCUAGGGUUUUUUUCUGAAAUGAACAUAAGCUGCUAAAUUCGCAUAUAUUAUAGUUGUUGCUAAAGAUUGUCACUAGUGUGGACUUGGACGUGUUGGUCAACAUGUCCUCACAAUCCCCAAGUUCUCUGGUUCGAACCCUUGCGCCCAUCAAAUUUUCUUUCUUUUUGAUGCGCUUUUCCCAUGGCUCUAGGUCUUGAUUUCGAAUCCAAGUGAGCCCUUUCCUUUUUCUUUUUUGUUCUUUUUGUUUUAUUAUUUGUUUAUUUUAAUUUAUUUGUUUCUUUUAUGUUUUUCUUUUCUUUUAGUUUCUUUGUCUUAGGCGUUCGUUUUUAUUAAAGUAGGAUGUAAAAUCAAUUAUCUUAAAAUUAUGUGUUUUUAAAUUUUGGACUUGUUUGUUGGAUACUUUUUUUUCAUUUUAUCAUUCUUUUAUUAUGAAAAUAUGCUAAAAUAUGCUAAAAUAUCACUUAUGUUUUUGUGAAAAUAUGCUAAAAUAUUUAUAUAUAUGAUUUUGUUUUGAAUUCUUUUUGUACUAAUUCAUUAUAUAUAAAUGAUUAUGGUGUGUUUAAACUUCUUUAAUUAAUUACUACAUAUUUUCUAUACUCACAAUGUUUGCCAGCUCGCUAUAUAAUCAACUUAAAUCAGUUAAAUCCAUCAUGCAAUGCAUUUCCUUCCAAUUUUUUGUGAUAAACUUGUGAACACGGAAAAUUCCUGAAACGAAAGAGACAAGAACGAACGUGCACAAACAAAUAUUAUGUAUUUGAUGAUUUUGGGUUACAAUCUCUCUCUAUUUGAUCCUCUGAUUCAAUCUCCGUAAGGUGUGUAUUUGUGGAUGUGUGAUUGAUCCAAAGGGCCGUUGGGCUUGAUCUAAUGAUGAACGUUCUUCAAGGGCCGUGGACUUGAUCUUGAAGGUGGAUUUGAGCGGAUCUUCAAAGGGGCUUUUGGGCUUGAUCUUGAAGAACGGUUGGAUGUGUGGAUUUGUCGAAGUUGUUGAUCCAAAGGGCCGUUGGGGCUUGAUCUUGGAUGAACGGAUGAUGAACGAUGGUGCUUUCUUCAAGGGUCGUCGGGGCUUGAUCUUGAAUUGGUGGAUGGUUGAUCCAAGGGCCGUCGGGGCUUGAUCUUGGAAGAACGAUGAACGAAGAACGAAGAACACUUUCUUCAAGGGCCGUCGGGGCUUGAUCUUGAAUUGGUGGAUGAUUGUUGAUCCAAAGGGCCGUUGGGGCUUGAUCUUGGAAGAACGAUGAACGAAGAACAAAGAACGCUUUCUUCAAGGGCCGUCGGGGCUUGAUCUUGAAGGUGGAUGAUUGUUGAUCCAAAGGCUGUCGAGGCUUGAUCUUGGAAGAACGAUGAACGAAGAACACUUUCUUGAUUCUUCGGGAACCUGGACGCUUGAGAGCUUCGGAGUUUCAGAGCUUCAGAGCUUCAAGGUGUAAUAUGAAUUGGUCCCCCCUAAAUGAAUGAAAUGGGCUUGUAUUUAUAGAAUUUUCCAAGGCCUAAUUUUGAAUAUAAUAUCUCAGAUGAAAUAAGUCGUUUCUGCCAGGUGUUAACACGUGUCCUAUUUGAUGACUUUUCCAACUCAUUUCAAUUUUCGUUUAGUCACACGCUACGUGUAAAAUUUAUGUAAUACAUGAGCGUUGACACUUUGAUUUAUCGGUCAACAUUUAUUUACCGAAAUUUCGAUGUCUACAAAUGCCCCCACUUCAAGGCACGUCGUAUACCUGUGCUUGUCACGUGUAGGAGAUGCGUUUUGAAGUCCCUUACCGUAGAUGCCGAUUCAAGGGCCGUUGAAGCUUGAUCUUGAAUUGGGCUUGAGAUUUCUUCAAGGGCCGUUGAGGCUUGAUCUUGAAUUUUUGUUUGAAAUUUCUUCAGGGGCCGUCGAGGCUUGAUCUUGAAGGUUGAAAUUGGGCCACAAGGAGCUUCAUGUGGUAGAUGAUCUUUGGCUUUGGUAGUGGAUGAAUCGGCACGUAUUUUAUUGCGCUUGUUGACUUUCCACAGCUUUGAUCUUGAACUGGGUUGGAGGAUUUUCUGGAUUCCUCCAAUUGUUGAUUUUCCACAGCUUAUUCUUGAACUAGGUUUUGAUUCAAGGGUGGUAGACACUUGAUCUUGAAUCGGACUUGUGAUUUCCUCGAUGGCCGUCGAGGCUUGAUCUUGAAUUUGGUUGGAAACUUCUUCAAGGGCCGUCGAGGCUUGAUUCUUGAAGGUUGACUCGAACAUAUGGCAAGCAGGCACGAGGUGAAGGUGACGACUUGUUGCUUUGUUCAAUCUUUCUAAUUCACACCUGAGCAGUUUGGUCAACGGUAUGAUCCUCAAGAUUGAUGGGCUCUUCUUCCAGUUGGUGACUUGAUCUUUAAGGAUUUGAUUCAAGGGUGGUGAAUCGGCACGUGCAGCCCACAACGCCUAGUAAGCCGACCCAAGAAUUUGAGGGUCAAAACGGAUUCACCGUCAGAGUGAUUGCAACUUUGAUGAUAUGAGAUACUCUUGCUUUUGAAGAAGUAGUGGAUGAAUCAGCACGUGCUUUGUUGCGCUUGUCUCCACAUGCUUCAAGGUAUCAUCUUUAUUUCCUUUAUCUAUUCCUCAGGCAGAUGUGGCAUCUUCUCGAGUUCUUCAUCUCAGACUCUUUCUGCUGAGUUGACUGUUCAUGCUGCAUUCUUCUCUGCUUGUUCAUUCUGCACGUUGUCUCCACAUGCUGCAAGGUAUCAUUUUCACUUGCCUUAUCUGUUCUCCGGGCAAAUGUGGCAGCUUCUUUGAAAGUACAGUAGCAGCGGGAGGCGAGUACUCGAGAGCAGUGCUAGGUAGGCAAUCAGGGAAGGGUUCCAAGCAGUCGGUUCCUUACCCGAGUUUGAGUGGAAGUUCCGGCAUAUUGUUUUUUUUAUCCUUGUCUUUGUAGGUAAGAACAAGGACAAAGGAAAGGACAGGGAGAACGCAUGAUAUGAGAUACUCUUGCUUUCUACCCUGGUGAUAUGAGAUACUUUUGCUUUGGAGUCAUUGGCUUGCAGAGGUACCCCAAGGAAUAAGGAACACUGAAUGACUCGAGAGGCUUCGUUGGGAAAACAUCUUUGGAGAUGAAGAAAGACUUUGUGUGUCUGCCUUGCUAUGGAAGGCGAAGGUAGACAAUUAUAGGAAGUUCUUUGAUACCUGUAGAUGUACUAUUCUUUCACUCGUGUCGGCAACCAAUGCGUGAUUGAUCUAUAUGGCUUCACGUGCUUCCUUCUUUAUCAGAAAUCUUCGACAAACUGUCCGUAAUUUCCGCCAAGCUGAGUGUGCAUGUGAUAGGUGUUGACGCGGCUGAAAAAGACUGGCGCUUAUUCGAUAACUGGGAUCUGCGCUUCGACAAAUUACCCGUGAUUUCCGCAAAGCUGAGUUUGCGUGUGAUGGGUGCUGACGUGUCUGGAAAAGACUGGCGUCUCUUCGAUGUCUGGGAUCGGCACUUCGACAAAUUGCCCGUGAUUUUCGCAAAGCUGAGCUUGCGUGUGACGGGUGCUGACGCGUCUGGAAAAGCAAGAUGCUUCUUCGAUUUCUGAGCUUGCCUCUUCGAUUUUUGAAUGGCCUCUUCGAAUUCUGAGCUCGCCUCUUCGAUCUCUGAAAUCCCGUCGAGUGUUGAUUUUUUAUAGAGGCAUGCUGUUCGUUUCAAAGCACACUUGAAUUUUACUUGUGAAAACUCCCUUCUUGCACUUCUAAGAUCUUGAUUCGUCUGACCUCUUCUUCCUUCAACACUUUGAAAAUGUCUGGACCCUCCGACCGUCGUUUUGAUUUGAACUUUGGUGAAGAUGUAGUCCCGUCUUCUCCAGAUAACAUAUGGCGCCCAUCCUUCAUAUCCCCUACUGGUCCUCUUACUGUUGGGGAUUCGGUGGUGAAGAAUGAUAUGACCGCUGCGGUGGUGGCCCGAAACCUUGUCACUCCCAGAGAUAACAGACUACUUUCCAAACGGUCUGAUGAGUUGGCUGUUAAGGAUUCUCUGGCUCUCAGUGUGCAGUGUGCGGGUUCUGUGUCCAACAUGGCCCAACGCCUAUUUGCUCGAACCCGUCAAGUUGAAUCGUUGGCGGCUGAAGUGAUGAGUCUUAAACAGGAGAUUAGAGGGCUCAAGCAUGAGAAUAAACAGUUGCACAAGCUUGCACACAACUAUGCCACAAACAUGAAGAUGAAGAUUGACCAGAUGCAGGAAUCUGAUGGUCAGAUUUUACUUGAUCAUCAGCGGUUUGUGGGUUCGUUCCAACAGCAUUUGCCUUUGUCUUCUGGGGCUGUACCGCGUAGUGAAGCUCCUCAUGAUCAACCUCCAGCCCCUCUUCUUUCUGGAGUUCCACCGAGUGGUGUGACUUCAAACAGUCAACCUCCGACGUCUCUUUUCCCUAGAGCUCCACCGAGCACUGAGACACCACCUGAGCAAUAAAGACUCCCUCCCGUUUGUUUGCACAUUUGUAAAUUUUUUUUUUUUUUUUUUUUUUUUUUUUUUUUGGUAUGUAGAAUGCAAUUUUAUGUAAAAUUUCCAGAAAAAAUAAAUAAAAUGGAUUUUUAUUUCUCUUAAUGCUUUUUUUUUUUUUUUUUUUUUUGCUGUAUAUAUUAUACACACACAUUUAUACAUACAUAUAUACAUACAUAUAUAUAUAUUUUCACGUGGAGUGAUCCACCAUCCCAAAACCCAUUUUCCCUUUGUUUUUUUUUGCAUGGUGCUAGCCACCAAGAAUUCACCUUUUUUUUUUUUUUAAUUAAUUAAUUAAUUUAUUUAUUUAUUAAUUUAUUAUUAUUAUUUCUUUUUCGUCUGCUUUCACAUGGUGCUUGAUCCACCACUCUCUUUUCUUUUUUCACGUGGUGCCAGAUGCACGCCCCUUUUUUUUUCACGUGGUGACAGCACCACUCUGCUUUGCUCUACCACAUUUUUUUUUUUUUUGUAUAAAUUAGGAUGCUUGGCUGAGGGAUUUUGUAGGGAAGGACGAAGACGGACGGAGAGCCGGAGUUUGAGGAAGAGCUUCUCGGCCGGCUAGUCGUUUGACAGCGGUCUUUGAAGUUGGUGGCAGCUGCGAGGCAAGAGACGGAGGAGGACAGGGCAGCUGUGACGGACAGAGACGCCAUGGCAGGACCUCGAGGAGUUUUAAGAUACUGGUGCAGGUACUGGCGAGGUGAUUUUGACGAGAAAAGCAUGAAGAGGGCGUCGAGCACCAUGGGCCUGCAAUCCUUAAGGUUGAUCUCGUAGUCCUUGAGCUCUUGUUCAGGCAUGACGGGAUCCGCUGCGGUCUUUUUUAUCGGCAAUAAAGUUCUUUGCCUCAUAAAACAGCCCAGAACGCGAUAGAAGAGUUACGAACAAAGCACAAUGUGCAACUGUAGGUGUCUUGAUGCAGUUGAAGUAAAACUUCCCUUCCUCGACCAUGCGUGCUGCAACGCAAGCAUGAAGGACAGCAGCAUAGGUGAUUUCAUCGAUCUGUGUACUCGUUUCCUUCUCCAUUUGGCAGAAUAAAUCUACUCCGAUCUUUCCUUGUCCGUGUAAGCUGUACCCAGUUAUCAUCACUGUCCACGAAACAAGAUCUCUUGUACUUCGACCCUGGCAAAAACUUUUGCAGCUGAUUUGAUAAAUCCCGACUUGACAUACAUGUCCAUAAGAGCAUUCAGAACGGUGAGAUUCAUUCGAAUACCAUGUCGCAGCAAGAAUCCAUGAGUCUCUUUUGCCAUGUUUACCUGCAGACAUUCUUGCGCAUGCUGGGAGAACACUAGAGACCGAGAGCGGAUCAGGUUUCACCCCGUCUCCAACCAUCUGCCUAAACAGCUUAAGACCCUCAUUGAAGCAUCCCCUCUUCACAUUGGCAUGAAUCAUUUCUGUCCAAGAAAUGACAUCUUUCUCCGGUAUUUGGUUGAAAACUGCCCAAGCUUCGUCGACACAGCCACAGUCCAUGUAUAUUUUCAAGAUGGUAUUGCUCACCAACACAUCAUACUCCAAUCCACGUUCCUUGGCAACCCUGUGGACUUUUGUUCCAUCAAUCAACGAUCUCAACAUGCCACAGGCACCAGCCGCCGUCGCCACAGCCACAGAAUCUAUCUGUGCUCCGGACUCCACCAUUCUCUCAAACACAUGAACCGCCUUGCCGGGUUUACCUUCCGCAAUGUACAGCCUGGCCAGCAUUGUCCAUGAAACAGAGUCCGUAACCAGGGACUUGUCAAACAGCCCUUUCGCGGAGUCCGCGCUGUCGAGGCGACCGUACAACUCAAUGAGAGCAGCAACCACGUACCGGUCACCAGAGCAGCCGAGCUUGUGAGCGUGGGCAUGGAGUUGCUUGCCGAGGGAGAGAUCAACCGAAAGGCGAGAGGCAGACAAGACGCGAGGAAGAGUGUGUCUGUCGGGCGACGAACGCGCGGAUGAGCAUUUGGUGGUAAGUGGCGAGGGCGUGGUGGAAGUCGGCAUUGGCGAUAUGGGUCUGGAUAAGUCUGUUCCAUGCAAAGGUAUCUGAGUGGGGCAUUUUGUCGAACACCUUGUGGGUGACGGCCACCUUCGUGGUGGGUUUAGCAUUUCGGGAGUGCUUGUAGUGGGCUGUGUUGAUUGGGUUCUCGGUGACGAUCAAGCGCUGGAUUUGGGCGGAUGGAAGGGCUUCCAUUUCAGUUCAGUCGCACCCAAUUCAGCAUUGCCCGUACGGAUUCGAGCGCAGUUAUCGAGGAGGAGUUUCCUUAAGAAUAGAACCAAUCACCGACUCCUCAAACCCAUCCGGAUAUGCGAUUUUCAUGAGGUGCAAACAAGAACCCUCUGCCAUAAGUGGCAUGAUCACCCAAAGGUUUCUUUCAACGACAAAUGAACAAAACGCCCUCACGACAUUGGGAUGAUCUAUUAAUCUCAUCGUCUGCGCCUCCCUCCGGAUAUCCUCGAAAUUGCUAUUGCACCGAUCGAGAUCCAAGCACUUGACGGCGACGACUUCAUUGAAAGGGAGAUAGAUCGCUCUGUAAACCGUUGCGCUGGCGCCAUAUCCGACCUCUUCCAGAAGCUUGUAGUCGUUCGGAUUCGCCGAGUGAAGCCUCGAAUUGCUACCCAUCCUCCCCAUCUGUUCGAGGACUUGUGCUUCAGAUAUGUCGUUUUGAGGCUACGGGCUCUGCGUUUGGGCUGUGUGCCAGUUUGGGCUUAGUGUUGCUUUGGAGAGAUCUAGGUUUGGUUGAAGAGGUACGGUGAAGCCAUGGGCAAGGGAGAUGACGAAUUGGGCUUGGAGGCUGACACUUGGGCCUGGAUGGCCUCCUUUUGAGAGGCUUGCUGCUGAUGGAUAUACAUAUAUAUAUUUGUAUGUAUAUGUAUGUAAAAGAAAUCUUUUUUUUUUUUUUUAAUUUUUUAAUUUUUUUUUUUAUGUGACUGAACUCGAAAAAAUUGAACAUUCGAGCUGCCUACGUACCCCUCCAAAGAAGAGAUCAAGUCGCAACGUAGUUCAAAUACAUUUUUGGUAUUUUCUUUUUGUGUCGUUUGCAGUUUUAACUCAUGCAGGCAAGGAGUGUUGGUGUCGUUUGCAGUUCCAACUCUUGCAUACAAGGAGCGUUGGUGUUGCCUUUUAUGCUCGUGUAGGCCAGGAGCGUUGGUUCGUGCAGUUUAGGCUCGUGCAGGCGAGGAGCCUUUGGUGUCGUUCGCAGUUUCAACUCGUGCAAACAAGGAGCAUUUGGUGUCGUUCGCAGUUUCAACUCGUGCAGACAAGGAGCAUUUGAUGCCGUGUUGCAGUUUAGGCUCAUGCAGGCGAGGAGCGUUGGUGUCUUGUAGUUUAGGCUCUUACAGACAAGGAGCUUUGGUUCGUGCAGUUUAGGCUCGUGCGAACAAGGAGCAUUGUUGGUUCGUCAAGCGAUCCGAGAGAGUUGUUCCUCACAAUCUUCAUAGCAAGGAGCCUUGACCGCGUGAUUGAAGAAGUCUUCGGGUAAAAAGUCGCGCAUCGUGAUGGCAACAGACAAUCUUUGUGUCGUAGUUUCAUCAUCUUCAACACGUUCACGUUGCUUUGAAGGUUGACAAUAGCUGCUUUGCCCCCUUUUCAAUUGGCGGACUUGUGGAGGAGACGUAUGCUUCUUGUGCAAUUUCUUAGGAGUGACUUGAGUCCAUCCUUCAAUUUUGCUUGUCUUGGACGAUGCCCCCAGCGGUUGAGGUGAAAACUUUGAGUCGGAAGAGCCAGAAGUGAAGGUGGUAUAGUUUGACUUUGCCACUUCGUCAAGAUCUAGCUCGAUGAUUCCUUUCUGAGCCAGCUUCAUGAUGAGAUCUUUCAGCACGAAACAUUUUUCUGUCGGAUGACUGAUGAAGCGGUGGAAUUUACAGUACUUUGGACUGUCGGUGCGAUUCAUCUCUUCUGGCCGUUUGCACUCAGGCAAACCAAUCACCUUCUUUUCCAACAGGUCAUCCAGUAUGGCAACCACAUCAGAGUCGGGGAAUGGAUAAGUCUUCUCCUCAAGCUCCUUUAAAGUGCGUCUACGCAUUUCUUGAUCACGAAAAGCUUCGGUUUGAAUCGCCUUGCCUCGUGUGGAUAUUUUGACGGGAGAUGUGUUGACCGUCAUCGCUUCCUUGGUGGGUUUCCAUGCAGCCUUUUCCACCUUUGUCCCAAGAACUUUGUCGUUCUUGUAGUCGGCGAUUGGUUCUUUCUUCCCAUGAUGGGCGAUGCUCAACUCCAUGUCAUGGGCGCGAGUGGCCAAUUCCUCGAAGGUCCGCGGUUUAAUGCCUUGAAGGAUGUAUUGCAAACCCCAUUGCAUGCCUUGGAUGCACAUCUCGAUUGAAGAGGUUUCCGAGAGCCUGUCUUUACAGUCGAGGCUUAGAGUGCGCCAUCUGUUGAUGUAGUCAAUGACUGGCUCGUCCUUCCACUGCUUUGUGCUUGUUAGCUCUAGCAUGCUCACAGUGCGGCGAGUGCUGUAGAAGCGGUUGAGGAAUUCCCGCUCCAAUUGCUCCCAGUUGUUGAUGGACUCAGGCUCUAGGUCAGUGUACCACUCAAAGGCGUUUCCUUUUAGUGAGCGCACAAACUGCUUGGCGAGGUAGUCCCCUUCGGUCCCUGCGUUGUUGCAAGUUUCAACAAAGUGGGCAAUGUGUUGUUUCGGGUUUCCCUUUCCAUCAAAUUGCAUGAACUUUGGCGGUUGAUAACCCUUCGGCAUCCUUAAGGCGUCGAUUUUCUUUGAAUACGGCUUCGAGUACAACCCGGAGGUAUUUGAGCUCCCUUCGUACUGUGCCUUGAUGGUGUUGGUGAUCAUCUAUUGCAGCUGCUGGAUAGAAAGAGAUCCCAUGAGUGCCGCUGCUUGGUCUGGCUCCGGCUUUGCAUCGUUUUUCUCCACCUGAGGCUCAUCUUCUUCGUCAUCUCUUCUCUUUAGUGGAUCAUUCUCUGGGUCGGGUUUAUCGCCGUCCUGCGCCUUUAGUCGAUUGACGAGUGCUGCAAUUUGCAAGUCUUUUUUCUUCCACCGUUCGGGUCAGCCUUGCGAUUGCUUCAUUCAUCUGAGCCAGUUGUUCUUCAACGGAGGUAACGCCGAUAGUCAUGACUUGUGCGACCAAUAUACGUGACUUUCCUUUAGACAUCCAGGAUGCUGAUGAAGAACGUCGUUGGCUGCUUUGGGAUGUCAUCUUAUGUGCCUCAGCAUCAUGCUUCGGUGCCCCCAGCGAGGUCAGGUUGAUGACAGACUCGCACCUUGGAUGCUCCCCUUGCUCUUUUAGCGGCACCAAUUUUGAAGUAGCAUGUUGGGGAGCGGUUGUGGCGCCAAUGGAUUGUCUGUUUGCGGCAGAAGUGCUUAGGAUCCUUCCCUCAGUGGUUGCGAGAAUGGCUUGUCCUUUGCUUGAUGCCAUUGACUUUGAGGUGUGCUUGGAUUCCUUGAACGAAGAAAGAGAUGAGAGGUAGAGAUUGUCCCACCGGGCGUGCCAAUUUGUGAACACGGAAAAUUCCUGAAACGAAAGAGACAAGAACGAACGUGCACAAACAAAUAUUAUGUAUUUGAUGAUUUUGGGUUACAAUCUCUCUCUAUUUGAUCCUCUGAUUCAAUCUCCGUAAGGUGUGUAUUUGUGGAUGUGUGAUUGAUCCAAAGGGCCGUUGGGCUUGAUCUAAGGAUGAACGUUCUUCAAGGGCCGUGGACUUGAUCUUGAAGGUGGAUUUGAGCGGAUCUUUAAAGGGGCUUUUGGGCUUGAUCUUGAAGAACGGUUGGAUGUGUGGAUUUGUCGAAGUUGUUGAUCCAAAGGGCCGUUGGGGCUUGAUCUUGGAUGAACGGAUGAUGAACGAUGGUGCUUUCUUCAAGGGCCGUCGGGGCUUGAUCUUGAAUUGGUGGAUGGUUGAUCCAAGGGCCGUCGGGGCUUGAUCUUGGAAGAACGAUGAACGAAGAACGAAGAACACUUUCUUCAAGGGCCGUCGGGGCUUGAUCUUGAAUUGGUGGAUGAUUGUUGAUCCAAAGGGCCGUUGGGGCUUGAUCUUGGAAGAACGAUGAACGAAGAACAAAGAACGCUUUCUUCAAGGGCCGUCGGGGCUUGAUCUUGAAGGUGGAUGAUUGUUGAUCCAAGGGCUGUCGAGGCUUGAUCUUGGAAGAACGAUGAACGAAGAACACUUUCUUGAUUCUUCGGGAACCUGGACGCUUGAGAGCUUCGGAGUUUCAGAGCUUCAGAGCUUCAAGGUGUAAUAUGAAUUGGUCCCCCCUAAAUGAAUGAAAUGGGCUUGUAUUUAUAGAAUUUUCCAAGGCCUAAUUUUGAAUAUAAUAUCCCAGAUGAAAUAAGUCGUUUCUGCCAGGUGUUGACACGUGUCCUAUUUGAUGACUUUUCCAACUCAUUUCAAUUUUCGUUUAGUCACACGCUACGUGUAAAAUUUAUGUAAUACAUGAGCGUUGACACUUUGAUUUAUCGGUCAACAUUUAUUUACCGAAAUUUCGAUGUCUACAAAACUAAUAGAUAAUUGACUAAAUAAACAUCCUGCAAAGUUUCAAUAAAAAUUUCCAAGUUUUUCUUACAAUUUCUGUGGUUUCCAUAUUAUUUUUAUCGAUAUCGAUAAUAUCCCGAUAUUUCAAUCGAUAUUUCCGUGUUUUUGGACUACCGAUAUUUCCGAUAUCAUCGAUAUUUUAUACCUUGGCGACGGGGGACUUGCCGACUGGUGCCACCGUGGACGUUGGGUCUUUCGAAAUGUGGUGUAAUGUUAUGAUCCCACAUCGGCUACACAAGAAAUUGUGUAGUGGUACUUAAGUGCAAGGGGUCCUCCCACCUAUUGGACUAGUCUUUUGAGUUGGGCUCUUCCCUUAGGCUUGAGUACCUAACAAACCCAUAAAUCAAAGAAAUCAAAAUCCACCCAGAAUCAAAGAAAUCAAAAUCCAUCCAGAACCAAAGAAAUCAAAAUCACACACAGAUAUACAAGGUGUACAGUACUGACAUGCCUUAAAUGAUAUUAUUCACAAGAUUUAUAAAGCUCAUGUCGUAAUACUUGUGCAGAAUCUAUCAUUCACGGCGUCACUUUUGUGCAAGUUGUAAAUAAAAUUAUUCACAAUUUAAACAUUGUGUGUCGUAUUUGACAAUUUAUACUACGCACUUUCUUUUUCUUUUAAAGCUUUGCGUUAUGUCGUGAAGUUGACUUUCUAUAUAUUUGGGUUGUACCUUUUAUGGCGCAAAUAACACGUCGUAAAUAAUGGCUUUUAGCACAGAAGUUUUGUGGUAAAGAAGCCCGCGCACUAAUUCAUUCUCGCGCCUUCUCUUUUUUAUUUAGCCGCUUCUUUUUUUAUUUUUUAUUUUUUUUGUUAAAUUCCCCUCAAAUGUUAAAAGAAAAAUUAAUGAAAUAUUUGAAAACUUUGAGUUUUAACGAUAAGGAUAAAAUAAAAGGUAAAAUGAAUAGUACCAAAAUUGACUUUUUAGUGUUAAAAUAUGAUUUUUCGUUAAAGUGAACAGUGCCGAAAGUUUUUCGUUAAAGUUCAAUGUUAAAAGGUUUGUAUUUUCUUGGUAAACUUGAAAGACAAACAUUGCAAUUGCAUUUUCAUUUACCCAAUAUUAAUUGUCGAGAGCCCACCCCCUUCCCUUCUCACUGACAUCGUAACUCUCUCCUCUCCAUCGAUCUCGCUCCAUCUGCUCGCCGUCGCUCUAUAUGCUCGUCAUCACCGUCGAUUCGUCUGCUCGUCGUCACCGUCGCCCAUCUGCUUUCCGUCACCGUCGAAGUGCCCCGCCAUUCAAGAUCUGAAAUCCCCAAUACAGGGUGCUUUGCGGCAUUUCGUUCUCCAAAACUUUAGGUAUGCUCUCAAUCUGUAUCAACCCUAUCCUGUCCCCUCUAGAUUUUUGUUUAGUCUCAACUUUAUGGUGCUUUUCUUAGAUUUGUUCUAUCACUGUAAUUUUAAGGGAUUUUAGGUAAUAAAUUUGGUUGAGAAUCUCAGUUAGGUUUGUAAUUGUUUUCUUGGUUGCCUGGGUUUGAGGAUGAUUAAUCCACUUUCUGAAGUUUAAUUACUUUGAACUUUGAUUUGUGGGAAACUGCAAUCAAAAUGUUGCUAUGGCUUUAUAGUUAGAAUCGAUUGUGAGUCUUUGCACCACAUCAAGCAAUACCCCGGUGUUGUAAUUCCGAGGUUUGUAAUUGCCGCUGUUAAUGAUGGUUUGGUCCAUCCUUUUUAGGGAGAUGACUUCAAUGAUUGAAACUAGUUUAUCAUUAUUUCAGAACUCUGUAAUACGAGACAUGAUAUUCCAAAAAAUAUUUGCAUGAAUAUAUGUGCAUUGACUGACUAUUUUUCAGUCUUUGAUAGUGGAGAUAACUCUUUCAGGUCAUAUGUAGUUCUUACAGAAAUUGUAUGGUAUUUUGGUUGGUUUUGUGUUCUGGUUGUAGCAAACUGGUGGAUGCCCUGAGAUGAGUAGUUAUCUACAAAGUGGAUGGAUCCUGAAGAGUACAAAGUCUAAGGCAUUUUAUGUAAAGGUAAAUCCUGUUACUUUUAAUUACUUAUAUGUGAAUGCCUGCCAUUUGAAGUAAAAAUUCUUUUAGCCAUUACAUUCUUCAUAAAGAUCUUUAUAUGCUCAAAAGAAGGAUUUUUUUUAGAUGCCAUGUAACUGGUGGUGGCUAGCCUCUUCUUUUUAAGACUCUAGUGUGUUUCAAUUACACUAGUCAAUCGUUCUUAUGUGUAUUAUGUUUUGUUGAUAAGAUGGCCAAGACAAAGUUGUAGAGCCCUAGUAGCAGGGUGCUGUUGGCAUUUAUAUUUUUCUUUUGAAGGGGUGUUUAUUGCUUUUAUACUUUCAUUGUUUACUCUCAUACAUACAAUACUGAAAAAUAAGCAUGUAUUGACGCGUAAUUUUAGAUCCAUAUUUAUACAUAAUUUUGAUUACAUGUCCAAAUUACCCAAGAUUCUUUUUCCUUUACAAAUUUGUGGAGUGCAUUACAUGGAUAUGAUUCAUGUAUGAAAUACACAUGACUCUCACUAAUUUAAGGGCAGCAUCAUUGACUGUACAGUUUUCAAUUCUUUAUAAUCAUGAGUAUAGACAUUUUUUAAUUCUUUAUAAUCAUGAGUACAACAAUAGUUUCUAUAACAAAAUUCUGUUAAAUAUGUAAUAUCAGUAUUUGUUUUCCAGGUUCAUUAGUUGAGGAUGAUUUUUCCAAGAAAGAAAAGAUCGCGGCUUUCAGGCCGAUCUAAAGAACAUUAUGUUGAUAUUGCACCUGAGAUCUUACAAGAAGAGGACGAAGAAGUACCAGAUGACCUAUUUACAGAGGAGUCGAAUCAAACUAAAAGAAAGAGGGGUCCUACUAGAAUGAAGACAAUUUCCACAAAUGAUGGUCAACGAAUUGAGAUUGAAUGGAAUGAAAACGGCCAGUUUAUUGGUGACGGAUCUAUUGACUUAUCUUCUUACAUGGGUUCUUUGGUCCGAGAGGUUGUCCCUAUAACAUUUGAUACUUGGAAGGAUGUUCCUAAGAAAACAAAGGACAUCCUAAUCAAGGUAAUAUGCAGAUAAGUCAAUUCUGAUCCCUCUACUUCAAGGUGAACAAUUUAUAGUUUAUAAAUUUUACUUGUGUUAAUAUAUAUUUUUUGGUAAAUGUUAUGGAUAUUUUAUCAAAUCAGAGAGUAAAUUCGUAUUAAGUGAAGAUUGGCAAAGAACAUAUUGUUUUGAAAGGAUGAAUAAUGUUUGCAGAUCACAUAUAUCAGUAGUUGUGAAGUCCAUAAGAGAAGCAAGAAAUUGGAAAGCAAGGCUUCGUCUAAAACCAAAUAAUGUCAAAUUAAUUCAAGAUUGGAAGACUUCCCUUGCAAAGUGUAAGCUCAUUUUCCUUUUCUUUUAUUUCUAAGAUUAGUUAUCUUCUUUUGAGUUCAAAAUUGGGUCAGAGAAAUCAAACUGAUAGUAGUUAAAAGUCUAUUUCAACACCAAGCCUUGUCUACACAAGAAUUUGGUGUUAGUUAAACAUGUGUAUGAUUCUAUCUUGAUUGCAUGUUAAUUUAGUUUGAAGAUAGAUUUGGUACAUGCUAGCUAAUUGAUACGUGAUAUGAAUCUUUGGUUUCCUUUUGAUAGGACAAAAGCGAAACAUUCAGAGAGAUGAAGUCUAAGCAACUCCGCACACAUGUAGUCGCAAGGGAUAUGGUAGGUUGGCGGAGGAUUUGGUAAUUACAUUUCAUUCUAGUGCCUUCUUUUCUACAGGACAAGAACAAUUUACUAAUUUUAUUCUGUGUUCUACUGUGUGUUUACUACAUUUAUGUUUCUAUUUUGUAGAAAAGAAAAAGUGUAGACCCUUCUCUAGUUUCUAGAGGUGAUGUUUGGAUUGCAGCACAUACUAAAAAGGGUGGUGGACCAUCCAAUUUGCUUGCUGCAGAGACUAUUGUAAGUAAUUUUUAACCAUUUAUUUCUUCUUGUUUGUUGAUAUGCAAUGAUGAAUGAGGUCUUAACUUUGAUGUGCAACGUUAGGAAAAAAAUUAAGCAAUAUGGAAAUGGAUCAUCAUCUGGUUUUCGAGGUGACGUUCUUUCCAAAGUUUUUGGUGCUGAGCGACAUGGUCGUGCAAGAGGAGUUGGAGGUGGUGUUCCUCCUACAAAGCUUGGAAUAUUUUCACAACAAAAAUUGCGUAAUCACCAAAUGGAUGAAAAGGUGCACAAUUUAACUAAUCAGGUCAGAGCACUGACAGAAUUGGUGUAUCUUUUUAUGAAAAAUCAGGUUAGUGAUUUAAUAACAUUGGUAUCAUAUUGAAUAUUUGUGAAAUCAGUUUUAGUGACACAUCAAAUCACAGGGUAAUGAUCUACCAAGUGAGGCAUCUCCUGACACACAGGUUGCAGCUCCUGAGGCACAUGUUGAUACUGUCGCAAGAACUGAAACUUGUCUUUCCCAUUGCGCAACAAAUGAAUCGUGGUGGCGAGGUUGAUACACUUUUUCAAUGAGCCUUCUAACUAUUAAUGCUCAUUGACUCUGUUAAAAGCUCUGCCAUUUUCAAUCUAACUAGACACUAGAAAUGAUCAUUGACUCUGUUAAAAGUUAUGAUGUUUUGGUCCUUCUCCAUAGUUGCGCAUCUACUGAUGUCUAUUUUUUUUCAAAUACUGCAGGUUAUUUCUGAAAACAUUGAAACAUCGUGGUGUACCAGAUGGUUUGAUUAUAAGACACCUUCCUUUUGGUCCACCAACUUAUUUAUAACUGCUAAAUGGUACGUAGUGUGAUAAUUUUCAAAUAUUUUGAUAUUAAGACAGGUGUAGGACAACAUAGAAAUUCUUAGGGCCUUCAGCAACAAAAUUAUGAAAAAGUGAGUGAGAUACAAUUAAAAAAAUGAAAGAGAAGGAUCAUGAUUCAUGAUCUAAAGGUUUGAAUAGGGUAGAAAGGAUUUAGUUUCGUUGUUAAAAUCGAUUGUGAGUCUAUUGUUAUUGUAUUGUCAAUUUGUUUAUUUACUUGAACUUCCUAGUAUCAAUUUGGUUCGAUAUAUCUAGCACCACCAUAGAUAUAUCUAGUAUCAAUUUGGUUAGAUAUUGUCAAUUUGUUAUUGUAUUGUCAACUAUAGAAUGUGCAUCAGUUGUAAAAGGAACAAAACAAUUCAGAUUUUUUGUUUAUGUCCAAACUUAGAAUUGUAUUGUAAUUGACAAUUUCUACUAAUUAAUUUAAAGUAUUUGGAGUUUAAUAUGUUUAUGAUCAAUAUUGUUAUCCUUCUAUUGUAUCAGUUUAGAUGUUAUGAAGUGAGGUCUGUCUAAAAAUGAUAUGCUAAAUAUAGAUGUAAAUUACGGCAUCUAAAAUCAGCAAUAAUUGUUGAUGGUAGUCUUUUUUUACGAUGCACGAUGUAUGCCGUAAUCACCUUCACAAUAUUACGACACUCAACAAAUGCUGUAUCAAAUAUAAAUUACUGCACACAAGUAUGUCGUAAUUGUUUUUCAGUAUUACGACACCCUAUUAACGCUGUAACUAAUACCAAUUAAGGCGCGUAGGACAUGCCUUAAGAACAUUUAUGGCGUGUUUUACUUAAAUUAUUCACUACUAUUAGAGUACGUCGUAUUUGUCAAAACAUCUUUUACAACAGGGGCUUUUACUGCUUGGAGGCUCACGUCGUGAAUUUCCAUUUACGGCACCCUUUGUGCGCCGUAAAAGGCCAAUUCUAUUGUAGUGAUCCAUGGGUACAUUUUUAAUCUACAUGUUUCGUUUUAAUAUAUCUAUUGCUAUAAUAUGUUUUGGUUGGUUCAAAUUCGUUUUACAUAAAUAUAUGGGUACAAAGUUUUUGGAGAAUAUUAUGUAAAAUGGUUUUUAAGGUUGUUGCAUUUUAUGUACCCACAUAUGCAUGUCUAUAAAACAAUGUGGUAUGAUGUACAUUCUUUUCCUUGAGUUUUUAAAUGUACCCAUGAGUUUUCUUGUAAAUUCAGUAUGUAUCCAUAUGCUAUUUAUGUUAUGGGUACAUAAAUUAUUUUUGGUCUAAGUUGGUGGGUACAUUGCUUUUGUAUGUAUGAAUUCAUUGGGUACAUUAUUUCCCUUAAUACUACUCAAUAAAAUUCACAAAAAUAUGUGCAGUGUGCAUGAAUUUUUAUUGUAGAAAUUGUUUUUUUUUAAUUUUUAAUUUUUAAGUCUCAUAAUUCGUGAAUUUUGUACAUAUUGAUCCCAUAAAUUUUUGAAUUUUAUUAAAUUUCUUUUAGACUUGAUCGAUUGAUUGAAUCUCAUAAUAAUCCCUUAAAUGUUCCAAUCAAUAUUUUAAAUUACAGCUUUUUAUUUAAGAUUUCAAAAAGAUGACAUGAAAAUAUAGUAAUACUAAAAUUUUAUUUUAAAUUACAUUUGUGUAACAAUCAAUGGUAUGUUAAAACUGGGCAAAAAAAAAAGGUAUAUUAAAAAAUUAUAAUUUAUUCUUUUUUUCAUAACUGUCUUCUGCUUAGAUUAAAUUUUUACCAAUUUGGGGGAAUUAGUUCUUACCAAUAUAUAUGCACAGUAUUUGCUUUUUACCUGGGCUUAACACAUGAUUAAUUACUUUCCUACCUGCUAACGCGUUGAUUUGCGCAUCCAAAGUAUUAUCAAAGUCACUGCCACCAAAAAGGUGCCCACUCCACAACCUUUGGUUGAACCAAAGAACAUCACAACAAUAAGGAAAUCGUUAAAUCUAUCUCCGCAACAUUUUUAUUAAUCAUUAGAUAGAUUAAACGAUUCCCCUGUUCAUAUUGUGUUCUUUUGUUGAACCAAACCAUGUCAACAAAAUAUAUCUAUGGUUAAGCAUCUAGAUUCAUGCUUUUGGAUGUGCAUCUUAAACCCCUCAAUGAAUAGCCAAGCAAUUUAUCAUGUGUUUACAGUAGGUCAAAAGAAGAAAGUGUUUGUCUAUAUAUUGGUAGGAACCAAUUCCUCUGAAGAGGAGAGAUGGAAGUGAUGAUAAUACUUUAAAUAAUCAAAGCCCAAACAUUUUAUCAAAUUUCAUCUCUGUACUCCACGGAGACACUAAAUGAGACAUAUCUGGUCCAUCUCUGAACAUCUUUUCUUACCGUUCUUACAAUAGAAAGGGCACAAAAUUGACUUACACAGUCUUGCACAAUACUCACUUUGCUUCAACCCAUAUUUCACUUUGUCAAAUCAUACACGUUCCUGCAAUAGGUGAACUCAUAUGUAUCUACCACUUCUUGCUAAUUUUAAUUUUUCCAUUCCCAUUUUUGCUACAAGUUUCACAUAAAUUUUUUAUUGCACUUGUCAAUUCUUUAUACUUUUUUAUUGUAUUUUUUUUUUGUCUUUUUUUUGUAUUAAACAAUUACAUGUCCUCCAAAAGUUUUGCUUAUUGCCCUAUUUCAUCAAGCUCGGUAUAAAUAGAUCUUAAUUUUUUACUACAGUUAAAUACAUGGACAUGCCUCCACAAAUACAAAUUAGUUCUUGCUUAAAUACUUUGUGUGUUUACAUAGAAAAUGUUCCCAUCGUCUACCAAAAUCCUCCACACAUGAAAACAAAAAUUCUUACUCAAAAAUACAUAUUACAAUACCACCAUAUCUGUUGUUUUUUAUUAAAUUAACACACUGUUUUCAAUUUUAUCUUUAACACAAAAGAAAAUGCUCUUACACAAUAUGCUUGUUUACAUUUUAUAACUUAUCUACCACAUGUUAAUCGCAAUUAUAUAAAUAGGAAAACACGUGUCAAUAGAAGUGUGAUGCAUGCUACUUCGUUAACAAUAGUGGCAACUAAACAAUUAAAUAAUUUGUUUCAAUUAGUUAGUACAUUUUAUAAAUUUCUUAAUUAGAACUGUUUCAGUAUAUUCAAUACAUUUUUAAACAACUUUCCAGUUAGUUGCCCAAACUAAUUAUUCCAGCUUAUUCAUAGUAUAAUACCAACAAUUUAACAACCAAUGAUACUUCGUUUAACAUAAACUUCAUUUGGAAAAAACAAAAAAAUAUCUUUUUCUCUGCUGAAAAAUCCAACAGAGUUAUUGAUGCAGAUCAGUUAUACCAACAAAUUACCAUAGUUUACCCAAUGCUAUACAGGUUUGACUUUUGUUUAUAUUCUUGGAUCUGUUGCUUGGUUGUAUAAUUUGGUUGUGUGUUUUGUUUCAGGACAAUUUGUUCUUCGUUUCUUGAGGCUUUUGUGUGUAGAUUUGAAACCGUUUAGCUUUCAAGCCGUGUAUACUCAAGGUAAAUAAUUUCGUUUUUUUCUUUGUAACCUUUUUUGUAAGAAAUUUUUAUUUAAUGUUGUGAGAGUUGUGUUUUCUAGAGUAUGAAAAUUGAAUCUUUGUGAUCUUAUAUCCUUAGAUAUGUUUCUUGGUUAUAUGAUUUGGCUGUGUGCAUUGUUUCAGGACAAUUUGUUCUUCGUUUUUUGGGGCUUCGGUGUGUAGCUUUGAAGCCUUUUGUAGUCAACAUAAAUAAUUUUAUUUUUCUUUGUUUCUAGUCUUCUUUGAAAGAAUUUCUUAGUUAAUAUUCUGAGAAUUAUGUUUACUAUAGUAUGAAAAUUGAAUCUUUGUGAUCUUGUAAGUGAUGUAACGUCAUUGCAACAUGUAUGACUGCCAUUAUCGAACAUGAAGAGCUUUUUGAUUUUUGUACUCCGUCCUUUCAUACGAUCUGACUCAAAAAUUGUUUCAUCACAGGUUCUAACAUGAUUUUUGCGACGUCUUAUGAAAAUACAAUGUCACUUCUGGUAUUCCAACUUAAACAAAUUACAAGGGAUGUCUAGUUUUAAACCUGCAGUUAGUAUAUACUAAAACGACGGUUUUGGCCCUGCUCUCGACUUCUUCAGAAACCUCGAGAAACUUCAAACUGAGAAAGCUUCUCCCUUCCAUCUCUGCUACGCGAUCUCUGCUUUGCGAUCUCUGCUUCCUCCGUGAUUUCUUCCCUCCUGAUCGACAUCUAUUCGAAUUGAAAACCUUCUGGAGCUCUCUUCCCCAAAUUUCAGCAGCAACUUUGCUCCAGAUCUUUCCAAUUGAAAUUCCUCUCCUUCACAUUUUGCAUAUUGAAUUUCGCAUCAUUAUCAUCUCCCUAGAACCUAGGAGUUUGGUUCGGUUUCGAGUUUUCCGACGGAAAUCCGGCGACAGCGGCCAUCGAGGUUGGUCUGAAACUAUUCCUCAUCACCACAAGUACUUUCUACACCUAUUACACUUUAGAAAAAAUUUCAUGAUUUGGUGGAAUCCAAUUUAAUGAUUAGAAAAAUUUUCAUUAAUUUUCUGGGUUCGUGGGUUGGAGGUGGAUUAGAAAUUUUUUCAUUAUUUUUCUGGGUUUGUGGUUUUUUUCCAAAACGUUUUUCCUUUCUACUAAUCCAAGUUCCUUCACAUCAAUCUCUCUGUUUCGUUCUUGAUCUUCCGCGAGUAGAAUACCUCUCCUUGCUCUCGAGCGCGUGGGCAGUCGCUCCAAGGCAGCCCAUGACGUCAUUUUCCGAUUCGACUCGGAGGAGGUUGGCUGCUCUUCUUGGCUGAGCUUCAUGGCUGGCCGAAUUCCCCUAUUCCCUUCCUCUUAUACUCUUUUGUAUUCGUUCACCAAAACAAUAGGAAAACGUCUCCGUCUGUUUGAUUGACGGCGAAGAAAAAAAGACGGAGAUAAAAGCCUGACGGAAGCUGAAAGCUUGGACUCUGUUUGUAUUUUUAAUGGAUUUUCAGAACACAGGUCAAGAAUACUGCGAUUUGAGAAAGAAAGAAAGAACCACGUUGACAUAAUAUAUUCACAAUAGGCGUACAUAAAGCUUUACUGUGGUUCCAUUUUUUUGCAUAUUUCAAAGGCUCUGAAUUGUUAAGGGAAUUAGCCUUUUGUUUUAGGAAGAACUUGGAACCCCCUCCGUCCAUUCUAUUCCCGAUGGAAUUAACACUUAGAUAGUACUAUGACAAUGUGUCAUUAAUUGAUGCAUACCUGUAUAAAUUUAGGCCAAGUGUUUUAUACACAAAUUGAUACAGAUUAAGCUUCUGGGUCGAAAUCAUAUACCGGUGAGCUAACUACACAAUGAUACAUUCUUAUCUGUUAAUUAUCUUUGGUUACCAGCUAUCCAUGUUGCUGACAUAUUAAACUACACAACAUCUAUUGUAAUUUAUGUCUUAUUAGUAUCAUCACUUUUGUUCUUUAUUUCAAUGUCUAACAUAAUGAUCUGGUUUCAAUUUGCUACAGGCAUUAUUUCCAGACAAUAGCUAUGGUUUUGAUUGUAGCGGUGACUGAAAAAUUAUUCCGAAACUAACAUUUGAGGAAUUCAAGGUUUGUUAGUUAAUUUGUACAUCAGAAUACCAUGACAAACUAUGAAGUUGUAAUUGUUGACCUUACAAUGUAUCUUUUUUGGUUUGGAGCAUUAGACUUAUAUGUGUUGCUUUCACUUCAUGAAGGCUAACUCUUUAUUUUAGGCCUUAGAAUAUAAUUUUUUGGAGAAUCUACAUUGUUGAUAAUUUUUUGAACAAUAUUAUCCCCAAAAUUUCUCCGCAUGUUACCCUCAACGUAGACAUCAUAUAACCAUCAUUGAACUUCUGAACCAAAAAUUUGAGUUUUAUGAUUAUAACUAAACGUCUAUAAACACAUGAUACAGAUUGAGACGAAUGUCAAAUUUAAAAUGGCAUUAAUCAGGACAGCUGCAAACUCUGAUUUGCGGCCUUUGAAAUGGAGCAGUUACUUCUUGCUUCACUUCAACAGCAUAGUCCAGCUUCUAAAUUCAGUUCUCAGGUAUGAGGUUUCUCAGUUACCUCUUUUUUGUAAUAAAACAUUUGAUCAGUACUUGCCAGGAUAUCCAAUUAAUUAGGUCAGUUUUUGUUAGCGGUAAUAAUUUGUUUUUGUAGCUUUAUAUGUGUCUCUGUCUCCAAAUAUGAUGAUCUCUUAAUUUGCUUCUAUAGCUUUUGUAAUAUAAUGAUCUCUUAAUUUGCUUUUGCAUAUCUUCUUUGCUUCCUCUGCUAGCUCUAUAUGAGAUUCCAUCUCCAAAUAAUUAUUCCUUAUUUCCUAUUUUUACAGGAAGCAAAUCAUUGAAUACACAUGGAAAAUUAAAAGGGUUUUAGUUUUUGGAGUAGUUUAAAUUUUUUGUUUGUUAUUGCUUGUAUUGCUGUUAAAUAUUUGAUGGGUAGUUUGAAAUGGGGAACUUGGUUGAUUGAGUAUUAACUUUUAUUAAAUUAAUAUUCUUAUUCAAUAUUGAAUUAAGACUCCUCUUAUUAAAUUAAGACUCUUAGAGUGCGUUUGUUGCGCCAGACUGUCUCGGACUGGACUAGCUGCCGGGACUAAGCUGGACUGGCUUAGACUGGACUAAGCUAGACUAACUUAGUGAAGCGUUUGGUGUAAUGUCGGACUAAGAAGCAGGAUAAGAAAAACAGUACUGUUCACCAGAUUUGUGUUUGCUUAGACUAGGAUUACAAAUUUUUGCCAUUGUGUAAUAGAGUAAUGCUACAAAUCUCAUGAUAUGGGUUAAUUGGAGCAUAUUUUUGCCAUGUAUAUUAUGAAUCUUAAAAAAAAUUGACAAUUGUUUUGUUUCUAUUACCUGCUAAUAGAAUUGGGUUUAAUUUGCAAAUGUAGCUUAGUUUAAACUCUAUCACCCAACAGAAGAAAAAUAAUAGUGCCCAAUACAUGCAACUUCAACAAAUACAAGUACAUAAGAAGAUCUCCAUAAUUUAGAAAAUCCUAGUUAACAUUAGUUAACAUUAGCCAAAAUAGAUCUCCAUAAUUUACAAAAUGGCUAGUUAACAUAAGCCAAAAUACUAGUGCAAAGCUAAGUUAUAAGCCAUAACAUAAGAUUGUAUGAUUAAUAAAAUACAUCCAUGUUAACAUUAAUAAAAUACAUCCAUGUUAACAUUAGCCAAAAUCCUCAUCCGCUUGCGUUGUCGCUUAAAAGCCUUUGGACGAACACUUUCUUGAGUUCCGGUUUGAUUGCCCUGAACACUCCCACAUUUUUUGGUUUAUCCAAAAUAAGAGACAAUGCAUCAAUUUGAUCCAUAGGAGAGAGACCCAUUACUUCAAGUUCAUUAGCUAUGUCAGUAUGAUCUGCAAUACCUUGAACUAAAGCUUCAGUUACCAUUUGCAUCCUCUUCCCACUUUCAACAUAAAAAUCUUUCAGUCCACUGAUAAUUGCCUCGGUUCCAUCACUUGAAUUUCCCACAGCUCUUUUCCUCUUUCUUUGGCUAUUUUCAGAUGGGGUGCUUUGUUGGCUUUGUUGGUUCAUUGAAGAAACAAAAUUUUCACCUCCAAUAUCACUUUCACCAACAUGAUCAUGACUUUGUUCCUCCACCAUUUGAGCAGGGGUUUCGGCUACAUUACCCGUAGCCCGAUCUUUUCCAAAUAUAUAUGCAAAUCUAUCAAACAGUGGAAAAGGUUUGCUUCUCCAUCCAUCGGCUUCUUUAUUUCUCUAAGAUUAUAUCAACAUAGCAAAACUAAAAUUUAGCAUGCGUAACAAAUAUAGCAGCAAGAAUAUAACUAAUGUAUAAAUAAAAUAGGAUAUGAACCUGCACAUAAGUUUGCCAUGAGUCAUCACUGUCAACUUCAACGCACUUUUUGACAUCAUUUCAUGCAAAUCCACUUGUGUUUAUCAUGUCAACGACCAUACUAUAUGUUUUUUUCCAUUUCUUCAACUUGGACUCAAUAUGUGGAUUUGCCUUUAUAUUUGAAUGAGGACAUAAAACAUUGACAACUUUUGCUAUUUCAACCAAAGUACCUUGUUUGAAAGCACCGGUGUCACACCGUUGCUUCCGAGCAACAAAAUCCUCAAGAACUCCUAGUAAUACUUCUUCCUCAAAUGCUUCCCAUUUACGCCUUCUUCCUUUUGGCUCUUGAGUAGCAUUCAAAAUAUUUUCGUUAUCCAUACCUAAACAAAAAAUAUUUUAAUGAAGGAAAAUACCAUACAAAUAAUCAAUUUGCAUAAUAUCCAAUCAACUUGCAUAAUAUCCAAUUAAUUUGCAUACCAUCCAAUCUUUGUGCUAAUAUCUAACAAAUGCAUGAUAAAAAGGAAUACUAAAAUAAAAUGUUAUCAUUAACACAUAUAGCUAGUUCGGUUGCUGGUUCCUAAUUGCUCUCCAUUCAUUAUACAUUUCCUGAGCCAUGUCAUUCCUCUUUGCAGUCCACUGGUCAGAUGUUUGAACACUACCAACAUAUUCACCUUCUUCUGUAUUUUGUCCAUCUUCUAUUAUUGGAAAAUUCUCCAUUGGAUCUACAGACAUCUCUUGCCUAAUAAGAUUGUGUAGUAGGCAACAAGCGGUAAUUAUUCGACCUUGUGUCCUUAUCGGAUAGAAAGAUGGACUCCUUAGUAUCGACCACCUUCCUUUUAGCAAGCCAAAACAGCGUUCAAUUACAUUCCUUGCCUUAGAAUGCUUCAUGUUAAAAUAUUCUUCCUUAUUAGAAGGUGUUCGUCCCUCCCAUUCAGAUAAAUGAUAAGGUAUUCCUCUAUAGGGUGCAAGGAAUCCUUCACCAUUUGUAUAACCACCAUCUACAAGGUAAUAAUAACCUAAUGAAAAAAAAAACAGACCUUAUUAGUGUUUUGUAGUUGACAAACAGAACUAGACCUAACUUACAAAGUUGAGACUAAGUAAUAGUCUUACCCGCUGGUACCUUAAAACCAUUAGGCCUAGUAAUUGCAUCAUGUAGCACUCUAGAGUCUGAUGCAGAACCCUCCCACCCCGUAAACACAUAUAUGAACUGCAUAUCUCCUGAACACACACCUAACACAUUAGUUGCGACUCGACCCUUUCUUGUUCGGUAUCUUGGUUUGUCAAUUUCAGGUACAUGCACAUCAAUGUGUGUUCCAUCCAAUGCUCCCAAGCAAUUCUUAAAAAAAAAAAAAAAAGUUUUUGUUAAUUUAUACAAAGGGAAUGAAGAGUUAAAGCUUAGGGAAAAUGAAAAAAAAUUCUCAUCAUACCUUAAAACAUCGCCACCUAGGAUCUGUAGAAUCAAUAGGCACAGGCUGAGGGACUUUUAGUAGGAUACCUUGUAAUCGCAAAAUUCCUUGCAAUACGAUAUUGAAAUACCUACUUAUAGUCUCUCCCGACCUAUAAAAUCUACCGCCAACACUACGAUUCUUAGUAUGAUGUGCUAAUAUUUGUAAAGUCAUACACACAUGCUCCUCUACAGACACCAAACCAUCAGUUUUUACCCUCCCAUCUUGACGAAGUAAGUCACAUAAUAUGCCAAAAGUCCUUCUAUCCAUUCUCAAUUCGUUGACACAUUCAGUAUCAGUAUUCCCUAUUAUACCAUUCAGAUAACACAAACUAAUCUCUCGUCUAAUAAGUGAACGGUUAGUCAAUGUGGGUCGUUCAACAUGUCUCUGUUUGCCACGUAGCAUCAUCAACACAAGAAUCGUACAAAUGCAAAUUGUCUCCAAAUAAGACAUCUCUAACAAUAAGAUCAAUAAAAGCUUCCUUCGAUCCAUAUCUAUCCAAACAAAAAAAAACAAAAAACAAAUUAAGGACAUUAUAUAUGUAAUAUUUACUGUUAUUAAGGGUUAUGGAAAUGAAGUGAUUAUGAUACGAAAUGAACUAGAUCAAAGUAACUAGCGAAGUCACAAUCCGAGGCAUCAAAUAUACGGGUGGUGUUGGAAAAAAAAAAGUUAUCAUUAACCCGAGGCAACAAAUAUACAGGUCAGAUGCACACACUGCAUACACACUCACACACAUACUCACACGGACAUACACACUAUCACACACGGACAUACACUCACACACACCCUACAUACAUACAUACAUACACACACACACUGCAUACAUACACACACACACACACUGCAUAUAUACACACACACACACACUGCAUACAUACACACACACACACACACUGCAUACAUACACACACACACACACACACACACACUGCAUACAUACACACACACACACGACAUACAUACACACACACACACACACACUGGUCAGAUGCACUGCACUCACACGGACAUACACACUCUCACACACUGACAUACAUACACACACACCCUGCAUACAUACACACACACACACUACAUACACACACACACACACACACACACACACUGCAUACAUACAUACACACGCACACACACUGCAUACACACACACACACACAUUGCUUUAUGAAAACCCCAAAUUCCAAAUUUGAAACCCCAAAUUCCAAAUUUCUAAUCUCAAUUUCAAACCCCAAAUUCCAAAUUUCUACUACAUACUUACAUACACACACACUGCUUUAUGAAAACCCCAAAUUCCAAAUUUCAAACCCCAAAUUCCAAAUUUCUAAUCUCAAUUUCAAACCCCAAAUUCCAAGCUUUAUGAAAACCCCAAUUUCUAAUCUCAAUUUCACCCAAAUAUCAAAACCCUAAAAUUUGUUCAACUGCAGAAUCAAAUAAAGCUCAAACCCAAAACAAAUCCGCCCAAAUCGACGAAAAAAAUCCACCCAAAUCGACGAAAAAAAUCGAACAAUCGAAGCUUACCAGACAACUGGAGGCAGAUGAGGGCGAGCAGAUCUGUUACGUGAAGACGAGGGAGUGGACGACGAGAGGAACAGAUGAGGAGCAUGAUGCAGAUGAGGGCGACCAGGAUGCAGCUGACGGCAAGCAGGAUGCAAAGAUAAGGAUGAGGAGGACGACGUGAGGGAGGAGGACGUCGACGACACUCUCUCCUAGGAUGAUCGAGGUUCUUUCUCGCAAGAGCGCAAUCGGAUGAGGAGGACGACGUGAGGGAGGAGGUUUUAUGAAUCUGGACGUUUUUGGGGUGGUUCGCUAAGAACUCCUAGCGAGGGUUUAAUCCGUGCGAGUCAGAUCUAAUCCCAUUAAACCUAAUCCUUGCCCCUACCAAACAUCAGACUACAAUACCAAUUAGUGGAGUCCAGAACAGUCCCCCCUAAGAAGGUCAAACAAACACGCCCUUAAGGCUCUAAUCUAAUGUUCAUGCUCAACAUCUCCUCUAUCUUUCUACGAUUGGUAAAACUUUUGUAUUAUUAUUCCAAUUUUGGUUACUGGGUUGUGGAAUUUUCCAUUUUUUUUCUCGGUAAUCAAUACUAUAUAUAUGCAUGACAAGUAUAAACAAUAUUUUGGGGCAAAUUUAGUUGUUUAAUUUUUAAUUUUUAUGUGACAGUGAGAUUAUGGUAGGAUUUCGUUUAGAUUCUGCGGCCCAAUGGGAGUCUCUGCUUUGAUAAGAUUGGGGUUGAUGCCAAGAAAGCCAAUAAGCCUACUGUGGACGCCGUAGCCGCCUGGCGCUGUUUUCCAAAAUCCUCUCUCACUUGGUUAAGCAAUUAAGACUUUUUGGUUCAGUUUUUAUUAUGCCCAAUUUUGUAUUUAAACCUUAAAAAAAUUUAAACUGAUUUGGGGAUACUGAAAUAGGCUGCAGAGCUGCCAUCCCUGAAUCAGAAGAUGUUCAGAAGGAAGAAGAAGAAGAAGAAGAAGAAAGUCGUGGAAUAUCAAAAGCUUUUAGCUUUGUGAAAGUAUGCUUUUUCCCAACUCACCUCUUGCUUUUGUUGCACUGAAUUGGUAGAUUGGGUUCAAAAAUAUAUAUAUGUGAUUUUUCGUGUAACUAUUUCUUUACAUAAUUACCAAUUGGAGGUGAUUUUAGAUCAUGUAACAUUUCCUCGCUAGAACCAAAGAUUGUCGUCGCUCAGAGCUGCGUUUCAUGAAACAAGUUCAUCUCCUGCCAAAUUUGUGUACCCACCUUUUAUUCAUGAGGGUUGGUGCUUGCUUGCAACACAAUUUGGUGUUAUUAAGUUUUGCGGUUUUACAAUUUGUUCAUGCUUAAACCUCUUUCAAAUUUUCAUUUCUGUGUAAAUCUUGCAGGUAGGACGACACACCUAUCUUGGCAAUGUCGGGAUGUCUAGGCUUGGUGGAGACGUGGUCUUAUGGAAGAGGUGAAGUAGCUUAGCUCGAUCUCAUUAGCUCUUAUCUGUUCUAUUAUGUUAAGAUCAAUAGUAAAAAGUUCUAUUGAUUUUAUAAUCAAAGAUACAUAUAUUAUAGAAAUAGAGGGUAUAUCAUUAAUUUCUUGAUGUAAACAAUCAUAACUUGAGGAACCAUUUAAAGUAUUUUGGUAAUCAACAUACUUAAACUUAAAUGUGAUAUAUCCAUUUAGUAUUUUUUUUAUACAAUGAUAAUACUUAAGUAUAAUUUACAUCAUAUAUCUUUUGAAGUACAUGAAACUAUGAAGAAAAUGAUAAACCAAAUCCCAUUCCAUCUCUGUUUGCUACUGCACAAUCACAAUCCAAUUCCAACAUGGAAUCCUCAGACGACAUGCCUACUGCAGAACAAGUUUCAUACUGACUUAACUUAUAUUUAGUCCACGUCCUGUUUAGAUUGUAAUCCUAGUUCUACGUGUGUUUGUAUAGUACUCCUAUAAAUAUCAAUGAACAUCGCUCACUCUAAUUAAGAGUUGAGAUUUUGCAAAUCAUAUUUACUAUCUUUCAUGGUAUCACGAGCCAGCGUCUAACGACAACGGUUCCUAUUAUAAUUUUUUUCUCUUUUGCAGAUCCUAAACUAUGGCAUCUUCUUCCUCCUCCGCUGCUCCCUCCAUCACAAAUUUUCUUACGAUCAAGCUCGACCGCAACAACUACCCUCUCUGGCAUGCUCAGUUUCUUCCCUUGCUGCGCAGCCGCAACUUACUCUCUUAUGUUACUGGCGAAACUCAAUGCCCCUCUGCCUUUCUUCUUGAUGACAAUGGUAAAUUCACCGACAAAGUCAUUCCAUUAUAUAAUGAAUGGAUCCAGACUGACCAGAUGAUCCUAUCUUGGAUUACGAGUUCUCUUACUCCCAAGGUUCUUGCUACGAUCGUCAACAAAAUUGAUUCGGCCUCUGCUUGGUCGUCAAACCCGAAUUAAUCUAAUUGUGGGGGUUUUGUUUUAUAUCAAUAUAUUGCAACAGAAGUCACACUUUGAAGAGUUCAUGCUGCACAGAAAGAUGAUGAAAUGUUACCCGUUGAGUCUAUCAUUGCUCCAUUGGAGACAGAGCUGAAGCUUACUGCAGGAGUUAUACAGUUGUUAUGCAAUAUGACCCCUUUAAUUUUAUUUUAAAACUGAUACAAAAUACUACAAAAAUUUAUGUAGUAUUUUUGUAUUAGUUUUGAGUGUCUAUUUUGGCUUCCAUAUAUCGUCUGUACAUGUGAGAGGUAUAGUGUUCAAUAUGUAUUUGGUUUCUAUAUUGUUAAUGGAUCCUUUUUUUUUUAAUUUAAUUUAAUUUUAUUAAGGUAACCAAGUUGCAGGAUGACAUCAGAACACUUGAUCUGCAGGUAAACCUUCAAUUUCCAUAUGAAGUUUGCAUGUUCGUUGUUUCUGGAAUUUGAGUUUUUAUUAUUUCUCAAUUCUAUCACAUAGAUUAUGAUUUCACAUAUGGGAUUAUUAAUGGCAAUUAUAUGAUAGAAGAAUUGGGAUUAGAAGAAGAUAUUGAGUUGUUUUAUUUAUGGGGAUUAGAAAAUGAUUAUCAUACGAGUGAUAUUUAUUUUUGUGUGGAUUGUUAAUAUAUAAAACUAUAAGCUUUUGAGAUUGGGAGAUAAAACCCACAAAUUCAAAUCAGACAAAAUAAAUAAAAAAUUUAACUGACUUAAAGAUCAAACUCCAAAAGGGUAUUAAAAACAAGGCUUAUUUGAUCCAUUGAGUGUGAAAGUUUUGAGCUUUGAAGAAGCAUAGGAGGAGAGUUGUUAACCAAGCUGCAUUAUCCAUGUAUUAGGAUGUUGAGGGUAGGCAGGAAAAAUACUUUUUGACGCCAUAUCCAGAGGAGCAUAACGACAGGCCUGCAUUUUUGCAGCAAGGACCAAAACAAGUAGAAGUGAAGGCUUGACUAUUUGGGUAUUAAUCCUAAACCUAAUUAUUCUUAUUUAGGUUUAGGAUAAAUGAUUGAGUGUGUCUCGAUGAUUGUAUUACCAUGUUUGAUGAAUGACUUGAGGAGUUGGAAAUGCUUUAUUGCUUAUGUUUUUCUUAGGUGUGUACUUUGGUUAUUUCCGAGCUUUUCACGACUCUUGAUACCUAAUAGAGAAUAUGGAAACCCCAACUUUAAUUUUAUGAAUUGGUUUUGGUGCCUAAAAUGAAAUCUAGCAUAGUGAAAUCUUGCAUAAUGAAAUUAUGACAAAUUUCCCUUCAUCUUUAGAUUUUCAUUUAGUUCAAUUUGUAUGCAAUUUAGGGUUAUUCAAUUCAUGAGUGAUCAAAUUAUGUUUUUAAUUCCUUCUUCUUUUGAUUUACAGUUCAGCAUUGUCGUACAAAAUGAAAAAGGUGCCAGUAACAGAGUUAUGGAUUUGGAUGCCUUUAGUGGAAUAAAACUGAAUUUUUUAACUUUGUAUAGUUGUAAACAUAAAAUACUCCAUCAGAUAGACUCAUAGCAUUUGAAAACAAUCCUUGAGGAUGGCAUAACAACAUCUCCAACUUUUGUCAUGUAAUGUAUGAAUGUAAAUAGCACUUUGUAAACAUAUGGAUGUAAUAUAUGUAUAUAAACAGUCUUUAGCAUGUAUAUUUUUCAAAACUUUCUACAUCUUCAACAAUGUUUCAAUGAUUUCUUGAUGUAAACAAUGAUAAUUUGAAGAACCAUUUAAAGUAUUUCGGUAAUCAGCAUACUUAAGCUUAAAUGUGAUAUAUCCGUUUAGUAUUUUUUAUACAGUGAUAAUACUCAAGUAUAAUUUACAUCAUAUAUCUUGUGAAGUACAUGAAACUAUGAAGAAAAAACCCUAAUUAAUCUGAUUAUGGGGGUUUUGUUUUAUAUCAAAAUAUUGCAGCAGAAGUCACACUUUGAAGAGUUCACGCUGCACAGAAAGACGAUGAAAUGCUAUCUGUUGAGUCCAUCAUUGCUCCAUUGGAGACAAAGCUGAAGCACACUCCAGGUGGUAUACUUUUGUUCUGCAAUAUGACCACUUUAAUUUUAUUUUAAGACAGAUAGGGUUGAAAAGAAUUUAUGUAGUAUUUUUGUAUCAGUUUUGAGUGUCUAUUUGGACUUCCAUAUUUGGUCCGUACAUGUGAGGUAUAGAGUGUUCAAUAUGUAUUUGGUUUCUAUAUUGUUAAUGGAUCUUUUUUUUUGUUUUAUAGGUAACCAAGUUGCAAGAUGAAAACAGAACACUUGAUCAGCAGGUAAACCUUCAAUUUCCGUAUGAAGUUUGCAUUUUUGUUGUUUCUGGAAUUUGAGUUUUUUGCAGGAUGAAAACAGAACACUUAAUCUGCAGGUAAACACUUGAUUGGUUAUUUCCAAGCUUUUCACGACUUUCGAUACCCAAUAGAGAAUAUGGAAACCCCAACUUUAAUUUUAUGAAUUUGUUUUGGUGCCUAAAAUGAAAUCUAGCAUAGUGAAAUCUUGCAUAAUGAAAUUAUGACAAAUUUCCCUUCAUCUUUACAUUUUCAUUUAGUUCAAAUCGUAUGGUUUAGGGUUAUUCAAUUCAUGAGUGAUCAAAUUAGGUUUUUAAUUCCUUCUUCUUUUGAUUUUCAGUUCAGCAUUGUCGUAUUUUGGAUGCCUUUAGUGGAAUAAAACUGAUUUUUUUUUAACUUUGUAUAGUUGUAAACAUAAAAUACUCCAUGAGAUAGACUCAUAACUUUUGAAAACAAUCUUUGAGGAUGGCAUAACAACAUCUCCAACUUUUGUCAUGUAAUGUAUGAAUGUAAAUAGCACUUUGUAAACAUAUGUAUGUAAUAUAUGUAUAUAAACACCACUCUUUAGCAUAUAUAUUUUUCAAAACUUUCUACAUCUUCAACAAUGUUUCAAGCCCCGCAGCAACGGGCGGGUACACUUGAUAGUAUACAUCUAAAAUUAUAAGACUAAAUCCUUUAGUUCUUGGAUUCAUCUAAGAACUACUUAUUCCAGCAGAUGCUAUGCUUGCACUACUAGAAUUUAUGGCUUGCCCUGUCAACUAUUGCGCGACAGAAGAUUUCGUCGGUUUCACUUUUUUUAACCGACAUAAUAUAAGUUUAGUAGGGCAAAAUCAGUCAACAAACUGGGUUGACUGAAUAAAUUUACAGGAUGGCUAGAGUUCGUAGGUUAAGACAUCAGUCGUUGGGCAAACAUUUGGAGCGAAGAUGUGAGUGUUUUAACUGACGAAUAAGCUGGUCGUCAUGUAGAUCUUCUUUCCCGACUGACGGUUCAACAUGUAGCUCUUUGGAUAAUAAUUCAUCUUCAAGGGGAACAGGUUGCCCCUCAGAUGAAUGGUUAGAGGCAAUUGUGAGACUAUAAUUUUCUAGGGCCGAAAUAAAAAAUACAUAAACCCUCACUCAUUCUGUCUCUGUAACCAUCCACCAAAUACCCUUUCUUCCCUUUCUAUUUCUCUCCUAGUAAUAUCCCCUGACCGAAUCACACAAUCCAACCAACUCUCUUUAAGCCUCCCUCACUGAUUCCAUGGAUUUCAUGGACUUAUCCCACCCUCUCUCCUUCCCUCUAUAUAUAGCAAGUCCCCUUGCCUCAGUGUCCCUGGCAACAGAAUUUAUGGCAUUUCUUCGUUCUUUCAAUUAUUUGAAAGCUUCCUAGCCCUGCAAUCUUGUACAAAGGCGUAUGGUGUUUCAUCAGUUCCAUUUGGUGGUUGGGUGGGAAAUGAAAUUAAAACACUGCAUUUCAAAUGCAUUUCAAAUGGUCUAAACCAAAUUGAAUCAAAUGUGAAGCAAAGGGCAAGAGGUGUAGAUUGAAGAACAAUGGCACCAAGAGCGAAAUUGAACUUGUUGACAGGAGGAAACCAAGUAAGGAUAACACGUCUAAAUCUUAUUUUGAAUCCAUUCAGCUCAUGAUGUUUUGAAUGAUGAUGAUCGGUAUACUCUGCUACAUGCUGUGAUUUUUCCGCUUUCAUGUAAUUAACGGCUUAUAUGUGGUAACGAUAUUGAUUAAAAAAGGUCGUACCCAGUGCAUAAGGCUCCCGCUUUACGCAGGGUCUGGGAGAGGUGAAUGUCGGCUAGCCUUACCCCCAUUUUAUGGAGAGGAUGCUCCAAAGUCUCAAACCCGAGACCUACCGCUCAUGGGCGAAGGCAUUUGCCAUCGCACCAAAUGCGAUAUUAAUUAAUUUCGAGAAAUGACAGUCUGAUUUUUGCAACUGUCUUUUGCAGGCAAAACAAAGACGUUUGCAAGGGUGAGUUGUGUAGGAGCUUUGUUUCAUGUCCAAAUGACACUUGAGAAUAAAUGUUUACACUCAUGGAUAAUAUCUAUCUAUUUGCAGGAGCAACCCUGGGUUCAUUUGUUCUGUAACUGCUGGUCAUUGCGGCAUAUCACGCCUAUAGCACUGACAAAAGUAAAAAGAGAAUCGAAUGAAAUUUGAUAAGUUUUCAGCGGACUACAAAGAUCUUAAGCCAAGCAUAUAUUCCCAUGCAGAUAUUAAGAGGUUUACAAAUCAAUUCAAGUACAAGUUGGGCCAAGGAGCAUACGGAACUGUUUUUAAACGAAAGUUUUUUUCUGAAUGCUUUGUUGCCAUGAAAGUACUUAACAUUUCCAAGGGUGACGGGGAAGAGCUUGUAAAUGAAGUGGGAACAAUGGGCCAUAUUCACCAUGUCAAUGUGGUUCACUUGGUUGGUUUUUGUGCUGAUGGAUUUAGAUGAGCUCUGGUUUAUGAGUUCUUUCCCUUUGGUUCACUCCAGGAUUAUAUUUCAUCAGCAGAUAGAUUUCUUUCCUUGGUUGGCAUAAGUUGCAAGAUCUUGCUAUCAGCAUAGCCAAAGGAACUAGGAAUGUGAUCUACAAAUCCUCCAUUUCGAUAUCAAACCCCAUAAUGUUUUGCUCGACCAAAAAAUCACGCCAAAAAUCUCUGAUUUUGGUCUGGCCAAGUUAUGCCAAACAAUUACAGACAACAGUUAUUCACUAAAUCACUUUAAGGCAAGAAUUUAAUUAAUAAUACAUUACUGCACUUUCUUAACCAUUUGACUAUCACCUAGCUGACAAUGAACACGUUAGCUCCGCGUUAGAACAUCUUGGGUUCAAUUCAUUGUCUUGAAUAUCACCCAUUGUCACAGGCGUCUGUUGGGGGCAUAGAGAAGGCCUGAGAGGCAUUUGCAGACAUUCAACAUCUCCUCCAAGCAUUUUGACAACUUUGGACAUCGAAGGGCGAUCAUUUGGUUUCAUUUGAAUACACCACAAGGCGGUUAUAACCAUCUUUCUUAUUACUUUCUUUUCCUCCUCUGUAACAUUGUCCAUUUCCAGGUCAUUUCCCACAAUAUAUUGAUCGUAUACCCACAUUGGGAAGUAGAUUUGGCUUGAAUGCUCUACCGUUGGAUUCAAAUUCUUCCUUCUGCUUGCCAUUUCCAUCAACAACAUUCCAAAACUAUAGACAUCUGACUUGUAUGAGACGCAUCCAAUAUUUUUGUAGAACAACUCAGGAGCAAUAUAUCCCAGUGUACCCCGUGCUGCCGUCAAAGAGACAAUGCUAUUAUCUACAGGAUACAAUUUUGCAAGCCCAAAGUCAGAAACCUUUGCUUUAAAGUUCUCAUCAAGAAGGAUGUUAUGAGGCUUGAUGUCGAAAUGUAGAAUUUGCAUUUCACAACCUUGGUGUAGAUAUUCGAUCCCUUGAGCCACUCCAAGAGAAAUCUCGUACAUGUUCUUGAUAGUUAAGGGGACACUUCCUUCUUUGGAAUAAAUGUAUUUAUCAAGAGAACCAUUAGGCAUGAAGUCAUAUACUAGAGCGCGUUUUGAUCCCUCAACACAGUAUCCAACAAGUUGUACCACAUUGGCAUGGUGAAUCCUUCCGAUUGUAGCUAUUUCGCUAAUGAAAUCUUGGCCAUCAGCUUUGGGCUUGCCCAAAACUUUAACUGCUACAAAUCGACCACUGCGUAGCUUUCCCUUAAAUACAGAGCCAAAGCCACCUUCGCCCAACUUGUCCUUAAACCUGCGAGUCAUUUUCUUGACGUCCGAGUAAGAGUACCUUAUAAGCAUGAUGUUGUUAUUGCAUUGCAGAAAAUCUUCUAUUGUGCUAUACAUUGAUAAAUGUCUUCUGCGCCAUGUGUAGAUUAGAAAUGCAGUCACAACUGGAACUCCAAAAACAAAUCUGGCUAGGAAAAAUAACCCUGCAUGCAUGGACAAUAAUAUGUUAGAUCCACUGUGUACUACUUUUUCUUCCCUUUCUUUCCAAAUUACUUUAUCUUUGAUGUAAUUAAAGAGAGAGAAUGGGAAAUCUACAUAUGUUGAUAAUAUAAUCUCGUCUUAGUCCUUACCGAUCCAUAUGAGUAUAAACCAUCCAAGUGCUGCAAAAAAAUCAAUCGACUAUGAGUUUGAAAAGUGCAUAAAGUGAAAAAAAAAAAAAAAAAAAAAAAAAUCAAAGGGUGCCUUUAUUGACACCCAAAUUUUAGUUAGUUUUACUCAACUAAAAAAUUUUUGUCAUCAAACUUUUUAAUUUGCCGUCGAAAUUGAGUUCACCCAACCACAAAGCAGCAACUACCACUCACAAAAAAACCAACAACACACAGCCACCAGUACCAUUCACCAAUAGAAAGAGAAGGAACACACAGACCCACCAAGGAGCCGGCAUCGACGCAUCUACGAGGGAGGGACCGGAGGGUGGUGUAGUUUUGUUGGGCGCGCGGUGGUUGUUUUGUUUGUUCAUUUUCUCUUUCUUUUGGUAGGUGGAGGCUGGUGUGGAUUUGGGCGAACUUAAAAAUGAGGGGAAACUAUGAAGUUUGACAAAAUGUUUUAGUUAGGGGAACUUAACUAAAAUUUGGGUGCCGAUAAAGAUACCCAAUUUCAAAAAUACUUGAGCUUAUAGACUAAUUAAAUGAAGUUGAUCUUACAGAUCUCGUGGCUGUAUGAUGAAUGCCACUUGCCAGCUGCAAUAGAUACCACGGAAAAGUGAAUAAAGACAUACAGUUACUAGGUUUAAGAAGUACAGAUAGAGCACACAAAAAAUAAAAGAAGCUUUUGGGAAGAAACUUCUUACGCCAAUAGUUGUGUUCUUGACCUACAGUAAAAAAUGUGAAGAAGAAUACACAACAUUAGCAAUAGCUCACCCAGUCUUCGGAAUUUAAAAAAUCAAGUUUGUCUCGAUCGAAAACUUGUAAAUAAAACAAAAAGAGGACCCCUUACGGAUUUGGUGCCAUAGAUAUUGAAAGAAACCUACAAAAACAAAGAAAGAACAAGACCACAUGCAUUAGCAUAACAAGUGUGAGGUGUAUAAGCCGUUAGAAAAUAAAUUUAAAAUUCUAGUGCUGUCAAUACAUUGAUAAUAUAUAUAUAUAUAUAUAUAUAUAUAUAUAUAUAUAUAUGUAUUAUUUUUCUGAAAAUUUAACUUUCUCCCUCCAAACUCAUUUUUCUAGUCUCUAGCCCAUCAUAUAAUAUUUAUCAGAAUAAAACCAAAUGAUUAGGAUCCAACUAAGAAACUUACCAAAUUAAGUUUGUGUGUCCAUUUUUAUAUUUUUUGGAUCCCUAAUAUACCCCAUCUAAGCCAGUAUGGAAAGUUCUUGUAAUUUUGCUUUAAGUGAUCACGUGCAUUGAAUUUGGCAAGGUCUUGUAGCCAUGAAAUAUGGUUCCAGAUGGAGGAAUGAAUUUGGAUUUUUUUUUAAUUUCGGCAACAAAUUUCAAUUUGAAUAUACCUAAUUUAGUGUUUAUUUUCAACAAUAUCUAUUGUUUAAUUUUAUGAAAAUAAUUAACCUAAUAUGAAAAUUAAUUUUAUGAAAACAAUAUCUAUUGUUUAAUUUUAUACCUACAGGAUAAUUACAUGAAAAUAGUUUACCUACUAUGAAAAUUAAUUUUUUGAAAGCAAUAUCUAUUGUUUAAUUUUAUGAAGAUAAUUUACCUACUAUAAUUACAUGAAAAAAUUUACCUACUAUGAAAAUUAAUUUUUUGAAAACAAUAUUAUUGUUUAAUUUUAUGAAAAUAAUUUACCUACUGUAUAAUUACAUAAAAAUUAGGGAAAAUUAGAAUCCCCUACAGUUUUUAUAUAUCAUUUAGAUUAAACAUUUGUACUUUUUUAAAAUUUGAUUAAAGUGCUUUGACCAAUAGUUACCUCUAUUUUUUUAAAUUAAAAUAAUUUUUGAAUUUAUCCUUUUAUCUGCACAAUGCACUUUUCCUUAUUUAGUGGAGAUAUUAGUAAUGAAACUAUAUUUUCCCUUCUUCCAAAUAUGUUUUUUCGAUCACAGUUUUUUUUUUUUUGGGUAUGCAAACAUUUGAUAUUAUUUUUUUUCCAAAUGGUUUUUUCUUUUUCAAAUAGUUGGUGAUCAACAUAUAAGCUCUGUGUAUUUUUUUCAAUGUUUUUGUGAAAUUAUAUUUUUUUUGCUGUUUUUUAAGUAUAGUUGUUGACGAAUUAUUAUUAGGUACAAUACAUUACGUAUAUAUUAUCUGCGGGUACGUUUGAAUUUACUAAAAUCAUUAAUUGGUACGUUUGAUUUGAUACAUAUUGUUAAUAUUGGUACAUUAUUUUUAUUUUGGUACGUUUUAUUUUGAACACAUUUUGUAUUGGUACGUUUAUAGUAUUCUCAAUCCUAUUUUCUCUUAACGUACUAAAAGAAAAACUCAUUUUGGUACGUUUGAUUUUGGGGGAUUUAAAAAUAUUUUAAACUAUUUUGGAAAAAAAAAAAUCUUAAAUCGUAGAUAAUUAUUGCUAAAUUGUAGCAUUAUUGUGAAAAUAAAUUGAAUCUAACCAACUUUUUUUUUUACAAUUAUCUCUAAUGGAGGAGAGUGUAAUCAAAAGGCUAGAUUAUAGGAAAUUUGUUACAAUAUAAUGGGCAUAUAGCACCAAAAUUAUGAUAAAAAAAAGUUUAAUCAAAUCAUUAAAAGGCAUGGAUGUUUGAUCUAGAAAAUUCAAAACUGAGGCGUCUAUAUCAAAAGAUCCCUAAAAAUUAAUGUGCCUACUUUUUAAAUUUGUAACAAAAUUAAUUUACCUACUUUUUAUGGUAUUAGUAUACAUAAAUGUAGAAUAUAUGUCCGUAUAUAUUUGAUCUAAUUAGGUUUUGGAUUGGAGGAGUUGACACAAAAUUAUAAAUAUAUUAAACAAAUUUAUCUAUUCUAAAGUUGGAGGGGAAUUGGUCUGUACAUUGCUACAGUAAACAAAUGCUACUCAAUUUCACGUUAUUUACAACAAAGCUAUCAGAUUUGGGUUGGGUUGGAGGGUAAUUUGUUAAAAGUUAGGAGGGUAAUUUUGUGCAUAGGGUUUAGGUGCCCUCCUAUACAUGACCCUUGAGUUUACUUUAUUUACACCACUGCCAUCAAAUAUGUGGCUGAAUUGGAGGGUAUUAUUAAAAGUUAAGAGGGUAGUUUUGUUCAAGGGGUGGGGGCGACAUUCGCAGACGGAGGCCGAUGGGAGCCAUGCCCAUUGCACAGAGAGAAAGGGAGUGAUGGGGGAAAUUACAGACAGAAAAGGAAGGGAUGGGAGGAUUUGAUGGAUGGUCACAGAGAGAGAUUCGGUGAGGGAUGUGAGGGGAGAUUACAGAGAGAUAAAUAAAAGGGAGGGAUCGGGGGAUUUGAGGGAUGGUCAGAGAGAGAAAUAGUGAGGGAGGGAGGGAUGGGGGGGCUGAUUUUCGGUUCCUCCUUCAGAUUUGUUCCGUAAAACCUGUUGGGUACAAUUCAAUUUCCUCCCCCUUUCCCCUGAACGAAAAAUUCGAAACCUACAAUUCAAUUUCCUCCCUCCUUGGCUUUCCGCUUUACUCAUCUCCCGGUGGUUCUUUCUCUCCAUACGAUUCGAUUUCGGUGAGUUCUUCGUUGCCCUCAUGAUUUCCCAGUUUGAUUUUUUGAGCGUCCUUAGUCGUUGUUUUUAUCUGGGUUUACUGCAUUGUUGCUUUUAGUUUCUGGAUUUUUAUUUGUUCCGCGGUUCGAUGAAUCGGUUAAUAAUUUCACACCAUGGGAUUUUCGCAUGGAAUUGAGCGCGGGGAUUCGGGGUGGGGUUUUACUGAUAAUUUGUCUUCAUUCAAAUGAAUGGUUAAAAUUUCUGAAGUGAGUGUGCAGGUGGGCCCGUUCACUAACUAAGCUUUCAAGGGAACCCAUCAGCGGUUUGCUUGCUGGGGGAAUUCGGAGACUACCAGUGUAUGAUUUAGUUAUCAUUUAUUUUUUUACUUAAAUUUAUCCAUAUAUAAUAUGUGGGUAAAUUUACACUAAACAAUUGUGAUAAGCCAAUAUGCCAUACGACUUUGAAAGCAUUGAUUUUGUGUUUAGUUUGCAUUUUUGCAUUGUGAAUGUUGAAUUUUGUGUUUGAAUUUGUAGCAUGAUCUUCCGCUGCAGCAUCCAAAUUUUGCAUUUGUAAAUUGUCAAAGAAAAACGAAGUAUGAGGAAAUUAUAGGAGAUUGUGUCGGCUUUGGCCAUGAAGGGUAUCAGCAGCUUGUUCCCCCAUACAGGUGAUUAAUCGUUUUUCAGUCUGUGUUCUAUUUGGAUGAGAAAGUGAUUGAAAAUAUGAUUUUUUUAUUUGUUGGUUGAUUUUGUAUGGACGAUGUAUUAAUUUUAUUUUUUUUGGGAUUUUGUGUAUUGGGCAUUGUGUAGAACCAGCAAUGCAAGAGCAGGAUCUGAUCAGUCAUGCCUGAAAAGGGGUUUGUUUCUCAAAUCACAUUAAUUAAUUAGAUUAUUAACGUGCGUUGGAAGGCUCUUCAAUAUGAUUUCUAAUUUCUCCUUUCCAGCAUUCUCUUUUUGGUUUUUGGAGUAUGUAUGUGAUUUGUAUUUUUUUAUAGAAUAAAAAUUAAUAAAACACGAGAUGCAGCAAUUAAUUUGCAUCCUUAUGACAACACAUAUGAAAGUGCAUUCAAUUUCAAUGUGCGAAUGUGUGACAGGAUGUGCCUGCCCGCUGCUGCUGGUAUGCUUGCUGUUGUUUCUCGCGUUGUUAAUUUUUUGUGUGUGUUGAUUUGAUUAACAACUCAAGCGUAUCUUUUUUUUUUGUGUUGGUUAGCAGCCAGUUUUAUGGCCCCGAUCUAGUGAUGCUUCUCAGUGACUGUGGUAAUUGCAGUUCAUUGCCACCAGUUGGUCAGCUACCUGCUCUGAAAGAGCUAUACGUAGAAGGGAUGAAAGUUGUUAAGAGUGUUGGUGUUGAGUUGUACGGGGGAAAUCAACCAUUUCAAUGUUUAGAGAAGCUAAAGUUUCGGGAGCUAUAGCAGCCUAGUCCAAGUGGAUGUGAAAGUCCAGACUUUCCUCAUCUUAAGGAGCUGGGGUUAUACGAAUGUCCGAAGCUGAGAGGAAACUUGCCCACUCAUCUUCCCUCCUUGAAAACACUUCAUGUGAACAAGUGUGAGGUUCUACAUAAAAACAGGGCCAGUAAUACCCUGAACGUGGAAUCCUUACGAGGAUCUCUUGAAAAACUGACAAUAAAUGGAUGCCCGGGUCUCUCAUUGUUACUAGAGUCGACGGAGACGCUGCCGUCGCUUCAGAAGCUUGAUAUUGAUAAUGUGGUGGGAAAGAGUUGUUGGCGCAAAUGGUGCACAACAGCAAUCGUCUUCAAAGUUUGACUUUAUAUAAAUGUUCCUCACCCUUGUCGUUCCUUACAAAUGGUCUGCCCACCACGCUGACAUCACUGAGCAUAACAGAUUGCAAGAAAUUAGAAUUCCCAUCACGUGAGAUGAUGGCCAAAUUGACUUCCCUUCAGUCUUUGCGUCUAUCCAACAGCUGUGAACGCAAAGGCUUGAGUAUUUGCAGUUUAGUUUUUUUUUUCUUCAUUUUAGAGAUUUUUCUACUGUUUGGUUUUUGGGUUUUGUCUAAUUUUUGUGGUCUGCUUUAUAGAUUGUUCUCUUUGGAAGCUUCUUUCCAGCCUUGACCUUCUUCUUGCCUGGUGCCUUCUCAUUGAGUAUUGGAGGAGCAUUAAAACACAGGUGUGUGUGUUUUGUCGACAUAAGAGAUGAAUGACAUAAAAACAUCCGUCUCUGUAUUUUUUUGUGCUUUUUCUAACCCAUCAAUUUCUUUUGAGUCAACCAAAUAGUCCCAAAUUGCAACUUAUGUUGUGAGGUAUUAUUGUCUAAAAUUAAGUAUGCAUGUAUAUUUUAUGUUUGUGCCCGCGCACACAUCCGCAUGGUGUUAAUCUCUGUGGGUCAUCUAUGUAUAUGUAGAUAUAUCUAUAUGUGUGUGUGGAAUGCAACAUAUCGGAUUUAGGUUAUACUGUGCAUAGUUUUAUUGCCUGUUAUUAUCUACGAUAUCACUAUGCCAUUUCUAUGCAGGCUCUGAAAGUUAUUCAUGAGCUUUAUAAGCACUUACCAUAAUUUAAGCAGUCUGUUUUGGGUUCUUUUUCAUUAGGUCAUUAGCUACAGAUUAAUGGAGAAACGAGGACCAUGCCACUGAUUUGGGUUCUUUUUCUAAUUUUCUGAUUUUGGGGUUUUGCAGGGAGAACUCCGCCUAUGUACUUACAUUGCCGAUCCCAAGCUCGGAUAAAGGAGGAGGGGGAGGGCGUCAGGUAGUCGACAGUCGGCACUCCAUGAUCACGUCGAAUCCUUAUGAAAAUGAAUUCAGAAUAAAAUUGCGCUAAAGCUAGGGCGUCACCCGUAAGUGGCGCGCUGUGUGGCCCGAGCACAGUGAUAAGUGAGCAAGGGUCGCUGUAUCUCCAUCGGCACCCGGAUGCAGUGUUAAAUGAGCAAGGGGGGCAUAGGAACUUCUUUUCGAACGACUCCACUCAAAGUUGUUUGGGAGCAUAUGCUCCUAUCAACUUUACACGGGACACACAAAAGAAGUACUUUGAUCCUAUUAGACGGGGGAGGGUGAAGAAGCUAGGACAGAAGGGUAGAGUUCAAGAAAGCAAAAUGCGUUUAGGAACGUGGAAUAUAGGAACCUUAACGGGAAAAUCUAUGGAAGUAGUGGAAGUUAUGGUGAGGAGAAGGAUAAAUAUUAUGUGCCUACAAGAAACUAAGUGGGUUGGUAGUAAGGCAAUUGAUCUAGAAAACUCAGGGUUUAAACUUUGGUAUUCGGGCACAAAUAGAACGAGAAACGGUGUUGGCAUCAUCGUGGACAAGACCUUGACACAAGAUGUUGUAGAUGUCAAGAGGGUAGGAGAUAGAAUCAUGGCAAUCAAGAUUGUAAUAGGACAAGAACUUAUCAAUGUGGUUAGUGCGUACGCACCUCAAGUAGGGUUGGAUACGAGUUCGAAGGAGAAAUUUUGGGAAGACCUUGGAGACUUGGUGUAAGGAAUUGCUCAGACGGAGAAGUUAUUUAUAGGAGGAGAUUUAAAUGGACACGUGGGCAGAGAGACAGGCAACUAUGGAGGUUUUCAUGGUGGCCAUGGUUUUGGGGAGAGAAAUGAGGAUGGGGAAGCUAUCUUGGAUUUUGCAAUGGCAUAUGAUCUCUUUUUAGCCAACACCUUCUUUAAGAAGAAAGAAGAACAUGUGAUCACCUACAAGAGUGGGUUGUCAAAAACACAAAUAGAUUUUCUUCUAAUGAGAAACGAGGAUGGGGAAGCUAUCUUGGAUUUUGCAAUGGCAUAUGAUCUCUUCUUAGCCAACACAUUCUUUAAGAAGAGAGAAGAACAUGUGAUCACCUACAAGAGUGGGUCGUCAAAAACACAAAUAGAUUUUCUUCUAAUGAGGAAAGGGGAUCGUAUAACUUGUAAGGAUUGCAAAGUUAUACCAGGAGAGAGCGUGGCUAAUCAACAUCGCUUGUUGGUGAUUGAUGUACAUAUCAAAAGAGUGAGACAAAAGAACAAGACUUGGAAGUGCCCAAGGACUAGAUGGUGGAAUCUAAAAGAAGAAAAACAAGCCAUUUUCAAAGAGAAAGUAAUCAUCCAGUGUGUGGGAUAGAGAUGGGGAAGCUAGCCAAAUGUGGGAUUCAAUGGCUAGUUGUAUCCGAAAAGUAGCAAAAGAGGUAUUAGGAGAGUCAAAAGGCUUUGCCCCACACCAAAAAGAAUCUUAGUGGUGGAAUGAGGAGGUACAAACAAAGGUGAAGGCUAAGAAGGAAUGUUGUAAAGCCUUAUACAAGGAUAGAACUGAUGAAAAUGGUGAAAGGUAUAGAAAAGCGAAGCAAGCUGUGAGAGAAGCUAAGUUAGCGGCUUACGACGAUAUGUAUAAACGACUAGAUACCAAAGAAGGAGAGUUGGAUAUCUAUAAACUAGCUAGAGCAAGGGAAAAGAAGACAAGGGACCUAAACCAAGUGAGGUGCAUCAAGGAUGAGGAUGGAAAUGUUCUUGCUACAGAGAACGCGGUUAAAGACAGAUGGAGAGGUUAUUUUCAUAAUCUUUUCAAUGAAGGACAUGGAAGGAGUGCUUCUUUAGGGGAGUUGAGUAACUCAGAAGAGUGUAGAAACUACUCUUUUUAUCGUCGAAUCCGGAAGGAAGAAGUGAUUGUAGCUUUGAAGAAGAUGAAACAUAGAAAAGCAAUAGGCCCAGACGAUGUACCAAUCGAAGUGUGGAAAGUUUUGGGAGAGACAUGUAUAACAUGGCUCACUGACCUUUUCAAUAGGAUUUUGAAAACGAAGAAGAUGCCAAAUGAGUGGCGAACGAGCACUUUGGUGCCUAUCUACAAGAAUAAGGGCGACGUACAAAAUUGCAUGAACUAUAGGGGUAUUAAGCUAAUGAGUCAUACAAUGAAGCUCUGGGAGAGAGUCAUUGAGCAUAGAUUGAGGCAAGAGACACGGGUUUCGGACAACCAAUUUGGGUUCAUGCCAAGGCGCUUAACCAUGGAGGCAAUCUAUCUCUUACGAAGAUUGGUGGAAAGAUAUAGAGAUGGGAAAAAGGAUUUACACAUGGUUUUUAUAGAUUUGGAGAAAUUCGUAUGAUAGGGUCCCAAUAGACAUUCUUUGGAGGAUUUUAGAGAAGAAAGGAGUACGAGUAGCAUAUAUCCAAGCUAUAAAUGAUAUGUAUGAAUGAGCAAAGACUGCUGUAAGAACUCAUGAAGGACAAACUGAAAGUUUUCCCAUAACUGUAGGAUUACACCAAGGCUCAUCCUUAAGUCCCUACCUUUUUGCGUUGGUAAUGGAUGAGUUAACAAGACAUAUUCAAGAUGAUAUUCCUUGGUGUAUGCUUUUCGCAGACGAUAUAGUGUUGAUAGAUGAAACACAGGAAUGGGUAAAUGCAAAGCUUAACCUUUGGAGAGAAGUGUUGGAAUCUAAAGGUCUUCGCCUAAGCCGAUCAAAGACAAAAUAUAUGGAGUGCAAGUUCAGUGCAAAUGGAGGCCAAAACGAGUUAGGGGUGAGGAUCGGAGAUCAAGAAAUACCAAAGAGCGACCGUUUUCGUUACCUAGGAUCUAUCUUGCAAAAGAACGGAGAAUUAGAUGGAGAUCUCAACCAUAGAAUACAAGCUGGAUGGAUGAAGUGGAAGAGUGCAUCCGGCGUGUUGUGUGACCGCCGUAUGCCACUGAAGCUCAAGGGAAAAUUUUAUAGGACGGCAAUAAGGCCGGCGAUGCUGUAUGGCACAUAAUGUUGGGCGGUGAAGCAUCAACACGUACACAAAAUGGGUGUAGCGGAGAUGAAGAUGCUUCGUUGGAUGUGUGGGCACACGAGAAAGGAUAAGAUUAGGAAUGAGGAUAUCCGGGGUAAAGUAGGAGUAGCCGAAAUUGUAGGAAAGAUGAGAGAAAAUCGGUGACGGUGGUUUGGACAUGUGCCAAGAAGGCCUACUGACGCUCCGAUUAGAAGAUGUGACUACUGGACAGAGGUUCAGGGCCGAAGGGGUAGAGGAAGACCUAGAAAAACUUUGGAAGAGACUCUAAGAAAGACUUAGAGUACCUGGAUCUAACGAAGGACAUGACACAGGACCGAGCAUAAUGGCGUUCUAAGAUUCAUAUAGCCGAUCCCACUCAGUGACUUGGAUUUUCCAAGUCUCCAGCCGAGAAGUUUUCCUCACUCAGGAAAUUAAGGGAACACUACCCCAACCUACAUGCUCCACUCACAAAGCUUCAACAAAAGAAAAUUCAAAGAACUUAGCGAAGAAGGCUUUGAUGUAUUUAACACAAUACGUUGAAAUGAAGGAAAGCUUAUUUAUUGAUAUCAUCGAUAAGCUACAAAUAUGUACAUAUACAUAAGUCAAAAUAAACAAACAAGAGGGAGCCUUCACAAAGGUUGCUUAGGAGAAGUCUCAGCAGUCGGUAGAGCCCCAGAAAGAGAAGGCACCGGAGGGGGAUCAUUCGGAGCCUCAGUACUGGACAGAACCCUAGAAGGAGGAGGCAUAAGAGGUUGAUCAUUUGGUGCUUCAUUACGCGGUACAGCCCCAGAAGACGAAGGCAAUAAAUGCCUUUGGAACAAACCCACAAAUCUCUGAUGAUCAAGUAAAACCUGACCAUCAGAUUCCUUCAUCUGGUCAAGCUUCCUCUUCAUGUUUGUAGCAUAGUCAUGUGCGAGCCGGUGCAACUGUUUAUUCUCAUGCUUGAGCCCUCUAAUCUCCUGUUUGAGACUCAUCACUUCAGCCGCCAAUGAUUCAACUUGGCGGGUUCGAGCAAAUAGGUGUUGGGCCAUAUUAGACACAGAACCUGCACACUGAACACUGAGAGCCAGAGAAUCCUUAACAGCUAACUCAUCAGACCGUUUGGAAAGUAGUCUGUUAUCUUUGGGAGUGAGAAGGUUCCUGGCCACCACCGCAGCGGUCAUAUCAUUCUUCAUCACGGAAUCCCCAACGGUAAGAGGACCAGUAGGGGAGACGAAGGAUGGGCGCCAUAUGUUGUCUGGAGAAGGCGGGGCUUCCUCUUCAACAAGGUUCAAGUCAAAACGACGGUCGGAGGGGCCAGACAUUUUCAAAUGUGUUGAAGAGAGAAGAGGUCGGACAAAUCAAGAUCUUAGAAGUGUAAGAAUGGAGCUUCUACUGGUGGAGAUUCAAGUGUGCUUUGGAACUUAAUGUCAGCCCCUAUAAAAAUCUGCACUCAACGGAGCUUCAGAAAUCGAAGAGGCGCCUGCUCAGAAAUCGAAGAGGCGUUUGCUUUCUCAAAAGCAAGGCUGCUCAGAUACCACGAGGGUCGAUCUCAGAAAUCGAAGAGGCGUUUGCUUUCUCAAAAGCUGGGCAGCGCAAAGACCACGAAGGCCGAUCUCAGAAAUCGAAGAGGCGCUCAAAAGUUGGGCUGCUCAGAGACCACGAGGGCCGAUCUCAGAAAUCGAAGAGGCACCUACUUUUCCAGCCUUGUCAGUACCUGUCACACACACACUCAGCUUUGCGAAAAUUAUGGGGAUUCGGUCGAAGACUUCUGGUGAAGUAGAAAGCACAUGAGUCUUACUGUUCAAUCACCCACUUCCCACACGCAACAGUAGCUCAUGGGUACCACAUAUAACUUUUCCAAAGUUCUCUGCCAAAGUUGAACACGUGAAGUUUGCAGCUCCCACUACAUCGCUCUGAUCAAGAAGGGUAAAAGAAUAGCAAAGAAACAACACUAACAAAGUUUAGACACAUAAAUUUUGAUGGUCGAGCUACCAUAUUAUUACCCACAAGGGUAAAGGAACAGUACCACUGCUGGAUAAUUGGAAAGUCCCUGUGUGUCAACCUCUGUGCUUCGUGGCAAGGUAGACUAUCAAACAUGCCCAACCUUUACUCACAUUCGAGAAAACACUCCCAACAAGAUUGCUUGCUCCAAAAUCGAAGAGGCACCGUCCUUCGAAUCUCGAGAGCCAGACUCCCAACAUGACUACUUUCUCAAAAAUCGAAGAGGGUAAAGGAACAGUACCAUUGCUGGAUAAUUUGAAAGUCCCUGUGUGUCAACCUCUGUGCUUCGUGGCAAGGUAGACUAGCAAACAUGCCCAACCUUUACUCACAUUCGAGAAAACACUCCCAACAAGAUUGCUUGCUCCAAAAUCGAAGAAGCAUCGCCCUCCGAAUCUCGAGAGCCACUCCCAACAUGACUACUUUCUCAAAAAUCGAAGAGACAUCGCUCUCCGAAUCUCGAGAGCCAGACCCCCAGCAUGAUUGCUUUCUCAAAAAUCGAAGAGGCACCGUUCUCCGAAUCUCGAGAGCCAGAUCCCCGAUAGGAUUGCUUGUUCGAAAACCGAAGAGGCAACACUUUCCCAAUUUCAAGAGCCGGAUCUCCUUGGAUAAAGCUAUCUGUAAUCUUCACUCGCAACAUUAGCUUUCCAGCUACCACAGACCACUUUUUCAAAGUGAUCUGACAACGUUAAAACAUGUGAAGCUGGCAGCUUCCACUACCGUGCUAUGACCAAGUAGGGUAAAGGAAUAGCAUUACUACUUGUUGUUAAGGAGACUCCUAUAUAUGUCGACCUCCAUCCCCAACGGAUAGGCAGACCUGCAAAAAUGCUCAACUCUUCCUCAUAUCUGAGAGGGCACUCCCAACGAAGCCUUUCGAAAUAUUCAGCUUUCUUUCCCCCCGAUAAUACCUCUGCAAACAAGCUAUACUAGAGCAAGAAUAUCUCAUAUCAUCAGGGUUAAAAGCAAGAGUAUCCCAUAUCAUGCUUUUUCCUUGUCUUUUUCUUUGGCCUUGUUCUUACCUGCAAGACAAGAAGAAAGAGAGCAAUCAGUCAGUACUUGGAAUCAAGCUUCCAGCCAGGAACUGACUGCCUGGAACCCCUUACCUGAUUACUUACCUGACAUUGUUCUCGAGUACUCAUCUUCAACAUCUUAUGCUUCCAGGGAAGAUACCGCAUCUGCCUGAGGAACAGAUAGGGCAAGGGAGAAGGAUAUAAGGAAGCAUGUGGAGACAAGCGUAACAGCACACGUGCCGAUACAUCCAUUACUCUGUCAAAGCAAAAGUAUCCCAUAUCAGUAGGGUCGAACGUACUCUAGAUUUGAUGGACUUGUUUUGACCCUCAAAUUCUUCAGUCGGCCUUAUACUCUGGAGGAAACCAGAAAUUUCUCCAGCUCAGUGCAAGAAUAAGCUUGUGGAAAGUUACUUCUUCAAAAGCAAAAGUAUCACAUAUCAUCUCUUCUCAUUUUCUUCUCUUUAUCCUUCAUGCUGCCUGCAAGAUAGGGAGAUUGUGAACAAUCAGCUGGAGCUAUGAUUGCUUACCUUGUCUGUCACCUCUUUCAGCAGAUCCCCUAGCUCGGCGAUUUGGGGGACUCCUACUACAUGGUUUGUAUCGCGCUUGACCAAGCCUGAAACUACAAGUAAGCUUCAAGUGAAAUUGAUACAUUACCUUGUGCAUCUCCACCAGUUAAAGAUACUACCCCUGGAUGGAGGAAGAGUACUUCCAGAGAAGAUGCCCCAUCUACCUAUGAGACAGAUAAGGCACGUCAAGACGAUACCACACUCUGAUACUUAGAAGUUUCGUGAUUACGAGAUCAUUCUCCCACAAUAUUUCCUAAUGUCAUUUGUACUAAAUCAUUCACUUGUACUCACUAAAGGAGAGCUUGAACCUAUGUACUUGUGUAAACCCUUCACAAUUAAUGAGAACUCCUCUAUUCCGUGGACGUAGCCAAUCUGGGUGAACCACGUACAUCUUGUGUUUGCUUUCCUAUCUCUAUCCAUUUAUAUACUUAUCCAUACUAAUGACCGGAGCAAUCUAGCGAAGAUCACAAAAAGCGACCGUUUUCGCUACCUAAGAUCUAUCGUGCAAGAGAACGGAGAAUUAGAUGGAGAUCUCAACCAUAGAAUACAAGCUGGAUAGAUGAAGUGUAAGAGUGCAUCCGACGUGUUGUGUGACCGUCAUAGGUCACUGAAGCUCAAGGGAAAAUUUUAUAGGACGACAAUAAGGCCAGCGAUGUUGUAUGGCACAGAAUGUUGGGCGGUGAAGCAUCAAUACGUACACAAAAAUGGGUGUGGCGGAGAUGAGGAUGCUUCGUGGGAUGUGUGGGCACACGAGAAAGGAUAAGAUUGGGAAUGAGUAUAUCCGAGGUAAAGUAGGAGUAGCCGAAAUUGAAGGAAAGAUGAGAGAAAAUCGGUUCCGGUGAUUUGGACAUGUGCAAAGAAGGCCUACUGACGCUCCGGUUCGAAGAUGUGACUACUGGACAGAGGUUCAGGGCCGAAGGGGUAGAGGAAGACUUAGAAAACCUUUGGAAGAGACUCUAAGAAAAGACUUAGAGUACUUGGAUCUAAUGGAGGACAUGACACAAAACCGAGCGCAAUGACGUUCUAGGAUUCAUAUAGCCGACCCCACUUAGUGGGAAAAGGCUUUGUUGUUGUUGUUGUUGUUGUUGGGGUUUUGCAGGGAGUACUAAUGUACUGAUUUUCUGGGAUUUUUUUUGUCCUUGCAGGAUUUUUGGUCUUUGAAAUGGGUAUGUGUUGUUUUUAAUGUUUCAGUUCUAGCGUUUUCCGUUCUUCGUUGCUUCGUGAUUCUCAUUUUUCAGUGUUGGGUGAUGGAAAUUUGUUAAAGUAGUUGGUAGUUUUUUGAGAAAGUUGGCAUUUUUAGUUAUAUUUUCUGUUUAAUCCUAAAUGUUUUGAAAACUCAUAAUUUUUUUGUUCUGGGAUUUAAAAGCAUCUUUUCCAGAUUGGUUACAAGGGUUAUGUUCUCUUCAAUUGGUUCACCUAAUUUUGAUUAGUUUUAAGUUUUGUCCUUUAAGUUUGUCUUUUAAGUUUUGUUCUUUAAGUUUUGUCUUUUAAGUUUUGUUCUCUAAGUUUUGUCUUUUAAGUUUUGUCUUCUGUGCUGUAAUGAGAGAUUUCCGUUGGCCUUUCGGAUUUUGGCAUGGGAAAGUUCACUUAUUUGCAAGGUUCUAAAAAACGCUAGGCGUUAGUUGGGCGGUGGGCUAGCGCCUAGCGGCUAGGCGGCUAGGCGGGAUCUAGGCGGGAUCUAGGCGGGCGCCUAGGCGGCCUAGGCGGAUUUAGGUAAAUUUCUUAUAUAUUUUAUGAAUUAAUUAAAUUUACUAUAUCAAAUGUAAAUAAUUAUUAACUAAUAUGUUAUUUCUUAUAGAAGAACAUACAUAGUGAAUGUUUUAUGUACAUAUAUAAUAUAUUUGUCUAGGAAAAAAAAAUAUUAUCUAAAUAAUUUUUAUAACAUAUAUAUAUAUAUAUAUAUAUAUAUAUAUAUAUCCCAAACUUUUAAAAAUAUAAAUAGCAUUGGGAGAGGGGCGUAGGGUUUCUAAAAGCACACUCAGAAAUAGAGCAUAUUUUAGUCUUUAUUUUAGAAUCCUAAGGAGCACCCUACUCGGAUGCACGACAUGUGUGCAAAUCUGGAGAUUCUUGCUGUAUCGGAUACACCAAUGCUUAGUCAAAAUUUCCUGCUAGGGUUUAUGGUGGACAUGUGUGUGUGGUCUUCAUUAUUAAACCCAUUAGCACCUCACCUUUUCACAUCACCCGUCCAUCACCUUGGGUGGUUUUGAUAAUUAAAACCAUCAACAUCCAUGGUUUUGAUAAUUAGAACUACCAACUUUUCCUUGGAUUUGAGAAUCUGAGAUCCCAUUCAUCGCCAUCAAAUAUUGAAAUGUUUCAUUGUUCAUCUCUUUCUCCCUCUUCUCACUCUCUAUUCCCUCAUCUUCACAGAGAUGAGUUACAGAAAUUCUCCGGUAAUCUCUCUCUCUCUCUCUUCGUAAUCGACGAGCUCCUCGACUUGAAGUCGCAGCCAAGUUAUGAAGAAUCGAGAUGCGAGAGCAAGUGGAGAGUGGAGACUCUGGAAAUUGGGAGUGACGAUCGACGACGAUGAGUCGAUGACCCAGGAAACCUCUUGAAGUUGCAGCAGGUGAGUGCACUGCAGUUGAGGAAGAAGAGACGAAGAGACUUAGUUUCUGAAAUUAGGGUAGCUGCAAGGCACGGGAACUUAAAAACAAAAAAACAAAAAGAAAACCGCCUAGCUCCGCCAGCCGCCUAGCCUGCCUAGGCGCCUCCUAGCCCGCCUAGGUGCCGCUUAGCCACCGCCUAGAGCCCAGCCGUUUUUUCCCACCGUUUUGCACAAAAACGCCUUGGCCACCCUCCGCCUAGCGCCUAGGCGGCCGCCUAGGCCGUUUUUUAGAACACUGCUUAUUUGUCUAAUUAGAUUGUGGAUGCCUUCGAUUCUUUAUUUAAUUGUUCUGUUUGCGUUCGGGUGUGAUGAUCUAAAUUUCAUAUGUUUGGAAUUAUUUACUUAACACCAAUUUGUUACAUUCAGAUCUCCACCCCACAUUUCACUAGUUCAAAUUCCAUAGAAGUUGGUUAUUGCAGAUUGCGUCUACAAUUAGAUCAGAGAUCAACUACUCUUUUGUUAUCCUGCAGAAGAUUGCUUUUGGGAAGGAUCUGAAGUAGUUUCUCUCUGUAUGUUUAUUCCCAUGUAGCUCUGUCUUUUCUAAUUGAUGGUGUUGAUAUUACACUGUAAUUCAUGAUGAUGAUUUAAUUGUUUAUUGAUUUGUAAUUGUUUGUGAAUAAUGUGGCAUAUAUGAAUUGCAAUCUGUGUUUGUAUGAAAGGGAUGGCAUAUUAUGUUGCUGACUUAAUUGUUUAUGUUUUUCAUAUUUGCGAAUGGUGUUAUGAUCAAUUAGGUGAUUGCUGACCUGUGACUUUGUUUGGAGCUCAAAUUUUGUGAGCAUUACAUUGGAUUGUUUUGAUGUUGUUUUGGUUGACAAUGCAGGGAUAGGAGAAACAAAGAGGAUGACACUUAUAACUGCCAUUCCCCAUCGGCCGUCUUCAAAUUUGGAUCACAAGAAGGGAGCAACAUAGGUGUUUUCCUUCUUUAUUUAGAUAUGGUUAGUGUAAAUAAUUGGACAAAAGAGCCAAACAAACCCUGUUCUCUCAAAUGGAGUUGAUGAUGUGGUCGACGGCCACCAGCCCCAACUCAAGAGUUUGGCCUUCAUAUAAUUGGAUUGUAGUAUAAUUUUAUUUUUGUUCAUUUCUUUUUUCCUUUAUAUAAGUGCAGGUGUUGUGAUGUUUUGAAUAAAGGGUGAUGAAAGGUGGUUCACACUUCCUCCUUACUUAAAGCAAGUGGAGAUGACGGUUUGUAUAAAAAGAAAAACUUGCCACGUACUUCAAUUUUCUAUUUUAUUAAUUAUUGUUUGGUUUUCCAAAUGUUGUAUUCACAAAGAGAGACCAAUUAUGUCUUUGAGAAACAAGUUUCUUUGUCUACAUUGCGAGAAUUUGCAGUUUGCAACUUUCAUUGGUUAUUAUAUUUGAUUGAGUUAAACUUGGAUUUCUGGAUUCUGACUUUUUCGUUUGUUUCUUUGUUGCAGAGUUGGCUUCAUUUCAUUCCAGGAACUCUCUAAAUAGGGCCAAGAACUCACUAAAUAGGUAGUCAAGAGGAAUUCAGUUUUGCCUUCAAUUUUUGCCUUCUGUUUACAUUCUUCCUGGAUGCACUCUCACCGCUUCUCUCGCUUACCACUUUUUUCUCACUCACCGCUUCAUCUCUUCUGUUGCUUACAAGGUCGUGUCAUAUAUUUUUUAAUUUUGUGGUUUAAUUUAUUGAAUAUUUGAAAAAAGAGAUAAAAUUAUAAGAUACUAUAUAAGAUACUAUAUAGUAUCUUAUAAAUAAAUGAAUCACAAAUGAUACUAUAGUUGUUAAAAAAUCCCAUUACUCAAAACUCCAAUUCCCUCCCAUUACUGAAAGCUCCAAUUCCAUCAAAACCGAGAUGGUAAAAGUACAAACUGGCUAGUUUCCACCAAAAAAAAAAGUACAAACUGGUUACAAAAAUAUGUUUUGUCCCAUCCAAUUGACGAAAAGAGAUAAAAUUUUCAAUUUACAAUUACUGAUAUGAUGUUUGUUUUGAAAAUCAUUAAGGUGAAUGGAGAGAUUUACAACCAUGAAGAGCUGAGGAGCCGUUUGCCAAAUCAGAUUUAUAAGGUCUCAUCAAUUAUGAAUAAACGACUUUUCAUUCCCAAUGACCUUUAUCGUUUUUCUUAAUGGGUUAGCUGAACAUGAGGUAGAUGCUGACUUUAUCAAAUAUGAGAAUGUUUUAGGAUUUCAUUCUAAUUUUUUGGCUGUUUGAUUACUUUGCUUUUCGUAAUUUGUUUUGCUUAUCGUCAAUUGGAUGGGACAAAACAUAUUUUUGUAACCAGUUUGUACUUUUUUUUUUGGUGGAAACUAGCCAGUUUGUACUUUUACCAUCUCGGUUUUGAUGGAAUUGGAGCUUUCAGUAAUGGGAGGGAAUUGGAGUUUUGAGUAAUGGGAUUUUUUAACAACUAUAGUAUCAUUUGUGAUUCAUUUAUUUAUAAGAUACUAUAUAAGAAACUGUUAUUAGCACUCUAAAAAACUCAUUCUACACUCGCGACAAGUGUAUUUUUCUUUUUAAUUAUGGAAAGUUUGAAGGGCAAAAUGAGAAUUUUGGAGUGCCAAUAACAAUUCCCUAUUAUAUAUAGCUCUACUGGGAAGGCUACUGUAUAUGUCUUCAUCCUGUUAAAUUGUAUAUGGCUCUUGAUGUCGGCUGAAUUAAAUCAAAAUGAAAACCAAGCUGAUCUUACCAGCCGAUAUCACUUAUCACUUGCUUAUUUAAAUUAUUUGAAGAUGCGUAUGUGGAUUGGUGAUUUUGUUGGAUUCACUUAGCUCAAAUAUAUGUUAUCUGAGUCGCUACAUUUGAGAAUGUGAUUCUGUUCCUACCACCAUUUUGCCCACUUUUUGUGGAAAUUAUUCAUUCCUGUUGUGAAUAAUACAUUCAUCCCCGGCAACGAAGUGCGGGCACAUUUUAUAGUUUAAAUUAAAUCACACAAUGGGUCAUCAAUAAUGACAAACUCGUCAUUUAUGCGAGUCAAACAUGAGGCCACCUACCUACUAGUUUAGUGGAAUACCACAAAGUGACAUGUUGAUACCUUUAAGUCUCAUAUAAUGGAUUGCAGAAUUAGGAUAUACCUAGACUAAUUUAGUCAGUGCGUGAACCCGAACAAUUAACAAGGGUUUUAUUCUUGCUUGAAUGUUUGUUAUAUGUUCCUAGUUUGACAAGGCAAUUAUAUUUCCGAUUACAAAAGUUAUUAAUUUAGUCGAGAAUUGACGCACCUGAAAUGGUGUGAGGAAAACAUGUAGACACAUCAACCGCAGUCCACUGUCCUGGGCAUCUAUCUUCCCCGAAACGAAGCUCAAAGCCAUACAUGAGGGCAUUGUGUAUGUCUUUAUAAGAGAAGUUGCUGUAGUCUUCAACGUAGCCGGCAGCCAAACUCAUCCACUCUACACUGCAACCCUCAUCCAAAUCCCAUGCUUCCAACCUGCCCCCGACAUAGUCAGCGACCAUGACAUAGCUAUACGUUUUUGGUUGACUCGAAGAAGAAGAAGAAGUAUUAUUCAAGCAUGGAGCAGUGUCCACGUACAGAGAAGAAUUCGAUGGAUUCGAACACUUCAAGUAAUAUAUAGAUAGAGAAUUGAUGUCAUAGGUGGGCCAAUAUGGAGAAUUGAUGUCCUCGGUGGUGGGCGGAAUAUUUUGAGACAUGGAAGAGCAAUUGUUGUUGUCAAGCCCAGGAUCUAGAACUCGGAUUGUAUUGUUAAUGUAGUUGAUUGCCUGGACAUAGUAUUUUCCGGAAGAAGGUACGUCUAGUACAGUAAUGUUGCUCUCACAGUACAGAGUAUACAUUAUGUUGCCACAGUACUUUGGAUCAUCGUUCAGUCGAAAAGGAUGGCUUAUGUAGUGGAUAUGGCCGCAGGAUGAAGUGCAGGACUUGGCACUACUGUUGUCAGCGUUACAAGUUUCACUGCAAAAGCAAAGAAGAAGAAAGGCUAAACUUAAGGUGAAGGACCUGCUUCCACUAAUUUCCAUUGAUCUGAGAGAGAGAGAGAGAGAGAGAGAGAGAGAGAGAGAGGGUACUAUAGCUUGAACACCAAGGAGUUAUAUAAUAUGGGAGGGGUUAAAGCGCUUCGCUUAAAGUUGCAGUAAGCCCGGCAAAUAUCCUAGGGAAAAGUCGGUCAAUGGUGUCCUAUAGAGAAAAGUCGGCCUUGGUGUUUGACACGGUCACUCACUCUCUCUCUCUCUCUCUCUCUCUCUCUCACAUUGACGAGGGACACUGUAAUUAACAAAAAAAUUGUUCUUCAGAGAUAGAUUUUGAAAUUCUUAUUUUAUAUAAAAAAACACCUAAUAUUAAUCAUUCAAAUGAAAUUCCUAAAAUUAAGUAUAAAUAAUACAUAAUAAAAACUGAACACAUACAAUCAACGGUCACGAUCAUGAAAUCCUUCGGAUCCUCAGAAAAAAAUCCGACGAUGAUCUUUUUCUGUGUAAAAUAAUUUGAGGGUAUAAUACUGGAUGUGCGAUUAAACCGAAGAACCCACCCACCUCCAUCUUCUCCGACCAACUUGAACCCAGCCACUACUACAUGUCAUCCCGACAACCCACUCUCAGCUUCCCAAACCGCCAUUUUUCACCCAUUCACCUACCACUGCCAUUAUUCAUUCAAUCAACCCAAAACACGAGAGCCACCCCCAUCUCACCAGUCGAACAGAUGCAGCCACCCACCCAUUUAAUCCCAGUCCAAAAUCAAACCCUCUCCUAAACCCACCCCAGAAUCCAAUAAUUUCAAAAAAUGGCUGAUUAUAUCAUUUCAAGAACCUCACAAUUCCAAAAACUAAAAACCCACUUCAAAGAUGUAAUAUUUUUCUCUCUUCCUCUUUUUGGGUUUUUUUUUCUUUUUUUUUAUCAAUUCUCUUCUGGGUUUUUGUUUACAGUGUAAAAUCAACACUAAUUUACUAAUUUUGCUUUGAUUUCAAACACUAUUGAGGCGUGAUAACCUGUUGCAAGCUCAGCCAUGGCGGCUACUGCGAAAUCUAACGGAAAAACCAUCACAGACUCUGCCAUUUCAUCCAAGGUUCCGACAAUAGCAAAACGAAUAGCUGUCGCAGAUUUCUUCCAACAUCAAUCACUACGCGAAAUUAAUUGUCAAUGAAGACGAUCCCAUUCCCCUUCGAAAUCUGCUGGGGAAAGAGACCUUCUUUCAGAUCUGCUCUGAGACCGGUUUAUGCGAGAGAGUGGUGAGCCUGACGACAGAGAGAAAUAAGGGCAGGAUUGGAAAAUUGGAAAGUUCAUUUAUUGGUUACUGUUUAUCCGUGUUUCUUCGAAAUAAGCUGCUUUUUCCAGCUUUGGGUUUCAGUGUUUUUUAACCCAUAAUUUUGAAAGAAAAAAAACUGAUUUUAAAUGUUUAUCAAACACUUAAAAUGUUCCAAUCUUUUUUCAUACCUACUUUUUAUUAAAAGUUAAGCUAAACAAAAAUCAAGAUUAAGUUUACUACUCUGAAGUUUCUUGCUUUUCAACAUUUCAUACAUUGAAUUUUUCUCAUCCAGUGUCAUAUCUAAGGUGGGAAUUGUGGGACACUUUUAUACAUCCGUUAGAUUUUAUGUGAAUUGCGUGGCACUUUUAUACAUCCGUUAAAUUUUUUGUGAGAACCUUCGCUGACCCACGAUGCGGCAUGCAUGUGGACAUUAAAAAAAUUCAAAAAAUUCAAAAAAUUUUAAAAUUUUAAAAUUUAAAAUUCAAAAAUACUAAAAACCUAAACUUUUCAUAAUAUUGAAAGACUGAAUCUUUUCACAGUCAGCCAAAUUUUCUUCAAAUUUUAAUUAGAUGAAAUAAUGAAUCUUGAACAAAGCAAAACAAAACGUAAUAUUGAGAGAUUCAGUCAUUGAAGUGGACGUGGAUGUUGGGUACUCAAUAGUCCAAGAAUGAAAACUCUCAUAUCAGUUUCUAUCCAAAAUUUUGGAAUUAUGUGUGUUGCAACGAUUGUCCAAAGGAUUAUUCUUCUUUUAUUAAAUUUCCAUGAAAAAUGAGCAUGGAGCACAAAAGUUGAACGAAUGAUUAUUCUUCUUUUAUUAAAUUUCCAUGGAAAAUGAGCAUGGGGCACAAAAGUUGAACGAAUGAAAUUUCAACGAUUUGAAAAGGGAUUGUGAGUUUGACAUGUCAUUUUUCUUCCUCUAAUGCAAUCAUGUUUAUUAAAAGACAAAAAUAAAUAUGACUUUACAUAAGGAGAGAGAAGGAGUAGUUUUCUUUGAAAAAAUCAACCAUUUAUUGAAGAGGAUGUGGAUGUUGAUUGAUGCGUCGUGAAUACGAAAAAAAGGACCUUGAAAGGAGUUGAGACAUUCAUUAAAAGCUAGAAGAAAAAAAAGUUAAAAGUGUUUUAGAAAAAAAGCAAGAAAGCCUCAUUUUCAAAGUUGUGGUCAUUGCACAAUACUUGAUUAGAAGAAAACUCAUAGUAUUGUAUUUACAAUUUCAAGUCUUUAUGGGGAACGAGAGAGCAAGUUUUCCAAUUGGAAUAUGAUAUGAAAUUUCUACAUAACUAUAUAUGACAAUGAAAGAAGUCUAAGUUUCUAAAUGGAAGGGCUUCCAAUUGAUGUGAGUUUGUUGAGAAAUUAGUGAACAACAGAACAAGUUGCUUCUCCUUUGGCCUUCUAACAUGAUAUCACAGAAAACAAGUUGUUACUAAUAAAUGUAUCUGAUUGGUGGACUUAGACGUGCGCGGUACGAUUUUUGAUAACUAGAGAAGAUGGGCAGUGUCAUGACAAAAUUUAUCCAAGUAGACCCAAAGGAAUGACUUAGGAACUUCAUAUGCAGUGGGAUAAAAUCUUAAGCUAAUUUCCUUACCUAUCUUAUAGGCAUUAAGUAAAAUGUAUAUGCAUAUUUCUAGACACACCAAUUUACUUAAUAUUAACUUCUUUCAAAUACCCAUUUGCAGAAACGCAAAGCUCUCUUGCAUGCUUGUUGUAAUGCUUAUGUAGUGCGUAUCCUAUAUCUUAUAUAUAUAUCUUACUUUUUGUGAUCCAUUUUUUCAUCACUAUGCCAAACGAAUAGCAAAACGAAUAGCUGUCGCAGAUUUCUUCCAACAUCAAUCACCACGCGAAAUUAAUUGUCAAUGAAGACGAUCCCAUUCCCCUUCGAAAUCUGCUGGGGGAAAGAGGCCUUCUUUCCGAUCUGCUCUGAGACCGGUUUAUGCGAGAGUGGUGAGCCUGACGACAAAGAGAAAGAAGGGCAGGAUUGGAAAAUUGGAAAGUUUAUUGGUUACUGUUUAUCCGUGUUUCUUCGAAAUAAGCUGCUUUUUCCAGCUUUGGGUUUUCAGUUUUUUUUACCCAUAAUUUUGAAAGAAAAAAAACUGAUUUGAAAUGUUUAUCAAACACUUAAAAUGUUCCAAUCUUUUUUCAUACCUACUUUUUAUUAAAAGUUAAGCUAAACAAAAACCAGGAUUAAGUUUACUACUCUGAAGUUUUUUGCUUUUCAACAUUUCAUACAUUGAAUUUUUCUCAUCCAGUGUCAUAUCUAAGGUGGGAAUUGUGAGACACUUUUAUACAUCUGUUAGAUUUUAUGUGAAUUGUGGGGCACUUUUAUACAUCCGUUAGAUUUUUUGUGAGAACCUUCGCUGACCCACGAUGCGGCAUGCAUGUGGACAUUGAAAAAAUUCAAAAAAAAUCGAAAAUUUUAAAAUUUUAAAAUUUAAAAUUCAAAAAUACUAAAAACCUAAACUUUUCAUAAUAUUGAGAGACUGAAUCUUUUCACAGUCGGCCAAAUUUUCUUCGAAUUUUAAUUAGAUGAAAAUAAUGAAUCUUGAACAAAGCAAAACAAAACGUAAUAUUGAGAGAUUCAGUCAUUGAAGUGGACGUGGAUGUUGGGUACUCAAUAGUCCAAGAAUGAAAACUCUCAUAUCAGUUUCUAUCCAAAAUUUUGGAAUUAUGUGUGUUGUAACGAUUGUCCAAAGGAUUAUUCUUCUUUUAUUAAAUUUCCAUGAAAAAUGAGCAUGGAACACAAAAGUUGAACGAAUGAUUAUUCUUCUUUUAUUAAAUUUCCAUGGAAAAUGAGCAUGGGGCACAAAAGUUGAACGAAUGAAAUUUCAACGAUUUGAAAAGGGAUUGUGAGUUUGACACGUCAUUUUUCUUCCUCUAAUGCAAUCAUGUUUAUUAAAAGACAAAAAUAAAUAUGACUUUACAUAAGGAGAGAGAAAUAGUAGUUUUCUUUGAAAAAAUCAACCAUUUAUUGAAGAGGAUGUGGAUGUUGAUUGAUGCGUCGUGAAUACGAAAAAAAAAGACCUUGAAAAGAGAUGAGACAUUCAUUAAAAGCUAGAAAAAAAAAAGUUAAAAGUGUUUUAGAAAAAAGCAAGAAAGCCUCAUUUUCAAAGUAGUGGUCAUUGCACAAUACUUGAUUAGAAGAAAACUCAUAGUAUUGUAUUUACAAUUUCAAGUCUUUAUGGGGAACGAGAGUGCAAGUUUUCCAAUUGGAAUAUGAUAUGAAAUUUCUACAUAACUAUAUAUGACAAUGAAAGAAGUCUAAGUUUCUAAGUGGUAGGGCUUCCAAUUGAUGUGAGUUUGUUGAGAAAUGAAGAUGAAGAUGAAUAUUGAUGUUGAUGUUAGUGAACAACAGAACAAGUUGCUUCUCCUUUGGCCUUCUAACAUGAUAUCACGGAAAACAAGUUGUUGCUAAUAAAUGUAUCUGAUUGGUGGACUUAGACGUGCACGGUACGAUUUUUGAUAACUAGAAAAGAUGGACAGUGUCAUGACAAAAUUUAUCCAAGUAGACCCAAAGGAAAGACUUAGGAACUUCAUAUGCAGUGGGAUAAAAUCUUAAGCUAAUUUCCUUACCUAUUUUAUAGUAUUAAGUAAAAUGUAUAUGUAUAUUUCUAGAUGCUGACACACCAAUGUACUUACUAUUAACUCCUUUCAAAUACCCAUUCGCAGAAACGCAAAUCUCUCUUGCAUGCUUGUUGUAAUGCUCAUGUAGUGCGUAUCUAAUAUCUUAUGUGUAUAAUUUUUUGUGAUCCAUUUUUUCAUCACUAUGCCAAAAUCCCUUUAGAAUUUGCAAUUUAUCCAUUUGGUUAUGGUAAAAAAAAAAACUCGGAAUUUCAUUUAAACUCGAAAAUCUAGAAUUGGGAAAGCAAUUUUCCCUUGUUCGGCAACUUGUAGCGAUAGCAAAGGCAAAUUGUACCGGAAAAAAGUGGAAAUUGGGGAUGAAGAUCCAAUUUUAAUUUCGUCAAAAUAAGUGUAAUUUCACAAUUCCAACAACGUUGAGAAUCACAAAUGCAUUGUGGGGAAAUCUUGCGACCACCAAACUUUACGAUUAGAGCGCCAAAUUUCAUGAUAAAACGUAAUAAGGGUUUAGGACUGCAUCGUUCGCUCUGUUAACUCUCCAAUCUUCGACGGGAUUUUCAACUCGUGCAUCAUUUUUUGCUUUGUUCUAGGUCAAAGCCUACUCUUUUCUUUCUUGAAUUAUUUUAGCUUUGCGGGUAUACUCUUUAGGCCAAUUGUGAAUUUUGCUAGUUAUUUUUAUUUUCUGAUGGUCAUAUGUUUGUUUUUUUUUUCUUCCAAUUGAGCUGUGUAUUGGUUGGAUCAGUAACUUUUUUUUUGGAUUUUUAUUUUUAUUUUUAUGGAUUUUGGUGUUAGUUCCUUGUUAUAGAUGUAUAGAUGUUGUGGAGCAAAAAAUAAUCUCAAAAAUCGUGGAGGUGACACACGGAUUUUUGGACAAGAAUGACAAAAUUAUCCUCGAAGCACAUCAUGAUUCCCACGUGCAUGCAACGGACAAUAACGGCUCAAUCAUGGAAGAGUCAAAGGUGAUCAAUAUGGUAUUUAUUCAAAUCCCUCUCAUCACUCCUCAUCAAUCCCUUUUUGAUUUUAUUCAAAAGGUAACUCCCAAAACUUCCUAUUUAAUUUAGGGAUCAUUGUCAUGUUAAUUGCAAGAUAUUAUUUCACAAAAUAUCUUGUAAUUAUUCUUCAAUUACCACCAUGUAUGGCCGGCCACUCCUCACCCUAUGGGCCGGUCACUCCUCACCCUAUGGGUCGGCCACUCCCUAUAAAUAGCCCUAUUAUUCCACUAAUAAGGAAGCCAUUUGCUACCCACAAACUCCUAAACACAUUCUUUCAGAAUUCUAACUUUGGCAUUGGAGAUUCUUAGGCCAAAUCCCCCCUCCCAUUCAUCGUGGGCGCAUAAGGCUUUUGGCCUUAGUCUUAGGUAUUAUUAUUUUGCAGGUGCAUUUUCGUCAAAGACGAAGAUGGUGGAAAUUUGGAUCCACAAAUUGGUGUUUUCAUUGAGAGUUUGAUUCACAAGCUCGAAGAAGACUCUCGCAUUCAAAGUUUCACAUUUCUCAUUCAUAAGUAAAUUUUUCAUACGUUCUUAUUCCUAGAAUUUUUUUAAAUCUUUGAAUAGACGUAGGAGAGAAAUACAAUGGCUAGAAAUUUAGAAACCACGACGAACGAAACUUCCUACGUUCAAAGAUCCAGAUCAAAUGAUGGAAAUUGCGAUGUAGCCCCACCACGACGAUCCACGAAGCUCAACGUAGUGGCAAAAUGAGUAACUUGGCCACCACGGAGUACCACCACCACCAUAGCCAAGGCAACCCAUGUUGCAGUGGGGAGUGGGACAACUCCAUGGCAGCAAGGCCACGAAGCAACAACAGAUGCCAUCUUGCAGUAAUGAGCCCAAGCCUGUGUCACAAGGUAGUCAACCCAGCGCUAGGUAACCUAGAUCUAGUAGGCCCACGACGUUGCCAUAGUAGCUGAGGCCUAAAGCAAGGCCCAAGCAGCUGCGACUGCGGCAAAUGGAGCAACACAACACUGGCGGGGCCAAUGCACCCUUGGCCUAAUGCCAAGCAGGCUAAAUCGCACCACACCCACUAUUCAAACUAACCCUAAGUUGAGUAAGUAGCAUUGAAGGUUGUCAACCGCAAGGCGUUGAAGUACGAAUAAAGUUACACACCCCGCACAUGACUUGGCCCACUUCCGCGGCCCAACUUGCUCGCAAGGUCCACCUAGUGAUCCCGACCAGUCGAAGGCCAGUUCAAUCAUCCCAUCUUCAGAUUUCUGGACUGACGAUUGAAUCGGGGGUAUUUUCACCCCGAUUUUCUACAGAUUUGACAUAUCUCAACACAAAUCUCGCACUUGGAGUCCAUUGCACUUCCAUUACUCAAGGAGACGCAUACCAUUUAAGAUCUUCCAUCCCAAAUGGCGAACAACACUUGUCUUGACAAGUCAUAGAGUUGACAUGCACUUUUGCGCAGUAGACGACCUUAGUGAAUCAGCUUUUGCAACGCACAAAGAUGCAGUAUGCCCCAGACGAUGUGUCCCGAAGCAGGACAAGUAUAGACGACGAUUCUCUCCAGCAGCGUCCCAACAAGCAGCCGCUCGACUAGCCACGAACCGAGCAUUCUGGCAGUGUACACUCCCGUCUAGGUCCUCAAGAAAGCAUAUACUCUCAUCUUAGCGCGCGGAUGAGCGUGCACUCCUGGUUAGGCCUACGGACGAGCAUACAUUCACGGUUGGGACCAUACUCUUAUAAUUAACAUGGACAACCUGCUAGACGAAGUGUUCAUUCGCGGCUAGGCUCGCAAAGAGCAUUUUCCACCUCAUAUUGGAGUAAGCAGCACAGAAGACGAAGAUAAGCAGUCAAUUAAUCUGGCUCAAAUUCAAUCGGCCACCUGUAAGUAACUAGCUCGCCUGCCAAGAACGUACCAUAUGCAAUGUAGCCACGACAUAGACUAGCUGAGCACAACGAUGAGCAACCUAGACUAACAGGUUACGACUGGGGGUAGCCAGAAGCUUCACUGCCCCAAUAUAGGUAAAUUUAGAAAGAAGUUGAGAGGCUUCUGACAGAACGAUUGUGCGAUUUCCAACGCAAUGAAGCUACUGACAAGGCGCUUAAACGAUACACGACCAACAUAAACGGGUCACCUUUUAUUGACAAGAUUGAGCAGACAGAACCAUCCUACAUACACUGGCGGAUACAAAUAUUACUUCUAUUUUAACAUACGCAUCAACUCAGCCUAAUGGCGUGUCGAGGGCAAAUGGGUUCCAGAAUGGCACACUAACCCAACCACCAAGAACCAGGGCCAAAUCUUAUUUUCAUCACUCCACACGAUUCAAUGCUUGAGCAUCACAUCACCAGUAAUAGAGCACCGCAGACCUAAUGGUCCAAUUCCUCCUGAUGCACACAAGCUCACCCCAGCUCCACGCUCAAAGCCGUGCCUACCUGCUCCACAACACUCAGCCACCCUUGAUUUGUCACCAUGGCUCACAGUUAUGCCAAUUUUGCACCACAGCUCCCAGCCGUGCUAAUCUUGCCAUGCGGCUUUUAACUACGUUAACCAAGCCCACGAUACUUCAUACUUCAAAACAUCCAAUGACGAAGUAGAACAUGAGGCUCUACUAGCAGCCCCUGCUAGUGAAAGGCUUUGCGGUGAAGAGGCUUCCAAUCCAUUCAAAUUCUCAGUUGACCACCUGUUGGGUUUUACGGCUCAAAAUUAGGAUGAUGCAAAAAAAAUUGUGUUACCUAUUUGGUUUUGGUGUCGUAUUUGGGUUUGGAUUUUGACCUCUUAGUUGGUUUCCUUGGUGGAGAGAUUUUGUUAAUUACCUAUUUGAUUAGGAUUUGGAUUUACUUCCUAUUAAGAUUCUUAUUGUAACCUAAGUCUUAUGCACUAUAAAUAGGACCUCAGGGUUAGUGUAUUUUGUGUGGCUCAUUCGUGUGGCAAUUUGGUGAGAGUCAAUUUGUGAGUUUGUGAGUUAGAGAGCAAUUUGGGAGAAUCUUCUCCGUUAGUUUUGGGUUCUCUACUCGUUUGGUUUAGGGUUUGUAAUUUGUGGGAUUUGGAUUGUGAGAGUUUAAACACUAUUUUGUAAUCUCCGUUUGUUUAGUGAAAUUUCUUGUCAUGCUUCGCUCGUGGACUUAGAUUUUACACCGAACCACAUAAAUCUCUUGUGUUAGUUUGAGAUUGUUUGUUUUAGUUUUCACCUACAACGUUGAUAUCGGUACUUUGCUAUAAUUUGCUUUCCUUUGCUCAUAAAAGUACGACAAGUGGUAUCAGAGCCCAGCUUUCGGCUUGGGCUUUUCUUGGCAAUCAAUAUGAAGCCUUCUGUGUCGUCGGUGAAAGUUGAUAUUGAAAAGUUCGAUGGCAAUGACUUUGGUAUUUGGCAAUUGAAGAUGCGUGCUUUGUUAAUUCAACAAGAGCUUUUAAAAACGCUAAAGGGUGUGAAGGCUUUCCUGAAUUCGUGGACUGAUGAAGAAAAACAAAGAAGUUAUGGAGCGGGCACUUGGAACAAUCCUGCUGACUUUAUCGAAUGAAGUCUUGCGUCAAGUUGGUAGCAUCAAAUCUGCACCGAAGUUGUGGCUAAAAUUGGAGAGUUUGUAUAUGACCAAAUCCCUUGCUAAAUGGUUGUAUUUGAAGAAAAGUUUGCGUACUCUUCGUAUGGAUGAAGGUACGUCAAUUCAUAAGACCAAAUCCUUAUUGCUGCCAAAAGUCCUCAACAGUUCCAAGGGAGAUGGGUAAGAGUUCGUAAUAGUGAGAGAUUGAAUCUUUUCACACUUGGCCAAAUUUUAAUUUUAAUUAGAUGAAACAAUGAAUCUUGAACAAAGCAAAACAAAAUUUAAUACUGAAAGAUUGAGUCAUUGAAGUGGACGUGGAUGUUGGGUACUUAACAGUCCAAGAAUGAAAACUCUCAUAUCAGUUUUUAUCCAAAAUUUUGGAAUUAUGUGAGUAUUGCAACGAUUGUCCGAAUGAUUAUUCUUCUUUUAUUAAAUUUCCAUGGAAAAUGAGCAUGGGGCACAAAAGUUGAACGAAUGAAAUUUCAAUGAUCUGCAAAGGGAUUGUGAGUUUGACAUGCCAUUUUUCUUCCUUUUAUGCAAUCAUGUUUAUUAAAAGACAAAAAUAAAUAUGACUUUACAUAAGCAGAGAGAAAGAGUAUUUUUCUUUGAAAAAAUCAACUAUUUAUUGAAGAGGAUGUGGAUGUUGAUUGAUGCGCCGUGUGAAUAGGAAAAAAAUGACCUUGAAGGGAGACAAGACAUUCAUUAGAAGCUAAAAAAAAGUUAUAGUGAUUUAGAAAAAAGAAAUUUUAACGAAAUAUUUCCGGUAUUGUUCACUCUUUACGAAAAACCACAUUUUUACAUUUCCUGGCUACUAUUCACUACACCUUUAUUUAUCAUUUUUCAUUAAAACUAAAUUUGUUUUUGAACUUUUCGUUAGUUUCCUUUAGAAAAAAGCAAGAAAGCCUCAUUUUCAAAGUGGUAGUCAUUGAAACAAUACUUGAUUAGAAGAAAAGUCAUAGUAUUGUAUUUACAAUCUCAAGUCUUGAGGGGUAACGAGAGUGCAAGUUUCUAAUUGGAAUAUAAUAUGAAAUUUCUACAUAACAAUAUAUGACAAAGAAAGAAGUCUAAGUUUCUAAGUGGAAGGGCUUCCAAUUGAUGUGAGUUUGUUGAGAAAUGAAGAUGAAGAUGAAUAUUGUUGUUGAUGUGAGUUAGUGAACAACAGAACAAGUUGCUUCUCCUUUGGCCUCUAACAUGAUAUUACCGGAAAACAAGUUGUUACUAGUAAAUGUAACUGACUGGUGAACUAAGACAUGCGGUACGAUUUUUGAUAACUAGAGAAGAUGAAUAGUGUCGUGACAAAAUUUAUCCAAGUAGACCCAAGGGAAAGACUUAGGAACUUCAUAUGCAGUGGGAUAAAAUCUUAAGCUAAUUUCCUUUUUAAUCUUAUAGUCAUUAUGUAAAAUGUAUAUGCAUAUUUCUAGAUACAUACACACCAAUGUACAUAAUAUUAACUCCUUUUAAGUAGUCAUUUGCAAAUCCCUCUUGAGUGCUCUUUGGAAUGCUCAUGCGGUGCCGUUCUAAUCUCUUAUAUAUAACUUUUUGUGAUCUGUUUUUUCAUCAAUAUGCCAAAAUCCCUUUAGAAUUUGCAACUUAUCUUUUUGGUUACGGUAAAAAAAAACUCGGAAUUUCAUUUAAACUCGAAAAUCUAGGGAUGUGAAAGCAAUUUUCUCUUGUUCGACAACAUUUAGCGAGAGCAAAGGCAAAUUGUACAGGAAAAAGUUAGAAAUUGGGGAUGAAGAUUCCCAAUUUUAAUUUCGUCUAAAUAAGUGUAAUUUCACAAUUCUAACUACGAUGAGAAUCACAAAUAUAUUGCAGGGAAAUCUUGCAACAGCCAAACUUUACGAUUAGGGUGCCAAAUUUCGUGAUAAAACCUAAUAAGGGUUUAGGGCUGCAUUGUUCACUCUGUUAACUCUCCAAAUCUUCGACGGAUUUUCGGCUCGUGCAUCAUCUUCUUGCUUUGUUCUAGGUCAACGCCUCUACUCUCUUCUUUCUUGAAUUAUUUUAGCUUUUUAGGUAGGCUCUUUAUGGCUGUUGUGAAUUUUGCUAGUUAUUUUUAUUUUCUGAUAGUCAUUUGUUUGUUGUGCGUUUUUCCUUCCAAUUGAAUUGUGUAUUGGUUGGAUCUGUAACAUUUAUUUUUUAUUUUAUUUUAUGGAUUUUGGUGUUAGUUCUUUGUCAUGGAUGUUGUCCCUUUGAAGGUUAACAAUAGCCAAGACUAAACAUGAUGAUAUUGUUAAUUACUUUCUCAUGAUACUAAUGCCAUAUUGUUCUCUCUUUUGCACUUACAAGUGAAGAGAAAUAUCCUAGACCCUAACUGGAUAUGUUAUUGUCAUGGUCAUGCAUUGGUAUGGUAACAAUAUGUUUGGAUAAGGAAAAUAAACUUAGAAUUUGACAAAAGAUAGAAUUUAUAAAUUGAUACAAUCAAUUCCUUUGUUUAGAUUCAUAAACAUAGAAAUUUAAACUUUCCGUGUGAGAAAAAACUUGGAAUUUGGGACCUUCAAUUCUCAUGUUUAAAUUUUAUGUAAAUAGGUGUCAUUUCUAAAUUUCAGCAAGUGAGAAUUUAAAAAUAACAAACAUGUAUUCAAAUUUCAUUCCUCUUUUAGGUUAACCAAACAAGAAAUUUUAUAAAUUCUAGAAAAUAAAAUUUCGUUAUUUCAAUUUCUGUUAUUUUAAAAUUAGUAAUCUUAAAUUUUCCCAUCCAAACAAAGAGUUUCCUUGUCAUAGAACUUUCAAUUGGGAUCAAGGAAGACAAUCUUUUCACAACUGAUUAUUCUCACCAAAUUUUAUUAUUAUUUUAAAGCAGAUCAAUACCAAACUUCAAAAGCAAAGUAGGAAGGCUAAAAUUAAGGUGAAGAACCUACUUCCACUAAUUACCAUGGGAGGGGGAGAGAGAGAGAGAGAGAGAGAGAGAGAGAGAGAGAGAGAGAACCAAGCGAGAGAGAAGAGAGAGAAAACACCAAGUAGUAUUAUAAUAUAGGUGGGGUUAAAUCACCUUUCGUGAAGUUGCGGUAAGAGCAGCUCCAGCGGGAGGUCCAGCUUGAUGGACCGGUGAGAUUUCCUACCCAAUAGCCCCAGCUCCUUGCUCCAGCCCAUGCGGGCGAUUGGGCUGAGGGGGUGCCCGAGUGAGAGGCCUGACUCGAAUCGGUAGCCUGAGAGCUUGAGGCCAAAUGAUGCAUGGACGUCAGCCACGUUAUAAGAAGGAAGCAUAAACUAUGAAUAAUGAUAGAGAUUUAGAUUUUGGUGUGUGAUUUCAUCGGAUGGAUGGUGGGUUAUAUGGAGGAAAAAAAAAAGAUUAGGUUGUAGAUAAUGCCACGUGGCAUGCCGUCAUUCGUUAAAAAUCUGAUCGAAAUCUAUCAUCAAAGAUUUUAAACAGAUUAUGACACGUGACGCAACGUGAUUGGUUAAAAAUCUUAUCAGAAAUCUAUCCUUAACGAUUCUGAAAAGGUAACGAGAUGGGGCACGACGGCAUUGGAUAAAAAUCUUAUCGAAAUCUAUCACCAAAAAUUAUCUUUUUGGAUAAUGACACGUGGUGCAACGAGAACGAUUAAAAAUCUUAUCCGAAAUUACAAAUAGAAUUAUUUUGUAUUAUUUUAUAAAAUAAAAAUACUAAUAUUUUAUUGCCUAUUGACAUGACUAUUCAAUUAUGGGUGUGGAGAUGCAGAAGAUAAUUAUUAUUAAUUAAAGGUAAUUAUUGUUCAUUGGAGGGGAUUGAAUAUGAAGUUGCAGUAGAAGGCCUUUGUCACAGCAAUAGGCAGUUACUGUUCUAAGGACUUCUAUCCUAGAACAGAGACAAAAACACCAAGUAGUAUUAUAAUAUAGGUGGGGUUAAAUCACCUUCCGUGAAGUUGCUGUAUGGACUUCUAUCCUAGAGAAAAGUCGGUCAAUGGUGUUUGACACAGUCAGUCAACGACAAAGACAGAAUUGUGUAACCAUAAUUCUCUCUCUAUCUCUUUUUCAUUAACGGAGGACAGUGUAUAAUUACUACGUAUAUAUCUCUGCUCAAUUAUUGAAAAGAAAAAUCCAUGUGCAUUAUUUUUAUUAUUAUUAUCUCAGAAAUGCAGAAAUUGAUUAUCUCUUCCUUCUGCAUAUUGAUACUGGUUUUCUUCAAACUAGUUGAAGCAAGCCAAUAUGUGUGCGCGAAAUCCAACUGUAGCAAUGAUCAAGGCCCGGCUAAUUUCCUUAGGAGGGAGAGAGAGAGAGGGGAGAGAGAACCAAGUGAGCGAGCAGAGAGAGAAAACACCAAGUAGUAUUCUAAUGUUGGUGGGGUUAAGUCACCUUCCAUGAAGUUGCAGUAAGGACUUCUAUCCCAGAGAAAAGUCAGUAAAUGAUGUUGACACAGUCCGUCAACGACAAAGACAGAAUUGUGUAACCAUAAUUCUCUCUCUAUCUCUUUUUCAUUAACGGAGGACAGUGUAUAAUUACUACGUAUAUAUCUCUGCUCAAUUAUUGAAAAGAAAAAUCCAUGUGCAUUAUUUUUAUUAUUAUUAUCUCAGAAAUGCAGAAAUUGAUCAUCUCUUCCUUCUGCAUAUUGAUACUGGUUUUCUUCAAACUAGUUGAAGCAAGCCAAUAUGUGUGCGCGAAAUCCAACUGUAGCAAUGAUCAAGGCCCGGCUAUCCAUUUCCCAUUGAACAUCAGGCGCACACAUCAUUGUGGAAAUUCUGGGCUUGAAUGCAAUGGGAGAUAUGAGCAGCAAAUACUAAUAAAAUUAUUUGUCAAAGACACAGAUUACAAGCGUCAGGAAAUCCAAGUCUAUUCCCCAAGUAACUGCCUGCUGCUAAAGCUUGUUGAAAUCCCAAACAUGCCACCCUCUCCCUUCGUGCCAGUAGUCGAUUACAUGAUUAAUUUCAUAAACGUUACCUUAUUCAGUUGUCCUACUUCUGUUGCAAUACGAGAUACGUAUGGUUGUCAAGUCCCCUGCCUUGGCGACCGUGGCAAGAGAACUUAUGCCAUUGAUUCUGGGGUUUAUUUUGAAACUCUCUUCCAGAAUCUAGAAUCCUGUACAAAAAUGUAUGAUGUUUUAUCAGUUCCAAUAGCCGAUGAAUAUUAUGUUUUUCGUUUCAAAUGGUCUAUACCAAAUUGCAGAAAAUGUGGAGAGGGAAAGAAGUGUGAAUGGCAGAACAAUGAAAUUAAAUGUCUUCCCUGGAGGAAACCAAGUAAGGAUAACAUAUGUAUUCAUUGCUAGUUUUAAACAUCUUUACAUUUAUGUCUUAGUAAUUAUUAUUUGAAGGAUGUUGUCCAAUCCAUUUUUACUAGGAAUAUUACCUGACAGUCUCGUUUAAAUUCGCAAUGAUCUUCUACAGGCAACACAUGGAAAAAAGUGGUUACAGGUGGAAUCCUGUGUGCUUUGCUUCUUGUUCUACUGACGAUUGCAGCAUAUCGGGUAUAUAGCGCUGAUAGAAAGGAGAAAGAGAGUCGAUUAAGAAUUGAAAGAUUCUUGGAGGACUACAAAGCACUCAAACCAAGCAGGUAUUCGUACGCAGAUAUUAAGAGGAUUACAAAUCAAUUCAAGGACAAGUUGGGCGAAGGAGCCUAUGGAACUGUCUUCAAAGGAAUGCUCUCUUCUGAAUUCUUCAUUGCUGUCAAAGUCCUCAACAGUUCCAAGGGAGAUGGGGAAGAGUUCGUAAAUGAAGUGCGAACGAUGGGUCAUAUCCACCACGUAAACGUGGCUCGCUUGGUUGGAUUUUGUGCUGAUGGAUUUGUACGAGCUCUUGUUUACGAGUUCUUCCCCAAUGGUUCCCUGCAGGAUUUCAUUUCAUCUGCAGAUAGUAAGAAUUCAUUUCUUGGUUGGGAUAAGCUACAAGAUAUUGCCCUAGGCAUAGCCAAAGGAAUUGAAUAUCUUCACCAGGGAUGCGAUCUACGAAUCCUGCAUUUCGACAUCAAACCCCAUAAUGUUUUGCUAGACCAAAACUUCACUCCAAAAAUUUCUGAUUUUGGUUUGGCCAAGUUAUGUUCCAAGGAUCAAAGCUUGGUGUCCAUGACUACAGCAAGGGGGACCAUGGGCUACAUUGCACCUGAAGUGUUCUCCAGGAAUUUCGGAAAUGUGUCGUACAAGGCAGAUGUUUAUAGCUUUGGAAUGCUACUGCUUGAGAUGGUAGGAGGAAGGAAGAAUAUUGGUUCAAUUACGGAUAACACUACAAAUGAAAUUUACUAUCCACAGUGGAUUUAUAAUCUUCUAGAGGAAGGGGAUGACCUACGAAUCCACAUUGGGGAAGAAGGAGAUGGUAAAAUUCCAAAGAAACUUGCAAUUAUAGGGCUAUGGUGUAUCCAGUGGCACCCGUCGGAUCGUCCUUCCAUGAAAAUAGUGGUUCAGAUGUUAGAAGGAGGAGGAGAAAGCUUGAGUAUGCCGCCUAAUCCCUUUGUGCCUACUGGUUCUACAACUAGGAAUGCAAGACACCUAGAGCUAGAAGCUAUUGCUGAAUUAGAGUAAAAUGUAUAUGCAGAUAUGUAGACGUAUAGAUAUAGUAAUAUUUAUAUUGAAUAAGAGGCCGUUUGAUAACCAUUUCGUUUUCAGCUUUUAAUUUUUAUUUUUCACUUUUUUGAAAACUAAAAACUAAAAUCUUGUUUGGUAAAUACUUUUAGUUAAAAAAAAAUGAAGACUGAGAACUAAAAUGUGAAAGCUCAAAGGAAGUAGAUUAAAAGUAGUUACCAAACAAACCGGAAUCUCAAUAAAUAAAAAAGAUUGAAUUGCACAAUGCAAUCCAAACCAAUCAAAACAUUUAAAAUAGCAAAAAAAAAUUAAAAUUCUAGUUGAUUAGAUUCUAAACAUAGUAAAAAUGAACAGAUCCGAUGAAAAAAACAAAAAAUUCUCAGAUAAAAAUAGGGAUAAAGUAAAAUAUUUAUAAAUAGCUCUUUGUCUCUUAUGCCAUCAAUUAUUUCUAUAGUAUAUACACGUUUUUGGAAAAAUUAGGUUCCCAUCCCUUAUUUUCAUAUUACAUUGAUUGAAAUCUUAUUAUUUUUCUAUUUUAGAUCAAGGUCCCUUGACUUAUUCUAUGUCAUCAUUUUAGUAUUUAAAAUAUUACACGUUAUCAUAAACGAAAUCUCAUCCCUUUCUGCAUUUAAGGCAAAAUAAACUAUAUGAGUAAGUUUAAAACAAGGAAAAUCCAUUUGAACUCCUCCAUUCUUCUUCUUCUCUUAUAAACAUCUGGAAUCUACAACACCCCAAACCCAAUUUUCUCCAUUUUUUCUCCUUUCCUGAAUUGAUCCAAUGCAUAUAUGUUGAAUAAACCUAUUGUGAUUAAAAUACAAAUUAGCAUCAAUGGUUUUAUUGGCUUGUGAGAUUUGUGUGGCAUAGGCAAGGCAAUGCAGGCAUCGUUUUCUCAAGGAAUCUGGUUGAUUCAAACAUGCAGAGACUGUAGAGUGAGUGGGCUAUGUGAAAACUGUACCAUUCUGAAGUCAUUUUCUUUUGUUCUUUAUAUUUUUUUUUCUUUUUCUUUUAUUAUUAUAUAUUAGUCUUGGUUAUUCAAUGCCUGGUUGGCUACACUUAUAUCCAUGGGUACAUUUUUAAUCUACAUGUUUCGUUCUAAUAUAUCUAUUGCUAUAAUAUGUUUUGGUUGGUUCAAAUUUGUUUUACAUAAAUAUAUGGGUACAAAGUUUUUGGAGAAUAUUAUGUAAAUGGUUUUUAAGGUUGCUGCAUUUUACGUACCCACAUAUGCAUGUCUAUAAAACAAUGUGGUAUGAUGUACAUUCUUUUCUUUGAGUUUUUAAAUGUACCCAUGAGUUUUUUUGUAAAUUCGGUAUGUACCCAUAUGCUAUUUAUGUUAUGGGUACAUACAUUAUUUUUGGUCUAAGUUCAGGGUACAUUGCUUUUGUAUGUAUGAAUUCAAGGGGUACAUUAUUUCCCUUAAUACUACUCAAUAAAAUUCACAAAAUAUGUGUAGUGUGCAUGAUUUUUUAUUGUAGAAAUUGUUUUUUUUUAAGUCUCAUAAUUCAUGAAAUUUGUACAUAUAUGAUCCCAUAAAUUUUUUAAUUUUAUUAAAUUUCUUUUAGACUUGAUCGAUUGAUUGAAUCUCAUCAUACUAGGAUUUUGAAUUACAUAAAUUCUUGGAUUUAAAUCCCUUAAAUGUUGGACUGCAAUCAAUAUUUUAAAUUAUAGUUUUUUAUUUAAGAUAUCAAAAAGAUGACAUGGAAAUAUAGUAAUACUAAAAUGCUGAGGUGUACAAAGUCAAAGGACUUUGAUCAAAAAAUAAAAAACAAUAAGAUUUCAAUCUAACAAUUAAAUUGACUAGGGACCGGAACCAAAAUGACCCUAGAUUUUUAUUGAGUUUAAUCUUAAUCAAAAAAAGACUUCUUGUAUCACAGAAAAUACAAGAACCAUUAUUUGAAUGAAAUAAAAGCUAUGGGAUGGAGAUAUAAAUGGAUCAUUUUAUUCACAAUCGGAUUAUAUUUAUUUGAUACACUAUUGUCAAUAUGAAUGUUGAGAAAAAGACUACAAAAGAAAAAACAAUUUAUAAAUAUAACUAACAAUUCCAAUUUCAAUCAAUUAGACAAUUAGAUAAUACAUCAGUAAACGCGGGGUGACUCAGUGGUUAGAAACGAAUUUUAGGCUCGUAUUCUAUACAAUACGUCUUGGGUUCGAUUCCUGACAAUGGUGAAUCACGCGACGGUAGAUAUAGGGGUGUUGUUGGAAGUUUUGAGACUCAAGUCCUUUAUAUAGAUUUAGUGCUUUAGUUUAGUAAUUAGAAUAUGGGUCAUUUGGAAAUGGAUUGAAGGUUUGGGCCUUAUGGUUGUGUGGAUUAGGCUUGUAUAAUAUAGCCUAAAUACAAUUAAUAUUAAUUAAUCAAGACAAGGGCCUUGGGCCUUACUUGGGGCCUUGGAAUUUAAAAUUAAUCUGAUUCAUUAAUUUUAAUUUUCGGAUUAAGUUUUUAAUUAAUUUAUUAUUAAUUAAAAACGUUUUGAUUAAAAGACACAGCUCUUAGAAAAGAGUUAUGAACCUUCAAAUACACUGAACUGGUAUUUGAAAGGGUGUGAAACAACCUAUAUAUCUGCAAUCCAUGGUAUCCAAAUAAAUCAUCUUUUCUUCUUCCUUUUCUUCCGUACAAACUUUCCAGAGAGAGUAAACACACAAAGCAAUUCGCUAGAAUUCUAUAAUUUAGUGCGGGUUAUAGGAUUAGGUAGUUGUAUCCUGGUCGAGCAGACGUUAUAGAACCACAAGCACAAGAGUGGGACGGAAUUACUGUUCGAAUGACAUAGCUUUUACGUUAGCCUCUACCUUCUGUAAUCAAGUUAGUACCGUUGACAUUCUUAUAUUAAUUUCUGUAUUUAUUGUAUACUUUUCAUUUUGUAUAGCAAGUACCUUUUGUUAAAUAAAAAUUGUGAAUUUCAAGUUCUGUUUAUUUCUGUUAUUCUGUUUAUUUCUGAAUUGUUCUCCAACACCCCUAUAUCUACCGUCGCGUGAUUCACCAUUGUCAGGAAUCGAACCCAAGACGUGUUGUAUAGAAUACGAGCCUAAAAUUUAUUUCUAACCACUGAGUCACCCCGCGUUUGAUUAUAUUUCACUUAGACUUAUCUUGCGGUAUAGCAUGUCAUCCCCGCCCAAGUUUUUCUGUUGGCAUUGAGUUUGGGAUACCAAAACUUGCCAAACAAAGUAGAUUGAUUAGUAAGCGAAGCUAAUUAUUCGACUAAACAUUGUUUAGAAUUUUAAUUAAAAGAAACAAUAUGAAUCUGUUUAUUUUUUUUUUUGACAAACUAUAACGUUAAGGAGUUAAAUUGUUAGUUAUUAAGAGUACAAUGAUAGGUGAGGAUCGAACCUCCACCAGAGUGCAUAGACAUUAUUGGUUCUACAACUGCGGUAAAUCACAUAAAACAAAACGUAAUACUUUGAGGAUGGAAGACACUUCGUGGAUAGCGGGCAAUCAACACUAUCAGUUGCUAUCCAAAACUUGGAAUUAUGUUUAUUGUCCGAAGGAUUUUUCUUCCAUUAAAUUGCUAAGGAAGAUGAGGAUGGGUGGAGUGUCUAAAUGUCAAGGUUGACAAGAACGUGUAUGGUGUUCAGCUUGCGAUUGAGAUUUGUUAGAGUGGCACAACAAACCACAUAAAAUUUUCUAAAUGAUAAGCUUGAGUAUAAUUUUUUAUCACGUAUUUAUCUUUAAAAUCAUUAUAAUUAGAUUUUCUCUUAAUUAAUAUAGACCGUUAGAUUCAUCUAAUGACCCAAGUUUUUUUCCUCUUUUCUUUCCACUCUUUUCCAUUCACCGUGUAGCAGUCGUUCUUCCCCAACUACGUUUCUUAUUUUUCUUCACAAAAAAUUUGUAGAAAAUAUUAAGAAAAGAAAAGUCAUCAAUAUCAGACUCGACCAGGUAAUCGUUCCAACCUUCCCAGCAACUCUCAGUCUUAACUAGGCACCAAAUUUUCUCCGCCACCUAACUCGUCAUUCAUUCAUGGGUGUUUCAAGCUUGGUGAAAAUUGAUAGAGUUCCAUGUGUGUACACGGAUGUGAACAUAUUGGCCACUCUCUAAGAAUGAGUCAUUGGAAAAGUUGAAGGAAAGAUGUAACCGAUGAAAUUAAUGGAUUGGAAUUACAAUGAAGUCUGUGUUGGUUUAUCACAAAGAACCCAGAUACAAAAUUUUAAAAGCAAACAAUUUCAACUUCUCAAAUAUUAUCUAACAAACUUUCAAUGAAAUGUUGCUCAUAAUUGAAAAAAGGUUGACGAAGGACGGAGUUGGGGUUAUUUUAGAUGAGGAAGAGUUAAAAGAAGGAAGCACCAUUUAAUUAAUAAAAGUGAUUGGAGAAAUGGUAAUUCAAUGGUGGGCGUUUUUAAGGUGUGGACCUUGUAUCACACCCUGAUCCCAACAUACAUUGAGGAUCGACACGUGACAUGGGGACAUAGGGGACAAAAAUCUUACAUAAGAUACAGAAUGAAAUACUAUAUAAUAUCCCAAAAUGAAUAUGAUAGUGGGUUCACCCCUAUAAAAUACAUACGAGUUUGUACAUUCACAAAAAAAUAAAAAAAAUAAAAAUAAAUAAAAAUAAAAAACACACACACAACUCUCGCUAGGCCAAGACUUGCCCAUGGUGCUCAAAGGAAAGUCCCAAAAGAAAUAGUACAAUGAAGGAUAAAGGGGUAACCUAAACACUCCAAGUCUCUGAUCUCUGCACUGCUACCCCCACCGGCUCCUCGUAAUCUACUCAGACCUGUCACAUGUACAAACAGUGCCUACAUUGUGGGAAUGGUGCACCAGGCAAACAAAAACCCGGAUAAGCUGCAAAACUCGUGUGAGUGACAAUAAUGCAACGUAUGUGAUAAUCAAGAAAAACAGACCAUCGAUCACAGUUUAUAAAUCUCAAAUAUAACUUCAUACUUAUGAAAUCAUAAUCAAGUCACUGAAAACUUCGAAUGAGUCACCCAGACAUCUAACGACUUUUCUAAAUCAAAUCUCAGAGAUUCCCAAAACUAUCGUUCACAAAUACACUAAAAACUAGGGCUAGAGUGACACAGUUCAGCCAAAGCCUACAUAAGUAACCAAAUAAGAAGUGGCCCCCCAUAGCGGAUUAACCAAGCAGAGCCACUCCUGAGAAAGUAACCAAGUAGGUAGUGACCCCCAUCACGGAUUAACCAAGCAGAGUCACUCCUACGAAACUGUUAGGUAGUGAUCACCCAUUACGGAUUAACCAAGCAUGAUCACCCCUAAGCACGUAUGGCCAUACCUAAGAAAUAAGGAUCGCCCAUCGCGGAUUAACCAAGCACGAUCCAAAAAUAUUAUGGGUCCCCUAUCGCCGAUUAACCAAGCAUGACCAUCCAUGUACCACUGCUACAUGGUGUAAAUUCGGUGUCACCUAACCUCGUGACACUAGGGUAACGGUCCUCUAGUAGCCCUCACGUUUUUCAAACAUUUCAAAUAUAUAAUUUAAAACACAAUUCAUAAACAUUUCGAAUAGGGAAGUCACAUAGUGUUUAAUAAUGUAGGUCAAUGGCAAACUUUAAAAACAAUUAUUUAGCAUAAAACAUAUUUUAGAAAUCCAUGCUGUAUCCACAAAGUAUACUAGCACGGGAGAUUUUCAGGGUAAUAACUCUAUCACAUAUAUUAAAGUCACUCACCUGGAGUCCGCACUAACGCACCCUGGCACGAAUAUCAAGACGUCGCGUACUAUCAUCUGCAACAUCCCACAUCGACCAACGAAGAGGGGGUGAUGUGCCUUCUAUGUACAUGCCCACCUCCAUAGCAUGAGGCAUUUUGGGAGCUCACUGGCUUCAUAUUCCAUCGGAACUCCAAAGUUAAGCAAGUUUGGGCGAGAGUAGUCCCAGGAUAGGUGACCCAUUGGAAAGUUAUUGUGUGAGUCCUAGAAACAAAACCGUGAAGGCGUGGCCCGAGGGGGCCCAAAACGGACAAUAUUGUGCUACGACGGAAUCGAGACUGAGAUGUGACAGAAUGGUAUCAGAGCCACUCUGCCGUGUGGUGCGAGUGUGCCGACGAGGACGUCGGGCCCCUAAGGGGGGUGGAUUGUAACAUCCCACAUCGACCAACGAAGAAGAGGUGAUGUGCCUUAUAUGUACAUGCCCACCUCCAUUUAGCACGAGGUCUUUUGGGAGCUUAUUGGCUUCGGGUUCCAUCGGAAAUCUGAAGUUAAGCGAGUUCAAGCAAGAGCAUUCCCAGGAUGGGUAACCUACUGGGAAGUUCUCGUGUGAGUUCCCAGAAACAAAACUGUGAGAGCGUGGCCAGGGCCCAAAGUGGACAAUAUCGUGUUAUGGCGGAGCCGAGAUUGGGAUGUGACAUUGUCACCUAAGACAAAGUACAGAUCCACAUUUAGAGUUCUUCAAGUAUUCACAUAAUAAAAAAUUUCCAUACGCCCCCUACAACUAAUGAACAGAAAUCGAGACACGUUGACAAAAAGUCAACCGUCGAUCAACGGUAGGGUCCACAACCCUACAUAACUCGAUCCGCAAUAUCCAACCACUGUAUUUGUGAUUCAUAAGUUCAUAAGGUCUUCAAAUCCUACCUACAAUAACAUACUAAACUUUGGUGAUGAUCUAAUGGUCGAAUCAUCAUUUGCUAUAAUGUUCAAAUGACGCAAAUUCAUCAAUCAGAUGUCAAAUAUGGAAUCAGACAUCGAAUUUAGCUUAGGAAUGUCAAGUGGUGUCUCGAGCACGCACCGCCGUGCGCAACAGCUGGCAACCUAGAUUCGUCGGAAAAAUCACCUAAUUCCAAAAUGAAUGUUGUGAGACGUGGAGUAAAUUGUAUACCUGUGAAGAAGCCCAAUUUGGCCGGGAAGUGGCCUGAAAUCACUUUAGACCGUCGGAAACCCUAAAAUAGGUGAAUCUCGAUUCGUCAUCCCCGGUAUUCCACCGUUCUCAAACUUGUUUAGGGUUUGCUCAUGGUCUCAAAAGAAUGCUAAUGAUGGUGGUGAUUGAAAGAGAACGUUUCAGAAAUAGUGAAUCACCAAUGAGGGUUUCACGAAACCGACAUGGGUGUUCCUCGUGGAACCAAGACCAAAUCUCAACGGUUUUGGCUAGAAAUGGAUGCUGGGAUGUCAUGGUGAAGUUUGGUAGUGAUGGGAGGUUGAAGAAAGACAAAAAAAAUCGACAAAAAAAUCGUCGUCGGAGUCGCAAGAAACGAGUUAGAAAAAUGAGUCGUCGGGUCUGAAACGUCGAAGGCUUUUGAGACAACUACUUACUCUCUCUUCUCUGAUUAGUCACUCCACUCACUCUCUCAUUUGAUUGGUCCAGCCUUCCCACAUGGUGGGAGUUCCCUCAUAUAGUAACCCAAAAUUUACUAUUUAAAUCUGGUAUUGAACGUCCGUAACUUUUUCGUUAUGGUUUCGAUUCGCAAACGGUUUUCACCUAUGCGCUCGUAUGAUCGAAUUAUACUCAAAAACAUUAAUUAUGACCUCGAAAAGGUCUACGAGUUUUAAAAGAUUAAUUACAAAAAUUCACACCUUGUAACUAUACGAUUCAAAUCCUAAAAUUAACGGAAUUAAAAUAAACUAAAAAUAAUGUAAACACGAAAUACAGACUUUAAUAAUGAAAUACGUAAUUAAUAGUGGAAUUCCGGGGAUGGGAUUUCACAACUUGCGUCCGGACCUUCAAUGCGGAUCAAAAUCCAAAGGUCGUGAUCUGACGAGCUCAUGCAUAGAACAGAGUUGUUGUGACCCAAUGCAAUUCAAAACUUUUAUGUUUUUUUAUUUACUGGGUACGUUUUUUAUUUACUGGGUACAUUUUUGCAAGACGUUAAAGAAAGCGCUUCUUGGGAGGCAACCCAUGUAUUCAAAAAAGGAAGAUCUAUGAAUCGCUCUACAAUUAGUUUUGCGUUUCUAAAAACCUUCCCUUUUCUGCAUUUCUAUUUUGCCAUGAUUGUCAUUUUUUAUUUUUGUUGUUUAUUUAAUUAUUUUUGGGUGUGGGUUUAUUUUUGAAACAUUGACAGAUAUGCAAGAUAUUCUUACAUUCAUUUUCAUGAAAAAAAGAAAAGGGAACAUUAAGCAGGAAAUUACAAGAGGGAGCCUUCACAAAGGCUGCUUAGGAGAAGUCUCAGUAGUCGGCGGAGCCCCAGAAGAAGGAGGCAGCGGAGGUUGAUCAUUUGGAGCUUCAGUACGCGGUGCAGCCCCAGAAGACGAAUGCAAAUGUUGUUGGAACAAACCCACAAACCGCUGAUGAUCAAGUAAAAUCUGACAAUCAGAUUCCUGCAUCUGGUCAAUCUUCCUCUUCAUGUUUGUAGCAUAAUUAUGUGCGAGCCUGUGCAACUGUUUAUUCUCAUGCUUAAGCCCUCUAAUCUCCUGCUUAAGACUCAUCACUUCAGCCGCCAAUGAUUCAACUUGACGGGUUCGGGCAAAUAGGCGUUGGGCCAUAUUAGACACGGAACGUGCGCACUGCACACUGAGAGCUAGAGAAUCCUUUACAUCCAACUCAUCAGACCGUUUGGCAAGUAGUCUAUUAUCUUUGGGAGUGACAGGGUUCCUGACCACCACCGCAGCUGUCAUAUCAUUCUUCAUCACCGAAUCCCCAACGAUAAGGGGACCAGUAGGGGAUAUGAAGGAUGGGCGCCAUAUGUUGUCUGGAGAAGGCGGGACUGCCUCUUCACCAAGGUUCAAGUCAAAACGACGAUCGGAUGGGCCAAACAUUUUCACAGGUGUUAAAGAAAGAAGAGGUCGGACAAGUCAAGAUCGUAGAAGUGCAAGAUGAGAGUUUUUACAGGCAGAAAUUCAAGUGUGCUUUGAACGUCCUACGUACUUCUAUAAAAAUCAGCACUCGAUGGGAUUUCAGAGAUCGAAGAGGCAAGCUCAGAAAUCGAAGAGGCCAACUAAAAAAAUUAAAGAGGCGCUAGCUUUCUCAAAAGCUGAGCUUGCUCAGAAACCACGGCCAAUCUUCUUUUCCAGAUUUGUCCGCACUUGUCACAUGCAACUCGACGGGAUUUCAGAGAUCGAAGAGGCAAUUCCAGAUAUCGGAUAGGCAUCUGCUUUUGCAGACGUGUCAACAUCUGUCACAUGCAGAGUAAGCUUUGCGAAAAUCACGGGCAGUUUGUGAAGCGCCGAUUCCAACCAUCUGCUUUUGCAGACGUGUCAACAUCUGUCACAUGCAUAGUAAGCUUUGCGGAAAUCACGGGCAGUUUGUCGAAGCACCGAUUCCAACCAUCUGCUUUUCCCGACGUGUCAACAUCUGUCACUUGCAGAGUCAGCUUUACGAAAAUUACGGGCAAUCUGUCGAAGAUCUCUUGUGAAGUUUACUAUUAAAUCAUCCAACGGUUGCUGACAAGAGUGAAAGAAUAGUACCGACUAUUAAUUCCUAUAAAUGUCAUCCUUCACCCUCAAUUGCAAGGCAGACAUACAUAACCCCCUUCUUCUCAGAAAAUGCCUUUCCAACACACCCUCUCGAGUCACUCAGUGUUCCUAAUUCCUUGGGGUACCUCUGCAAACAACUCAUCCAAAGCAAAAGUAUUUCAUAUCAUGAAGGUUGAAAGCAAGAGUAUCUCAUAUCAUGCUUUCUCCCUGUCCUUCUCCUUGUCUUUGUUUUAGGACAAGGAGAAAGAGAGCAAUCAGCCAGCACUUGGUAUCAAUCUUCCGAUCUGGAACCGACUGCCUGGAACCCCUUCCUGAUUGCUUACCUAGCCUUGCUCUCGAGAACUCAUCUUCAUCAUCUUAUGCUUCCUCUUCGUCUACCACAUCUGCCUGGGGAACAGAUAAGGGAAGUGAAAAUGAUACCUCGAAGCAUGUGGAAACAAUUUACCAAUUCAUCCUUAGCUAGGGACAAGGAGAAAAAAAGCAAGAGGUGGGCACUUGGAAAGAUUGAAGAAAGAAACAGACCAACACCUCUACCUCAUGCCUGCCCGCCGUGCAGAAGAAUCAAGCAGAGAAGAAUACAGACUGCACAAUCAAAUCAGGGAACUCUCAUAUUUCUCGCUCAGAAUUCCAAACCAGUUCAAGAUCAACGCUGUGGAAAGUCAACAAGAUCAUCUAUCUCCAAAACCAGAUUUGCGUUCUUAAACUCUACUCUGUCUGGUUUUUACUUUGCUAUACUUGUCAUGUUUAUUCGUUGUUUGUUUGUUUGCUUGUUGUUGUGUGAGUUUAUGUUUAAAACAUUGAGGACAAUGUUUGAUUUAAGUGUGGAGGGAUAACCAUUGUUUUGCAUGAAAUUCGUAGGAGUUUAUCACCCAUUACUUCUAGUGUUGUUCCUUGCUGUUUUAAGUGUUUUAAGCUGUUUUGGAGUGUUUCAGUGUGUUUUGACAUAAAAAUCCGAAAAUCUCAUAAAAAUUUGAAAAAUUGUUUUGAAAAACCAAAAAAGAGUUGUUUUUGUAUGUUUAUUUGUGUUUUAGGGUACCUUCCAACACAAUGAUGAGGAUUUGGUUUUUAAUUACAUGACUGUUAAAGAGAAUUAUAAACAUGGAUGAAAAUUUGAUUUACUCUUUGGUGUAUGCUUGGUUGUGGUUAUAAUUUAUGAAUUCACAUGCAAUCAUAAAGGAAAAAUCAAUUUUGUAACAUGCUUGAAAGAAGGAACUCAAAUGUACGCUACAACCUUGUGAGACUUGAGCCUAGACGUUUAUUUGGAGAGUUAAUAAUGUGCAUUUUUGUUUUCUAAAGUCGUUGUAUGAUCUCAUUAUUCUUUGCUUGGUUGCUACCUAGAAUGCGUUCAUCAUUAUAGAUCCACAUACUAGAACUCAUGCCCGUUCCAUUCAAAGCAUGACAUUAAUUUGCAUAACACAUAUCCAAGAUGAAGUUGUUUAGUGAACCAAAGCCAAAAUAGCCGAACCCACCUUUGUCAUUUGUUUUGUAGGUUUAAACCCCGUUGAGCCUUGUUUAGCCUAUUUUCUUUGUUAAACCACAUCAUCUCUACCUAACCUAGAAUAGGACUAUCCAUACCCUUGUUCUUGAAGUAUAGUGGAGCAUAACUUAGAAAGAAUUCAUUUUGAAACUUAUUGGGGGAAUUUAGAUUUCAAAUUUUUUGUGUGCCAAAGAAAACGGCAAGAGAAAAAAUUCGUGAAAAAAAAGAAAAAAGAAAAGAAAAAUUUGCAAAUUUUCCUGUGUUUAAAAGUAGAUGCCUAAAUUAACCCUUACAUUAAUUUUCCUUGAAUAAUUUCUCAUUCCAUCUAAUUUAGAUCCAUCUUGCUCACUAUUCUUUUUAAAUUUGUGGAUUUUGAAAUUUCAAAUGAGAAUGAAAUUGGAUGAGUUCAAUUUUCGUUUAAUUCUUACAAUUAAUAAGAAAUUCCGUCGAAAACAUUUUGAGUAUUGUUUAAUUUUUCAAUAUUACCGUAUUGUGUCAUUGAAAUAAUUAUCAGAGGAAUUAGGGAAUUCUCUUAAGGAACAACUCAAAAUGUAGUACAUGAUUAAAUAAUUCCUUUGAAUGGUCAACUAUGAUCAACAUAUCUUGUAUCAGAUCUUAGUCAAAUACCUGUUAAGAGUGUAAAUUUCUUGUGUGAAAAUGAGUGUAUCUAGUAAUUUUGGCAUUAGGAUGUUACUACAUUCUCAAAAUGCUGUUUUUUGAUUAAAUGAGCUGUGAGGUACUAAUCAAAUAUGCUCGAGGGUAAGAAUGGCUUAAAUUAUGUGAGUGGUGAUCUGGUUCAUGUUUCAUUAAAAAUCCCUGAGGCAAAUGUUGGAAGAUUUAGGUUAUGUUUUGUUUGUUUCGUUUGUUUUGUUUUGCUCGAGGACUAGCAAAAGCUAAGUGUGGGGAAUUUGAAUUUGAUAGGAGCAUUAUUAUGCGACUGAGUUAGCUUGUUCUCAUGCAUUUAUGUUGUUAUUUCUUAGUUAAUUAUGUAUUUUAAGCUAUUUUCGUGUGUUUGUAGGUCCAUAGGCCUUAUAAAGCAAUAAGGUGCAUUUUGGAGCAGUUUUGGGCUUGGAAUGGAUAGCACAUGCAUGGAGUAAGGUGAUGGACGAAAUUGAAGACUAAAGAGGCUUGGAAUGUGUUAAAAAGAAAGAAUAAUUAAUGACAAAGAGCUCAGCAACCAAACAGGGAACAUGAGUCAAGAUUACCUUAUUUUGAUUUAAUCUUUCCUAAUCUUCAAUGUCCCUAAGUUCCAACAACAUUCCUUGUCUAUUUCAUUCACUCAUUGCCUAGCACCACCCUUGUUCCCUCCAUCAUUCCAAAUUUCUUGCAUCAAUCAUCACUCCACCUUAACCCUUGACUCAUUUCUACACCAUUCCACCUCCCUUUCCUUUCUCUACCAUGUGCACAAUCAUUCAUGUUCCCUACUUGCAUUCAUUGUUGCAACACCACUCCAUUUUACCCCUCAUGCUUUGCAUCAUUACUUCACUUUCACCUUUGAAUCAUUUCAACACCACUUCAUUUUACCCAUGGUUUGCAUCAUUACUUCACUUUCACUUUCACCUUUGCAUCAUUACUUCACUUUCACCUUUGAAUCAUUUCAACACCACUCCAUGUCCCCCUCCAUUGCCUUGCCCUUCCUCUAUAAAAGGAAGUGUGUGUAACAUAAAUUUAGUUCAUAUAUUUUUUUAGAUCAUUCACUCCCAUUUCAAUACAACCUUCAUCCAAACACAUUCAUUCAUCUUCACAUCCAUUCCUCCAUACAAACAAACCUUCAAACACUCACCAACACCUUGUGCCAUAGCAAAGGAAGGAAAGGAAAAUGCUUGGACGUGCGUGCUGUCAACUUGGAUCGUUGGAGCGUUUAGGUGUUUUCUUUCUUUUGUUUCCAAUGUUAAAUUCAUUUUCUGAUUUUGUUGCAAUUAUGAGUGGCUAAAACCCUAUUUAGUUAGGGGGAAGUUUGAAGCCAUGAACAUGCUUGAGAUAUGAAUUGAUUUCUUCCAAUUGUGAUUUGAUAAGUUGUGAUUGCAAUUCAAUUAUCUAUUUUAUUCAUAACUGAUUCUUGUAUGUUUAUUAAGGAUGCAUACUUAAUUUUCAUGCAUGAAUUAGAUGCUAGAAUAUAAAUGAGUUUCACCUAAUCGUUACAAGUUUAUAUUCAUGAGUAGUGAAGGUUGUUUAUCACAAUCUGACACACCCCGUCCCGAAGGAGGGCGUGCUGGCCGUCACGUGAGAGUGACGUAACCAUUUACACAGUUCGGAAGCUUUAAAAAAAAAUUCCAAUUACUAAUAUAACACACCCGAGGGUGAGUCCUACUUUUGUGAAUUCUGUCAGAACACCGUUGGAUUCCUCGUGGCCACCAAAGCUCUGCUAACUUGAACCUGGGGCGCAAAACAAAAGCUUGAACUUGAACCUUUCAGGCGCAAAACAAAAGUUUUUUCGAAAACUUUUCAUUUAAAACAUUUCUAACCCCUCACUGUAAAACCUGUAUACUUUCCCAGAAAAUAGUGUAUAUAUAAACAUAUAUAUAAGCAAAAAUCUCGAAUCUCAAACCUUUAACACUUUUCAGAAAUAUAUAUAUAUAUAUAUAUAUAUAUAUAUAACCAUUUGAAAUCUCAAGACUUGAAUCCCAAAUCUUUAACAUUUUUCAAGAAAAGCAUGCCAUGCCAUAAAUCAAAAAUAUAAAUCAGGUGAAAUAAGGAAUCAAUCGGAGACCCUGCAGUUGGUCCUAUACGAUUAAUUCAAUAGCUCAUUAUCUCACUAAGCCGGAGUCACCACAGUAACCUAUACGGCCCUACUCUGCACAUCACUCAGAACUACGUAAGGUAGUCUAUACGAUGAAAGGUGUAAAAAUACGCUCUAGUGCUUCUCUCAUCAUAUCAUCAGCGCGCAUAACUAAGAUCACCCACUAGUCGGAAUCACGCCUAGUGAUCUAUACGACUAGCAUGUCGGAACCCUCACAUGGUCUGUACGACAUCCACCUACUUGGAUCCAAGGCGAGCGUGCGGUGUGGUGAAUAAAAUAAGCACUAACACCUAGGGUGCAGGUUAUGAGCUUAAAACAUCUUAUCAACAAUCAAUUAAAUGAAUAAAUGAACUCACCUGACUUACCUGUGCCUCCACCGCACCAUGCAACAUGUAUGCAUCAAAUAUCAAUUCGUAUAACUCAUACGCAAUUCACAUUUUUCAAUUAAUUCUAUGCAUGGCAUUUUUAAAACAUAUUUUCAUAUAAAUUCAUUUUAUGGGAAAAAUCAAUAGUAUAAAGGUAAUACAAAAACAAAACUGCCCACUCACCUGGAGUUCGCCCAACAACUCCCUAGCACCACACAUCAAGGCGUCAUGAAGAUUAGUGCCUAGAACAAUAAUCAAACCCAACCUCAGAAAUCAUGCCGAUAGAAUACAUAACUUAUAUAAGACGCGUCCCUACGUAGUUCGAUCCGGAUGAUCUGCAACUCGGAUUUCAAAUCCGUAACUUCCAGAGGUCCACAAUAUACCUCUAGGACAACAUCCUAAAAUUUCAUUACCAUCCAACGGUCGGAUCUCCGUCAAUUUCCAAAACUAAGUGCCGGUUAACAUUCUAUUUUAUGAACUUACAACUCCAAUUCCGGAAGAUCCGUAAAUCGGAUUCCCAAUCCGUAAGUUCCUAUAAUCCUCAAAUAUUACGUAUUACAACGUAUCAACGUUUGGUGACGAUCCAACGGUCGGAUCGUCAAUUCACAUUUUCACCUAACUACGAAUCGUAACCAACUUAGGUUCAAUUACUCAAUUUACGUCCAUCAAUUAUCAAAACUGAACCUAGAGCCUUAAUCACAUGCUAAUAAUGACAUUGGCGGGCCAUUGGCCAUGCGCCGCCGCGCGGGCCGCCGCGGGUGGCGGUUGGCCGCCCCCGGCUCGCCGGAAAAUUCAACUAUUUCCAAAAAUUACCAAAAUUUGCAGAUUUGAAGAUAUCAAUGAGUAGAACAACUUUCAUACCUGUGGCCAAGGCCAAUUUGGCCUGGAAGUGCUUCAAUUUCACCAAAACCGUGAAGAACCCUAGAAUUAGGUGUUUCCAAUUCGACCUUCAAACUUGUUCCAACGCCUCAAUUACCUCUUAGUAUUUGUUCUAGGUCCUAAAGGAAUGCUAAUGGUGUUAGUAAUUGAAAGAAAACAUUUCAAAAUUUCAAGAAUUUAAACAAAAGGGUCGCGGCACCCGUGUGGGUGUUCUUCGCGAAAUCACCAUGAAAUUUAAUGAUUCUUGGGGUGAAACGUGAAGAGGGAAGGCCUAGAUGUUGAUUAGGAGUGGUACCUUGACUCAAUUCGUCGGAAAUUUGGACGAAAAUGGUGAGAACCCGCCGAUUGGAAGUCGCGGGUCGCACGGGUAUACGGGUUGGGAAAACCCAUUUCUUCCUUCUCUCCUCCGCUUCUCGCCCUCUCUCCUUUCCUCCUUUCCUUCCUCUGGUUGGUCAGCUUCUCCCUCUCUCUUCUUCUGAUUCGCCUCUCCUCCUUCUUCUCCGAUUGGGCAGUUUUUGCCCAAUCUCUCUUCUUCUUUCUGUUUUCUGGUUCUUCUCACGCGCACACACACACACAACUUCCUUUUUCUCAUCCCAGCCAUCUAUUUCAUUCAUCAUUAAAUCUGGGUCGUCCAUUUUCAUAAAAGAAUUUCUAUUUUACUAAAAUUAUAAUUCCUUAAAAUCCCAAAUUUCAAACGUUAAUAACUUCUUCGAUAUAACUCCAAAUCACGAACCGUCUACGCCCACGCGUCCGUAACGACGAGUACUACGAGGAUAUGUCAAGAAAACAAAUCUUAGAUGGCACGACACAACGAUUAACCUCGAAUGAUGUGCGUGCCUCAAAGGGCAUUUUUGUAAAAUCCUUUAUGAAAACUUUAAAAAUUCUUAAAAUUAGGGACGGGCUGUCACACAAUCGCGUUAAUUGAAUUCUUGGCAAUUGUAUCAUGCAUUCAUAGUUAUAAUUGUCUCGUCAACACUUAUGAUUUUCAUUGAACGUAAUGAUCUCUGAUUGUAUCUCUAUUAUGCAUUAAUAUAGGGGACUUUUAGAGGAUGAUUUGGGUUGUCGCAUGCAUUCAUCCAAUUCAAUGAGUAAAGGAAAAUCUGAGGGUUAAUUUGUGCAUCACGGUUAAUCUGGGUGUUGAGCAUAAUAGUUUAUUGAAAAGCAAUUGGAAAUCGAUUCAUGUACAAGUGUGUCAUGUGUGAAGAACGGACCUCUAACUAAUCCAUCCAUCAUUUUAUUUCUCAAAUUCAUUUUAUAAUCUGCCUAGUUUUAUAACUUGCUUGUUUAUUUCAAAUUCAUCCAAACCAAAAUCCCCUUUUUACUUUCUUGUUUCAAAGUGUUAAAUUUCUGUUUUGUUUGUGUUUUUGAGUGUUUUGAUUCAAGCCAAAACACUAAAUUCAUCCAAAGUUGAUUUAAAGUCCAAAUCUGACUAGUUUGUGUUUUUAGGCAGUUUUGAGUGUUUUUAAGUUGUUUUGAAUCUUUAGAAUCUGUUUUGAGUCCCUUGAGUCUAUUCAAACAUUUUUAAUUUUGUUUUUAUGUUUUUGAGUCAGUUUAAAGGUUUUAGCAAGCCCUCCUAAUCCCCGGUUUAGAACGAUCCCUACUUGCAUUUAUACUACAAUUUGACAACAAGAGGGUUUAAUUUGAGUGCUUAACUUUCAUCGCAUCAUGUGAGUUCCCAGAAACAAAACUGUGAGGGCGUGGCCAGGGCCCAAAGCGGACAAUAUCGUGUUAUGGCGGAGCCGAGAUUGGGAUGUGACAUUGUCACCUAAGACAAAGUACAUGUCCACAUUUAGAGUUCUUCAAGUAUUCACAUAAUAAAAAAUUUCCAUACGCCCCCUACAACGAAUGAAGAGAAAUCGAGACACGUUGACAAAAAAUCAACCGUCGAUCAACGGUAGGGUCCACAACCCUACAUAACUCGAUCCGCAAGAUCCAACCACUGUAUUUGUGAUUCAUAAGUUCCUAAGGUCCUCAAAUCUUACAUACAAUAACAUACUAAACUUUGGUGACGAUCUAAUGGUCGAAUCAUCAUUUGCUAUAAUGUUCAAAUUACGCAAAUUCGUCAAUCAGAUGUCAAAUAUGGAAUCAGACAUCAAAUUUAGCUUAGAAAGGUCAAGUGGUGUCUCGAGCACGCGCCGCCGUGCGCAACAGCUGGCAACCUAGAUUCGUCGGAAAAAUCACCUAAUUCCAAAUGAAUGUCGUGAGACGUGGAGUAAAUUGUAUACCUGUGAAGAAGCCCAAUUUGGCCGGGAAGUGGCCUGAAAUCACUUUAGACCGUCGGAAACCCUAAAAUAGGUGAAUCUCGAUUCGUCAUCUCCGGUAUUCCACCGUCCUCAAACUUGUUUAGGGUUUGCUCAUGGUCUCAAAAGAAUGCUAAUGAUGGUGGUGAUUGAAAGAGAACGUUUCAGAAAUAGUGAAUCGCCAAUGAGGGUUUCACGAAACCGACAUGGGUGUUCCUCGUGGAACCAAGACCAAAUCUCAAUGGUUUUGGCUAGAAAUGGAUGCUGGGAUGUCGUGGUGAAGUUUGGUAGUGAUGGGAGGUUGAAGAAAGACAAAAAAAUCGACAAAACAACCGUCGUCGGAGUCGCAGGAAACGGGUUAGAAAAAUGAGUCGCCAGGUCUGAAACGUCGAAGGCUUUUGGGACAGCUACUUACUCUCUCUUCUCUGAUUAGUCACUCCACUCACUCUCUCAUUUGAUUGGUCCAGCCUUCCCACAUGGUGGGAGUUCCCUCAUAUAGUAACCCAAAAUUUACUAUUUAAAUCUGGUAUUGAACGUCCGUAACUUUUUCGUUAUGGUUUCGAUUCGCAAACGGUUUUCACCUACGCGCUCAUAUGAUCGAAUUAUACUCGAAAACAUUAAUUAUGACCUCGAAAAGGUCUACGAGUUUUAAAAGAUUAAUUACAAAAAUUCACACCUUGUAACUAUACGAUUCAAAUUCUAAAAUUAACGGAAUUAAAAUAAACUAAAAAUAAUGUAAACACGAAAUACAGACUUUAAUAAUGAAAUACGUAAUUAAUAGUGGAAUUCCGGGGACGGGAUUUCACACCUUGCAUCCGGACCUUCAAUGCGGAUCAAAAUCCAAAGGUCGCGAUCUGACGAGCUCAUGCAUAGAACAGAGUUGUUGUGACCCAAUGCAAUUCAAAACUUUUAUGUUUUUUUAUUUACUGGGUACGUUUUUGUAGGAGGAAAAGGGGAAGUCGAGAGAUUCUUUGCGCAUUAAAGAGGGAAAGAGAGAAAGGGGGAGCUAAGAGGUUCUUCGCGCGUUAAAUUUUUGCUUCUGAUUUUGCAACCUAGAAAUAAAGUAUUUUCUUUAUGGUUUAUGGUUCAAGAAUAUAAUGGAUACAGCCUAAAAAUGUUUCUUUUUUUAUUUUUUACUUUUUUUUUCUUAUGUUGGCUUUUGGUUUAUUUUUAUAAUGCACUAUAUAUUAACUAAAUUUAUAAACAUUUUGUAUCUUUGUUGCAGUCAAAUUAAUCAUAUGGGUCGGCAUGACGAAGUUCGACUGAGACAUACAGAUGUUUUGCAAUCUUAAGUCUAACCUGACACACCCCGACCUCAAUAUCUAGUGGACACCAAAAUUGAGGUGUGAUGGCCAUCAUCCGGAUGGGUGAUGAAACCAUAAUAUGCAUGAAACAUAACUAAAUUAUCAACCAAUAAAAUCUAUUGAAAAAUUUGGCAGAACAUCCCUUAAAAUAGGGAUAUGCCCAAAUUAAAAACACUUGCACAUGAUCAAAAUUAUUCAACACUUCCCCGAAGGGCCACACUUAAUGGGACUUCGACCAUCUAUUACAUGCAUGAGAAUAUGUUCAGAGCAUAAUUACCCAAACACGUCUUAUUAAAAUAUUGAGUAAAUACCAUACAAGAUAGAAUACGUCAGAGCUGUUGCAAAAUACCUCAAUGUCCGAUGUAAUCACUGAUAGAAUUACUGAAUCAUGUAUAGAUGGAAAGCUGAUAAAUACAUGUAAUUUGAGUGGAUACUUACCAGCAGCAUGGAUACAAUAUCAUCCACCGGUCGUAACUAAUGACAAGCUGAGAGUAUAACUGUAGUACCUCUUAUUAGUGCAAUGCAUGAUAUGAAUUCCAUCUCACAUAUAUAUGCAAGCCAUAAUCAAACCAAUAAACAUCCAACAAAAGCCACAAUCCUUUUAACAUUCGACCACAAGAUCAAUUUUCAUAUUUCCCAAACCUAGGUUCCAAAGCAUUGUUUCGAAUUAUUAAUACAAGAAACCACCACCACCUCAAUCAACUCCUAUUCCCAAGUGUAAGCAAUUACUAAAUGCAUCACUUUCGACUCUAGUCUUAAUUAGAUUACUUGGGAUACUCAUUCACACCAUCAGAUCCAAGUACUAUUUUGAUAAACUUUAAAUAGCAUGGUUAAAAUAAAUGAAACACUUUUAGAAAAUAAGUGAAGAUGUUGUUUACAAAUAUAGAUGCAUCUGUAUAUAAAAGCUUUGGCGGUUGAUCCGUAUACACUUCCAAAGAUAUAAGCAAGUUCAUUGGAAUAUACAUGCAUAGUUAAUGUAUUACAGUAUAAUUAAUAAGAAAACAAUUGCAUCCCUUUAAGAAUAUAUAUAUAUAUAUAUAGACACACACACAUACAUACACACAGGCCCUUUAUGCAAAGGAAUUUCCAUUUUUUUUCAAAAAAUGGGGAUUAGUUGUGGGGCCCACGUUGCAUUGAACUUUAACGAUCCGAACAGUCUAUUUUGUAAGUCUCGAUUCAUAUAUCAUCCUUGUAAAAAUUCAAUUCAAUCCGAACCCAUUUGCCUAUUUAAUUAUCAAGAUAAAAUUUUAUUGUUUCUUAUAUAACAAAGUAUUCGUUAAUUUCUUUGAACUCAAUUAGAUAUCUUAAACAUUUCCGAUUUGGUUAAUAUUUUGUAAGGAUGAUCUAUGUGGUGCAACUUGAAAAAUAGACGAUUACGAUCGUUAAAGUUCGAUGUGGUGUAAACCCUACAAUUAAUCUUCAUUUUUAUAAAAGAAUGGGAACCCCUUCCCUUAAAGGUUUCCUAUGUAUAUAUUUGUUCUCCAGACAUAUGCAGAAGGUAAUGUAAAACUAAUGAGAACUUAAAUGGAUAUUCCAUACAUAGGACAAUUCCAUAUAUGCUUUUUCAACAUUUAUAUCGAAAAGCCAAAUUGUUUUGAGGAAAUUAAUUGUAGCAAUGAUCCCUUAACUUUUAUCUUAUUGGAACAAUGGUCUCUCAACUAAAAAUUCAUGACCAUUGGUUCCUUAACACCACACAACGUGUAGUUAUGGUCAUUUUCAUUAACUCCGUCAGAACUUUUGUUAAAACAAGUAAUGUUAGAAGAAUCAUUGCUACAAUUAGGUUAAAGUUGGGGACCAUUGCUCUAAUUAAAUUAAAAUUGAGGGAUCAUUUCUCCAAAUUGCUUAAAGUUCAAGGACCAUUUCUACAAUUUUCUCAUCUAGUUUCCCAUAUUUACCCCAUGAUUCAGCUUCACAUGCAUUGCACAUGACUCAUUUUGACAAAAAAUUUAACAAAAUUGACGAAAAUGACCAUAAAUGCACGUUUUGAAGAGUUAAGAGACCAAUGGUCGUGGAUUUUAGUUGAGGGAUCAUUGCUCCAAUUUGGUUAAAGUUGAGGGAUCAUUGCUACAGUUUUCUCAAAUGUUUCGUAUGCGAAAAUAGGCAUUUGUAAAGUUUGGCUUGUUUAUGGCAUUAUUACUUUAGUCUAAAGUAAGGCUGGGAAUGGCACUGUAGAAAUGAAUAGUGUUCCAAUCCGAAUUUCAGUUUAAUUACAACAAUGCCAUUGCUCUUUGUGUUGCCUUUAGGUGAGCAGCCCGGCUUGCAGUCAGGCCCAAAUGUAUUGGUUUUAGCUGAGAAGCCCGGCCCUUGGUCAGGCCCAAAAUUUUAAAUUACAGUUUUGCCCAUACAAAAUAACAAUCCGAUUGUAUCGGGAAGGACAAUUUUGUCCUUUCAGUUUUGGGUGAGAUAAGGGGUAACAGGGUAAGUUUCAUUUGCUGUCGUUUAAUGAGGGUUUCGGGGAUGAGGGCUCUGUGUGUGUGUGGAUGAGAGAGAGAGAGAGAGAGAGAGAGAGGGAGAUGGCGAUGGAAGGAGAGCGAGGGGGAAGGGAAGGGUUCUCGGCACUGUUGCUGCAUGUGGAUUUCACAUGUGGGAGAGUGGGUAUGGUCAGAGAAAACCAUAUAGGUCAUUGGGAUUUCAGGGAAACGGGGUAGGGGUCAUGAAUGAACUCUGCUGAGAGUGUGGGUACCGGAUCUUGCGCUGCAUGCCUCAAAUCAAAGAUAAGUUCGUUUUUUUAUUGUAUUUUUUGUGGUAGCUUAGCUUUUGGAAUUGUUUAGUAUGUUAGGUCCGAUUUUGGGGGAUUUAUCUUUUUAGAGAGAGAGAUGGACAGGGAGAUAGAGAGAGAGAGAGAGAGAGAGAGGAGGAGGAAGCAUGACUGUGUGCAAUUUUUGGUGUUAAUUAAUGGGUUGGUGCGUAGGGUGAGUGACAGAGUGACAGAGUGAAGGAGGGACGUGUGGGAGGGUAUGAGUUUUCAGUUCUUUCUUUUGAUUCAACAGGUUAUACAUUGUUUGAAAAACCUUUUUUUAUUAUUUUUUUCUCGUUUGCUUUGUUAAAACCAUCAUUUGAAUUUUUGGGUUUCACUGUGUUCAUUUCUCUGCUUCUUCAUAAUUUGCUGGUGUUUGCUUUUCAUCCCUCUAUUGGUAGAUCUUUUUCUCAUUUCUUGGUUCCUUAUGUAUUCUUUGGUACAAAUCUAUUUACUUUUUGGCUGUGUGAUAAUCUUAGCAGGUGAACUAUAUGAACGUUUUUUUUGAAACGAGUUAAGAAGAUCCAGCUGAAAAGAGCAUGCAAGAUAGAGAACUGGUAUGCUGCUCGCCAGGGAAAGGCUGCUGGAGAGGCUGAGACGGAUGCCUCCUUCAAAAACCAGGUCAGUUUCCUGCUACUCGGCGUCUUAAUGUAUCCAAAUUGUUUAUCUUUUGAUGAAAUUAGCUGGCUUUAUUUUCUAUUUUAUUUAUCUGCAUAUUAUUUUGGUUUGUUGAAAUUUUGACUAUAGUCAUUGUGUCACAUGGGCGCCCAGCCCAACCCAAAUUAGUUGAGGAUAUUUAAAUCUUCACCAUGGUAUUAUAGUACUCACUCACAGUUGUGAAUACUAAGGUGCAGGCAUGGCAUGAAGAAGUGGACCGUGCACGCCAAGGUCAGAGGGAUGCAGAGGGCAAACUUUUUUCUUUGGAGGUAAGUAUCCUUUGUUUAUUGCCCAACAGUGUUGUUAUUAUCAAUUUGUAGCUUUGCGUUCUGAAUUUUUUGCUUUGUCAAACAACCUUUUUGAAAUGCUCGAUUUCAAGCCGAAGUCCAAAAAAUGAGAGUUGAGAUGGCUUCCAUGAAGAGGGAUGUAGAGCAUUACUCGCGCCAGGUGAAAUCUGCUUCCUCUCUUUUCGUAUAUCUUCAUAUGAAGAGUUUUACUAAGUUAUAUUGAGAACUAUGUUAUUUAUAGGUUAUAUUUUCCAUUUUGCAAGAACACAUGGAGCUAAGGAAGAGCUAUCGUGAACUCACUGAUCUACUGGUAAUGUCACUCAAACUGCUUUAUUUGUGCAUGCUGCUACUAUGCGCUUGAAUGCAUUUUAUUACUGGCGGGAUGCGAAGAAUGCUAGAUAUAUGUGCUGGAUCGCUUGAUUAGUGUUAGGGUUUUAACAACUAAUUGUUAGCAGCUAGAAGCUCUGGUUAGAUGAAUGCUAAUUUGAUUUUCCUUACAGUACUUGAGUGCCAGUUUCAUAUUGUUUGUUCCCUGCUGGAUACAUGCUGUACAGUUUCAUUUCUGUUUCUUCAUAACUUUCUUGGCCCUGCGAUAUAUGCAUAUUGAGUACAAUGAAUAUCCAUUGUUCUCUAACUGUUGGGCUUUACUAUCUUUGUAGCAGCCUGCCUAACAUUUUUUAGGCUCUACACUCUACCAUCCAAUUUAUGAAAAAUUCAAAGAUUGGACGGUAUUGAUUGCAUAAAUGAAAAAAAUACUAUGAUAUUAGAAAGGUGAAUGUAAUUGUGUUAGAAGAAGCGUCUAGCAUGAUGGGUAAUAUUUUAAGUUUGUAUUUCUAAAAUUUUUUCGUUCUGGAGUAUGAUUUACCUCAAUUGUUUUGUACUUUAAUCUUUACUAAUUUUCAUUGUGGAGUAUGAUUUGCCUCAACUAACAACUUUUCAUUGUUUAACUUUUUCCUCCCUUAGAUAGUUGCAUAUGUUUGAUUUGUUAAUCUGCUUCUUACACAUGUUGUUUCCUAAUGGUGUAGGUGGAUUGCCGGAUGCAUGUGCAGAUUACUUGAAUAGACGAAGCUAAGAAUGACUUAGUAUUAAGUGAGAAAGAAGCUUGGGUCAGUUGGAUUUUGACAUUUGAUUUAUUCAUGUUUUUUUGUUGCUUGCAAUGUUCUCUCAUUGUUUGUUCUGAGAUUCUGUGAUCUUAUUUUUCAUAGGAACUGACAUUGGUUUGCCAUAUAAUGUUUCAGGAACUAAUACAACAACUAAUCACCUUGCUUAGGUCUCAAGACACAUACUUAACAGGUUAACAAACGCUAACCUAUAAACUUAUCUACUAAGCUGGACCAUUAACCUCUGUUUAUAUCCCUGCCACUCAUCUUUUGGCACUUAUCAAUAGCAAAAUCUAGAGUUGUUGAAACCCCAAUUUUAAUGAAUAUUAUUUUUAGUUGAUAAUUAAAAUUAAUUGAUGAUUAAUCUAUUCCAUUGUGCAUUAUUUUAUCGCCAAAUACUUUGAAUAUUCAUUAGCAAAAGAUAUAGGGUUCACUAUUUAAUGAAUAGAAUUUUGAUGGUGGAUUGCAUUUCCUGAGUUAUAAAUGUGGUGAAUCCAUUAUUUACUAGCUGAAUAAUCAUAAUGUUUUGGCCACUUACCUUGAAUUUUGUUCAAAUUGAAGAAGUCACAUGUUUCUUUCUGUUGUUGAGGUAAUCUCUCUGUUGAAAGCUUCUAUUUCUUUUUUCUUUUUCUUUUUUUCAUUUGGGUAGAUUUUUUUUUUAUGGAUUUAUGUAUUUUUUUUCUUCAGAGAAUUCGAAAUGAAAUAAGAAUAGCGGAUUGAGCAUAAACAAAUUGAUGAAAUUUUUAUUUGAGUGUUUGUGUUGGUCCUUUUUUGAUUUGUUGAGGUUUGGAAUUAUUUGAGUUUUUUUGCUGUUAGUACUGUGAAGGAUGCUUGGCAAUCGCGAAAUGGGGGCUACCUCUUUGGAAAGAGAAGUCUCGCUAUCCAACCUCUCAUGAAUUACAAACAGGGUGCUUUCUUGCUGAAAAACCACUGAAUCAGUAGAACUUUCCUCGGUUCUUCAAUUCGAUUCGAAUAAUUUUUUUACCCAGAAAAGCCAGCGUUUCCUGGUGAGUUUUACAGCUUUCUCAAUGUUUUUUUUAUUUUGGAUUUGCAAAUUUGUUUUCUGUUCAAAUUUCCUUUUGUGAUUUUGGAGGUUUUGUUUAUCGAUUCUCUCACUCAUCUCUCAGCUCUCUCCCACUUUUGAGGUACAUGUCGUUGGAUUCCGUUUGCUGCUGUUGAUCUGCAGGUAAAGCUUCAAUUACCAUACAAAGUUUACAUUUUUCAUGAUUUCUUGAAUUUGGGUUUUAAACAAAGGAAAUAUUGCUAGAUUCUUAUCUUAUGUGCAAAUUACUGGCUAUUUGGAUUGGUGCUUGAGAUUUAGAGAAUGUCUCGCAGCUUUAAUUUCUUUUUCCUUCAUUAUUACUGUUUUCAAAAUUUUUAUUGCUGGGUAUUGAUAAUUUGUAGUAUGUGAGGGCUUCAAUAUGUUGGAAUUUUGAAUGGUUAUUGCUUCAUCGGAAUUUGGGUGGUCCAAAUUUUGAAUUAGAAGAAACCCAUUUGAUUAAUAUUUUUGGUGGAUUGGUUCUCUGUGUUUUCUUUGCUAUUUCUCCCCCAGUUGGAAAUUGGAAGCCCCAACUUUGAGCUCAGAGCUUGAAUUUCUCAAUCGUUCGUUUCUCUACACUCUCAUCAGUCACUCUUGAUCCUCUAUCUAAAGAACUGGGUAAUUUUCCAGCUCUAUCAAGUAAUACUCAAUUUAAUUGCUUAAUUGAGGUUUUUUGUUUCUCUUUUUCGCUCUUUCAUCAGUUCAUUGGCUUUGAUGUUGAGCUUAAGUAAAUGGGAGAUCAUUAAUUGGCAUUGUUCAAAAUAUAAUUAUGUGUUUUUGGAUUUGUGAAACGAUUUGCCUAAUGAUGAUAGUGGUUAAAAUAAAUUUUUCGUUAUGAAAGAGAACAUUGUUCUUCAUUUGCCUACGGUUUUAACUACAAAGUUAAACUACUAUGCUUUUGUUCAAUUGAUUGCAACUCAUGCCGCAGUUUGCUUCACAAACCUCUAUGGUUAGCUUCCAUACAGUAUGUUGCAAGUUUGAGGAUAUCUUUACAUCUUAAUUUUUGCUCUCUCUGGUUGCUUCAAGUUUGUAAUUUUACGUGUUACAUUGCUACUUGAUUUGAUUAUAAAAAUGCAAAAGAAAAUCCAUUUUGCUUUUAUUCAACUUAAAUGUAUCCUUUUGUUUGUUCAUAAUUGUGUUGAAUUUAUUCAACUUAAAUGUGUUUUAUUCAUCUGUUUACGCUUAAAACAACUGGUUCCCCUAGCAAUGCGCGGACCUAAUUUCUAGUACAUAUACUAAAAGCCAGCAGAAAAUUACUGUUCAUCAUGGGAGAUAGAGCACUGUUCAUUAACAGUGAAAGGGAAAAAAUGCCCUCGGUUUCUUCUUUACUUCACGUACUGUUUACGAAUUGCUACAGUAUAAAGUCCGUUUUGUCAUUCCUGUCCACGCAUCUUUCAUCGUCCGUUUCUCUUGCUUCGACCGCAUCUUUUUCGCUUUACCUUUCCUCUUCGUUUUUCGCCUUCGCUAGGCUGCAAUUUUCGGAGGUGGAUUGUUUGCCCUUCUAUUUCCAUGCUCUCCCCAUGCCCUCCAUUGAUGUGUGGUCACGGUUAAACUAUGUCAACAUUUUAUAUUAAUUUUUUUAUAGAAAUAAUAAAAUAAAAAGUAAUAGGUAUCCAGGAAAUUUUCGUCAAAAUAUCCAGGAAAUAGGUAUCCAGGAAAUUUGCUUUACCGAUAUUUUAAUAGGUAUCCAGGAAAUUUGCUUUACCGAUAUUUCGCCGAUAUUAUCGGUUUUUUGCUUUACCGAUAUUUUAAUAGGUAUCCAGGAAAUUUUCGUCAAAAUAUCGCGAUAUUAUCGAUAUUAUCGAUAAUAUCGCGAUAUUUUAGAUAAUAUCGAGACAUUUUGGUUUCUCGACAGUCAGUCACAAUCUCGCCGGAGAAUCAGAAUAACUCCGAGCAAGAACAAAACCUGCAACCAAACGGAACAAAAUCAUCACUAUCUUUCAACAAAAAUCACCACUUUAUACCAAAAUCAGUGACAAAAUUACACUAAUCCGAGAAGCAAGGGCUUGAAUUCGAGCAAGAUCUGGAAGAAAACAGUAGAAGCUGAGAAAUCGAGUACCUCACCGGCAGUUACAGUGCUAAAGAUCAUCAUCUUUGGAAGGCCGCGGAUCAGACGGAGCUGAGAGAUCAAUGAGUAAGCAUUUCAUAGAUCGUAUUCGAUGAGCAGCUGAAAGAGAGGAGAGAGAAAGCAGAGAGAGACGCGGACGAGGAGGAUCUCGCUGAUGGGGACGACGAAGGAGAGGUAGAGGUCGCGGCCCGCGGGACAUGGUGACGGGCUCGACGAGGAGGAAGGCGAAGGAGGAGCAGAGGAGAUGGGUGCGUGCGUGCUGCGGUGCAGAGAAGAGAGAUGAGGGAGAUAUGAGAGAGAGAGAGCCGAGAGGGAGACAGAAGAAAAAGAAAAGAAAACAGAAAGAAGAAGAAAAGAAGAAGGGAGUCGCGGGGGAACAAAGAGAGAAAAGAGAAAAGUGGAGGGGCUGCCACGUGGCCACUUCAGAAAGAAAGGGAUCCAAUGUUUUGGAUCCUGAUUGGGUAGUCAAAGAGGACCAAUUUGAUAUAUUAAAAUGUUUAGGGGAUAAUUACACAAAUAUAUCUUUAUAAAUGGGGGUGGGUGUUACAUAUUGCCCUAAAAAACUCCAAGUAAUUACAACAUCGUAUUAGAAUUGUAAUUGAUCCUUGUUAGAUUUGGUUUAGAAAUUCUAUGUAAUUUAGUGAUUGUUUCAUAUUAGAUUUAGAUUUGAAUUUUUUACUCCAUUCAGAUUUUAAAUGAUUAUAAUAGAUUUAAAAAUUUACGAACUUUGAUGAAGUUUAAUAAUUUUUAAAACUUUUAUGUAAAAUUUUAAGUGAAUUCCCUCAAAUUUUCAGGUAGCGAUUUGAGAAUGUUUAAAAUAUUAUGUGAAAUAUUUCUAAUUUUUUCGAGUUUCCCAGCUUUUUAAAAAUCUCUUUGAAUCAAUUUCUAAAUUAAUACAUUUGGAAUGUAUGAAUUUCUUAAAAAUCAUGAUCGAAUACCCCUUAAACUUUAAAGAAUCACUUAAAAUCCUAAUUAAAUGCCCUUAGAUUUUUAAGGAGAAUUAAAAUGUUUAUAAGCCCCAAUUGGAUGUACCGCUUAAUUUAACUAAUUGACACAACACAACAUAACCAGUUAAGAUUACAAAUUAACACAAAAGACGACUUGAUGCGAGGUCAUAUCUACAAAACUUGCCGCAAUAAGCCCCAAUUGGUGUGUUUAAACUUCUUUCAUUAAUUACUACAUAUUUUCUACACUCAUAAUGUUUGUCAGCUCGCUAUAUAAUCAACUUGAUAAUGUUAAAUCCAUCAUGCAAUGCAUUUCCUUCCAAUUUUUUGUGAUAAACUAAUAGAUAAUUGACUAAAUAAACAUCCUGCAAAGUUUCAAUAAAAAUUUUCAAGUUUUUUUUACAAUUUCCGUGAUUUUCAUGUAAUUUUUAUCGGUAUCGAUAUUAUGCCGAUAUUUUUAUCAAUAUUUCCGUGUUUUCGAGUACAUAUUUCCGAUAUUACCGAUUCAUCCGCGAUUUUCUCCCUUUUCGCCAGCCCCUCUUUUGCUCUCAAAUCCUUGCUCUUUCUUUUUCAAACUAGUCUCAGAAGAGAUCCUGGGUUUAUCUAAUCCUUUGUUGUUCGGCGUUUUGUUCUCAUCUUGCGAUCGUCGGGGCAGCAGCUUUAAGGUAAGUUUGUUUUUAAUGAUUUAUCCUCAAUUUACGAUGUCUGGGCUAACAAAUUUAAGAUCUUUAUUUUUCUUUUUGCUGUGGAUCUGCAGGUUUUGACAAGUUUUUUGUGAAAUUGGUGCUGUCAGUGGGUGUUAAUAUCAGGUACCCAUGUUCAGUUUUUCGUUUUGAUUUGAAGGAAUUUCUUGCGCAGAAGAGCUAGGUUUCUUGGUGAGUUCUUCGGGUUGUGCAUAUGGGUAAUUUUCUUUUAGGUAUAACCCUCUGCUUCUGCUGCUCUCUCUCUCUCUCAUCCCUGCCUGCUCCUCUCCAAUUGUUUGCUGUUCUUAAAUAUUGUGUUCAUUGCCUGAUACAAGGAGCUGCAGCAAUCUGUUUUAUCCUACACGGGACAACGAGGCAAUGGCGUGACAACAAGUGAGCUUGGAUAUCCAAAGAAAAAGAACAGUUGGUUCAUCUGCUGGAGUCUGAAGCUCAGAGAAGUGGAGGAAAAUUGCAGGUGUGCGAGAAAUUUUAUUUUGCUGAUAGGACUCCUUAUUUACCGAUGCAUUUUGAAUUAAUUGAAAAGUUGGAUUUGAGUUAACAGCUAUAAAAAUGUAGACAUGAUUGCUGAGAUUAUGCUAUGAAAGUGGAAUAAAAAAAUGGUAGUUUAUAAUAUUGCGUACCAAUUUUUUUCUCUCUUUUUUACCAAAUGAUAAGGGUGGUGGCUCAGGCCGCCCCCCUACGCGUCCCCACUCUUCGACAAGUUGAAAUCAUGGUGAUAGUUUAUGGGUUGCGGUCUUGGGAUUCUGCAAAUAGAAUAAAAAACAGACACUUAACUAUCUUGUUAUUAAGCAUUUCUGCAUCAUUCAGUUGCUCUUGAUUUUCGUCUUUUAAGCGCUCUUAUUUCUGCGAUCUGACUUGAGGAGGGGUUUUAGACCUAUGGUUGUGGGUGUUUUGUCUGACCCCAUUAAAUUGGUUUCCGAGAUUUGUAGACUUGCGAUCGGCGGUCAAACAUUUCGUGAUUCUUGCUUUUUUUCCGACUGGGAUUGACGAAUUUUGGCCGAAUCUGUUUCCUGUUUUCUUCUCUGUUUGAGCGGCCGCUGCCUUUCGGUCGUUGAGCGCCGGCAGUCUUUAGAUCUUUGGCAAAUCAAUUUAAUACAACCGAGGUAUGUUUUAUAACUGCUGUCUUUCAAUUUUUGUUCUGUAUUUUUGUUAAUUUGGAUGAAGCUCUAAUAAUUUUGUUUUGGAUCAGUUGUGGUCCUCUGUUAGGAUUUUCCUGGCUAAGAGGGUAUUUGCAUUUUUGUUGCUUGGUUGGUCGAUCCAGUGUAUUAAAAGCGUGAGGCGUGGGCGAGGCGUCCGAGGGAAGCUCGGCCUAGGCGUGAGGCGUGAGGCGAAGCCUCAUGGGACCUAAAUUUUUUAAUAUAUAUACAUUGAGCGUACACAUAUAUUAUAUUAAAAAUAAGAAGAUUAUUAAUCAAUAAUCACCUUGAGCACACACAUAUAUUAUAAAUAUAUACACACACACAUAUAUAUACAUAUAUUAUAUUAUAUAUGCAUAAAAUAGAGGAUGAAAAACACAAUGAGCACACAUAUAACAAUGCACGCAAACAACACACACAUCCAUUAUAUAAAAAUAAAAAUCAGAAAAAAGGCAUAGAGACAAAAGUGCAAGGAAGAUGUAUGAGACAGUUAAAAUCCUACCCAAAAUUUGGGUUUGGGAGUAAAGAAAAAAAAAAAAAAAAAAAAACUCACUGAGGCGCGCCUAGGCGGCUCCGGCGACGCCUAGGCGGCCUUUCGCCCACUCCAGCAAAACUGAGGCGUUAGCCAUGGAGCCAAGCCUCAAGGGCGCCCUAGGCGCGCCUCGAGGCGAGUUUUUUAAAACAUUGGGUCGAUCACAAAUUUACGAACAGCUGUGGUGGUCCUGUUAGAGCCAAGCCUCAAGGGCGCCCUAGGCGCGCCUCGAGGCGAGUUUUUUAAAACAUUGGGUCGAUCACAGAUUUACGAACAGCUGUGGUGGUCCUGUUAUUUUUUUGGUAUGUUUUUUCUCCUUUUUGGUUUUUUCCCGGUUUGAGCACCCAUUCAUGAAGAAUUAAAAUGUGUUUAUAGUUUUUCAGGAGAGAUUAGAAAAGUGAUUUCAAUUUGGGAAAAUUUAAUGUUGGUUAAAAUUUGUUUAUAAUUUUUGGGAAGGAAUGAGAGGACCCAUUGAAGUAUGUGUUGUGAUUAUUUUUUAUUCAUAUUUUUAACAAAUUGGGCAUGAAUUGGUAGGUUAACUGUGUGUGUUUAUUAUUUGAAUCGGCCAUGUUUGUCUUUCUAUGGUUCUAAAAAAUUUGUAAAGGCUGUUAACUUGGAAGAAAAUGGGAUCGAGGGUGAGGGGAAAACAGCAGAGAAAGCAUGGAAGAGAGAUUUGGGAUUAGGGGUAGGAAAACAGAUGAAAAGAAUAUGAUAGAGGAAUGGGUUCAGUUCAUUUUCACUAUUUUUUUUAACUGAUUUGGAUUUUGUUUGGGUUUGAGGCCAUCAUUGGCGUUAAGACGUUUAUUAUCAGAUCGUGUGUGUUUUUUGCUAACUUUUAUUGGUAAUUUUUAUGUUGUUCUUAUGAUUUUGUGUGGUAGGGUUUCUGAAUUUUAUCGUUGUUCAUUUGGUUUUUUCUGAAUUUUAUCUGAUUUUGUGUGGUGAGUUUACAAAAUAAUACUAAAUAAAUUUAUUUGUAAUUUCGGAUGAUUGUGAUUCAAUCCUACUACAAUUGAAAUUCACAGAAAGAAUGAAAAACCAGAACAAAACUGCAGCACCUAAAAAGUUGUCAUACAAAAAAACAUGGAAUGUAAAAAUAUGUUAAGAAAUCUAGUUCGUUAAUUUCCAGCUGGUAAGCGGCAUUAUGUAACUUUAGUAGUAUAACUAAUUAACUACUUAUCUAGUGGGUUGCACUUCUAUCCUUGAUCUCAGUUGUGGCUGCAAAGUGCAGGCCACCACCAAGUCUCAGUGUUUGUGUAUUAGCAAAACACUUAAAUAAAUUAAAUUCUGAAAUGUAAAUUAUAUUCCUAUAACUUUAAGAUGCACAUAUAGUAUUGUUGAAGUCGAACUGAAAGCACUGACAAUUCCAAGCAACAGAGCAGCAAUUAUUAAGAGCCAAAACUCAUUCCUAGUCUCCUCAUCCUGGUACUCUACUCCGUAAUCUUCGUUCAGCAUCAUUGACUGAAAUUAGGAGAGAAAAAGAAAAGGAAUUUCAGAAAUUGUCUAUGAAGCAAAGGAUACUGCAGUUACUUCAAGACAUGUAAAUUGCAUAUGUAUAAAGUAAUUUUCUACAUAAAGUAACGAGGCAUAACUCUCUCUCUCCUCUUCAAACCCUAAACAGAGCAAAGCCACAAACUUUACAGAGAUUAGAAUGAGAACUGGAAUUAAUAGAACAAUGACUGAAAAGUAACAUACUUGAGGAGUGAAUGAUUUAGUGUUUCCAUCAUCGGAAAGCCGGAGUAAGUCGCUAAGAGAGGUCGCAAACAGCCCAAAGGGACAAACCCAGACCCCCGGCCCCGAUCCAUACCCUUCCCCCUCAAAUCCCGACGGCCCCCAUACUUUUCUCUGACUGUACCCCCUCUCCCACUCAUGAAAUCGAGGAUCUGUAGCAAUGGUACUGAGAUCCCCACUCCUCCCCCUCCCUUUCUCUCUGUCACUCUGUCUCCCUCUCCCUCUGUCUGUCUAUCUUUAUCCCAGAGCGGCAUGGCCUCGCAUCCCUGAAACCCUCACCGAAAGGUGGCAAUUUUGUAAAUAACUUGAAAUCCACCAACAGCAGGGGCAGAGAAUUGAAACAGACAUUUAGGCUCGUUCGAUAACCAUUUAGGCCAAAACUGAGCACACCUAAACCAUUCCUACUCGUGCCAAAUGUUAGCGGGGAAGCAAGAUGAUGACUUUAUUGUUCAAAACCAAAAGAAAAAAAGAGAGAAAACAAAAUAACAAAUCUAAUGGUUGUAGUGUAAAAGCUGAGAACGUAAAUAAACAUGCAGGGAAAAAAAUUGAAGAUACAAAGUAGCUGCAUCAUGAAACACUUGCUCCAAUUAGACGCAAAAAGUGAUGGUGAUGAGAAGAGAGAGAAAAUGCAGUCGUUUUGAUUUUUCUGGCUUUUAAAGGGAGCAGCUUUCUUCGACCACCAAAAAAAGGAAGCUGCUUUUCGUGUGGUUGUGAUUUCCUGAGUGUAUGUGAGCGGGUCUAUGGCACUUGCACUUUUUGUGUCGGUUACGGUAACCGGGCGAGGUGGACACGGCGGCGUGGGACUGAAUUCGGAGAGGUGAGAAAAAUUAAAAACACAAAAAGAAGGUGUUCAUUUUGUCACAUUUUUAUUACUAAAAAUUCAAUAAAGUACAUUCAUUAGUAUGGUAACUUAACUAUUUAAUUCCAUCUCAUUAAACUAAAAAAAACAAUUACAUAAAAAUAAGGGAAACCUUGUCCAGAGAGACCUGAGAGAAAGUGACGACUUCUCCUCUCAUUCCACUCCAUACUUGAUCUCUAAAGUCCAUUUGGCAUGUAAUUGAUGUUCAAUUUCAAAUUUAGUGGUAGCAAUUAGCAAAGCUAAUGAAAGAAUAAAAUAAAAUGAAAGAAAAAGCAUCAUGAAAUAAAUCAAGAUGAAGAAUGAAAUUUUGGCAACUCGCCAUUCUCUUCUUUUAUACAAAAGAUACAUCCUAUUUGUAGUGAAAACAGGUCCCGACAAACCCAGUUAUCGUCAAGAAGUAUUUUGUAUGACUUUAAAAACAUAUUCCGAGAAAUUAUCUCUUGGCUGAGAACAACAACAAAUCUUCAUGCAUAGCUUGUAGAGAAAGACAUCAGGCAUACAAAAGAACACGCAAGCAUAAAAUAAACGACGCAGGGAAAACCAAAAAUACAAUUGGAUACGCUGUCAAAAGAACAUAAAUAAAUGAAAAUUACAAAACAAAGAAGUGAUGAGAAACCAAAGUACCCAUUUCAUAAUCUAAUUGCUUUUUAGUUUGCUUGCCAUUUUUAGUUCUUCAAUUUAGAGAGAAACCAUAAUUCAGCACAUGAAUAAAGUGAAAACAUAAAAGAUAUGUGGGAUAAGCUAACAGCCAUCCCUGAGUAAUGCAUUCACUUCUGAACCCCAAACACACCAAAACAAAAAUUCACACACAUGAACUACAGCUCUGCUAUGUAACAAGAAUUAAAAGCAUCUCAAAACAAAAUGGCAAACUAUAAGAGCAAUGUAAAAGUAAAAUUGCAAGAAAUCUAAUACUUGGAGGGCAAGUACUAAUCAGACGAAAAUGAAAGAUUGAACUACCUCGCGUGGAACUGUGCCUUGGUUUUUUCCCAUGCUUACAGGAAGCUUUGCACUGAGCUCUUAUAGCCCAAAUUUUCUCUGAAGGGAAAAAAACACAAUUUUGAAAUAAGAUUUUCAUAUUAUACCUUAAAGAGAAGAAUUAGACAACAAAAAAGAGAACAAUGAGUACUUUUCAUCAUAUAUUGUUAGAGUAUGUGGUCCUCUAGUCCAAUGGUCCUGCAGCCAUAUUUACUUUAUAACUCUUUCUUUAGUCUAAAAACAUCUUGGAUCUCAAAUUAAUAUGAAUACGGAUUCAUACGCAUGCAUUGCAUUACAAUCACAAUGCAACAUCUCAUUAGAAAUCCCCACACAAAAUUCUUUUAUUGCUACUUUGAUUUUAGUUUAUAUUUUUUCUGAAGCACGAGGGAGCUAAUUUUUUUUUAAAAAUUUUUUAUUCCAAUAAUGUUAUAGGGUUGAAAGGAUAUUAUCAAUUUAAUUGAUUGUAUUUGAUUGGUGGAACUUCUAUAUCUAUAUUUCAGGUUUUCAAAUUCAGCACUGGGAGAGUCAUUCAUAAAAUGUUUGACAGUGAGAUUACCUCCAUGGAUUAUGCUCACAAUGGACAGCUCAUUUUCCGCGGUGAUGGGACAAUAUAUUUCAGUCAUUCGCCAUUCAAUCAAUUCAAACCGAGGAACAAGCAACAUCAAGAAGAGGAUCUGCCAUGUCAGGAUCACUGUCGUCCAAUUAAUACAAAAAAUCUAGAUAAAAACGAUCAAUUUACAUAAAAGCCUUUCAUUUUCUCAGCAACCAAGCAAAAGAAAAUACCUAUCCGUUAAACACUCGAUUUGGGAGUAAACGUUGCUGAAACUGGACUUCAAUCCCCUCAACCGCAACAAUCGAAUCGAGGUGUGCAAGUCAUUGAAAAACUCACCCAAGAUUUCAAAAUCUGCAUAAAGAAAUAAAUAAGCACAUAAAUUAGCCAACCCUGUUAUGAUCCCACAUCGGGUACACAAGAAAUUGUGUAGUGGUACUUAAGUGCAAGGGGUCAUCCCACCUAUUGGACUAGUUUUUUGGAUUGGGCUCUUCCCUUGGGCUUGAGUACCUAACAUUGGUAUCAGAGCCUAGGUUCCCGACGCUGCGAGACUUGGCGAGUGGUGCCGCCUCAUGGUGCCGCCUUGGGAGUAUGGGCUCCCAAGGGUCUUGGAGACGGGCAAGGUAUGAAAUGUCGAUAUUAUCGCGAUAUUUCGCCGAUAAUAUCGGUUUUUUGAGUUACCGAUAUUUUAAUACUUAUCCACUGAGUUUUCGUCAAAAUAUCGCAAUAUUAUCGAUAAUAUCAACAAUAUCGCGAUAUUACCGAUAAUAUCGCGAUAUUUUGGAGAUGUGCGAAUCGGAGAAGAAGGCCGGAGCUUCUACAGCUCCUGCCGACUGUAAAAGAGCACCCUAGACUCCGAUCUAGGUAUCAAAAUGAAAUACAAGACGAGAGGAAUGUUUUUAUAACUUCCGUUUGCCGUGAAACGGUCGAAGGUGUUCGGAAAGUUCGUCGACACCCACGGCCUCGCCAGAGAUGGGUGUGCCUAUUCUCGAGCCGAUUUCGUCCCAAAAACCUUGCAAAAACACGAGAUAGAACUUAAAUUUCACAUCUAAGCUUCAAUCUAGAAUAGAAUGAGGUAAACCCGAAGCUUACCUAACCGGAGAAAUUCAAGAAACUCGCCAGAGGGUUCCUGCGUCGCCGAGUUGCAGAGACGAGAAAGAGAUGGAGAAAGACGAGGUUGCUGAUAACGAUGGGUGUCUUCCUCAAGCAGGUGCGAUGGUGUGCGUGUGUGUAUGUGGGUCUCGGUGCAGAGAGAAAGGAGAGAGAUGAGAGUUUCAAGAAAGAGACGGCGCCAACGAGAGCUAUUUGUUUUUUUUUAUCUUAAAAAGAGAGAGGUCUAAGAGAAAUGGGAAGAGAGGGCCGAGUGAAAUGAAAGGAGGUCCUUGAAUUAUUGAGAGAUAUCUCUGAGAGAGGCCUAGGAUUUCUAAAAGGUAAUUAGAAAUGGGAAAAAUGGGGCACAUCUUAGCCUUUAUUUUGGAAUCCUAAGAAGUUCACCACAUGGAUGCAUGACAUGUGUGCAUGCCAUGUCUGUUGAAUGGGAAAAGUCUGACAUGGAAAGACAAAGAGUCGUUUGGUCCUCUGGGCUCGAGGCAAGAUAGAAAGUGCUAGGGUUUUUUUUUCUGAAAUGAACAUAAGCUGCUAAAUUCGCAUAUAUUAUAGUUGUUGCUAAAGAUUGACACUAGUGCGGACUUGGACGUGUUGGUCAACAUGUCCUCACAAUCCCCAAGUUCUCCGGUUCGAACCCUUACGCCCAUCAAAUUUUUCUUUCUUUUCGAUGCGCUUUUUCCAUGGCUCUAGGUCUUGAUUUCGAAUCCAGGUGAGCCCUUUCCUUUUUCUUUUUUUUUUCUUUUUGUUUUAUUAUUUGUUUAUUUUAAUUUAUUUGUUUCUUUUAUGUUUUUCCUUUCUUUUAGUUUCUUUGUCUUAGGCGUUCGUGUUUAUUAAAGUAGGAUGUAAAAUCAAUUAUCUUAAAAUUAUGUGUUUUUAAAUUUUGGACUUGUUUGUUGGAUACUUUUUUUGCAUUUUAUCAUUAUUUUAUUAUGAAAAUAUGCUAAAAUAUGCUAAAAUAUCACUUAUGUUUUUGUGAAAAUAUGCUAAAAUAUUUAUAUAUAUGGUUUUGUUUUGAAUUCUUUUUGUACUAAUUCAUUAUAUAUAAAUGAUUAUGGUGUGUUUAAACUUCUUUAAUUAAUUACUACAUAUUUUCUAUACUCACAAUGUUUGCUAGCUCGCUAUAUAAUCAACUUAAAUCAGUAAAAUCCAUCAUGCAAUGCAUUUGCUUCCAAUUUUUUGUGAUAAACUAAUAGAUAAUUGAUUAAAUAAACAUCCUGCAAAGUUUCAAUAAAAAUUUCCAAGUUUUUCUUACAAUUUCUGUGGUUUCCAUAUUAUUUUUAUCAAUAUCGAUAAUAUCCCGAUAUUUCCAUCGAUAUUUCCGUGUUUUUGGACUACCGAUAUUUCCGAUAUCAUCGAUAUUUAUACCUUGGCGACGGGGGACUUGCCGACUGGUGCCGCCAUGGACGUUGGGUCUUUCGAAAGGUGGUGUAAUGUUAUGAUCCCACAUCGGCUACACAAGAAAUUGUGUAGUGGUACUUAAGUGCGAGGGGUCCUCCCACCUAUUGGACUAGUCUUUUGAGUUGGGCUCUUCCCUUAGGCUUGAGUACCUAACAAACCCAUAAAUCAAAGAAAUCAAAAUCCACCCAGAAUCAAAGAAAUCAAAAUCCAUCCAAAACCAAAGAAAUCAAAAUCACACACAGAUAUACAAGGUGUACAGUAUUGACAUGCCUUAAAUGAUAUUAUUCACAAGAUUUAUAAAGCUCAUGUUGUAAUACUUGUGCAGAAUCUAUCAUUCACGGCGUCACUUUUGUGCAAGUCGUAAAUAAAAUUAUUCACGAUUUAAACAUUGUGUGUCGUAUUUGACAAUUUAUACUACGCACUUUCUUUUUCUUUUAAAGCUUUGCGUUAUGUCGUAAAGUUGACUUUCUAUAUAUUUGGGUUGUACCUUUUAUGGCGCAAAUAACACGUCGUAAAUAAUGGCUUUUAGCACAGAAGUUUUGUGGUAAAGAAGCCCGCGCACUAAUUCAUUCUCGCGCCUUCUCUUUUUUAUUUAGCCGCUUCUUUUUUUGGUUUUUUUUUUUUUUAAAAUUCCCCUCAAAUCUUAAAAGGGUUUGUAUUUUCUUUGGUAAACUUGAAAGAGAAACAUUGCAAUUGCAUUUUCAUUUACCCAAUAUUAAUUGUCGAGAGCCCACCCCCUUCCCUUCUCUCUGACAUCGUAACUCUCUCCUCUCCAUCGAUCUCGCUCCAUCUGCUCGCCGUCGCUCUAUAUGCUCGUCAUCGCCGUCGAUUCGUCUGCUCGUCGUCACCGUCGCCCAUCUGCUUUCCGUCACCGUCGAAGUGCCCCGCCAUUCAAAAUCUGAAAUCCCCAAUACAGGGUGCUUUGCGGCAUUUCGUUCUCCAAAACUUUAGGUAUGCUCUCAAUCUGUAUCAACCCUAUCCUGUCACCUCUACUUCAAGGUGAACAAUUUAUAGUUUAUAAAUUUUACUUGUGUUAAUAUAUAUUUUUUGGUAAAUGUUAUGGAUAUUUUAUCAAAUCAGAGAGUAAAUUCGUAUUAAGUGAAGAUUGGCAAAGAACAUAUUGUUUUGAAAGGUUGAAUAAUGUUUGCAGAUCACAUAAAUCAGUAGUUGUCAAGUCCAUAAGAGAAGCAAGAAAUCGGAAAGCAAGGCUUCGACUAAAACCAAAUAAUGUCAAAUUAAUUCAAGAUUGGAAGACUUUCCUUGCAAAGUGUAAGCUCAUUUUCAUUUUCUUUCAUUUCUAAGAUUAGUUAUCUUCUUUUGAGUUCAAAAUUGGGUCAGAGAAAUCAAACUGAUAGUAGUUAAAAGUCUAUUUCAACACCAAGCCUUGUCUACACAAGAAUUUGGUGUUAGUUAAACAUGUGUAUGAUUCUAUCUUGAUUGCAUGUUAAUUUAGUUUGAAGAUAGAUUUGGUACAUGCUAGCUAAUUGAUACGUGAUAUGAAUCUUUGGUUUCCUUUUGAUAGGACAAAAGUGAAACAUUCAGAGAGAUGAAGUCUAAGCAACUCCGCACACAUGUAGUCGCAAGGGAUAUGGUAGGUUGGCCGAGGAUUUGGUAAUUACAUUUCAUUCUAGUGCCUUCUUUUCUACAGGACAAGAACAAUUUACUAAUUUUAUUCUGUGUUCUACUGUGUGUUUACUACAUAUAUGUUUCUAUUUUGUAGAAAAGAAAAAGUGUAGACCCUUCUCUAGUUUCUAGAGGUGAUGUUUGGAUUGCAGCACAUACUAAAAAGGGUGGUGGACCAUCCAAUUUGCUUGCUGCAGAGACUAUUGUAAGUAAUUUUUAACCAUUUAUUUCUUCUUGUUUGUUGAUAUGCAAUGACGGAUGAGGUCUUAACUUUGAUGUGCAACGUUAGGAAAAAAAUUAAGCAAUAUGGAAAUGGAUCAUCAUCUGGUUUUCGAGGUGACGUUCUUUCCAAAGUUUUUGGUGCUGAGCGACAUGGUCGUGCAAGAGGAGUUGGAGGUGGUGUUCCUCCUACAAAGCUUGGAAUAUUUUCACAACAAAAAUUGCGUAAUCACCAAAUGGAUGAAAAGGUGCACAAUUUAACUAAUCAGGUCAGAGCACUGACAGAAUUGGUGCAUCUUUUUAUGAAAAAUCAGGUUAGUGAUUUAAUAACAUUGGUAUCAUAUUGAAUAUUUGUGAAAUCAGUUGUAGUGACACAUCAAAUCACAGGGUAAUGAUCUACCAAGUGAGGCAUCUCCUGACACACAGGUUGCAGCUCCUGAGGCACAUGUUGAUACUGUCGCAAGAACUGAAACUCGUCUUUCCCAAUGCGCAACAAAUGAAUCGUGGUGGCGAGGUUGAUACACUUUUUCAAUGAGCCUUCUAACUAUUAAUGCUCAUUGACUCUGUUAAAAGCUCUGCCAUUUUCAAUCUAACUAGACACUAGAAAUGAUCAUUGACUCAGUUAAAAGUUUUGAUGCUUUGGUCCUUUUGCAUAGUUGCGCAUCUACUGAUUUCUAUUUUUUUUCAAAUCCUGCAGGUUAUUUCUGAAAACAUUGAAACAUCGUGGUGUGCCAGAUGGUUUGAUUAUAAGACACCUUCCUUUUGGUCCACCAACUUAUUUAUAACUGCUAAAUGGUACGUAGUGUGAUAAUUUUCAAAUAUUUUGAUAUUAAGACAGGUGUAGGACAACAUAGAAAUUCUUAGGGCCUUCAGCAACAAAAUUAUGAAAAAGUGAGUGAGAUACAAUUAAAAAAAUGAAAGAGAAGGAUCAUGAUUCAUGAUCUAAAGGUUUGAAUAGGGUAGAAAGGAUUUAGUUUCGUUGUUAAAAUCGAUUUGUGAGUCUAUUGUUAUUGUAUUGUCAAUUUGUUUAUUUACUUGAACUUCCUAGUAUCAAUUUGGUUCGAUAUAUCUAGCACCACCAUAGAUAUAUCUAGUAUCAAUUUGGUUAGAUAUUGUCAAUUUGUUAUUUUAUUGUCAACUAUAGAAUGUGCAUCAGUUGUAAAAGGAACAAAACAAUUCAGAUUUUUUGUUUAUGUCCAAACUUAGAAUUGUAUUGUAAUUGACAAUUUCUACUAAUUAAUCCAAGUAUUUGGAGUUUAAUAUGUUUAUGAUCAAUAUUGUUAUCCUUGUAUUGUAUCAGUUUAGAUGUUAUGAAGUGAGGUCUGUCUAAAAAUGAUAUGCUAAAUAUAGAUGUAAAUUACGGCAUCUAAAAUCAGCAAUAAUUGUUGAUGGUAGUCUUUUUUUUACGAUGUAUGCCGUAAUCACCUUCACAAUAUUACGACACUCAACAAAUGCUGUAUCAAAUAUAAAUUACUGCACACUAGUAUGUCGUAAUUGUUUUUCAGUAUUACGACACCCUAUUAACGCUGUAACUAAUACCAAUUAAGGCACGUAGGACAUGCCUUAAGAACAUUUAUGGCGUGUUUUACUUAAAUUAUUCACGACUAUUAGAGUACGUUGUAUUUGUCAAAACAUCUUUUACAACAGGGGCUUUUACUGCUUGGAGGCUCAAGCCGUGAAUUUCCAUUUAUGGCACCCUUUGUGCGCCGUAAAAGGCCAAUUCUAUUGUAGUGAUCCAUGGGUACAUUUUUAAUCUACAUGUUUCGUUUUAAUAUAUCUAUUGCUAUAAUAUGUUUUGGUUGGUUCAAAUUCGUUUUACAUAAAUAUAUGGGUACAAAGUUUUUGGAGAAUAUUAUGUAAAAUGGUUUUUAAGGUUGUUGCAUUUUAUGUACCCACAUAUGCAUGUCUAUAAAACAAUGUGGUAUGAUGUACAUUCUUUUCCUUGAGUUUUUAAAUGUACCCAUGAGUUUUCUUGUAAAUUCGGUAUGUAUCCAUAUGCUAUUUAUGUUAUGGGUACAUACAUUAUUUUUGGUCUAAGUUGGUGGGUACAUUGCUUUUGUAUGUAUGAAUUCAUUGGGUACAUUAUUUCCCUUAAUACUACUCAAUAAAAUUCACAAAAAUGUGCAGUGUGCAUGAAUUUUUAUUGUAGAAAUUGUUUUUUUUUAUUUUUAAUUUUUAAGUCUCAUAAUUCGUGAAUUUUGUACAUAUUGAUCCCAUAAAUUUUUGAAUUUUAUUAAAUUUUUUUUAGACUUGAUCGAUUGAUUGAAUCUCAUAAUAAUCCCUUAAAUGUUCCAAUCAAUAUUUUAAAAUACAGCUUUUUAUUUAAGAUUUCAAAAAGAUGACAUGAAAACAUAGUAAUACUAAAAUUUUGUUUUAAAUUACAUUUGUGUAACAAUCAAUGGUAUGUUAAAACUGGGCAAAAAAAAAAAUGGUAUAUUAAAAAAUUAUAAUUUAUUCUUUUUUUCAUAACUGUCUUCUGCUUAGAUUAAUUUUUUCCAACGUUUCUCUUCGGGAGAAUUAGUUCUUACCAAUAUAUAUGCACAUUAUCUGCUUUUUACCUGGUCUUAACACAUGAUUAAUUACUUUCCUACCUGCUAACGCGUUGACUUGCGCAUCCAAAGUAUUAUCAAAGUCACUGCCACCAAAAAGGUGCCCACUCCACAACCUUUGGUUGAACCAAAGAACAUCACAACAAUAAGGAAAUCGUUAAAUCUAUCUCCGCAACAUUUUUAUUAAUCAUUAGAUAGAUUAAACGAUCCCCCUAUUCAUAUUGUGUUCUUUUGUUGAACCAAACCAUGUCAACAAAAUAUAUCUAUGGUUAAAGCAUCUAGAUUCAAGCUUUUGGAUGUGCAACUUAAACCCCUCAAUGAAUAGCCAAGCAAUUUAUCAUGUGUUUACAGUAGGUCAAAAGAAGAAAGUGUUUGUCUAUAUAUUAAUAGGAACUAAUUCCUCUGAAGAGGAGAGAUGGAAGUGAUGAUAAUAAAAAAAAAAAAAGUCGUAUUCAGUGCACAAGGCUCCCGCUUUACGCAGGGUCUGAGAGAGGUGAAUGUCGGCUAGCCUUACCCCCAUUUUAUGGAGAGGCUGCUCCCAAGUCUCGAACCCGAGACCUACCGCUCAUGGGCGAAGACACUUGCCAUCGCACCAAGUGCGACCUCUAAGGGAUAAGAGAGUAAUCAUGAAAAUUUUGAAAGUGAAAGCAUUGCCUUGGAAUAUAUAUUCUCUUUAGGAAUUCUGUGCCCAACUAAAUUCUAGAUUCUCAAAAUAUGAAAUUAGCAACUUCACCAAACACUUGGACAUGUAACAGGUCACACGUAUGGUACCAACCUUACCAACCUUACCAACCAUCUAUAUACCUAUGUUUUCGAACAUCGUUAGAUAAUUAAAGUACAGUUCACACAGCAUUUCACAUAAAAAUGGCAUCAUACAACACAUGAGAAGUACUUCUUACAGUAGCAGUCUCGUAACAUGACUAUAGUUUUUGUUACUUCUUAAGAAAAAAGAGUUUAAAAUCCUAUUGAAAGAUAAUUGUAGAGACAGAAACCCAAACUAGUUAAUUAGGUUUCUUUACAUCUCAAUAAAAUUGAAGGGAAUGUAUCUAAUAUUAUCUACUAGAGCCUCUACAAUCAUCAUAGAAUCCACAACCCACAUUUUAAUUAAUCGAAAUUCCAUGAACACAAAUAAGCAAAAGUUGAGUGAAGCCUAAGCAAUAUGUGAUCAUUUAGAGAGUCAAACUCCAUCUUUUUAGAAUUAGGGACUUUUCAAUAUGAAAAGGUAACCUCCACAAUCCAAUAUCAUAUGAAAAGGAAAACCCAAGAAAAAUACAGUAUAAUUGUGUGCAAGAGCAACACAAAAAAAGUUGAAGAAUUAGAAAUCAUAAAGAGACUUGAGACGAUUGUUGCUCACUUAGCUAAAGAGCAUUUGCACUUGAGGUCUCGAGUUCGAUUGCCCCCUUUCUUUAGAUCGCUUGAGAGGAAAAACCUACCAUUCUCUAGUCUAAAGAUAUAUGCAUCUUUGACAUGAAUGACUAGAGGGGAAGAAAGUGCAGACAAAUCACACAUACCUUCAAAAAAUUUUAUGGGGUUGGUGAAUGGUGAUUAGGGAUACUGACUUUUAAUAGCCGUUGAUCAGUGUAUAUUGCACACGCCUUCAUCAAUGGCUAGCGUCGGUACAACUGUGAUUGGGAGGGCCUUUUUACGAUAAUAGAUGGGUAAAGGUUUCAUUAGAAGGGGAAUUUUGUUCUGGUUUGCCAUAAUAACUUGAAAUUAAUGGUUUUUUGUAAUCCUUAAGUUAUUGUCAUUUUAGGUUAACUUUGUACCUGGACUCUUUACUGGAGCUAUCAAUUGAAACCCCCAUUUUCUUACCAAAAUAUGAAAAACAAAGAGUCCCAUUUUUACAGCACAGUCCUACUCUAGUUGAAAUCCGAUCGACGGUCAAGAUUUUCUAGUCAUGUGAAAGUAUCACAUAUAUAAAAUUGACUGGAGAAGGCAUGCCACAUUGCCAUGCCCUUGACAGCUUUACUUUGUUUACAAACUUUCUAAAAGAAAGAAAGAAAAAAAUCUAAAAUGGAAGGUGAUAGCGAUUUUACCACUUGUAAAACAAAGGGUUAAACCAUAGAAAAUUCUUGCAAGAGAACAAGUGUUUGUAGUAUAGAAUGGCUCAAGCAAGGUCGAUCUCCUCAGGGACUGAUAUAAACAAUUUACGAGUUUUUAUGUAUUUAACUUAUUUAACUCUAAGAAUUACACUAAUUUAACGAAACUAAAUAUUAUUGGAUGUGACUUAAACAAAUAUCUAAAAUGGGAAUUGGUUUUAGGGAAUAAUGAUUCAACUUAAACAAAACAAGUAAAUGAGGAAAUUCAAGAUAAAAUAAAUGAUUAAGAAAAAUAGAUUGACAAUAUGCUAGAGUUCAACAUUUACCAACAACACUCUUACGUAGCUAUUCCAAUUGCUUAAAUAAUUGAAAACACAUAUGCUUUGAAUGUUGGAUUUUCCUUGUGUAUGUUUUACUUGUGACAUUCAAGCUAAAACGCAUACCACUACAUGCAACUUAUCCAUGACAUUUGAAUUAAAUAUAAACAUGAGUGAUUCAUUAAUCUUGGUGAAAAUCCUUUUGUUAAACCAUAUAAUCCCUAAGAGCAUGAUAUUUACCUUAGGAGAUUACAAUUCUCAAUCACAAGAAGCACAACCAAUUUUAACGUGACAUUCGUUCAAAAUUGCAUCCGAUAACUUUUCUAAGCAUCCUAAUGGUGAUCAAGCAUCAAGGUACAUAGAUAGUUUAAUUCAGUGAUUGAAAAUAUCAAAACAAGCAUGUAACAACACUUAAGCAAUUGAAAAAUAAAACUACGUAUUCAUGUUGCGGCUCAUGGCCUCACUCUAGCAUAAUACUUUAAAUAAUUAAAGCCCAAACAAUUUACCAAAUUUCAUCUCUGUACUCCGCAGAGACGCUAAACGAGACAUAUUUGGUCCAUCUCUGAACAUCUUUUCUUACUGUUCUUACAAUAGAAAGGGCACAAAAUUGACUUACACAGUCUUGCACAAUACUCACUUUGCUUCAACCCAUAUUUCACUUUGUCAAAUCAUACACGUUCCUGCAACAGGUGAACUCAUAUUUAUCUACCACUUCUUGCUAAUUUUAAUUUUUCCAUUCCCAUUUUUACUACAAGUUUUCACAUAAUUUUUUUAUUGCAUUUGUCAAUUCUUUAUACUUUUUAAUUGUAUUUUUUUUUUUGUCUUUUAUGUGUUUUCUAUGUUGGCACAAGGUUACAACAGUAUUAAACAAUUACAGGUCCUCCAGAGGUUUGCUUAUUGCCCUAUUUCAUCAAGCUCGGUAUAAAUAGAUCUUAAUUUUUUACUACAGUUAAAUACAUGGACAUGCCUCCACAAAUACAAAUUAGUUCUUGCUUAAAUACUUUGUGUGUUUACAUAGAAAAUGUUCCCAUCGUCUACCAAAAUCCUCCACACAUGAAAACAAAAAUUCUUACUCAAAAUACUUAUUACAAUACCACCAUAUCUGUUGUUUUUUAUUAAAUUAACACACUGUUUUCAAUUUUAUCUUCAACACAAAAGAAAAUGCUCUUACACAAUGUGUUUGCUUACAUUUUAUAACUUAUCUACCACAUGUUAAUCGCAGUUAUAUAAAUAGGAAAAUACGUGUUCAAUAGAAGUGUGAUGCAUGUCACUUCGUUAACAAUAGUGGAAACUAAACAAUUAAAUAAUUUGUUUCAAUUAGUUAGUACAUUUUAUAAAUUUCUCAAUUAGAACUGUUUCAGUAUAUUUAAUACAUUUUUAAACAACUUUCCAGUUAGUUGCCCAAACUAAUUAUUCCAGCUUAUUCACAGUAUAAUACCAACAAUUUAACAACCAAUGAUACUUCGUUUAACAUAAACUUCAUUUGGAAAAAACAAAAAAAAUCUUUUUCUCUGCUGAAAAAAUCAACAGAUUUAAUGAUGUAGAUCAGUUAUACCAACAAAUUACCAUAGUUUACCCAAUGCUAUACAGGUUUGACUUUUGUUUAUAUUCUUGGAUCUGUUGCUUGGUUGUAUAAUUUGGCUGUGUGUUUUGUUUCAGGACAAUUUGUUCUUCGUUUCUUGAGGCUUCUAUGUGUAGAUUUGAACCGUUUAGCUUUCAAACCGUUUAUACUCAAGGUAAAUAAUUUCGUUUGUUUCUUUUUAACCUUUUUUGUAAGAAUUUUUUAUUUAAUGUUGUGAGAGUUGUGUUUUCUAUAGUAUGGAAAUUGAAUCUUUGUGAUCUUAUAUCGUUAGAUACGUUGCUUGGUUAAUGUGAACACGGAAAAUUCCCGAAACGAAAAAGACAAGAACAACGUGCACAAACAAAUAUUUUGUAUUUGAUGAUUAUUUUGGGUUACAAUCUCUCUCUAAUUUGAUCCUCUGAUUCGAUCUCCGUAAGAUAUUGGUUUGUGGAUGUGCGAUUGAUCCAAGGGCCGUCGAGGCUUGAUCUUGGAUGAACGGUGAUGAACGGAUCUUCAAGGGCUUUUGGGCUUGAUCUUGAAGAAUAGUGAUGAACGGGUCUUCAAGGGCUUUUGGGCUUGAUCUUGAAGGAUGGUUGGAUGUGUGGAUUUGUCGACGUUGUUAAUCCAAAGGGCUGUUGGGGCUUGAUCUUAGGAUGAACGGAUGAUGAACGAAUAACACUUUCUUCAAGGGCCGUCGGGGCUUGAUUUUGAAUUGGUGAAAGUUCUUCAAGGGCCGUCGGGGCUUGAUCUUGAAGGUAGAUGAUUGUUGAUCCAAGGGCUGUCGGGGCUUGAUCUUGGAAGAACGAUGAACGAAGAACGAAGAAGGCUUUCUUGAUUCUUCGGGAACCUGGAUGCUUGAGAGCUUCGGAGUUUCAGAGCUUCAGAGCUUCAAGGUGUAAUAUGAAUUUGGUUCCCUUAAAUGAAUGAAAUUGGCUUCUAUUUAUAGAAUUUUCCAAGGCCUAAUUUUGAAUAUAAUAUUCCAGAUGAAAUAAGUCGUUUCUGCCAAGUGUUGACACGUGUCCUAUUUGAUGACUUUUCCGACUCAUUUCAAUUUUUCGUCGAGUCACACACUACGUGUAAAAUUUAUGUAAUACAUGAGCGUUGAAACUUUGAUUUAUCAGUCAACAUUUAUUUACCAAAAUUUCGAUGUCUACAAAUGCCCCCACUUCAAGGCGCGUCGUAUACAUGUGCUUGUCACGUGUAGGAGAUGCGUUUUGAAGUCCCCUUACUGUAGAUGUCGAUCCAAGGGCCGUCGAGGCUUGAUCUUGAACCGGGCUGGAGAUUUCUUCAAGGGCCGUUGAGGCUUGUUCUCGAACUUUGUUCGAAAUUUCUUCAAGGGCCGUUGAGGCUUGAUUUUGAAUUGGGCUGAAAGUUUCUUCAAGGGCCGUUGAGGCUUGAUCUUGAAUUGGGUUGAAAGUUUCUUCAAAGGCCGUUGAGGCUUGUUCUUGAACCUUGUUUGAAAUUUCUUCAAGGGCCGUCGAGGCUUGAUCUUGAAUUGGGCUGGAAGUUUCUUCAAGGGCCGUCGGGGCUUGAUUCUUGAAGGUGGAUGAUUGUUUAUUCAAGGGCCGUUGAGGCUUGUUCUUGAACCUUGUUUGAAAUUUCUUCAAGGGCCGUCGAGGCUUGAUCUUGAAUUGGGCUGGAAGUUUCUUUAAGGGCCGUCGGGGCUUGAUUCUUGAAGGUGGAUGAUUUUUUCUUCAAGGGCCGUUGAGGCUUGUUCUUGAACCUUGUUUGAAAUUUCUUCAAGGGUCGUCGAGGCUUGAUCUUGAAUUGGGCUGGAAGUUUCUUCAAGGGCCGUCGGGGCUUGAUUCUUGAAGGUGGACUCGAACACAUGGCAAGCAGGCACGAGGUGAAGGUGACGGUCUGUUUCUUUGCUCAAUCUUUCCAAGUGCCGACCGAUUGCUUUUCUUUCUCCUUGUCCCGCAGGCAAGAGCAAGGGUAAAAGAAAAGCAUGCCAUGAGAUAUCUUUGUUUUUGACUCUGAUGAUAUGAGGUACUUCUGCUUUUGAAGAAGUUGCGGAUGAAUCGACACGUGCUUUGUUGUGCUUGUCUCCACAUGCUCAGACUCUUGGCAGAAUGUGAAAGGUGGCAUUUUCUCGAGUUACUCAACUCAGACUCAUUCUGCUGAGUUGACUGUGCGGGCCGCAUUCUUCUCUGCUUGUUUCUUCUGGCAGCCUUGCUCUCGAGUACUCAUCUUUAACAUCUUAUGUUUCUUCUUUGUCUACCACACUGUGGAAGACGAGUACUCGAGAGUAAUACCAUGUAAGCAAUCAGAAAAGGGUUCCAAGCAGUCGGUUCCAGAUCGGAAGAUUGAUACCAAGUGUUGGCUGAUUGCUUUCCUUCUCAUUGUCCUACAGGUUAGAACAAAGACAAGGAAAAGGACACGGAGAAUGCAUGAUAUGAGAUACUCUUGCUUUCUCCCUUCAUGAUAUGAAAUACUUUUGCUUUUCAAGAUUUGUUUGCAGAGGUAUCCUAUGGGAUGAAGAACACUGAGUGAGUUGAGAGGGUUUGUUGGAAAGCCAUUUGUCGGAGAUGACGGAAUGUUAUGUAUGUCUGCCUUGCCAUGGAGCGUGAAGGUCGACAUUUGUAGGAAAUAAUAACUGGUACUGUUCUUUCACUCCUGUCGGCAACCGUUGGAUGAUUGAACAGUAAACUUCACGUGAUUUCCUCAAAGCUUUUUCUGCAUGCGACAAGUGCUGACGAGGCUGAGAGAGACAUGCGAUUGGAAUCGGCGCUUCGACAAACUUUUCCAUGAUUUUCGCAAAGCUGACGAGGCUGAGAAAGACAGAUGGUUUGGAAUCGGCGUUUCGAUAAACUGCCCGUGAUUUCCGCAACGCUGACGAGGCUGAGAAGGACAGAUGGUUUGGAAUCGGCGUUUCGACAAAUUGCCCGUGAUUUCUGCAACGCUGAGUUUGCGUGUGACAGGUGCUGACGAGGCUGAGAAAGCUGACACUUCUUCGAUUUUUGAGAUCAGUCCGUGAUCCUUGAGUAGGCCUAGCUUUGGAGAAAGCAGGCGCUUCAUCGAUCUCUGAACUCGCCUCUUCGAUCUCUGAAAGCCCAUCGCAUGCUGUUUUUUUAUAGAGGUACGCAAGACAUUCAAAGCACACUUGAAUUUCUACCUGUGAAAAAAAACUCCCCUUUUGCAUAUCUGAGAUCUUUAAUUUGCCCGACCUCUUCAUUUUGUUGAACACCUUCGGAAAUGUCUUUCCCAUCUGACCGUCGUCUUGACUUGAAUAUCGAAGAAGAUAUUGACAUGUCUUCUCCAGGCAACAUUUGGCAGCUGUCCUUCGUAUCCUCCAACGAACCUCUUACGGUUGGGGACACUGUGAUGAGGAAUGACGCAACGGCUGCAGUGGUUGCUAGAAAUCUUCUCACUCCUAGGGAUAGUAAGAUGCUUUCCAAGCGGUCCGACGAGAUGGCUGUUCAAGACUCUCUGGCCUUCAGCGUCCAAUGUGCGGGCUCAGUAUCAAACAUGGGCCAACGCCUUCUUGCUCGAUCUCGUCAGGUUGAGUCUUUGAUGGCCGAGGUGGCUAGUCUUCGGCAGGAGAUCAGAGGGCUUAGGCACGAGAAUAAAGAGUUGCAUAUGCUAGCAACUAGUUACUCAACGAGCAUGAAGAAGAAGCUAGACCAACUGCAGGAGUGUGAAGUUCGGGCUCGAAAUGAUCAUCAAAGGUUUAUGGCGUUACUCCCGAGGCAUCUUCUGCCUUCGUCAUCUGGCGCUUCACCAAAUGUUGAGGCUCCGGAAAAUCAAACUCUGGCGCUUCGUCUUUCUGGAGCUUUACCAAGUGUGGAGGCUUCAGUUGAUCCACCUCCGGUGCUUCGUCUUUCUGGAGCUCCGUCGAGUACUGAGGCACCACAUGAUCAUCCUUGAAGAUCCUUUCCUGUAAAUUUGAUUUGACUUUUUUUUUAAGGUAUGUAUAAUGUAAAAUUUCUAGAAAAAUAAAAUGGACUUUAUUUCUCUGAACAUGUUUUUUUUGUUUUUUUUUUUGGCUGUAUAUUUUCUCUUUAAUCAUGGUGCACCCAUUUUCCACAUGGUGCCAGACGGACCAAAGAUCAAACAUUUCCUUUUUUUAUUUUUUUAUUUUUUCUUUAAUCAUGGUGGCAGACGCAUAAACAAUUUCAUUUAUAUUUUUUUUUCUUUUUGCUGGCACAUGGUGCCAGAUGCACCAUUCAUUUAUAUAUAUUAUUAUAUAUGUUUUUUUUAUUUUUUUUUAUUUGCACAUGGUGCCUGAUGCACCACCUCUUUUUUUUUCACGUGGUGCCAGCAUCACUUUGCUCCACCAUCCAUUUUUUUUAUUUUUAUUUUCUGUAUAAAUUUGGGUGAUGGGUAGAGGAUUUUGCAGGCAGGGAGCAAGGAGGCCGAGAAGAUGGUGCUUCGAACUUCAUGACCGGCUAGUCGUUUGACGGCGGUCGUUGAAGUCGUUGGCAGUUGCGAGGCAAAAGACGGAGGAGAAGGUGGAGUAGGUGACCUUGAUGUCGGAUCCAGCUAGAACCCAGAGCACAGCGACUGAGCCCAAUCACCGAGCACAACCGCUGCACACCCGUUGUACUGCCACCGAGCACUGCCACUGCGCAUCUGUUGCACUGCCAAUUGCUGCAAAGGAUUAUGUUUAACGGCGGAGACGCUGCCCUAUUUGCCAUGCUAUGCCGACGUGCUUCACAUAAUUAACCAUCCAGAAUUGUUAAACAUUCCAUCUGGGUUUAUCGCAAAAACAGAAGAAGAAAAAAACCAAGAUCCAUCCAUGCCAAACACCAAUCUGCCAUCUUUUUGGGAUUUGUACGACAUCAUCAGCCAAAACCUGCUUGGUCCGCUCGCAAAUUGUGGGAGAGGAAGAGUUGGCGGAGCAGCUGUAACACUGGAAAAUGGAGGACGUUGACGAGUCCUCCAAGUUGUUCUUGACGUUGGUGCUGGAGAAACCUGCCUCUCUCAUGACUCUGCUGACACUUGGGUCGUCAAGGAUGGGGAUGAUGAGCUGCUCGAGCUCGACUUUGAUGGUUAAGAGCGGCUGCUGCUGCUGCUCGAUGCAGUCUCUUCUCUGAUGGGCUUGGGCUCUCUUGAGGGCGUUGGAGAGAGAGGGCUGCCCGUGGAGGAGAGGGCAUGGAGUUGUUGGGAGAAAUCAGGGCCGGAAUGGAAAAUAUUCCCGAGCUGCAUCAACGAGGAGAUAACACCGCUAAGUUAUUCAUCUGGUUUGCUUUAGUCAAAUGGAUCAAUCCGCGGGUCAUGCUCGCUUGCCAUCAUCAUCCCAGUGCACAGGCAUGUCGGGCACAUGACCUUUCCAGCACCAGAGCAAUUUGGGCACCUCUCAGUUGUGGGCACUCGCAAAGGUUGGUCUGAUGCACUAGAUGCUGAUAUAGGAUUGAUGUUCAAGCACACUCCACUUGCAGAACAUCUAGCACAGGCCAAGUACCCAGUUCCAUGGCAAUAUUUGCACCUUUUCUUCUCUUGCUGCUCAACAUUAUUAGCUUCAAUCAACAUCAAUGCUGAAAUGACACCCACUGCCCCACCGGAGAAGGAUGCCACAAUAGGAUCAACCUGACUUAAUUGUAAAGGCAGAUGCAUGCUACGAAUGAAAUCUUCAUACGAGGUACCUCCUAUACCUAAUUUUAGUUCCAACGAUGGCGCAAUGAGACCCCCAAAUACAAUUACACUAGAUAUCAUAGAUAAGCUUGUGAGGUAGAGCUGCUUCAACGUCUUUGGUGUCAUAUGAGGGAGAAAAGGGAUAGUGGAUGGAAUGUCAGGCAUCUCAUUUGACUCUUCCUCACAAGCCUCAUCCAUAUCUCUCGCCAUCUUUAUCCGUUGCUGCACCCGCAAUCUCCUUAGCUCUUCCAUGAGAAGAAAAAUCUUGUUGUGCCGGCUUCUUAUGUUGUCCUAAAUUUCCUGUAGUUGCAUCUGCACAAAGUCCUGCACCGUCUCCGGCUCUUCUAUGAUACAAAAAGUGCUUGGCGUGUUAUCGCCGGGGAAUGAUUCCUUGGAAGCAGAACAGGAAAUUUGGGGAUGCGGGGAGGUGAAUUUGGACAGAGAGAGACGUCUAGGGAUUCCAUGGGAGGGGGGUUGAGAGUGGUUUUUUGCCGGCGCCUCUAGGGUAGUCGUCGUUGGCUAUUGCUAUAGAGAGGUCAAUGACUUCACCGGAGAUGGCGUUGUUCUGGAGCCCGAGCGUGAGAAGCCGGGUGAGAUUGUCUGGAAAGGGUCCCCAGAGGUUGUUGUCGGCGAGGUCGAGAAGCUUGAGCUUGGUGCAAUUGACGAGAGGAGAAACGGUGUCGUUGAGGCGGUUGUUGUGGAGGUCGAAGAGUGAGCUGGGCGAGAUCAGAGAACCUUGACGAAUUCGGAGCGUUGAGGGUUAUCAACACGAUCCCAUCGACGAAGAAGAAGCAGAAUGGGCCUCUUGCGGGGCCUAUGGCAUCAACCGGUCUUUGGGCUUCUGGGCCAGUAAAUUGGAGAGAAGCCUGGGCUUUUGACUUGCAGAGAGAUUAGGCUCUGGGAGCCGCUUGUAGUAUUGUGGCUAAAGGGGUUGCUUCCUGUGGCCACUUAUAUAUAUAUAUUUUGUAAAUACAUAAAACAUUUAUCUCUUUUUUUUUCUUUUUUUUUUGUACAAAGAAAUUGUAAUAGCAUCAAAACUUUUAAUAAAAUCUUUAUUCCUUAUUUUGGUGUGACUGAACUCAAAUUUUGAAUAUUCGAGUUGCCUACGUACCUCUCCAAAGAAGAGAUCAAGUCGUAACGUAGUUCAAAUGAGUGAUGAAUUUAACAGUGAUUUUGAUGAUGAUUUUGUCGUACACAGUUUAUGCUCUUGCGGGCCAGGAGCUUUGGUUCGUGCAGUUUAGGCUCGUGCGAACAAGGAGUGUUGGUGUUGCCUUUUAUGCUCGUGCAGACCAGGAGCGUUGGUGUUGCCUUUUAUGCUCGUGUAGACCAGGAGCUUUGUGCCAUGCAGUUUAGACUCGUGCAGGCAAGGAGCGUUGGUGUUGCCUUUUAUGCUCGUGCAGACCAGGAGCGUUGGUGUUGCCUUUUAUGCUCGUGCAGACCAGGAGCUUUGUGCCAUGCAGUUUAGACUCGUGCAGGCAAGAAGUGUUGGUGUUGCCUUUUAUGCUCGUGCAGACUAGGAGCUUUGUUGUGCCAUGCAGUUUAGGCUCGUGCAGGCGAUGAGCUUUGGUUCAUGCAGUUUAGGCUCGUGCGAACAAUGAGCAUUGUGCCAUGCAGUUAGGCUCAUGCAGGCGAGGAGCGUUUAUUGGUUCGUCAAGCGAUCCAGGAGAGUCGUUCCUCGCAAUCUUCAUAGCAAGGAGCCUUGACUGAGUGAUUGAAGAAGUCUUUGGGGAAGAAAUCGCGCAUCGUGAUGGGGAUGGACGAUAUUUGUGUCGUCAUUUCAUCAUCUUCAACACUUUCACUUUUCUUUGAAGGUUGACAAGAGCUGCUUUGCCCCAUUUCCGAUUGGCGGACUUGUGGAUGAGACGUAUGCUUCUUCUGCAGUUUCUCUAGAGUGACAUGAGUCAUUCCUUCAACUUCGCUUGGCUCAACUGGCAUGGUUUUGGAGCAUGCCCCCAGCGAUUGAGGUGAAGAUUUUGAGUUGACAAAGCCGGAAGUGACGUCUUCUUCCAUGAUUUCAUCUUCUUUGUCUUCUUGGGCUUGUUGGCGUGAAGAUUGGCCGGCGUAGAUGAUGGUGCGCCUCUUUACCUUCAGUGGUCCUUUUGUGUCGACCUCCCAAGCUGUUUGGCGCUUUAUCCUUGAAUGAAUCAAGCUUCGAACGUCGUCUUUUCCUGCUAGACCGUCGAGCUUUUCUUCCUUUGGCGUUGUCUUCCUAUUUCUAGAAUGCUUCUUGGUUUCUUCAAGUUUUUCCAAAGCCGAUCGUUGGGGAGGAGAGCCAGCCUUGCUGCUUUGUUUCUUAGGUUUUGACAACCUUUCAAAAACAGAGCUUUGGGGUGUUGGCGUGUUAAGCCGUUUGAAGAUGGAAGUUCGGUCUUGCCCACCAAUGCGAUCAAGUGCCGACCUUCUGGGUUUUGAACGAUUCAGCCUAUCGAAGACUGACACUCGAAUAGGAGGUUGAGGCUCCUCUUGAUCUUGUUCAAUCCUCAAGCUGAUGUGUCGAGUGCUAGCAUUUUUUGCUUUACUUGAAAUCUUCACGGGUGCAUUUGGUGUGAAGCCAAGUCUAGCUCUGUUGUUGUCAACUCCGUAAUCAUGCUUUUCCAACUUCUUCUGAGUCUCGGUGAAGUCAUGAUCUUUGUCGUUGAUGGUGUUUGAAACCUUCUUCUCAAGAUUUGAAGAGGAAGCAAAGUCGUACCCAGCCUUUAACAUGAGUUCGUAGGCGUUUGGGUUGAGACCUUCUUCGGUCCUCUUAGUUGGAAUGAAGCUUGGGUUCGCUUUGACGCCAUGAUGCGCCUCCAGACGGUUGAUAAGUCCAACGGUUUGCAAGUUUUUCUCCUCCGCAGUCUUUAUCAGCCUUGCAAUUGUUUCCUUCAUCUGAACUAGUUGUUCUUCAAUAGAGGUAGCGCCGAUGGUCAUGACUUGUUCUUUGUUUGAAGCCAUGAAGUGUGCUUGAAUUUCUUGAACAGAGAAAGAGAUGAGAGGUAGAGAUUGUCCCACUGGGCGUGCCAAUUUGUGAACACGGAAAAUUCCCGAAACGAAAGAGACAAGAACAACGUGCACAAACAAAUAUUUUGUAUUUGAUGAUUAUUUUGGGUUACAAUCUCUCUCUAAUUUGAUCCUCUGAUUCGAUCUCCGUAAGGUAUUGGUUUGUGGAUGUGCGAUUGAUCCAAGGGCCGUCGAGGCUUGAUCUUGGAUGAACGGAUCUUCAAGGGCUUUUGGGCUUAAUCUUGAAGAAUAGUGAUGAACGGGUCUUCAAGGGCUUUUGGGCUUGAUCUUGAAGGAUGGUUGGAUGUGUGGAUUUGUCGACGUUGUUGAUCCAAAGGGCCGUUGGGGCUUGAUCUUAGGAUGAACGGAUGAUGAACGAAUAACACUUUCUUCAAGGGCCGUCGGGGCUUGAUCUUGAAUUGGUGAAAGUUCUUCAAGGGCCGUCGGGACUUGAUCUUGAAGGUAGAUGAUUGUUGAUCCAAGGGCCGUCGGGGCUUGAUCUUGGAAGAACGAUGAACGAAGAACGAAGAAGGCUUUCUUGGUUCUUCGGGAACCUGGAUGCUUGAGAGCUUCGGAGUUUCAGAGCUUCAGAGCUUCAAGGUGUAAUAUGAAUUUGGUUCCCCUAAAUGAAUGAAAUUGGCUUCUAUUUAUAGAAUUUUUCAAGGCCUAAUUUUGAAUAUAAUAUUCCAGAUGAAAUAAGUCGUUUCUGCCAAGUGUUGACACGUGUCUUAUUUGAUGACUUUUCCGACUCAUUUCAAUUUUUCGUCGAGUCACACACUACGUGUAAAAUUUAUGUAAUACAUGAGCGUUGAAACUUUGAUUUAUCAGUCAACAUUUAUUUACCAAAAUUUCGAUGUCUACAGUUAAAUGAUUUGGCUGUGUGCAUUGUUUCAGGACAAUUUGUUCUUCGUUUUUUGGGGCUUCUGUGCGUAGCUUUGAAGUCCUUUGUAGUCAACAUAAAUAAUUUUAUUUUUCUUUGUUUUUAGUCUUCUAUGUAAGAAUUUCUUAGUUAAUAUUCUGAGAAUUAUGUUUACUAUAGUAUGAAAAUUGAAUCUUUGUGAUCUUCGAAGUGUAACGUCAUUGCAACAUGGACGACUGCCAUUAUCGAACAUGAAAAACAUUUUGAUUUCUGUACUCCGUCUAGUAGAAAACUCUCGACUUCUUCAGAAACCACGAGAAACUUAAAACUGAGAAAGCUUCGCGGUCUCCCUUCCAUCUCUGCUACGCGGUCUCUGCUUUGCGAUCUCUGCUUCCUUCGUGAUUUCUUCCUUCCUGAACGACAUCUAUUCGAAUUGAAAACCUUCUGGAGCUCUCUUCCCCAAAUUUCAGCAGCAACUUUGCUCCAGAUCUUUCCAAUUGAAAUUCCUCUCCUUCACAUUUUGCAUAUUGAAUUUCGCAUCAUCAUCAUCUCCCUAGAACCUAGGAGUUCGGUUCGGUUUCGAGUUUUCCGACGGAAAUCCGGCGACAGCGGCCAUCGAGGUUGGUCUGAAACUAUUCCUCAUCACCACAGGUACUUUCUACACCUAUUACAUUUUAGAAAAAGUUUCAUGACUUUGUGGAAUCCAAUUUAACGAUUAGAAAAAUUUUCAUUAAUUUUCUGGGUUCGUGAGUUGGAGGGGGAUUAGAAAUUUUUUCAUUAUUUUUCUGGGUUUGUGGUUUUUUUUUUCCAAAACGUUUUUCCUUUCUACUAAUCCAAGUUCCUUCACAUCAAUCUCUCUGUUUUGUUCUUGAUCUUCCUCGAGUAGAAUACCUCUUCUUGCUCUGGAGCGCGUGGGCAGUCUCUCUAAGGCAGCCCAUGACGUCAUUUUCCGAUUCGACUCGGAGGAGGUUGGCUGCUCUUCUUGGCUGAGCUUCAUGGCUGGCCGAAUUCCCCUAUUCCCUUCCUCUUAUACUUUUUUAUAUUCGUUCACCAAAACAAUAGGAAAACGUCUCCGUCUGUUUGAUUGACGGCGAAAAAAAAAAAGACGGAGAAUAAAAGCCUGACGGAAGCUGAAAGCUUGGACUCUGUUUGUAUUUUUAAUGGAUUUUCAGAACACAGGUCAAGAAUAUUGCGAUUUGAGAAAAAAAGAAAGAACCACGUUGACAUAAUAUAUUCACAAUAGGUGUACAAGGUUCAUAAAGCUUUACUGUGGUUCCAUUUUUUGUUAAUGGAAUUAGCCUUUUGUUUUAGGAAGAACUUGGAACCCCCUCCGUCCAUUCUAUCCCCAAUGGAAUUAACACUUAGAUAGUACUAUGACAAUGUGUCAUUAUUUGAUGCAUACCUGUAUAAAUUUAGGCUAAGUGUUUUAUACACAAAUUGAUACAGAUUAACUAUACAAUGAUAACUAUAUACCGGAGAGCUAACUAUACAAUGAUACAUUCUUAUCUGUUAAUUAUCUUUGGUUACCAGCUAUCCAUGUUGCUGUCAUAUUAAACUACACAACAUCAGUUGUAAUUUAUGUCUUAUUAGUAUCAUCAUUUUUGUUCAUUAUUUCAAUGUCUAACAUAACUCCGCCUAUGUCUUACAUGGCCGGUCCCAAGCCCGGAUAAAGGAGGAGGGGGAGGGCGUCAGGUAGUCGACAGCCGGCACUCCAUGAUCACGUCGAAUCCUUAUGAAAAUGAAUCCAGAACAAAACCCCACUUAGUGGGAAAAGGCUUUGUUGUUGUUGUAUUUCAAUGUCUAACAUGAUGAUCUGGUUUCAAUUUGCUACAGGCAUUAUUUCCAGACAAUAGCUAUGGUUUUGAUUGUAGCGGUGACUGAAAAAUUAUUCCGAAACUAACAUUUGAGGAAUUCAAGGUUUGUUAGUUAAUUUGUACAUCAGAAUACCAUGACAAACUAUGAAGUUGUAAUUGUUGACCUUACAAUGUAUCUUUUUUGGUUUGGAGCAUUAGACUUAUAUGUGUUGCUUUCACCUCAUGAAGGCUAACUCUUUAUUUUAGGCCGUAAGAGUAUAAUUUCUUGGAGAAUCUACAUUGUUGAUAAUUUUUUGAACAAUAUUAUCCCCAAAAUUUCUCCGCAUGUUACCCUCAACGUAGACAUCAUAUAACCAUCAUUGAACUUCUGAACCAAAAAUUUGAGUUUUAUGAUUAUAACUAAACGUCUAUAAACACAUGAUACAGAUUGAGACGAAUGUCAAAUUUAAAAUGGCAUUAAUACAGCUGCAAACUCUGAUUUGCGGGAUUUGAAAUGGAGCAGUUACUUCUUGCUUCACUUCAGCAGCAUAGUCCAGCUUCUAAAUUCAGUUCUCAGGUAUGAGGUUUCUCAGUUACCUCUUUUUUGUAAUAAAACAUUUGAUCAGUACUUGCCAGGAUAUCCAAUUAAUUAGGUCAGUUUUUGUUAGCAGUAAUAAUUUGUUUUUGCAGCUUUAUAUGUGUCUCUGUCUCCAAAUAUGAUGAUCUCUUAAUUUGCUUCUAUAGCUUUUGUAAUAUAAUGAUCUCUUAAUUUUCUUUUGCAUAUCUUCUUUGCUUCCUCUGCUAGCUCUAUAUGAGAUUCCAUCUCCAAAUAAUUAUUCCUUAUUUCCUAUUUUUACCAGAAGCAAAUCAUUGAAUACACAUGGUAAAUUAAAAGGGUUUUAGUUUUUGGAGUAGUUUAAAUUUUUUGUUUGUUAUUGCUUGUAUUGCUGUUAAAUAUUUGAUGGGUAGUUUGAAAUGGGGAACUUGGUUGAUUGAGUAUUAACUUUUAUUAAAUUAAUAUUCUUAUUCAAUAUUGAAUUAAGACUCCUCUUAUUAAAUUAAGACUCUUAAGGCUCUAAUCUAAUGUUCAUGCUCAAUAUCUCCUCUAUCUUUCUACAAUUGGUAAAACUUUUGUAUUAUUAUUCCAAUUUUGGUUACUGGGUUGUGGAAUUUUCCAUUUUUUUUCUGGGUAAUCAAUACUAUAUAUAUGCAUGACAAGUAUAAACAAUAUUUUGGGGCAAAUUUAGUUGUUUAAUUUUUAAUUUUUAUGUGACAGUGAGAUUAUGGUAGGAUUUCGUUUAGAUUCUGCGGCCCAAUGGGAGUCUCUGCUUUGAUAAGAUUGGGGUUGAUGCCAAGAAAGCCAAUAAGCCUACUGUGGACGCCGUAGCCGCCUGGCGCUGUUUUCCAAAAUCCUCUCUCACUUGGUUAAGCAAUUAAGACUUUUUGGUUCAGUUUUUAUUAUGCCCAAUUUUGUAUUUAAACCUUAAAAAAAUUUAAACUGAUAUGGGGAUACUGAAAUAGGCUGCAGAGCUGCCAUCCCUGAAUCAGAAGAUGUUCAGAAGGAAGAAGAAGAACAAGAAGAAAGUCGUGGAAUAUCAAAAGCUUUUAGCUUUGUGAAGGUAUGCUUUUUCCCAACUCACCUCUUGCUUUUGUUGCACUGAAUUGGUAGAUUGGGUUCAAAAAUAUAUAUAUGUGAUUUUUCGUGUAACUAUUUCUUUACAUAAUUACCAAUUGGAGGUGAUUUGAGAUCAUGUAACAUUUCCUCGCUAGAACCGAAGAUUGCCGUCGCUCAGAGCUGCGUUUCAUGAAACAAGUUCAUCUCCUGCCAAUUUUGUGUACCCACCUUUUAUUCAUGAGGGUUGGUGCUUGCUUGCAACACAAUUUGGUGCUAUUAAGUUUUGCGGUUUUACAAUUUGUUCAUGCUUAAACCUCUUUCAAAUUUUCAUUUCUAUGUAAAUCUUGCAGGUAGGACGACACACCUAUCUUGGCAAUGUCGGGAUGUCUAGGCUUGGGUGGAGACGUGGUCUUAUGGAAGAGGUGAAGUAGCUUAGCUCGAUCUCAUUAGCUCUUAUCUGUUCUAUUAUGCUAAGAUCAAUAGUAAAAAGUUCUAUUGAUUUUAUAAUCAAAGAUACAUAUAUUAUAGAAACAGAGGGUAUAUAAUUAAUUUCUUGAUGUAAACAAUUAUAACUUGAGGAACCAUUUAAAGUAUUUUGGUAAUCAGCAUACUUAAACUUAAAUGUGAUAUAUCCGUUUAGUAUUUUUUUUAUACAGUGAUAAUACUUAAGUAUAAUUUACAUCAUAUAUCUUUUGAAGUACAUGAAACUAUGAAGAAAAUGAUAAACCAAAUCCCAUUCCAUCUCUGUUUGCUACUGCACAAUCACAAUCCAAUUCCAACAUGGAAUCCUCAGACGACAUGCCUACUGCAGAACAAGUUUCAUCCUGACUUAACUUAUAUUUAGUCCACGUCCUGUUUAGAUUGUAAUCCUAGUUCUACGUGUGUUUGUAUAGUACUCCUAUAAAUAUCAAUGAACAUCGCUCACUCUAAUUAAGAGUUGAGAUUCUGCAAAUCAUAUUUACUAUCUUUCAUGGUAUCACGAGCCAGCGUCUAACGACAACGGUUCCUAUUAUAAUUUUUUUCUCUUUUGCAGAUCCUAAACUAUGGCAUCUUCUUCCUCCUCCGCUGCUCCCUCCAUCACAAAUUUUCUUACGAUCAAGCUCGACCGCAACAACUACCCUCUUUGGCAUGCUCAGUUUCUUCCCUUGCUGCGCAGCCGCAACUUACUCUCUUAUGUUACUGGCGAAACUCAAUGCCCCUCUUUCUUCUUGAUGACAAUGGUAAAUUCACCGAUAAAGUCAAUCCAUUAUAUAAUGAAUGGAUCCAGACUGACCAGAUGAUCCUAUCUUGGAUUACGAGUUCUCUUACUCCCAAGGUUCUUGCUACGAUCGUCAACAAAAUUGAUUCGGCCUCUGCUUGGUCGUCAAACUCGAAUUAAUCUGAUUGUGAGGGUUUUGUUUUAUAUCAAUAUAUUGCAACAGAAGUCACACUUUGAAGAGUUCAUGCUGCACAGAAAGAUGAUGAAAUGCUACCCGUUGAGUCUAUCAUUGCUCCAUUGGAGACAGAGCUGAAGCUUACUGCAGGAGUUAUACAUUUGUUAUGCAAUAUGACCCCUUUAAUUUUAUUUUAAAACUGAUACAAAAAUACUACAAAAAUUUAUGUAGUAUUUUUGUAUCAGUUUUGAGUGUCUAUUUUGGCUUCCAUAUAUCGUCUGUACAUGUGAGAGGUAUAGUGUUCAAUAUGUAUUUGGUUUCUAUAUUGUUAAUGGAUCCUUUUUUUUUUUUUAAUUUUAAUAUAAUUUUAUUAAGGUAACCAAGUUGCAGGAUGACAUCAGAACACUUGAUCUGCAGGUAAACCUUCAAUUUCCAUAUGAAGUUUGCAUGUUCGUUGUUUCUGGAAUUUGAGUUUUUAUUAUUUCUCAAUUCUAUCACAUAGAUUACGAUUUCACAUAUGUGAUUAUUAAUGGCAAUUAUAUGAUAGAAGAAUUGGGAUUGGAAGAAGAUAUUGAGUUGUUUAUUUAUGGGGAUUAGAAAAUGAUUAUCAUACAAGUGAUAUUUAUUUUUGUGUGGAUUGUUAAUAUAUAAAACUAUAAGCUUUUGAGAUUGGGAGAUAAAACCCACAAAUUCAAAUCAGACAAAAUAAAUAAAAAAUUUAACUGACUUAAAGAUCAAACUCCAAAAGGGUAUUAAAAACAAGGCUUAUUUGAUCCAUUGAGUGUGAAAGUUUUGAGCUUUGAAGAAGCAUAGGAGGAGAGUUGUUAACCAAGCUGCAUUAUCCAUGUAUUAGGAUGUUGAGGGUAGGCAGGAAAAAUACUUUUUGACGCCAUAUCCAGAGGAGCAUAACGACAGGCCUGCAUUUUUGCAGCAAGGACCAAAACAAGUAGAAGUGAAGGCUUGACUGUUUGGGUAUUAAUCCUAAACCUAAUUAUUCUUAUUUAGGUUUAGGAUAAAUGAUUGAGUGUGUCUCGAUGAUUGUAUUACCAUGUUUGAUGAAUGACUUGAGGAGUUGGAAAUGGUUUAUUGCUUAUGUUUUUCUUAGGUGUGUACUUUGGUUAUUUCCGAGCUUUUCACGACUCUUGAUACCUAAUAGAGAAAAUGGAAACCCCAACUUUAAUUUUAUGAAUUGGUUUUGGUGCCUAAAAUGAAAUCUAGCAUAGUGAAAUCUUGCAUAAUGAAAUUAUGACAAAUUUCCCUUCAUCUUUAGAUUUUCAUUUAGUUCAAUUUGUAUGCAAUUUAGGGUUAUUCAAUUCAUGAGUGAUCAAAUUAUGUUUUUAAUUCCUUCUUCUUUUGAUUUACAGUUCAACAUUGUCGUACAAAAUGAAAAAGGUGCCAGUAACAUAGUUAUGGAUUUGGAUGCCUUUAGCGGAAUAAAACUGAAUUUUUUAACUUUGUAUAGUUGUAAACAUAAAAUACUCCAUCAGAUAGACUCAUAGCAUUUGAAAACAAUCCUUGAGGAUGGCAUAACAACAUCUCCAACUUUUGUCAUGUAAUGUAUGAAUGUAAAUAGCACUUUGUAAACAUAUGGAUGUAAUAUAUGUAUAUAAACAGUCUUUAGCAUGUAUAUUUUUCAAAACUUUCUACAUCUUCAACAAUGUUUCAAUGAUUUCUUGAUGUAAACAAUGAUAAUUUGAAGAACCAUUUAAAGUUUUCGGUAAUCAGCAUACUUAAGCUUAAAUGUGAUAUAUCCGUUUAGUAUUUUUUAUACAGUGAUAAUACUCAAGUAUAAUUUACAUCAUAUAUCUUUUGAAGUACAUGAAACUAUGAAGAAAAAACCCUAAUUAAUCUGAUUAUGGGGGUUUUGUUUUAUAUCAAAAUAUUGCAGCAGAAGUCACACUUUGAAGAGUUCACGCUGCACAGAAAGACGAUGAAAUGCUAUCUGUUGAGUCCAUCAUUGCUCCAUUGGAGACAGAGCUGAAGCUUGCUGCAGGUGGUAUACUUUUGUUCUGCAAUAUGACCCCUUUAAUUUUAUUUUAAGACAGAUAGGGUUGAAAAGAAUUUAUGUAGUAUUUUUGUAUCAGUUUUGAAUGUCUAUUUUGACUUCCAUAUUUGGUCUGUACAUGUGAGGUAUAGAGUGUUCAAUAUGUAUUUGGUUUCUAUAUUGUUAAUGGAUCUUUUUUUUUUGUUUUUUAGGUAACCAAGUUGCAGGAUGAAAACAAAACACUUGAUCAGCAGGUAAACCUUCAAUUUCCAUAUGAAGUUUGCAUUUUUGUUGUUUCUGGAAUUUGAGUUUUUUGCAGGAUGAAAACAGAACACUUAAUCUGCAGGUAAACACUUGAUUUGUUAUUUCCAAGCUUUUCACGACUUUCGAUACCCAAUAGAGAAUAUGGAAACCCCAACUUUAAUUUUAUGAAUUUGUUUUGGUGCCUAAAAUGAAAUCUAGCAUAGUGAAAUCUUGCAUAAUGAAAUUAUGACAAAUUUCCCUUCAUCUUUACAUUUUCAUUUAGUUCAAAUCGUAUGGUUUAGGGUUAUUCAAUUCAUGAGUGAUCAAAUUAGGUUUUUAAUUCCUUCUUCUUUUGAUUUUCAGUUCAGCAUUGUCGUAUUUUGGAUGCCUUUAGUGGAAUAAAACUGAAUUUUUUUAACUUUGUAUAGUUGUAAACAUAAAAUACUCCAUGAGAUAGACUCAUAACUUUUGAAAACAAUCUUUGAGGAGGGCAUAACAACAUCUCCAACUUUUGUCAUGUAAUGUAUGAAUGUAAAUAGCACUUUGUAAACAUAUGUAUGUAAUAUAUGUAUAUAAACACCACUCUUUAGCAUAUAUAUUUUUCAAAACUUUCUACAUCUUCAACAAUGUUUCAAGCCCCGCGGCAACGGGCGGGUACACUUGCUAGUAUACAUCUAAAAUUAUAAGACUAAAUCCUUUAGUUCUUGGAUUCAUCUAAGAACUACUUAUUCCAGCAGAUGCUAUGCUUGCACUACUAGAAUUUAUGGCUUGCCCUGUCAACUAUUGCGCGACAGAAGAUUUCGUCGGUUUCACCUUUUUUAACCGACAGAAUAUAAGUUUAGUAGGGCAAAAUCAGUCAACAAACUGGGUUGAUUGAAUAAAUUUACAGGAUGGCUAGAGUUCGUAGGUUAAGACAUCGGUCGUUGGGCAAACAUUUGGAGCGAAGAUGUGAGUGUUUUAACUGACGAAUAAGCUGGUCGUCAUGUAGAUCUUCUUUCCCGACGGACGGUUCAACAGGUAGCUCUUUGGAUAAUAAUUCAUCUUCAAGGGGAACAGGUUGCCCCUCAGAUGAAUGGUUAGAGGCAAUUGUGAGACUAUAAUUUUCUAGGGCCGGAAUAAAAAAUACAUAAACCCUCACCUAUUCUGUCUCUGUAACCAUCCACCAAAUACCCAUUUUUCCCUUUCUAUUUCUCUCCUAGUAAUUUCCCCUGACCGAAUCACACAAUCCAACCAACUCUCUUUAAGCCUCCCUCACUGAUUCCAUGGAUUUCAUGGACUUAUCCCACCCUCUCUCCUUCCUUCUAUAUAUAGCAAGUCCCCUUGCCUCAGUGUCCCUGGCAACAGAAUUUAUGGCGUUUCUUCGUUCUUUCAAUUAUUUGAAAGCUUCCCUGCCCUGCAAUCUUGUAUAAAGGCGUAUGGUGUUUCAUCAGUUCCAUUUGGUGGUCGGGUGGGAAAUGAAAUUAAAACACUGCAUUUCAAAUGCAUUUCAAAUGGUCUAAACCAAAUUGAAUCAAAUGUGAAGCAAAGGGCAAGAGGUGUAGAUUGAAGAACAAUGGCACCAAGAGCGAAAUUGAACUUGUUGACAGGAGGAAACCAAGUAAGGAUAACACGUCUAAAUCUUAUUUUGAAUCCAUUCAGCUCAUGAUGUUUUGAAUGAUGAUGAUCGGUAUACUCUGCUACAUGCUGUGAUUUUUCCGCUUUCAUGUAAUUAACGGCUUAUAUUUGUGGUAACCAUAUUGAUUAAAAAAGGUCGUACCCAGUGCACAAGGCUCCCGCUUUACGCAGGGUCUGAAAGGUGAAUGUCGGCUAGCCUUACCCCCAUUUUAUGGAGAGGCUGCUCCAAAGUCUCAAACCCAAGACCUACCGCUCAUGGGCGAAGACACUUGCCAUCGCACCAAGUGCGAUAUUGAUUAAUUUCGAGAAAUGACAGUCUAAUUUUUGCAACUGUCUUUUGCAGGCAAAACAAAGACGUUUGCAAGGGUGAGUUGUGUAGGAGCUUUGUUUCAUGUCCAAAGGACACUUGAGAAUAAAUGUUUACACUCAUGGAUAAUAUCUAUCUAUUUGCAGGAGUAACCCUGGGUUCAUUUGUUCUGUAACUGCUGGUCAUUGCGGCAUAUCACGCCUAUAGCACUGACAAAAGUAAAAAGAGAAUCGAAUGAAAUUUGAUAAGUUUUCAGCGGACUACAAAGAUCUUAAGCCAAGCAUAUAUUCCCAUGCAGAUAUUAAGAGGUUUACAAAUCAAUUCAAGUACAAGUUGGGCCAAGGAGCAUACGGAACUAUUUUUAAAGGAAUGCUUUUUUCUGAAUGCUUUGUUGCCAUGAAGUACUUAACAAUGGGCCAUAUUCACCAUGUCAAUGUGGUUCACUUGGUUGGUUUUUGUGCUGAUGGAUUUAGAUGAGCUCUGGUUUAUGAGUUCUUUUCCUUUGGUUCACUCCAGGAUUAUAUUUCAUCAGUAGAUAGAUUUCUUUCCUUGGUUGGCAUAAGUUACAAGAUAUUGCUAUCAGCAUAGCCAAAGGAACCAAGGAUGUGAUCUACAAAUCCUCCAUUUCGAUAUCAAACCCCAUAAUGUUUUGCUCAACCAAAAAAUCACGCCAAAAAUCUCUGAUUUUGGUCUGGCCAAGUUAUGUUCCAAGGAUCAAUCGGCGUGACUAAAGCAAGGGGGACUAUGUGACUAAAGCACCCGAAGUGUUUUCCAGGAAUUUCGGAAAUGUGUCUUACAAGGCAGAUGUCUUGAAUGCUGCUGCUUGAGAUGGUAGGAGAAAAGAAGAAUAUUGGUUCAACCAGAGGACACGACAAAUGAAAUCUACUAUCCAAAAUGGAUUUAUAAUCUUCUAGAGGAAGGAAAUGACCAACAGAUCCCUAUUGAGGAAGAAUGUUAUGGUAAGAUUCCAAAGCAACUUGCAAGUUUAGGGCUCUGGUGCAGCCAGUGACACUCAGUGGAUCGGCGGUCCAUGAAAACGGUGGUUCGGAUGUUAGGAGGAGGAGAAAACUUGAUGAUGCAAGCAACCCUAAAAGCCUCAUACAGUUAGAAGCAAUUGCUGAAUUAGAGUAACAUACGUAUAUGUAUACGCACCAACACAAGUCGUUCUUAGAUGAAUCCAAGCCAAACAAUUACAGACAAUAGUUAUUCACUAAAUCACUUUAAGGCAAGAAUUUAAUUAAUAAUACAUUACUGCACUUUCUUAACCAUUUGACUAUCACCUAGCUGACAAUGAACACGUUAGCUCCGCGUUAGAACAUCUUGGGUUCAAUUCAUUGUCUUGAAUAUCACCCACUGUCACAGGCGUCUUUUGGGGGCAUAGAGAAGGCCUGAGAGGCAUUUGCAGACAUUCAACAUCUCCUCCAAGCAUUUUGACAACUUUGGACAUCGAAGGGCGAUCACUUGGUUUCAUUUGAAUACACCACAAGGCGGUUAUAACCAUCUUUCUUAUUACUUUCUUUUCCUCCUCUGUAACAUUGUCCAUUUCCAAGUCAUUUCCUACAAUAUACUGAUCGUAUACCCACAUUGGGAAGUAGAUUUGGCUUGAAUGCUCUACCGUUGGAUUCAAAUUCCUCCUUCUGCUUGCCAUUUCCAUCAACAACAUUCCAAAACUAUAGACAUCUGACUUAUAUGAGACGCCUCCAAUAUUUUUGUAGAACAACUCAGGAGCAAUAUAUCCCAGUGUACCCCGUGCUGCUGUCAAAGAGACAAUGCUAUUAUCUACAUGAUACAAUUUUGCAAGCCCAAAGUCAGAAACCUUUGCUUUAAAGUUCUCAUCAAGAAGGAUGUUAUGAGGCUUGAUGUCGAAAUGUAGAAUUUGCAUUUCGCAACCUUGGUGUAGAUAUUCGAUCCCUUGAGCCACUCCAAGAGAAAUCUCGUACAUGUUCUUGAUAGUUAAGGGGACACUUCCUUCUUUGGAAUAAAUGUAUUUAUCAAGAGAACCAUUAGGCAUGAAGUCAUAGACUAGAGCGCGUUUUGAUCCCUCAACAUAGUAUCCAACAAGUUGCACCACAUUGGCAUGGUGAAUCCUUCCGAUUGUAGCUAAUUCGCUAAUGAAAUCUUGGCCAUCAGCUUUGGGCUUGGCCAAAACUUUAACUGCUACAAAUCGACCACUGCGUAGCUUUCCCUUAAAUACAGAGCCAAAGCCACCUUUGCCCAACUUGUCCUUAAACUUGCGAGUCAUUUUCUUGACGUCCGAGUAAGAGUACCUUAUAGGCAUGAAGUUGUUAUUGCAUUGCAGAAAAUCUUCUAUUGUGCUAUACAUUGAUAAAUGUCUUCUGCGCCAUGUGUAGAUUAGAAAUGCAGUCACAAUUGGAACUCCAAAAACAAAUCUGGCUAGGAAAAAUAACCCUACAUGCAUUGACAUUAAUAUGUUAGAUCCACUGCGUACUACUUUUUCUUCCCUUUCUUUCCAAAUUACUUUGUCUUUGAUGUAAUUAAAGAGAGAAUGGGAAAUGUACAUAUGUUGAUAAUACAAUCUCGUCUUAGUCCUUACCGAUGCAUAUGAGUAUAAACCAUACACGUACUGCAACAAAAUCAAUCGACUAUGAGUUUGAAAAGUGCAUAAAGUGAAAAAAAAAUAAAAAAAAUCAAAGGGUGCCUUUAUUGACAUCCAAAUUUUAGUUAGUUUUACUCAACUAAAAAAUUUUUGUCAUCAAACUUUUUAAUUUGCCGUCGAAAUUGAGUUCACCCAACCCACAAAGCAGCAACUACCACUCACCAAAAAAACCAACAACACACAGCCACCAGUACCAUUCACCAAUAGAAAGAGAAGGAACACACAGACCCACCAAGGAGCCGGCAUCGACGCGUCUACGAGGGAGGGACCGGAGGGUGGUGUAGUUUUGUUGGGCGCGCGGUAGUGGUUUUGUCUGUUCAUUUUCUCUUUGUUUUGGUAGGUGGAGGCUGGUGUGGAUUUGGGCGAACUUAAAAAUGAGGGGAAACUAUGAAGUUUGACAAAAUGUUUUAGUUAGGUGAACUUCACUAAAAUUUGGGUGCCGAUAAAGAUACCCAAAAUCAAAAGACUAGAUGGACUAAUUAAAUGAAGCUCUUACCCAUAUAUAACGAUGGACGCAACUUGCCAGCUGCUGCAGUACAUACCACGGAAAAGUGAGCAAAGACAUACAGUUACUAGGUUUAAGAAGUACAGAUAGAGCACACAAAAAAUAAAAGAAGCUUUUGGGAAGAAACUUCUUACGCAAAUAGAUUUUUUUCAUGACCUACAGUAAAAAAAUGUCAAGAAGAAUACACAACAUUAGCAAUAGCUCACCCAGUCUUCAAAAUUUAAAAAAUCAAGUUUGUCGAUCGAAAACUUGUAAAUAAAACAAAAAGAGGACCCCUUACCGAUUUGUUGCCAUAGAUAUUGAAAGAAACCUACAAGAACAAAGAAAGAACAAGACCACAUGCAUUAGAAUAACAAGUGUGAGGUGUAUAAGCCGUUAGAAAAUAAAUUUAAAAUUCUAGUGCUGUCAAUACAUUGAUAAUAUAUAUAUAUAUAUAUAUAUAUAUAUAUAUAUGUAUGUAUGUAUUAUUUUUUCUGAAAAUUUAACUUUUCCCGUCCAAACUCAUUUUUCUAGUCUCUAGCCCAACAUAUAAUAUUUAUCUGAAUAAAACCAAAUGAUUAGGAUCCAACUAAGAAACUUACCAAAUUAAGUUUGUGUGUCCAUUUUUAUAUUUUUUGGAUCCCUAAUAUACCCCAUCUAAGCCAGUAUGGAAAGGUCUUGUAAUUUUGCUUUAAGUGAUUACGUGCAUUGAAUUUGGCAAGGUCUUAUAGCCAUGAAAUAUGGUUCUAGAUGGAGGAAUUAAUUUGGAAUUUUUUUUAAUUUCGACAACAAAUUUCAAUUUGAAUAUACCUAAUUUAGUGUUUAUUUUCAACAAUAAAUGUGCCUACUUUUUAAAUUUGUAACAAAAUUAAUUUACCUACUUUUUAUGGUAUUAGUGACACACCCUGUCCCGAAGGAGGGCAUGCUGGCCGUCACGAGAGAGUGACGUAACCAUUUGCACAGUACGGAAGCUUUAAGAUACAAUUUAUAAGUUGAUACACCCGAAGGUGAGUCCUAAUUUUUGUCCAAUCUGUCAGAACACCGUCAAAUUCCUCGUAGUCACCACACCUUUGUGAUUCCUGAACCUGGAGGGGCGCAAAACCAAAAUUGAGUGGGUCAGUAAAACAAUUCUUUUCCAAAUCCAAACAUUUCUCAAAACGUUGUAACCCUCUCCGUAAAACUUGUAUACUUUCCCAGAAAUGUAAAAUAUAAAUAUACAUAUAUAUUCUCAAACUUCAUUUUUACUAUCUCAACAUUUUUCUUUAUCAAACAUGCCAUGCCAUGUCUAAUUCAACAGUUAAGUAUGGAUGCAUCAACAAUAAUCAUAUCAGGUGCAAGAAAGUAAUCAACCGGAGGCCCUCUAAUAGCCCUGUACGGUUGAACCUAGAGCUCAAAAUCUAUCACUCUCACUCUGCCGGGAGUCACCUCUGUGACCUGUCCGGCCUUCUGCACACAAGUUACGCUCUAGUGCUUUCUCAUCAAUCAUCUGUGCACAUAAUCUAAGGUCACCCACCAGUCGAAAUCUCACUAACACUCUUCGACUGGCCCGUCGCACCCACUCCGCGUGGACUGUGCGACCAGCAUCUACUUGGAUCCAAGGCGAGCGUGCGAUGCGGUGAAUACUAUAAGCACUAAACCAUGGUGCAGGAUUUGAGCUCAAUAUAUAUCAACAUCAUCAUAACAGUACUUAAAUACUCACCUGAUACUCACCUGUGCGUCCGCCGCACCAAUUCAUACAUAUGCAUCAUAUUUCAAUUCAUAUCAUUUCAUGCAUGGCAAUUCGAUUCACAUUUCUAUAUACAUUUCAUAUACUUCUAUGCAUGACCUUUCAAUUCACGUUUUCAUAUAAUUCUAUAUACCUUUCAUUUAAAACAUAAUUUCAUUCUAAUUCAAUUUCUGGGAAAACGUCAAGUAUAUAUAUACGGAAAACAAAACUGCCCACUCACCUGGAGUUCGUCCAACAACUCCCUAGCACCACACAUCAAGGCGUCAUGACGAUCGCCGUCUAGAACAGUAAUCAAAUCCAGCCUCAGAAUUCAUAUCGAUAGAACAUAUAACUUAUAUAAAAUAUGUCACUACGUAGAUCGAUCCGGAAGAUCUGCCACUCAGAUUUUAAAUCCAUAACUUCCAGAGGUCCACAAUAUAUCUCUAGGAUAACAUCCUAAAAUUUCAUUACCAUCCAACGGUCGGAUCUCCGUCAAUUUCCAAAACUAAGUGACGGUUAACAUUUUAUUUUAUGAACUUACAAUUCUAAUUCCGGAAGAUCCGUAACUCGGAUUCCCAAUCCGUAAGUUCCAAUAAUCCUCAAAUAUUACGUAUUACAACGUAUCAAAGUUUGGUAACGAUCCAACGGUCGGAUCAUCAAUUCACAUUUUCACCUAAUGCGAAAACUAUAAAACGUUAUUCGAACACCUAACCAACAAUCCUUAAUAACUUUCUCAUACGGUGUUCAAUUUGGGUAUAUGAAUAUACCACAGUGAUCUACUCAUUAAAAUAAUUUUUUACUGUAGCACGCGCCCCCACGCGCCAAGGAAGGCACGGACCUACGCGCCCCCACGCGCACCUUCUUCUUCCUUGGGUCGCCGGACUGGUUUUUCCGGCGGCCGUUUUUCAAAUUGCCAUAACUUUGUCAUUUCUCAACGAAAUCAAGUGAUUCAAAAACGAAAGUUGUAGCCCUUGAAGAGACAAAGAGAAUGGUACCUUGCACAACACCUAGUUCGCCGUGGUUUGGCCGGAAACUGCUUCGAAAGCCUCGGAGGUCGCCAGAAACUGGGUAUUUUUCAAAUCAGUAUAACUUCUUCAAUACUCAACGAAAUUGAGUGAAACAAAAAGGAAAGUUGUAGUACUUGACGAGACGAAGAGAUUGAUACCUACCUCGACUCCUAACUCACCGGAUAUUCGCCGGAAAAUGCCUCGAAAGCUCCGGCCAAACUUUGAACUUGUCGAUCUCCGUGUUCUUACAUCCAAAAACUUCCAACGAAGCACUCCGAGCUUCCUUGGGACCUCACUAAGCUCGCUAUGAUCUUGUUUUAGCCUAAAACGUAGUCAUUUAGAAGAUCAUGAACAAUACCAUUUCACGGGAACUUUGAAACUAGGGUUUUCCGAAGCAAAACUUACCUGAAAUGGAUACCAUCGUGAUCGUGGAGGUUCCAGGAGUUUGAUGGUGGUCUUAACUCUGUCGUUGGUGGAAGUUUAAGGUUGUUUUGUGGUUGGUUUGUUCGAACGGAGAAGAAGAGUGACAGAGAGAGUGAGAGAGUCGUGAGGGAAGAGAGAGAGAGACAGCAUGCAGAAAAUAGGGAGAGGAUUGAGGGGUGUGGGGAUCCCACGUGGUCCUUUUCCAAUCCCCAACUCCAAACCAUAAAAUUUUAACCUAAAAAUCUAAGUUCAAUCCUUAAUAAAUUCCAUUUUAUUUUCAAAACUUAGGAACCUAGAUAAUUAUCAACUUGAGCUUCACAUACUUAGUAUUUCUUAAGGGCAAUUUCGUUCAUUCACAGCCACGAAUGUAAUAUUUUGGAACGGGCUGUGACAAUUAGUAUACAUAAAUGUAGAAUAUAUGUCCGUAUAUAUUUGAUCCAAUUAGUAUUAGGGAGAAUGACAAGUCAUCCAAGUCUGCUACUGUUAAUAAUUCUGUUACUGUAAAUUAACUGAUUGUAUUAGUUGUGAUUAGUUAAGAUAGUUAUAAAGUAGUUAGGGGUAUCUAUGUAAAUAGCCAAAGGCUAUAUAUAUUCCUACACAAUGUGUAAAGUUCUCAGUCAAGUAAAUACAAUCAAGAAAACUUACUGUUGAAGUUUUCUGUUUCUACAUGGUAUCACGCCAUUCCGCUUCACAGCUUCGAUCUUUCUCUUCGCUUGCUGCAUCGAUCGACUCUUGAUCGAUUUUUCUUCUCUGAUCUUCUCUUCGCUUGCUGCAUCGAUCGACUCAUGAUCGAUUUUUCUUCUCUGAUCGUCACUUCUUCCCUUCCGAUCUUGUAGUAUUUUCUUGAUUUCUGUCAGUAAUGGCGGCUCAAUCGACUGGUUCAUCUUCUCCGGUCAUCUCCCCCUCGAGCCCAAACCCUAAUUUUCUCUGGAAACCCUAAUUCCUCUGGAAAUCCGAGUCCUCUGACUUCCUACACUUCUCUCUCACAAUUCAUAACAUCGGCAGCAUGGUGCCGAUCAAGCUCAAAAGAUCCAAUUACCUACCAUGGCGCGCCCUGUUUGGCCCGAUUUUCCGGCGAUACAAGCUUCUUGGAGUAAUCGAUGGUACUGACGUCUGUCCAUCGCCAUUUCUGCCUGAUCGUAGCAUCAAUCCUGCUUUUGAGGACUGGUAUGAGAAAGAUCAAAAUCUUUUUGAUCUGGUUGAAUUCCACACUUUCUGAGGAAAUCAUCCCGUUCACGGUUGGGGUUUCAUCCUCUCGAGAACUUUGGGUAAAGCUUGAACAGCGCUUUGGUGGAAUUUCAGAGGCUCAUAUCCAUCAGUUGCGAUCGCGCCUUCAAUCUGUUCAGAAAGGAUCGCGUUCUAUCUCUGACUAUCUUCAAGAACUCAAGGAAAUUUCAGAUUCUCUGCAAGCUGCUGGUGCUUCUGUCUCUGAUCGAGAUCUUAUCGCCGCCACACUACAUGGCUUGCCUGAUGAAUUUGAGUCUUUCAUCGACUGUAUCAUGCUCCGAUUGUCCUCUACCUCUCUGAUGAACUUCAUGGCCUCCUUCUCACAAAGGAAUUGUCUAUGGCCAGACGCAAAACUGUCAGUUCAUCUCCUGUCCCUGAAUCUUUUCAGGCUUUCUCGGUGCAGUCUCAGCCUCAUCUCCUUCCUACUCCAUCUGCUUUUGCUGCUCAGAAUCUCCCUCUUCAAUCUGCAUCUCGGUUCAACUCUAAUCGUGGCAGGAACACUAAGGGCCAGUUCUUUUCCAAUCGAGGUCAUCGAGGUAAUCGUGGUAAUUUUCCUAAUAAACCGUGGCAAUCGAGGUUAUCAAGGAUUUCGCAGCAAUCAAGGCUCUUCUCACUUCAAAGUGCUUUGUCAAAUCUGUGGUUCUACCAGUCAUGAGGCUAUUGACUGCUUUGAUCGUAUGAAUCCUGACAUCUUGUGGUCGUAUUCCUCCAGCUAAGCUUGCUGCCAUGUGUGCCACAACAUUCUGCUAAACCAUCUCAGCCUUGGUUAAUUGAUUCAGGGGCAACCUCUCAUAUCACUAAUGAUGUUGCUAACCUCACCUCUCCUACUCCCUACACUGGCGAGGAUUAAAGUGUAUAUUGGAGAUGGUAAAGGUUUAUCCAUCCUCAAUGUUGGUUCAUCUACUCUGCACACCUCUCAUAAUUCUUUUCAAUUGCGAAAUGUUUUACAUGUUCCCCACAUAACCCAUAAUCUUAUCUGCUUAUCAGUUUUGUUAAUGAUAAUAAUUGUUCAUUGACACUUGACCCUUAUGGAUCCUAUGUCAAGGAUCGUAUUUCGGGGAAGAUGCUUUUACGGGGACCGGUUAGAGAUGGCUUCUAUCCUCUUCAAAGUUCCAGCAAUCUUCAUCCUCUUUCACAUACCGCUUUACUUAGUAUUAAAGCUCCAGUUACAAUUUGGCACAAGCGUUUGGGUCACCCUUCCUCCUCCAUUUUUAGAAGGCUCCUUUCAUCCAAUAAUCUUGCUUUACAAGGCAAGUCUACUGUGGACUUUUUCUGUUCGGAUUGUGCUCUUGCCAAGAAUCAUAAGCUUCCAUUUAAAGCUGCUACUUCAUCAUCAACUCACAGCCUUCAACUACUGCACUGUGAUCUGUGGGGACCUGCCUCAAUCACAUCAAGUAGUGGUUUUCAAUAUUAUUUGCUCAUUGUUGAUGACUAUAGCAAAUAUAGUUGGUUCUUUCCUUUGAAAUCUAAGUCAGAUGUAUUUUCUACAUUUGUUGUCUUCAAAUCAUAUGUAGAAAAUUCACUUGGAAAUAAAAUAAAGGUUCUGCGUUCAGAUUCAGGGGGUGAAUUUACUAGUCACUCUUUUGCAUCAUAUCUCAGCAAACAUGGCAUUCUUCAUCAGUUCAGUUGUCCCCACACCCCUGAGCAAAAUGGUUGUGCAGAAAGAAAGCACAGGCACCUUGUUGAAAACAGCUCGCACUUUGCUUCUUGCAUUCUCAUGUCCCUCAUAUUUUCUGGGUUGAAGCAUUCUCCACUGCUAUCUAUCUUAUUAAUCGCCUUCCUAUUUCUGGCAUUUCACAGUCCCCUUGGCAGUUGCUAUUUCACAACCAUCCAGACUACUCUAAGCUCAAAGUAUUUGGUUGCCAAUGCUUUCCUUGGCUCAAACCUUACUUUCAUAGCAAAUUGGAUCCCAAGAGCAAAAAGUGUGUUUUCUUGGGGUAUAGUCUUCAACACAAAGGCUAUAGGUGCCUUGAUCCUAUCACCAAUCGCAUCUACAUCUCUCGUCAUGUCUGUAUUCGAUGAAAGUACUUAUCCAUUUCAGUUGUCCCACAUUCAACACUCUUUUCCUGUUCCAAGUCCUCCAUCUUCCUCACCAACAAUUUCUUCCUCUCUGGAUCUUCAUUUUUUAGCAAACACAUUCCUCCUGUUUUCAGUCAGCCAUCUACAUCACCAUUAUGUGCUUCUGUGCCUGUUCCUAUUUCUUCAUCUUCAUCUUCCCCUGCACCUGUCUCAGUUGGCUCUUCUUUCCAGUUUUGUUCCUCCUUCAGCACAUUCAUCUUUCUCCCAAAAUCAACAGAGUCAUCCUCCUGCCCCUGUUAAUUCUCAUCCAAUGAUUACUAGAUCCAAGGCUGGUAUACUCACGUCGAGAGCCUGUGCAGCAACUAAGCACCCACUUCCGGUUGAUAUGGAUUAUGUUCCUACAACAUACUUGCAAGCUUCUAAGCAUGCUCAUUGGAGGCAAGCUAUGCAAGAUGAAUUUAAUGCCUUGCUAACCACUGGUUACUUUGGUCUCUUGUUCCUUCUCACCAUUCUCAAAACUUAGUGGGCUGCAAGUGGGUUUUCCGGAUUAAGAAGAAGCCCGAUGGCACUGUUGACAGAUAUAAAGCCCGGCUUGUGGCCAAGGGUUUUCAUCAACAAGAAGGUAUUGACUUUUCAAGAAAACCUUCAGUCCAGUUGCCAAACCGGUUACAAUUCGGAUCCUUCUUACCCUUUGCUGUGCAAUAUAAUUGGUUUCUCAAUCAAUUGGACAUUAGUAAUGCCUUUCUUCAUGGAGACUUAAAGAGAGGAUGUCUACAUGCAACAACCCCCUGGUUUUGUUGAUCCCUUUACCCUACAUUUUGUAAGUUGAGGAAAUCGUUGUAUGGUCUCAAACAAGCUCCUCGAGCUUGGUUUGAUAAACUGUUCCAAGCUCUUCCUCUCUUGGAUUCACCCAAUCAUCCUCAGAUGCUUCUUUAUUUGUUCUCAAUGGUCCUCAGUUUAGUCAUUGUCCUUGUCUAUGUUGAUGACAUUCUUGUCACCGGACCCUAUCCUUACCUCUGUCAACACUUCAUUCAGCAACUUGGGGCUCAAUUUCCAGUAAAAGACCUUGGUCCUCUUCAUUAUUUCUUGGGAUUAGAAGUACAUCGAUCUUCCCAGGGUAUAUUUCUCCAUCAAACAAAGUACUUAUUGGAUCUUCUCAAGAAAACAAAUAUGGAGGGUGCAAAACCUUGUUGUACUCCCCUUGGCUCUAAGAAAUUAGAUCACAGUGGCCCUCUUCUGUCCAAUCCUACUGAAUAUCGCUCCAUUGUUGGUGGUUUACAAUAUCUUACUUGGACUAGACCCGACCUUGCUUUUGCUGUGAACCAAAUCUGCCAAUUCAUGCAUGCUCCCAGGGAACAACAUCUCCAGGCAGCAAAAAGGGUUCUCAGAUUUCUCAAAGGCUCUAUCUCACAUGGUGUGUGGUUCACUAAAGGCCCUGUCCAUCUUUCUGCCUACUCGGAUGCCGACUGGGCUGGUUGCACAAUUGACAGGAGAUCAACCACUGGUUAUUGUGUAUUUUUGGGUUCCAAUCUUAUCAGCUGGAGUGCCAAGAAGCAAAGUACUGUUGCCAAGGUCCUCUACAGAGGCUGAAUAUCGCUCCUUAGCUCACACAGCUGCUGAGAUAACUUGGGUUUGCAGAUUCUCAAAGAUCUGCACUAUCCUCUCUCUUACAUUCCCUACUUUUGGUGUGACAACAUAUCAGCAAUAUCUUUAGCAUCUAAUCCUGUCUUUCAUGCUCGAACAAAGCAUGUUGAGAUCGAUUAUCNGAAGUUUUCUGUUUUCUACAUGGUAUCACGCCAUUCCGCUUCACAGCUUCGAUCUUUCUCUUCGCUUGCUGCAUCGAUCGACUCUUGAUCGAUUUUUCUUCUCUGAUCUUCUCUUCGCUUGCUGCAUCGAUCGACUCAUGAUCGAUUUUUCUUCUCUGAUCGUCACUUCUUCCCUUCCGAUCUUGUAGUAUUUCUUGAUUUCUGUCAGUAAUGGCGGCUCAAUCGACUGGUUCAUCUUCUCCGGUCAUCUCCCCCUCGAGCCCAAACCCUAAUUUCUCUGGAAACCCUAAUUCCUCUGGAAAUCCGAGUCCUCUGGACUUCCUACACUUCUCUCACAAUUCAUAACAUCGGCAGCAUGGUGCCGAUCAAGCUCAAAAGAUCCAAUUACCUACCAUGGCGCGGCCCUGUUUGGCCCGAUUUUCCGGCGAUACAAGCUUCUUGGAGUAAUCGAUGGUACUGACGUCUGUCCAUCGCCAUUUCUGCCUGAUCGUAGCAUCAAUCCUGCUUUUGAGGACUGGUAUGAGAAAGAUCAAAAUCUUUUGAUCUGGUUGAAUUCCACACUUUCUGAGGAAAUCAUCCCGUUCACGGUUGGGGUUUCAUCCUCUCGAGAACUUUGGGUAAAGCUUGAACACAGCGCUUUGGUGGAAUUUCAGAGGCUCAUAUCCAUCAGUUGCGAUCGCGCCUUCAAUCUGUUCAGAAAGGAUCGCGUUCUAUCUCUGACUAUCUUCAAGAACUCAAGGAAAUUUCAGAUUCUCUGCAAGCUGCUGGUGCUUCUGUCUCUGAUCGAGAUCUUAUCGCCGCCACACUACAUGGCUUGCCUGAUGAAUUUGAGUCUUUCAUCGACUGUAUCAUGCUCCGAUUGUCCUCUACCUCUCUUGAUGAACUUCAUGGCCUCCUUCUCACAAAGGAAUUGUCUAUGGCCAGACGCAAAAACUGUCAGUUCAUCUUCCUGUCCCUGAAUCUUUUCAGGCUUUCUCGGUGCAGUCUCAGCCUCAUCUCCUUCCUACUCCAUCUGCUUUUGCUGCUCAGAAUCUCCCUCUUCAAUCUGCAUCUCGGUUCAACUCUAAUCGUGGCAGGAACACUAAGGGCCAGUUCUUUUCCAAUCGAGGUCAUCGAGGUAAUCGUGGUAAUUUUCCUAAUAACCGUGGCAAUCGAGGUUAUCAAGGAUUUCGCAGCAAUCAAGGCUCUUCUCACUUCAAAGUGCUUUGUCAAAUCUGUGGUUCUACCAGUCAUGAGGCUAUUGACUGCUUUGAUCGUAUGAAUCCUGACAUCUGUGGUCGUAUUCCUCCAGCUAAGCUUGCUGCCAUGUGUGCACAACAUUCUGCUAAACCAUCUCAGCCUUGGUUAAUUGAUUCAGGGGCAACCUCUCAUAUCACUAAUGAUGUUGCUAACCUCACCUCUCCUACUCCCUACACUGGCGAGGAUAAAGUGUAUAUUGGAGAUGGUAAAGGUUUAUCCAUCCUCAAUGUUGGUUCAUCUACUCUGCACACCUCUCAUAAUUCUUUUCAAUUGCGAAAUGUUUUACAUGUUCCCCACAUAACCCAUAAUCUCUUAUCUGCUUAUCAGUUUGUUAAUGAUAAUAAUUGUUCAUUGACACUUGACCCUUAUGGAUCCUAUGUCAAGGAUCGUAUUUCGGGGAAGAUGCUUUUACGGGGACCGGUUAGAGAUGGCUUCUAUCCUCUUCAAAGUUCCAGCAAUCUUCAUCCUCUUUCACAUACCGCUUUACUUAGUAUUAAAGCUCCAGUUACAAUUUGGCACAAGCGUUUGGGUCACCCUUCCUCCUCCAUUUUUAGAAGGCUCCUUUCAUCCAAUAAUCUUGCUUUACAAGGCAAGUCUACUGUGGACUUUUUCUGUUCGGAUUGUGCUCUUGCCAAGAAUCAUAAGCUUCCAUUUAAAGCUGCUACUUCAUCAUCAACUCACAGCCUUCAACUACUGCACUGUGAUCUGUGGGGACCUGCCUCAAUCACAUCAAGUAGUGGUUUUCAAUAUUUAUUUGCUCAUUGUUGAUGACUAUAGCAAAUAUAGUUGGUUCUUUCCUUUGAAAUCUAAGUCAGAUGUAUUUUCUACAUUUGUUGUCUUCAAAUCAUAUGUAGAAAAUUCACUUGGAAAUAAAAUAAAGGUUCUGCGUUCAGAUUCAGGGGGUGAAUUUACUAGUCACUCUUUUGCAUCAUAUCUCAGCAAACAUGGCAUUCUUCAUCAGUUCAGUUGUCCCCACACCCCUGAGCAAAAUGGUUGUGCAGAAAGAAAGCACAGGCACCUUGUUGAAACAGCUCGCACUUUGCUUCUUGCAUCUCAUGUCCCUCAUAUUUUCUGGGUUGAAGCAUUCUCCACUGCUAUCUAUCUUAUUAAUCGCCUUCCUAUUUCUGGCAUUUCACAGUCCCCUUGGCAGUUGCUAUUUCACAACCAUCCAGACUACUCUAAGCUCAAAGUAUUUGGUUGCCAAUGCUUUCCUUGGCUCAAACCUUACUUUCAUAGCAAAUUGGAUCCCAAGAGCAAAAAGUGUGUUUUCUUGGGGUAUAGUCUUCAACACAAAGGCUAUAGGUGCCUUGAUCCUAUCACCAAUCGCAUCUACAUCUCUCGUCAUGUUGUAUUCGAUGAAAGUACUUAUCCAUUUCAGUUGUCCCACAUUCAACACUCUUUUCCUGUUCCAAGUCCUCCAUCUUCCUCACCAACAAUUUCUUCCUCUCUGGAUCUUCAUUUUAGCAAACACAUUCCUCCUGUUUUCAGUCAGCCAUCUACAUCACCAUUAUGUGCUUCUGUGCCUGUUCCUAUUUCUUCAUCUUCAUCUUCCCCUGCACCUGUCUCAGUUGGCUCUUCUUCCAGUUUUGUUCCUCCUUCAGCACAUUCAUCUUUCUCCCAAAAUCAACAGAGUCAUCCUCCUGCCCCUGUUAAUUCUCAUCCAAUGAUUACUAGAUCCAAGGCUGGUAUACUCACGUCGAGAGCCUGUGCAGCAACUAAGCACCCACUUCCGGUUGAUAUGGAUUAUGUUCCUACAACAUACUUUGCAAGCUUCUAAAGCAUGCUCAUUGGAGGCAAGCUAUGCAAGAUGAAUUUAAUGCCUUGCUAACCACUGGUUACUUGGUCUCUUGUUCCUUCUCACCAUUCUCAAAACUUAGUGGGCUGCAAGUGGGUUUUCCGGAUUAAGAAGAAGCCCGAUGGCACUGUUGACAGAUAUAAAGCCCGGCUUGUGGCCAAGGGUUUUCAUCAACAAGAAGGUAUUGACUUUCAAGAAAACCUUCAGUCCAGUUGCCAAACCGGUUACAAUUCGGAUCCUUCUUACCCUUGCUGUGCAAUAUAAUUGGUUUCUCAAUCAAUUGGACAUUAGUAAUGCCUUUCUUCAUGGAGACUUAAAGGAGGAUGUCUACAUGCAACAACCCCCUGGUUUUGUUGAUCCCUUACACCCUACAUCUGUUUGUAAGUUGAGGAAAUCGUUGUAUGGUCUCAAACAAGCUCCUCGAGCUUGGUUUGAUAAACUGUUCCAAGCUCUUCACUCUCUUGGAUUCACCCAAUCAUCCUCAGAUGCUUCUUUAUUUGUUCUCAAUGGUCCUCAGUUUAGUCAUUGUCCUUGUCUAUGUUGAUGACAUUCUUGUCACCGGACCCUAUCCUUACCUCUGUCAACACUUCAUUCAGCAACUUGGGGCUCAAUUUCCAGUAAAAGACCUUGGUCCUCUUCAUUAUUUCUUGGGAUUAGAAGUACAUCGAUCUUCCCAGGGUAUAUUUCUCCAUCAAACAAAGUACUUAUUGGAUCUUCUCAAGAAAACAAAUAUGGAGGGUGCAAAACCUUGUUGUACUCCCCUUGGCUCUAAGAAAUUAGAUCACAGUGGCCCUCUUCUGUCCAAUCCUACUGAAUAUCGCUCCAUUGUUGGUGGUUUACAAUAUCUUACUUGGACUAGACCCGACCUUUGCUUUUGCUGUGAACCAAAUCUGCCAAUUCAUGCAUGCUCCCAGGGAACAACAUCUCCAGGCAGCAAAAAGGGUUCUCAGAUUUCUCAAAGGCUCUAUCUCACAUGGUGUGUGGUUCACUAAAGGCCCUGUCCAUCUUUCUGCCUACUCGGAUGCCGACUGGGCUGGUUGCACAAUUGACAGGAGAUCAACCACUGGUUAUUGUGUAUUUUUGGGUUCCAAUCUUAUCAGCUGGAGUGCCAAGAAGCAAAGUACUGUUGCAAGGUCCUCUACAGAGGCUGAAUAUCGCUCCUUAGCUCACACAGCUGCUGAGAUAACUUGGGUUUGCAAGAUUCUCAAAGAUCUGCACUAUCCUCUCUCUACAUUCCCUACUCUUUGGUGUGACAACAUAUCAGCAAUAUCUUUAGCAUCUAAUCCUGUCUUUCAUGCUCGAACAAAGCAUGUUGAGAUCGAUUAUCACUAUAUUAGAGAAUUGGUUUUGGCUCAACUUCUCAAAGUCAAGUUCAUCUGCAGUGAAGACCAAUUAGCUGAUCUUCACACCAAGUCUCUGUCUAAAACCAGAUUUAAUUAUCUGUGUUCCAAGCUUCCCAUUGGUCUCAUUUCUGAUCCCCCUUCUCGCUUGAGGGGGUGUAUUAGGGAGAAUGACAAGUCAUCCAAGUCUGCUACUGUUAAUAAUUCUGUUACUGUAAAUUAACUGAUUGUAUUAGUUGUGAUUAGUUAAGAUAGUUAUAAAGUAGUUAGGGGUAUCUAUGUAAAUAGCCAAAGGCUAUAUAUAUUCCUACACAAUGUGUAAAGUUCUCAGUCAAGUAAAUACAAUCAAGAAAACUUACUGUUGAAGUUUUCUGUUUCUACAGGUUUUGGAUUGGAGGAGUUGACACAAAAUUAUAAAUAUAUUAAACAAAUUUAUCUAUUCUAAAGUUGGAGGGAAAUUGGCCUGUACAUUGCUACAGUAAUUUUUUUUUACCCAAUUUCACGUUAUUUACAACAAAGCUAUCAGAUUUGGGUUGGGUUGGAGGGUAAUUUGUUAAAAGUUAGGAGGGUAAUUUUGUGCAUAGGGUUUAGGUGCCCUCCUAUACAUGACCCUUGAUUUUACUUUAUUUACACCACUGCCAUCAAAUAUGUGGCUGAAUUGGAGGGUAUUAUUAAAAGUUAGGAGGGUAGUUUGUUCAAGGGGUGAGGGCGACAUUCGCAGACAGAGAGCGAUGGGAGCCAUGGCCAUUGCACAGAGAGAAAGGGAGUGAUGGGGGAAAUUACAGACAGAAAAGGAAGGGAUGGGGGGGAUUUGAUGGAUGGUCACAGAGAGAGAUUGGGUGAGGGAUGUGAGAGGAGAUUACAGAGAGAUAAAUAAAAGGGAGGGAUCGGGGGAUGUGAGGGAUGGUCAGGGAGAGAAAUAGUGAGGGAGGGAGGGAUGGGGGGGCUGAUUUUCGGUUCCUCCUUCCAGAUUUGUUCCGUAAAAACCUGUUGGGUAGAAUUCAAUUUCCUCCCCCUUUCCCCUGAACGAAAAAUUCGAAACCUACAACUCAAAACUCACUCAUUUGUCGUCCCUCCUUGGCUUUCCGCUUUACUCAUCUCCCGGUGGUUCUCUCUCCAUACGAUUCCAUUUCGGUGAGUUCUUCGUUGCCCUCAUGAUUUCCCACUUUUAUUUUUGGGGCGUCCUUAGUCGUCGUUUUUAUCUGGGUUUACUGCAUUGUUGCUUUUAGUUUCUGGAUUUUUAUUUUUUUGGCACUUGGAUGAAUCGUGGUUAAUAAUUUCACAUCAUGGGAUUUUCGCACUUCUGAUGGAAUUGAGCGCGGGGAUUCGGGGUGGGGUUUUACUGAUAAUUUGUCUUCAUUCAAACGAAGGGUUAAAAUUUAUGAGUAUUAACAAAUUUUGUAAAUUAUUCUUAUACAUUUUAUUGAGGGAUCUAAUCGAUUUCUUUCUGUAGUGGGAUUGAAAUUGGGGCUUUGUGGUACUCUCUCUCGCUCACUCUCUCUCCUAUGUGUAUGAAUUGAGUUCUGCAGUGAGUUUGCAGGUGGGCGCGUUCACUAACUAAGCUUUCAAGGGAACCGAUCAACGGUUUGCUUGCUGGGGGAAUUCGGAGACUACCAGUGUAUGAUUUAGUUAUCAUUAAUUUUUUUACUUAAUUUUAUCCAUAUAUAAUAUGUGGGUAAAUUUAGAGGUCGCACUUGGUGCGAUGGCAAGUUCCUUCGCCCAUGAGCGGUAGGUCUCGGGUUCGAGACUUGGGAGCAGCCUCUCCAUAAAUGGGGGUAAGGCUAGCCGACAUUUACCUCUCCCAGACCCUGCGUAAAGCGGGAGCCUUGUGCACUGGGUACGAUCUUUUAUAAUAUGUGGGUAAAUUUAUACUAAACAAUUGUGAUAAGCCAAUAUGCUAUACGACUUUGAAAGCAUUGAUUUUGUGUUUAGUUUGCAUUUUUGCAUUGUGAAUGUUGAAUUUUGUGUUUAAUUUGGAUUUUUGUGUUUGAAUUUGUAGCAUGAUCUUCCGCUGCAGCAUCCAAAUUUUGCAUUUGUAAAUUGUCAAAGAAAAACGAAGUAUGAGGAAAUUAUAGGAGAUUGUGUCGGCUUUGGCCAUGAAGGGUAUCAGCAGCUUGUUCCCCCAUACAGGUGAUUAAUCGCAGUCUGUUCUAUUUGGAUGAGAAAGUGAUUGAAAAAUAUGAUUUUUUAUUUGUUGGUUGAUUUUGUAUAACUCCGCCGUGUAAGUUUAUCUUACAUUGCCGGUCCCAAGCCCGGAUAAAGGAGGAGGGGGAGGGCGUCAGGUAGUCGACAGCUGGCACUCCAUGAUCACGUCGAAUCCUUAUGAAAAUGAAUCCAGAACGAAAUCGCGCUAAAGCUAGGGCGUCACCCAUAAGUGGCGCGCUGUGUGGCCCGAGCACAGUGAUAAGUGAGCAAGGGUCGUUGUAUCUCCAUCGGCACCCGGAUGCAGUGUUAAAUGAGCAAGGGGCUAUAGAAACUUCUUUUCGAACGACUCCACUCAAAGUUGUUUGGGAGCAUAUGCUCCUAUCAACUUUACACGGGACACACAAAAGAAGUACUUUGAUCCUAUUAGACGGGGAAGGGUGAAGAAGCUAGGACAGAAGGGUAGAGUUCAAGAGAGCAAAAUGCGUUUAGGAACGUGGAAUAUAGGAACCUUGAACGGGAAAAUCUAUGGAAGUAGUAGAAGUUAUGGUGAGGAGAAGGAUAAAUAUUAUGUGCCUACAAGAAACUAAGUGGGUUGGUCGUAAGGCAAAGGAUCUAGAAAACUCAGGGUUUAAACUAUGGUAUUCGGGCACAAAUAGAACGAGAAACGGUGUUGGCAUCAUCGUGGACAAGACCUUGACACAAGAUGUUGUAGAUGUCAAGAGGGUAGGAGAUAGAAUCAUGGCAAUCAAGAUUGUAAUAGGACAAGAACUUAUCAAUGUGAUUAGUGCGUACGCACCUCAAGUAGGGUUGGAUACGAGUUCGAAGGAGAAAUUUUGGGAAGACCUUGGAGACUUGGUGCAAGGAAUUGCUCAGACGGAGAAGUUAUUUAUAGGAGGAGAUUUAAAUGGACACGUGGGCAGGGAGACAGGCAACUAUGGAGGUUUUCAUGGUGGCCAUGGUUUUGGGGAGAGAAACGAGGAUGGGGAAGCUAUCUUGGAUUUUGCAAUGGCAUAUGAUCUCUUCUUAGCCAACACCUUCUUUAAGAAGAGAGAAGAACAUGUGAUCACCUACAAGAGUGGGUCGUCAAAAACACAAAUAGAUUUUCUUCUAAUGAGGAAAGGGGAUCGUAUAACUUGUAAGGAUUGCAAAGUUAUACCAGGAGAGAGCGUGGCUAAUCAACAUCGCUUGUUGGUGAUGGAUGUACAUAUCAAAAGAGUGAGAAAAAAGAACAAGACUUGGAAGUGCCCAAGGACUAGAUGGUGGAAUCUAAAAGAAGAAAAACAAGCCAUUUUCAAAGAGAAAGUAAUCACCCAGUGUGUGUGGGAUAGAGAGGGGGAAGCUAACCAAAUGUGGGAUUCCAUGGCUAGUUGUAUCCGAAAAGUAGCAAAAGAGGUAUUAGGAGAGUCCAAGGGCUUUGCCCCACACCAAAAGGAAUCUUGGUGGUGGAAUGAGGAGGUACAAACAAAGGUGAAGGCUAAGAAGGAAUGUUGUAAAGCCUUAUACAAGGAUAGGACCGAUGAAAAUGGUGAAAGGUAUAGAAAAGCGAAGCAAGAGGCGAAGAAAGCUGUGAGAGAAGCUAAGUUAGCGGCUUAUGACGAUAUGUAUAAGCGACUAGAUACCAAAGAAGGAGAGUUGGAUAUCUAUAAACUAGCUAGAGCAAGGGAAAAGAAGACAAGGGACCUAAACCAAGUGAGGUGCAUCAAGGAUGAGGAUGGAAAGGUUCUUGCUACAGAGAACGCGGUUAAAGACAGAUGGAAAGGUUAUUUUCAUAAUCUUUUCAAUGAAGGACAUGAAAGGAGUGCUUCUUUAGGGGAGUUGAGUAACUCAGAAGAGUGUAGAAACUACUCUUUUUAUCGUAGAAUCCGGAAGGAAGAAGUGGUUGUAGCUUUGAAGAAGAUGAAGCAUAGAAAAGCAGUAGGCCCAGACGAUAUACCAAUCGAAGUGUGGAAAGUUUUGGGAGAGACAGGUAUAACAUGGCUCACUGACCUUUUCAAUAGGAUUUUGAAAACGAAGAAGAUGCCAAAUGAGUGGCGAACGAGCACUUUGGUGCCUAUCUACAAGAAUAAGGGCGAUGUACAAAAUUGCAUGAACUAUAGGGGUAUUAAGCUAAUGAGUCAUACAAUGAAGCUCUGGGAGAGAGUCAUUGAGCAUAGAUUGAGGCAAGAGACACGGGUUUCGGACAACCAAUUCGGGUUCAUGCCAGGGCGCUCAACCAUGGAGGCAAUCUAUCUCUUACGAAGAUUGAUGGAAAGAUAUAGAGAUGGGAAAAAGGAUUUACACAUGGUCUUUAUAGAUUUGGAAAAAGCGUAUGAUAGGGUCCCAAGAGACAUUCUUUGGAGGAUUUUAGAGAAGAAAGGAGUACGAGUAGCAUAUAUCCAAGCUAUACAGGAUAUGUAUGAAGGAGCAAAGACUGCCGUAAGAACUCAUGAAGGACAAACCGAAAGCUUUCCCAUAACUGUAGGAUUACAUCAAGGCUCAUCCUUAAGUCCUUACCUUUUUGCGUUGGUAAUGGAUGAGUUAACAGGACAUAUUCAAGAUGAUAUUCCUUGGUGUAUGCUUUUCGCAGACGAUAUAGUGUUGAUAGAUGAAACUCAGGAAGGGGUAAAUGCAAAGCUUAACCUUUGGAGAGAAGUGUUGGAAUCUAAAGGUCUUCGCCUAAGCCGAUCAAAGACAGAAUAUAUGGAGUGCAAGUUCAGUGCAAAUGGAGGCCAAAACGAGUUAGGGGUGAGGAUCGGAGAUCAAGAAAAUACCAAAGAGCGACCGUUUUCGUUACCUAGGAUCUAUCUUGCAAAAGAACGGAGAAUUAGAUGGAGAUCUCAACCAUAGAAUACAAGCUGGAUGGAUGAAGUGGAAGAGUGCAUCCGGCGUGUUGUGUGACCGCCGUAUGCCACUGAAGCUCAAGGGAAAAUUUUAUAGGACGGCAAUAAGGCCGGCGAUGCUGUAUGGCACAGAAUGUUGGGCGGUGAAGCAUCAACACGUACACAAAAUGGGUGUAGCGGAGAUGAGGAUGCUUCGUUGGAUGUGUGGGCACACGAGAAAGGAUAAGAUUAGGAAUGAGGAUAUCCGGGGUAAAGUAGGAGUAGCCGAAAUUGAAGGAAAGAUGAGAGAAAAUCGGUUACGGUGGUUUGGACAUGUGCAAAGAAGGCCUACUGACGCUCCGAUUAGAAGAUGCGACUAUGGGACAGAGGUUCAGGGCCGAAGGGGUAGAGGAAGACCUAGGAAAACUUUGGAAGAGACCCUAAGAAAAGACUUAGAGUACUUGGAUCUAACGGAGGACAUGACACAGGACAGAACACAAUGGCGUUCUAAGAUUCAUAUAGCCGAUCCCACUCAGUGACUUGGAUUUUCCAAGUCUCCAACCGAGAAGUUUUCCUCACUCGGGAAAUUAAGGGAACACUACCUCAACCUACAUGCUCCACUCACAAAGCUUCAACAUACAAGCUUCAACAAAAGAAAAUUCAAAGAACUUAGCGAAGAAGGCUUUGGUGUAUUUAACACAAUACGUUGAAAUGAAGGAAAGCUUAUUUAUUGAUAUCCCCGAUAAGUUACAAAUAUGUACAUAUACUUGAGUCAAAAUAAACAAACAAGAGGGAGCCUUCACAAAGGUUGCUUAGGAGAAGUCUCAGCAGUCGGUAGAGCCCCAGAAAGAGAAGGCACCGGAGGGGGAUCAUUCGGAGCCUCAGUACUGGACAGAACCCUAGAAGGAGGAGGCAUCAGAGGUUGAUCAUUUGGAGCUUCAUUACGCGGUACAGCCCCAGAAGACGAAGGCAAUAAAUGCCUUUGGAACAAACCCACAAAUCUCUGAUGAUCAAGUAAAACCUGACCAUCAGAUUCCUUCAUCUGGUCAAGCUUCCUCUUCAUGUUUGUAGCAUAGUCAUGUGCGAGCCGGUGCAACUGUUUAUUCUCAUGCUUGAGCCCUCUAAUCUCCUGUUUGAGACUCAUCACUUCAGCCGCCAAUGAUUCAACUUGGCGGGUUCGAGCAAAUAGGCGUUGGGCCAUAUUAGACACAGAACCUGCACACUGAACACUGAGAGCCAGAGAAUCCUUAACAGCCAACUCAUCAGACCGUUUGGAAAGUAGUCUGUUAUCUUUGGGAGUGAGAAGGUUCCUGGCCACUACCGCAGCGGUCAUAUCAUUCUUCAUCACGGAAUCCCCAACGGUAAGAGGACCAGUAGGGGAGACGAAGGAUGGGCGCCAUAUGUUGUCUGGAGAAGGCGGGGCUGCCUCUUCAACAAGGUUCAAGUCAAAACGACGGUCGGAGGGGCCAGACAUUUUCAAAGGUGUUGAAGAGAGAAGAGGUCGGACAAAUCAAGAUCUUAGAAGUGCAAGAAUGGAGCUUCUACUGGUGGAUAUUCAAGUGUGCUUUGGAACUUAAUGUCAGCCCCUAUAAAAAUCUGCACUCGACGAAGCUUCAGAAAUCGAAGAGGCGCCUGCUCAGAAAUCGAAGAGGCGUUUGCUUUCUCAAAAGCUGGGCUGCUCAGAGACCACGAGGGUCGAUCUCAGAAAUCGAAGAGGCGUUUGCUUUCUCAAAAGCUGGGCUGCUCAAAGACCACGAAGGCCGAUCUCAGAAAUCGAAGAGGCUUGCUUUCUCAAAAGCUGGGCUGCUCAGAGACCACGAGGGCCGAUCUCAGAAAUCGAAGAGGCACCUACUUUUCCAGCCUUGUCAGCACCUGUCACACGCACACUCAGCUUUGCGGAAAUUAUGGGCAUUCUGUCGAAGAUUUCUGGCGAAGUAGAAAGCACAUGAAUCGUACUGUUCAAUCACCCACUUCCCACACGCAACAGUAGCUCAUGGGUACCACAGAUAACUUUGCCAAAGUUCUCUGACAAAGUUGAGACACGUGAAGCUUGCAGCUCCCACUACAUCGCUCUGACCAAGAAGGGUAAAAGAAUUAGCAAAGAAACAACACUAACAAAGUUUAGACACAUAAAUUUUGAAGGUCUAGCUACCAUAUUAUUACCCACAAGGGUAAAGGAACAGUACCACUGCUGGAUAAUUGGAAAGUCCCGGUGUGUCAACCUCUGUGCUUCGUGGCAAGGUAGACUAGCAAACAUGCCCAACCUUUACUCACAUUCGAGAAAACACUCCCAACAAGAUUGCUUGCUCCAAAAUCGAAGAGGCACCGCCCUCCGAAUCUCGAGAGCCAGACUCCCAACAUGAUUACUUUCUCAAAAAUCGAAGAGAGGGUAAAGGAACAGUACCACUGCUGGAUAAUUGGAAAGUCCCUGUGUGUCAACCUCUGUGCUUCGUGGCAAGGUAGACUAGCAAACAUGCCCAACCUUUACUCACAUUCGAGAAAACACUCCCAACAAGAUUGCUUGCUCCAAAAUCGAAGAGGCACCGCCCCUCCGAAUCUCGAGAGCCAGACUCCCAACAUGAUUACUUUCUCAAAAAUCGAAGAGAGGGUAAAGGAACAGUACCACUGCUGGAUAAUUGGAAAGUCCCUGUGUGUCAACCUCUGUGCUUCGUGGCAAGGUAGACUAGCAAACAUGCCCAACCUUUACUCACAUUCGAGAAAACACUCCCAACAAGAUUGCUUGCUCCAAAAUCGAAGAGGCACCGCCCUCCGAAUCUCGAGAGCCAGACUCCCAACAUGAUUACUUUCUCAAAAAAUCGAAGAGACACCGCUCUCCGAAUCUCGAGAGCCAGACCCCCAGCAGGAUUGCUUUCUCAAAAAUCGAAGAGGCAUCGUUCUCCGAAUCUCGAGAGCCAGAUCCCCGACAGGAUUGCUUGUUCGAAAACCGAAGAGGCACCACUUUCCCAACUUCAAGAGCUGGAUCUCCUUGGAUAAAGCUUGUCUGUAAUCUUCACACGCAACAUCAGCUUUCCAGAUACCACAGACCACUUUUUCAAAGUGCUCUGACAGAGUUAAAACAUGUGAAGCUGGCAGCUCCCACUACCGUGCUAUGACCAAGCAGGGUAAAGGAAUAGCAUUAUUACUUGAUGUUAGGGAGACUCCUAUAUAUGUCGACCUCCAUCCCCAACGGACAGGCAGACCUGCAAAAAUGCUCAACCCUUCCUCUUAUCUGAGAGGGCACUCCCAACGAAGCCUUUCGAAAUAUUCAGCUUUCUUUCCCCCCGAUAAUACCUCUGUAAACAAGCUAUACUAGAGCAAGAAUAUCUCAUAUCAUCAGGGUUAAAAGCAAGAGUAUCCCAUAUCAUGCUUUUUCCCUGUCUUUUCCUUUGGCCUUGUUCUUACCUGCAAGACAAGGAGAAAGAGAGCAAUCAGUCAGCACUUGGAAUCAAGCUUCCAGCCAGGAACUGACUGCCUGGAACCCCUUACCUGAUUACUUACCUGGCAUUGCUCUCGAGUACUCAUCUUCAACAUCUUAUGCUUCCAGGGAAGAUACCGCAUCUGCCUGAGGAACAGAUAGGGCAAGUGAGAAGGAUACAAGGAAGCAUGUGGAGACAAGCGUAACAGCACACGUGCCGAUACAUCCAUUACUCUGUCAAAAGCAAAAGUAUCCCAUAUCAGCAGGGUCGAACGUACUCUAGAUUUGAUGGACUUGUUUUGACCCUCAAAUUCUUCAGUCGGCCUUAUACUCUGGAGGAAACCAGAAAACCCUCCAGCCCAGUUCAAGAAUAAGCCUGUGGAAAGUUACUUCUUCAAAAGCAAAAGUAUCCCAUAUCAUCUCUUCUCAUUUUUCUUCUCUUUAUCCUUCAUGCUGCCUGCAAGAUAGGGAGAAUGUGAACAAUCAGCCGGAGCUCUGAUUGCUUACCUUGUCUGUCACCUCUUUCAGCAGAUCCCCUAGCUCGGCGACUUGGGGGACUCCUACUACAUGGUUUGUAUCGCGCUUGACCAAGCCUGAAACUACAAGUAAGCUUCAAGUGACAAUUGAUACAUUACCUUGUGCAUCUCCACCAGUUACAGAUACCACCCCUGGAUGGAGGAAGAGUACUUCCAGAGAAGAUGCCACAUCUACCUAUGAGACAGAUAAGGAAAGUCAAGACGAUACCACACUCCGGUACUUAGAAGUUUCGUGGUUACGAGAUCAUUCUCCCACAAUAUUUCCUAAUGUCAUUUGUACUAAAUCAUUCACUUGUACUCACUAAAGGAGAGCUUGAACCUAUGUACUUGUGUAAACCCUUCACAAUUAAUGAGAACUCCUCUAUUCCGUGGACGUAGCCAAUCUGGGUGAACCACGUACAUCUUGUGUUUGCUUUCCUAUCUCUAUCCAUUUAUAUACUUAUCCACACACUAAUGACCGGAGCAAUCUAGCGAAGAUCACAAAAAAGUGACCGUUUUCGCUACCUAGGAUCUAUCUUGCAAGAGAACGGAGAAUUAGAUGGAGAUCUCAACCAUAGAAUACAAGCUGGAUGGAUGAAGUGUAAGAGUGCAUCCGGCGUGUUGUGUGACCGUCGUAGGCCACUGAAGCUCAAGGGAAAAUUUUAUAGGACGGCAAUAAGGCCAGCGAUGUUGUAUGGCACAGAAUGUUGGGCGGUGAAGCAUCAACACGUACACAAAAUGGGUGUAGCGGAGAUGAGGAUGCUUCGUGGGAUGUAUGGGCACACGAGAAAUGAUAAGAUUGGGAAUGAGGAUAUCCGAGGUAAAGUAGGAGUAGCCAAAAUUGAAGGAAAUAUGAGAGAAAAUCGGUUCUGGUGGUUUGGACAUAUGCAAAGAAGGCCUACUGACGCUCCGGUUCGAAAAUGUGACUACUGGACAGAGGUUCAGGACCGAAGGGGUAGAGGAAGACCUAGAAAAACUUUGGAAGAGACCCUAAGAAAAGACUUGAGUACUUGGAUCUAACGGAGGACAUGACACAAAACCGAGCGCAAUGGCGUUCUAGGAUUCAUAUAGCCGACCCCACUUAGUGGGAAAAGGCUUUGUUGUUGUUGUUGUUGGUUGAUUUUGUAUGGACGAUGUAUUAAUUUUUUUUUUUUUUUGGGAUUUUGUGUAUUGGGUAUUGUGUAGAACCAGCAAUGCAGGAUCUGAUCAGUCACGCCCGAAAAGGGGUUUGUUUCUCAAAUCACAUUAAUUAAUUAGAUUAUUAAUGUGCGUUGGAAGGCUCUUCAAUAUGAUUUCUAAUUUCUCCUUUCCAGCAUUCUCUUUUUGGUUUUUGGAGUAUGUAUGUGAUUUGUAUUUGAUUAUAGAAUAAAAAUUAAUAAAACACGAGAUGCAGCAAUUAAUUUGCAUCCUUAUGACAACACAUAUAUGAAAGUGCAUUCAAUUUCAAUGUGCGAAUGUGUGACAGGACAGGAUGUGCCUGCCUGCUGGUGGUGGUAUGCUUGCUGUUGUUUCUUGCGUUGUUAAUUUUUUGUGUGUUGAUUUGAUUAACAAUUCAAGCGUAUCUUAUUUUUUUUGUGUUGGUUAGCAGCCAGUUUUAUGGCCCCGAUCUAGUGAUGCUUCUCAGUGACUGGUAAUUGCAGUUCAUUGCCACCAGUUGGUCAGCUACCUGCUCUGAAAGAGCUCUACGUAGAAGGGAUGAAAGUUGUUAAGAGUGUUGGUGUUGAGUUGUACGGGGGAAAUCAACCAUUUCAAUGUUUAGAGAAGGUAAAGUUUCGGGAGAUGCCAGAGUGGGAGGAAUGGCAGCCUAGUCCAAGUGGAUGUGAAAGUCCAGACUUUCCUCAUCUUAAGGAGCUGAGGUUAUCCGAAUGUCCGAAGCUGAGAGGAAACUUGCCCACUCAUCUUCCCUCCUUGAAAACACUUUAUGUGAACAAGUGUGAGGUUCUACAUAAAAACAGGGCCAGUAAUACCCUGAACGUGGAAUCCUUACGAGGAUCUCUUGAAAAACUGACAAUAAAUGGAUGCCCGGGUCUCUCAUUGUUACUAGAGUCGAUGGAGACGCUGCCGUCGCUUCAGAAGCUUGAUAUUGAUAGUGUUGGUGGGAAAGAGUUGUUGGUGCAAAUGGUGCACAACAGCAAUCGUCUUCAAAGUUUUGACUUUAUAUAAAUGUUCCUCACCCUUGUCGUUCCCUACAAAUGGUCUGCCCACCACGCUGACGUCACCGAGCAUAACAGAUUGCAAGAAAUUAGAAUUCCUAUCACGUGAGAUGAUGGCCAAAUUGACUUCCCUUCAGUCUUUGCGUCUAUCCAACAGCUGUGAAUGCAAAGGCUUGAGUAAUUUUUGUGAGUCUGCUGUUUGGUUUUUUUUUCUUCAUUUUAGAGAUUUUUCUACUGUUUGGUUUUUGGGUUUUGUCUAAUUUUUGUGGUCUGCUUUAUAGAUUGUUCUCUUUGGAAGCUUCUUUCCAGCCUUGACCUUCUUCUUGCCUGGUGCCUUCUCAUUGAGUAUUGGAGGAGCAUUAAAACACAGGUGUGUGUGUUUUGUCGAUGUAAGAGAUGAACGACAUAAAAACAUCCGUCUUUGUAUUUUUUUGUGCUUUUUCUAACCCAUCAAUUUCUUUUGAGUCAACCAAAUAGUCCCAAAUUGCAACUUAUGUUGUGAGGUAUUAUUGUCUAAAAUUAAGUAUGCAUGUAUAUUUUAUGUUUGUGCGCGCGCACACCUCCGCAUGGUGUUAAUCUCUGUGGGUCAUCUAUGUAUAUGUAGACAUAUCUAUAUGUGUAUGUGUGGAAUGCAACAUAUCGGAUUUAGGUUAUACUGUGCAUAGUUUUAUUGCCUGUUAUUAUCUACGAUAUCACUAUGCCAUUUCUAUGCAGGCUCUGAAAGUUAUCCAUGAGCUUUAUAAGCACUUACCAUAAUUUAAGCAGUCUGUUUUGGGUUCUUUUUCAUUAGGUCAUUAGCUACAGAUUAAUGGAGAAACGAGGACCAUGCAACUGAUUUGGGUUCUUUUUCUAAUUUUCUGAUUUUGGGGUUUUGCAGGGAGUACUGAUGUACUGAUUUUCUGGGAUUUUUUUUGUCCUUGCAGGAUUUUUGGUCUUUGGAAUGGGUAUGUGUUGUUUUUAACGUUUCAGUUCUAGCUUGUUCCGUUCUUCGUUGCUUCGUGAUUCUCAUUUUUUAGUGUUGGGUGAUGGAAAUUUGUUCAAGUAGUUGGUAGUUUUUUUAGAAAGUUGGCAUUUUUAGUUAUAUUUUCUGUUUAAUCCUAAAUGUUAGACUGGAAAAUCAUUGAAAUGACGGUUUUUUAAAAACUCAUAAUUUUUUUGUUCUGGGAGUUAAAAGCAUCUUUUCCAGAUUGGUUAUAAGGGUUAUGUUCUCUUCAAUUGGUUCACCUAAUUUUGAUUAGUUUUAAGUUUUGUCCUUUUAAGUUUUGUCUUUUAAGUUUUGUUCUUUAAGUUGUCUUUUAAGUUUGUUCUCUAAGUUUUGUCUUUUAAGUUUUAUCUUCUGUGCUGUAAUGAGAGAUUUCUGUUGGCCUUUCGGAUUUUGGCAUGGGAAAGUUCACUUAUUUGUCUAAUUAGAUUGUGUAUGCCUUCGAUUCUUUAUUUAAUUGUUCUGUUUGUGUUCAGGUGUGAUGAUCUAAAUUUCAUAUGUUUGGAAUUAUUCACUUAACACCAAUUUGUUACAUUCAGAUCUCCACCCCACAUUUCACUAGUUCAAAUUCCAUAGAAGUCGGUUACUGCAGAUUGCGUCUACAAUUAGAUCAGAGAUCAACUGCUCUUUUGUUAUCCUGCAGAAGAUUGCUUUUGGGAAGGAUCUGAAGUAGUUUCUUUCUGUAAGUUUAUUCCCAUGUAGCUCUGUCUUUUCUAAUUGAUGGUGUUGAUAUUACACUGUAAUUCAUGAUGAUGAUUUAAUUGUUUAUUGAUUUGUAAUUGUUUGUGAAUAAUGUGGCAUAUAUGACUUGCAAUAUGUGUUUGUAUGAAAGGGAUGACAUAUUAUGUUGCUGACUUAAUUGUUUAUGUUUUUCAUAUUUGCGAAUGGUGUUAUGAUCAAUUAGGUGAUUGCUGACCUGUGACUUUGUUUGGAGCUCAAAUUUUGUGAGCAUUACAUUGGAUUGUUUUGAUGUUGUUUUGGUUGACAAUGCAGGGAUAGGAGAAACAAAGAGGAUGACACUUAUAACUGCCCUUCCCCAUCGGCCGUCUUCAAAUUUGGAUCACAAGAAGGGAGCAACAUAGGUGUUUUCCUUCUUCAUUUAGAUAUGGUUAGUGUAAAUAAUUGGACAAAAGAGCCAAACAAACCCUGUUCUCUCAAAUGGAGUCGAUGAUGUGGUCGAUGGCCACCAGCCCCAACUCAAGAGUUUGGCCUUCAUAUAAUUGGAUUGUAGUAUAAUUUUAUUUUGGUUCAUUUCUUUUUUCCUUUAUAUAAGUGCAGGUGUUGUGAUGUUUUGAAUAAAGGGUGAUGAAAGGUGGUUCACACACUUCCUCCUUACUUAAAGCAAGUGGAGAUGAUGGGUUGUAUAAAAAGAAAAACUUGCCAGGUACUUCGAUUUUCUAUUUUAUUAAUUAUUGUUUGGUUUUCCAAAUGUUGUAUUCACAAAGAGAGACCAAUGAUGUCUUUGAGAAACAAGUUUCUUUGUCUACAUUGCGAGAAUUUGCAGUUUGCAACUUUCAUUGGUUAUUAUAUUUGAUUGAGUUAAACUUGGAUUUCUGGAUUUUGACUUUUUCGUUUGUUUCUUUGUUGUAGAGUUGGCUUCAUUUCAUUCCAGUAACUCUAUUCCAGUAACUCUCUAAAAUAGGGCCAAGAACUCACUAAAUAGGUAGUCAAGAGGAAUUCAGUUUUGCCUUCAAUUUUUGCCUUCUGUUUACAUUCUUCCUGGAUGCACUCUCACCGCUUCUCUCGCUUACCACUUUUGUCUCACUCACCGCUUCAUCUCUUCUGUUGCUUACAAGGUCGUGUCAUAUAUUUUUUUAAUUUUUGUGUGUUUAAUUUAUUGAAUAUUUGAAAAAAGAGAUAAAAUUUUCAAUUUACAAUUACUGAUAUGAUGUUUGUUUUGAAAAUCAUUAAGGUGAAUGGAGAGAUUUACAACCAUGAAGAGCUGAGGAGCCGUUUGCCAAAUCAGAUUUAUAAGGUCUCAUCAAUUAUAAAUAAACGACUUUUCAUUCCCAAUGACCUUUAUCGUUUUUCUUAAUGGGUUAGCUGAACAUGAGGUAGAUGCUGACUUUAUAAAAUAUGAGAAUGUUUUAGGAUUUCAUUCUAAUUUUUUGGCUGUUUGAUUACUUUGCUUUUCGUAAUUUGUUUUGCUUAUCGUCAAUUGGAUGGGACAACAUAUUUUUGUAACCAGUUUGUACUUUUUUUUUUUGUGGAAACUAACCAGUAUGUACUUUUACCAUCUCGGUUUUGAUGGAAUUGGAGCUUUCAGUAAUGGGUUCUGAGGGAAUUGGAGUUUUGAGUAAUGGGUUUUUUAACAACUAUAGUAUCAUUUGUGAUUCUUUUAUUUAUAAGAUAUUAUAUAGGAAACUGUUAUUAGCACUCUAAUAAUCUUAUUCUACACUCGCGACAAGUGUAUUUUUCUUUCUAAUUAUGGAAAGUUUGGAGUGCAAAAUGAGAAUUUUGGAGUGCCAAUAACAAUUCCCUAUUAUAUAUAGCUCUACUAAGAAGGCGACUGUAUAUGUCUUCAUCCUGUUAAAUUGUAUAUGGCUCUUGAUGUCGGCUGAAUUAAAUCAAAAUGAAAACCAAGCUGCUGAUCUUACCAGCCCAUAUCACUUAUCACUUAUUUAAAUUAUUUGAAGAUGCAUACGUGGAUUGGUGAUUUUGUUGGAUUCACUUAGCUCAAAUAUAUGUUAUCUGAGUCGCUACAUUUGAGAAUGUGAUUCUGUUCCUACCACCAUUUUGCCCACUUUUUGUGGAAAUUAUUCAUUCCUGUUGUGAAUAAUAUCCCCGGCAGCGAAGUGCGGGCGCAUUUUCUAGUUUAAGUUAAAUCACACAAUGGGUCAUCAAUAAUGACAAACUCGUCAUUUAUGCGAGUCAAACAUGAGACCACCUACCUACUAGUUUAGUGGAAUACCACAAGUGACAUGUUGAUACCUUUAAAUCUCAUAUAAUGGAUUGCAGAAUUAGGAUAUACCUAGUCUAAUUUAGUCAGUGCGUGAACCCGAACAAUUAACCAGGGUUUUAUUCUUGCUUGAAUGUUUGUAAUAUGUUCCUAGUUUGACAAGGCAAUUAUAUUUCCGACUACAAAAGUUAUUAAUUUAGUCGAGAAUUGACGCACCUGAAAUGGUGUGAGGAAAACAUGUAGACACAUCAGACGCGGUCCAUCCUGAGCAUUGUGUAUUAAGGAUAAAGCUCAAAGCCAUACAUGAGGGCAUUGUGUAUGUCUUUAUAAGAGAAGUUGCUGUAGUCCUCAACGUGGCCGGCAGCCAAACUCAUCCACUCUACACUGCAACCCUCAUCCAAAUCCCAUGCUUCCAACCUGCCCCCGACAUAGUCAUCGACCAUGACAUAGCUAUACGUUUUUGGUUGACUCGAAGAAGAAGAAGAAGAAGAAGUAUUAUUCAAGCAUGGAGCAGUGUCCACGUACAGAGAAGAAUUCGAUGGAUUCGAACACUUCAAGUAAUAUAUAGAUAGAGAAUUGAUGUCAUAGGUGGGCCAAUAUAGAGAAUCGAUGUCCUCGAUGGGCGGAAUAUUUUGAGACAUGGAAGAGCAAUUGUUGUUGUCAAGCCCAGGAUCUAGAAGUCGGAUUGUUUUGUUAAUGUAGUUGAUUGCCUGGACAUAGUAUUUUCCGGAAGAAGGUAGGUCUAGUACUGUAAUGUUGCUCUCACAGGACAGAGUAAACCUUACGUCGCCACAGUACUUUGGAUCAUCGUUCAGUCGAAAAGGAUGGCUUAUGUUGUGGAUAUGGCCGCAGGAUGAAGUGCAGGACUUGGCACUACUGUUGUCAGCGUUACAAGUUUCACUGCAAAAGCAAAGAAGAAGAAAGGCUAAACUUAAGGUGAAGGACCUGGUUCCACUGAUUUCCAUUGCUCUGAGAGAGAGAGAGAGAGAGAGAGGGCACUAUAGCUUAAACACCAAGGAGUUAUAUAAUAUGGGAGGGGUUAAAGCACCUCGCUUAAAGUUGCAGUAAGCCCGUCAAAUAUCCUAGGGAAAAGUCGGUCAAUGCUGUCCUAUAGAGAAAAGUCGGCCUUGAUGUUUGACACGGUCACACUCUCUCUCUCUCUCUCUCUCUCUCUCAUUGACGAGGGACACUGUAAUUGAAAAAAAAAAUUGUUAUUCAGAGAUAGAUCUUGAAAUUCUUAUUUUAUAUAAAAAAAAGGGGUAUUUAGAUUUUAGGACCUAUAUAAGAUAAUUUUUAGAUUAUAAGGUUUCAAAAUCUUAUUUUAGUCCCUAAUUUAAUAUUCAUCGCCACAUCAUAUUAUAAGAUACCUCUAUUACCUACCAUAUUUACAAACUUUGCCAUUUAAAUUGUCAACCUAUUCUAUAAUUAAGGCUUAAAUAUAUUCCGUUAAUAAACCAUUCGUCAAUAAGAUAAAUCCAACUAUGGUAAAUUAUACUAAUUUAUACUUGCUGACAAACAAAUUAAGUCUAUAGUAAUUUUAGGUCAGUCACCUUAAGAAGUCGAAGAUGAAAAAAUCAAAUACAAAACAAUAGGUUAAAAAAAUUAAAUAAUAACCCUUAAUAUAUAUAUAUAUAUAUAUAUAUAUAUAUAUCACAAAAAAAAAGUAUAACAACUCCUUAUUGUCUAUAUAUAGGAAUUGCAUAAGUGUCGGUACAUAUGUGUAGGUACAUACAUGCACAUAGGUACGGAAGUAUCGGUAUGGAAGUGCCGGUACAUACGUACACAUAGGUACGAAAAUAUUGAUACGUUAGCAUCGGUACAAAAGUAUCGGUGCGGAAGUGUCGAUACUUAUGUACAUAUAUAUAGGUACGCAAAUAUUGAUACAUAAACAUCAAAAGAAAAAAUCGGUAGAUUCGAUGUAUGAGAAGGUAAAAAUAAAUCAUCAACACUAGAAAAAAAUGAUAAAAGUAAAUCAUGCACUAUUAGAUGCAUAAGAAGAAGAAAUAUUAGAUGUGGAUGGUGGCCCUAGCCCUCUCUUCUAACACGGUUGAAGAUAAUUUUUUGGGUUGGACAAAAAGUUUCAUUUUUAAGGAGAACCAUUUAUGUUAGCAAUAAAACUGAAAAGUUAUAAAUAAAAUAAAUAUAAGACAUUAUAAUUCACUCAAGGAUAAUAUAGGAAGAAAAAAAUUACAUAAAAGGAAUUAACUCUGACAUUAAAUAUAAAUGCUGACUUGGACAUAAGUCAAAGGACUAUAAUUAGUUUUUUAUCUUGGUUAAGGUUUUAGUCUAAAGAUAAUCUUUUUCAAGGAUUAAUAUCUAGUUUCCUAUAAAAAAAAACACCUAAUAUUAAUCAUUCAAAUGAAAUUGUUAAAAUUAAGUAUAAAUAAUACAUAAUGAAAACUGAACACAUACAAUCAACGGUCACGACCAUGAAAUCCUCCGGAUCCUCAGAAAAAAAUCCGACGAUGAUCUUUUUCUGUGUAAAAUAAUUUGAGGGUAUAAUACUGGAUGUGCGAUUAAACCGAAGAACCCACCCACCUCCAUCUUCUCUGACCAACUUGAACCCAGCCACUACUACAUGUCAUCCCGACAACCCACUCUCAGCUUCCCAAACCGCCAUUUUUCACCCAAUGGAACAUUUAAAGAAAAAAUCCAUCUGCAAAUCGAAAACCACCGAAAAAAAUUAAAUCAGAUACAUUGGAAAAAACGCAAAACUCAAUGGAACAACACUGGCGUGGAAGAGAAAAAAAGCAGAAGGUGAGAAUGGAGAGAAAGAAGCGAACGGAAAGAAAAAGCAAAGAAGAGGUUGGAAACGGAACAACAGAAGAACAAUAGAAGAACAGAAAUGGGUAUGGGAAACGGAACAACAGAACAAAAAGCAGGCGGUGUAUAGAGCAAGAAAAGCAAACCUCACGAUGACCAACACGUGCUAAGAGAGGCCCCGGUUCACUGUGUAUCACAUUUUUUAAUAUUUUUUUUGGUCUUCCCACCGGCUAUACAUGGGAUUCCAAAAUUAAGAAGGUAUAAAUUUUUAUUGUUUCUUGUGCCACAAACCAUGUGGCCCAGUCUUAAUCACAUUUUUUAAAUAUUUUUUUUGCUCUUCCCAUCAGCAGUACAUGGGUUAAAAAAAUUAGGAAAGUAUAAAUUUUUAUUGUUUGUUGUGUCACAAACCACGUUGCCCGGUUUUAAUCACAUUUUUUUAAUAUUUUUUUGUCUGCCCACCAGCUAGGUUUAAAGAAUUAAAAAAGGACUAAAAGAAAGACUCCACAGAUGGAGGAACAUGGGAAUAGAAAGGGCAAAUUUGGGAUUUUACUGUACAAAAAAGACAAAAAGUAACUGCUGAAGACUAACUUGAGGGGCAUUUUGGUCUGCACACUGCCCUAGAACAGUAACCAUCGGAUUGGGUUUUAGUAUAUAUAGAAUAUGUUUAGAUAAGGACAAUAAACUUAGAAUUUUGCCAAAAGUCAGAAUUUAUAAAUUGAUACAAUCAAUUCAUUUGUUUGGAUUCAUAAACAUAGAAAUUUAGACUUUCCGCGUGAGAAAAAACUUGGAAUUUGGGACCUUCAAUUCUCAUGUUUAAAUUUCAUGUAAAUAGGUGUCAUUUAUAAAUUUCAGUAAGUGAGAGUUUAAAAAUAACAAACAUGUAUUCAAAUUUCAUUCCUCCUUUGGUUAACCAAAAAAGAAAAUUUAUAAAUUCUAGAAAAUAAAAUUUCUUUAUUUUAAUUUCUGUUAUUUUAAAAUUCUUAGGGCUUGUUUGGUAUUCUACUUGAAUCCAACUUUUUAAACUAAAAAAUAAUUUUCAAGUUUUAGGCCUUAAAAACUUAUUUGGUAGAACUAUUUAAAAAAACUGAACUUAAGACUAACUAAAAAAUAUAAUAUAUUAUCUAAAAACACAAAAAAUGAGUUUUUAGAAUUUUUAAACUUAAAUUCACUCAUUUCUUUUCUCUCCCUCCUCCCCUCUCACUCCAAAUCUCUCUCUCUCUCUCUCUUUUCUUCUUUCUCUCUCCCCUUCUCUUUUUUUUAACCUUUUUUUGUCUCUCAUCUAAUCCGCUCUCUUCAUUUUCUCGGUUCUUUCUCUCACUCAUAUUCCUCUCUAUCUCCUCCAAUUCUCUCUCUUCAUUCUUUUUCAACCAAUAAUUUCUUACUUUUUUCCUCUUCUCUCCUCUUGAUUCUCUCUCUUCAUUCUUUUUCAACCAAUCAUUUUUUACUUUUUUUCCUUCUCUCCUCUUUCUCCCUCGACUUCCUCUUUUUGGAUCUCUUUGUUCAGUUUGAGCUGUAAGAUUUAAAAUUAUUUUAAAUCGUAUACCAAACAAGUUUUUGAGUCUUAAAGAAAAUUGUUUUUCAAAAAAUGUUCUUAAGAAAUGUUUUGAGAAAUGAUAAAAAAUUUCAAAUAAGAUACCAAACAAGCCCUUAAUAAUCUUAAAUUUUCCCAUCCAAACAAAAAAUUUUCUUGUCAUAGAACUUUCAAUUGGAAUCAAAGAAGACAAUCUUUUCACAACUAAUUAUUCUCACCAAAAGCAAUUUUUAUUUUAAAGCAAUCAAUACCAAACUGCAAAAGCAAAGUAGGAAGGCUAAAAUUAAGGUGAAGAACCUGCUUCCACUAAUUUCCUUAGGAGGGAGAGAGAGAGGGGGAGAGAGAACCAAGCGAGCGAGCAGAGAGAGAAAACACCAAGUAGUAUUCUAAUGUUGGUGGGGUUAAGUCACCUUCCGUGAAGUUGCAGUAAGGACUUCUAUCCCAGAGAAAAGUCAGUAAAUGAUGUUGACACAGUCAACGACAAAGACAGAAUUGUGUAACCAUAAUUCUCUCUCUAUCUCUUUUUCAUUAUCGGAUGACAGUGUAACACUACUACGUAUAUAUCUCUGCUCAAUUAUUGAAAAGAAAAAUCCAUGUGCAUUAUUUUUAUUAUUAUUAUCUCAGAAAUGCAGAAAUUGAUCAUCUCUUCCUUUUGCAUAUUGAUACUGGUUUUCUUCAAACUAGUUGAAGCAAGUCAAUAUGUGUGCGCGAAAUCCAACUGUAGCAAUGAUCAAAGCGGGGCUAUCCAUUUCCCAUUAAACAUCAGGCGCACACAUCAUUGUGGUAAUUCUGGGCUUGAAUGCAAUGGGAGAUAUGAACAGCAAAUACUAAUAAAAUUAUUUGUCAAAGACAUAGAUUACAAGCGUCAGGAAAUCCAAGUCUAUUCCCCAAGUAACUGCCUGCUGCUAAAGCAUGUUGAAAUCCCAAACAUGCCACCCUCUCCCUUCAACGUGUCAGUCGAUGACUACAUGAGUAACCUUACCUUAUUCAGUUGUCCUACUUCUUUUGCAAGACGAGAUACGGAUGUGUAUCAAGUCCCCUGCCUCGGCGACCGUGGCAAGAGAACUUAUGCCAUUUAUUCUGAUUAUGGUUUUAGAACUCUCUUCCGGAAUCUACAAUCUUGUACAAAAAUGUAUGAUGUUUUAUCAGUUCCAAUACCCUCUGAAUAUUAUGUUCUUCGUUUCAAAUGGUCUAUACCAAAUUGCAGAAAAUGUGGAGAGGGAAAGAGGUGUGAAUGGCAGAACAAUGAAAUUAAAUGUAUUCAAUGGAGGAAACCAAGUAAGGAUAACAUAUGUAUUCAUUGCUAGUUUUAAACAUCUUUACAUUUGUUUCUCAGUAAUUAUUGUUUAAAACAUGUCCAAUCCAUUUUUACUAUGAAUAUUAACUGACAGUCUCAUUUGAAUUUGCCUUUAUCUUUUACAGGCAACACAUGGAAAUUAGUGGUCACAGGGGGAAUCCUGGGUUCUUUGCUUCUUGUUCUACUGAUGAUUGCAGCAUAUCGGGUAUAUAGCGUUGAUAGAAAGAAAAAAGAGAUUCGAUUACGAAUUGAAAGAUUCUUGGAGGAUUACAAAGCACUCAAACCAAGCAGAUACUCGUACGCAGAUAUUAAGAGGAUUACAAAUCAAUUCAAGGACAAGUUGGGCAAAGGAGCCUAUGGAACUGUCUUCAAAGGAAUGCUCUCUUCUGAAUUCUUUAUUGCUGUCAAAGUCCUCAACAGUUCCAAGGGAGAUGGGGAAGAGUUCGUAAAUGAAGUGCGAACGAUGGGUCAUAUCCACCACGUAAACGUGGCUCGCUUGGUUGGAUUUUGUGCUGAUGGAUUUGUACAAGCUCUUGUUUACGAGUUCUUCCCCAUUGGUUCCCUGCAGGAUUUCAUUUCAUCUGCAGAUAGUAAGAAUUCAUUUCUUGGUUGGGAUAAGCUGCAAGAUAUUGCCCUAGGCAUAGCCAAAGGAAUUGAAUAUCUUCACCAGGGAUGCGAUCUACGAAUCCUGCAUUUCGACAUCAAACCCCAUAAUGUUUUGCUAGACCAAAACUUCACUCCAAAAAUUUCUGAUUUUGGUAUGGCCAAGUUAUGUUCCAAGGAUCAAAGCUUGGUGUCCAUGACUACAGCUAGGGGGACCAUGGGCUACAUUGCACCUGAAGUGUUCUCCAGGAAUUUCGGAAAUGUGUCUUACAAGGCAGAUGUCUAUAGCUUUGGAAUGCUGCUGCUUGAGAUGGUAGGAGGAAGGAAGAAUAUUGGUUCAAUCACGGAUAACACUACAAAUGAAAUUUACUAUCCACAGUGGAUUUAUAAUCUUCUAGGGGAAGGGGAUGACCUACGAAUCCACAUUGGGGAAGAAGGAGACGGUAAAAUUUCAAAGAAACUUGCAAUUAUAGGGCUAUGGUGUAUCCAGUGGCACCCGUCGGAUCGUCCUUCCAUGAAAAUAGCGGUUCAGAUGUUAGAAGGAGGAGGAGAAAGCUUGAGUAUGCCGCCUAAUCCCUUUGUGCCUACUGGUUCUACAACUAGGAAUGCAAGACGCCUAGAGCUAGAAGCUAUUGCUGAAUUAGAGUAAAAUGUAUAUGCAGAUAUAUAGACGUAUAGAUAUAGUAAUAUUUACAUUGAAUAAGAUACCGUUUGAUAACCAUUUCGUUUUCAGCUUUUAAUUUUUAUUUUUCACUUUUUUGAAAACUGAAAACUAAAAUCUUGUUUGGUAAAUACUUUUAGUUAAAAAAAAAUGAAGACUGAGAACUAAAAAGUGAAAGCUCAAAGGAAGUAGAUUAAAAGUAGUUACCAAACAAACCGGAAUCUCAAUAAUAAAAAAGAUUGAAUUGCACAAUGCAAUCCAAACCAAUCAAAACAUUAAAAUAGCAAAAAAAUUAAAAUUCUAGUUGAUUAGAUUCUGAACAUAGUAAAAAUGAACAGAUCCGAUGAAAAAACAAAAAAUUCUCAGAUAAAAAUAGGGAUAAAGUAGAAUAUUUAUAAAUAGCUCAUUGUCUCUUAUGUCAUCAAUUAUUUCUAUAGUAUAUACAGGUUUUUGGAAAAAUUAGGUUCCCAUCCCUUAUUUUCAUAUUACAUUGAUUGAAAUCUUAUUAUUUUUCUAUUUUAGAUCAAGGUCCCUUGACUUAUUCCAUGUCAUCAUUUUAGUAUUUAAAAUAUUACACGUCAUCAUAAACGAAAUCUCAUCCCUUUCUGCAUUUAAGGCAAAAUAAACUAUAUAAGUAAGUUUAAAACAAGGAAAAUCCAUUUGAACUCCUCCAUUCUUCUUCUUCCCUUAUGCACAUCUGGAAUCUACAACACCCCAAACCCAAUUUUCUCCAUUUUUCUUCAUUCCUGAAUUGAUCCAAUGCAUAUAUGUUGAAUAAACCUAUUGUGAUUAAAAUACAAAUUAGCAUCAAUGAUUUUAUCGGCUUGUGAGAUUUGUGUGGCAUAGGCAAGGCAAUGCAGGCAUCGCUUUAUCAAAGAAUCUGGUUGAUUCAAACAUGCAGAGACUGUAGAGUGAGCGGGCUAUGUAAAAACUGUACCAUUUUGAAGUCAUUUUCUUUUGUUCUUUACAUUUUUUUUUCUUUUAUUAUUAUAUAUUAGUCUUGAUUAUUCAAUGUCUGGUUGGCUACACUUAUAUCCAUGGGUACAUUUUUAAUCUACAUGUUUCGUUCUAAUAUAUCUAUUGCUAUAAUAUGUUUUGGUUGGUUCAAAUUUGUUUUACAUAAAUAUAUGGGUACAAAGUUUUUGUAGAAUAUUAUGUAAAAUGGUUUUUAAGGUUGCUGCAUUUUACGUACCCACAUAUGCAUGUCUAUAAAACAAUGUGGUAUGAUGUACAUUCUUUUCUUUGAGUUUUUAAAUGUACCCAUGAGUUUUCUUGUAAAUUCGGUAUGUACCCAUAUGCUAUUUAUGUUAUGGGUACAUACAUUAUUUUUGGUCUAAGUUCAUGGGUACAUUACUUUUGUAUGUAUGAAUUCAUGGAGUACAUUAUUUCCCUUAAUACUACUCAAUAAAAUUCACAAAAAUAUGUGUAGCGUGCAUGAUUUUUUAUUGUAGAAAUUGUUUGUUUUUUUUAAGUCUCAUAAUUCAUGAAAUUUGUACAUAUAUGAUCACAUAAAUUUUUUAAUUUUAUUAAAUUUCUUUUAGACUUGAUCGAUUGAUUGAAUCUCAUAAUACUAGGAUUUUGAAUUACAUAAAUUCUUGGAUUUAAAUCCCUUAAAUGUUGAACUGCAAUCAAUAUUUUAAAUUACAGUUUUUUAUUUAAGAUAUCAAAAAGAUGACAUGGAAAUAUAGUAAUACUAAAAUGCUGAGGUGUACAAAGUCAAAGGACUUUGAUAAAAAAAUAAAAAACAAUAAGAUUUCAAUCUAACAAUUGAAUUGACUAGGGAUCGGAACCAAAAUGACCCUAGAUUUUUAUUGAGUUUAAUCUUAAUAAAAAAAAGACUUCUUGUAUCACAAAAAAUACAAGAACCAUUAUUUGAAUGAAAUAAAAGCUAUGGGAUGGAGAUAUAAAUGGAUCCUUUAUUUCACAAUUGGAUUAUAUUUAUUUGAUACACUGUUGUCAAUAUGAAUGCUGAGAAAAGACUACAAAAGAAAAAAACAAUUUAUAAAUAUAACUAACAAUUCCAAUUUCAAUCAAUUAGACAAUUAGAAUUAUAAGAAGAAAAAAAAAAGAAAUUUCAGUUUUCAGUUUAAAAAAAAUGAAAAAAAAAUGGUUAUCAAAGCCGUCCAAAUAAUACAAGUUUGUUUCCACUCUUUGUUUAAGCAUAGAUGCCAAUUUUUGUUUAUCAUUUUUUUAACCUUUAUUUUUUGUUACAGUAGAAGCCCUGGAAGGAAAUCGAGCACUGGACUUACCAAACUCUUAACUUAUUUCUACACACCAAGAGCUUGAUUUCGGUUCUUAUUUAUACUAUUUAAGCUAUAAGCCGUGACAAGAAUUAGAGAACUAUCAUUUGUUGUGAGCUUCAAUUGGUUAGCACUUUGUAUGUUUUCAUUAGAAUAUAUAUUUCACUUAGACUUUCUUAUUAAAAAAGGGAUCAGCUGGUGACUUUACCACGACAAUCCAAUUUUAUGGGGGUCAUGAAUACUCACAAAGGCAUUUCAGCCUCCCCCUAUAUCUACCGUCGCGUGAUUCACCAUUGUCAGAAAUCGAACCCAAGACGUGUUGUAUAGAAUACGGGCCUAAAAUUCAUUUCUAACCACUGAGUCACCCCGCGUUUGAUUAUAUUUCACUUAGACUUAUCUUGCGGUAUAGCAUGUCAUCCCCGCCCAAGUUUUUCCCUUCGCGUUGACUUUGGGAUACCAAAACUUGCCAAACAAAGUAGAUUGAUUAGUAAGCGAAGCUAAUUAUUCGACUAAACAUUGUUUAGAAUUUUAAUUAAAAGAACCAAUAUGAAUCUGUUUUUUUUUUUUUUGACAAACUAUAACGUUAAGGAGUUAAAUUGUUAGUUGUUAAGAGUACGGGGAUAGGUGAGGAUCGAACCUCCACCAUAGUGCAUAGACAUUAUUGGUUCUACAACUGCUGUAAAUCACAUAAAACAAAACGUAAUACUUUGAGGAUGGAAGACACUUCGUGGAUAGCGGGCAAUCAACACUAUCAGUUGCUAUCCAAAACUUGGAAUUAUGUUUAUUGUCCGAAGGAUUUUUCUUCCAUUAAAUUGCUAAGGAAGAUGAGGAUGGGUAGAGUGUCUAAAUGUCAAGGUUGAUAAGAACGUGUAUGGUGUUCAGCUUGCGAUUGAGAUUUGUUGAGUGGCACAACAAACCACAUAAAAUUUUCUAAAUGAUAAGCUUGAGUAUAAUUUUUUACCACGUAUUUAUCUUUAAAAUCAUUAUAAUUAGAUUUUCUCUUAAUUAAUAUAGACCGUUAGAUUCAUCUAAUGACCCAAGUUUUUUUCCUCUUUUCUUUCUACUCUUUUUUUCUUCUCUGAUUUUCCAUUCACCGUGUAGCAGUCGUUCUUCCCCAACUAAGUUUCUUAUUUUUCUUCACAAAAAAAUUGUAGAAAAUAUUAAGAAAAGAAAAGUCAUCAAUAUCAGACUCGACCAGGUAAUCGUUCCAACCUUCCCAGCAACUCUCAGUCUUAACAAGGCACCAAAUUUUCUCCGCCACCUAACUCGUCAUUCAUUUAUGGGUGUUUCAAGCUUGGUGAAAAUUGAUAGAGUUCCAUGUGUGUACACGGAUGUGAACAUAUUGGCCACUCUCUAAUGUGUUGGUUUAUCACAAAGAACCCAGAUACAAAAUUUUAAAAAGCAAACAAUUACAACUUCUCAAAUAUUAUCUAACAAACUUUCAAUGAAAUGUUGCUCAUAAUUGAAAAAAGGUUGACGAAGGACGGAGUUGGAGUUAUUUUAGAUGGGGAAGAGUUAAAAGAAGGAAGCACCAUUUAAUUAAUAAAAGCGAUUGGAGAAAUAGUAAUUCAAUGGUGGGCGUUUUUAAGGUGUGGACCUUGUAUCACACCCCGAUUCCAACAUACAUUGAGGAUCAACACGUGACAUGGGGACAUAGGGGACAUAAAUCUUAUGUAAGAUACAAAAUGAAAUACUAUAAAUAAUAUCCCAAAAUGAAUAUGAUAGUGGGUUCACCCCUAUAAAAUAUAUACGAGUUUGUACAUUCACAAAAAAAAAAAAAAAAAAAAAAAAAAAACACAUACACACACACAAAACUCUCGCUAGGCCAAGACUUGCCCAUGGUGCUCAAAGGAAAGUCCCAAAAGAAAGAGUACAAUGAAGGAUAAAGGGGUAACCUAAACACUCCAAGUCUCUGAUCUCUGCACUGCUACCCUCACCGGCUCCUCGUAAUCUACUCAGACCUAUCACAUGUACAAACAGUGCCUACAUUGUGGGAAUGGUGCAUCGGGCAAACAAAAACCCGGAUAAGCUGCAAAACUCGUGUGAGUGACAAUAAUGCAACAUAUGUGAUAAUCAAGAAAAACAUACCAUCGAUCGCAGUUUAUAAACCUCAAAUAUAACUUCAUACUUAUGAAAUCAUAAUCAAGUCACUGAAAACUUCGAAUGAGUCACCCAGACAUCCAACGACUUUUUAAAAUCAAAUCUCAGAGAUUCCAAAACUAUCAUUCACAAAUACACUAAAAACUAGGGCUAGAGUGACACAGUUCGGCCAAAGACUACAUAAGUAACCAAACAAGAAGUGGCCCCCCAUAGCGGAUUAACCAAGCAGAGCCACUCCUGAAAAAGUAACCAAGUAGGUAGUGACCCCCAUCACGGAUUAACCAAGCAAAGUCACUCCUACGAAACUGUUAGGUAGUGAUCACCCAUCGCGGAUUAACCAAGCAUGAUCACCCCUAAGUACGUAUGGCCAUACCUAAGAAAUAAGGAUCGCCCACCGCAGAUUAACCAAGCACGAUCCAAAAAUAUUAUGGGUCCCCUAUCACGGAUUAACCAAGCAUGACCAUCCAUGUACCACUACUACAUGGUGUAAAUUCGGUGUCACCUAACCUCGUGACACUAGGGUAACGGUCCUUUACUAGCCCUCACGUUUUUCAAACAUUUCAAAUAUAUAAUUUAAAACACAAUUCAUAAACAUUUCGAAUAAGGAAGUCACAUAGUGUUUAAUAAUGUAGGUCAAUGGAAAACUUUAAAAACAAUUAUUUAGCAUAAAACAUAUUUUAGAAAUCCAUGUUGUAUCCACAAAGUAUACUAGCAUGGGAGAUUUUCAGGGUAAUAACUCUAUCAUAUAUAUUAAAGUCACUCACCUGGAGUCCACACUAACGCACCCUAACACGAAUAUCAAGACGUCACGUACUAUCAUCUGUAACAUCCCACAUCAACCAACGGAGAGAGGGUGAUGUGCCUUAUAUGUACAUGCCCACCUCCAUAGCAUGAGACCUUUUGGGAGCUCACUGGCUUCAUAUUCCAUCGGAACUCCAAAGUUAAGCGAGUUUGGGCGAGAGUAGUCCCAGGAAGAGUGACCCACUGGAAAGUUCUCGUGUGAGUUCCUAGAAACAAAAUCGUGAAGGCGUGGCCGGGGGGGGGGGUUAAAGCGGACAAUAUUGUGCUACGACGAAAUUGAGACUGAGAUGUGACAGAAUGGUAUCAAAGCCACUCUGCCGUGUGGUGCGAGUGUGCCGACGAGGAUGUCGGGCCCCUAAGGGGGGUGGAUUGUAACAUCCCACAUCGACCAACGGAGAGGAGGUGAUGUGCCUUAUAUGUACAUGCCCACCUCCAUUUAGCACGAGGUCUUUUGGGAGCUCACUGGCUUCGGAUUCCAUAAGAACUCCGAAGUUAAGCGAGUUCGAGCGAGAGCAUUCCCAGGAUGAGUAACCUACUGGGAAGUUCUCGUGUGAGUUCCCAGAAACAAAAUUGUGAGGGCGUGGCCAAGGCCCAAAGCGGACAAUAUCGUGCUAUGGCGGAGCCGAGAUUGGGAUGUAACAUCGUCACCUAAGACAAAGUACAAGUCCACAUUUAAAGUUCUUCGUGUAUUCACAUAAUAAAAAAUUUCCAUAUGCCCCCUACAACUAAUGAAGAGAAAUCGAGACACGUUGACAAAAAGUCAACUGUUGAUCAACGGUAGGGUCCAUAACCCUACGUAACUCGAUCUGCAAGAUCCAGCCACUGUAUUUGUGAUUCAUAAGUUCCUAAGGUCCUUAAAUCUUACGUACAAUAACAUACUAAACUUUGGUGACGAUCUAAUUGUCGAAUCAUCAUUUGCUAUAAUGUUCAAAUGACGCAAAUUCAUCAAUCAGAUGUUAAAUAUGGAAUCGGUCAUCGAAUUUAGCUUAGGAAGGUCAAGUGGUGUCUCGAGCCACGUGCUGCCGUGCGCAGCAGCUGGCAACCCAAAUUCGUCGGAAAAAUCACCUAAUUCCAAAAUGAAUGUCGUUAGACGUGGAGUAAAUUGUAUACCUGUGAAGAAGCCCAAUUUGGUCGGGAAGUGGCCUGAAAUCACUUUAGACCGUCGGAAACCCUAAAAUAGGUGAAUCUCGAUUCGUCAUCUCCGGUAUUCCACCGUCCUCAAACUUGUUUAGGGUUUGCUCCUGGUCUCAAAAGAAUGCUAAUGAUGGUGGUGAUUGAAGGAGAAUGUUUCAGAAAUAAUGAAUCGUCGACGAGGGUUUCACGAAACCGACAUGGGUGUUCCUUGUGGAACUAAGACCAAAUCUCAACGGUUUUGGCUAGAAAUGGAUGCUGGGAUGUCGUGGUGAGGUUUGGUAGUGAUGGGAGGUCGAAGAAAGCCAAAAAAAUCGACGAAAAAACAGUCGUCGGAGUCGCAGGAAACGGGUUAGAAAAACGAGUCGCCAGGUCUGAAACGGGUCGAAGGCUUUUGGGACAGCUACUUACUCUCUCUUCUUUGAUUAGUCACUCCACUCACUCUCUCAUUUGAUUAGUCCAGCCUUCCCACAUGGUGGGAGUUCCCUCAUAUAGUAACCCAAAAUUUACUAUUUAAAUCUGGUAUCGAACGUUCGUAACUUUUUCGUUAUAGUUUCGAUUCGCAAACAGCUUUCGCCUACGCGCUCGUAUGAUCGAAUUAUACUCGAAAACAUUAAUUGUGACCUCGAAAAGGUCUACGAGUUUUAAAAGAUUAAUUACAAAAAUUCACACCUUGUAACUAUACGAUCCAAAUUCUAAAAUUAACGGAAUUAAAAUAAACUAAAAAUAAUGUAAACACGAAAUACAGACUUUAAUAAUGAAAUACGUAAUUAAUAGUAGUAUUCCGGGAACGGGAUUUCACACCUUGCGUCCGGACCUUGAGUGCGGAUCAGAAUCCAAAGGUCGUGAUCUGACAAGCUCAUGCAUAGAACGGAGUCGUUGUGACCCAAUGCAAUUCAAAACUUUUAUGUUUUUUAUUUGCUGGGUACGUUUUUGUAGGAGGAAAAGGGGAAGUCGAGGGAUUCUUUGCGCAUUAAAGAGGGAAAGAGAGAAAGGGGGAGCUAAGAGGUUCUUCGCGCGUUAAAUUUUUGCUUCUAAUUUUGCAACCUAGAAAUAAAGUAUUUUCUUUAUGGUUUAUGGUUCAAGAAUAUAAUGGAUGCAACCUAAAAAUGUUUCUUUUUUUAUUUUUUACUUUUUUUCUUCUUAUGUUGGCUUUUGGUUUAUUUUUAUAACGCACUAUAUAUUAACUAAAUUUAUAAACAUUUUGUAUCUUUGUUGCAGUCAAAUUAAUCAUAUGGGUCGGCAUGACUAAGUUCGACUGAGACAUACAGAUGUUUUGCAAUCUUAAGUCUAACCUGACACACCUCGACCUCAAUAUCCAGUGAACACCAAAAUUAAGGUGUGCUGGCCAUCAUCCGGAUGGGUGACGAAACCAUAAUAUGCAUGAAAACAUAACUAAAUUAUCAACCAAUAAAAUCUAUUGAAAAAUUUGGCAGAACAUCCCUUAAAAUAGGGAUAUGCCCAAAUUAAAAACACUUGCACAUGAUCACAAUUAUUCAAACACAUCCCGAAGGGCCACACUUAAUGGGACUUCGACCAUCUAUUACAUGCAUGAGAAUAUGUUCAGAGAAUAAUUACCCAAAUACGUCUUAUUAAAAUAUUGAGUAAAUACCAUACAAGAUAGAAUACGUCAGAGCUGUUGCAAAAUACCUCAACGUCGGAUGUAAUCACUGAUAGAAUUACUGAAUCAUGUAUAAAUGGAAAGCUGAUAAAUACAUGUAAUUUGAGUGGAUACUUACCAACAGCAUGGAUACAAUAUCAUCCACCAGUCGUAACUAGUGAAAACUGGAUAAUAUAAUCAUGUCAUUGCCGAGUAAUCUCAAGGCAAUGACAAGAUGAGAAUGUAACUGAGUAAUCAUAUCAUUACUAAAUAAUUUCAAAGCAAUGACAAGCUGAGAGUAUAACCGUAUAAUCAUGUCAUUACCGCGUAAUCUCAAAAUAAUGACAAGCUGAGAGUAUAACUGUAGUACCUCUUAUUAGUGCAAUGCAUGAUAUGAAUUCCAUCUCACAUAUAUAUGCAAGCCAUAAUCAAACCAAUAAACAUCCAACAAAAGCCACAAUCCUUUUAACAUUCGACCACAAGAUCAAUUUUCAUAUUUCCCAAACCUAGGUUCCGAAGCAUUGUUUCGAAUUAUUAAUACAAGAAACCACCACCACCUCAAUCAAUUCCUAUUCAUAAGUGUAAGCAAUUACUAAAUGCAUCACUUUCGACUCUAGUCUUAAUUAGAUUACUUGGGAUACUCAUUCACACCAUCAGAUCCACGUACAAUUUUGAUAAACUUUAAAUAGCAUGGUUAAAAUAAAUGAAACAUUUGAAUGAAACACUUUUAGAAAAUAAGUGAAGAUGUUGUUUACAAAUAUAGAUGCAUCUGUAUAUAAAAGCUUUGGCGGUUGAUUCGUAUACUUCCAGAGAUAUAAGCAAGUUCAUUGGAAUAUGCAUACAUGGUUAAUGUAUUACGGUAUAAUUAAUAAGAAAACAAUUGCAUCCCCUUCAGAUUAUAUAUAUAUAUAUAUAGACACACACACAUACACAUACAUACACACAGGCCCUUUAUGCAAAGGAAUUUCCAUUUUUUUUCAAAAAAUGGGGAUUAGUUGUGGGGCCCACGCUGCAUUGAACUUUAACGAUCCGAACAAUCUAUUUUGUAAGUCUCGAUUCAUAGAUCAUCCUUGCAAAAAUUCAAUUCAAUCCGAACCCUUUUGCCUAUUUAAUUAUCAAGAUAAAAUUUCAUUGUUUCUUAUAUAACAAAGUAUUCGUUAAUUUCUUUGAACUCAAUUAGAUAUCUUAAACAUUUCCGAUUUGGCUAAUAUUUUGCAAAGAUGAUCUAUGUGGUGCAACUUGAAAAAUAGACGAUUUCGAUUGUUAAAGUUCGAUGUGGUGUGAACCCUACAAUUAAUCUUCAUUUUUAUAAAAGAAUGGGAACCCCUCCCCUUAAAGGUUUCCUAUGUAUAUAUUUGUUCUUCAGACAUAUGCAAAAGGUAAUGUAAAACCAAUGAGAACUUAAAUAGAUAUUCCAUACAUAGGACAAUUCCAUAUAUGCUUUUUCAACAUUUAUAUCGAAAAGCCAAAUUGUUUUGAGGAAAUUAAUUGUAGUAAUGGUCCCUUAACUUUUAUCUUAUUGGAGCAAUGGUCUCUCAACUAAAAAUUCAUGACCAUUGGUUCCUUAACUCCACAAAACGUGUAGUUAUGGUCAUUUUCAUUAACUCCGUCAGAACUUUUGUUAAAACAAGUAAUGUUAGAAGAAUCAUUGCUACAAUCAGGUUAAAGUUGGGGACCAUUGCUCUAAUUGAAUUAAAGUUGAGGGAUCAUUACUCCAAAUUGCUUAAAGUUCAAGGACCAUUUCUACAAUUUUCUCAUCUAGUUUCCCAUAUUUACCCCAUGAUUCAGCUUCACAUGCAUUGCACAUGACUCAUUUUGACAAAAGUUUUAACGAAAUUGACGAAAAUGACCAUAAAUGCACGUUUUGAAGAGUAAGAGACCAAUGGUCGCAGAUUUUAGUUGAGGGAUCAUUGCUCCAAUUUGGUUAAAGUUGAGGGACCAUUGCUACAAUUUGCUCAAAUGUUUCGUAUGCGAAAAUAGGCAUUUGUAAAGUUUGGCUUGUUCAUGGCAUUAUUACUUUAGUCUAAAGUAAGGCUGGAAAUGGCACUGUAGAAAUGAAUAGUGUUCCAAUCCGAAUUUCAGUUUAAUUACAACAAUGCCAUUGCUCUUUGUGUUGCCUUUAGGUGAGCAACCCAACUUCCAGCCAGGCCCAAAUGUAUUGGUUUUAGCUGAGAAGCCCGACCUUUGGUCAGGCCCAAAACUUUAAAUUACAGUUUUGCCCAUACAAAAUAACAAUUUGAUUGUAUCGGGAAGGACAAUUUUGUCCUUUUAGUUUUGGGCGAGAUAGGGGGUAACCGGGUAGAUUUCAUUUGCUGUCGUUGAAUGAAGGUUUCGGGGAUGAAGGUUGUGUGUGUGUGUGAGGGAGAUGACGAUGGAAGGAGAGCGAAGGGGAGGGGAAGGGUUCUCGGCACUGUUGCUGCAUGUGGAUUUCACAAGUGGGUGAAUGGGUAUGGUUAGAGAAUACCAUAUAGGUUGUCGGGAUUUCAGGAAACGGGGUAGGGGUCAUGAAUGAACCCUGCUGAGAGUGGGUGCCGGAUCUUGCGCUGCAUGCCUCAAAUCAAAGAUAAGUUCAUUUUUUUAUUGUAUUCUUUAAUGGUAGCUUAGCUUUUGGAAUUGUUUAGUAUGUUAGGUCCAGUUUUGGGGGAUUUAUCUUUUAGAGAGAGAGAUGGACAGGGAGAUAAAGAUAGACAGAGAGAGAGAGAGGAGGAGGAGGCGGAGGAAGUAUGGCUGUGUGCUAUUUUUGGUGUUAAUUAAUGGGUUGGUGCGCAGGGUGAGUGACAGAGUGACAGAGUGACGGAGGGAUGUGUGGGAGGGUAUGGGUUUUUAGUUCUUUCUUUUGAUUCAAUAGGUUAUACACUGUUUGAAAAACCUUUUUUUUAUUUUUUUGUUCUCGUUUGCUUUGUUAAAACCAUCAUUUGAAUUUUUGGGUUUCACUGUGCUCAUUUCUCUGUUUCUUCAUAAUUUGUUGGUGUUUGCUUCUCAUCCCUCUGUUGGUAGAUCUUUUUCUCAUUUCUUGGUUCCUUAUGUAUUCUUUGGUACAAAUCUGUUUACUUUUUGGUUGUGUGAUAAUCUUAGCAGGUGAACUAUAUGAACGUUUUUUUGAAACGAGCACAGUGAAGCAAGCGUAGAUUGGGAGGCAACCCAAUAUUUCUAUUCAUUGCCUUUUUCUGUCAUUUUCAAUUUUCUUGCAUGCUAAACUGAAUUAUUUCUUUUCUUUGUAUUUGGGUUAUGUCCACCCUUGGAGUUGAUUGCGGAAUUAUAGUUUGGGGGUCAUCAUUUGAUUUCACUGCAAAUUGGGGAAGUUUUUAGUCCAAAUGCCGGAUCACUUCAAGUAUCACCUUCCAUUCGAAGUUCACUUCCAUGCCAUGGAACCUAUGGGAGUGUGACUGGAGGCAUCGUCCGGCUGCAAGACGUUAAAGAAAGCGCUUCUUGGGAGGCAACCCAAGCUUUCUAUCUUUCAUCUUUAUUUUGAAUAAUUUUAAAUGUUCUUGUUCUGUUUUUCUCUUAUUUUCUGGUUUUUGUAUUUAAGUCCUACUUUUGUUCCUUUAUGCAGGUAAUGAUUUUGCAAUCUCUACCACAACUUCUUGCAAGGUAGUUUUACAUUCAUAAAAACGAAAGGAACAUUAAGCAUAUAAAUACAAGAGGGAGCCUUCACAAAGGCUGCUUAGGAGAAGUUUCAGCAGUCGGCGGAGUCCCAGAAGGAGGAGGCAUCAGAGGUUGAUCAUUUGGAGCUUCAUUACGUGGUACAACCCCAGAAGACGAAGGCAAAUGCAAAUAAGGAAGAUCUAUGAAUCGCUUCACAAUCGAAAAGGAACAUAUGGUAGAAAAAUUCAAAGAUGAGCAUACAAACAAGAAGGAGUCUUCAUUGGUCAGGAGGUGUCGCAGCAGUCGAAGGAACAUCAGAAAGACGAAGUGUCAGAGCUUGAUUGUCCGGAGCACUUGGUGAAGCACCAGAUGAUGAAGGCAGAAGUUGCCUCAGGAGUAAAGCCAUAAACCUUUGAUGAUCACUCCGAGCCCGAACUUCAGCCUCUUGCAGCUGGUCCAACUUCCUCUUUAUGCUUGUUGAGUAGUUAGUUGCGAGCAUGUGCAACUCUUUAUCUUCAUGCCUCAGCGCUCUGACCUCUUGCCAAAGGCUAGCCACUUCAGCCAUCAACGACUCCACUUGACGAGUUCGAGCAAGAAGGCGUUGGCCCAUGUUUGAUACUGAGCCUGCACUUUGGACGCUGAAAGCCAAAGAAUCCUGAACAGCCUGCUCGUCAGACCGCUUAGAUAGCAUCCUACUGUCUCUUGGAGUAUGAAGAUUUCUAGCAACCACUGCAGCUGUUGCAUCAUUUCUCAUCACAGUGUCCCCAACUGUAAGAGGACCGUUGGAGGAUAUGAAAGAUGGCUGCCAAAUGUUACCUGGAGACGAGAGGUCAAUAUCUUCUUCGAUAUUCAGGUCAAAACGACGGUCGGAUGGGCUAGACAUUUUCAUAGGUGUUAAAGAAAGAAGAGGUCAGACAAGUCAAGAUAGUAGAAAUGCAAGAAGGGAGUAUUCACAGGCAGAAAUUCAUGUGUGCUUUGAACAUCCUGCGAACCUCUAUAAAAAAUAGCACACAAUGAGAUUUCAGGGAUCGAAUAGGCGAGUUCAGAGAUCGAUGAAGCGCCUGCUUUCUCCAAAGCUAGGCCUACUCAGGAAUCACAGGCUGAUCUCAGGUAGUGAAGACGCGCCUGUCUCUCUCAGCCCCGUCAGCACUUGUCACAUGCAGAGAAAACUUUGAGGAAAUCACGGGCAGUUUGUCGAAGCGCCGAUUCCAACCAUCUGUCUUUCUCAGCCUCGUCAGCUUUGAGGAAAUCACGGGCAGUUUGUCGAAGCGCCGAGUCCAACCGCCUGUCUCUCUCAGCCUCGUCGGCACUCGCUUUCUCAAAAGCUGGGCUUGAAAUCACAGGCCAAUCUUCAGUUUCUAAAUUUGUUCGCACUUGUCACAUGCAACCUCUGCACUCAACGAAGCUCAGAACUCGAAGCGCCAAUUCCGGAUAUUAAAGAAGCCUUUGCUUUAUCAGACGUGUCAGCAUCUGUCAAUUGCACAUCUGCGUUGCGUAAAUCACGCGCAAUCUGUCGAAGAUUUCUGGAGAAACGGAAUGCACGUGAAGUUUACUGUUAAAUUACCCCAGGCUUGCUGACACGAGUACUAGAACAAUGCCUUCCCAGCCAUUAAGAAAAAUUCUACAAAUGUUAAAGGCAACCUCACUCAACUUUCAGCCUCACUCAACCUUUCUUCCUCUCUGAGAAUGUAUUCCCGAAGAAGCCUCCCGAGUCACUCUGUGUUUCUCAUCCCUUGGGAUACCCCUGCAAACAACCCACCCAGAGCAAAAGUAUUUCAUAUCAUAACGGUUGAGAGCAAGAGUAUCUCAUAUCAUGCUUUCUCCCUGUCCUUUGUCUCGCCAGCACUUGGUAUCAAUCUUCCGAGCGGGGACCGACUGCCUGGAACCCAUUCCUGAUUGCUUACCUAACCUUGCUCUCGAGUACUCAUCCUUCUUAUGUUUCCUCUUCGUCUACCACAUAGGGGAAGUGAUAAUGAUACCUCGAAGCAUGUGGAUACAACGUGCUGAUUCAUCCUCAACUAAGGACAAGGGAGAAAGCAAGCAAGAUGUGGGCACUUGGAAAGAUUGAACAAAGAAACAGACUAACACCUCUACCUCGUGCCUGCCUACCGAGCAGAAGAAACAAGCAGAGAAGAAUGCAGACUGCACAAUCAAACAACCCAGGAACUCUGAUAUUCCUCGCUCAGGAUUCCAAACCAGUUUGAGAUUCGCCUACACAAAUUGGUGUGUUCUUUCCUUUUCUUUAUGUGUCUUUAUUUCAUUUUAUAUUUCUUUCCUUCCAUUUUCAUGUCUUAUUGUUCAAAAAUUCCUUUCAUUAUCAUUGGGGACAAUGCUAUAAUUAAGUUUGGGGGUAUUUGGAAAUAUAUUUCGUUAGUUUAUUUCUCUAUUAAAAAAAAAAAAAAAUUUUGCAUUUUUAUUGUUGUUUGUAGCUACUUCUCAAUUCAAUGAUGAGAUUUGAUUUUAAUUUCCUUCUUACUUUCAAGAAAGUCUAAGUUCUUUUCGUUGUCUUUGUGUUAACUGUGAUUUCCAGAAAUCAACUUGAAAAAAGAAAUGUGCCUAGUCUUGUCAAUGUGAAACUUGAGCAUGAUUUAGCGUUUCAUAUGUGAAUCAUGUGAGAUUAUGUAAACCUUGUGAGUUUUUUAGCCUAUACAUGAUUGAACCAUUAUGCAUCAAUCUCAUUCCUUCUUGUGCGUAUGAUCUCACUGUACAUGUAUCUCUAGAACUUGCUUUAUACUACUCGAUUCAUUAAUCAAUUCAUGUAAUAACUUGGAAGUGAUAUAGGCCAUCUUUGGAUCGUUUGAGCCUUUCAUGCCUACCUUAUAUGCUAUGUUUAUCCUUAGUAGCCCUUUGAGCCUUUAACUAAGCCAUUUCUUUGUUAACCACAUCUCUUUACCUUGCUCCAAUAUUGGAGUUGAGCCCAUACACAAAAAUCGAUUCCUUAUUGUUUUGAGAAAGUAUUACAUGGGUUGUGCUUUUGGGGGUUUCAUUUAUAUAGAAAGAUGGAUGGAGUAUGUGUAUACAAUGAAAUGUGAAUUUGAUGGGUGAUGUAGAUUUUGAAAAUUAUUUCAAAAGAAAAAAAAAACGAAAAAAAACGAAAAAAAUGAAAAUUGGAGAGUGUUGAUUUGUUGAAAAUGUGUCGGUAGAGUAUAAAUUUCCUUUUAAAGUUAAAUUUGGGGAGUAACAGGUGCUCGAGGUUUUAUUAUUUUGCUUUCAAUUUGAGGUGGUGUGAUAUUGAGGUGUUGGAAAACUACCAAAGUGUACUUUCUCAAAAUUUUUGAUUUCCAUAUCCUUUCUUUCAUUAGCCUAUCACCUUUAGCCCCAUUACAACCGUAAUAAAGUCCUAUUGAUCCAAGGUAUUACUUAAAUAUUGAUAAGCGAGUUAGGUGGACAAGCAAGCACAUGGCGGCAUGUACAAUGAGAUUACUUGAGUGAAACACAUUAACAAAAAAUUAUGAGUGAAUGAGCGUAUGUCUUGUGAGAAACUCACAUGUUUGCAUAUGAUGAUUUAAAGGAGCUUGGAAUUGCAUUGACAUAGCUAGCUCACACAUGGCAUUUCAACGUUUUGUUUGAAGGAAAUUUGGUUAACUAUUGGAUGAUGUUUUGAGCUCUUGCUUACUUCUUGGCAGUGUAUCUCAUGACUAGCACUUAUCUCUGAAAUCGAAAUUGAGAAGUUGGCUACUAAGUUGUUGAAUCUAGUCUUAGUUGAGUGGUUUUGUUUUGCUAGAGGACUAGCAAAAAUGUAAGUUUGGGGGUAUUUGAUCACUCAUAUAUUUCAUGCAUUUAUACCAUCCAUUUCUAAAGUCUUUGUGAUGUUUUUGUGUUAAAGUUGUGGCAUUUUACCUUACCUUGUGUUAAUGUACAGUUAAUUUUAUUUUAGGAUCAAUUUCAAAGAAAAUGGGCUGAAAAGAAAAUAAAAGAAAAGAAAUAAAUGGGACGGAAAGGAAGACACUGACAGAAUAAAAGAAUGAAGAAAGAGGUAGAACGGCAGAUAGAGAAGUGGGAAGAAAGUGGAGUGCGCAUGGGAUGGAAGUGGAACAAAAAGCAGGAGAGGGAGUGAGGAGUGCGGGAUAAAAGCAAAGAAAAAUAGAAGAAUAAGAAAGAAGUGGGAGGACACGGACUGAGUGGAAGAAUUAAAGAGAGAAGCAGGGUGCAGGCACGGACAGAAAGGAGAACUGAAGAAUAAAAGAGAAGACAGAGAAGCAGAAAAAAGAAGAGAAACUGACGUGAAAGCCAGUGCGCAGAGGGCGCAGAGAGAUAGGAGAGAUUGUGCGGGAGCAGAAGCACAGAAGCAGAGGGAACAAAAUCACAGACUGACAGCAGACGCAAGAGGCACGGCAGAGAGCAAAGCUUCACUCUAUUUUUCUUGGUUUUAUCUUCUCAAACCCAUGUUUUACUUUUGGUUUAAUUUGUGAAUUAUGUGUAACUAAAUUUUAAGUAGUUAGGGGCUGUUUUGAAGCCCCGAAUAUGAUUGUAAGUUUGUUGUGAUAUUUUGUUUGAAUGACUUUUAUGAAAGGAUGAAAAUUGUUUCACUACUUAUGUGAUUGAUAAAUUCUUUAUGUGUUUCUAUGGAUGCAUACAUAGUGAGCAUAUCUAGGAUUUUAAUGCUAUGAAUAUAUGUUUACCUGCCCUUGUUGAAUGAGGACCUACAUAUGUUCUAGAGUAGCACUUGUUAAUUGUGGUUAACAUGUGAACCGAUUUCUAGGAUAAGUAAGACAAUGCCAGUACUUAUCAUGCCUUGUGAUGACUCAAACUCUUUUCGUUCUUAAUGAUUUCUACUUGUUAAAUCUAUGAACACGACAUUCUAGAUUACAUGCUAGGGACUACGUUAAGUUGAAAACGCUAUUCUCUUAACAUACUACGUAAGAAAAAGUAAUAGGUUGUGUUCUAACAUUGAGCCAACUUGAGCAUCUUCAUCCGGAAAUAAAAGGAAUUUGAAUGAAACAUAACAUGUUUGCAUGAUUAUUUGGUGGUGGAUAGCAUUUCCCCUAAUUCGUUUUCUUAACUUGUGAAUUAAAAUCUAUUGGUAUUAUUUAAAACUGGUUGAGGUCCUGUUUUGUCCGAUUUAAUUUAAAUAGCUAAUCAACUUCAAAAAUCCCAAACAUUUGUGUGAGCAUAGCUUGGUGUGUCUAGUUUAUGUGUAUAAAAUUUCGUUGCAUUUGGAUAAGUGUAAGUUAGUCUAAUAAUUAUUGUUCGGUGGCUGGUCAGUGGAGACAACCAUCCUGUUUUUGUGACAUUUUAAGUGUUUGGAUAAAACAAUUUUCUGCGGAAAAGACCCUUAUUUUCAUAUGCUACAAUCGACAAAAUUUUAGUGUUAAUAAGGAAAAUCAAUAGGAUUAUUGUGGGCUACUUUGUGGUGCGUUAUAAUUACUACCAUGCUGUCAGUGGGUGUUAAUAUCAGGUACCCAUGUUCAGUUUUUCGUUUUGAUUUGAAGGAAUUUCUUGCGGAGAGGAGCAAGGGUUUCUUGGUGAGUUCUUCGGGUUGUGCAUAUGGGUAAUUUUCUUUUCGGUUUAACCCUCUGCUUCUGCUGCUCUCUCUCUUUCUCUCAUCCCUGCCUGCUCCUCUCCAAUUGUUUGCUGUUCUUAAAUAUUGUGUUCAUUGCCUGAUACAAGGGGCUGCAGCAAUCUGUUUUAUCCUACACGGGACAACGAGGCAAUGGCGUGACAACAGGUGAGCUUGGAUAUCCAAAGAAAAAGAACAGUUGGUUCAUCUGCUGGAGUCUGAGCUUAGAGAAGUGGAGGAAAAUUGCAGGUGUGCGAGAAAUUUUAUUUUGCUGAUAGGACUCCUUAUUUACUGAUGCAUUUUGAAAUAAUUGAAAAGUUGGAUUUGAGUUAACAGCUAUAAAAAUGUAGACAUGAUUGCUGAGAUUAUGCUAUGAAAGUGGAAUAAAAAAAUGGUAGUUUAUAAUAUUGCGUACCAAUUGUUUUCUCUCUUUUUUACCAAAUGAUAAGGGUGGUGGCUCAGGCCGCCCCCCUAAGCGUCCCCACUCUUCGACAAGUUGAAAUCGUGGUGAUAGUUUAUGGGCUGUGGUCUUGGGAUUCUGCAAAUAGAAUGAAAAACAGACACUUAACUAUCUUGUUAUUAAGCAUUUCUGCAUCAUUCAGUUGCUCUUGAUUUUCGUCUUUUAAGCGAUCUUAUUUCUGCGAUCUGACUUGAGGAGGGUUUUUAGACCUAUGGUUGUGGGUGUUUUCUCUGACCCCAUUAUCCGAGAUUUGUAGACUUGCGAUCGGCGGUCAAACAUUUUGUGAUUCUUGUUUUCUCUGCCUUUCGGUCGUUAAGCGCCGGCAGUCUUUAGAUCUUUGGCAAAUCAAUUUAAUACAACCGAGGUAUGUUUUAUAACUGCUGUCUUUCAAUUUUUGUUCUGUAUUUUUGUUAAUUUGGAUGAAGCUCUAAUAAUUUUGUUUUGGAUCAGUUGUGGUCCUCUGUUAGGAUUUUCCUGGCUAAGAGGGUAUUUGCGUUUUUGUUGCUUGGUUGGUCGAUCACAGAUUUACGAACAGCUGUGGUGGUCCUGUUAUUUUUUGGUAUGUUUUUUCUCCUUUUUGGUUUUUUUCCCGGUUUGAGCACCCAUUCUUGAAGAAUUAAAAUGUGUUUUAUAGUUUUUUCAGGAGAGAUUAGAAAAGUGAUUUCAAUUUGGGAAAAUUUAAUGUUGGUUAAAAUUUGUUUAUAAUUUUUGGGAAGGAAUGAGAGGACCCAUUGAAGUAUGUGUUGUGAUUAUUUUUUAUUCAUAUUUUUAACAAAUUGGGCAUGAAUUGGUAGGUUAACUGUGUGUGUUUAUUAUUUGAAUCGGCCAUGUUUGUCUUUCUAUGGUUCUAAAAAAUUUGUAAAGGCUGUUAACUUGGAAGAAAAUGGGAUCGAGGGUGAGGGGAAAACGGCAGAGAAAGCAUGGAAGAGAGAUUUGGGAUUAGGGGUAGGAAAACAGAUGAAAAGAAUAUGAUAGAGGAAUGGGUUCAGUUCAUUUUCACUAUUUUUUUUUAACUGAUUUGGAUUUUGUUUGGGUUUAACUCCGCCUAUGUCUUACAUGGCCGGUCCCAAGCCCGGAUAAAGGAGGAGGGGGAGGGCGUCAGGUAGUCGACAGCCGGCACUCCAUGAUCAUGUCGAAUCCUUAUGAAAAUGAAUCCAGAACAAAAUCGCGCUAAAGCUAGGACGUCACCCGUAAGUGGCGCGCUGUAUGGCCCGAGCACAGUGAUAAGUGAGCAAGGGUCGCUGUAUCUCCAUCGGCACCCGGAUGCAGUGUUAAAUGAGCAAGGGGGCCAUAGAAACUUCUUUUCGAACGACUCCACUCAAAGUUGUUUGAGAGCAUAUGCUCCUAUCAACUUUACCCGGGACACACAAAAGAAGUACUUUGAUCCUAUUAGACGGGGGAGGGUGAAGAAGCUAGGACAGAAGGGUAGAGUUCAAGAGAGCAAAAUGCGUUUAGGAACGUGGAAUAUAGGAACCUUAACGGGAAAAUCUAUGGAAGUAGUGGAAGUUAUGGUGAGGAGAAGGAUAAAUAUUAUGUGCCUACAAGAAACUAAGUGGGUUGGUAGUAAGGCAAAGGAUCUAGAAAACUCAGGGUUUAAACUUUGGUAUUCGGGCACAAAUAGAACGAGAAACGGUGUUGGCAUCAUCGUGGACAAGACCUUGGUACAAGAUGUUGUAGAUGUCAAGAGGGUAGGAGAUAGAAUCAUGGCAAUCAAGAUUGUAAUAGGACAAGAACUUAUCAAUGUGAUUAGUGCGUACGCACCUCAAGUAGGGUUGGAUACGAGUUCGAAGGAGAAAUUUUGGGAAGAUCUUGGAGACUUGGUGCAAGGAAUUGCUCAGACGGAGAAGUUAUUUAUAGGAGGAGAUUUAAAUGGACACGUGGGCAGGGAGACAGGCAACUAUGGAGGUUUUCAUGGUGGCCAUGGUUUUGGGGAGAGAAACGAGGAUGGGGAAGCUAUCUUGGAUUUUGCAAUGGCAUAUGAUCUCUUCUUAGCCAACACCUUCUUUAAGAAGAGAGAAGAACAUGUGAUCACCUACAAGAGUGGGUCGUCAAAAACACAAAUAGAUUUUCUUCUAAUGAGGAAAGGGGAUCGUAUAACUUGUAAGGAUUGCAAAGUUAUACCAGGAGAGAGCGUGGCUAAUCAACAUCGCUUGUUGGUGAUGGAUGUACAUAUCAAAAGAGUAAGACAAAAGAACAAGACUUGGAAGUGCCCAAGGACUAGAUGGUGGAAUCUAAAAGAAGAAAAACAAGCCAUUUUCAAAGAGAAGGUAAUCACCCAAUGUGUGUGGGAUAGAGAGGGGGAAGCUAGCCAAAUGUGGGAUUCCAUGGCUAGUUGUAUCCGAAAAGUAGCAAAAGAGGUAUUAGGAGAGUCCAAGGGCUUUGCCCCACACCAAAAGGAAUCUUGGUGGUGGAAUGAGGAGGUACAAACAAAGGUGAAGGCUAAGAAGGAAUGUUGUAAAGCCUUAUACAAGGAGAGGACCGAUGAAAAUGGUGAAAGGUAUAGAAAAGCGAAGCAAGAGGCGAAGAAAGCUGUCAGAGAAGCUAAGUUAGCGGCUUACGACGAUAUGUAUAAACGACUAGAUACCAAAGAAGGAGAGUUGGAUAUCUAUAAACUAUCUAGAGCAAGGGAAAAGAAGACAAGGGACCUAAACCAAGUGAGGUGCAUCAAGGAUGAGGAUGGAAAGGUUCUUGCUACAGAGAACGCGGUUAAAGACAGAUGGAGAGGUUAUUUUCAUAAUCUUUUCAAUGAAGGACAUGAAAUGAGUGCUUCUUUAGGGGAGUUGAGUAACUCAGAAGAGUGUAGAAACUACUCUUUUUAUCGUCGAAUCCGGAAGGAAGAAGUGGUUGUAGCUUUGAAGAAGAUGAAGCAUAAAAAAAGCAAUAGGCCCAGACGAUAUACCAAUCGAAGUGUGGAAACUUUUGGGAGAGACAGGUAUAACAUGGCUCACUGACCUUUUCAAUAGGAUUUUGAAAACGAAGAAGAUGCCAAAUGAGUGGCGAACGAGCACUUUGGUGCCUAUCUACAAGAAUAAGGGCGACGUACAAAAUUGCAUGAACUAUAGGGGUAUUAAGCUAAUGAGUCAUACAAUGAAGCUCUGGGAGAGAGUCAUUGAGCAUAGAUGAGGCAAGAGACACGGGUUUCGGACAACCAAUUCGGGUUCAUGCCAGGGCGCUCAACCAUGGAGGCAAUCUAUCUCUUACGAAGAUUGAUGGAAAGAUAUAGAGAUGGGAAAAAGGAUUUACACAUGGUCUUUAUAGAUUUGGAAAAAGCGUAUGAUAGGGUCCCAAGAGACAUUCUUUGGAGGAUUUUAGAGAAGAAAGGAGUACGAGUAGCAUAUAUCCAAGCUAUAAAGGAUAUGUAUGAAGGAGCAAAGACUGCCGUAAGAACUCAUGAAGGACAAACCGAAAGCUUUCCCAUAACUGUAGGAUUACAUCAAGGCUCAUCCUUAAGUCCUUACCUUUUUGCGUUGGUAAUGGAUGAGUUAACAGGACAUAUUCAAGAUGAUAUUCCUUGGUGUAUGCUUUUCGCAGACGAUAUAGUGUUGAUAGAUGAAACUCAGGAAGGGGUAAAUGCAAAGCUUAACCUUUGGAGAGAAGUGUUGGAAUCUAAAGGUCUUCGCCUAAGCCGAUCAAAGACAGAAUAUAUGGAGUGCAAGUUCAGUGCAAAUGGAGGCCAAAACGAGUUAGGGGUGAGGAUCGGAGAUCAAGAAAUACCAAAGAGCGACCGUUUUCGUUACCUAGGAUCUAUCUUGCAAAAGAACGGAGAAUUAGAUGGAGAUCUCAACCAUAGAAUACAAGCUGGAUGGAUGAAGUGGAAGAGUGCAUCCGGCGUGUUGUGUGACCGCCGUAUGCCACUGAAGCUCAAGGGAAAAUUUUAUAGGACGGCAAUAAGGCCGGCGAUGCUGUAUGGCACAGAAUGUUGGGCGGUGAAACAUCAACACGUACACAAAAUGGGUGUAGCGGAGAUGAGGAUGCUUCGUUGGAUGUGUGGGCACACGAGAAAGGAUAAGAUUAGGAAUGAGGAUAUCCGGGGUAAAGUAGGAGUAGCCGAAAUUGAAGGAAAGAUGAGAGAAAAUCGGUUACGGUGGUUUGGACAUGUGCAAAGAAGGCCUACUGACGCUCCGAUUAGAAGAUGCGACUAUGGGACAGAGGUUCAGGGCCGAAGGGGUAGAGGAAGACCUAGGAAAACUUUGGAAAGAGACUCUAAGAAAAGACUUAGAGUACUUGGAUCUAACGAAGGACAUGACACAGGAUCGAGCACAAUGGCGUUCUAAGAUUCAUAUAGCCGAUCCCACUCAGUGACUUGGAUUUUCCAAGUCUCCAACCGAGAAGUUUUCCUCACUCGGAAAAUUAAGGGAACACUACCCCAACCUACAUGCUCCACUCAGAAAGCUUCAACAUACAAGCUUCAACAAAAGAAAAUUCAAAGAACUUAGCGAAGAAGGCUUUGGUGUAUUUAACACAAUACGUUGAAAUGAAGGAAAGCUUAUUUAUUGAUAUCCCCGAUAAGCUACAAAUAUGUACAUAUACAUGAGUCAAAAUAAACACACAAGAGGGAGCCUUCACAAAGGUUGCUUAGGAGAAGUCUCAGCAGUCGGUAGAGCCCCAGAAAGAGAAGGCACCGGAGGGGGAUCAUUUGGAGCCUCAGUACUGGACAGAACCCUAGAAGGAGGAGGCAUCAGAGGUUGAUCAUUUGGAGCUUCAUUACGCGGUACAGCCCCAGAAGACGAAGGCAAUAAAUGCCUUUGGAACAAACCCACAAAUCUCUGAUGAUCAAGUAAAACCUGACCAUCAGUUUCCUUCAUCUGGUCAAGCUUCCUCUUCAUGUUUGUAGCAUAGUCAUGUGCGAGCCGGUGCAACUGUUUAUUCUCAUGCUUGAGCCCUCUAAUCUCCUGUUUGAGACUCAUCACUUCAGCCGCCAAUGAUUCAACUUGGCGGGUUCGAGCAAAUAGGCGUUGGGCCAUAUUAGACACAGAACCUGCACACUGAACACUGAGAGCCAGCGAAUCCUUAACAGCUAACUCAUCAGACCGUUUGGAAAGUAGUCUGUUAUCUUUGGGAGUGAGAAGGUUCCUGGCCACCACCGCAGCGGUCAUAUCAUUCUUCAUCACGGAAUCCCCAACGGUAAGAGGACCAGUAGGGGAGACGAAGGAUGGGCGCCAUAUGUUGUCUGGAGAAGGCGGGGCUGCCUCUUCAACAAGGUUCAAGUCAAAACGACGGUCGGAGGGGCCAGACAUUUUCAAAUGUGUUGAAGAGAGAAGAGGUCGGACAAAUCAAGAUCUUAGAAGUGCAAGAAUGAAGCUUCUACUGGUGGAGAUUCAAGUGUGCUUUGGAACUUAAUGCCAGCCCCUAUAAAAAUCUGCACUCGACGGAGCUUCAGAAAUCGAAGAGGCGCCUGCUCAGAAAUCGAAGAGGCGUUUGCUUUCUCAAAAGCUGGGCUGCUUAGAGAUCACGAGGGUUGAUCUCAGAAAUCGAAGAGGCGUUUGCUUUCUCAAAAGUUGGGCUGCUCAAAGACCUCGAAGGCUGAUCUCAGAAAUCGAAGAGGCGCUCGCUUUCUCAAAAGCUGGGCUCCCUAGAGACCACGAGGGCCGAUCUCAGAAAUCGAAGAGGCACCUACUUUUCCAGCCUUGUCAGCACCUGUCACACGCGCACACUCAGCUUUGCGGAAAUUAUGGGCAUUCUGUCGAAGACUUCUGGGGAAGUAGAAAAAACACAUGAAUCUUACUGUUCAAUCACCCACUUCCCACACGCAACAAUAGCUCAUGGGUACCACAGAUAACUUUGCCAAAGUUCUCUGCCAAAGUUGAGCACGUGAAGCUUGCAGCUCCCACUACAUCGCUCUGACCAAGAAGGGUAAAAGAAUAGCAAAGAAACACAGCACUAACAAAGUUUAGACCCAUAAAUUUUGAAGGUCUAGCUACCAUAUUAUUACCACACACAGGGUAAAGGAACAGUACCACUGCUGGAUAAUUGGAAAGUCCCUGUUUGUCAACCUCUGUGCUUCGUGGCAAGGUAGACUAGCAAACAUGCCCAACCUUUACUCACAUUCGAGAAAACACUCCCAAUAAGAUUGCUUGCUCCAAAAUCGAAGAGGCACCGUCCUCCGAAUCUCGAGAGCCAGACUCCCAACAUGACUACUUUCUUAAAAAUCGAAGAGAGGGUAAAGGAACAGUACCAUUGCUGGAUAAUUGGAAAGUCCCUGUGUGUCAACCUCUGUGCUUCGUGGCAAGGUAGACUAGCAAACAUGCCCAACCUUUACUCACAUUCGAGAAAACACUCCCAACAAGAUUGCUUGCUCCAAAAUCGAAGAGGCACCGCCCUCCGAAUCUCGAGAGCCAGACUCCAAACAUGAUUACUUUCUCAAAAAAUCGAAGAGACACUGCUCCCCGAAUCUUCGAGAGCCAGACCCCCAGCAUGAUUGCUUUCUCAAAAAUCGAUGAGGCAUCGUUCUCCGAAUCAAUCGAAGAGGCGCUCGCUUUCUCAAAAGCUGGGCUGCUCAGAGACCACGAGGGCCGAUCUCAGAAAUCGAAGAGGCACCUACUUUUCUAGCCUUGUCAGCACCUGUCACACGCACACUCAGCUUUGCAGAAAUUAUGGGCAUUCUGUCGAAGACUUCUGGUGAAGUAGAAAGCACAUGAAUCUUACUGUUCAAUCACCCACUUCCCACACGCAACAAUAGCUCAUGGGUACCACAGAUAACUUUGCCAAAGUUCUCUGCCAAAGUUGAGCACGUGAAGCUUGCAGCUCCCACUACAUCGCUCUGACCAAGAAGGGUAAAAGAAUAGCAAAGAAACAGCACUAACAAAGUUUAGACACAUAAAUUUUGAAGGUCUAGCUACCAUAUUAUUACCCACAAGGGUAAAGGAACAGUACCACUGCUGGAUAAUUGGAAAGUCCCUGUGUGUCAACCUCUGUGCUUCGUGGCAAGGUAGACUAGCAAACAUGCCCAACCUUUACUCACAUUCGAGAAAACACUCCCAACAAGAUUGCUUGCUCCAAAAUCGAAGAGGCACCGUCCUCCGAAUCUCGAGAGCCAGACUCCCAACAUGACUACUUUCUCAAAAUCGAAGAGAGGGUAAAGGAACAGUACCAUUGCUGGAUAAUUGGAAAGUCCCUGUGUGUCAACCUCUUUGCUUCGUGGCAAGGUAGACUAGCAAACAUGCCCAACCUUUACUCACAUUCGAGACAACAGUCCCAACAAGAUUGCUUGCUCCAAAAUCGAAGAGGCACCGCCCUCCGAAUCUCGAGAGCCAGACUCCCAACAUGAUUACUUUCUCAAAAAUCGAAGAGACACUGCUCUCCGAAUCUCGAGAGCCAGACCCCCAGCAUGAUUGCUUUCUCAAAAAUCGAAGUGGCAUCGUUAUCCGAAUCUCGAGAGCCAGACUCCCAACAUGAUUACUUUCUCAAAAAUCGAAGAGACACUGCUCUCCGAAUCUCGAAAGCCAGACCCCCAGCAUGAUUGCUUUCUCAAAAAUCGAAGAGGCAUCGUUCUCCGAAUCUCGAGAGCCAGAUACCACAUACCACUUUUUCAAAGUGCUCUGACAGAGUUAAAACAUGUGAAACUGGCAGCUCCCACUACCGUGCUAUGACCAAGCAGGGUAAAGGAAUAACAUUACUACUUGUUAGGGAGACUCCUAUAUAUGUUGACCUCCAUCCCCAACAGACAGGCAGACCUGCAAAAAUGCUCAACCCUUCAUCAUAUCUGAGAGGGCACUCCCAACGAAGCCUUUCGAAAUAUUCAGCUUUCUUUCCCCCCGAUAAUACCUCUGCAAACAAGCUAUACUAGAGCAAGAAUAUCUCAUAUCAUCAGGGUUAAAAGCAAGAGUAUCCCAUAUCAUGCUUUUUCCCUGUCUUUUCCUUUGGCCUUGUUUUUACCUGCAAGACAAGGAGAAAGAGAGCAAUCAGUCAGCACUUGGAAUCAAGCUUCCAGCUAGGAACUGACUGCCUGGAACCCCUUACCUGAUUACUUACCUGGCAUUGCUCUCGAGUACUCAUCUUCAACAUCUUAUGUUUCCAGGGAAGAUUCCGCAUCUGCUUGAGGAACAGAUAGGGCAAGUGCGAAAGAUACAAGGAAGCAUGUGGAGACAAGCGUAACAGCACACGUGCCGAUACAUCCAUUACUCUGUCAAAAGCAAAAGUAUCCCAUAUCAGCAGGGUGGAAAGUACUCUAGAUUUGAUGGACUUGUUUUGACCCUCAAAUUCUUCAGUCGACCUUAUACUCUGGAGGAAACCAGAAAACCCUCCAGCUCAGUUCAAGAAUAAGCCUGUGGAAAGUUACUUCUUCAAAAGCAAAAGUAUCUCAUAUCAUCUCUUCUCAUUUUUCUUCUCUUUAUCCUUCAUGCUGCUGCAAGAUGGGGAGAAGGUGAACAAUCAGUCGGAGCUCUGAUUGCUUACCUUGUCUGUCACCUCUUUCAGCAGACCCCUAGCUCGGCGACUUGGGGGACUCCUACUACAUGGUUUGUAUCGCGCUUGACCAAGCCUGAAACUACAAGUAAGCUUCAAGUGAAAUUGAUACAUUACCUUGUGCAUCUCCACCAGUUAAAGAUACCACCCCUGGAUGGAGGAAGAGUACUUCCAGAAAAGAUGCCACAUCUACCUAUGAGACAGAUAAGGCAAGUCAAGACGACACCACACUCCGAUACUUAGAAGUUUCGUGAUUACGAGAUCAUUCUCCCACAAUAUUUCCUAAUGUCAUUUGUACUAAAUCAUUCACUUGUACUCACUAAAGGAGAGCUUGAACCUAUGUACUUGUGUAAACCCUUCACAAUUAAUGAGAACUCUUCUAUUCCGUGGACGUAGCCAAUCUGGGUGAACCACGUACAUCUUGUGUUUGCUUUCCUAUCUCUAUCCAUUUAUAUACCUAUCCACACUAAUGACCGGAGCAAUCUAGCGAAGAUCACAAAAAGCGACCGUUUUCGCUACCUAGGAUCUUAUCUUGCAAGAGAACGGAGAAUUAGAUGGAGAUCUCAACCAUAGAAUACGAGCUGGAUGGAUGAAGUGUAAGAAUGCAUCCGGCGUGUUGUGUGACUGUCGUAGGCCACUAAAGCUCAAGGGAAAAUUUUAUAGGACGGCAAUAAGGCCAACGAUGUUGUAUGGCAUAGAAUGUUAGGCGGUGAAGCAUCAACACGUACACAAAAUGGGUGUAGCGGAGAUGAGGAUGCUUCGUGGGAUGUGUGGGCACACGAGAAAGGAUAAGAUUGGGAAUGAGGAUAUCCGAGGUAAAGUAGGAGUAGCCGAAAUUGUAGGAAAGAUGAGAGAAAAUCGGCUCCGGUGAUUUGGACAUGUGCAAAGAAGGCCGAAUGACACUCCGAUGUGACUACGGGACAGAGGUUCAGGGCCGAAGGGGUAGAGGAAGAUCUAGGAAAACUUUGGAAGAGACUCUAAGAAAAGACUUAGAGUACUUGGAUCUAACGGAGGACAUGAUACAAAACCGAGCGCAAUGGCGUUCUAGGAUUCAUAUAGCCGACCCCACUUAGUGGGAAAAGGCUUUGUUGUUCUGUUGUUGUUGUUGGAUUUUGUUUGGGUUUGAGGCCAUCAUUGGCGUUAAGACGUUUAUUAUCAGAUCGUGUGUUUUUUGCUAACUUUUAUUGGUAAUUUUAAUGUUGUUCUUAUGAUUUUGUGUGGUAGGGUUUCUGAUUUUUAUCGUUAUUCAUUUGGUUUUUUGUGUGUGUUGGUUUGUUUAUUUUGCAGGUUGUGUUUGUGCUGGGACAACAUUUUCCACCUUCUGUUUGCACUGGGAUGAUUGCGUUUUAAAACUGUUGGGGUGAGAUUUACAUAUGGAAUCAUUCCAUUUUUUUUCUUCCAAAUAUGUGCAUUUAGUUCUCUUUUAUUUUAAAUUUUAAAAAUUAAAUCGUUAUUUGAGUAAAAUGUUUUAUCAGUUUAUGUUAUGUGUUGUGACCAGGAAUUCUGUUGGAUUUGCGAAUUUUGGUUUGAUGAGAGAAAUGAGGAGUUUUUUUUGUUUGAAUUUUUUAUUGGACCGAUUUUCAAUUGGAUUGCAUUCUGCCUUUUUGCACCAUUCGUAUGCAAGCAAUUCAUUGUUUUAAAUACAAUUUGAAGAGAGCUGGGUUGCGGGUUGGAUAUAAAAUGUUAAGGUGAGAUAAAAUCGAGAUACCAAGGGUGGAAGAAUGAUUCAGAAUUGGGGGAGGAAAACAGAGGGAAGAUAGAAGAGUAUAAGAGAAGGAUAGGGUUGACCUCAUUUAGAGUUUUUAUUUACUUAUUUUUUUUUAUAAAUUGAUUCAGGACUUGCAUAUCAUUUCUAAAUUUCUAACAUUUUUGUUUAAUUUGACUCCAGUUGAUGGAAAACAGAGCUCUUACUCCUAUCAAUCAGUUGGUCCCGUACAUAAAUGCAGAAAAAUCAAGGUUCGAGUUUGCAGAGUAUGCAGACCAAGGUUUCCCGAAACUACUGGUGCAUAUUCAGGCUUGCAUUGUAUAUUACUUACCUAUUAAAAAUUUGUUUGGAAUUUGCUUUUCCCACAGAGGAGAAGAGCUGACAGUUACGCUGUGGGCAGAUGUUGCUCGAAGUAUUGCUUCUUUAUCCAUUGAAUCAUUGUCUCUGCCGAUCAUUGUGGUUUUCACAAGUUUAAAGGUCAAGCUGUACCUAGGUAUUUGACUUAGUUAAAAACUAAUCUAUUUACUAUUAAUUUUUCUAUUAUAUUCAAACGUUAUUUAAUAUAUACUCUACUAAUAUUUUCUUAACAUGUCACACAAACAUAUUCACUUCUUUUGAUCAAUUUUUUACAGCGUUUCAUAUAAAAGCUAACAUUUAGUUGAAAUUGAUUAGCAACUCUUUUCUUGCAUGUAUACAUACGAAUUAAACAAUAGUAUUAAACUAUUUGUUAUCAUUCUCAGUUUUUGUUUUAGAAUUAGAUUAAUAUAUUUAACCUGUUUUAGAAUUAGAAUUAUUUGGUAUCACUCUCAGUAUUUGUUUUAGAAUUAGAAUUAGAUUAAUAUACUGAGAUUAUUUAGACAAAUCUAGCAUUUUCUCAAAAUAUUUGACUUUUAAACUUAGAUUAAUAUAUUUAGCAGUUUUUUAACAUGCAAUUUUUCAUUAAUUUUUCAACACACAGACAAGAUAGUCUUGAACACCAUUGGUUCAUCACUUUUCUUCAUUGAUCUAGAUAUUCUGGAAGUAAAUUCAUACAAAUCAGUGUAAGUGUGUUUACUUUGUUUAAAAAAAUAUUAUAUGCUCUCACAAUAAAAGAAGGGCUAUUCUCACAAAAUUUAUGAACUAAUGUUCUGUUUUAACCUCUACAGCUUUUCCAAAUGCACAGAACCUCUAAAAAUACUGCCACCUUUUACAAAACAGGCCCGUGAAGCUCAAAUCUUGCAGACAGCGAAGGUCACAAUUGCAGACGCUGAAAUUUUCAUGCCAAAAUAUGAUGUGGAGGAUGAGAAAUUGUUUGCUGUUGUUCUCUUUUCAGUUUUGCAGGCGAUGAUCUUUUACCAAAUGUCGAGGAGCUUCCAUGGGACAUGCUCUAUGCUCUCGCUUCCCAGUUGCCUCUGUUGGGGUUGGAAAAGCUACAGAUCACAAUGUAAGUCAAAAACAGUAAAGUUCCCAAGAUGUUCUGUGCUGGAGCAGAUUUAAAGGUACGAAUUUUUAAUUUUUUUGUGAAGUCGAUGUUUUGUUUUAAAAGGAGUUAUAAUGGAUUGAUUGGACAAGUACAGAGUGUUUGUUUGUUUGGUUGAAUGUAAAAAGGAAUUGGAAGAAUGAUGAAAGUACUUGCAUUUGGUUGUAGUUGGUCAGGCACUGAAGGACCGGUCAAUACGAAGUGCAUCUGUGGGACAAUAGUUGAAAGAAGGCCAGAGCAGGAAGAGAAGGCAAGGUUUGUGAAGAAAAACAGUAAAAGGUCGUACCCAGUGCACAAGGCUCCCGCUUUACGCAAGGUCUGGGAGAGGUGAAUGUCGGCUAGCCUUACCCCCAUUCUGCUUUUGUUUAAUUAGAAGAAAUGUGCAUUUUUUUUUCCCAGUCAAAUUCUGCUUUUGUUCUGACUAUUUUCCUUACUGUAUGCUGAUUUUAUUAUUUAAUUUUUGGUUUUUCCUUGAUUGGCUUGGGAAUUACAAUCAAAUGAUGAAUCUUCAGUUUACUUGGGUAAGCAUUUUUUAACAUAUAAUUUAGCUGACCAUUUUAACUGUCAGACCAUGUUGUUUUUGGUUAUCUAAUCAUUCCAAGAUGGCAAGUUAGGAUUGGAAGGGUUGCUAGAAAUAAGGAUUAUAUCUUGGGACAUUCGGUGAGUGAUUUUUCAAACUUUCAGUUUUACAAGACAAAAUAUCUAUUUUUGUGUGUAUUCUUCAAGCAUGUUAUCAUUAUUUAGGUUGUAGGAAAAAAAGAGAGUGACUUGAGGUGUUUUUAGAUAUUUUUGUGUGUAUUCUUCACAAUGUAUUAAAAGCGCGAGGCGUGGGCGAGGCGUCCGAGGGAUAGCCCACGCCUCACGCCUUACGGGACCUAAAUUUUUUAAUAUAUACACUGAGCGUACACAUAUAUUAUAUUAAAAAAAAUUAUUAAUCAAUAAUCACCCUGAGCACACAUAUAUAUUAUAAAUACAUAUAUACACAUAUAUAUACAUAUAUAUACAUAUAUUAUGUUAUAUAUAUAUAUAUAAAAUAGAGGAUGAAAAGCACAAUGAGCACACAUAUAACAAUGCAUGCAGACAGCACACAAUAUAGUGCAAGGAAUAGGUAUGAGGUAGUUAAAACCCUACCCAAAAUCUGGGUUUGGGAGUAAAAAUAAAAAAAAAAAAAAAAAUUGCAUGAGGCGCGCCUAGACGGCUCCGACAACGCCUUCCGGCGCCUUCCGCCCACUCCCUCAAAACAAAGGCGGCAACCCUCAAGUCCAGCCUCACAGGGUGCCUAGGCGCACCCUGAGGUGAGCCUUUUAAAACAUUGAUUCUUCAAGCAUGCUAUCAUAAUAUUUGUAACUAUAAAAAAUAAUAUACUAUUAUACCUCUGUUUCUCUUUUCUUUGUUUUCAUGAGAAAUUAAUUGCCAUUGGCAGCACUAUAGAAAGCCAUCUUUCUCCAUUAUUCUCCGCUUCAUGCAUAAUUACAUAAUUCUACUAUCACAGUUGUCAGUCCUGAACAAUAAUGCAAGUCUAGUGGCAAAAACCACCUCAAUGAACAACUCACACACACACACAGACACUGAUCAUACAUCUCUAACUCUCUUUUUCAAAUAACACACUCUGAUCCAAAACAGGGUAAAUAAAAUGCACAUCCUUAUACAUUUCUAACUUUGUUUUUCGAAAUCCAAAAUAGGGUAUUCUAACUCUCUUUUUCAUUCAUUUCUUACAAACCAAUCAUACAUUUAAAAUAGGCUUUGAAUAAAAAUAGGGUAUAUAAUUAUAUACCUCAAAAUGCCUAGGAACCAACUUCCCCCUCCAACGAUUCAAAUUCUUGAAAUUGCCAACACAGUAAAUCCAUUAGUACUAUAUAAAUGAAAACACAAUUGAAACCCAUCAAACAAAACAAUCCCACAAUUUAAAUGAUUCAAUCCUACUACAAUUGAAAUUCACAGAAAGAAUGAAAAACCAGAACAAAACUGCAGCACCUAAAAAGUUGUCAUACAAAAAAAAACAUGGAAUGUAAAAAUAUGUUAAGAAAUCUAGUUCGUUAAUUUCCAGCUGCUAAGUGGCAUUAUGUAACUUUAGUAGUAUAACUAAUUAACUACUUAUCUGGUGGGUUGCACUUUUAUCCAAUUGGUAAGGAAAGGAAAAUAAAAAUCAACCCCUUGGUCUUAGUUGUGGCUGCAAAGUGCAGGCCACCACCAAGUCUCAGUGUUUGUGUUUUAGCAAAACACUUAAAUAAAUUAAAUUCUGAAACGUAAAUUAUAUUCCUAUAACUUUAAGAUGCACAUAUAGUAUUGUUGAAGUCGAACUGAAAGCACUGACAAUUCCAAGCAACAAAGCAGCAAUUAUUAAGAGCCAAAACUCAUUCCUAGUCUCCUCAUCCUGGUACUCAACUCCGUAAUCUUCUGUCAGCAUCAUUGACUGAAAUUAGGAGAGAAAAAGAAAAGGAAUUUCAGAAAUUGUCUAUGAAGCAAAGGAUACUGCAGUUACUUCAAGACAUGUAAAUUGCAUAUGUAUAAAGUAAUUUUCUACAUAAAGUAAUGAGGCAUAACUUUCUCUCUCCUCUUCAAACCCUAAACAGAGCAAAGCAAACUUUACAGAGAUUAGAAUGAGAACUGGAACUAAUCGAACAAUGACUGAAAAGUAACAUACUUGAGGAGUGAAUGAUUUAGUGUUUCCAUCAUCGGAAGCCGGAGUAAGUCGCUAAGAGAGGUCGCAAACAGCCCAAAGGGACAAACCCAGAUCCCCGGCCCCGAUCCAUACCCUUCCCCCUCAAAUCCCGACGGCCCCCAUACUUUUCUCUGACUGUACCCCCUCUCCCACUCAUGAAAUCGAGGAUCUGUCGCAAUGGUACUGAGAUCCCCACUCCUCCCUCUCCCUUUCUCUCUGUCGCUCUGUCUCCCUCUCCCUCUGUCUGUCUAUCUUUAUCCCAGAGCGGCAUGGCCUCCCAUCCCUGAAACCCUCACCGAAAGUUGGCAAUUUUGUAAAUAACUUGAAAUCCACCAACAGCAGGGGUAGAGAAUUGAAACAAACAUUUAGGCUCGUUCGAUAACCAUUUAGGCCAAAACUGAGCACACCUAAACCAUUCCUACUCGUGCCAAAUGUUAGUGGGGAAGCAAGAUGAUGACUUUAUUAUUCAAAACCAAAAGAAAAAAAGAGAGAAAACAAAAUAACAAAUGUAAUGGUUGUAGUGUAAAAGCUGAGAACGUAAAUAAACAUGCAGGGAAAAAAAUUGAAGAUACAAAGUAGCUGCAUCAUGAACACUUACUCCAAUUAGACGCAAAAAGUGAUGGUGAUGAGAAGAGAGAGAAAAUGCAGUCGUUUUGAUUUUUCUGGCUUUUAAAGGGAGCAGCUUUCUUCGACCACCAAAAAAAGGAAGCUGCUUUUCGUGUGGUUGUGAUUUCCUGAGUGUAUGUGAGCGGGUCUAUGGCACUUGCACUGUUUGUGUCGGUUACGGUAACCGGGCGAGCUGGACACGGCAGCGUGGGACUGAAUUCGGAGAGGUGAGAAAAAUUAAAAACACAAAAAGAAGGUGUUCAUUUUGUCACAUUUUUAUUACGAAAAAUUCAAUAAAGUACAUUCAUUAGUAUGGUAACUUAACUAUUUAAUUCCAUCUCAUUAAACUAAAAAAAACAAUUACAAAAAAAUAAGGAAAACCUUGUCCAGAGAGACCUGAGAGAAAGUGACGACUUCUCCUCUCAUUCAACUCCAUACUUGAUCUCUAAAGUCCAUUUGGCAUGUAAUUGAUGUUCACUUUCAAAUUUAGUGGUAGCAAUUAGCAAAGCUAAUGAAAGAAUCAAAUAAAAUGAAAGAAAAAGCAUCAUGAAAUAAAUCAAGAUGAAGAAUGAAAUUUUGGCAACUCGCCAUUCUCUUCUUUUAUAUAAAAGAUACAUCCUAUUUGUAGUGAAAACAGAUCCCGACAAACCCAGUUAUCCUCAAGAAGUAUUUUGUAUGACUUUAAAAACAUAAUCCGUGAAAUUAUCUCUUGGCUGAGAACAACAACAAAUCUUCAUGCAUAGCUUGUAGAGAAAGACAUCAGGCAUACAAAAGAACACGCAAGCAUAAAAUAAACGAAGCAGGGAAAACCAAAAAUACAAUUGAAUACGCUGUCAAAAGAACAUGAAUAAAUGAAAAUACCAAACAAAGCAGUGAUGAGAAACCAAAGUACCCAUUUCAUAAUCUAAUUGCUUUUUAGUUUGCUUGCCAUUUUUAGUUCUUCAAUUUAGAGAGACACCAUAAUUCAGCACAUGAAUAAAGUGAAAACGUAAAAGAUAUGUGGGAUAGGCUGACAGCCAUCCCUGAGUAAUGCAUUCACUUCUGAACCCCAAACACACUGAAACAAAAAUUCACACACAUGAACUACAGCUCCGCUUUGUAACAAGAAUUAAAAGCAUCUCAAAACAAAAUGGCAAACUAUAAGAGCAUUGUAAAAGUAAAAUUGCAAGAAAUCUAAUACUUGGAGGGCAAGUACUCAUCAGACGAAAAUGAAAGAUUGAACUACCUCGCGUGGAACUGUGCCUUGGUUUUUUCCCAUGCUUACAGGAAGCUUUGCACUGAGCUCUUAUAGUCCAAAUUUUCUCUGAAGGAAAAAAACACAAUUUUGAAAUAAGAUUUUCGUAUUAUACCUUAAAGAGAAGAAUUAGACAACAAAAUAGAGAACAAUGAGUACUAUUCAUCAUAUAUUGUUAGAGUAUGUGGCCCUCUGGUCCAAUGGUCCCGCAGCCAUAUUUCCUUUAUAACUCUUUCUUUUAAUCUAAAAAACAUCUUGAAUCUCAAAUUAGUAUGAAUACGGAUUCAUACUUUAUAACUAAAGAUCUUACUGCUCUUGAUAAGAUGAACAAUACGCCAUUUCUCGCAUGCAUUGCAUUACAAUCACAAUGCAACAUCUCAUUAGAAAUCCCCACACAAAUUUUUUUUAUUGCUACUUUGAUUUUAGUUUAUAUUUUUUCUGAAGCAUGAGGGAGCUAAUUUUUUUUUUUAAAUUUUUUAUUCCAAUAAUGUUAUAGGGAGGGUUGCAAGGAUAUUAUCAAUUGUAUUUGAUUGGUGGAACUUCUACAUCUAUAUUUUAGGUUUUCAAUUUUAGCACUGGGAGAGUCAUUCAUAAAAUGUUUGACAGUGAGAUUACCUCCAUGGACUAUGCUCACAAUGGACAGCUCAUUUUCCGCGGUGAUGGGACAAUAUAUUUCAGUCAUUCGCCAUUCAAUCAAUUCAAACUGAGGAACAUGCAACAUCAAGAAGAGGAUCUACCAUGUCAGGAUCACUAUCGUCCAAUUAAUACAAAAAAAUCUAGAUAAAAACGAUCAAUUUACAUAAAAGCCCUUCAUUUUCUCAGCAACCAAGCAAAAGAAAAUACCUAUCCGUUAAACACUCGAUUUGGGAGUAAAUGUUGCUGAAACUGGACUUCAAUCCCCUCAACCGCAACAACCGAAUCGAGGUGUGCAAGUCAUUGAAAAACUCACCCAAGAUUUCAAAAUCUGCAUAGAGAAAUAAAUAAGCACAUAAAUUAGCCCAACCCAUAAAUCAAAGAAAUCAAAAUCCACCCAGAAUCAAAGAAAUCAAAAUCCAUCCAGAACCAAAGAAAUCAAAAUCACACACAGAUAUGCAAGACAACGCAAAUUUGAAGCCUUACUUUUCGGGUAGCUUGGCGGCUGACAUGAGUCUUCUUCAGAGUUUCAUCCAUCCAUGGAUCCAUUUGGUCCGCCCGUCGCUUCUGGGUCGUACAAUCUUAAAAUCUGCAAAAUGAAUUUAAAGAAUCAAUUUUUACGAUUGAAAAGCCAAAAGUGCUACAAACUCCAAAUUGCUGAGAACCAAAGUGGAGUAACAGUUACAGGUCACGAGAUGAGAUGAGGACAUUGUCGGAUUUCAGGGCGAACCUGACUCUGGAAAUUGCAUCUCGGAUCGGGCUUUCGAACUUCAAAGGAGCUCCGCUCAUUGUGGUCCUUGCAGACCGAACUGGCCUAACAAUCAGCGAGAGAAAGGAGACGGCGGCAAGAUGAGGGAUACAAUGGAUGCGAGAUCGUCUGUAUCGUUCUCGCGGGGGGUUUGCAAGACGGACGAGGAAAGUAGGGUUUGAUGAGGCAUUGUCUUCGCGCGGGGUAUGUGUCCUUCCCAUUCCAUGAUUAUCAACACGUGUGCAUCAACAGAAGCGGCAGAGAGAGGCAUUAUUGUAAAUAAAGUGAAAUCGAAGGGCAAUGGCCCUUUUUUUUUUAAGGUAAUGGCAUGGCCAUAAAUAGAAUGAAAUCCAGAUCAAAACACUGUCAUUUGUACAGUACAAUUUCUCCAUCUUCUUUAGACUAAAGUAAUGUAUAUGUUAUACGCACCAACACAAGUCCUUCUUAGAUAAAUCCAAGCCAAACAAUUACAGACGAUAGUUAUUCACAAAAUCACUUUAAAGUAAGAAUUUAAUUAAUAAUACAUUACUGCACUUUCUUAACAAUUUGACUAUCACCUAGCUGACAAUGAACAUGUUAGCUAUGCGUUAGAACAUAUUGGGUUCAAUCCAUUGUCUUGAAUAUUACCCCCAGUCACAGCCGUCUCUUGGGGGCAUACAGAAGGCCUGAGAGGCAUUUGCAGACAUUCAACAUCUCCUCCAAGCAUUUCGACAACUUUGGACAUCGAAGGGCGAUCACUUGGUUUCAUUUGAAUACACCACAAGGCGGUUAUAACCACCUUUCUUAUCACUUUCUUUUCCUUCUCUGUAACAUUGUCUAUUUCCAAGUCAUUUCCCACAAAAUACUGAUCGUAUACCUACAGCGGGAAGUAGAUUUGGCUUGGAUGCUCUACCGUUGCAUUCAAAUUCUUCCUUAUGCUUGCCAUUUCCAUCAACAACAUUCCAAAACUAUAGACAUCGGCCUUGUAUGAGACACCUCCAAUAUUUUUGUAGAACAACUCAGGAGCAAUAUAUCUCAUUGUACCCCGUGCUGUCGUCAAAGAGACAAUGCUAUUAUCUACUGGAUACAAUUUUGCAAGCCCAAAGUCAGAAACCUUUGCUUUAAAGUUCUCAUCAAGAGGGAUGUUAUGAGGCUUGAUGUCAAAAUGUAGAAUUUUCAUUUUACAACCUUGAUCUAGAUAUUCGAUCCCAUGACUCCAAGAGAAAUCUUGUACAUAGUCUUGAUAGUUAAGGGAAGACUUCCUUCUUUGGAAUAAAUGUAUUUAUCAAAAGAGCCAUUAGGCAUAAAGUCAUAUAUUAGAGCGCGCUUUGAUCCCUCGACACAAUCACAAUCACAAUCACAAUCACAAUCACAAUCACAUUCCAACAUGGAAUCCUCAGACGACAUGCCUACUGCAGAACAAGUUUCAUCCUUACUUAACUUCUAUUUAGUCCACUUCCUGUUUAGAUUGUAAUCCUAGUUCUGCGUGUGUUUGUAUAGUACUCCUAUAAAUAUCAAUGAAAACCGCUCACUCUAAUUAGGAGUUGAGAUUCUGCAAAUCAUAUUUACUAUCUUUCAUGGUAUCACGAGCCAAGGUCUAACGACAACGGUUCCUGUUAUAAUUUUUUUCUCUUUUGUAGAUCCUAAACUAUGGCAUCUUCUUCCUCCUCCGAUGCUCCCUCCGUCACAAAUUUUCUUACGAUCAAGCUCGACCUCAACAACUACCCUCUCUGGCGUGCUCAAUUUCUUCCCUUGCUGCGCAGCCGCAACUUACUCUCUUAUGUUACUGGCGAAACUCAAUGCCCAUCUGCCUUUGUUCUUGAUGACAAUGGUAAAUUCACAGACAAAGUCAAUCCAUUAUAUAAUGAAUGGAUCCAGACUGACUAGAUGAUCCUAUCUUGGAUUACGAGUUCUCUUACUCCCAAGGUUCUUGCUACGAUCGUCAACAAAAUUGAUUCGACCUCUGCUUGGUUGUCAAACCCGAAUUAAUCUGAUUAUGGGGGUUUUAUUUUAUAUCAAUAUAUUGCAGCAGAAGUCGCACUUUGAAGAGUUCAUGCUGCACAGAAAGAUUCUUAAAUGCUACCUGUUGAGUCUAUCAUUGCUCCAUUGGAGACAGAGCUGAAGCUUGCUGCAGGAGUUAUACAUUUGUUAUGCAAUAUGACCCCUUUAAUUUUAUUUUAAAACUGAUACAAAAAUUUAUGUAGUAUUUUUGUAUCAGUUUUGAGUGUCUAUUUUGGCUUCCAUAUUUCGUCUGUACAUGUGAGAGGUAUAGCGUUCAAUAUGUAUUUGGUUUCUAUAUUGUUAAUGGAUCUUUUUUUUUUUAAGAUAACCAAGUUGCAGGAUGACAGCAGAACACUUGAUCUGUAGGUAAACCUUCAAUUUCCAUAUGAAGUUUGCAUGUUCGUUGUUUCUGGAAUUUGAGUUUUUAUUAUUUCUCAAUUCUAUCACAUAGAUUACGAUUUCACAUAUGGGAUUAUUAAUGGCAAUUAGAUGAUGGAAGAAUUGGGAUUGGAAGAAGAUAUUGAGUUGUUUAUUUAUGGGGAUUAGAAAAUUUUUAUCAUAAGUGUGGAUGCAAAUUUCUUCCUCCUUGAUCUUGGACAAAAUUGCACCUACAAAACAAUUAACACCUUAGGUCAAGGCCAAGAGCCUCACGCGCUCACGAUGAAGGGGGGGGCUUUGGUCGAAGAACCUCCGAUGCCAAAGUUAGAAUUUAGAGAGAAAAAGUGUUUGAGAAUUCUAGAGAAUUUUAGCAAGAGUUGCAACUAGGUUUUGGUGAGAAAUGUGGGGCUUUCUAUAGAGGAGUGGCCGGCCUCUUAGGGUGAGAAAGGACCGGUCACAUAGCCUAGUUUGUGGGUUUUGUUCAUGAUUUAAGAUGAUUUUGGGAGUUAUGUGAUUAAUUGACUAAUUAAUUAGGAAAACUAAUAAAAAGGGCUUGAAAACUUUGAGUUUUAAUGAUAAGGACAAAAUAAAGGGUAAAGUGAAUAGUACCAGGAUUGACUUUUUAGUGUAAAAAUGUGGUUUUUCGUUAAAAUGAACAGUACCGGGUGCUUUUCGUUAAAGUUCCCUAAUUAAUUUGGCGAAAUAAAAUUAUUACCAAAUGAAUUAGCUAAUUAAUGGGAUGAAAUGGGCAAAUAUCAAGAGAUAAACAAAACAUGACCAAUUCCUUUUCUAACAAUAGGUGGCCGGCCCUUCACUUGUUUUUGGGGUUGCAUGGAUGUUUUAAUUGACAAUUAAGGAAUUGAUUAGGCAAUUAAUCCCUUAAUUAGUCAAUUAUUAUGAUUUUAAAGGAAGAUUUUAGGAAAUAUGAAAGGAAUAUAUUAUUUAGCUAAUUGAUUAGCUAAAUGGAAUAAAUUAGGUUUUGGGAAUUACCUUAAAUGAGGAUGGAUGAGAUAAUUUGGAAUUGGUUACCUUUUUGGAGCAUUUUUGACUUGGUUAAGGAUGAUUGCCCGCUACUUGCGCAUAGGAAUCCCGUUAUACCUCAAGGGUAUUUUUGUCAUCUUUUACCCAAAAAACCACGUGUCACCUUGUGAUUAUUUUUGGCUCCACAAUACGAGUGAUAUUUAUUUUUGUGUGGAUUGUUAAUAUAUAAAACUAUAAGCUUUUGAGAUUGGGAGACAAAACCCACAAAUUCAAUUCAGACAAAAUAAAUAAAAAAUUUAACUGACUUAAAGAUCAAACUCCAAAAGGGUAUUAAAAACAAGGCUUAUUUGAUCCAUUGAGUGUGAAAGUUUUGAGCUUUGAAGAAGCAGAGGAGGAGAGUUGUUAACCAAGCUGCAUUAUCUAUGUAUUAGGAUGUUGAGGGUAGGCAGGAAAAAUACUUUUUGACGCCAAAUCCAGAGGAGCAUAACGACAGGCCUGCAUUUUUGCAGCAAGGACCAAAACAAGUAUAAGUGAAGGCUUGACUGUUUGGGUAUUAAUCCUAAACCUAAUUAUUCUUAUUUAGGUUUAGGAUAAAUGAUUGAGUGUGUCUCGAUGAUUGUAUUACUAUGUUUGAUGAAUGAUUUGAGGAGUUGGAAAUGGUUUAUUGCUUAUGUUUUUCUUAGGUGUGUACUUUGGUUAUUUCCGAGCUUUUCACGACUUUUGAUACCUAAUAAAGAAUAUGGAAACCCCAACUUCAAUUUUAUGAAUUGAUUUUGGUGCCUAAAAUGAAAUCUAGCAUAGUGAAAUCUUGCAUAAUGAAAUUAUGACAAAUUUCCCUUCAUCUUUAUAUUUUCAUUUAAUUCAAUUGGUAUGCAAUUUAGGGUUAUUCAAUUCAUGAGUGAUCAAAUUAUGUUUUUAAUUCCUUCUUUUGAUUUACAGUUCAACAUUGUCGUACAAAAUGAAAAAGGCGCCAGUAACAGAGUUAUGGAUUUGGAUGCCUUUAGUGGAAUAAAACUGAAUUUUUUAACUUUGUAUAGUUGUAAACAUAAAAUACUCCAUGAGGUAGACUCAUAGCUUUUGAAAACAAUCCUUGAGGAUGGCAUAACAACAUCUCCAACUUUUGUCAUGUAAUGUAUGAAUGUAAAUAGCACUUCGUAAACAUAUGGAUGUAAUAUAUGUAUAUAAACACUCUUUAGCAUGUAUAUUUUUCAAAACUUUCUACAUCUUCAACAAUGUUUCAAUGAUUUCUUGAUGUAAACAAUGAUAAUUUGAAGAACCAUUUAAAGUAUUUUGGUAAUCAUCAUACUUAAGCUUAAAUGUGAUAUAUCCGUUUAUUAUUUUUUAUACAGUGAUAAUACUCAAGUAUAAUUUACAUCAUAUAUCUUUUGAAGUACAUGAAACUAUGAAGAAAAAACCCUAAUUAAUCUGAUUAUGGGGGUUUUGUUUUAUAUCAAAAUAUUGCAGCAGAAGUCACACUUUGAAGAGUUCACGCUGCAUAGAAAGACGAUGAAAUGCUAUCUGUUGAGUCCAUCAUUGAUCCAUUGGAGACAGAGCUGAAGCUUGAUGCAGGUGGUAUACUUUUGUUAUGCAAUAUGAUCCCUUUAAUUUUAUUUUAAGACAUAUAGGGUUGAAAAAAAUUUAUGUAGUAUUUUUGUAUCAGUUUUGAGUGUCUAUUUUGGCUUCCAUAUUUGGUCUAUACAUGUGAGGUAUAGAGUGUUCAAUAUGAAUUUGGUUUCUAUAUUGUAAAUGGAUCUAUUUUUUUUUUAGGUAACCAAGUUGCAGGAUGAAAACCGAACACUUGAUCUGCAGGUAAACCUUCAAUUUCCAUAUGAAGUUUGCAUUUUCGUUGUUUCUGGAAUUUGAGUUUUUGCAGGAUGAAAACAGAACACUUGAUUGGUUAUUUCCGAGCUUUUCAUGACUUUCGAUACCCAAUAGAGAAUAUGGAAACCCCAACUUUAAUUUUAUGAAUUGGUUUUGGUGCCUAAAAUGAAAUCUAGCACAGUGAAAUCUUGCAUAAUGAAAUUAUGACAAAGUUCCCUUCAUCUUUAAAUUUUCAUUUAGUUCAAUUCGUAUGCAGUUUAGGGUUAUUCAAUUCAUGAGUGAUCAAAUUAGGUUUUUAAUUCCUUCUUUUGAUUUUCAGUUCAGCAUUGUCGUAUUUUGGAUGCCUUUAGUGGAAUAAAACUGAAUUUUUUUAACUUUGUAUAGUUGUAAACAUAAAAUACUCCAUGAGAUAGACUCAUAGCUUUUGAAAACAAUCUUUGAGGAUGGCAUAACAACAUCUCCAACUUUUGUCAUGUAAUGUAUGAAUGUAAAUAACACUUUGUAAACAUAUGGAUGUAAUAUAUGUAUAUAAACACCACUCUUUAGCAUAUAUAUUUUUCAAAACUUUCUACAUCUUCAACAAUGUUUCAAACCCCGCAGCAACGGGCGGGUACACUUGCUAGUAUACAUCUAAAAUUAUAAGACUAAAUCCUUUAGUUCUUGGAUUCAUCUAAGAACUACUUAUUCAAGCAGAUGCUAUGCUUGCACUACUAGAAUUUAUGGCUUGCCCUGUCAACUAUUGCGCGACAGAAGAUUUCGUCGGUUUCACCUUUUUUAACCGACAAAAUAUAAGUUUAGUAAGGCAAAAUCAGUCAACAAACUUGGUUUACUGAAUAGAUUUACAGGAUGUUUAGAGUUCGUAGGUUAAGACAUCAGUCGUUGGGCAAACAUUUGGAGCGAAGAUGUGAGUGUUUUAACUGACGAAUAAGCUGGUCGUCAUGUAGAUCUUCUUUCCCGACUGACGGUUCAACGGGUAGCUCUUUGGAUAACAAAUCAUCUUCAAGGGGAACAGGUUGCCCCUCAGAUGAAUGGUUAGAGGCAAUUGUGAGACUAUAAUUUUCUAGGGCCGGAAAAUCUGUAACCAUCCACCAAAUACCCCUUCUUCCCUUUCUAUUUCUCUCUCAGUAAUUUCCCCUGACCUAAUCACACAAUCCAACCAACUCUUUUUAAGCCUCCCUCAUUGAUUCCAUGGAUUUCAUGGACUUAUCCCACCCUCUCUCCUUCCCUCUAUAUAUAGCAAGUCCCCUUGCCUCAGUGUCCCUGGCAACAGAAUUUAUGGUGUGUCUUCGUUCUUUCAAUUAUUUGAAAGCUUUCCUGCCCUGCAGUCUUGUACAAAGGCGUAUGGUGUUUCAUCAGUUCCAUUUGGUGGUUGGGUGGGAAAUGAAAUUAAAACAUUGAUUUCAAAUGGUCUAAACCAAAUUGAAUCAAAUGUGAAGCAAAGGGCAAAAGGUGUAGAUUGAAGAACAAUGGCACCAAGAGCGAAAUUGAACUUGUUGACAGGAGGAAACCAAGUAACGAUAACGCGUCUAAAUCUUAUUUCGAAUCCAUUCAGCUUAUGAUGUUUUUAAUGAUGAUGAUCUGUAUACUUUGCUACAUGCUGUGAUUUUUUCGCUUUCAUGUAAUUAACGGCUUAUAUUUAUGGUAAAGAUAUUGAUUAAUUUUGAGAAAUGACAGUCUAAUUUUUGCAACUGUCUUUUGCAGGCAAAACAAAGACGUUUGCAAGGGUGAGUUUUGUAGGACCGGUGUUUAGCUUUGUUUCAUGUCCAAAGGACACUUGAGAAUAAAUGUUUACUCAUGGAUAAUAUCUAUCUAUUUGCAUGAGCAACCCUGGGUUCAUUUGUUCUGUUACUGCUGGUCAUUGCGGCAUAUCACGCCUACAGCACUGACAAAGUAAAAAGAAAAUCGAAUGAAAUUUGGUAAGAUUUUAGCGGACUACAAAGAUCUUAAGCCAAUCAUAUAUUCCCAUGCAGAUAUUAAGAGGUUUACAAAUCAAUUCAAGUACAAGUUGGGCCAAGGAGCAUACAUAACUGUUUUUAAAGGAAAGCUUUUUUCUGAAUGCUUUGUUGCCAUGAAAGUACUUAACAUUUCCAAGGGUGACGGGGAAGAGCUUGUAAAUGAAGUGGGGAACAAUGGGCCAUAUUCACCAUGUCAAUGUGGUUCACUUGGUUGGUUUUUGUGCUGAUGGAUUUAGAUGAGCUCUGGUUUAUGAGUUCUUUCCCUUUGGUUCACUUCAGGAUUAUAUGUCAUCAGUAGAUAGAUUUCUUUCCUUGGUUGGCAUAAGUUGCAAGAUAUUGCUAUCAACAUAGCCAAAGGAACCAGGGAUGUGAUCUACAAAUCCUCCAUUUCGAUAUCAAACCCCAUAAUGCUUUGCUCGACCAAAAAAUCACGCCAAAAAUCUCUGAUUUUGGUCUGGCCAAGUUAUGUUCCAAGGAUCAAUCAGUGUGACUAAAGCAAGGGGGACCAUGUGACUAAAGCACCUGAAGUGUUUUCCAGGAAUUUCGGAAAUGUGUCUUACAAGGUAGAUGUCUUGAAUGUUGCUGCUUGAAAUGGUAGGAGAAAAGAAGAAUAUUGGUUCAACCAGAGGACACGACAAAUGAAAUCUACUAUCCAAAAUGGAUUUAUAAUCUUCUAGAGGAAGGAAUGACCAACAGAUCCAUAUUGAGGAAGAAUGUUAUGGUAAGAUUCCAAAGCAACUUGCAAGUUUAGGGCUCUGGUGCAGCCAGUGGCACUUGGUGGAUCGGCGGUCCAUGAAAACGGUGGUUCGGAUGUUAGGAGGAUGAGAAAACUUGAUGAUGCAAGCAACCCUAAAAGCCUCAUACAAUUAAAAGUAAUUGCUGAAUUAGAGUAACAUAUGUAUAUGUAUACGCACCAACACAAGUCGUUCUUAGAUGAAUCCAAGCCAAACAAUUACAAACAACAGUUAUUCACUAAAUCACUUUAAGGCAAGAAUUUAAUUAAUAAUACAUUACUGCACUUUCUUAACCAUUUGACUAUCACCUAGCUGACAAUGAACACGUUAGCUCCGCGUUAGAACAUCUUGGGUUCACUUCAUUGUCUUGAAUAUCACCCACUGUCACAGGCGUCUCUAGGGGGCAUAGAGAAGGCCUGAGAGGCAUUUGCAGACAUUCAACAUCUCCUCCAAGCAUUUUGACAACUUUGGACAUCGAAGGGCGAUCACUUGGUUUCAUUUGAAUACACCACAAGGCGGUUAUAACCAUCUUUCUUAUUACUUUCUUUUCCUCCUCUGUAACAUUGUCCAUUUCCAAGUCAUUUCCCACAAUAUACUGAUCGUAUACCCAUAUUGGGAAGUAGAUUUGGCUUGAAUGCUCUACCGUUGGAUUCAAAUUCUUCCUUCUGCUUGCCAUCUCCAUCAACAACAUUCCAAAACUAUAGACAUCUGACUUGUAUGAGACACCUCCAAUAUUUUUGUAGAACAACUCAGGAGCAAUGUAUCCCAGUGUACCCCGUGCUGCCGUCAAAGAGACAAUGCUAUUAUCUACAGGAUACAAUUUUGCAAGCCCAAAGUCAGAAACCUUUGCUUUAAAGUUCUCAUCAAGAAGGAUGUUAUGAGGCUUGAUGUCGAAAUGUAGAAUUUGCAUUUCGCAACCUUGGUGUAGAUAUUCGAUCCCUUGAGCCACUCCAAGAGAAAUCUCGUACAUGUUCUUGAUAGUUAAGGGAACACUUCCUUCUUUGGAAUAAAUGUAUUUAUCAAGAGAACCAUUAGGCAUGAAGUCAUAUACUAGAGCUCGUUUUGAUCCCUCAACACAGUAUCCAACAAGUUGCACCACAUUGGCAUGGUGAAUCCUUCCGAUUGUAGCUAUUUCGCUAAUGAAAUCUUGGCCAUCAGCUUUGGGCUUGCCCAAAACUUUAACUGCUACAAAUCGACCACUGCGUAGCUUUCCCUUAAAUACAGAGCCAAAGCCACCUUCGCCCAACUUGUCCUUAAACGUGCGAGUCAUUUUCUUGACGUCCGAGUAAGAGUACCUUAUAGGCAUGAAGUUGUUAUUGCAUUGCAGAAAAUCUUCUAUUGUGUUAUACAUUGAUAAAUGUCUUCUGCGCCAUGUGUAGAUUAGAAAUGCAGUCACAACUGGAACUCCAAAAACAAAUCUGGCUAGGAAAAAUAACCCUGCAUGCAUGGACAUUAAUAUGUUAGAUCCACUGCGUACUACUUUUUCUUCCCUUUCUUUCCAAAUUACUUUGUCUUUGAUGUAAUUAAAGAGAGAGAAUGAGAAAUCUACAUAUGUUGAUAAUACAAUCUCAUCUUAGUCCUUACCGAUGCAUAUGAGUAUAAACCAUCCACGUACUGCAACAAAAUCAAUCGACUAUGAGUUUGAAAAGUGCAUAAAGUGAAAAAUAAAUAAUAAAUAAAAUCAAAGGGUGCCUUUAUUGACACCCAAAUUUUAGUUAGUUUUACUCAACUAAAAAAUUUUUGUCAUCAAACUUUUUAAUUUGCCGUUGAAAUUGAGUUCACCCAACCCACAAAGCAGCAACUACCACUCACCAAAAAAACCAACAACACACACCCACCACUCACCAAUAGAAAGAGAAUGAACACACAGACCCACAAAGAGCUGGCAUCGACGCUGUCGAUGAGGGAGGGACCAGAGGAUGGUGUAGUUUUGUCUAGCGCGCGGUAGUGGUUUUGUCUGUUCAUUUUCUCUUUCUUUUGGUAGGUGGAGGCUGGUGUGGAUUUGGGCGAACUUAAAAAUGAGGGGAAACUAUGAAGUUUGACAAAAUGUUUUAGUUAGGGGAACUUAACUAAAAUUUGGGUGCCGAUAAAGAUACCCAAUAUCAAAAAUACUUGAGCGUAUAGACUAAUUAAAUGAAGUUGAUCAAGUUUGUCUCGAUCGAAAACUUGUAAAUAAAACAAAAAGAGGACCCCUUACCGAUUUGUUGCCAUAUAUAUUGAAAGAAACCUACAAAAACAAAGAAAGAACAAGACUACAUGCAUUAGCAUAACAAGAGUGAGGUGUAUAAGCCGUUAGAAAAUAAAUUUAAAAUUCUAGUGCUGUCAAUACAUUGAUAAUAUAUAUAUAUAUAUAUAUAUAUAUGUAUUAUUUUUUCUGAAAAUUUAACUUUUUCCCUCCAAACUCAUUUUUCUAGUCUCUAGCCCAUCAUAUAAUAUUUAUCCGAAUAAAACCAAAUGAUUAGGAUCCAACUAAGAAACUUACCAAAUUAAGUUUGUGUGUCCAUUUUUAUAUUUUUUGGAUCCCUAAUAUACCCCAUCUAAGUCAGUAUGGAAAGUUCUUGUAAUUUUGCUUUAAGUGAUCACGUGCAUUGAAUUUGGCAAUGUCUUGUAGCCAUGAAAUAUGGUUGUAGAUGGAGGAAUUAAUUUGGAAUUUUUUUUAAUUUCAACAACAAAUUUAGUGUUAUUUUCAACAAUAUCUAUUGUUUAAUUUUAUGAAAAUAAUUUACCUAAUAUGAAAAUUAAUUUUAUGAAAACAAUAUCUAUUGUUUUAUUUUAUACCUACAGGAUAAUUACAUGAAAAUAGUUUACCUACUAUGAAAAUUAAUUUUUUGAAAGCAAUAUCUAUUGUUUAAUUUUAUGAAGAUAAUUUACCUACUAUAAUUACAUGAAAAUAGUUUACCUACUAUGAAAAUUAAUUUUUUGAAAGCAAUAUCUAUUGUUUAAUUUUAUGAAGAUAAUUUACCUACUAUAAUUACAUGAAAAAAUUUACCUACUAUGAAAAUUAAUUUUUUGAAAACAAUAUUAUUGUUUAAUUUUAUGAAAAUAAUUUACCUACUGUAUAAUUACAUAAAAAUUAAUGUGCCUACUUUUUAAAUUUGUAACAAAAUUAAUUUACCUACUUUUUAUGGUAUUAGUAUACAUAAAUGUAGAAUAUAUGUCCGUAUAUAUUUGAUCUAAUUAGGUUUUGGAUUGGAGGAGUUGACACAAAAUUAUAAAUAUGUUAAACAAAUUUAUCAAUUCUAAAGUUGGAGGGGAAUUGGUCUGUACAUUGCUACAGUAAACAAAUGCUACUCAAUUUCACGUUAUUUACAACAAAGCUAUCAGAUUUGGGUUGGGUUGGAGGGUAAUUUGUUAAAAGUUAGGAGGGUAAUUUGUUAAAAGUUAGGAGGGUAAUUUUGUGCAUAGGGUUUAGGUGCCCUCCUAUACAUGACCCUUGAUUUUACUUUAUUUACACCACUGCCAUCAUAUAUGUGGCUGAAUUGGGGGGGGUAUUAUUAAAAGUUAAGAGGGUAGUUUUGUUCAAGGAAGAAAAUAUCGGUAAUAUCGGAAAUAUCGGUAGUCCGAAAACACGGAAAUAUCGAUGGAAAUAUCGGGAUAAUAUCGAUAUCGAUAAAAAUUACAUGGAAACCACGGAAAUUGUAAGAAAAACUUGGAAAUUUUUAUUGAAAUUUUGCAGGAUGUUUAUUUAGUCAAUUAUCUAUUAGUUUAUCACAAAAAAUUGGAAGGAAAUGCAUUGCAUGAUGGAUUUAACUUAUUUAAGUUGAUUAUAUAGCGAGCUGACAAACAUUGUGAGUGUAGAAAAUAUGUAGUAAUUAAUGAAAGAAGUUUAAACUUUAUAUAUAAUGACUUAGUACAAUAUUUUACACUUUAUACAUUGCAUGGUAAGAUACAUGAGUUACACAAACAACGGGAAAUUAAUGAGAAAACCCUUCCCAAAACGUCAGCACCCGCUUUUUUAAAUAACUUAUAUAAUGAACCUGUCUGGAUCACUUGUUCUAAUAUAUAAACACAAAACAAUACUAUUUGUAUCACAUUUUCUGACAAUCUCAUUGACCGCUUUUAAUUAAUAAAUUGGUCUCAAGUCUAGUUUCCUAAGAAUUUGUUUGUUUGGGCUCAUCUUUGUUGUAAUAACUUAAUUGGGCUUAGAGUUUUAUUGGGUUUACCUAGCCCGUGCGAGCUCAUCUUUGUAUUUAUUUGACGGAUACCCCGAUUUGUUAUGGCAAAAGCAACCACGCAGUCGACGCCCGAAAACCCUUCCCUCUCUCAUUUGGUCUUCGUCUGUUUUCCCGCAUCAUCCAACAGGUGGACUCGGCGCUUCUCUCUCUCUCCCCCCUCUUCGCCCUCUCCACCAAACCCUAACCCCCCAAAUUCCAACCUUCCACCAUUCAAUCCAACCAAAAUCCCCCCAAUCGGACCCCUACCCGACCCAGUUCAUCUCCGAUUGCCUCCAAUUCCACUCCGCCCCGACCCAUUUCUUCAAAAUUCCAAUUCCACUCCGCCCCGACCCAGUUCCUUCAAUUUCUCAGGUAGGUAAGCUUCGGGUUUUUCUUUUUAUAUUCUAGAUCGAAGCGUAGAUGUGAAAUUGAAGUUAUAUGUCGUGUUUUUGCAAGGUUUUUGGGAUGAAAUCGACUCGGGAAUAAGUACACCCAUCUCCGGCGAGGCUAGGGGGUAGUUUUACAGUCGACCGGAGCUGUAGAAGCUCCAGCGUUCGUCUCCGACGUGCACAGUUCCGAAAUUUCGCGAUAAUAUCGAUAAUAUCGCGAUAUUAUCGAUAUUAUCGCGAUAUUAUAACGAAAACACCUUGGAUACCAUUUAAAAUAUCGGUUCGGGAAAAAACCGAUAAUAUCGGCGAUAUAUCGCCGAUAUUAUCGAUAUUUUCUUCUAUGGUUUUGUUCAAGGGGUGGGGGCGACAUUCGCAGACAGGGCGAUUGGAGCCAUGCCCAUGCCCAUUGCACAGAGAGAAAGGGAGUGAUGGGGGAAAUUACAGACAGAAAGGGAAGGGAUGGGAGGAUUUGAUGGAUGGUCACAGAGAAAGAUUCGGUGAGGGAUGUGAGGGGAGAUUACAGAGAGAUAAAUUAAAGGGGGAUCGGGGGAUUUGAGGGAUGGUCAGAGAGAGAAAUAGUGACGAAGGGAGGGAUGGGGGGGCUAAUUUUCGGUUCCUCCUUCAGAUUUGUUCCGUAAAACUUGUUGGGUACAAUUCAAUUUCCUCCCCCUUUCCCCUGAACGAAAAAUUCGAAACCUACAAUUCAAUUUCCUCCCUUCUUGGCUUUCCGCUUUACUCAUCUCCCGGUGGUUCUUUCUCUCCAUACGAUUCGAUUUCGGUGAGUUCUUCGUUGCCCUCAUGAUUUCCCAGUUUGAUUUUUUGAGCGUCCUUAGUCGUCGUUUUUAUCUGGGUUUAUUGCAUGGUUGCUUUUAGUUUAUGGAUUUUUAUUUUUUCCGCGGUUUGAUGAAUCGUGGUUAAUAAUUUCACACCAUGGGAUUUUUGCACUUCUGAUGGAAUUGAGCGCAGGGAUUCGGGGUGGGGUUUUACUGAUAGUUUGUCUUCAUUCAAAUGAAUGGUUAAAAUUUCUGAAGUGAGUGUGCAGGUGGGCCCGUUCACUAACUAAGCUUUCAAGGGAACCCAUCAACGGUUUGCUUGCUGGGGAACUCGGAGACUACUAUGAUUUAGUUAUCAUUUAUUUUUUUACUUAAUUUUAUCCAUAUAUAAUAUGUGGGUAAAUUUACACUAAACAAUUGUGAUAAGCCAAUAUGCCAAACGACUUUGAAAGCAUUGAUUUUGUGUAUAGUUUGCAUUUUUGCAUUGUGAAUGUUGAAUUUUGUGUUUAAUUUGGAUUUUUGUGUUUGAAUUUGUAGCAUGAUCUUCCGCUGCAGCAUCCAAAUUUUGUAUUUGUAAAUUGUCAAAGAAAAACGAACAACAACAACAACAACAACAAAGCCUUUUCCCACUAAAUGGGGUCGGCUAUAUGAAUCCUAGAACGCCAUUGCGCUCGGUUUUGUGUCAUGUCCUCCGUUAGAUCCAAGUACUCAAGUCUUUUCUUAGGGUCUCUUCCAAAGUUUUCCUAGGUCUUCCUCUACCCCUUCGGCCCUGAACCUCUGUCCCGUAGUCACAUUUUCGAACUGGAGCGUCAGUAGGCCUUCUUUGCACAUGUCCAAACCACCGGAAUCGAUUUUCUCUCAUAUUUCCUUCAAUUUUGGCUACUCCUACUUUACCUCGGAUAUCCUCAUUCCUAAUCUUAUCCUUUAUCGUGUGCCCAUACAUCCCACGAAGCAUCCUCAUCUCCGUUACACCCAUUUUGUGUACAUGUUGAUGCUUCACCACCCAACAUUUUGUGCCAUACAACAUUGCUGGCCUUAUUGCCGUCCUAUAAUAUUUUCCCUUGAGCUUCAGUGGCCUACGACGGUCACACAACACCCCGGAUGCACCCUUACACUUCAUCCAUCCAGCUUGUAUUCUAUGGUUGAGAUCUCCAUCUAAUUUUCCGUUCUCUUGCACGAUAGAUCCUAGGUAGCGAAAACGGUCACUUUUUGUGAUCUUCGCUAGAUUGCUCCGGUCAUUAGUGUGGAUAAGUAUAUAAAUGGAUAGAAUUAGGAAAGCAAACACAAGAUGUACGUGGUUCACCCAGAUUGGCUACGUCCACGGAAUAGAGGAGUUCUCAUUAAUUAUGAAGGGUUUACACAAGUACAUAGGUUCAAGCUCUCCUUUAGUGAGUACAAGUGAAUGAUUUAGUACAAAUGACAUUAGGAAAUAUUGUGGGAGAAUGAUCUCGUAACCACGAAACUUCUAAGUACCGGAGUGUGGUAUCGUUUUGACUUGCCUUAUCUGUCUCAUAGGUAGAUGUGGCAUCUUCUCUGGAAGUACUCUUCCUCCAUCCAGGGGUGGUAUCUGUAACUGGUGGAGAUGCACAAGGUAAUGUAUCAAUUUCACUUGAAGCUUACUUGUAGUUUCAGGCUUGGUCAAGCGCGAUACAAACCAUGUAGUAGAAGUCCCCCAAGUCGCCGGGCUAAGGGAUCUGCUGAAAGAGGUGACAGACAAGGUAAGCAAUCAGAGCUCCAGCUGAUUGUUCACAUUCUCCCUAUCUUGCAGGCAGCAUGAAGGAUAAAGAGAAGAAAAAUGAGAAGAGAUGAUAUGGGAUACUUUUGCUUUUAAAGAAGUAACUUUCCACAGGCUUAUUCUUGAACCGGGCUGUAGGGUUUUCUGGUUUCCUCUAGAGUAUAAGGCCGAUUGAAGAAUUUGAGGGUCAAAACAAGUCCAUCAAAUCUAGAGUACGUUCGACCCUGCUGAUAUGGGAUACUUUUGCUUUUGACAGAGUAGUGGAUGUAUCGGCACGUGUGCUGUUACGCUUGUCUCCACAUGCUUCCUUGUAUCCUUCUCACUUGCCCUAUCUGUUCCUCAGGCAAAUGCGGUAUCUUCCCUGGAAGCAUAAGAUGUUGAAGAUGAGUACUCCAGAGCAAUGACAGGUAAGUAAUCAGGUAAGGGGUUCCAGGCAGUCAGUUCCUGGCUCGAAGCUUGAUUCCAAGUGCUGACUGAUUGCUCUCGUUCUCCUUGUCUUGUAGGUAAGAACAAGGCCAAAGGAAAAGACAGGGAAAAAGCAUGAUAUGGGAUACUAUUGCUUUUAACCCUGAUGAUAUGAGAUAGUCUUGCUCUAGUAUAGCUUGUUUACAGAGGUAUUAUCGGGGGGAAAGAAAGCUGAAUAUUUCGAAAGGCUUCGUUGGGAGUGCCCUAUUAGAUAAGAGAAAGGGUUGAGUAUUUUUGCAGGUCUGCCUGUCCGUUAGGGAUGGAGGUCGACAUAUAUAGGAGUCUCCCUAACAUAAAGUAAUAAUGUUAUUCCUUUACCCUGCUUGGUCAUAACACGGUAGUGGGAGCUACCAGCCUCACAUGUUUUAACUCUGUCAGAGCACUUUGAAAAGGUGGUCUGUGGUAUCUGGAAAGAUGAUGUUGCGUGUGAAGAUUACAGACAAGCUUUAUCCAAGGAGAUCCAGCUCUUGAAGUUGGGAAAGUGGUGCCUCUUCGGUUUUCGAACAAGCAAUCCUGUCGGGGAUCUGGCUCUCGAGAUUCGGAGAACGAUGCCUCUUCAAUUUUUGAGAAAGCGAUCAUGCUGGGGGUCUGGCUCUCGAGAUUCGGAGAGCAGUGUCUCUUCGAUUUUUGAGAAAGUAAUCAUGUUGGGAGUCUGGCUCUCGAGAUUCGGAGGGCGGUGCCUCUUCGAUUUUGGAGCAAGCAAUCUUGUUAUGAGUGUUUUCUCGAAUGUGAGUAAAGGUUGGGCAUGUUUGCUAGUCUACCUUGCCACGAAGCACAGAGGUUGACACACAGGGACUUUCCAAUUAUCCAGCAGUGGUACUGUUCAUUUACCCUCUCUUCGAUUUUUGAGAAAGUAAUCAUGUUGGGAGUCUGGCUCUCGAGAUUCGGAGGGCGGUGCCUCUUCGAUUUUGGAGCAAGCAAUCUUGUUGGGAAUGUUUUCUCGAAUGUGAGUAAAGGUUGGGCAUGUUUGCUAGUCUACCUUGCCACGAAGCAUAAAGGUUGACACACAGGGACUUUCCAUUUAUCCAGCAGUGGUACUGUUCCUUUACCCUCUUUUCGAUUUUUGAGAAAGUAAUCAUGUUGGGAGUCUGGCUCUCGAGAUUCGGAGGGCGGUGCCUCUUCGAUUUUGGAGCAAGCAAUCCUGUUGGGAGUGUUUUCUUGAAUGUGAGUAAAGGUUGGCAUGUUUGCUAGUCUACCUUGCCACGAAGCACAGAGGUUGACACACCGGGACUUUCCAAUUAUCCAGCAGUGGUACUGUUCCUUUACCCUUGUGGGUAAUAAUAUGGUAGCUAGACCUUCAAAAUUUAUAUGUCUAAACUUUGUUAGUGUUGUUUCUUUGCAAUUCUUUUACCCUUCUUGGUCAGAGCGAUGUAGCGGGAGCUGCAAGCUUCACGUGUCUCAACUGUCAGAGAACUUUGGCAAAGUUAUCUGUGGUACCCAUGAGUUACUGUUGCGUAUGGGAAGUGGGUGAUUGAACAAUACGAUUCAUGUGCUUUCUACUUCGCCAGAAAUCUUCGACAGAAUGCCCAUAAUUUCCGCAAAGCUGAGUGUGCGUGUGACAGGUGCUGACAAGGCUGGAAAAGUAGGUGCCUCUUCGAUUUCUGAGAUCGGCCUUUGUGGUUUCUUAGCAGCCCAGCUUUUGAGAAAGCAAGCCUCUUCGAUUUCUGAUAUCGGCCUUCGUGGUCUUUGAGCAGCCCAGCUUUUGAGAAAGCAAACGCCUCUUCGAUUUCUGAGAUCGACCCUCGUGGUCUCUGAGCAGCCCAGCUUUUGAGAAAGUAAACGCCGCUUCGAUUUCUGAGCAGGCGCCUCUUCGAUUUCUGAAGCUUCGUCGAGUGCAGAUUUUUAUAGGGGCUGACAUUAAGUUCCAAAGCACACUUGAAUAUCCACCAGUAGAAGCUCCAUUCUUGUACUUCUAAGAUCUUGAUUUGUCCGACCUCUUCUCUCUUCAACACCUUUGAAAAUGUCUGGCCCCUCCGACCGUCGUUUUGACUUGAACCUUGUUGAAGAGGCAGCCCCGCCUUCUCCAGACAACAUAUGGCGCCCAUCAUUCGUCUCCCCUACUGGUCCUCUUACCGUUGGGGAUUCCGUGAUGAAGAAUGAUAUGACCGCUGCGGUAGUGGCCAGAAACCUUCUCACUCCCAAAGAUAACAGACUACUUUCCAAACGGUCUGAUGAGUUGGCUGUUAAGGAUUCUUUGGCUCUCAGUGUUCAGUGUGCAGGUUCUGUGUCUAAUAUGGCCCAACGCCUAUUUGCUCGAACCCGCCAAGUUGAAUCAUUGGCGGCUGAAGUGAUGAGUCUCAAACAGGAGAUUAGAGGGCUCAAGCAUGAGAAUAAACAGUUGCACCGGCUCGCACAUGACUAUGCUACAAACAUGAAGAGGAAGCUUGACCAGAUGAAGGAAUCUGAUGGUCAGGUUUUACUUGAUCAUCAGAGAUUUGUGGGUGGGUUUGUUCCAAAGGCAUUUAUUGCCUUCGUCUUCUGGGGCUGUACCGCGUAAUGAAGCUCCAAAUGAUCAACCUCUGAUGCCUCCUCCUUCUAGGGUUUUGUCCAGUACUGAGGCUCCGAAUGAUCCCCCUCUGGUGCCUUCUCUUUCUGGGGCUCUACCGACUACUGAGACUUCUCCUAAGCAACCUUUGUGAAGGCUCCCUCUUGUUUGUUUAUUUUGACUCAAGUAUAUGUACAUAUUUGUAACUUAUCGGGGAUAUCAAUAAAUAAGCUUUCCUUUAUUUCAACGUAUUGUGUUAAAUACACCAAAGCCUUCUUCGCUAAGUUCUUUGAAUUUUCUUUUGUUGAAGCUUGUAUGUUGAAGCUUUGUGAGUGAAGCAUGCAGGUUGAGGUAGUGUUCCCUUAAUUUCCCGAGUGAGGAAAACUUCUCGGUUGGAGACUUGGAAAAUCCAAGUCACUGAGUGGGAUCGGCUAUAUGAAUCUUAGAACGCCAUUGUGUUUUGUCCUGUGUCAUAUCCUCCGUUAGAUCCAAGUACUCUAAGUCUUUUCUUAGGGUAUCUUCCAAAGUUUUCCUAGGUCUUCCUCUACCCCUUCGGCCCUGAACCUCUGUCAUAUAGUCGCAUCUUCUAAUCGGAGCGUCAGUAGGCCUUCUUUGCACAUGUCCAAACCACCGUAACCGAUUUUCUCUCAUCUUUCCUUCAAUUUCGGCUACUCCUACUUUACACCGGAUAUCCUCAUUCCUAAUCUUAUCCUUUCUCGUGUGCCCACACAUCCAACGAAGCAUCCUUAUCUCCGCUACACCCAUUUUGUGUACGUGUUGAUGCUUCACCGCCCAACAUUCUGUGCCAUACAGCAUCGCCGGCCUUAUUGCCGUCCUAUAAAUUUUUCCCUUGAGCUUCAGUGGCAUACGGCGGUCACACAACACGCCGGAUGCACUCUUCCACUUCAUCCAUCCAGCUUGUAUUCUAUGGUUGAGAUCUCCAUCUAAUUCUCCGUUCUUUUGCAAGAUAGAUCCUAAGUAACGAAAACGGUCGCUCUUUGGUAUUUCUUGAUCUCCGAUCCUCACCCCUAACUCGUUUUGGCCUCCAUUUGCACUGAACUUGCACUCCAUAUAUUCUGUCUUUGAUCGGCUUAGGCGAAGACCUUUAGAUUCCAACACUUCUCUCCAAUGGUUAAGCUUUGCAUUUACCCCUUCCUGAGUUUCAUCUAUCAACACUAUAUCGUCUGCGAAAAGCAUACACCAAGGAAUAUCAUCUUGAAUAUGUCCUGUUAACUCAUCCAUUACCAACGUAAAAAGGUAAGGACUUAAGGAUGAGUCUUGAUGUAAUCCUACAGUUAUGGGAAAGCUUUCGGUUUGUCCUUCAUGAGUUCUUACGGCAGUAUUUGCUCCUUCAUACAUAUCCUGUAUAGCUUGGAUAUAUAUGCUACUCGUACUCCUUUCUCUCUCUAAAAUCCUCCAAAAGAUGUCUCUCUUGGGUCUCCCCCUAUCAUACGCUUUUUCCAAAUCUAUAAAGACCAUGUGUAAAUCUGUUUUCCCAUCUCUAUAUCUUUCCAUCAAUCUUCGUAAGAGAUAGAUUGCCUCCAUGGUUGAGCGCCCUGGCAUGAACCCGAAUUGGUUGUCCGAAACCCGUGUCUCUUGCCUCAAUCUAUGCUCAAUGACUCUCUCCCAAAGCUUCAUUGUAUGACUCAUUAGCUUAAUACCCCUAUAGUUCAUGCAAUUUUGUACAUCGCCCUUAUUCUUGUAGAUAGGCACCAAAGUGCUCAUUCGCCACUCAUUUGGCAUCUUCUUCAUUUUCAAAAUCCUAUUGAAAAGGUCAAUGAGCCAUGUUAUACCUGUCUCUCCCAAAACUUUCCACACUUCGAUUGGUAUAUCGUCUAGGCCUACUGUUUUUCUAUGCUUCAUCUUCUUCAAAGCUACAACCACUUCUUCCUUCCGGAUUCUACGAUAAAAAGAGUAGUUUCGACAUUCUUCUGAGUUACUCAACUCCCCUAAAGAAGCACUCAUUUCAUGUCCUUCAUUGAAAAGAUUAUGAAAAUAACCUUUCCAUCUGUCUUUAACCGCGUUCUCUGUAGCAAGAACAUUUCCAUCCUCAUCCUUGAUGCACCUCACUUGGUUUAGGUCCCUUGUCUUCUUUUCCCUUGCUCUAGCUAGUUUAUAGAUAUCCAACUCUCCUUCUUUGGUAUCUAGUCGCUUAUACAUAUCGUCAUAAGCCGCUAACUUAGCUUCUCUCACAGCUUUCUUCGCCUCUUGCUUCAUUUUUCUAUACCUUUCACCAUUUUCAUCGGUCUUAUCCUUGUAUAAGGCUUUACAACAUUCCUUCUUAGCCUUCACCUUUGUUUGUACCUCCUCAUUCCACCACCAAGAUUCCUUUUGGUGUGGGGCAAAGCCCUUGGACUCUCCUAAUACCUCUUUUGCUACUUUUCGGAUACAACUAGCCAUGGAAUCCCACAUUUGGUUAGCUUCCCCCUCUCUAUCCCACACACACUGGGUGAUUACUUUCUCUUUGAAAAUGGCUUGUUUUUCUUCUUUUAGAUUCCACCAUCUAGUCCUUGGGCACUUCCAAGUCUUGUUCUUUUUUCUCACUCUUUUAAUAUGUACAUCCAUCACCAACAAGCGAUGUUGAUUAGCCACUCUCUCUCCUGGUAUAACUUUGCAAUCCUUACAAGUUAUACGAUCCCCUUUCCUCAUUAGAAGAAAAUCUAUUUGUGUUUUUGACGACCCACUCUUGUAGGUGAUCACAUGUUCUUCUCCCUUCUUAAAGAAGGUGUUGGCUAAGAAGAGAUCAUAUGCCAUUGCAAAAUCCAAGAUAGCUUCCCCAUCCUCGUUUCUCUCCCCAAAACCAUGGCCACCAUGAAAACCUCCAUAGUUGCCUGUCUCCCUGCCCACGUGUCCAUUUAAAUCUCCUCCUAUAAAUAACUUCUCCGUCUGAGCAAUUCCUUGCACCAAGUCUCCAAGGUCUUCCCAAAAUUUCUCCUUCAAACUCGUAUCCAACCCUACUUGAGGUGCGUACGCACUAAUCACAUUGAUAAGUUCUUGUCCUAUUACAAUCUUGAUUGCCAUGAUUCUAUCUCCUACCCUCUUGACAUCUACAACAUCUUGUGUCAAGGUCUUGUCCACGAUGAUGCCAACACCGUUUCUCGUUCUAUUUGUGCCCGAAUACCAUAGUUUAAACCCUGAGUUUUCUAGAUCCUUUGCCUUACGUCCAACCCACUUAGUUUCUUGUAGGCACAUAAUAUUUAUCCUUCUCCUCACCAUAACUUCUACUACUUCCAUAGAUUUUCCCGUCAAGGUUCCUAUAUUCCACGUUCCUAAACGCAUUUUGCUCUCUUGAACUCUACCCUUCUGUCCUAGCUUCUUCACCCUUCCCCGUCUAAUAGGAUCAAAGUACUUCUUUUGUGUGUACCGUGUAAAGUUGAUAGGAGCAUAUGAGCCUAAACAACUUUGAGUGGAGUCGUUCGAAAAGAAGUUUCUAUAGCCCCCUUGCUCAUUUAACACUGCAUCCGGGUGCCGAUGGAGAUACAGCGACCCUUGCUCACUUAUCACUGUGCUCAGGCCACACAGCGCGCCACUUACGGGUGACGCCCUAGCUUUAGCGCGAUUUCGUUCUGGAUUCAUUUUCAUAAGGAUUCGACGUGAUCAUGGAGUGCCGGCUGUCGACUACCUGACGCCCUCCCCCUCAUCCUUUAUCCGGGCUUGGGACCGGCAAUGUAAGAUAAACUUACACGGCGGAGUUAAAGAAAAACGAAUGAGGAAAUUAUAGGAGAUUGUGUCGGCUUUGGCCAUGAAGGGUAUCAGCAGCUUUUUCCUCCCAUACAGGUGAUUAAUUGUUUUUCAGUCUGUGUUCAGUUUUAUUUAUUGGAUUUGGUUAGCAGCCAGUUUUAUGUAUUGGAUUUUUUAUUUGGAUUUAUAGCACUAAGGGUAUAGGUGAACGGUGAAGCGGUUUGUAUGGGCUCAUGUGUGUUUUAGAUAAUCUCAAGGACUAUGUAGAUACUAUGAUUUGGGGUUGCUUUUUUAAACCAUGAUAAAGCAUUCCAAGUAAUUUUAACAUAGAUAUCAUUUUUUAUGUAAGCAUGAGUAUAUGAAAUGUUAAGACGAUAAUAUAUCAUGUGAUUUAAAAUUCAAAGAGAGACAAUGAACCGUGUUUGAUAUUUUGUUUGUCUUGGUUCGUUUAAAUUUGGGCCUUUUUCAGUUGGAUUCAUGGGUUUUGUUUAAGAUAUCAUUUUUGGUUUAUGAAUGGUUUUAAACAUCCACAACAUCGCGCAGGCACACUUUCACUAGUAUUUUACUAAACUAGUGCACUUGAAUGUCCGUAGCUAAAUAUAUUAUAAUGAAUUAGUGGAACAUAAGAAAAUAUGGAAAAACGUAAGUGUACCAAAAAGUCCGUACCUAAACAUGGUAUACUAAAUUAGUGUAACAUUAUGUCUGUACCUAAAUAUAUUAUACUAAACUAGUAUACCGAAAUAUUCAUACCUAAACAUAUUAUAUUAAACUAGUGUACUGAGAUGUCUGUACCUAAAUACAUUGUAAUAAAUUAAUGGCACAUAAGAAAAUAUGCAAAACAUAGGUGUGCCGAAAAGCCUCUACCAAAAUAUUUUCUUAUAUAAGAUACUUACAAUAAAUUGGUGAUGCAAAAUGUCAACAAAUAAAAGCUAAUUCAUUUGAAUUCAAAUGAGUAUUAAAAUUUAAUUCAUAUCAGCAUAAAAUUAUAAAUAGGAAAAAAAAAUAAAGACAUUGAAUGCAUAUGCUGCCAUUAAAUAGAGUCUAGGAACUAAAAUAAAUUUUUAAUCUUGUGUGAGACAUUUUUCUAAAUUUUAUUUUAUUUAAGGAUUAAAAUCUAGUUUUCUAUUACUUAUAUUUCUGACUACAUAUGGUUAUUAGUUACUUUAGUCGAGAGUUGACGCACCUGGAAUGGUACGUGGAAAACAUGUUAGCACUUGAUUCCCAGUCAAAGCCACACACGAGAGCAUUGUGUAUGUCUUUAUAAGUAAUAAAAACUAAUAACCUGAAAUGCUCUCGUAUUUCUAAAGGCCCGACUCCAAGUUCAAAGCCAUACACGAGAGCAUUGUGUAUGUCUUUAUAAGAGACGUUGCUGUAGUCCUUGACGGAGUAGUCAAAGUGACCCAAAUUCAUCCAAGCCUUCCCCUCUGCACUGCAACCCUCAUCCAAAUCCCAUCCUAUCAUGGCCCCGACCUUGACGUAGCUAUACGUUUUUGGUUGGCUCGAAGAACUUGUAUUAUUCAAGCAUGGAGCAGUGUCCACGUACAGAGAAGAAUUCAACGGAUUCAAACAUUUCAAGUAAUAUAUAGAUGUUGAAUACAGUGAUGAAUAUCGUACGUAUGGAUGAGUAAUGAGCGGAAAAUUUCGAGGCCUGGAAGAGCAAUUGGUGUUCACAAGGCCAGGAUCUAGAAGUCGGAUUGUUGUGUCAGUGUAGUUGAUUGCCUGGACGUAGUAUUUUCCGGAAGGUAGGUAUAGUACUGUAAUGUUGCUCUCACAGGACAGGGUAUACCUUACGUCGCCACAAUAUUUUGGAUCAUGGUUCAGUCGAAAAGGAUAGCUUAUGUUGUGGAUAUGGCAGCAGGAUGAAGUACAGGACUUGGCACUAGUGUCGACCUUAGCGUUACAAGUUUCACUGCAGAAGCCAAGAAGAAGAAAGGCUAAACUUAAGGUGAAGGACCUGCUUCCACUAAUUUCCAUUGGGGAGAGAGAGAGAGAGAGAGAGAGAGAGAGAGGUGUACUAGUCCACACCAAGUAGUUAUAUAAUAUAGGAGGGGUCAAGCACCUUCCGUGAAAUUGCUGUUGAAAUAUCCUAGAGAAAAAUCGUCGUCAAUGGUGUCCUAGAGAAAAGUCGGGCGAUGGUGUUUGACAGUCAGUCAACGGCAAAGAUAUUUCUCUUUCAUUAAGGAAGGAUACUGCGUAAUUACUACGCAUAUAUCUCUGCUUAAUCACACAAAACAAAAAUUUCCAGCUAUAGUAUCAUUUGUGAUUCAUUUAUUAAUAAGAUAUUAUACAGGGAACUGUUAUUAGUACUCUAAAAAUCUCAUUCUACACAAGUUUAUUUUUCUUUUUAAUUAUAGAAAGUUUGGAGUGCAAAAUGAGAUUUUUGGAGUGCCAAUAACAAUUUCCUAUUAUAUAUAGCUCUACUUGGAAGGUGACUAUAUGUCUUCAUCGUGUUAAAUUGUAUAUGGCUCUUGAUGUCGGCUGAAUUGAAUCUAAAUGAAAACCAAGCUGUUGAUCUUACCAGCCCAUAUCACUUAUCUCUUGCUUAUUUAAAUUAUGUGAAGAUGCGUAUGUUGAUUGGUGAUUUUGUUGGAUUCACUCAGUUCAAAUAUAUGUUAUCUGAAUCGUUACAUUUGAGAAUGUGAUUAUGUUCCUACCACCAUUUUGCCUACUUUCUGUGGAAAUUAUUCAUGCCUAUUGUGAAUAAUACAUUCACCUCCUGCAGCGAAGCGCGAGCACAUUUUCUAAUUUAAGUUGAAUCGCAAUGGGUCAUCAAAAAUUACGAACUCGUCAUUUAUACAAGUCAAACAUGAGACCACCUACCUACUAGUUUAGUGGAAUACCACAAGUGACAUGUUGAUACCUUUAAAUCUCAUUUUCCAUAUAAUGGAUUGCAAAAUUAGGAUAUACCUAAACUAAUUUAGUCAGUGCCCGAACAAUUAAGCAGGGCUUUAUUCUUGCUUGAAUGUUUGUUAUAUGUUAAUAGUUUGACAAGGCAAUUAUAUUUCCGACUACAAAAGUUAUUAAUUUGGUCGAGAUUUGACGCACCUGAAAUGGUGUGAGGAAAACAUGUAGACACAUAAUCCGCAGUCCACUGUCCUGGGCAUCUAUCUUCAGGAGGUAUGAAUCCAAGCUCAAAGCCAUACACGAGAGCAUUGUGUAUGUCUUUAUAAGAGACGUUGCUGUAGCUGUAGCUAAAGCCAACGGAGUCGUAAAAGGAAUCCAAGGGCAUCCACUCUACACUGCAACCCUCAUCCAAAUCCCAUCCUAUCAUGGCCCCGACCUUGACGUAGCUAUACGUUUUUGGUUGGCUCGAAGAAGAACUUGUAUUAUUCAAGCAUGGAGCAGCAGUGUCCACGUACAGAGAAGAAUUCAAUGGAUUCAAACAUUUCAAGUAAUAUACAGAUGCAGAUCUUGGAUACCGUGAAUAUCGUACAUAUGGAUGAGUAAUGAGCGGAAAAUUUCGAGGCCUGGAAGAGCAAUUGGUGUUCACAAGGCCAGGAUCUAGAAGUCGGAUUGUUGUGUCAGUGUAGUUAAUUGCCUGAACGUAGUAUUUUCCGGAAGAAGGUAGGUCUAAUACUGUAAUGUUGCUCUCACAGGACAGUGUAUACAUUACAUUGCCGCAGUGCUUCGGAUCAUGGUUCAGUCGAAAAGGAUAGCUUAUGUUGUGGAUAUGGCCGCAGGAUGAAGUACAGGACUUGGCACUAGUGUCGACCUUAGCGUUACAAGUUUCACUGCAGAAGCCAAGAAGAAGAAAGGCUAAACUUAAGGUGAAGGACCUGCUUCCACUAAUUUCCAUUGCAGAGAGAGAGAGAGAGAGAGAGAGAGAGAGAGGUGUACUGGUACUCACCAAGUAGUUGUAUAAUAUAGGAGGGGUCAAGCACUUUCCGUGAAAUUGCAGUUGAAAUAUCCUAGAGAAAAAUCGUCGUCAAUGGUGUCCUAGAGAAAAGUCGGGCGAUGGUGUUUAACACAGUCAGUCAACGGCAAAGUUAUCUCUUUCAUUAAGGGAGGACACUGCGUAAUUACUACGCAUAUAUCUCUGCUUAAUCACACAAAACAAAAAUUUCCAUUUUUUCCCUAAAAAUUAAUUUUCUUUCACCUCCAACCCAUCAUGUAUAUUCUAUAAGAUAAGAAUAAUCCAUUGACUAGCUCCAAUUAAGCAAGUUUCAUAACUUGCUUGAUGACUCUGAUCAUGUGUAAUUUUGGGGAAUUGGAUGCUAUUUUAUCCCUACUUUGUUAGGCUUUUGUAAAUGGUUCUUUCACAUUUUUCAAAUGGUUUACAAUCUCUCUCAUUUUCUCUAUUUAUUUUUAAUCUUGUUUGUAUUUUCAAUCUUUCGUUCUUCCAAUUGCUGGAGCUCUACCAGAUUGGCUUUUCAUUGUUCUGAGUCUAUAUUAGACCCUUUUUCAGGUUUUGAUUUGUUAUGUCUCAUUUUUUUUAUUUACUCGGUUAAUUUGCUUCAAUUCUUUCAAUUCUUUCUUGUUAUUUUGAUGAUUUAUAUUAGUAUUAUAUAAAAUAGGAAGAACUUAUACAUUAAUCCGUUUAUCAAAUAUAUGAAAAAAUAAUUUACCCAACGAAUGUGUUAUGUCGUGUGUAAGAAUGUUUUUCCUUUUGUGUUUUAAUUCUGCACUUAUUUUUAUUUUUUCCACAUAAAUAUAACGAGCCUACAUUAUUUUUUCUAUGAAUUAUUUACCUACUUUAAUUAUUUUAUAUACCUACGUUAUUUAUUCUUGAAUCUUUUCACACAUGGCCAAACUUCUCUUGGAAGUUUAAUUAGAUGAAACAAUAUGAAUCUUGAACAAACCAAAGCAAAGCAAAACGUACUCAACACUUACAGGAAAUCAGUCCAAGAAUGAAAACUUUCUUAUCACUUUCUAUCCAAAAUUUUGGAAUUAUGUGUGUUGCAACGGUUGUCCGAAGGAUUAUUCUUCUUUUAUUAAAUUUCUAAGGAAAAUUAGCAUAUGGGGCGUAAAUGUUGAAUGGAUGAAUUUUCAUUGACUUGGAAAGGGAUUGUGACUUUAACACGCUAUUUUUCUUCAUCUUAUGCACUCAUGUUUAUCAAAAGACAAAUAAAUAUGACUUUACAUAAGGAGAGAGAAAGAGUAUUUUCCUUUGUAAAAAUCAACUAUUCAUUUUCGAAGUGGUAGUCAUUGACACGAUACUUGAUUAGAAGAAAAGUCAUAGUAAUUUGUUUUUAUGGGAACGAGAGUGCAAGUUCUUAAUUGGAAUAUGAGAUGAAGUUUCUACAUAACUAUCUGUGGCAAAGAAAGAAGUCUAAGUUUCUAAGUGGUAAGGGCUCCAAUUGAUGCGCGUUUGUUGAGAAAUGAAGAUGAAGAUGAAUAUUGAUAUUGAUGUGAGUUAGUGAACAAGUUGCUUCGAUCUCCUUUGGCCCUCUAAGAUGAUUAUUGAUUGGUGGACUAAGACGUACCAUACAAUUUUUUAUAACCAGCGAAGAUGAACAGUGUCGUGACAAAAUUUAUCCAAGUAGACCCAAGGGCAAGACUUAGGAACUUCAUAUACAGUGGGAUAAAAUGUUGGGCUAAUUUCCUAUUUUAUCUUAUAGUCAUUAAGUAAAAUGUAUUGCACAUUUCUGGAUGCAUACACAUUAAUGUACAUAAUAUUAGUUGAAUAUCAGAGUACGCAACUUUUACAAACAAAUUAACUGAAUAUAAAACGUUUAUAAAAUUUUAUUAAACGGAAUUGCCAAGAAGGCUACAUGAAUCCAAGAGACCACAUCUUGAUUGACUUGUUAUCUCUCAAUAACAAAGCUCUCUAUUUAUAAUAAACUAACCCUAGUCCCUAAUAAGCAAGGAAAUGAAAACCUAAUUUUAAUGGGCUAAGCCCAAAUCCAAACACUAAAUAAAUAACUAUUUUCCAACACCCCCGUCAAACUUGUGGCGGUACACGUCAUGAGUUUGCCAACAAGCAGAUGUGGAUGCAAGCUCCGUUAGGCGGACACGACAAGACAAGCUUCGUUAGGCGGACACGACAAGACAAGCUCUGUUAGGCAGACACGACAAGACAAGCUCUGUUAGGCGGACACGACAAGACAAGUCUCUAUCCCUCGCACAUCAAUCAAAAGACUCCUUUUUGGUGUGAAAACUGAAAACUUUUAUUCAUUUUAUUUCUUUCAUUUUUCUCAUCGGCUUCAUCUUCUUUCCUUUCCACUUCUUCUUUCUUUUUCUUUCCGUUUUCCUUCUGUACAUUCUCCCUUUUUUCUUGUUUCCUCUUCUUCUGUUUUGCGUUGUAAGUUCCUCUUCUUCGAUGGAUUUCAGAGAGAGGGAGUCACAACAGCUAAGAAGGUGGUGGUGCAUAGAGAGAGGGAGUCAAAGCGGUGGAAUUUCUUCUCAGGAAACCUCCACUCCGCCUACACCACCACCUAGACAGUCGCCUAGAUCGUCGCCUAGACCGCCCAAGCUGCCUAAGAGCGCCUAGGCGAGCGCCUAACAGCUCCAUGAUUUUUCUUAACGAUUCAGACCUAAUCGCAUCGGCACCACCACGCCCAGCUCCUAGGUUGCCGCUUAGGUCAUUUUUUAGAACACUGGUAAUACUCGUGUGGUGCAAUUCUAAUCUCUUAUAUAUAACUUUUUUGUGAUCCAUUUCUCCAUCACCAUGCCUAAAUCCCUUUAGAAUUUGCAAUUUCCUCACCCCAACAAACCCCAACAUUCUGUUGGAUAUGGUAAAAAAAAAAAACUCAGAAUUUCAUUUAAACUUGAAAAUUUAGGGAUGGGAAAGCAAUUUUCUCUUGUUUGGCAACUUGUAGCGAGAGAACAGGAAAAUUCCACAGGAAAAAAGUGGAAAUUGGGGAUGAAGAUUCUUGAGUUUAAUUUUGUCUAAAUAAGUGUAAUUUCACAAUUCCAACUACGACAAGAUUCACAAAUUCAUAUAUGGGGAAGUUUUGCGAGCACCAAACUUUACUAUUAGGGCACCAAAUUUCAUGAUAAAACCUGAUAAGGGUUUAGGGCUGCAUCGUUCACUCUGUUAAGUCUCCAAUCUUCGACGAGAUUUUUAGCUCGUGCAUCAUCUUCUCACUUUGUUGUAGGGUUACAUCUCUUCGUUCUUGAAUUAUUUUUAGCUUUUCGGGUAUACUUUUUCUGCUCAUUGUGAAUUUUGAAAUGGGGCAGGAAGAACAUACAAAAAAAAGAUAAGAGCUGGAGCCCAUCCCAGACAUAAUACGACAGUGUUGGAACCCCAGUGUUGUCCCACAUCGGCUAGAGGGCUCAAGUGAAAGUGCUUUAAAUAGAAAUACCCCUCUCUAACUAACAUCGAGGCCUUUUGUGAUAAAACCCCACACCUGAGGAUUGUGCAGGUGGUUAAGUGGGGACAGUAUCGAUGUUGUUGGAGUGGGCCCUCGGCCCGUCGACCUGAAAAUUUCCACAUGGUAUCAGAGCCAGGAGGCGGGCCCGUACUGCCACGUGAUUGGGUGGGUCCCCUUUGGCCCCGCGCGAUGUCCACGUAGGCCAAAGAUGCCACGUGUUUGGGUGGGUCCCCAAUGGCCCCGCAUGAUGGGUGAGUCCCCAAUGGCUCCACGUGGUUGUCGAUGUGGAUUUUCACGUGUGACCCAUAAAUGGGGUCUCACGUGCGGGGGAGUGUUGGAACCCCAGUGUUGUCCCACAUCGGCUAGAGGGCUCAAGUGAAAGUGCUUUAAAUAGAAAUACCCCUCUCUAACUAACAUCGAGGCCUUUUGUGAUAAAACCCCACACCUGAGGAUUGUGCAGGUGGUUAAGUGGGGACAGUAUCGAUGUUGUUGGAGUGGGCCCUCGGCCCGUCGACCUGAAAAUUUCCACAGACAGUUUUCCAUCCUUAAUCCGAUCAAUGCACUAAGACAAGUGGAGAGCAAAAGAGUUUCCAUGGGUUUAGUACCUAGUACCAAAAUAAGGUGGUACUUCGGCUAUUGCGAUGGGAAUCUUUAUGAACACUAAAUUUGGAAUGUAAUGUUUUUUCGAAUCAACACCAGGGGGCUUCGAGCUAUGUGUUCUGCCCUAUUAUUCAUUACUUCAAAGUUAACGUACUUUGGAAAGAUUGUUGGAUUAAAUCAUAUUCUAAAAUGUUAAAGCAAAGGAUGGAAUGUCCCAAGCACUUAGUCACUUGGGUAAGAGCUAUUUAGACACAGGCAUAAAUGAUCCAAAAGACCAUGCAUUCACAAGUAAAUUGCACCAAAAUAAGAUAUCCCCAAGUACCAUCACUAGGGAAAAGAUGUUGAAGUUAUGGAAAGGACAAGCCCUCAUCCUAGCAAACAACAAAUUAAUGCAAAACAUUGUCAACAACCCUAUUUGGCAACAACUUCCCUUUUGGAAGAAGUUGAAGGAUCUACGAAAAUACUGGCUGAUGGAUCACCAUUGGAAGUAGAUCCUCUUCUUCGGAUGCCUCAAAGUCAGAAAUUUUGCUCAGUAAGUCUUUAAGAGCAGCGAAAUCGGCAUCCCAUAUUUUUUUCAGAAUCUGGUAGGUGUCUCAACCUCCAAAAUGAUCUUACUGCGCGUAGCCAAAUAUAUACCCAAAGUUGUACCCCUCUGCAUAUUUUUCUUCGGACGCCUUCUUGUGAGAUGCACGCACGCCCAUUAUUUCUGACUCAUGCUCAUCCUUGAGUUGUUUAAGAUUUGCAAAGCGAACUUUGUCUUUCUAUUCGAUCUAACGGCGAAGUCUUUCCACCUCUAACGGCGAACAUUGUGAGAUGCACGCACGCCCAUUGUAAGCAUUCCGCUUCGAAGACAACGUUCGAUUGAUUAAGCUUCAAGACGCAACAAAGUUUGUUCCACCUCAACUUUGGCUUUGCAUUCUAGCUCCAACUUUUCCUGCAGUUCAGCAAGAGUUGCCUUGUAUUCAUUUGCUUUAAUAUAUUCAAGAGUGGCUUCAUUUAUGCAUUUCUUUACCUCUACAUUAUGGGCUACUCUCAUAAUUUGUUGCUCUACCUAUACCCUCUUGAGCUUCGCCAAUUGAGCUUGCACUUGUUGCUUGAGCUGUAUUUGGCCUCUGAUUCAUGCAAGGAAAACCGCUUAAGAUGACAAAUUCACUUCGCUUGGCCAAAAAGAGUCGCCUCUGUCCAGACAUGAGUCUGACCAAUGCAAGUAAAGGAAAGGAAAAACAAAAUUACCAAAGUUAUUUUGUAAGAAAAGAAUGAAGGAUUACCUCAUAUCGACUUUCGUGACAUCGCAUCAUGGCGUCUUCAAAGGACGUGCGAGCUUCCUAGUAGUCCGCAUGGGUAAUUGCAGCGCUAAGAAAAGCUCGGGUAAAAUUUAUGUUUCGAGUCUUAACGACAAGCAAGGGCAGCGCGCCCCCUUCAAUUCUGGUUAAAGUCGCCAGCAAGGGAAUGUUAGGUUCGAGAGGCACCUCGACAGGUUCAGGUAAACUCCUUGUCACUAGAGGAAUCAGAACUGGGAUAUAAAGGGGUUUAAGGACUCGAACAUCAUUCGGAAGUGGUGGCAAAGCUGUCUGCUAUUGCGCAGGUAGAGAUUCAAGCUUGGAUUCAUGUGGUUGUUGUUGCGUCAGUUCUUAAAAUGGAAGGAAAAGAGGUUGAGAUUCUCUUAUGAGAUGAUGCGGAGCAGGAGUAUCUGGAGUUGUAUUUAUCGAAACAACCAGACGUCUUUUUCUCCUCAUAGUGGAAUUUCUUCCUCCUCUUUGGGAUUCUUGGGUACCACCUCUAUUAUUGGUAGACUUAUUUGAAAAGGUGUAGCUAACGACGUUGAGGAAGUUUUACCAGACCGUUUUAGCUUUUUUUUGCUGGAGUGGGAUAAAUUUUGGGUUUGAGAUGAUGGACCCCCUAAUAAACCUAUUUCACUUUGAUCCAAUUAGGAUCCAGAAUGGGGAACUUAGAACAAUGAUUGAUGAUUGUAUUAUUCCCCCAAUCCAAAAAUCGAACUGAGGAAGUCAGCCAGUUCCAAUUACGGUGCUUAGUAAGGAUUUGCGUUGCCUGAGUGAUCAACUCUGGUCAACACGUGCCAAUAUUCUUCAGGUCAUUGUUCAGACAAAGGUUGCAAUAAGUGAUGUGAUAGCAGCAUAUUUAUGCGACUUAGUUAGCUUGUUUUUCUUGCAUUUAUGUUGUGAGUUCUUACUUAUUAUAGUGUUUUAAGCUAUUUUCGUGUGUUUGUAGGUCCAAUUGACAAAGUUGGCAAGAAAAUGCAAUUUGGAGCAUUUUGGAGCAGUUUUGGGCAUCAAAUGGAUAGCUUAUGAAUGGAGUAAGAUGGAUGGACGAAUUUGAAGUUCAAGAGGCUAGGAAUGUGUUGAAAAGAUGAAGAAAAUAAAUUCAAGAGAAAGAAGAUAAGGAAUUAGCUCAAAAGAAGGAACAUUAUCCAAAACCUUAUCCAACCUUAUCUUAUCCAAACAAACCUUAUCUUAUCUUAUCCUUGCCUAAUCUAGCUUUAUCCUAUCUUAUCUAAAUCAGUUUGUGCCUUAAAUCCAGCUGCAAGAGGACCUAAAUAUCUGAUUUCUAGAAGGCCUAUCAUUUCCUUACACUUAUGCCGCACCUUUAUCCUUCUAGAACCCCUAAAUUUGUGCCGCAUCUCAGCCCUAUAAAUAUACAUCUUUGAUGCACAAAUAAAUGACCCACGCACCCACAUAUAUUCAGAUACAAUUGAGAGAUUUCAGAGAAUUCAAAAGGUGUACCUGCGUGGAGGAAGGAGAAGGAGAAGCUUGUGUCGUGGCUUGCAAUCCAAGGGGGAGUUUGAAAUCUGCCAUUGGAGUUGCUAGGGCGUUCUUGGUUCUUUCUAUCCUUAGAUUUGUUUCAAUGUUGCUUUUAAUUUGGUUUUAUGUUUUCAAAGACAUGAGGAACUAAUCUCUUUUUAGUUGGAGGUGAAUUUGAAGCCAUGAUUAUAUGUUUUGAUAUGAAUUGAUUACAUCCAGUUAUUGUUUCUUGAGUCUUGAAUGUGAUUUGCUUAUCUGAGUUAUCAAAACUUGUUUAUGUAUGUUGAUUGAGGGUCGACACUUAAUUUGCAUGCAUGAAUUUGAUGCUAGAGUAUAAGGGAGUUUCACCUAAUCAUUAUGAACUUAUAUUCACAAGUAGUAAAGGUUGCUAGUCACAAUCGUGUUAAGUAAAUCCUUGGCAGGAGUAUCAUGCUUUUCAUAGUUACGAAUGCCUCGUCAAUGCUUAUGAUUUUCAAAGAACUUAAUGACCUUUGAUAUGUUUUCUAUCAUGCUUUUCAUAGUUAGGGAACUUGAGAAGGAUAAUUUGGUUGUGAUGUGUAUCCCGUCCAAUUCAAUGAAAUAAGGGAAAUCUGAUGGUUAAUUUGUGCUGUCACGGUUAACUUGGGGUGUUGUCAUUCAUGGUUUAAGGGAACAAUACUGGAAAUUGGUUUAUAUGCAUAUGUCAUGUGUGGAGAAAGAUCCUCUGGCUAAGUUUUCAUCAUUCAAAUCACCUAAUUUACUUUGUUUUGCAAUCUGUUUUGUUUAGUUAAUUUUCGUCCAAAUCAAUCCCCCUUCUAAUUAAGUGUCUUAGAUUAGUUAAAAAAGUGUUUCAAUCUGUCCAACUUAGUGUUUUAAGUCCCACUAGUGUUAAAUUCGUCCAAAUAGUUCUUAGAACCUGUUUUGAGUCUUUUUAACUUAGUUUUGCUGUUUUGAGUGUUUUAUGUCAAUUUUGAGUUUGUAGUGUUUAGUUGUGUGUUUUUUAGUCUAUUUGAGUGUUUCUAAGUCUAAUUUGGUAUUUCUGAGUCAUAUUUGUGUAGAUUAACAUCCCUAGUUAAUCCCCGGUUUAGAACGAUCCUUACUUACAUCUUUACUACAAUUAUCAUUCAUAGGGUUUAAUUUGUGUGUCAAGUUAAUUUUCACAUCAAAUUUGGCGCCGUUGCUGGGGAUUAGCAAACUUGCUAAUCUCUUUUGUUUGAGUAGUGUGUCUUUAUUGUUAUGGCAGAUGAGUCUACAAAAUUUGUGAAAACAUUAGAUAUAAAGAAAUGUGAGAAAUAAGAACCAAAUAACAGUGAAAUGAAUGAUAUAAGACUCAUCUGUCAGAACAACAAGGCAUUCGAUUUUCAAAAGUACACUCAACGAUCACUGGAGGAUGAUCUUAGAGUUGUAGUUGGAAUCAUCUUCCAGUGAUUUGAUAUAAAAACAGAUUUGAUGGGAUUUAGAAGCAAAUGUUGGGUUUGAAGAGAUUUAGGUAAUGGUUGGGGACGGGGAGUGAGUUGAUGGGAUUCAGUAGCAAAUGUUGGAUUGUAGAAUCUAAAAACAGAUUUGAGAGGCUAAAAUGUAAUUCGGAUAUUAGUACUACGGUCUAAUAACGUAUUUGUAAGUGAAAAAUUUUAGGUUUGUAUUUCAAGAAUAAGGAGUUCAUAACCAAUUUAUUCCAUAUAUCAUUGUGCAUAUAAAAUAAUGUAAUUCGAAAAUUAAUUUAGUGACGAUGCUACAAUUAAUUAUAUCAUCAAUUUUGGAAUCCCAUUCUUGGCUUAUGUCAAAAUCCAAACAAAUUUAAACCCUCAUUUUUUUCAGAUUUUGGAAAGAAUGGCAUCAUUGAAUUCAAUAUCGUGAUAUGGGAGACUGAGUAAGCUAAAUUUGGAGUAUUUUAAUGUCACAGUAUAAAUAUGGCACCAACAAUAGACGUAAGCCAAAGUCAUAGGUUUAAUGCAGACAAUAGUAAAUACUGAAUACUGAAUAUUGGAUACUGAAUGGAGGGCGGCUUUAACGCUUUCAGUGUACCAAAUUUUGAUACUAAUUGACUUGAUCUCUUCACAUGGUACAUAGGUAGUCUAGCUCGAAUGUUAUGCAGCCAUAAAAUUAAAUAAAUUAAUAUUGUAUCAUGUCCCGGAGUUCAGCACGUGACAUUAUUGUGAGGUCUAGGUACAGUCCUUAGAGUGAUAAAAACAAGGCUCCUCCAGGGAGGGCUAGUCGGAGGUGUGAAUGGACAUUUACUUCACACUCAUAGGAAAUCAGUCCAAGAAGUGGACAUGGAUGCUGGGUACUCAACACUCAUAGGAAAUCAGUCCAAGAACGAAAGCUUUCUUUUUAGUUGCUAUCCAAAAUUUUGGAAUUAUGUGUGUUGUCCAAAUGAUUAUUCUUCUUUUAUUAAAUUUCUCAGGAAAAUGAGCAUGAGGCGUAAAAGUUGAACGAAUGAAAUUUCAAUGAUCUGGAAAGGGAUUGUGAGUUUGCCACACCAUUUUUCUUUCUUUUAUGCCUUCAUGUUUAUUAGAAGAUAAAAAUAAAGAAGGAAAACUAAUGAAAAGUCCAAUUUUUUUUUAGUUUUAAUGAAAAAUGACAAAUAAAUGUGUAGUGAAUAGUACCAGAGAAAGGUAAAAAUGUGGCUUUUCGUUAGAAGUGAACAGUCCUGGGAGUGUUUCGUUAAAACUUCCAAAUAAAUAUGACUUUAUUUGGAGAAAAAAAAGUAUUUCCUUUGAAAAAAAAUCAACUAUUUAUUUAAGAGGAUGUGAAUGAUUGAUGGUGAAUACAAAGAACCACCUUAGAGGGAGACGAGACAUUUAUUAGAAGCCAAAAAAAAAGUUACAAUGAUUUAGUAAAAAAACAAGAAAACCUCAUUUUCUAAGUGGCAGUCAUUGACACGCUAUUUGACUAGAAGAAAAGUCAUAGUAUUGUAUUUACUUUCAAGCCUCUAGGGGGAACGAGAGUGCAAGUUUCCAAAUGGAAUAUGGGAUGAAAUUUCUACAUAACUCUAUCUGACAAAGAAAGAAGUCUAAGUUUCUAAGUGGUAGGGCUUCCAAUUGAUGUGAGUUUAUUGAGAAAUGAAGAUGAACAUGAAUAUUGAUAUUGAUGUGAGUUAGUGAACAAGUUGCUUCGAUCUCCUUUGGCCCUCUAAUAAGAUAAUACCGGAAAACAAGUUGUUACUAAUACAUGUAUCGGAUUGGUAGACUAAGACGUACGGUACAAUUUUUUAUAACUAGAGAAGAUGAACACUGUCACUGUCGUGACAAAAUUUAUCCAAAUAGAUCCAAAGACUUGGGAAGCUUCAUAUGCAGAUCUAAAGCUAAUUUCCUUUUUAAUCUUAUAGUCAUUACGUAAAAUGUAUAUGCAUAUUUCUAGAUGGAUACACACCAAUCUUGAAAUAGGGGAUGAAGAUUCCCGAUUUUAAUUUCGUCUAAAUAGGUGUAAUUUCACAAUUCCAACUAUAACGAGAAUCACAAAUUUAUAAGCGGAAAAAUCUUGCCAGCGUCAAACUUUCUUGAAUAAGGGUUUAGGGCGCCAAAUUUCAUGAUAAAACCUGAUAAGGGUCUAGGGCUGCAUCUUUCACUCGAUUAACUCUCCCAUCUUCGAAGGGAUUUUCGGCUCUUGCAUCAUCUCUUGCUUUUGUUCUAGGUCAACGCCUCUACUCUCUUCUUUCUUGAAUUAUAUUUUUAACUUUUCGGGUAUACUCUUUAUGCCAAUUGUGAAUUUUGCUAGUUAUUUUUAUUUUCUGAUAGUCAUAUGUUUGUGUGCUUUUUUUCUUCCGAUUGAAUUGUGUAUUGGUUGGAUCUGUUACACAAUUUUUUAGUUUUUUUAUGGAUUUUGAUGUUAGUUCCUUGUUAUAGAUAUUGUGUUUUUGAAGGUUUAACAAUAGGCAAGACUGAAUAUGAUGAUUUCGGUGUUAAUUACUUUCUCAUGGUACUAUACUAGAUUGUUCUCUCUUUGCAUUUACAUGUAACCAACUGUUCAUUGUAGAAAUGUAGUAUUUGGAAGACCUUUUUUUUUUUCUUUCUGAUUUAGUGUAUGUUUUUUGGACAAAAGAAACAUGUAGAAGAGAAAACAUGAUUGAUAACAUUGUGCAUCUUUUUUUUUUUUUUUUGACAGAAAGCGAUAGAGUGUUCCAUGGCCAAUUUGUUUUAUCUAGAGAUAGUUUGCACAAGAUGCAAACAUUUUGUAAACCCUAUACGGCUACCAUAAUAGACAACCACAAACAAGGGUCCCGAUAAAAUUGUCACAAAGACGACAAACGCGGCAAUCCUCACACUGGUACCUUGACAUAAAACCAUCGACAAUAAGACCAAAUAAAUCGCAUAAGAAAUACAAACAAAUCACCACAGUAACACAAAAUCUACUACCCUAACCUGCUCAAGGUCCUACAAACAAAAACUUAAACCUAAAGUCGAUGACAUGUCCACAUGCAUGUCCAAAGGGAAGAGACGUGGCAGGAGGCAUGGGUUGCACGACCAUGUGGGUGUGUCGGUGGCAAGGACAACAAAGGCUUGGGGCUUGGGUGGCAGAGGAGAUACCACGACACGCCAGAGCCACUGUCACAUUGUCAUCGCCGCCGCCACGAGCCCAUAGUAACCUGCAUAAAAUCGUUAGUGCUAAAAGCCGCCAAGGGUUUCCGCCGACUGGGAAAAAGAUAAGAUUUGUGAAGACGGAGGUCACAUGGAUGGCAUCAUAGCAAAAUUGAAAUCUUUUAAUCAUCCUCAGCAUUAUUCCGACAGCUAUCCACAAACUGAAGCAACGAAUUGGGCAAGUGUGCAACAAAUUUUCAAUGUGCGUCCAUUGUGAAUGAUUUACAAGGAGUGGGUUUAAUGACGUUUGUAGUUAAAGUGGGAUGCAACUUAGAGCACCAUCACUUGACUAUGUUCCUCUCAUUUUAUCUGUUCAUUUUUGCCUCAUUUGUUUUUUGGUUGCACCGCCUCAAAAACCUUGUGCGUCUACAUGUAUAUAGAACUUUUGGUUAAAACAGAGUCACAUAUCUUAUAACUAUUUAAAUUUUGUUGCAUAUCACAAUAUAUAUUUGUUCAUACAUUCAAACAUGUAUGGCAAAUACUGAGGAGGAACAUAGAAAAAAAAAUGAAAAUUAUUGUUAGUACAAUUGUAUAUGUUAUUGACAUGGUCAUGCAUUGGUAUAGUAAGAGUUUUCUCGUCGUAGAACUUUCAAAUGAUUGGAAUCAAGGAAGACAAUCUUUUCCCCAAUUAAUUAUUCUCGCCAUAUUUUUCCUUAGCGCCGUUAAGUUUCACUUAAAAAGCAAAAGAAGAAGGCUAAAAUUAAGGUGAAGAACCUGCCUCCACUAAUUUCCAUGAAGUUGCAGUAAGGACAUAAAUCACCUUCCGUGAAGUUUCAGUAAGGACUUCAAAUAUCCCAGAGAAAAGUCAGUCAAUGGUGUUUUGACAGAGUCAGUCAACGGCAAAAGACAGAAUUGUGUAUCAUAAUGCUCUCUCCCUCUCUCUCUCUCGUCAAUGGAUGACACCGUAUAAUUACUACGUAUAUAUCUCUGCUCAAUUACACAAAAGAAAAAUCCUUGCGCAUUAUUUUUGUUAUUAUUAGCUCAGAAAUGCAGAAAUUGAUCAUCUCUUACUUUUGCAUAUUGUUACUGGUUUUCUUCAAACUAGUUGGAGCAAGCCAUGCGUGCCUGGAAUCCAAGUGUGGCGAUGAUCAAGGCGCAGCUAUCCAUUUCCCAUUGCGCAUCAGCCGCAAACAUCAUUGUGGAAAUCCUGGGCUUGAAUGCAAUGUAAGAUAUGAGCAGCAAAUACUAGUAAAAUUAUUUGUCAAACACAUAGAUUACAAGAGUCAGGAAAUCCAAGUGUAUCCCCCAAGUAGCUGCCUGCUGCUAAAGUCUGUUGAAAUCCCAAACAUGCCACCCUCUCCCUUCAACGUGUCAGUCGAUGACAUGAGUAACUUGACCUUAUUCAGUUGUACUACUUCUGUUGCAAGCGAUCCAUAUCCGUAUCAAUUCCCCUGCCUCGGCGACCCUGGCCGCAUAAUUUAUGCCGUUGAUUCCAGUUCUACAUAUCUAUUGGAAGAUCUCUUCCAGAAAGUACAAUCUUGUUCAAAGAUGUAUGAUGUUUUAUCAGUUCCAUUCGGUUCUUGGGUAGGCGGUUAUAAUGUUCGUUUCAAAUGGUCUGAACCAAAUUGCACAGUAUGUGAAGCACAGGGAAAGAGGUGUAGGUGGAAGAACGAUGGCACAAAUAGUGAAAUUAAAUGUCUUGACUGGAAGAAACCAAGUAAGGAUAACAUAUAUAUUCAUUGCUAGUUUUAAACAUCUUUACAUUUACGUCUUAGUAAUUAUUAUUUAAAAUAUGUUGUCCAAUCCAUUUUUACUAGGAAUAUUACCUGACAGUCUCGUUUAAAUUUGCAAUGAUCUUCUACAGGCAACACAUGGAAAAAAGUGGUUACAGGUGGAAUCCUGGGUGCUUUGCUUCUUGUUCUACUGAUGAUUGCAGCAUAUCGGGUACAUAGCGCUGAUAGAAAGGAGAAAGAGAGUCGAUUAAGAAUUGAAAGAUUCUUGGAGGAUUACAAAGCACUCAAACCAACCAGGUAUUCGUACGCAGAUAUUAAGAGGAUUACAAAUCAAUUCAAGGACAAGUUGGGCGAAGGAGCCUAUGGAACUGUCUUCAAAGGAAUGCUCUCUUCCGAAUUCUUUAUUGCUGUCAAAGUCCUCAACAGUUCCAAGGGAGAUGGGGAAGAGUUCGUAAAUGAAGUGCGAACGAUGGGUCAUAUCCACCACGUCAACGUGGCUCGCUUGGUUGGAUUUUGUGCUGAUGGAUUUGCACGAGCUCUUGUUUACGAGUUCUUCCCCAAUGGUUCCCUGCAGGAUUUCAUUUCAUCUGCAGAUAGUAAGAAUUCAUUUCUUGGUUGGGAUAAGUUGCAAGAUAUUGCCCUAGGCAUAGCCAAAGGAAUUGAAUAUCUUCACCAGGGAUGCGAUCUACGAAUCCUGCAUUUCGACAUCAAACCCCAUAAUGUUUUGCUAGACCAAAACUUCACUCCAAAAAUUUCUGAUUUUGGUAUGGCCAAGUUAUGUUCCAAGGAUCAAAGCUUGGUGUCCAUGACUACAGCUAGGGGGACCAUGGGCUACAUUGCACCUGAAGUGUUUUCCAGGAAUUUCGGAAAUGUGUCUUACAAGGCAGAUGUCUAUAGCUUUGGAAUGCUGCUGCUUGAGAUGGUAGGAGGAAGGAAGAAUAUUGGUUCAAUCACGGAUAACACUACAAAUGAAAUUUACUAUCCACAGUGGAUUUAUAAUCUUCUAGAGGAAGGGGAUGACCUACAAAUCCACAUUGGGGAAGAAGGAGAUGGUAAAAUUCCAAAGAAACUUGCAAUUAUAGGGCUAUGGUGUAUCCAGUGGCACCCGUCGGAUCGUCCUUCCAUGAAAAUAGCGGUUCAGAUGUUAGAAGGAGGAGGAGAAAGCUUGAGUAUGCCGCCUAAUCCCUUUGUGCCUACUGGUCCUACAACUAGAAAUGCAAGACGCCUAGAGCUAGAAGCUAUUGCUGAAUUAGAGUAAAAUGUAUAUGCAGAUAUGUAGACGUAUAGAUAUAGUAAUAUUUACAUUGAAUAAGAGGCCGUUUGAUAACCAUUUCGUUUUCAGCUUUUAAUUUUUAUUUUGCACUUUUUUGAAAACUGAAAACUAAAAUCUUGUUUGGUAAAUACUUUUAGUUUAAGAAAAAAUGAAGACUGAGAACUAAAAAGUGAAAGCUCAAAGGAAGUAGAUUAAAAGUAGUUACCAAACAAACCGGAAUCUCAAUAAUAAAAAAUGAUUGAAUUGCACAACGCAAUCCAAACCAAUCAAAACAUUAAAAUAGCAAAAAAAAUUAAAAUUCUAGUUGAUUAGAUUAUGAACAUAGUAAAAAUGAACAGAUCCGAUGAAAAAACAAAAAAAAUUCUCAGAUAAAAAUAGGGAUAAAGUAAAAUAUUUAUAAAUAGCUCCUUGUCUCUUAUGUCAUCAAUUAUUUCUAUAGUAUAUACAAGUUUUUGGAAAAAUUAGGUUCCCAUCCCUUAUUUUCAUAUUACAUUGAUUGAAAUCUUAUUAUUUUUCUAUUUUAGAUCAAGGUCCCUUGACUUAUUCCAUGUCAUCAUUUUAGUAUUUAAAAUAUUACACGUCAUCAUAAACGAAAUCUCAUCCCCUUUCUGCAUUUAAGGCAAAAUAAACUAUAUGAGUAAGUUUAAAACAAGGAAAAUCCAUUUGAACUCCUCCAUUCUUCUUCUUCCCUUAUGCACAUCUGGAAUCUACAACACCCCAAACCCAAUUUUCUCCAUUUUUUCUCCAUUCCUGAAUUGAUCCAAUGCAUAUAUGUUGAAUAAACCUAUUGUGAUUAAAAUACAAAUUAGCAUCAAUGGUUUUAUCGGCUUGUGAGAUUUGUGUGGCAUAGGCAAGGCAAUGCAUGCAUCGCUUUCUCAAGGAAUCUGGUUGAUUCAAACAUGCAGAGACUGUAGAGUGAGCGGGCUAUGUAAAAACUGUACCAUUCUGAAGUCAUUUUCUUUUGUUCUUUAUAUUUUUUUUCUUUUUCUUUUAUUAUUAUAUAUUAGUCUUGAUUAUUCAAUGUCUGGUUGGCUACACUUAUGUCCAUGGGUACAUUUUUAAUCAACAUGGUUCGUUCUAAUAUAUCUAUUGCUAUAAUAUGUUUUGGUUGGUUCAAAUUUGUUUUACAUAAAUAUAUGGGUACAAAGUUUUUGGAGAAUAUUAUGUAAAAUGGUUUUUAAGGUUGCUGCAUUUUAUGUACCCACAUAUGCAUGUCUAUAAAUGACACACCCCGUCCCGAAGGAGGGCAUGCUGGCCGUCACGUGAGAGUGACGUAACCAUUUGCACAGUACGGAAGCUUUAAGAUACAAUUUAUAAGUUGAUACACCCGAAUGUGAGUCCUAAUUUUGUCCAAUCUGUCAGAACACCGUCAAAUUCCUCGUAGUCACCACACCUUUGUGAUUCCUGAACCUGGAGGGGCGCAAAACCAAAAUUGAGUGGGUCAGUAAAACAAUUCUUUUCCAAAUCCAAACAUUUCUCAAAACGUUGUAACCCCAAUCCGUAAAACUUGUAUAUUUUCCCAGAAAUGUAAAAUAUAAAUAUACAUAUAUAUUCUCAAUACUUCAAUUCAUUAACUCAACAUUUUUCAGUACAAUUAUGCCAUGCCAUGUCUAAUUCAACAGUUAAGUAUGGAUGCAUCAACAAUAAUCAUAUCAGGUGCAAGAAAGUAAUCAACCGGAGGCCCUCUAAUAGCCAUGUACGGUUGAACCUAGAGCUCAAAAUCUAUCACUCUCACUCUACCGGAGUCACCUCUGUGACCUGUCCGGCCUUCUGCACACAAGUUACGCUCUAGUGCUUUCUCAUCAAUCAUCUGUGCACAUAAUCUAAGGUCACCCACCAGUCGAAAUCUCACUAACACUCUUCGACUGGCCCGUCGCACCCACUCCGCGUGGACUGUGCGACCAGCAUCUACUUGGAUCCAAGGCGAGCGUGCGAUGCGGUGAAUACUAUAAGCACUAAACCAUGGUGCAGGAUUUGAGCUCAAUAUACAUCAACAUCAUCAUAAUAGUAAUUAAAUACUCACCUGAUACUCACCUGUGCGUCCGCCGCACCAAUUCAUAUAUAUGCAUCAUAUAUCAAUUCAUAUCAUUUCAUACAUGGCAAUUCAAUUCACGUUUUUCAUAUAGUUCUAUAUACUUUUCACAUAUUUCUAUUUAAAGCAUAAUUUCAUGCUUUUUCAAUUUCUGGGAAAACGGCAAGUAUAUAUAUAUACGGAAAACAAAACUGCCCACUCACCUGGAGUUCGCCCUACAACUCCCUAGCACAAUACGCCAAGGCGUCAUGACGAUCGGCGCCUAAAACAAUAAUCAAUUCCAACCUUAGAAUUCAUAUCGAUAGAAUAUAUAACUUAUAUAAAAUACGUCACUGCGUAGUUCGAUCCGGAAGAUCCACCACUCAGAUUUUAAAUCCAUAACUUCCAGAGGUCCACAAUAUAUCUCUAGGAUAACAUCCUAAAAUUUCAUUACCAUCCAACGGUCGGAUCUCCGUCAAUUUCCAAAACUAAGUGACGGUUAACAUUUUAUUUUAUGAACUUACAACUCCAAUUCCUGAAGAUCCGUAAAUCGGAUUCCCAAUCCGAAAGUUCCAAUAAUCCUCAAAUAUUACGUAUUACUACGUAUCAAAGUUUAGUGACGAUCUAACGGUCGGAUCGUCAAUUCACGUUUUCACCUAAAUGUGAAAACUAUAAAACGUUAUUCGAACAUCUAACCAACAAUCCUUAAUAACUUUCUCAUACGGUGCUCAAUUUGGGUAUAUGAAUAUACCACGGUGAUCUACUCGACGUCACGGACGUCGACAUAUUUUUAAAAUAAUUUUAUUUUAUUUUAUUUUUUUUACUGUAGCACCUUCUUCUUCCUUGGGUCGCCGGACUGGUUUUUCCAGCGGCCGUUUUCUGGGCAGUUUUUCAAAUUGCCAUAACUUUGUCAUUUCUCAACGAAAUCAAGUGAUUCAAAAACGAAAGUUGUAGCCCUUGAAGAGACAAAGAGAAUGGUACCUUACAAAACACCUAGUUCUCCGUGGUUUGGCCGGAAACUGCCUCGAAAGCCUCGGAGGUCGCCGGAAACUGGGUAUUUUUCAAAUGAGUAUAACUUCUUCAAUACUCAACGAAAUUGAGUGAAACAAAAAGGAAAGUUGUAGUAAUUGACGAGAUGAAGAGAUUGAUACCUACCUCGACUCCUAACUCGCCGGGGAUUCGCCGGAAAAAGCCUCGAAAGCUCCGGCCAAACUUUGAACUUGUCGAUCUCCGUGUUCUUACGUCCAAAAACUUCCAACGAAGCACUCCGAGCUUCCUUGGGACCUCACUAAGCUCACUAUGAGCUUGGAUUGUCCUAAAACAAAGUCAAUUCGAAAAUCAUGAACAGUGCACUUUCACGGGGAGUUUAGAAUCUAGGUUUUCCGAAGUAAAACUUACCUGAAAUUGGUGUCUACGUGAUCGUGGAGUCUCCAGGAGUUCGAUGGUGGUCUUAACUCCGUCGUUGGUGGAAGUUUAAGGUUGUUUUGCGGUUGGUUUGUUCGAACGGAGAAGAAGAGUGACAGAGAGAGAGAGAUUCGUGAGGGAGGAGAGAGAGAGACAGUAUGCAGAAAAUAGGGAGAGGAUUGAGGGGUGUGGGGAUCCCAUGUGGUCCUUUUCCAAUCCCCAACUCCAAACCACAAAAUUUUAACCUAAAAAUCUAAGUUCCAUCCUUAAUAAAUUCCAUUUUAUUUUCAAAACUUAGGAACCUAGAUAAUUAUCAACUUGAGCUUCACAUACUUAGUAUUUCUUAAGGGCAAUUUCGUCCAUUCACAGCCACGAAUGUAAUAUUUUUGGAACGGGCUGUGACAAUCUUCCCUCCUUAUAGAAUUUCGUCCCCGAAAUUCCAGCAACCAACUAAAUCAACCAUACUUCAACAAUAGCUUCGGGUAAAUCUCUCUCAUCCGAUUCUCUUUCUCCCACAUAAUUUUCUACUGAAUGAUUUCCUUCACAAAGCUUUUACCACUUACUCUGUCUUAAUUCUCAAGACUUUCUUUUUCCAAUCUAAAGUCGUCCUUGGUUCCUUAUCAAGUCGAAUCCAAUUUAAUUCUCAAUAGUUGCACCAGAAUCUCAUGUGACGAAUCUGCCACCUAGUGACAACGUAUCGAACCCAAAAUACAUUAAGUAUCUUAGCCAACUCUGAAGACAUCACCACAUGUAUGCAACUUUAUUGAUUCCUUUAGUGAUCAAAACGGACUGAUGUGUUCAAGACUUAUCUUGUCUUCCUUUCUGAAUCUUACUAUUUCUGUUCAUGGUGAAAUUUCCAAAAAUAUCAAACCAUUUACCUUACACACUCGAUUAGUGGCAUAUCCAUCUGUUAGUCUCUUUUGCCAUUCCUGGUUACUUCAGGUUAACUUAAUCACCUGAAUACUUUGAGGAGACUCAUCCAAAAUUUCGGGUCCACCAAAAUUCUUUUGUGAUCGAAUCUUUCUCUACCCAGAAGCAUUCCAUCCACAAUUCAGCAAAAAUCGACACACAUGACACGCUUCAUGGACAUUAUGGCGUUACUUUGAAAACUGGCGAAACCAACAUACUUAAGAAACUCAGCAGUCCCGUAACCCAAUUCUCUUUUCCAUAAAACAAAUAAGUACUGUUGCACUGUCUGGGAAAGGUUGUUACUCAACACUGGAGUAAAUAUACUAACUUGUUACGUUGCCCAACCAUCACUUCACAUUCAAUCGUAACCAUCUUGUAUACAAGGAAACUUGUACACAUAGUCCAAAGUAAUAUCUUUCCAUUUCUGUUUAGAAACAGAAAAUAGCUGUCUCAAUCCAAAGGUUUAUCUCUUUCCGCCUCAAUCUGCUGAUCAAAUAAACUGUCGAGUGGUAUGAUAAAUCUUAUUACUUUUGGAAUAUUGCAGAAGUUGAACAGUGAACUUUGUCCAAUAUUUGCUUGCUUCAAAUCCUCAGCAUUAGGCACAUACUUUUGGUUUUCUUGUAUCCACAUACCAUUUGAUUCACGAAUCAUGUAUUCAUUCUUUUUCCCUUCUUUCUCUACCUUGGUUAAUUCUUAAAUUUCCUCGUCAAACAUUUAAGUUUCGAGUACGACCUUACCAAACAGGCCUAACUUGAAAUUUAACAAGUAUAACUUCUUCUCGAUCUUUCAUUCUUAACUUUACUUUAGUUGGUUUCCAAUCCACAAGAAGAUAAUCAUGGCAAGCGUACCAGAUAUUAAUUAUUACUGCAGUCUUCUUAUCAAGUGCUUCAGUUACAACAAUUCACAAUCACCCUGAUCGUACAAUCAUAAUCACUAAGUAAUUCAAUCCACCUUUGUUGCCUCAUAUCACAAUCCUUCCAAGUAAACAAAUAUUGGAGACUCUUUUGAUUUGUAAAAUCUUGUAUUCUUAUCAACAUAUAAUGUCUCCAUAACUUCACAGCAAGGAUGAUAAUCGUGACUUCCAAAUCACCAGUAGGGUAAUUCAUCUUAUGAGGUUCCAUUUAUCGUGAAACGUAUGCAAUCACCCUAACAUUUGCAUCAACAUGCCUCCAAUACCAUUCAAGAAACAUCACUAAAAAUUUAUGAUUACCACUAUUCUCUGGGAAUACCAAAAUACGUGCAUGAGUGAGGAAAUACUUCAGUUGUUGAAUCCUUUGCUCACAAUUUCCUUCCCACUCAUACAUAACCUCUUUUCUCAACAGUCUCGUCAAUGACAAAGCAAUGACUAAAAACUCUUUCACAACCAUCCAAGAUAGUCUGGUAAGUUAAGAAUUUCCGAAUCUCAAUUAUGGCUUGUGGUUGUUCCAAUUUCUCAAUUCUGCUGCCUUUUAAGAAUUCAUUUGAAUACCUUAAGCAGAUAUAACCAAUCUCAUAAUGCCACUUGAUUCAUCCAACAUUCGCAUUUGCUAAACUUAGCAUACAACCAACGUUCUUUCAAUCUUUGCUUCAUCGACUUAAUACGUUUACAUGCUCUGCUCUGGCUCAGAAUGUACCAGAAUAUCGUCAAUGAAAAUGAUAUCAAUUAUCAAGGCAUUAUUGGAAUACUUCAUCCAUCAACUCAUAAAACCGCAUGAGUAUCCACAUAGCAUCACCAAACCUCAUAAGGACCAUAACAAGUCCAGAAAACCAUCUUAUGAUCAACGUCAUUCAUAAUCUUUAAUUGGUAAUAACCAGACUUCAAGUCAAUCUUUGAAAAUAUACAAGCACCUUUGAACUGAUCAAAUGAGCGUCAAUACACCACAAUGGAUAACGGUUCUCAUUCGUUACCCGACUCCAUUGUCUAUAAUCAAUGAACAGUCUCAAGAUCCAUUUUCUUCCUCACCAACAAACUGGGGCUCCUCAAAAGUGUUGUACUAGGUUGAAUAAAACUUUUAUCAACCAAUUCUUUCAACUAAAUUUCCAAUUCCCUUAACUCAUCAUGAACCAAUCUCCAAUAUAAAUUUAUACCUGGCAACAAAUCAAUAAUGAACCUCAUAUCUCUGCCUGAAGACAAUCCAGGUAUACUUUCAGGGGAGACAUCAAGAAAAGUCUAACCCUUUUGACAUUAUUCACACUACUCCAAACAACAUCAUUUAGCACCCCAUGAGCUAAGUAUUUUUAACAGCCUUUCGAAAACAAUCUCUUUGCUCUCACAGCAUUAAUAACGGCCUGACUCAAUCCACCUUGCAUACUUACAAAAGUAAUCUCUGGUCAUCCAGAUCGAUGGAAAGUACUGGUUUCCCGUAACAUUCCGUCUUGUCACAAUUAUAACCAACCGAUCUAAUGGAACAGAAUUAACUGAUACAAUAUAUAUUCUAUUAUUAUUAAGCAUUCUAAAUAAGUACAAUACUAACAUAAAAUAAUCUACCGGGUUGCUUGCUUAACGAAUCCACGAAUGAGUUAUUAAUAUUACGGUCUGCAGCCCGCAAUACUGAUAAAUCAUCGUUGUCUCGAUAAGUAGGCAACCACUCUCAAAGAUAUAACAUUACUAUUUUGUCACUCAAUGCAAAAUACAUACACUUGUCUCAACUACAUUUAUUUACUACUCUCUAGGUAAUAACAUACAUAAUAAGAAAUAUAUCAGUCGAAGUCAACUAGAAUGACCAAUACGGCUGAUUCAACUCUUAUCUCAAUAAUACGUCGGCCGGAUCCACUCCGCGUGGUCGGUACGGCCGAGCCUAUAACUCAUCCAACCUCUCUGUACUCACGGUCAAUCCGACCAAACUACUAAGUCCAUAACUCUGCUGAAUCGACACUAUGAUAUCAUGGAAAAUUAUUGAGUACAACUGAUUCUAGGGACGAUUCACAAUUCUGUGUCCCCUCUGUUCACAUAAACACAUUCAUUAAUUUCACACUUCCCAAAGUGUUAAUUUUGUACCUGCUGCACAAGGUACAUUUCCUUUACUCGAGACACCUUGUCUCAAAUAUCUGGGAUUACCAGUAUAUCCAUCACUUUUACUCUGACCAGCAACAUUAAAACCUCAGCUGGAAGAAUUAACUCUAGCUUCACUUCUUUCGAAGCUCUGAAUCUUUCUAUAUCUUUGAUAUGACGAAUCAUUAACUUUAUCGUCUUCUUUUAAUUCCCAUUCAUUUCUUAUUCUUCUUUAUUCUCGUUGCUCAUGUUCUCAGAGUCCUCAAGACUCAACAGCAUCUCGUAUAUUCCUGGUAAGAAGUACAAUGGAUAGUGGUCACCCAAAAUACCACUUCCCUUUUGCCACCCAGCUUAAAACAACAUAACACCUCCACCAAAUUAGCAGCAAUAUCCGAAUGGAAACGAGGCUAGUCUGAAAACUUUCUAUAAUAUUCAUUUAUCGUCAACUUCCUUGAUUCACAUUUGCAAAAUCUUGCUUACUACCAACGAUAAAUGCCGGAGGGAUAAACUUUUCCUUAAAUAAGUCCUUAAACAAUUUUAAAUCGGCUACUUCCUCUGAUGACAACAAUCAAUACUCCUGCUUCCAUCAGGAUACACGUUCAUAACUCAAACCAGGUAGUCGUCUCGACCCACCUGUCAGAAGGAAAUUUCCUUUGACUUGCAUAAUCUGAAACAUCUUUUCCAAUUGGUUAAUCCGUUACUUCGCUCCCUCAGGUUCAUCAUUCCAUAAGGUGAUUCAAAUUCGACUCAUAACCUGUCUUAAAAUGUCCCUUUUUAUAAUAGACUGAAUCACCAUAAUAAUAGUUUCCCCUAAACCGCUAUAUUAGGGAGACUAAAUUCCUCUAACUAAGUGGCUUGCUACGAGGCGGUGUAGUUCUGACAGAAUUCACUAGAACUUCUCAAAAUGUCCAAGAUUGCAACCAUGCUCUGAUACCAACUGACACACCCCGUCCCGAAGGAGGGCAUGCUGGCCGUCACGUGAGAGUGACGUAACCAUUUGCACAGUACGGAAGCUUUAAGAUACAAUUUAUAAGUUGAUACACCCGAAGGUGAGUCCUAAUUUUGUCCAAUCUGUCAGAACACCGUCAAAUUCCUCGUAGUCACCACACCUUUGUGAUUCCUGAACCUGGAGGGGCGCAAAACCAAAAUUGAGUGGGUCAGUAAAACAAUUCUUUUCCAAAUCCAAACAUUUCUCAAAACGUUGUAACAAUAAAAACCAGUCCGGCGACCCAAGGAAGAAGAAGGUGCUACAGUAAAAAAAAUAAAAUAAAAUAAAAUUAUUUUAAAAAUAUGUCGACGUCCGCGACGUCGAGUAGAUCACCGUGGUAUAUUCAUAUACCCAAAUUGAGCACCGUAUGAGAAAGUUAUUAAGGAUUGUUGGUUAGGUGUUCGAAUAACGUUUUAUAGUUUUCACAUUUAGGUGAAAAUGUGAAUUGACGAUCCGACCGUUAGAUCGUCACUAAACUUUGAUACGUAGUAAUACGUAAUAUUUGAGGAUUAUUGGAACUUUCGGAUUGGGAAUCCGAUUUACGGAUCUUCCGGAAUUGGAGUUGUAAGUCCAUAAAAUAAAAUGUUAACCGUCACUUAGUUUUGGAAAUUGACGGAGAUCCGACCGUUGGAUGGUAAUGAAAUUUUAGGAUGUUAUCCUAGAGAUAUAUUGUGGACCUCUGGAAGUUAUGGAUUUAAAAUCUGAGUGGUGGAUCUUCCGGAUCGAACUACGCAGUGACGUAUUUUAUAUAAGUUAUAUAUUUCUAUCGAUAUGAAUUCUAAGGUUGGAAUUGAUUAUUGUUUUAGGCGCCGAUCGUCAUGACGCCUUGGCGUAUUGUGCUAGGGAGUUGUAGGGCGAACUCCAGGUGAGUGGGCAGUUUUGUUUUCCGUAUAUAUAUAUACUUGCCGUUUUCCCAGAAAUUGAAAAAGCAUGAAAUUAUGCUUUAAAUAGAAAUAUAUGUGAAAAGUAUAUAGAACUAUAUGAAAAACGUGAAUUGAAUUGCCAUGUAUGAAAUGAUAUGAAUUGAUAUAUGAUGCAUAUAUAUGAAUUGGUGCGGCGGACGCACAGGUGAGUAUCAGGUGAGUAUUUAAUUACUAUUAUGAUGAUGUUGAUGUAUAUUGAGCUCAAAUCCUGCACCAUGGUUUAGUGCUUAUAGUAUUCACCGCAUCGCACGCUCGCCUUGGAUCCAAGUAGAUGCUGGUCGCACAGUCCACGCGGAGUGGGUGCGACGGGCCAGUCGAAGAGUGUUAGUGAGAUUUCGACUGGUGGGUGACCUUAGAUUAUGUGCACAGAUGAUUGAUGAGAAAGCACUAGAGCGUAACUUGUGUGCAGAAGGCCGGACAGGUCACAGAGGUGACUCCGGUACUAUUUUGACCAUUCUAUUUAACUUGUGUUUCAUUUAUUUUAACCAUUCUAUUUAAAGUUUAUCCCAAGUAAUCUAAUUAAGACUAGAGUCGAAAGUGAUGCAUUUAGUAAUUGCUUACACUUGUGAAUAUGAGUUGAUUGAGGUGGUGGUGGUUUCUUGUAUUAAUAAUUCUAUUUAAACUCAUACCCUCCCACACCAUCAGAUCCAAGUACUAUUUUGAUAAACUUUAAAUAGAAUGGUUAAAAUAAAUGAAACACUUUUAGAAAAUAAGUGAAGAUGUUGUUUACAAAUAUAGAUGCAUUUGUAUAUAAAAGCUUUGGCGGUUGAUCCGUAUACACUUCCAGAGAUAUAAGCAAGUUCAUUGGAUUAUACAUACAUAGUUAAUGUAUUACAGUAUAAUUAAUAAGAAAACAAUUGCAUCCCUUUCAGAUUAUAUAUAUAUAUAUAUAUAUAGACACACACACGCACACAUACAUACACACAGGCCCUUUAUGCAAAGGAAUUUUCAAUUUUUUUUUUAAAUGGGGAUUAGUUGUGGGGCCCACGCUGCAUUGAACUUUAACGAUCCGAACAGUCUAUUUUGUAAUUCUCGAUUCAUAGAUCAUCCUUGUAAAAAUUCAAUUCAAUCCGAACCUAUUUGCCUAUUUAAUUAUCAAGAUAAAAUUUUAUUGUUUCUUAUAUAACAAAGUAUUCGUUAAUUUCUUUGAACUCAAUUAGAUAUCUUAAACAUUUCCGAUUUGGUUAAUAUUGUGUAAGGAUGAUCUAUGUGGUGCAACUUGAAAAAUAGACGAUUACGAUCGUUAAAGUUCGAUGUGGUGAGAACCCUACAAUUAAUCUUCAUUUUUAUAAAAGAAUGGGAACCCCUUCCCUUAAAGGUUUCCUAUGUAUAUAUUUGUUCUCCAGACAUAUGCAAAAGGUAAUGUAAAACCAAUGAGAACUUAAAUAGAUAUUCCAUACAUAGGACAAUUCCAUAUAUGCUUUUUCAACAUUGAUAUCGAAAAGCCAAAUUGUUUUGAGGAAAUUAAUUGUAGCAAUGAUCCCUUAACUUUUAUCUUAUUGGAGCAAUGGUCUCUCAACUAAAAAUUCAUGACCAUUGGUUCCUUAACUCCACACAACGUGUAGUUAUGGUCAUUUUCAUUAACCCCGUCAGAACUUUUGUUAAAACAAGUAAUGUUAGAAGAAUCAUUGCUACAAUUAGGUUAAAGUUGGGGACCAUUGCUCUAAUUAAAUUAAAAUUGAGGGAUCAUUUCUCCAAAUUGCUUAAAGUUCAAUGACCAUUUCUACAAUUUUCUCAUCUAGUUUCCCAUAUUUACCCCAUGAUUCAGCUUCACAUGCAUUGCACAUGACUCAUUUUGACAAAAAUUUUAACGAAAUUGACGAAAAUGACCAUAAAUACACGUUUUGAAUAGUUAAGAGACCAAUGGUCGUGGAUUUUAGUUGAGGGAUCAUUGCUCCAAUUUGGUUAAAGUUGAGGGACCAUUGCUACUUUUUUCUCAAAUGUUUCGUAUGCGAAAAUAGGCAUUUGUAAAGUUUGGCUUGUUCAUGGCAUUAUUACUUUAGUCUAAAGUAAGGCUGGAAAUGGCACUGUAGAAAUGAAUAGUGUUCCAAUCUGAAUUUCAGUUUAAUUACAACAAUGCCAUUGCUCUUUGUGUUGCCUUUAGGUGAGCAGCCCAGCUUGCAGCCAGGCCCAAAUGUAUUGGUUUUAGCUGAGAAGCUCGGCCCUUGGUCAUGCCCAAAAUUUUAAAUUACAGUUUUGCCCAUACAAAAUAACAAUCCGAUUGUAUCGGGAAGGACAAUUUUGUCCUUUCAGUUUUGGGUGAGAUAGGGGGUAACAGGGUAAGUUUCAUUUGCUGUCGUUGAAUGAGGGUUUCGGGGAUGAGGGCUCUGUGUGUGUGUGGGUGAGAGAGAGAGAGAGAGAGAUGGCGAUGGAAGGAGAGUGAGGGGGAAGGGAAGGGUUCUCGGCACUAUUGUUGCAUGUGGAUUUCACAAGUGGGAGAGUGGGUAUGGUCAGAGAAGACCAUAUAGGUCGUUGGGAUUUCAGGGAAACGGGGUAGGGGUCAUGAAUGAACCCUGCUGAGAGUGGGUACCGGAUCUUGCGCUGCAUGCCUCAAAUCAAAGAUAAGUUCGUUUUUUUUAUUGUAUUUUUAUGGUAGCUUAGCUUUUGGAAUUGUUUAGUAUGUUAGGUCCGAUUUUGGGGGAUUUAUCUUUUUAGAGAGAGAGAUAGACAGGGAGAUAGAGAGAGAGGGAGAGGGAGAGAGAGAGAGAGAGAGAGGAGGAAGCAUGACUGUGUGCAAUUUUUGGUGUUAAUUAAUGGGUUGGUGCGCAGGGUGAGUGACAGAGUGACAGAGUGAAGGAGGGACGUGUGGGAGGGUAUGAGUUUUCAGUUCUUUCUUUUGAUUCAACAGGUUAUACACUGUUUGAAAAACUUUUUUUUUAUUAUUUUGUUCUCGUUUGCUUUGUUCAAACCAUCAUUUGAAUUUUUGGGUUUCACUGUGCUCAUUUCUCUGCUUCUUCAUAAUUUGCUGGUGUUUGCUUCUCAUCCCUCUGUUGGUAGAUCUUUUUCUCAUUUCUUGGUUCCUUAUGUAUUCUUUUGUACAAAUCUGUUUACUUUUUUGCUGUGUGAUAAUCUUAGCAGGUGAACUAUAUGAACGUUUUUUUUGAAACGAGUUAAGAAGAUCCAGCUGAAAAUAGCAUACAAGAUAGAGAACUGGUAUGCUGCUCGCCAGGGAAAGGCUGCUGGAGAGGCCGAGACAGAUGCCUCCUUCAGAAACCAGGUCAGUUUCCUGCUGCUCGGCGUCUUAAUGUAUCCAAAUUGUUUAUCUUUUGAUGAAAUUAGCUGGCUUUAUUUUCUAUUUUAUUUAUCUGCAUAUUAUUUUGGUUUGUUGAAAUUUUGACUAUAGUCAUUGUCACAUGGGCGCCCAGCCCAACCCAAAUUAGUUGAGGAUAUUUAAAUCUUCACCAUGGUAUUAUAGUACUCACUCACAGUUGUGAAUACUAAGGUGCAGGCAUGGCAUGAAGAAGUGGACCGUGCACGCCAAUGUCAGAGGGAUGCAGAGGGCAAGCUUUUUUCUUUGGAGGUAAGUAUCCUUUGUUUAUUGCCCAACAGUGUUGUUAUUAUCAAUUUGUAGCUUUGCGUUCUGAAUUUUUUGCUUUGUCAAACAACCUUCUUGAAAUGCUCGAUUUCAAGCCGAAGUCCAAAAAAUGAGAGUUGAGAUGGCUUCCAUGAAAAGGGAUGUAGAGCAUUACUCGCGCCAAGUGAAAUCUGCUUCCUCUCUUUUCGUAUAUCUUCAUAUGAAGAGUUUUACUAAGUUAUAUUGAGAACUAUGUUAUUUAUAGGUUAUAUUUUCCAUUUUGCAGGAACACAUGGAGCUAAGGAAGAGCUAUCGUGAACUCACUGAUCUACUGGUAAUGUCACUCAAACUGCUUUAUUUGUGCAUGCUGCUACUAUGCGCUUGAAUGCAUUUUAUUACUGGCGGGAUGCAAGAAAGCUAGAUAUAUGUGCUGGAUCGCUUGAUUAGUGUUAGGGUUUUAACAACUAAUUGUUAGCAGCUAGAAGCUCUGGUUAGAUGAAUGCUAAUUUGAUUUUCCUUACAGUACUUGAGUGCCAGUUUCAUAUUGUUUGUUCCCUGCUGGAUACCUGUUGUACAGUUUCAUUUCUGUUUCUUUAUAACUUUCUUGGCCCUGGGAUAUAUGCAUAUUGAGUACAAUGAAUAUCCAUUGUUCUCUAACUGUUGGGCUUUACUAUCUUUGUAGCAGCCUGCCUAACAUUUUUUAGGCUCUACACUCUACCAUCCAAUUUAUGAAAAAUUCAAAGAUUGAACGGUAUUGAUUGCAGAAAUGAAAAAAAUACUAUGAUAUUAGAAAGGUGAAUGUAAUUGUGUUAGAAGAAGCGUCUAGCAUGAUGGGUAAUAUUUUAAGUUUGUAUUUCUAAAAUUUUUUCGUUCUGGAGUAUGAUUUACCUCAAUUGUUUUGUACUUUAAUCUUUACUAAUUUUCAUUGUGGAGUAUGAUUUGCCUCAACUAACAACUUUUCAUUGUUUAACUUUUUCCUCCCUUAGAUAGUUGCAUAUGUUUGAUUUGUUAAUCUGCUUCUUACACAUGUUGUUUCCUAAUGGUGUAGGUGGGUUGCCGGAUGCAUGUGCAGAUUACUUGAAUAGACGAAGCUAAGAAUGACUUAGUAUUAAGUGAGAAAGAAGCUUGGGUCAGUUGGAUUUUGAUAUUUGAUUUAUUCAUGUUUUUUGUUGCUUGCAAUGUUCUCGCAUUGUUGUUCUGAGAUUCUGUGAUCUUAUUUUUCAUAGGAACUGACAUUGGUUUGCCAUAUAAUGUUUCAUGAACUAAUACAACAACUAAUCACCUUGCUUAGCUCUCAAGACACAUACUUAAUAGGUUAACAAACACUAACCUAUAAACUGAUCUGCUAAGCUGGACCAUUAACCUCUGUUUAUAUCCCUGCCACUCAUCUUUUGGCACUUAUCAAUAGCAAAAUUUAGAGUUACUGAAACCCCAAUUUUAAUGAAUAUUAUUUUUAGUUGAUAAUUAAAAUUAAUUGAUGAUUAAUCUAUUCCAUUGUGCAUUAUUUUAUCGCCAAAUACUUUGAAUAUUCAUUAGCAAAAGAUAUAGGGUUCACUAUUUAAUGAAUAGAAUUUUGAUGGUGGAUUGCAUUUCCUGAGUUAUAAAUGUGGUGAAUCCAUUAUUUACUAGCUGAAUAAUCAUAAUGUUUUGGCCACUUACCUUGAAUUUUGUUCAAAUUGAAGAAGUCACAUGUUUCUUUCUGUUGUUGAGGUAAUCUCUCUGUUGAAAGCUUCUAUUUCUUUUUUCUUUUUCUCUUUUUCAUUUGGGUAGAUUUUUUUUUUAUGGAUUUAUGUAUUUUUUUUCAGAGAAUUCGAAAUGAAAUAAGAAUAGCGGAUUGAGCAUAAACAAAUUGAUGAAAUUUUUAUUUGAGUGUUUGUGUUGGUCCUUUUUUGAUUUGUUGAGGUUUGGAAUUAUUUGAGUUUUUUUUGCUGUUAGUACUGUGAAGGAUGCUUGGCAAUCGCGAAAUGGGGGCUACCUCUUUGGAAAGAGAAGUCUCGCUAUCCAACCUCUCAUGAAUUACAAACAGGGUGCUUUCUUGCUGAAAAACCACUAAACCAGUAGAACUUUCCUCGGUUCUUCAAUUCGAUUCGAAUAAUUUUUUUACCCAGAAAGCCAGCGUUUCCUGGUGGGUUUUACAGCUUUCUCAAUGUUUUUGUGAUUUUGGAUUUGCAAAUUUGUUUUCUGUUCAAAUUUCCUUUUGUGAUUUUGGAGGUUUUGUUUAUCGAUUCUCUCACUCAUCUCUCAGCUCUCUCUCACUUUUGAGGUACAUGCCGUUGGAUUCCAUUUGCUGCUGCUGAUCUGCAGGUAAAGCUUCAAUUACCAUAUAAAGUUUACAUUUUUCAUGAUUUCUUGAAUUUGGGUUUUAAACAAAGGAAAUAUUGCUAGAUUCUUAUCUUAUGUGCAAAUUACUGGCUAUUUGGAUUGAUGCUUGAGAUUUAGAGAAUGCCUCGAAGCUUUAAUUUCUUUUUCCUUCAUUAUUACUGUUUUCAAAAUUUUUAUUGCUGGGUAUUGAUAAUUUGUAGUAUGUGAGGGCUUCAAUAUGUUGGAAUUUUGAAUGGUUAUUGCUUCAUCGGAAUUUGGGUGGUCCAAAUUUUGAAUUAGAAGAAACCCAUUUGAUUAAUAUUUUUGGUGGAUUGGUUCUCUGUGUUUUCCUUGCUAUUUCUCCCCCAGUUGGAAAUUGGAAGCCCCAACUUUGAGCUCAGAGCUUGAAUUUCUCAAUCGUUCGUUUCUCUGCACUCUCAUCAGUCACUCUUGAUCCUCUAUCUAAAGAACUGGGUAAUUUUCCAGCUCUAUCAAGUAAUACUCCAUUUAAUUGCUUAAUUGAGGUUUUUUGUUUCUCUUUUUCGCUCUUUCAUCAGUUCAUUGGCUUUGAUGUUGAGCUUAAGUAAAUGGGAGAUCAUUAAUUGGCAUUGUUCAAGAUAUAAUUCUGUGUUUUUGGAUUUGUGAAACGAUUUGCCUAAUGAUGAUAGUGGUUAAAAUAAAUUUUUCGUUAUGAAAGAGAACAUUGUUCUUCAUUUGCCUAUGGUUUUAAGUACAAAGUUAAACUACUAUGCUUUUGUUCAAUUGACUGCAACUCAUGCCGCAGUUUGCUUCACAAACCUCUACGGUUAGCUUCCAUAUAGUAUGUUGCAAGUUUGAGGAUAUCUUUACAUCUUAAUUUUUGCUCUCUCUGGUUGCUUCAAGUUUGUAAUUUUACGUGUUACAUUGCUACUUGAUUUGAUUAUAAAAAUGCAAAACAAAAUCCGUUUUGCUUUUAUUCAACUUAAAUGUAUCCUUUUGUUUGUUCAUAAUUGUGUUGAAUUUAUUCAACUUAAAUGUGUUUUAUUCAUCUGUUUACGCUUAAAACAACUGGUUUCCCUAGCAAUGCGCGGGCCUAAUUUCUAGUACAUAUACUAAAAGCCAGCAGAAAAUUACUGUUCAUCAUGGGAGAUAGAGCACUGUUCAUUAACCGUGAAAGGGCGAAAAUGCCCUCGGAUUCUUCUUUACUUCACGUACUGUUUACGAAUUGCUACAGUAUAAAGUCCGUUUUGUCCUUCCUGUCCACGCAUCUUUCAUCGUCCGUUUCUCUUGCUUCGACCACAUCUUUUUUGCUUUACCUUUCCUCUUCGUUUUUCGCAUUCGUUAGGCUACGAUUUUCGGAGGUGGAUUGUUUGCCCUCCCAUUUCCAUGGUCUCCCCAUGCCCUCCCAUUUCCAUGAUCUCCCCACGUCAAUAUUUUAUAAAAAUAAUAAAUAAAAGGUAAUAAGAAUAUAAAAUGUUGACGUGUCUUAACGUGACCACAUAGGCAUUGGGAGAGCAUGGAAAUGGGAGGGCACACAAUCCACCUCCGACUUUCUCCCUUUUCGCCAGCCCCUCUUUUGCUCUCAAAUCCUUGCUCUUUCUUUUGCAAAAUAGUCUCAGAAGAGAUCCUGGGUUUAUCGAAUCCUUUGUUGUUGGGCGUUUUGUUCUCAUCUUGCGAUCGUCGGGGCAGCAGCUUUAAGGUAAGUUUGUUUUUAAUGAUUUAUCCUCAUUUUACGAUGUCUGGGCUAACAAAUUUAAGAUCUUUAUUUUUCUUUUUGCUGCGGAUCUGCAGGUUUUGACAAGUUUUUUGUGAAAUUGGUGCUGUCAGUGGGUGUUAACAUCAGGUACCCAUGUUCAGUUUUUCGUUUUGAUUUGAAGGAAUUUCUUGCGCAGAAGAGCUAGGGUUUCUUGGUGAGUUCUUCGGGUUUUUCAUAUGGGUAAUUUUCUUUUCGGUUUAACCCUCUGCUUCUGCUGCUCUCUCUCUUUCUCUCAUCCCUGCCUGCUCCUCUCCAAUUGUUUGCUGUUCUUAAAUAUUGUGUUCAUUGCCUGAUACAACGAGGCAAUGGCGUGACAACAGGUGAGCUUGGAUAUCCAAAGAAAAAGAACAGUUGGUUCAUCUGCUGGAGUCUGAAGCUCAGAGAAGUGGAGGAAAAUUGCAGGUGUGCGAGAAAUUUUAUUUUGCUGAUAGGACUCCUUAUUUACGGAUGCAUUUUGAAAUAAUUGAAAAGUUGGAUUUGAGUUAACAGCUAUAAAAAUGUAGACAUGAUUGCUGAGAUUAUGCUAUGAAAGUGGAAUAAAAAAAUGGUAGUUUAUAAUAUUGCGUACCAAUUGUUUUCUCUCUUUUUUACCAAAUGAUAAGGGUGGUGGCUCAGGCCGCCCCCCUAAGCGUCCCCACUCUUCGACAAGUUGAAAUCGUGGUGAUAGUUUAUGGGCUGUGGUCUUGGGAUUCUGCAAAUAGAAUGAAAAACAGACACUUAACUAUCUUGUUAUUAAGCAUUUCUGCAUCAUUCAGUUGCUCUUGAUUUUCGUCUUUUAAGCGAUCUUAUUUCUGCGAUCUGACUUGAGGAGGGUUUUUAGACCUAUGGUUGUGGGUGUUUUCUCUGACCCCAUUAUCCGAGAUUUGUAGACUUGCGAUCGGCGGUCAAACAUUUUGUGAUUCUUGUUUUCUCUGCCUUUCGGUCGUUAAGCGCCGGCAGUCUUUAGAUCUUUGGCAAAUCAAUUUAAUACAACCGAGGUAUGUUUUAUAACUGCUGUCUUUCAAUUUUUGUUCUGUAUUUUUGUUAAUUUGGAUGAAGCUCUAAUAAUUUUGUUUUGGAUCAGUUGUGGUCCUCUGUUAGGAUUUUCCUGGCUAAGAGGGUAUUUGCGUUUUUGUUGCUUGGUUGGUCGAUCACAGAUUUACGAACAGCUGUGGUGGUCCUGUUAUUUUUUUGGUAUGUUUUUUCUCCUUUUUGGUUUUUUCCCGGUUUGAGCACCCAUUCAUGAAGAAUUAAAAUGUGUUUAUAGUUUUUCAGGAGAGAUUAGAAAAGUGAUUUCAAUUUGGGAAAAUUUAAUGUUGGUUAAAAUUUGUUUAUAAUUUUUGGGAAGGAAUGAGAGGACCCAUUGAAGUAUGUGUUGUGAUUAUUUUUUAUUCAUAUUUUUAACAAAUUGGGCAUGAAUUGGUAGGUUAACUGUGUGUGUUUAUUAUUUGAAUCGGCCAUGUUUGUCUUUCUAUGGUUCUAAAAAAUUUGUAAAGGCUGUUAACUUGGAAGAAAAUGGGAUCGAGGGUGAGGGGAAAACGGCAGAGAAAGCAUGGAAGAGAGAUUUGGGAUUAGGGGUAGGAAAACAGAUGAAAAGAAUAUGAUAGAGGAAUGGGUUCAGUUCAUUUUCACUAUUUUUUUUAACUGAUUUGGAUUUUGUUUGGGUUUGAGGCCAUCAUUGGCGUUAAGACGUUUAUUAUCAGAUCGUGUGUUUUUUGCUAACUUUUAUUGGUAAUUUUAAUGUUGUUCUUAUGAUUUUGUGUGGUAGGGUUUCUGAAUUUUAUCGUUAUUCAUUUGGUUUUGUGUGUGUGUUGGUUUGUUUAUUUUGCAGGUUGUGUUUGUGCUGGGACAACAUUUUCCACCUUCUGUUUGCACUGGGAUGAUUGCGUUUUAAAACUGUUGGGGUGAGAUUUACAUAUGGAAUCAUUCCAUUUUUUUUCUUCCAAAUAUGUGCAUUUAGUUCUCUUUUAUUUUAAAUUUUAAAAAUUAAAUCGUUAUUUGAGUAAAAUGUUUUAUCAGUUUAUGUUAUGUGUUGUGACCAGGAAUUCUGUUGGAUUUGCGAAUUUUGGUUUGAUGAGAGAAAUGAGGAGUUUUUUUUGUUUGAAUUUUUUAUUGGACCGAUUUUCAAUUGGAUUGCAUUCUGCCUUUUUGCACCAUUCUUAUGCAAGCAAUUCAUUGUUUUAAAUACAAUUUGAAGAGAGCUGGGUUGCGGGUUGGAUAUAAAAUGUUAAGGUGAGAUAAAAUCGAGAUACCAAGGGUGGAAGAAUGAUUCAGAAUUGGGGGAGGAAAACAGAGGGAAGAUAGAAGAAUAUAAGAGAAGGAUAGGGUUGACCUCAUUUAGAGUUUUUAUUUACUUAUUUUUUUUUAUAAAUUGAUUCAGGACUUGCAUAUCAUUUCUAAAUUUCUAACAUUUUUGUUUAAUUUGACUCCAGUUGAUGGAAAACAGAGCUCUUACUCCUAUCAAUCAGAUGGUCCCGUACAUAAAUGCAGAAAAAUCAAGGUUCGAGUUUGCAGAGUAUGCAGACCAAGGUUUCCCGAAACUACUGGUGCAUAUUCAGGCUUGCAUUGUAUAUUACUUACCUAUUAAAAAUUUGUUUGGAAUUUGCUUUUCCCACAGAGGAGAAGAGCUGACAGUUACGCUGUGGGCAGAUGUUGCUCGAAGUAUUGCUUCUUUAUCCAUUGAAUCAUUGUCUCUGCCGAUCAUUGUGGUUUUCACAAGUUUAAAGGUCAAGCUGUACCUAGGUAUUUGACUUAGUUAAAAACUAAUCUAUUUACUAUUAAUUUUUCUAUUAUAUUCAAACGUUAUUUAAUAUAUACUCUACUAAUAUUUUCUUAACAUGUCACACAAACAUAUUCACUUCUUUUGAUCAAUUUUUUUACAGCAUUUCAUAUAAAAGCUAACAUUUAGUUGAAAUUGAUUAGCAACUCUUUUCUUGCAUGUAUACAUACGAAUUAAACAAUAGUAUUAAACUAUUUGUUAUCAUUCUCAGUAUUUGUUUUAGAAUUAGAUUAAUAUAUUUAACCUGUUUUAGAAUUAGAAUUAUUUGGUAUCACUCUCAGUAUUUGUUUUAGAAUUAGAAUUAGAUUAAUAUACUGAGAUUAUUUAGACAAAUCUAGCAUUUUCUCAAAAUAUUUGACUUUUAAACUUAGAUUAAUAUAUUUAGCAGUUUUUUAACAUGCAAUUUUUCAUUAAUUUUUCAACACACAGACAAGAUAGUCUUGAACACCAUUGGUUCAUCACUUUUCUUCAUUGAUCUAGAUAUUCUGGAAGUAAAUUCAUACAAAUCAGUGUAAGUGUGUUUACUUUGUUUAAAAAAAUAUUAUAUGCUCUCACAAUAAAAGAAGGGCUAUUCUCACAAAAUUUAUGAACUAAUGUUCUGUUUUAACCUCUACAGCUUUUCCAAAUGCACAGAACCUCUAAAAAUACUGCCACCUUUUACAAAACAGGCCCGUGAAGCUCAAAUCUUGCAGACAGCGAAGGUCACAAUUGCAGACGCUGAAAUUUUCAUGCCAAAAUAUGAUGUGGAGGAUGAGAAAUUGUUUGCUGUUGUUCUCUUUUCAGUUUUGCAGGCGAUGAUCUUUUACCAAAUGUCGAGGAGCUUCCAUGGGACAUGCUCUAUGCUCUCGCUUCCCAGUUGCCUCUGUUGGGGUUGGAAAAGCUACAGAUCACAAUGUAAGUCAAAAACAGUAAAGUUCCCAAGAUGUUCUGUGCUGGAGCAGAUUUAAAGGUACGAAUUUUUAAUUUUUUUGUGAAGUCGAUGUUUUGUUUUAAAAGGAGUUUAUAAUGGAUUGAUUGGACAAGUACAGCGUGUUUUGCAGAUAAAGGGCCCUAGCCAAUUUUCUAUGACCUAUAAAGCAUUAACCAAAUUGGGUUUUGUUUGUUUGGUAACAGGGGUUGUUCAGGUUAGGUUGGAGAGGUUGGAGGUGAGAAAUGCAAUUGGGAAAGAUACGCUGAGAGUUUUACAGAACACCUUUGAAGCUGUCAGUGAGGAUUCUUCUGCUAAUGUUUUGUUGAUCAGCAGUAAAGUUCCCAAGAUGUACUGUGCUGUAGCAGAUUUAAAGGUAGGAAUUUUUAAUUUUUUCGUGAAAUCAAUGUUUUGUUUUAAAAGGAGUUUAUAAUGGAUUGCAUGGACAAGUACAGAGUGUUUGUUUGUUUGGUUGAAUGUAAAAAGGAAUUGGAAGAAUGAUGAAAGUACUUGCAUUUGGUUGUAGUUGGUCAGGCACUGAAGGACCGGUCAAUACGAAGUGCAUCUGUGGGACAAUAGUUGAAAGAAGGCCAGAGCAGGAAGAGAAGGCAAGGUUUGUGAAGAAAAACAGUGAUGUGUUUAAUUAGAAGAAAUGUGCAUUUUUUUUUCCCAGUCAAAUUCUGCUUUUGUUCUGACUAUUUUCCUUACUGUAUGCUGAUUUUAUUAUUUAAUUUUUGGUUUUUCCUUGAUUGGCUUGGGAAUUACAAUCAAAUGAUGAAUCUUCAGUUUACUUGGGUAAGCAUUUUUUAACAUAUAAUUUAGCUGACCAUUUUAACUGUCAGACCAUGUUGUUUUUGGUUAUCUAAUCAUUCCAAGAUGGCAAGUUAGGAUUGGAAGGGUUGCUAGAAAUAAGGAUUAUAUCUUGGGACAUUCGGUGAGUGAUUUUUCAAACUUUCAGUUUUACAAGACAAAAUAUCUAUUUUUGUGUGUAUUCUUCAAGCAUGUUAUCAUUAUUUAGGUUGUAGGAAAAAAAGAGAGUGACUUGAGGUGUUUUUAGAUAUUUUUGUGUGUAUUCUUCACAAUGUAUUAAAAGCGCGAGGCGUGGGCGAGGCGUCUGAGGGAUAGCCCACGCCUCACGCCUUACGGGACCUAAAUUUUUUAAUAUAUACACUGAGCGUACACAUAUAUUAUAUUAAAAAAAAAUUAUUAAUCAAUAAUUACCCUGAGCGCACAUAUAUAUUAUAAAUACAUAUAUACACAUAUAUAUACAUAUAUUAUGUUAUAUAUAUAUAAAAUAGAGGAUGAAAAGCACAAUGAGCACACAUAUAACAAUGCAUGCAGACGGCACACAAUAUAGUGCAAGGAAUAGGUAUGAGGUAGUUAAAACCCUACCCAAAAUCUGGGUUUGGGAGUAAAAAUAAAAAAUAAAAAAAAAAUUGCUUGAGGCGCGUCUAGGCGGCUCCGACAACGCCUUCCGGCGCCUUCCGCCCACUCCCUCAAAACAAAGGCGGCAACCCUCAAGUCCAGCCUCACAGGGUGCCUAGGCGCACCCUGAGGUGAGCCUUUUAAAACAUUGAUUCUUCAAGCAUGCUAUCAUAAUAUUUGUAACUAUAAAAAAUAAUAUACUAUUAUACCUCUGUUUCUCUUUUCUUUGUUUUCAUGAGAAAUUAAUUGCCAUUGGCAGCACUAUAGAAAGCCAUCUUUCUCCAUUAUUCUCCGCUUCAUGCAUAAUUACAUAAUUCUACUAUCACAGUUGUCAGUCCUGAACAAUCAUGCAAGUCUAGUGGCAAAAACCACCUCAAUGAACAACUCUCACACACACACAGACACUGAUCAUACAUCUCUAACUCUCUUUUUCAAAUAACACACACUCUGAUCCAAAACAGGGUAAAUAAAAUGCACAUCCUUAUACAUUUCUAACUUUGUUUUUCGAAAUCCAAAAUAGGGUAUUCUAACUCUCUUUUUCAUUCAUUUCUUACAAACCAAUCAUACAUUUAAAAUAGGCUUUGAAUAAAAAUAGGGUAUAUAAUUAUAUACCUCAAAAUGCCUAGGAACCAACUUCCCCCUCCAACGAUUCAAAUUCUUGAAAUUGCCAACACAGUAAAUCCAUUAGUACUAUAUAAAUGAAAACACAAUUGAAACCCAUCAAACAAAACAAUCCCACAAUUUAAAUGAUUCAAUCCUACUACAAUUGAAAUUCACAGAAAGAAUGAAAAACCAGAACAAAACUGCAGCACCUAAAAAGUUGUCAUACAAAAAAACAUGGAAUGUAAAAAUAUGUUAAGAAAUCUAGUUCGUUAAUUUCCAGCUGCUAAGUGGCAUUAUGUAACUUUAGUAGUAUACUAAUUAACUACUUAUCUGGUGGGUUGCACUUUUAUCCAAUUGGUAAGGAAAGGAAAAUAAAAAUCAACCCCUUGGUCUUAGUUGUGGCUGCAAAGUGCAGGCCACCACCAAGUCUCAGUGUUUGUGUUUUAGCAAAACACUUAAAUAAAUUAAAUUCUGAAAUGUAAAUUAUAUUCCUAUAACUUUAAGAUGCACAUAUAGUAUUGUUGAAGUCGAACUGAAAGCACUGACAAUUCCAAGCAACAGAGCAGCAAUUAUUAAGAGCCAAAACUCAUUCCUAGUCUCCUCAUCCUGGUACUCAACUCCGUAAUCUUUGGUCAGCAUCAUUGACUGAAAUUAGGAGAGAAAAAGAAAAGGAAUUUCAGAAAUUGUCUAUGAAGCAAAGGAUACUGCAGUUACUUCAAGACAUGUAAAUUGCAUAUGUAUAAAGUAAUUUUCUACAUAAAGUAAUGAGGCAUAACUUUCUCUCUCCUCUUCAAACCCUAAACAGAGCAAAGCAACAAACUUUACAGAGAUUAGAAUGAGAACUGGAACUAAUCGAACAAUGACUGAAAAGUAACAUACUUGAGGAGUGAAUGAUUUAGUGUUUCCAUCAUCGGAAGCCGGAGUAAGUCGCUAAGAGAGGUCGCAAACAGCCCAAAGGGACAAACCCAGAUCCCCGGCCCCGAUCCAUACCCUUCCCCCUCAAAUCCCGACGGCCCCCAUACUUUUCUCUGACUGUACCCCCUCUCCCACUCAUGAAAUCGAGGAUCUGUAGCAAUGGUACUGAGAUCCCCACUCCUCCCUCUCCCUUUCUCUCUGUCGCUCUGUCUCCCUCUCCCUCUGUCUGUCUAUCUUUAUCCCAGAGCGGCAUGGCCUCCCAUCCCUGAAACCCUCACCGAAAGGUGGCAAUUUUGUAAAUAACUUGAAAUCCACCAACAACAGGGGCAGAGAAUUGAAACAAACAUUUAGGCUCGUUCGAUAACCAUUUAGGCCAAAACUGAGCACACCUAAACCAUUCCUACCCGUGCCAAAUGUUAGUGGGGAAGCAAGAUGAAGACUUAUUUUUCAAAACCAAAAGAAAAAAAAAAGAGAAAACAAAAUAACAAAUCUAAUGGUUGUAGUGUAAAAGCUGAGAACGUAAAUAAGAGCAGUUCCAGCCUUGUAAAUAGGCCGGGGGACAGGGGAGAAGAAAAGGCCUGAGGGCCUGUCAAGUUGCUCCAGCUAUGAGGAGCCCGAGCUCGUGGAGAAGGCCCGAGCAGGGGGUCUGUCAAUUUGUGACAGCCUCGGAGCCCGAGCUCCAAGCCCAUUUUUUAUUUUUUUCUGUCAGGCGCGUGCACCCCACUCGCGCGUGGGGGCGCGUCGCCCGACAACUUUUCAGAAAAACAGACAACUUUUCAGCCUUUCACAGUUACCGUUGGGAAGCCACGUGGCUUCCCACGGUCUGUUCGAUCUCAACGGCUCCUUCAUUUGGACCGUUGGAUCUCAAUGGUAAAAAAAAUAAAAAAAAUCUGAUUUAAUAUCAACCGUUCGAUCCGAGAUCAACGGUCGAUAUUAAUAUGCUUUAUAAAUAAAGAAAAAAUAGUUUUAAAAUUAAGAAAAGUUACCGUUGUGACACGUGGCACAAUCUGGAGUGUUGGAAUUCAAAAUUUUUUAAAUCCAACGGCAGAAAUUAAUUAUUGGAAUUUUUUUUUAAAAAUGGAAAAAAUCCGAAAAAAUUGUAAAAAAUCUGAAAUUUUUUUUGUAAAAAUUUGUUUUUACUUUUCUAUAAAUACCACUUCUUCUCUAUCUACCUUACACCACAAUUUCAUAUUUUCUCAACUACUUUCAAUCAAAUUCCUAUCUUUCUCUUAAAGUUUCAAUCCAAUUUUUUUCCACAAAAUGGCUACUGAUGCAGGUUCGAAUUGGUCGCUUCUUGAAGAUGUUGCGUUGUGCACUAGCUGGGUUCAAGUUACUCAUAAUUCCGUUACGGGUAAUGAGAUGCAGUUGCGAGAAAUGUGGAGUUUAAUUCAUACCAAAUUUGUUGAGCAAAUGAGUGGGAAAAGAACCAAAGAAUCGAUAUCGAGUCGUUGGAAAAUACUUAGCCAUUCCUUUAGUACGUGGAGAGAUGCCUUGACACAAGCUAGUAAUAAUGUUCGAAGUGGGGCAAAUUAUGCGGAUGAGGUAAGAAUAUAUUAUAAUUAUUUGUUUGUAUUAUUAUUUUGUUACCUAAUUUGAUUAUAAUUAUUUGUUUGUUUCAUUUAUUUGUUACCUAAUUUCAUUAUUAUUAUUUGUUUGCAAUAUUUAUUUGUGACCUAAUUUCAUUAUUAUUAUUUGUUUGUAUUAUUUAUUUGUUACCCAAUAAUUUCAUUAUUAUUAUUUGUUUGUAUUAUUUAUUUGUUACCUAAUAAUUUCAUUAUUAUUAUUUGUUUGUAUUAUUUAUUUGUUACCCAAUAAUUUCAUAAUUAUUAUUUGUUUGUAUUAUUUAUUUGUUACCCAAUAAUUUCAUUAUUAUUAUUUGUUUGUAUUAUUUAUUUGGUACCUAAUAAUUUCAUUAUUAUUAUUUCUUUGUAUUAUUUAUUUGUUACCUAAUAAUUUCAUUAUUAUUCAUUUGUAGCAACUUCAAGCACAAGCAUGGUAUGCUGCCAAAAUCAAAUCAAGAAACAAAUCAUUCCACCGAUGGGAAUGUUGGAAUAUUGUUAAAGAUUGUCCUAAAUUCAAAGUUGUGCCUGUUGGUCCAGAAGUAUGCAUGAACAGCAUCCCUCUACACAGCACCUUUGUAUACAGCAACCCUCCACACUCUACACCUGAUGAUGGCACUCAGGUUGAUGAAGAAGAUGUAGAUUUAUUUAAUUUCGUAAUAUAUUUAUCCUAAUAAUAGAAUCUUUAUUCAUCAAAUUGUUCACGUAUAAUGAAAUAAUGAAACACACCAAAUAAAACUAAAAAACUCACCAAUUGGAAUUACAUAAACAUACCAAAUAAAAUUACACAAACAUACCAAAUAAUAAAAAACUCACUACAAAAAACACACCAAAUUAAAUUACAUAAACACACCAAAUACAAACAAAUAUAGUAAAUAAACUUAAGUAUCUUCAGCUUGUUUCAAUGCCCACUGGUGCUCUAUCAAGUCAAUUUGCCGAUCAUUGUGUAUAGAUGACCUUUGAAGUGCAGUAUAUUGUUGAAUAACCCUUUCAUUGUAACGUCCAUCCCUUUCUAAUGGCUCGUGUUGCACGGGUUCUUCGGUGGCAUCAUGCGCACAAUAUAUCCGUGUUCUUGAAUUGUUCAUCGUGUCUGGCUCUGGCUCAUAUUCAUCAACCGCAUCAUAAUCGAACUCAUCUUCCACAAUCAUGUUGUGAAGAAUGACGCACGUCAUCAUGAUGGAUCGAAGUGACUCUACAUCGAACAUUCUGGCAGCACCCCUGACAAUCGCCCAACGAGCUUGAAGGAUACCAAAACAACGCUCCACAUCCUUCCUGCAUCCCUCUUGACAGCUUGCAAAGUGUUUUUCCUUUGCACUUCUCGGACGUGGCACUGUUUUGACAAAUGUUUCCCACUGUGGGUAAAUGCCGUCAGCUAGGUAGUAUGCCCCGUCGUACCUACGUCCGUUGACGACAUACGUGACUUGUGAUGCCUUUCCUUGGAGGACGUCGUUGAACACUAGGGAUUGGGUAAGGACGUUGAGAUCAUUUUGAGCCCGGGAACCCCGAAAAAGGCGUGCCAUAUCCAUGUAUCAAAAGAUGCCACUGCCUCCAAAAUGAUAGAUUUUGCUCAUUUUCUGUCCCCAUAUGCGCCUUGCCAUGCACUUGGACAGUUUUUCCACGUCCAGUGCAUACAAUCGAUGCUUCCUAUCAUCCCAGGAAAACCUCGCAUCUCGCCCUUCUUCAGAAGCCUUUGCAAGUCCAUGUGAGUAGGUCUUCGGAGGUACUCUGCCGUGUACAAAGAUUCGACUGCUCCGCAAAACCUCAUCAGGGCCUCAAGAAUGGUUGAUUUCCCCAUCCUCGUUAUCUCAUCCACUUGGUCUGCAGAUGCUCCAUACGCAAGCAUCCGCAACGCAGCAGUGAUUUUUUGCUCUGGCAGAAGAUCCAUAACACCACAAGCAUCCUUCUUUUGCACGAAGUAAGAAUCAUGGUUGCAAACAUCAGUCAUGAUUCUGUUGAACAAAUGUCGUUCCAUUCUAAAACGGCGUCUGAAGUACGUAUCAGGAAAUGCACUGUUAUGGACGAAGUAAUCGUCCAACAGCUCUUCACCCCGUCGUUGCCUGCUUCUAUCAAGGUUUUUUGAACGGCUGGGCCUGCAUAUCUGAGCAACAGUCUGGAUGACUCGACGAGAAUGUGAGGCUCUGGCCAUUCUUGUUUCGUCAUCUCUCUUUCUACGCUCCUCAUCUUCUUCCAUCUCAUUUCUGCCUAUAUGAAGGUUGAACAUUCCUUCAGAUUGGUUAAACAAUUCUUUCUCUUGCUGAUUGAUUUCCCACAUCAUCCUUGAUGAAGAAGAAGACAUUGUAGGAUGGAUGGUGAAGAAGAAGCAAAAUCUAUGAAUAAUGAGAUUGAGAUGUUGAGAAAAUUGGUGUGAGAUUUGUGAGGAUGGAUGGUGGAUUAUAUGGACGAUUCAGAAAGGAUCGGAUUGUAGAUAAGGCCACGUGGCAUGCCGUCAUUCGUUAAAAAUCUGAUCGAAAUCUGUCCUGAAAGAUUCUGAAAAGAUAAUGACACGUGGCACGAUCGUAUUGGAUAAAAAUCUUAUCGAAAUCCAUCUCCAAUAAUUAUCAUUUUGGAUAAUGACACGUGGCGCAAUUUUGAACGAGUUAAAAUCUGAUUGAAAUCUGUCUUGAAAGAUUCUGAAAAGAUAAUGACACGUGGCACGAUCGUAUUGGAUAAAAAUCUUAUCAAAAUCCAUCUCCAAUAAUUAUCUUUUCGGAUAAUGACACGUGGCGCAAUUUUGAACGAGUUAAAAUCUGAUCAAAAUCUAUCGUCAAAGAUUCUCAAACGAUAACGACACGUGGCACGAUGACAUUUGAUAAAAAUCUUAUCGAAAUCCAUCGUUAAAUAAUUGUUUUUUUUUAUAAAAUGAUACGUGGCGCAACGAUAACGAUUUAAAAAAUCUUAUCCGAAAUUACAAAUAAUUUUAUUUUGUAUUAUUUAAACAAACAAAAAAAACUAAUAUUUUAUUGCCUAUUGCCAGGGGGAGGGCUCCAAGGGUGGAGAUGCAAAUGGCAAUUACUGUUCAUUAAUGUCAGUUACUAUUCAUUCAAGGCAGUUACUGUUCAAUAGGGUGGAUUCAAUAGUGGAUUGCCAGGGGGAAGGUCUUCAUGGGUGGAGUUGCUCUAAACAUGCAGGGAAAAAAAUGAAGAUACAAAGUAGCUGCAUCAUGAAACACAUACUCCAAUUAGACGCAAAAAGUGAUGGUGAUGAGAAGAGAGAAAAUGUUGUCGUUUUGAUUUUUCUGGCUUUUAAAGGGAGCAGCUUUCUUCGACCACCAAAAAAAGGAAGUUGCUUUUCGUGUGGUUGUGAUUUCCUGAGUGUAUGUGAGCGGGUCUAUGGCACUUGCACUGUUUGUGUCGGUUAUGGUAACCGGGCGAGCUGGACACAGUAGCGUGGGACUGAAUUCGGAGAGGUGAGAAAAAUUAAAAACACAAAAAGAAGGUGUUCAUUUUGUCACAUUUUUAUUACUAAAAAUUCAAUAAAGUACAUUCAUUAGUAUGGUAACUUAACUAUUUAAUUCCAUCUCAUUAAACUAAAAAAAACAAUUACAAAAAAAUAAGGAAAACCUUGUCCAGAGAGACCUGAGAGAAAGUGACGACUUCUCCUCUCAUUCCACUCCAUACUUGAUCUCUAAAGUCCAUUUGGCAUGUAAUUGAUGUUCAAUUUCAAAUAAAGUGGUGGCAAUUAGCAAAGCUAAUGAAAGAAUCAAAUAAAAUGAAAGAAAAAGCAUCAUGAAAUAAAUCAAGAUGAAGAAUGAAAUUUUGGCAACUCGCCAUUCUCUUCUUUUAUAUAAAAGAUACAUCCUAUUUGUAGUGAAAACAGGUCCCGACAAACCCAGUUAUCCUCAAGAAGUAUUUUGUAUGACUUUAAAAACAUAAUCCGUGAAAUUAUCUCUUGGCAGAGAACAACAACAAAUCUUCAUGCAUAGCUUGUAGAGAAAGACAUCAGGCAUACAAAAGAACAGGCAAGCAUAAAAUAAACGAUGCAUGGAAAACCAAAAAUACAAUUGAAUAUGCUGUCAAAAGAACAUGAAUAAAUGAAAAUUACAAAACAAAGAAGUGAUGGGAAACCAAAGUAUUCAUAAUCUAAUUGCUUUUUAGUUUGCUUGCCAUUUUUAGUUCUUCAAUUUAGAGAGAAACCAUAAUUCAGCACAUGAAUAAAGUGAAAACGUAAAAGAUACGUGGGAUAAGCUGACAGCCAUCCCUGAGUAAUGCAUUCACUUUUGAACCCCAAACACACCGAAACAAAAAUUCACACACAUGAACUACAGCUCCGCUAUGUAACAAGAAUUAAAAGCAUCUCAAAACAAAAUGGCAAACUAUAAGAGCAUUGUAAAAGUAAAAUUGCAUCUAAUACUUGGAGGGCAAGUACUAAUCAGACGAAAAUGAAAGAUUGAACUACCUCACGUGGAACUGUGCCUUGGUUUUUUCCCAUGCUUACAAGAAGCUUUGCACUGAGCUCUUAUAGCCCAAAUUUUCUCUGAAGGAAAAAAAACACAAUUUUGGAAUAAGAUUUUCAUAUUAUACCUUAAAGAGAAGAAUUAGACAACAAAAAAGAGAACAAUGAGUACUAUUCAUCAUAUAUUGUUAAGAGUAUGUGGUCUUCUAGUCCAAUGGUCCUGCAGUCAUAUUUACUUUAUAACUCUUUCUUUUAGUCUAAAAAAACAUCUUGGAUCUCAAAUUAUUAUGAAUACGGAUUCAUACUUUAUAACUAAAGAUCUUACUGCUCUUGAUAAGAUGAACAAUACGCCAUUUAUCGCAUGCAUUGCAUUACAAUCACAAUGCAACAUCUCAUUAGAAAUCCCCACACAAAGCAGCUCCACUCAUUGUGGUCCUUGCAAACCGAAUUGGCCCAACGAUCAGCGAGAGAAAGGAGACGGCGGCGAGAUGAGGGAUAUGAUGGAUGCGAGAUCGUCUGUAUCGUUAUCGCGGGGGGUCUGCAAGACGGACGAGGAAAGUAGGGUUUGAGAAGGCAUUGUCUUCUCGCGGGGUAUGUGUCCUUCCUAUUCCACGAUUAUCAACACGUGUGCAUCAGGAGGAGCGGCAGAGAGAGGCAUUGUUGUAAAUAAAGUGAAAUCGAAGGGUAAGGGCCCAUUCUUUAAGGUAAUGGCAUGGCCAUAAAUAGAAUGAAAUCCAGAUCAAAACACUGUCAUUUGUACAGUACAAUUUCUCCAUCUUCUUCAGACUAAAGUAAUGUAUAUGUUAUACGCACCAACACAAGUCCUUCUUAGAUAAAUCCAAGCCAAACAAUUACAAACGACAGUUAUUCACAAGAAAAUCACUUUAAAGCAAGAAUUUAAUUAAUAAUACAUUACUACACUUUCUUAACAAUUUGACGGUCACCUAGCUAACAAUGAACACGUUAGCUAUGCGUUAGAACAUAUUGGGUUCAAUCCAUAGUCUUGAAUAUCACCCCGAGUCACAACUGUCUCUUGGGGCAUACAGAAGGCCUGAGAGGCAUUUGCAGACAUUCAAUCUCUCCUCCAAGCAUUUCGACAACUUUGGAAAUCGAAAGGCGAUCACUUGGUUUCAUUUGAAUACACCACAAGGCGGUUAUAACCAUCUUUCUUAUCACUUUCUUUUCCUCCUCUGUAACAUUGUCUAUUUCCAAGUCAUUUCCCACAAUAUACUGAUCAUAUACCCACAUCGGGAAGUAGAUUUGGCUUGGAUGCUCUACCGUUGCAUUCAAAUUCUUCCUUCUGCUUGCCAUUUCCAUCAACAACAUUCCAAAACUAUAGACAUCGGCCUUGUAUGAGACACCUCCAAUAUUUUUGUAGAACAACUUAGGAGCAAUAUAUCCCAUUGUACCCGUGUUGCCGUCAAAGAGACAAUGAGAAAACUCUUGAGUUCUUCAGAAACCACGAGAAACUUAAAACUGAGAAAGCUUCGUGAUCUCCCUUCCAUCUCUGCUACGCAAUCUCUGCUUCCUCCGUGAUUUCUUCCUUCCUGAUCGACAUCUAUUCGAAUUGAAAACCUUCUGGAGCUCACUACCCCCUUUGUCAGCAGUAAUUAGGGGUGGGUUCAAAAAACCGAAAACCGAAAAAAAUCGACAACCGAACCGAACCGAGGCCGAAAAAAACCGAACCGAAAAAAAACCGAACCGAAACUGUCAAACCGAACCGAACCGAAUCUGACCGGUUCGGUUUCGGUUUUUGAGGUUCAAAAACUGAACCGAACCGAACCGAACCGAUAUAUAUAUAUUUAAUUUUUUUUUCAAUAUUAUAAAUAGUUUAGGCAUACAAUCAUAACAAAACAGAACUUGUUGCCAAGUUGGUUUAAGCGAAAUUUUUCACACUGGUGGCAAUGGGUUCGAACCCUCAUGCCUUUAGGAUUUAUGAGAUUGUUUUUUAAUUUUGUUGAGAAAUCAACAAAAUCCUUUAACCCUAACUUUUUUAUUUUUCAUUCCCCUCUUCUCUCUCUUGUUCCCUGCCUCCAGUCCAAACUCCCUCCAUGAACCCUAACCCAGUAACCCUCUCGCGCCGCCUGAGCUUCCUGUCUCUCUCGCUCGGUCUUCAAUCGCUCUGUCUCUCUCAAUCUCUCAGGCAACCCGCGACAGUGCGACCCUUCUCACUCUCAAUCUCUCACACCUCGCCCUCUCCAUCAGUCUCUCAUCUCGCCGUUUCGAGUCUCGAUAGCAAAAGGUUAGCCUCCUCUCUCUCUCUCUCGGUCUUCAACUUCAAUCACUCUCUGUCUCUCUCAAACUCUCUGUCUCUCUCGGUCUUGAAUCUCAGGCGACCCACGACGGGGCGACCCAUCUCACUCUCAAUCUCUCACACCUCGCCCUCGCCGUCAGUCCUUCAUCUCGCCGUGAGCUUCUUCUUGCCGUUUCGAGUCUCGACUGCAAAAGGUUAGUCUCGCCGUGAGCUUCUUCUUGUUCGUUCGCAGACGGAAGCUCUCUACUCCAAACUCUACGAAAAGUACACAAAAAUCAAGGUGUUCUGUGUUCUUUCCCACUUCUUUACAAUUUUUUUUGCUCAUUCAUUUUUUUUUGCUUAAUCAGUUAAUUGUAUGUUAAAUUUGCUCAGGGGAGAAAUUUGAGGUUAGGGAAAUAGAAAGUAAUUGUCUUUUUUUGUACUUUUGAAUUUUUUUUGCUCAUUCAUUUUUAAUUGCAUGCUAAAUUUGAGUUGGGAACUUUUGCUUACUUGUUACCCAGUUGGAUUUUUUUGAGCUACUUUUGCAGUUUCUUUCUUCGUCUUAAUUUGGGAACAAUUUGAUCAUGUUUGACUUAUCAUUUUGUUAUUGGAGGAAAUCAGCAGCUUUAUGGUUUGGCAAGGUGUAGUGACGAUAGAUAGCCUACUUUUAUGUAUAAUUUGAAAGAGGAUGGAGAUAAGUAUAUUUCUCUGGGAAUCAGAGCUUCCAUGAUAUGUGAUUACCUGUUAUCUUUGAAUUUCUCUUCCGACUCUUGUAUUUCCUUAAGUGAAACUAUGGCCCUGCAAAUUUGACAUGUUGUUGAAGGUUGUAAAUCAUAUGUUGUUCUUUUAGUGGUAAAAAUCUUGUUAAACAUGUAUUUUCAUUUAGGUUAUGGACUCUUGGACAUGCUAAGUCAUGAUGGAAAAGACCAAAGAUUCAUUGGUAACGUGUUCUGAAAAGUAGCAUAGGCAUUGCAAUUCUCUGAGUAGCGUUUUAUUAUGGAUAACGUUUUUGGUGCUGAAGGAAGAUUUCCAUCAAACCUAGCAUCAAUAGAGCAUAUUGUUUCUUGACUACAUUAUGUAUGAGUAUUAGAGUUUAAAUUGUAAACGGAUCUGGACAAUAUAUGAAGUUGGUAUUGAUUUCUCUCAGAGAACAAAUAGAAUUGAACAUCCAGGCUUGUUCUUGUUGACAUGAUUUAUAUAAGAUAUACUUAUAUCACUUUAGAGAAAACUGGUUAUAUGCAUCUGUAUUGUCUCAAAUUAAUUUUAGGCUUCCCUUCAAAGCGUUCUUUUUGUCCAUCCAUCUGGGUGGUGUUCAAUUUUAGAUUAUCCUUUGAAUACUAGACGUCCAGAUAAUGGCUUUGUGGUCCUUCAAAUAAAUUACUGAUAAUGUUCAUGCAGUUGAUGGUGAAACAGGUAUGGUAAUUAAACGACUUCAUGUUUAGGAAUGAUAGGCUUGUACUUUGUAUUUUAAAGAUGUGUGCAUUUUUCAUAUAAAUUUUGUUCAUUGUGUUAGAAUGCUUAUAUUAUAAUUGUGUUGGAGAUGUUAAAAUUUUAGAUUUCAAUUUUGUUUUCAUUUUUCCCAAAAAAAAAAAAAACCGAAAAAAACCGAAACCGAAAAAAACCGAAAAAAAAAAUGGACCGAACCGAACCGAACCGUUUUGAACCGAACCCAGCUCUAGCAGUAAUAAUUUGUUUUUGCAGCUUUAUGUGUCUCUGUCUCCAAAUAUGAUGAUCUCUUAAUUUGCUUCUAUAGCUUUUGUAAUAUGAUGAUCUCUUAAUUUGCUUUUGCAUAUCUUCUUUGCUUCUUCUGCUAGCUCUAUAUGAGAUUCCAUCUCCAAAUAAUUGUUCCCUAUUUCCUAUUUUUACAGGAAGCAAAUCAUUGAAUACACAUGGAAAAUUAAAAUGGUUUCAGUUUUUGGUUAGUUUAAAUUUUUUGUUGGUUAUUGCUUGUAUUGUGAAAUCUCGUUCCCGGAUUUCACUGUUAUAAUGUACGUGUUUGUAUUCUCGAGAAUUUAUAUUAAGUUAUUUGAAGUUAUACUUUAAUUAAACUAGUUACGAAGGUUAGAGUUUGGAAAUUAAUUAUUUAAAAUUCGUAAACCGUCCGAGGUCACAAUUUAUAUCUGUGGAUAGAGCUAGGGGUGGGCAAACGGGUCUAGGAACCGCGGGGCGGGUCGGGUCUAGCCGGUUCGGGGCGGGUACAAGUUUUGUAAACUCAAAACGGGGCGGGUCGAGGCGGGUCCAUGUAAUUGGCGGGGCGGGGCGGGUCUAAAUUUCUGAAAAACCGGGUACCCAGGCCCGGACCGUUUCCACCGUCCAUAUACGAAGAUUAAAUCUCUACCAUUCAUUACUACCACUCUUUCUCUUAGUCGCUGACUCUCGCCUCCUCUCUCGACUUUUCCAGGAUCCAUCCUCUCUCAAGAUGGACUCAGCGCCUACUCCACCGCUCACUCCUCCUCUCGUUGAAGCCACGGCGGUCUUCAUCGGUGCUACCCCUGCCCCAUAUUCUCUCAGAUCAGAGUCGUCACUCCCCUCUCCCACUCGAGUCGAGGCCUCUUGUGAACACCACCACCGCCGUCGAAACCUCCUCCAUGAAAGACACCUUCUCCAAAUAUUCUGAUUACCUCAACAAUCUCGUAAUCCCUAAUUUAAUCUUCACCAAUUUGCAGCUCUGUGAGCGACUCGAAGGUUUGUAGAAUGACAAGCGGGAAAGGGUUGUAAAAGCAAGUCGCGAUAUCACCAUUAAUAGCAAAAAGGUCAUCUUUAAGGUUCACAGGUAAGAAAGCUGCGACCUUUUGCUUCAAAUUUUGUUUCUGUUUUUUGGGUUUUUGAUUUUGGAUUUUGGUUUUUUUUUUUAUAAUAAUUUUAUUUAUAUCAUCAUUGAAAUGAUGUUGCUGUGGAAUUUGAACUUGAACAGAAUCAAUAAACACAACAAAGAGGAAGUUCUGCAGAAAGCUGAAAAGGAUUUAGUAGCUGUGAGUCUGCGACAGAUCAGUACAUUUCCCAGCUUGUUAGAGAGAUGCAGGCUAAGUUUUUUUCUUUUAUUACUGUUACUCUGGGAUUCUUUGAGAAAACUUGAAGCUUGAAUUGUUUUUGUUUUCUGGGUGAUUUGGAAAAUGGGCGAAAAAAAAAACAAGGACCCGUGUACCCGGCCCAAACCGGCCCGUUUGAAAAGGGUCGGGUUAGGUCCGGUUUCUAUUUUAAAAUUUGUUGCACCCGGCCCGCUCCGGCCCGUUUCUUUUACACCCGGGUCCGGUCCGGUCCCUUCAAAAUUGGGCCCGGCCCGGCCCGUGCCCAGCCCUAGAUAGAGCUCGAUCUCACGAACGCGUAGGCGCAAAUCGUUCAUGAAACAGAUCUAUAACGAAGAAGUUAUAGACGUUUUAGUUGUUGGAAAAUAAAUAAUUAAAUGUUUAGAAGCUGCCAAGUGGCAGCAAGGGAGAGGGGAGAAAGGAGAGAGUGCGGGAGAGAAAAGAGGGGGACACCCAAUAAGAAAGGAGAAAGGAGGGAAAUGAGAGAAAAGAAAAAAAAAAAGGGAAGAAAAGGGAGAAACGGGUUCGUACGACCCGUGGGUAUUGCCGGCCACCCAUCUCCAUUUGCCGACGAUUUUCCGACGAAUUUCUUCAAACAACCACUUGGAAACACUCCCUUGUCCUUCCCUCUACAUGUUUCACCCUAAAAAUAAAAGGUUUUGGACUUGAAUAGGGAGAAACCGCACUAAGGGUGUAGCGGGUGUGUGUGUCAAAUCUCCCAAAUCCAAAAUGUUUACACCCAACGACCACCAUCAAAAGACUUUCCUUAAGCCCCUGAACAAAGCCCAGGCAGUGGUGGAGACGUCGGAGCAAGUUUAGAGGUCGAAUUGGAGCACACCCAAUUCUAGGGUUCUUACGGGUUUUAGAGAAAUUGGAAUACUUCUUGAUCAAAUUAGCCUUGGUCACAGGUAUAAAGUUUACUCUACUCAUUGAGAUCUUUAUUUCUGUAAUUUUUGGUAAUUUUUAAAAAUAGUUGAAUUUUUCCGGCAAAUCGGGGCGGCCGACCGCCACCCGCUGCGGCGCGUGCGGCGGCGGCCUGGCCAGCGAGCCAACGAUGUCCUUUUAAGUUCAAUUAGAUGCCCUGAUUUCAUAACUGACAUCCUUAUGUUAUGGUUUGAUUGUUUAAACCUAAUUUCAUUACGAUAUGUGGGUAGGUCAAAAUGUGAUUCGACGAUCCGACCGUUGGAUCGUCACCAAACUUUAAUGCGUCAUAGAAUGUAAUAUUUGAGGAUGGUUGGAACUAACGGAUUGGGAAUCUGAUGUAUGGAACUUCCUGAUUUGGAUUUCUAAGUUUGUAAAUCAAACAUUGGUCACCACUUGAAAUUGUAAAAUCAAACAUUGCAUAUAAGCAUGCUAGAGCCUUUAAUUGUUAAUUACAUGUAUAUGUGUUGCUAAAAUGAACUUAGUUUAUCAAAUUUUUAUUUCAAUAUCAACUUCUAUGGCAUGCGUGGUGUCUCAUGUCAAUCACACAAAUGUUAUGUAAAAAGAAUAUACACGUUGUGUUGCAUGAUUGACAAUUAACGACACAUAGUGUUAUAACCGUGUCAAUGUUAUGAAGGUUUUUAUGCAAAGUCACUUGAUAUGCCGCAACAAUUAGUAAACAAUAUUAGAAAGACCUAGAGGAACCCACAAUUAAUUCCGAUUCAAUAAGUAGGUCAUGUGCAAGCAAGGCAUGGGCUUCCCAUGGGUAGGAGCUGGAAUUUACCCAUAUUUGGUAGUUAUGUACCAUAUGUUUACCCGCAUGACGCUGAGUGUAAUCCUUCUUAAGGUUCAACAAUAUUGUUUCUAUUAACAAAUAUAAAUAAAAAAUAAGCAAAAUACUAGAGAGAUUACACGUUUAUAUUACAUUGUUGUACCAUAUUGUGAUAUGGCUGUGUACAUACCAUGUCUUGUAAUGAGUUUAUCUCAUUAGAUGUUAGACUGUUAAUUAUAUGUAUCACUUGUCAUAUCAUACAAUACAUCAAUAUGAUAUAAAUAUGCCAUCUCUCAAACAUUACUCUUAUCAGAAACCCCAAAAAAUAGGAAAUGCUCUAUACUAAAGCGGAAUGAGAAAAACAUUGUUCAUAGGCAACAGUAUUUUUACUUUUUUGCCCUCAUUUUUAAUGUUUCUGUGUUCCUACUUUUAUGCCUCUAUACGGUGAAAUCGCCAAUUGACCUAUGGGCAUGGGUGUGUAUAAAAAUUGUUUUGCACACGUGGCGUGCUAGGGAGAUUUCUCUGCAGCACUGCUUCAUUAACUGUUUCAUUUCUCUGCACCGUUUCCUUCUAGCUCCACUCCGAAUUGAUACCGAAUACUGGUCAACCAAAUUUUCUCAUCAUUUCGUUCCGUCCUUCUCCACAUCUUCAUUCUUGCUCCACCAUGAAUCGAAACAAAAAAUUGCUCAUCCAAAUUGUUUGGUAUCAGCCGCUCCAAGGAGACAAAUUGCUGAGAAAAGUAAAGAAUUCAGAUAAAAAGUGAAAUUGUUCAUUCAUAACCUUUAGGGAAAUACAGAUGGGUUCUUUAUACCCCAUUUCAGCUACUACAGACAAAAGGUUAGGUAACCCCAAGUGCUGAGUCACCAUAUUCUAAUAUUCCAUUACAAUGCAAAGGAAAUAACUUAAGGGAAUGAGCUAAAGCAUAUCAAGGUCCUAACACAAGUCAAUUUCAGUUAACUCAAAUCCCUAAAACCCAAUUUUCUCCAGAUCGUUGGAUUUAGUUUGCUGUUGUUGUUGCUAAUCUACAGGUAAAGCUUAAAUUUACAUACAAUUUUUUAUUUUUCUUGAUUGGAAUUUGGAAAGAAUUAGUUGUUCUUGGAAAGAAUUACAGAAAAUUGGAAAAGGGAAAUGGGAAAGCGAGGAAAUGCAAGAAAAUGUGUUUGGAAAAUGGAAAAUGACUUUUCUUUGGCAUUCGCUUUGACUUUCAUCCUUUCUGCGUUUGCUUUUCCUCAUUUUUUUUCUCAAGAACCAAACAUAAAAUAAAUAAAUAAACCUAUAAAAAAAAGAAAAGGAAAAUCACAAGAUUAAGAACCUGGGAAUGCAACAAUCGAGCUUCUGUGCCGAAAUAUCAAUUGGGUCCCGUUGGAUCUUCGGUGCUUCUUCUGCAUUCAAAAAGUUGGGGUAUUUCUGCAUCAUUUUUGUGUGUAUUUUUAAAUUCCAGAAGAAAGUGGAUAGAGAGAGAGGAAUAUGCUUUGGGUCGAAAUGGGAACACAAUUCCAAAUUCGCCCUCAAUCCCAAAGUUCAGUAAUUUAUGCAAUUUUUGUCGAAAUUGAUAUUCUUUAUUGCUGAUAUUUGUUAAAAAAGAGGGGGAUAAGAGCAGUAAAAAGAAUCUACAGAAAAUAUUUGUUUUGGAAGAGUAUGUCUUGAUUGGAUAAAACUCGCACCAGAGGGCGAGCGCAUCUGCUAGUAUGCAUUUAAACUUAUAAGGCUAAAUCCUUUAGGGGCGUUUGUUUGCCCUCCUUAACUCUCAUUGGACUGGACUAGAUUAAGGGUUAGUCCAAUCCCGUGUUUGGUACCCGCUAAAACUAACUUUAAUGAGACUAAAGGGGAUUCGCUCCGACUAUCUCCCUCGCUAGGAGGUCUUAGCGAGAGCGCCCUGUGACUAUGGGACUGCUAAGCCCUUCGGCUGGUAUGUCCUCAUCUCCUCUCAUCCACUCUUCUUUCUCUGUUUUCUUGAGCACCGACAGCCACCAUCACACCACCACUCCCAACUUCAGCGAGAUACACUGCUAGCCCAACACCACUCUCUCGAGAUCCAAGGAAAGCAAGCAUCAUUUGGCAAUUUUUGGUAGAAUUGCAGGGGAAGAAGAAACGAAAUGAAAAGGCUUGAAUUUGUUACAGGCCAUUGAUGGACAAGAUUUUUUUUUUGGGAAAUCGAUGAUCAGGGAUUUUUUUUUGGAGAAAUCUGGAGAUCAUGCAGCUUAUGGAACUCUCUAGAUAGAUUAAAACUCACAUAACCAAUAUGGGCAAUAAUUCAUACCUGAGAUAGAGUUUGAGAGAGCUUAAGCUCUCUGCGUUAAUGGCAGAGCGCCCGAUGGUGCAUCGAUGAUACGUACAACGCCGUAGGUGGAUUCCCCAUGUCCCAAGGGUUCGAGGUUUAGAUUUUUUAGGGUUGAUUUGGUCAGCAUCAAGAGAAAUGGUGGGGGUUCCUUCUCGGAGAUUAGAGAGAGAAAGGUUGUAGAUUAUUGUUGAGGAGAGAGAGAGAGAGAGAGAGAGAGAAAAGUGCAGAGAAAGAAAGAGAGAAUGAAAGAGGGGUCACGGGGUGAGGGACCGUAAGAGCAAGUCCACCCAUGCCAAUCGGCCGGGGGACGGGCUACAGCAAAGGGCCCGAGGGCCAGUCAAUUCAUCUCCAGCCAUGGAGGGCCCGAGUGAGGGUGGGAGCCCGAGGGCCGGGGGGGUGGGUAAUUGACAGGCCUGUGGCCCGAGGCCCGUGACGUCAGGCCUGGGUCCAGGCUAUUUUUUUAUAUUUUUUUUGUGUCAGGCGCGUGCCCCUCACUCGCGAGUGGGGGCGCGUCGCCCGACAAGAAAUCAGACAAGUGGGGUUUUCGGCCAGUUACCGUUGGGAAGCCACGUGGCUUCCCACGGUCCGUUCGAUCCCAACGGCUCUUUAAUACGAGCCGUCCGAUUUGCAACGGUAAUAAAAAAAAAACUGAUUUUAUAUCAACCGUUCGAUCUAAGAUCAACGGUUGAUAUUAAUCUGCUUUAUAAAUUAAAAAAAAAUAGUUUUAAAAUUAAGAAAAGUUACCGUUGUGACACGUGGCACAAUCUGGAGUGUUGGAAUUCAAAUUUUUUUAAAUCCAACGGUAGAAAUUAAUUAUUGGAAAAAAAAAUUUAAAAAAAAUGGAAAAAAUCCAAAAAAAUUGUAAAAAAUCUGAAAAAAAAAAUUGUAAAAAAUUGUUUUUACUUUUCUAUAAAUACCACUUCUUCUCUAUCUAUCUUACACCACAAUUUCAUAUUUUCUCAACUACUUUCAAUCAAAUUCCUAUCUUUCUCUCAAAGUUUCAAUCCAAUUUUUUUCCACAAAAUGGCUACUGAUGCAGGUUCGAAUUGGUCGCUUCUUGAAGAUGUUGCGUUGUGCACUAGCUGGGUUGAAGUUACUCAUAAUUCCGUUACGGGUAAUGAGAUGCAGUUGCGAGAAAUGUGGAGUUUAAUUCAUACCAAAUUUGUUGAGCAAAUUGGUGGGAAAAGAACCAAAGAAUCGAUAUCGAGUCGUUGGAAAAUACUUAGCCAUUCCUUUAGUACGUGGAGAGAUGCCUUGACACAAGCUAGUAAUAAUGUUCGAAGUUGGGCAAAUUAUGCGGAUGAGGUAAGAAUAUAUUAUAAUUAUUUGUUUGUAUUAUUAUUUUGUUACCUAAUUUGAUUAUAAUUAUUUGUUUGUUUCAUUUAUUUGUUACCUAAUUUCAUUAUUAUUAUUUGUUUGCAAUAUUUAUUUGUGACCUAAUUUCAUUAUUAUUAUUUGUUUGUAUUAUUUAUUUGUUACCCAAUAAUUUCAUUAUUAUUAUUUGUUUGUAUUAUUUAUUUGUUACCUAAUAUAAUUUCAUUAUUAUUAUUAUUUGUUUGUAUUAUUUAUUGUUACCCCAAUAAUUUCAUUAUUAUUAUUUGUUUGUAUUAUUUAUUUGUUACCUAAUAAUUUCAUUAUUAUUAUUUGUGGUAGAUUAUUUGUUAUAUAAUAUUUAUUUGUUAUUAUAAUUUCAUUAUUAUUAUUUCUUUCUAUUAUUCAUUUAUUAUUAUUAAUUUUUAUUAUAUUUAUUUUUCCUUACAUAAUUUCUUAAUUUAUUAUUUUGUUAUUUCUUUAUUAUUGUUAUUCCAUAUUAUUUCAUAAUUAAUUUCAUUCAUAUUAUUUAUCUUCCUAGAUAAAUUCAAUAUUUGUCUUUUGUAUAAAUUUCAAAGAGAAUUAUGUUGCAUGAAGUAUGGCCAUGCAUGUUAGUGUCCCAAAAUUCAAGCAAUGGCAUGUUGGAAGUCAUGCCAUUGAAAGCCCGUUACACCCAGGUUGCAUUGAACAGCACCCUCCCAGCACAUUUUGUACACAGCAACCCUCUCCACACUCUACACCCUGAUGGACCUGAUGAAGAAGAUGUAAAGAAGUGCCUGAAACACCCAUUCCUGAACAAGCGUCAAGCGUCGGGGUCGACCGUUUCAUUAAUUAGGCUCAAGGUAAGAAGGCUUCAAAGAGGAAAGGGAGUGCUUCCAUGAAUUAUUUACAUGAAUUUUGAUCAUUGGCUAUUUGACGUUGAAUAAUGACGGCGGGAUUUAUAGAGAUUUGAGCAAAAGAAUUGAGGCAGAAGAAGGCAAGAAUUGCAAAUUUUGAGCAAACAGAACAGAACACAAGAUUGCUACUUAGAACAGGGAAAGGCAAGAGCUACUUAGAGAAGAAACCUUAGAAGAAGAAAAAGAUGAACAAGAGAUCGUCAAUUUGAACACGCGUUUAGGAAGGUGAAUUGACGUUGGCACGGGAUUUGGCGAAAUAUGAGGCUGAAAAGGCUAGAGAAGAGGCAAAAGCUGCAGCUACUGAACAAACAUUUCAAGUUGAACAGAGGGAAAGAGAGCUACUUAGGCAAGAAAGGGAGUUGCUUAGAGAAGAAAGAAAUGCACAACGAGAUCGUGACAUUAUGAACACGCGUUUAGAAGGGAUGUCUCCAAAUUCUAAAUAUUUUUGGAAGUCGGAGAAAGCGGAUGUGGUGCGAAGGAGGCGUGUAAGAGAAGCGAGAUCAAGACAAGAUGGUCCUAGCACAACAAGACAAGAUGAUCCUAGCACCACAAAUUGGUUAAGUGAUGAUGAAUAGGGUACUUUUUGUAAUCGGACCCCAUAGUUUUCCGAUCACUUUGGGUUGUAAUUUAUUAUUUAUGUUGUUUCCAAUUUAUUGAAGUUAGUACUUUAUUUAACGUGAGAGUACAUUUAUUUAAUUUCGUAAUAUAUUUAAAAUUAAACUACAGUCAAUGACGUGUCCAGAUGCGUGUCCAUAGGCAAGACACGAGUACAGACGUGGCAAGAGACGAGGGUUGUACAACCAUGAGCUUGUGUCCGUGGCAAGGACAACAAAGGCUUGGGGCUUAGGAUGGCAGAGGAAAUACCACGGCAAGCUAGAGCCACCGACACAUCGUCGUUGCCGCCAAACUUACGUAAAAUCGUUAGCACAAAAAGCCGCCAAGGGUUUCCGCUCACUGGGAAAAAGAUAAGAUUUGUGAACGCCAAGACCACAUGGGUCACAACAUAGCAAAAUUGAAAUCUUUGUCAUCCUCAGCAUUAUCCGACCGCUAUCCACAAAUUGAAGCAACGAAUUGGGCAAGUGUGCAACAAAUUUCCAAUGUGCUUCUAUUGUGAAUGAUUUACAGGGAUUGGGUUGAAUGAGGUUUGUAGUUAAAGUGGGAUGCAAUUUAGAACACCAACGUUUGAUUAUGUUUCUCUCAUUUUUUUCUGUUCACUUUUGCCUCAUUUGUUUUUUUUGUUGCAUCGUCUCAAAAACCUUGUGCGUCUACAUGUACAUGUAUAAGUAUAAAUUUUGGUUAAAACAAAAAGUCACAUAUUUCAUAAUUAACUAUUUAAAUUUGUUGCAAAUCACAGUAUAUCUUUGUUCAUACAUUCAAACAAGCAUGACAAAUACUGAGGAAGAAAAUGAAAAUUAUUGUCACUACAAUUGUAUAUAUUUUUUUCUUUUUGAACAAACGAUAUUAUCUACACUAAGGGGGUGAGGGAGUGGCCUAAGCCUAACAAUGAGCUAGCAAUAAUAUAGUUCAAUUUGCCUUUGAUGAGAAUCGAACAUAAGACAUUUCACUUACAAGUGAAGAGAAAUAUCCUAGACCCUAACUGGAUAUGUUAUUGUCAUGGUCAUGCAUUGGUAUAGUAACAAUAUGUUUGGAUAAGGACAAUAAACUUAUAAUUUUGCCAAAAGUCAGAAUUUUUAAAUUGACACAAUCAAUUCCUUUGUUUGGAUUCAUAAAUAUAGAAAUUUAGACUUUCCGCGUGAGAAAAAACUUGGAAUUUGGUACCUUCAAUUCUCAUGUUUAAAUUUCAUGUAAAUAUGUGUCAUUUAUAAAUUUCAGUAAGUGAGAGUUUAAAAAUAACAAACAUGUAUUCAAAUUUCAUUCAUCCUUUAGGUUAACCAAACAAGAAAAUUUAUAAAUUCUAGAAAAUAAAAUUUCGUUAUUUCAUUUCUGUUAUUUUAAAAUUUUUAGGGCAUGUUUGGUACUCUACUUGAAUCUAACUUUUUAAACUCAAAAACAAUUUUCAAGUUUUAGGCCUUAAAAACUUGUUUGGUAGAACUAUUUUAAAAAACUGAACUUAAAACUAACUAAAAAAUAUAAUCUAUUAUCUAAAAACACAAAAAAUGAGUUUUUAGAAUUUGUAAACUUAAACUCACUCCUUUCUUUUCUCUCCCUGCUCCCCUCUCACUCCAAAUCUCUCUCUCUCUUUUCUUCUUUCUCUCUCCCCCUUCUUUUUUUUUAACCUUUUUUUGUCUCUCAUCCAAUCCGCUCUCUUUAUUCUCUCGGUUCUUUCUCUCACUCCUCUUCCUCUCUAUCUCCUCCGAUUCUCUCUCUUCAUUCUUUUUCAACCAAUCAUUUCUUAUUUUCUUUCCUCCCCUCUCCUCUUUCUCCCUCGACCACCUCUUUUUGGAUCUCCUUGUUCAGUUUGAGCUAUAAGAUUUAAAAAUUUUAAAUCGCAUAUCAAACAAGUUUUUGAGUUUUAAAGAAAAUUGUUUUCAAGAAAUAUUUUGAGAAAUGAUAAAAAAUUUCAAAUAUGAUACCAAACAAGCCCUUAAUAAUCUUAAAUUUUCUCGUCCAAACAAAAAGUUUUCUUGUCAUAGAACUUUCAAUUGAAAUCAAGGAAGAUAAUCUUUUCACAACUAAUUAUUCUCACCAAAAGCAAUUUUUAUUUUAUAGCAGAUCAAUACCAAAUUGCAAAAGCAAAGUAGUAAGGCUAAAAUUCAGGUGAAGAACCUGCUUCCACUAAUUUCCUUAGGAGGGAGAGAGAGAGAGAGGGGAGAGAGAACCAAGCGACCGAGCAGAGAGAGAAAACACCAAGUAGUAUUCUAAUGUUGGUGGGGUUAAGUCACCUUCCGUGAAGUUGCAGUAAGGACUUCUAUCCCAAAGAAAAGUCAGUAAAUGAUGUUGACAUCCGUCAACGACAAGGACAGAAUUGUGUAACCAUAAUUCUCUCUCUAUCUCUUUUUUCAUUAACGGAGGACAGUGUAUAAUUACUACGUAUAUAUCUCUGCUCAAUUAUUGAAAAGAAAAAUCCAUGUGCAUUAUUUUUAUUAUUAUUAUCUCAGAAAUGCAGAAAUUGAUCAUCUCUUCCUUCUGCAUAUUGAUACUGGUUUUCUUCAAACUAGUUGAAGCAAGGCAAUAUGUGUGCGCGAAAUCCAACUGUAGCAAUGAUCAAGGCCCGGCUAUCUAUUUCCCAUUGAACACCAGGCACACACAUCAUUGUGGAAAUUCUGGGCUUGAAUGCAAUGGGAGAAAUGAGCAGCAAAUACUAAUAAAAUUAUUUGUCAAACACAUAGAUUACAAGCGUCAGGAAAUCCAAGUCUAUUCCCCAAGUAACUGCCUGCUGCUAAAGCCUGUUGAAAUCCCAAACAUGCCACCCUCUCCCUUCAUCGUGUCAGUCGGUUACCUGACGAACGUUACCUUAUUCAGUUGUCCUACUUCUGUUGCAAGUGAUCCAUAUUAUCCGUAUCAAGUCCCCUGCCUCGGCGACCGUGGCAAGAGAACUUAUGCCAUUGAUUCUGACUCUGGUUUUAGAACUCUUUUCCGGAAUCUACAAUCUUGUACAAAAAUGUAUGAUGUUUUAUCAGUUCCACUAACCUAUGAAGAUUAUGUACAUCGUUUCAAAUGGUCUAUACCAAAUUGCAGAAAAUGUGGAGAGGGAAAGAAGUGUGGAUGGCAGAACAAUGAAAUUAAAUGUAUUCAAUGGAGGAAACCAAGUAAGGAUAACAUAUGUAUUCAUUGCUAGUUUUAAACAUCUUUACAUUUAUGUCUCAGUAAUUAUUAUUUAAAACAUGUUGUCCAAUCCAUUUUUACUAUGAAUAUUAACUGACAGUCUCAUUUGAAUUUGCCUUUAUCUUUUACAGGCAACACAUGGAAAUUAGUGGUUACAGGUGGAAUCCUGGGUUCUUUGCUUCUUGUUCUACUGAUGAUUGCAGCAUAUCGGGUAUAUAGCGCUGAUAGAAAGGAAAAAGAGAGUCGAUUGCGAAUCGAAAGAUUCUUGGAGGAUUACAAAGCACUCAAACCAAGCAGGUAUUCGUACGCAGAUAUUAAGAGGAUUACAAAUCAAUUCAAGGACAAGUUGGGCGAAGGAGCCUAUGGAACUGUCUUUAAAGGAAUGCUCUCUUCUGAAUUCUUUAUUGCUGUCAAAGUCCUCAACAGUUCUAAGGGAGAUGGGGAAGAGUUCGUAAAUGAAGUGCGAACGAUGGGUCAUAUCCACCACGUCAACGUGGCUCGCUUGGUUGGAUUUUGUGCUGAUGGAUUUGUAAGAGCUCUUGUUUACGAGUUCUUCCCCAAUGGUUCCCUGCAGGAUUUCAUUUCAUCCGCAGAUAGUAAGAAUUCCUUUCUUGGUUGGGAUAAGCUGCAGGAUAUUGCCCUAGGCAUAGCCAAAGGAAUUGAAUAUCUUCACCAAGGAUGCGAUCUACGAAUCCUGCAUUUCGAUAUCAAACCCCAUAAUGUUUUGCUAGACCAAAACUUCACUCCAAAAAUUUCUGAUUUUGGUUUGGCCAAGUUAUGUUCCAAGGAUCAAAGCUUGGUGUCCAUGACUACAGCUAGGGGGACCAUGGGCUACAUUGCAC
rnacentral:lncRNA from 1 species